GUGGUGAUUUAGUGGCGUGAGGGACGAUUAGUGAUGAGAUGUUAGCUGGGAAAGAAGCGAAAGAAGAUGGUGAAGGAGGUGGUGGAGAUGAAGGGUAUAAAGGGAAGAAAGGAGAAGCGUUUGGGUCUGUUGAUGGUGGUGGAGUUGUUGAAGAGAAUGGUAGUUUAGGUUGCGGUGGUGGUGAUGGUGGUGACGGUGGUGGUGAAUCUACUGGAAAGAAUGGUUCGUGGAGUAUACGACGGUCGUCGGCGAGGAUAAGAUCUAAAGAUGAGAAGUGAAACAAGAACAAGAACAAGAACAAGAAGAGCAUUGUUGUUGUUUCUUCUUCUUGUUGUUGUUGUUCAAGAUCUGAGAGAUGGAGAUGGAGAUGAGGAGGAGGAAGAGUGAUGAAUCCAGCUAAGAUUCUUCUGGUAAUGGUUUCGAUGUUUUGAUUAACUUUUUUAACAUCUUCUGGUGAUGGUGGUGAGAGAGUAGAGAGAGAUGAGAGAGUGGUUAAGUUAGAUUAUUCGGGUUUACGUAGAGAGUAGUGGGGGGACCAAAGUUUUUCAGACAAGAACAUAUGGGAUUGUGACACGUAGGAAAAGACGUGGACUUUGUAAUAGUCCGUGUUUAAGUGUGUUUACACACACUGUGUGUUUUGCAUUGCACCGUACUAGGCACAAUGUUGAGAGAAUAUUUUAAAAUGCGAUUUUUUUUUUUUUUUUUGGUUAAAGUUUUUUUUUGGGAAAGUGAGACCAAAAAUAAAUAUUUAUUAUUACGGCGGUUUGACGAAGACUGUAUUAAAUAAAGAAGUAUGGAAAAAAAGGUAUUAAAAAAUGGUUGAGAUUUAAGGAAGUGGUGGGUGUGUUGUGGGAGAAUUGGUUUUUUUUUUUCUUUUUUUUUUGUGUACCGACACUGUCGAAGAAAGUGUAAAUGGUCGGUCCAUGUGUUUUCUCAUUUUUUCACUGGAUGCGGAACGUGAAUUUGGAUUUUCAGGUAUAACUGGUGGAGAGAUUAAAAGGAGCAAAUAAUAUAAUGAGAAUAAGAGAAAAUUAUAUAUGUAAGAGAGGAAAUUAAACUUGAUUGAAUGGAAGCAAAAUAAAUUGUCCUUUAAAACCACUUUUAUGUUUUAAGUGAAAAAAAUGUUCAACAAAAGCUAGAAAUAUAUGGACUUUAUUUUUGAAAAAAAAAACAGCAAUUUGGAGUUUAAAAAAAAAAAUAGUAUACUCAUUUCUUUUAGUUUUAAAGAUAUUUUUUUACUUGCACUAAAAAAGAAUAGUCCUUUUGUUUCAUUAUAAAGUGAUGUUUAAGGUUUUGAUACACUAAAUAAUAAAACAUAUAACUUACCUAUUUUCCAUAAAAACAUCAUUAACUAAUAUAAAUUCAACCAAUAAAAAAAUAUGAUAUAAAAUAUAAUUAGUUUAAAAAUAUUAAAUACAUUAAAUUUUUGUAUAGGAAAUUGAAAACAUCACUUAUACUGAAAAAAAUUUGACUAAAACAUCACUUAUAAUGAAACAGAUGGAAUAUAAAACUAAAUUAUAAAAAAUAUAUUAUGUGUACCAAACAAAUCUGAAUUAUAAAAACGGUUAGGUUAACAAAUACUUUCAUGAAAUUUUGUUUUUGACAUCUAAAACAAUUUCAUGAGAAUCUAAAUCUGUAAAUUAAAUUUAGAAUAAAACUCCAUAAUGCAAUAUGUUAAACUAUUUCACUCAAUUCGUAAAGCUCCGUAAAAUAUAAAUAAAAAUUUUCAAUAUUUAGUUUAAAUUAUCUCAAACAUAAAAUAAAAAUAAAAGGGUGGACUGUGAAUCUUCCUCAGUAGAAUGUUAACCGAGAAACUUGUCCGUAAAGAGUAAUCAUUCCUUAAAUUAAAUAAAUAAUAAAAACGGUAGAUUGUGAAUCUUUCUCAAUAUAUAGUAUAUUAAAAUAGUUUGUAAAGAGUAACAUGUCCUUAAAUUUUUACUCUUUACAAUCACUAUAUGUCUUCAGAUCAAACUUGUGUAUAUUGGUUAUUUAUUGGUAAAUUAGGGCAAGAUCCAUCAUUAACAAACUGUUUACUUAUUGUUUUGGGAUUACUUAUGAUUUGUAAGAAAAAUAAACUAAAUUUAAGAUUUUAUGCUAUCAUGAAUUCACCAACUAAAUUAAUUUUAAACAAGAUAAUUAAUAUAAAAAAUCAACCAAAUAUAUAUAUAAAAAAAGCAGGCAACAUAAAUGUAGAAGUAAACUCUAAACCAUUAUAUUGUACUGCAAACAAUUAUAAUAAAGACAAGAUAUUUAACCCAAAAAAGGAGAUGCAUAAGCCAGUUCUAUUGAAUAUGAUACAAAACAUGUGAAUAUUGAAAGUGUAUAAAUUGUACAAAGGAGAUGCUAAAAUAACAUGUCAAUAUUAACGUGUUUAGUUUCCAAGAUCAUUUAGCUGUUUAUGUUCAAAAUGUAAUAAUACCACUACUCAUCAAUCAGUUGGAAAAAGUUGUCACACUAUCAUUUGAUCGUUGCAAUUUUUAAUGUGGUAUAGUAACAUUGUCAAACUGAAUUUGUGAUGUGUAUAUCAUAUUCAAAGAUCAUAUACAUUAUAUAGAAUCUCUAUAAAAUUCAAUUAAAAUGUGAUGAUACUUAGUGGUUUGGUCAUUGUGUAAUUUGGACUUAUACGUCACAUACUAGUCUUUUUCUAGAUGGUAUUUACUAGAUUACUAAUAACUAUGUGUUCCAAUUGGUUCACAUGAACUAAGCUUAUUAGGCAAUUUAUUCCUAUGUUGAACAAUCCGUUGAAUGUAAAGUGUGUUUAAAGCGCACUGAAGUGAUUAAAAUUAUUGUCUCAUCUGAUGAAAAAAAAAGAUUAAAUAGAUAAUAUUAAAACAAAAAACUAUUCAGACGAAACUAUUAAAUUAACAAUAUAUAGUUUGAUAUGCAACUGUCGAUUCUAACAAUCCUCGUUUUUUUGGGGCGAAAGUUCAUAACCAUAUAAACAUAUUGGUAUUGUUUGUAUUUGAUGGAUUUCACAAUCAUAAAAUAGGGUACUACACAUAAUCUUAAUAGUUCUAAAGCAUUUUUUUUUUUGGCGACAGAAAGACAAAGCACUAGAAAAUGAUAAUAUUGAAAAUGACAUAAAUAAUGAAUUUACCAGUACUCCAAAAUCUACCAAAAAUGUAAUGAAAAUACUUUUUUGAUUUCUUAUAAUAUUUCGUGGGCCUAUGAAUUUUUAGGAAAAUCUAUAAAGUAAGAUAAUUAUAAAAGUUAAAAUAAAAUGAGUAAUUUGGAUUUGGACUAAGAAAAGUAGUAAAAUAGUUUGGGGGUCACGUGGGAAAGGUACUGAAAAAUGCAAGAGUACGAGAGUAUCAGGUAAACCACCGACACACUCGAAUUUGGAAUUUAUACUUUACAUUUUUUUGUUACACUUUUAUGCAAAAGACCUUAUAAUAAGUACACUCUCUUUAGUCUUUCAAGAAAAUUACUUAGACAAAAAAAAAAAUGAAAAAUGUUUGAUUAAUGGCGAUUUUUUGUGUGUGGAAAAUGAAUAAAAAGAUAAGGAUGCUACAUAUGGCUGUAUUGUUGUUAUUUUAGUUUAAUGAUUUAGUGAGUGUAUGAUAACAAAAUAAACAAAUAUAGAAGUACAAUAUGGUGUUAUGAUUGUAGUGUUACAUAUCAAACUCGCUUGAUAUAGCAUUUCAAACAAUUCCAUGGGAAUGGUGGUUCAAGUCUUCAAGAUGGUUAAAGAUUCGGGGACAUCAACUCAGUUUGUAUAAACACUUAAUCUUGGAAAACUCGAGGCACCAACACAUGCUUAAGACGUCCUCAUAUACAUUCACACCUAAAAUCCACUUUAAACCUUAUGUUGAAACCAUUAGGCCUAUUAGAGAACUACUAGUCGAGUCAUAAGUUGUAGUAGUUUAAUCUGGUAAGAGUUUUCCGCCCUUAGUUAUACAAUGUUUGGUCCGAAGCUUAGAUCCAUCGUUAGUACACUUUGAGCAAAGCAUAAGUGGAUCAAGAGCAAUGAACGGUUAAGGGUAGAAUUUUGCUUUCUCAACAACAAAACCAAAGUGAGUACCAAAACAUGUGUUGAUGAAUUUAUGCAUAAGUUUAUAUAUUAGUACUUAGUAUGGAUUGUAUUUGUACAUAAAUUAGCAACCUAAUUUGAUGAAAAUCUCCUAUACUUUUUUAUAUGCACAACUCUUGCAAAUGAGUUCUCAUUCCCAUUUACAAAAGCAUCAAACCCCCAAGAGACUUUGAGGGGACAGCCGGGUAAAAUAGAGUAUAUGAUUGUCGGUAGCAAAAGCAAAUAGUUUUUUUUUUGCAUUCAUUUGGAGAAUGUUUCACUCUUGAGAUAUUUUUCAGAACUAUUCUCUUAAAAAUAAUUUAUUAUAUUUAGCUUUUAAUUCUUGGGUAGUGAUUUUUAUUCUGUUACUGUCUCAUGCAUUUGAUGCAUCUAUUCGAAUGUUUCCUAACUUGAACGUUUGAUUGGUCAUGUCCACAUAUUAUCUCAUCACUUCCCCCACCUUUAACACUUCGAACCCUCAUGAUCAGCGCUCGAAGAUGCAAAAAUUAAAAGCUAAUUAAAUUAUAGUUAAAUUAAAUUAUAGUUAAUUAAAAAAAAACUAUAGCAGUUGAUAAAAAAAAAACUAUAGCUAAAUUAAAAAUACAUAAUGUAAUAAAAAGCUAAGUUUAACAUAUAUUAUUCGUUGUCAGAAGGAGAGUAUCACAAAUCCACAAUCAUCUUCACAAUAUGAUAAAUAUAUAUAUAUAUAUAUAUAUAUAUAACAAUAAUCAUAACAACAAAAAGUUGCAAUGCAAAAUUAUUAAAACAAGAAAUAACACUACAAGCUAAUUAUUGUUUUACUUAUCAGAAUUGAAAAUUCUACUCUUAAGAUUCUUGUAGAGCACAUUGAAAAGAACACUAACAAAACCAAUAUUAUUUGUAAUUUUCUGCUCCCUUUUUUCCUUUUAUAAUUGUAAACUGCAAUGAUGCAAAAUUAUUAUGAUGGUAAAGAAAUAAUUACACUUUAUCUAUGUCACAUCGAUCAUAUAUGUAAACUUUAUUUUUUAUGAUCGUUAUCUUUACUCAAUACGAAUUACUCAAAAUACUAAUUAAAGGUGAGAAUAGUGAAAUUAAAAAAUGGAAUUAGGACCCUAUGAGUAAAAUAUUUAUGAUCAUUUCUUUAUUUUGUCACGUUUGCUUGCGGGUUAUACAAAAACCUCUAAUUAAAGAGUAAAGAGUUAUAUAUAUAAUCAAAUAAUAACAAAAGUAUAGAAGCAUCUACAGUGUUCAUUAUAGUUAACACUCUGACUAAAAUACAAGUUGUUGAAUUUAUUAGAGUAAUAAUUAGAAAGAAACAACAAAAAUAAACAACGAGGAUGGUUUCUAAAUCAUAUGCCAUAUAAAACAUAAUGAUGGAUCGUUUUCUCGUUAAUAUAUAAUUUGGUUAAUCAAACAUUAGUGGACAAACAAGUUUGACGUUUUGGGGUGAGAUCUCGUUAAGUGUUACCAUCAUUAUGUUUUGAUUAAAAACUACGAUUAUAUAAUUAGCAUGUGGCCACCUGUAAACACAACAUUUGAUGAACUCUACAUUGCAUGAGUUGCAAUAUUUUUAUAUGCAUAACGUAGUGUGUAUACACUAGUAAUAGACAUAUGAGUAUGUGCAUUUUGUCGUAUUAUUGAACAAUAAUUGUGUAUGCUGAUUUAUUUUGCUAUAUUUAUACUUUUUUGUUUUUAUAUAUGGUUAUUAACAUUUCUUUUUUCCAUAAUCGCUACGUCCAAAGAACAAGCCUCGAAGCUCGAGAUUCCACUGAACUUCUGACGUAUUGGAUUAAUAAUACAGAGAUAUGACAUUACUAGAAAUGAUGAAUUUUUUGAUUUAAUUUUUUUACUACUCAAUUCUUAGAACUUUCAAUGGUAAUUAUAUUUUUUUACUACGGAAGAAAUAUGAUACGGUUCAAAUAAUAACAAAAAUACAUAAAUAUAAAUAUAUAUACAAAUAUUUUGAUAAUGUUAUAAUACUGUUGCGGUUCGAUUUUAUAAUGCGAUAUGAUUACCAUUCGAAACCUAAUUUGUAUGAUUAUUUUUUCAUAUCAUUGCUACUUUGAGUCGUCUGCUUUUAUUAAUUUUUAUUGACGUGAGUUAUUAAAAAAUACAACAUAGAAAUUUUGUAACUCUUUUUGUAUUUCUUGUACCAUAACACAACAUUUGAGAUUCUAGUAAAGGUGAUUUGGACGUUAGGUACGUAGCUUACGAAACUAAAGCGUUAAGCCAGCAAAAGCUUUUGCGCAUGCAUUUGUUGUCUUCUCCCUAAAGGUGUAUUGCUGUUGAGACUGUAAACACCUAUGUUUUGGUCUUAUGCAUGUUAUCCUUUGACGAUUUCUAGAUCGUCUCGUAUGUGACGUGCCUAGGGUUUGUUUUAUGGUGAUAAUGAAAAGAAAAAUAAAACAUUUUUUUUGCCCAAGAGGUGGUGGGCUAGUGGUAGGGGAGCUUGGAGGAAGGGUGCAACUUCCACAACCUGGGUUUGCUGUUAACACCAUCUUUGUGGGAAGUCUGUCAGUUGGGCUUAGCUCCAAUUGGUUUAUCUGAUAAUCAGAAAUACAAGCGGCCUGAUUAUUCCCGGGCAUUAGUCGGAAAGCGUUAAUCUGGAUUCAAGCGAUGUGGUAGCCCAACACCUAGGUAUUGGCGACGAGUCCACAUUGUAGCACUUCGGUGUGAUACUCCCAGAUCUGACCGGAUCAACCGAUCGAGUUUAUCAAAAAAAAAAAAUAAACACAUAAAAUACAUCUUUUACCAAAAUAGAGGCCCUUUUAAUUACAUAACAUUAUGGGGCAUAUAAGGUAAUCAAAUGCCUUGUAUUUUUGUCGUUAAGGACUCAAUUUUAUUUUCUUUGGCUGAUUAAUUAGCUCUCAUCAUCAUCAACAACAAGAUGCAUGUGUUAUAUAUGUUGUCACACGUUUGCUCGUUGGAGUUUUAUGUCAUUGACAAAUUUGUAGAAUAAAGGGUUGCUAUAUUCUUUGGAUAACUUGUUAAGCCCACAUCUGCAUCCAAAGAACAAGUCUCGAAGCUUGAGAUUCCACUGAACUUCUGACAUAUUAAAAAUAGGAUACUACUAGCUAGAGGUGAUUUGUAUAUAAAAUCAUACUAGUCCUAAUCAAUUUGUUUAUAUGAAAAUUUUAAAUUCAUGACUAGCUACUCCGAGUUUACUUUGACGUUCUUUAUUAAAUAAAUAAAAAGUGGAAUCCACCACGACAUAGCGCAAUAGCAUAACUCUUUUUGCAUUCUCUUGUAUCUUUAGCAUCACUCUUUUAUUGUGAUAAAAGAAAUGUAAGAAAAUAAGAAGCAAAAUAAUUAUGAUAAUCUAAUGUUUUGAUCAUUUGUCUCUAUGGUUCUCCGUCGACUUGUGUUUCAAAGUUUGUCUCAGAUCUUCAAGGUAAGACUAGUGUGGAUGUUACUUGUGUGGAUGAUGCGUUCUCUAGCUUCUUUGUUCAGCAGUUUCCAGUCAAAACUUGAACUGUGAAAGGAGCAAUCUAAGUCUCUUUUGAGACUCUACAAUUUUAUGCAUCUAAAUCAUAGAUGUAUUUUGGAAACGUGAAUCUUGAGUUAUUAAUUCGAUUAAGCUGCCAUAACAAUACAUUAAUGCAAAAGUUUGCUUAGUUCAGAUUCUCUAUAUUUAUGUUUUGUUGAGAGUAUCAAAUUGAUGUUGGUAGGAAGAGCCUUUAGCUUUGAGCAUCCUUUUAAAGUCACAUUUUGCAGUUUAUGAAGGUUUACGAUAGAGUUGGGCAGCUCCACUAGACCGGUGCACCUACAAAGGUGCAAUUUCUGGAGAUUAAUAGCAUUUCCAAUUGAGUAGGGCAGCUCCACCAAACUUGAGCAUCCACAAAGAAUCAAUGUUUGAAGGUUAGUGGCAGUUGAGAAAUCAGGUAGCUCCUUUAAGUUUUUUGAAUGGAACAAAUUCAUCCUCUUGAGAUUCACGAGUGGCUGUACAAACAAACAAAGGAAACAUAAGAAACAAAAUUCAAGAAAACUUGAAACAAUAGUGUUAAAAUCACAUUUUUUAUAAUCUAAAGGUUUAAAGUCAAAUUAAGAGAAACAUAUCACAAUUUCGUACCAUAUGUCCUUCCCACAUCUUCUCAAGUUUGCUGUGUUGCAAGCUUAGUUCGACAAUGUACUUCGCACAAAACUUGGAAGGCAAACAUGUCAUUGGAAAAUGAUCCCAUUCUAGUAAUCUAAGUUUUUGAGAUAAAUAUUUUAAACCUUGCGGUAAAUACACUUUUUCACUCCGGCCGCACUUGAUUCUUAAGAAUUGGAGGUUAGACAUUCCUUUGAAAGCUUUCUCACUUAUAAUUAAUUCGCCUAACAACUCAGAUGAGUUUAAAUGUAUGCCUAUAAUAUUUCUACUAUCCUAUAAAACACCGCAAAGAAAAUGUAAAGGUAAGUUAUAAAAUGAAUUUAAUUUGUAAGGAGCAAGGGAAUUGAAGAGUUAUAAUAGAAUAACUAACCGUGUGAUCAGUGAGUACUUCACAAAUAUCAAUACCAUCAACCAAAAAUUGACGCUUUCCAGGCUCACGAAUGAAUCCUGACUCAUAACGAACAAUUUCUCUACCCAACUGCUCUAGCAAAUUAUGCAUCUUUAUCCAUCCUUCUUCAAUAGAUAUGAGAGAUUUCUCAGCUAAUACAUGAAAUCCUUGCUUCACAUCCAACAACUUAUGCGCAAGAUAUUCUUCCACGUUCUCAAUCCUUUUAUUGUUGAAAAGGCAUGCUAUAUGAAGAAAUAAAUCUUGAUCUUCAUCACAUAAUGCGUCGUAACUAAACUUUAAAAUGCUUUGAAUAUUAGAAUCAAGGUGAGUCCUUAACCUUGGCAUUGCAUUUAUCCACUCCUGCUUUGACAUUCCCCGAAAAUGGGAACCCAUAACUCUUAGUCCUAAUGGUAGGUUACCUAAAAUAUUUGUUACUUCUAAUGCGAGUUCCUGGUAUUCAACUUCAGGGAACUUUUGACCAAAAGCAGACAUACAAAAUAUUUGACAAGCUUCAUGUGUUGAUGGAAAAUCCACCUUGUAAAUAUGGUUGAUGCCAUGUGCCUUCAAAAUUUUGUGGUCUUGUGUUGUGAUGAUAAUCCGACUGCCAUGACCAAACCACCGAGUUUCUUUUGCGAUAGCAUCUAGUUGCAUUGACUGAUCGAUAUUAUCUAGGACAACAAGCACUUUUUUGUCAUUCAACCUAAUUUCCGCAACUCCUAAAUGAGGAACCUCAAUAUCCAUGUGGUUCGUUAUCUUGGACAUAAAAUGGCUCUGUAAGUGUAACUUUGCAUUGUAGUCAUCAGAACACAUUGGUCUUGUGUACAUGAGCUCUUGAAUAUUCUCCAUAAAAGCGCUUAGUUCAAAACUGUCAGAAAACUGACUAAAUAAGAAUCUGGCAAUGAUGGUCUUACCAAUCCCGGAUGGUCCCCAUAUCCCUACCAUCCUGACUUCAUCAGCGUCUAGACAUAACAAUUGUUCCAUCAUUUCCAUAUGAGCUCCCAUCCCGACUAAUUCGUCGAUAUCUCUAGAUGGUGUGAAAUUAUUCAAUAAGUUGGAAACAUCACUUGCUAUUUUUUCAAUCAUGAUUGCCUCAUUGUCCCUAAUAGAGGAAGAUCCCAUCCAUUAGAUAGUCAAAAAAAUUGACAUACACAUUCAAAUUUUUUAACGUACAUGAAAAAAUUAAGAACAAGAAAUGGAAAAUUAUAAAGACAAACCAGUUAUUUGAAACGUAACCAGCAAGUGUUGCUACUUUCGCUAGAGCUUGUAUCCAUCUUCCAAUGUCCUCCUUUGUUUUACCUGCACAUGCUUUUCUGAAGGCACUCCCAAAAUCACCAGUCAACUUCUUUACAUCAGAUGGGUCUACUUUCUUGAAAACAACCAUCACAGUUUGACCAAACUCUUCUCUACAUUUGAUAAUUUCCGCCAAUUCAUCAAGACACCAAGACGAAGAAGCGUAGUUCCUAGAGAGUAAGAUGAUUGCAAUCUUAGAACUUCUGAUCGCUUGUACAAGUUCAGGAGUUAUGGAUUCUCCUCUCUUGAUACCAUUAUCACUGAAAAGAGUGAUUCCUUUCGUCCGAAACUCCUUCUGAAUAUGACUAAGAAAGUCUCUGCGGAUAUCUUCUCCGCGAAAGCUUGGAAAGACUUGGUGUCUCCAGCUAUGAGAUGAAGAAGAUGGAGGAACCGGUGAUAAAGGAGAUAAAGAAGGAGAAUCAUUUUCUUUGUUUUCUUGGUGGAAUAAUCUGAAUUUUUUGAAAAGCAUGAAGAAGCCUAUUGUAGCUGUAAUCGUGCUAAGUACAAAAGAAGAGUUCAUUAUGUGGUUGUAGAGAAGUGAAUGAAGGAUUAAGAGAGAGACUUUGUAUGUAUGGGAUAGACACAAGUGACGCAUAAGCCUUAGGGAUAUUUUUGCUUACGGAAGUAAAACAAAGAAUAUGUCACAACAAUUCAAAAACCCUCACCUACCCAAUUUCUAAAGUUGAUUGAAUUUUCAUACAAAUAAGAGCACAUAGAAUGUGAAUAAGUGGGGGUUAGGUAUGAAUAUUCCAUGAGACUCGGUUCUAUUAAUCUUGCAAGAGGACUAAUCGUCACUAGUAAUUUUGCUGAUAAAGAGGUUUCCAAUGGAUCUUAAUAUAUUAAUUGGUAAGAUGUAAGAAAUACAAAUAAUCUCAUAGAUGAUCAGCUGGUUUGUUUGAUACUUACUAGUUAGUACCAAAUUCUAACAUUUGGUUAUGUAGUAGAGCUUCCGAGUUCGACAAGUUCAUACGACAUGGCAGAUUAUUCAUUACAUGGAAAGUAAGACAGUUCCAAUACACUGUAAGAGCUCCAAGCACAAGAGAAUGAAGAACUACGUACACGAAGAGAAGGAUGACUAUGACCAAGAAUAGACAGGUAGAACAGUUAGAAGUUAACUUUUAAGAUCAUGGACCAAUCUUAGAGGACAAGACAUAACAUCAAACUACUAACAUGGCAGCUUAAUGAAGAUGAUAAUGGGGAUAAUAAGAUGAUAAAUUCUUAAUAGAAAAUGUAUCCUCAAAAUCAAAAUCCUCGAACACAAUUAAAAUGUGAAGACAAAAGCUGAGUGUUGUAGUCUUAAAACAGAAAAAUUUAGGCAUUAAGCUCAAAAGAUAAAAAGCUACAAGAGACGCGAGAUAAAGAAAGCUGGACUGAUUUACUCUUCAUCAUCCUCAUCAUCAUCAUCACCACCUGCUCCAUUCAAUGCCUUGACUCUCUCGAUCAACUUGUUCUUCCUCUCUUCGUAUGUCAAUUUCUUCAAGUUGUACCUGUUUUGUUUAUAACACAACCAAGUCAAAAAUCAAAUAAGACAAGCAUGCACAAUACACCAACAAGCCAAGAGUCUAAUAAAAUUUGUUUUGUUUCUUUACCUCUUGUGUUCCUUGGGAGCAGAUUUCACAGUUUUCUUGUGGUUGGGCUCUGCACGAAUAGCUGCAUGUACCUUCUUGUACAUCUCUUCAAUACCCUCGGCUUCAACUCCUUUCUUGAUGUAACCACUGAAGUGAGUUUGAAGCUUCUCUGGCUCAUCUUCUGCCAACAUCUUCAUGUAGUUUGAGACGUGGCCACCAUAGAUGUAGUUCCUGUGGAUUGCAGCAUCAAGUUGCUUGUUCUCUUUGUUGAAACCAGCAAAUCUCUUGUCACUGUGGGGGAUAUCAAGACCUCCAUCCAAAGCACCCUGUAGUUUUAUGAACCAAACCAAAAAGUGUGUUAAAGAAUAGCCAGUAACAUCAUUUGCUCAAUAAGAAAAGAACUCUGCCAACAAAUUAUAUCUGAGAACAACAAUUCAGUACCUUGAGAGCACCAAACACACGGUUUCCUGUUGUGGUCCUGAUAAGUCCAACAUCAAGAAGAGCACGGAAAGGUCUCCUUGAAUCAGUUGGCUCAACUGAGAAGUCCUCACCGGUGGCCUGUUUCAUUGUGUAAUUUGAGCUAUUAACAAGACACAAAAACUCAACUUUAUAUUUUAAAAAAUAAACCAAGCCAACAGCUUACCUCUAGGUUGCCCUCAUACUCGUCAUCCAUUUCCAGCAUCUUCAGAACACGGCGAGCCAAAAGAAGCCCAGUACAGUAUGCUGAUGCCAAAAAUAUAUUACAUAUUAGUAAAGCAUAGACACAGAAUCAUACCUCUAAAACUGGAAUAGACAAAAAGCACAGAACUGAUUCAAUACCUGCAGCGUAGUUUGUAAGGCCAACAGUGAGACCAUACUGAGGAAGCUCAUGUGCGUAAGCAGAAGCUUUCACAAUGUCACCAGCAAUGCUAGCAGAGACAAUUUGUGCCACGAUGUCUUUGUUGGUAAACCUCACAACAAAACGAUACUUGGGUGUGUUAUACUUGUUCUUAUCUUGGUUGAUAAGACGGAUCCUUGCCCUGUAAUCAGUCUUACCAGCUACAAAAUAAAAAGUGAAAUAGCUUUCAGUAUCAGUCUGAAAAAAAGAGUGACCAGACAAUAUCAUCAGGUAAACGAAAUCAAGAAUCUAUACCUCUUCUUCUCCUGAACUUCACUUGGUACCUUUUGAAGUACGCAUUUGACUUGUCAGACUUGACAAACACCUAAUAAAAAACCAAAUUAUCCUAUUUCAUUAGUCUAAGAUCCAACAACAUAAACUGUUCUUUCGUGGGUAACAAAGAUCUAAAGUGCAAAACACCAUUAAAACGCAUCACCUCUAAACCAGAACAAAAACAUGUAAAGUUUCAAACUUUUCCUAUUUCAAUUCCCAAGCGAGUUACAAAACCAAAAACCCAUGAAGAAACACAUCUAAAAAGCUGAAAAAACCAUAGUUCUCGUUACCAUAUCUAACCAAAGUAAAAAUGCAGGAGGUUUCUAUGAGAAAUGAAGAUAAAAAUCUGAUUCUUUGAGGAGAAAACCAAGAAGAAACAGUAAAGAAAUGAGAAGAGAUAGAGAGAAGAAAGCUAAGGUUUACCAUUGUUUGAUUCCUCCUCUAGCUACGAGAGGCUUUUCUCUGAGAGAGAUGAGAGUGACGAGAAGACAAGAGGCGGAAUGACCUAAAUGCGACAUCUUAUAAGACAAAACCCUAGGAAACUCCUCUUGGGCUUAAAAAGAUUUAAUGGGCCUUAUGGGCUUUGUCCAAAUAAAAUUAGUCAAACAGCAUUUAUCACUAGUAUCUUGAAAUGAUCAUAAACAAAGCCUCAAAUUAGUUAUUCCCCAAAUGGUCGUGUAUCUCAAGCAAGCCUCAAAUUCUAAUCGUUAAGUUUUGAUAUGAAGUUUGAGAAAUUUCAGAAACUUCUUCGGACCAUUUGCUUGUUUUACGGACAUAAACAAUACUGAAGUUGUGGUUAUAUGUAUGUUAGUGUUGUAAUUUUUGUUUGCAUCUUUGGUUUAGAUGUAAACAAUGGUGCAUUUGAUUAGCUUAAACAAGUGUUUGCAUUUGCGUCUAGAUAAAGCGAGGUCAAAUGCAUUGUGGUUAAGACUUUUUAUUGUGUGAAGGAUUAAAAUGUGUUUUGGCCAAAUGAGUACAUCUCUAUUUGGGAAGAUAACAAUCAUUUCAGUAACUAAGCCAUUCCCCAAAUAAGUGGAUUUUUGUUUUGGACAGUUUGCUAUUCCCGGGAGAAUUUUAUAGCUUCAAUCACAGCAGAGAAGUCGAGAUCUCCAAGUCCCAAGCUUCUCGCUUUCUUAAAAGCCUGUCGAAAACAAAAAAAAAAUAUGUCUUCAGAUUCAUGCUAAGAAGACAAUCCCAGGGGAGAAUCAAUAUGUUCUUCUCGCUGAGUAACUAACCUCAUUUGCAGCUGCGGCUACAGGCAUGGAAACAGCAUUUUCGUCGCCAAGAGCAAGAGCUAGUCUCAUGUCUUUCUGCUGAUGUUUCAGUGGAAAUGCUGGUGGGUAACUGCUUUUAUUCAUGGAAGGUCCUUUGCCCUUGAACAUCGGGUUGGUCAUUGCGCCAAGAUCCUGCCCAUAGCAAAACCCGAUUCAACCAACACCAUUAAUCAGAAAUUGAAAAGUUUGAUCAUCUCACCAGGAUAUCCAGAAGAGUGUUAGAGCUAAGUCCACUCUUGUCAGCUAAUACAAGCCCCUCGGAGAACGCGUUCAUCAUGCUGUCUCAGAUGAAAAACAAUUGUGUCAUAAAGCCAUGUUCCAUUUGUACUACCAAUGAUAGUAAACUUAAAAGAGACGGACAUUUACCUUCCCAUGAUCAUAUUCACUAUUAGUUUCAUUUUAGCUCCAUUACCAACUUGUCCCAGGAAAAACGACUUCUUCCCCAAGACGUCAAAAGCUGGGAUUGAUUCCUCGAAGAGUGCCUUUAAACAAAAACAAAUUAUAUCAGCUUGAGAGACAAUCUGAAUGUGGAAUUAGUUCUAGUUCCUAAGCUCCUACUAAUUUCAAAACUACAACAGUUCCUGAGAUCAACCAGUCCAUCUAGAAGUAUAGUUUGAGUUGUACCUUGUCACCAGCAGCAAGGAUAAUGAGUUGGCCAUCUUCUGCUGGCUUUUUGCUACCGGAAACAGGGCCUUCUACAAACCGACCACCCUUCCCGGUGAUUGCCUGCCAACAUCCAACACAGCUAAAUUAAACUAAUCAAUUUUGUUUCAAUCUAAAUAUCAUCCAAAUCCAAAAGUAAAUAGCUUCAACCUCAUUGAUCUUUACAGAAGUCUCUGCAUCAACUGUUGACAUAUCUAUAUAACCUUUUCCUUCACAGAUUUGCUCCAAAACACCGUCUUUGUCGAAAACAACCUAAUUAAAAAACCGGAAACUGUAACUAUUUCUAUAGCUCAUCAUCUCAUAUCAUCAUCAAUGCUAAAAACACACAUUAAGAAGCAAAAAAAGGAGUCAAUUCAAAUACCGAAAGAGCAGCAGAAGGAUCAGAGAGCAUAGCAAUAGUGUAUUUGCAUUUCUUGAUUACUUCAGCUGGAGUCUCACAUACUGAAGCUCCAUGCUCCACAAGUUCAUCACACUGUUCAAAAUCAAUCAACACACCACAAAUUACAGCAAAAUCAAUCAAAGUUUCCAACUUUAUCAGAUCUGAACAACCAAACACUAAAUCAUACUAACCAAUCCGUUGAAACCCUUUUCAAUUACAGUAAUGAAAAUCUCCAAAACACAAUCAAAAUCAGAUUUUUUACCUUGGAGAGUGUUCUGUUCCAUACAGUCACUUUGAAUCCAUUCUUCAAUAGAUUCAUUGACAUGGCCUUUCCCAUGAUACCCAAACCCAGGAACCCUACUUCCAUUUUUCUCACUCUUCUACUUCUCUCUCUCUCUCUCUCUCUCUCUGCGAUUAUAGUGCUCAGUGAUGGUUGGUCUGAGAAUGUGACAAAGCCGGAGCGUUUUCUAAUCAGAGAACCAUUAUCAUCCUUAAAAUUAAAGUAUUUACAAUUUUGCUCCCUAAAGUUUGAUUCAUUUUGCAUCUCUAAGUAAAUAGAGAAAGAACGAACAAGAUUUUGCCACGUGGAGAAACUUGGCUAUUCUCCAGUGUUGUAGGAAUCUUUAGUUUUCGAAUCAGUGUUCAGUAUCUACUCACGUGCGAAGCUCUUAAUCAUACUUAUUUGCUGAGUUCCACCCUAUUGUUAAAGUAAAUUGAACAUUUGGUCUAAUGGUUUAUGAAGUUUCAGUUUAGUCCAAUCUUGUGUAAUGUAAUGGCUUCUUUUAUAGUAGAGAAGCAAAUCGAAAAUUCAAUGGAUACCAUAUUAACACUAAUGUAUAUACGAAAAACACUCCGUGGUAACAAUAUUAAUACUAAAUUUAUAUACAAUAAAUCAUAAUUAGCAAAGUUAUACGUUGUUUACAGAUUAUAGAAAAUAAUAAAUAUAAAUCACAUAUAAGAAUAGAAGGGAUGAAUGUUACGGAUCUUUGACCGCUAAGUAACUUGCUUUAAAGAGAUAUUAAGGACUCUCUAACAAAUCUUCCUUAGCUUUUUUGGGUUAAUUGAAUUGAUUUUUGAUCUUAUCAACGAAAUAUAUGAAUACCCAACAAUAUUGUUGGAUGGACGUAUUUUAAUUUUAUGAUCGUAUAUAGUUUAUUUAACUUGGAAAUAAGAAAUUGUGCUUAGAGGUUAGAUGAAAUUUUUAUUUAUAGUCAAAGAUUUAUGUCUAAAAUCAUUGCCACAGUUUUAAGAAUUUUAAUGUUUUGAGAAAUUUUUAUAAAGUAUUUUCUCACUUCUAUUAAAAUGUGCUCACUUUUUUUUCCCUCAAGAUUAAGACACCAAUUAAUAUUUUUUCCAUUAUGCACACCAAAUUUUAAAUGGUACAAGUUUAACCUCCGAUCAAGCUAACGUCAUUACUUCUCUUAUAUCUUAAUAAAAAAAAAUAGUUUGUUAACUUAAUAAACUUUACUAAAUUUUUUUAAAAAAAAAUCUAGAGAUCCAAUUAAAAUUUAAGACUAAUAAAUAAAAACAUAAAAAUUAUAUUAAAUUUAUAUUUUAAUGUAAAUUUGAGGAAAAUAUAUAAGAUAAAUUUUUUUGUUUUGGUCACCAUAUAUAAGAUAAACUAUGUUAUAUAUAAAAUUAUAUUUCUUGAUACACAAAACUAUAUCUCUUGAUACAAAUUUCUUAUGAAAAAGAGUAAAAUGAAUAGACUUCUAAAGGUAAAUUUUUGUUUUAGAAAACUUUUGGAAAAAAAGAGAAUUUUUGAGAAAUGCCCCUUUUGCUAUACCCCUCUUUUGUAUCCAUUUUCAAAAAUACCCCUUUUUAAAUAUGAAAAAUUAUAAACUUUUAUAUGUUUGAUAAGAUACAUCAAGAUCAUCAUUACUACUGGGAGUCUAAAUCCAAAUAUUUAUAAGGUUUUAAAAGGUUUUAAACGGCAUUUAUAAGGUUUUUAUAAGGUUUUUAAAAGGUAUUCAUACGGUAUUUAUGAAAUAUAUAUGUAAAUUUACACACAUAGAAAGAUAAUUUGUGUCUUUAAAUAUAAGCUUACACAUAGUUUUUUGAUAAAUUUCAAAAUUUAUAGUAAUUUUUUGAUAAAAUUAGAAAAAAGAUAUUUUUAAAAAAUGGUAUUGGAAAAGGAAUAUUUUUGAAAUACCCAAAAAAAAAAAAAAAACUAUUGUUGGAAGUAUUUUAUGCAAAGAUUUUAUUUUUGUUUUUAAAAAAAUAUGUUAUAUCCCAUUUUUUUGGUGUGUGUGGUUGGCAACUCUUCGGCUCAGCCAUUUUCACAUUUGUCUCUCUUCUCCUACUCUCUCUUCUCUCCUUUUUCUUUGCUCCACUAAAAAAAUAAAAUCAAGUGUUUACUCGGAGCCAGAAGAGAAGAUGGAGAGAAACUAAGAUUUGAUAACUACAAAUCUUGUUACUGAUCAAGAAUCUCAAUUACAGUUUCAGUUUCUUCUUUAACAUGGCAUCAAUAGCAGGAGGAUCAUUUAGAGUCCCUAGCACUCGUAUCUCUAUAACCACUCCAACUCUAUCUUCCUCUUCUUUGUUUCCACCACUAACAUUGGUAUGUCAUGUUUUCACAUUUACAUCUCAUUUGUAUUGAAGCAGUAUGGUUUUCAGAUUCUGUCUUGUCUCUUUUGCAGCAAUCAAGUAAUAAAAAAGACAACCAAUUGCUGCGGUGUGCCGUCCAAGAAUCAUCCACUACUUCUGCUGGUAAGUUUCGGAUUGAGUAAAAACAGAAUGUUCUGUUCAAGAACACAAGAAGAGAGUAACUUUUCUUGUUCUUUCUUUACUAGUUGCUACUGAAAAGAAAGAUAAAGAAAAAGAAGAGUCAUCAACAGCGGCGGUUCCAGCGAAGAAACCUAAACCCGCAGCUGCGAAAGCCGCUGCAGUGGCGAAACCGCUGAAACAGAUGAUGGAAGAAGACGUGAUUCCUCCUUUGCUAGCCAUUCUUGAAGCUCAAGAUGAUAUCUCUGAGAUAGAUUUAUCUUUCCAAGAAGAUAACAAGGUUUCUUGAUUCUUACUUCUAAGACGAUUAUCAUCAUCAUCAUCGAAACAUCGGUCAUCUCUUAUUAACUUGUGUCUUGUUACUGAGACAGCUUGAAGGUUUUUUCUUGAAGAAAGGUAUUCCAUAUUCCUUUUGGGCCUUCUUCCCCACUGGAAACCUCACAGGUGACUAAACUUAGGGCCUGUUCGUUUGCUUAAGAUGAUUCUUUAGCUGAUGAUGUCCUUUUGGUUUGUUGCUUAUAAAACAGGAGCAAAAGGAUUUUCAAUCUCCUCGCACGGGUCAGGUCCGAGCACCGUGGAACCUUUUCUAGUCGACGAGAGGAAACCAACUGCGAACCACGUCGUCUUUUGGGUCGAGAAACGCCUCGCUGCACAAGGGAUUAUUCCCGUUUGGAACCAAUGAUGUCUUUUAUUCACUUGUAACCAUUACAUUGCAAAUAUUUUGUAUACCAAAAAAUAUGAUGAAAUCAUUAGAUCUCUCUCUCUUAUUAAAACUUGAUUAGGGAACACACUUCGUUUUAUGCUAAUUCAUUUUCAGUUGAGACUAUUCUUUUCCUAGCCUUCUCAGCCUGCAAAAUAAUAGAAUCAAAGCAUUAGGACAACAAAUGUAGAAGUGUACCAAGCUCAAAUGUUACCAAUGUAGAACUAAAGUUUCUUACCUGUUCCUUCCAGUUCAUGGAAGCUGUAACAAUAGCUAGUACAGUGGCUUGCACAGUGGAUCCAACCACAACACCACACCAAAGUCCUUUUCCUUUAAGAUCAUGACUGAAAGCUAAGUAAAUUCCAACAGGAGCUCCUACAAGGUAAUAAGAAACAAUAUUGUUCCAAGCACCAAUGUGUUGCCAACCACUUCCUCUAGCAACACCAUUAAGAACUGCAGUGAAGCCGUCGAGAAUAAAGGAGAGACAGAGCAAUGGAGAUAGGUCAGCCACAUAGUCUACAACUUCUUUGCUGUUGCUGAAUGUGUAGCCUACGAUGUUCCUACAGGUGAAGAGAAGUAUGCUAAAGAAAGCUGACUCUACUAGCCAGAGACAAAGCCCUGCUAAUACUGAAACCCUAGCAACUUGAGGGUUUCCAGCUCCCAAACUGUUUGAUACACGUGUGCUGCAAGAAACCAAUCACUAAUGAUUACAAAAUGAAGGUAUACAGCGGAACUUGAAUAUGUUAUUUAAAGAUUGAGAAUUGAGAUCGUAUCAUCGUACCUCACAGCUGCCGCGACUCCGGAUGAAAUUACAUAGUGUAAAGUUUCUGUUGUAAGACUGAUCGACAAGAAGGAAACAUGAUUAACACUUUUUAAUAUAAAGAGAACACAAAAGAUACAAAGUGUUACUAUAUUACUUACCAUAUCGAAAGAACAGAGGUCUCGAGUUUCGGGUUAGGGAGAAGACCUGAGCAGAGUAGGAGUAGUUCAAAUAGCCACCAUUCUAGGCUAUUACAAGAAGAUAAAGAAAAUGUAAACGAAAUAAGAAGAAUUAGUCUAGUAUAUGUAACUUGAUAGACAAACAACCUAAAAAGACUUACCAAAUCAUUGCAGCUGAUGGGAUUCCGUAUUGGAAGAACUGCUUAACACAAGACACAAAAUCUUCAGACACAAAUCCGCGAGUCUUCUCACAAGAACUGGAGAAUCUCACAUAACAUGAUAGCAUCAUAGCAUAAAACCAGAAAGACACACUAGUAGCCAUGGCAGGUCCAUUGCCUCCCAGAACAAACACGAAAACCAAAGCCCAACAAACCAAAACGUGGAACAAAAGUGUGGUUACGGCAGUGUAGAGCAAAGGGAGAACCAACCCUUGUGUCAGCAGAAACCUGGUCAGCGGUAUGACAAUCGCUUGGGCGUACAAAACCGGUAUGAGCCAAAAAGCGUAAGAGCCAGCGAUUCUUGAUAUGUCAGGGUCUUGUCCGAGAGAAAUCAAGAUCUUCUCGAUGUAAAUCCAUAGAAUUGAUAUGAGGAAACAAAUAGGUAUGUUGGAAGCAAUUGCUGAGUAUGCGUAAGUUCCUAUUUUUUCAUAUUGCUUGGCUCCAUAAGCUUGGCCACAAAGAGUUUCUAGUGCACCCACUAAUCCAUACUGUACAAAGAAUACUUUAGAGAGUUGAUUUGAUUCUUGAAUUGAAAGAUGUAGUAAGAGUCAUAACAUAAAAUACCAUAAUACUAAAACCAGUAACGUUUGUGAAGGAUGUGGCAAGAGCAACACCGGAGAGCUGGAGCUCGCCGUUGUGACCAGCAACCAUGACUGAGAUAACAGGCAAUAAGUACUGAGCAAUAGUCACAGUAGCCAUAGGAGCAGCCAAGCGACUCACUCUCUUCAGCUCGGCCGUGAGCUGACCACUUGGCCAUGUGGCCUUAGUGGUGACCAGCUCCUCUCGCUGAAGAAAUGGCUCUUCCAUUGUCUUCUCUCUAAUGCUGAAGGCCUUGUCUUUGAUUUGAGAUAACUGUUCUGUUCUAUCUUUUUAUAGACCAAACGACACGAAUGUUAAUGAUGACUGAUGACUUUUUUUGUAUAGAAUAUUUAAUUUAGAUAUACCAAUAAAAUUAUUUUAUCUUUCCAAGACUGUUCUGAUUUGAACUUUCAUAUCAUUUUAUAGUAAACAAACAUUAAAGGUUCUUUACAAAUUGAAAAAAAUAUGGGAGAAUUUUAUAGACUAUAACCAUCACUUUUGAUUUAUGUGACACCGCCUGAUAAAAAAUGAAAUACAUGAGGAUAAUGCACUUGGGGAUCACGUAGACACGUUCCGACUUNNNNNNNNNNNNNNNNNNNNNNNNNNNNNNNNNNNNNNNNNNNNNNNNNNNNNNNNNNNNNNNNNNNNNNNNNNNNNNNNNNNNNNNNNNNNNNNNNNNNNNNNNNNNNNNNNNNNNNNNNNNNNNNNNNNNNNNNNNNNNNNNNNNNNNNNNNNNNNNNNNNNNNNNNNNNNNNNNNNNNNNNNNNNNNNNNNNNNNNNNNNNNNNNNNNNNNNNNNNNNNNNNNNNNNNNNNNNNNNNNNNNNNNNNNNNNNNNNNNNNNNNNNNNNNNNNNNNNNNNNNNNNNNNNNNNNNNNNNNNNNNNNNNNNNNNNNNNNNNNNNNNNNNNNNNNNNNNNNNNNNNNNNNNNNNNNNNNNNNNNNNNNNNNNNNNNNNNNNNNNNNNNNNNNNNNNNNNNNNNNNNNNNNNNNNNNNNNNNNNNNNNNNNNNNNNNNNNNNNNNNNNNNNNNNNNNNNNNNNNNNNNNNNNNNNNNNNNNNNNNNNNNNNNNNNNNNNNNNNNNNNNNNNNNNNNNNNNNNNNNNNNNNNNNNNNNNNNNNNNNNNNNNNNNNNNNNNNNNNNNNNNNNNNNNNNNNNNNNNNNNNNNNNNNNNNNNNNNNNNNNNNNNNNNNNNNNNNNNNNNNNNNNNNNNNNNNNNNNNNNNNNNNNNNNNNNNNNNNNNNNNNNNNNNNNNNNNNNNNNNNNNNNNNNNNNNNNNNNNNNNNNNNNNNNNNNNNNNNNNNNNNNNNNNNNNNNNNNNNNNNNNNNNNNNNNNNNNNNNNNNNNNNNNNNNNNNNNNNNNNNNNNNNNNNNNNNNNNNNNNNNNNNNNNNNNNNNNNNNNNNNNNNNNNNNNNNNNNNNNNNNNNNNNNNNNNNNNNNNNNNNNNNNNNNNNNNNNNNNNNNNNNNNNNNNNNNNNNNNNNNNNNNNNNNNNNNNNNNNNNNNNNNNNNNNNNNNNNNNNNNNNNNNNNNNNNNNNNNNNNNNNNNNNNNNNNNNNNNNNNNNNNNNNNNNNNNNNNNNNNNNNNNNNNNNNNNNNNNNNNNNNNNNNNNNNNNNNNNNNNNNNNNNNNNNNNNNNNNNNNNNNNNNNNNNNNNNNNNNNNNNNNNNNNNNNNNNNNNNNNNNNNNNNNNNNNNNNNNNNNNNNNNNNNNNNNNNNNNNNNNNNNNNNNNNNNNNNNNNNNNNNNNNNNNNNNNNNNNNNNNNNNNNNNNNNNNNNNNNNNNNNNNNNNNNNNNNNNNNNNNNNNNNNNNNNNNNNNNNNNNNNNNNNNNNNNNNNNNNNNNNNNNNNNNNNNNNNNNNNNNNNNNNNNNNNNNNNNNNNNNNNNNNNNNNNNNNNNNNNNNNNNNNNNNNNNNNNNNNNNNNNNNNNNNNNNNNNNNNNNNNNNNNNNNNNNNNNNNNNNNNNNNNNNNNNNNNNNNNNNNNNNNNNNNNNNNNNNNNNNNNNNNNNNNNNNNNNNNNNNNNNNNNNNNNNNNNNNNNNNNNNNNNNNNNNNNNNNNNNNNNNNNNNNNNNNNNNNNNNNNNNNNNNNNNNNNNNNNNNNNNNNNNNNNNNNNNNNNNNNNNNNNNNNNNNNNNNNNNNNNNNNNNNNNNNNNNNNNNNNNNNNNNNNNNNNNNNNNNNNNNNNNNNNNNNNNNNNNNNNNNNNNNNNNNNNNNNNNNNNNNNNNNNNNNNNNNNNNNNNNNNNNNNNNNNNNNNNNNNNNNNNNNNNNNNNNNNNNNNNNNNNNNNNNNNNNNNNNNNNNNNNNNNNNNNNNNNNNNNNNNNNNNNNNNNNNNNNNNNNNNNNNNNNNNNNNNNNNNNNNNNNNNNNNNNNNNNNNNNNNNNNNNNNNNNNNNNNNNNNNNNNNNNNNNNNNNNNNNNNNNNNNNNNNNNNNNNNNNNNNNNNNNNNNNNNNNNNNNNNNNNNNNNNNNNNNNNNNNNNNNNNNNNNNNNNNNNNNNNNNNNNNNNNNNNNNNNNNNNNNNNNNNNNNNNNNNNNNNNNNNNNNNNNNNNNNNNNNNNNNNNNNNNNNNNNNNNNNNNNNNNNNNNNNNNNNNNNNNNNNNNNNNNNNNNNNNNNNNNNNNNNNNNNNNNNNNNNNNNNNNNNNNNNNNNNNNNNNNNNNNNNNNNNNNNNNNNNNNNNNNNNNNNNNNNNNNNNNNNNNNNNNNNNNNNNNNNNNNNNNNNNNNNNNNNNNNNNNNNNNNNNNNNNNNNNNNNNNNNNNNNNNNNNNNNNNNNNNNNNNNNNNNNNNNNNNNNNNNNNNNNNNNNNNNNNNNNNNNNNNNNNNNNNNNNNNNNNNNNNNNNNNNNNNNNNNNNNNNNNNNNNNNNNNNNNNNNNNNNNNNNNNNNNNNNNNNNNNNNNNNNNNNNNNNNNNNNNNNNNNNNNNNNNNNNNNNNNNNNNNNNNNNNNNNNNNNNNNNNNNNNNNNNNNNNNNNNNNNNNNNNNNNNNNNNNNNNNNNNNNNNNNNNNNNNNNNNNNNNNNNNNNNNNNNNNNNNNNNNNNNNNNNNNNNNNNNNNNNNNNNNNNNNNNNNNNNNNNNNNNNNNNNNNNNNNNNNNNNNNNNNNNNNNNNNNNNNNNNNNNNNNNNNNNNNNNNNNNNNNNNNNNNNNNNNNNNNNNNNNNNNNNNNNNNNNNNNNNNNNNNNNNNNNNNNNNNNNNNNNNNNNNNNNNNNNNNNNNNNNNNNNNNNNNNNNNNNNNNNNNNNNNNNNNNNNNNNNNNNNNNNNNNNNNNNNNNNNNNNNNNNNNNNNNNNNNNNNNNNNNNNNNNNNNNNNNNNNNNNNNNNNNNNNNNNNNNNNNNNNNNNNNNNNNNNNNNNNNNNNNNNNNNNNNNNNNNNNNNNNNNNNNNNNNNNNNNNNNNNNNNNNNNNNNNNNNNNNNNNNNNNNNNNNNNNNNNNNNNNNNNNNNNNNNNNNNNNNNNNNNNNNNNNNNNNNNNNNNNNNNNNNNNNNNNNNNNNNNNNNNNNNNNNNNNNNNNNNNNNNNNNNNNNNNNNNNNNNNNNNNNNNNNNNNNNNNNNNNNNNNNNNNNNNNNNNNNNNNNNNNNNNNNNNNNNNNNNNNNNNNNNNNNNNNNNNNNNNNNNNNNNNNNNNNNNNNNNNNNNNNNNNNNNNNNNNNNNNNNNNNNNNNNNNNNNNNNNNNNNNNNNNNNNNNNNNNNNNNNNNNNNNNNNNNNNNNNNNNNNNNNNNNNNNNNNNNNNNNNNNNNNNNNNNNNNNNNNNNNNNNNNNNNNNNNNNNNNNNNNNNNNNNNNNNNNNNNNNNNNNNNNNNNNNNNNNNNNNNNNNNNNNNNNNNNNNNNNNNNNNNNNNNNNNNNNNNNNNNNNNNNNNNNNNNNNNNNNNNNNNNNNNNNNNNNNNNNNNNNNNNNNNNNNNNNNNNNNNNNNNNNNNNNNNNNNNNNNNNNNNNNNNNNNNNNNNNNNNNNNNNNNNNNNNNNNNNNNNNNNNNNNNNNNNNNNNNNNNNNNNNNNNNNNNNNNNNNNNNNNNNNNNNNNNNNNNNNNNNNNNNNNNNNNNNNNNNNNNNNNNNNNNNNNNNNNNNNNNNNNNNNNNNNNNNNNNNNNNNNNNNNNNNNNNNNNNNNNNNNNNNNNNNNNNNNNNNNNNNNNNNNNNNNNNNNNNNNNNNNNNNNNNNNNNNNNNNNNNNNNNNNNNNNNNNNNNNNNNNNNNNNNNNNNNNNNNNNNNNNNNNNNNNNNNNNNNNNNNNNNNNNNNNNNNNNNNNNNNNNNNNNNNNNNNNNNNNNNNNNNNNNNNNNNNNNNNNNNNNNNNNNNNNNNNNNNNNNNNNNNNNNNNNNNNNNNNNNNNNNNNNNNNNNNNNNNNNNNNNNNNNNNNNNNNNNNNNNNNNNNNNNNNNNNNNNNNNNNNNNNNNNNNNNNNNNNNNNNNNNNNNNNNNNNNNNNNNNNNNNNNNNNNNNNNNNNNNNNNNNNNNNNNNNNNNNNNNNNNNNNNNNNNNNNNNNNNNNNNNNNNNNNNNNNNNNNNNNNNNNNNNNNNNNNNNNNNNNNNNNNNNNNNNNNNNNNNNNNNNNNNNNNNNNNNNNNNNNNNNNNNNNNNNNNNNNNNNNNNNNNNNNNNNNNNNNNNNNNNNNNNNNNNNNNNNNNNNNNNNNNNNNNNNNNNNNNNNNNNNNNNNNNNNNNNNNNNNNNNNNNNNNNNNNNNNNNNNNNNNNNNNNNNNNNNNNNNNNNNNNNNNNNNNNNNNNNNNNNNNNNNNNNNNNNNNNNNNNNNNNNNNNNNNNNNNNNNNNNNNNNNNNNNNNNNNNNNNNNNNNNNNNNNNNNNNNNNNNNNNNNNNNNNNNNNNNNNNNNNNNNNNNNNNNNNNNNNNNNNNNNNNNNNNNNNNNNNNNNNNNNNNNNNNNNNNNNNNNNNNNNNNNNNNNNNNNNNNNNNNNNNNNNNNNNNNNNNNNNNNNNNNNNNNNNNNNNNNNNNNNNNNNNNNNNNNNNNNNNNNNNNNNNNNNNNNNNNNNNNNNNNNNNNNNNNNNNNNNNNNNNNNNNNNNNNNNNNNNNNNNNNNNNNNNNNNNNNNNNNNNNNNNNNNNNNNNNNNNNNNNNNNNNNNNNNNNNNNNNNNNNNNNNNNNNNNNNNNNNNNNNNNNNNNNNNNNNNNNNNNNNNNNNNNNNNNNNNNNNNNNNNNNNNNNNNNNNNNNNNNNNNNNNNNNNNNNNNNNNNNNNNNNNNNNNNNNNNNNNNNNNNNNNNNNNNNNNNNNNNNNNNNNNNNNNNNNNNNNNNNNNNNNNNNNNNNNNNNNNNNNNNNNNNNNNNNNNNNNNNNNNNNNNNNNNNNNNNNNNNNNNNNNNNNNNNNNNNNNNNNNNNNNNNNNNNNNNNNNNNNNNNNNNNNNNNNNNNNNNNNNNNNNNNNNNNNNNNNNNNNNNNNNNNNNNNNNNNNNNNNNNNNNNNNNNNNNNNNNNNNNNNNNNNNNNNNNNNNNNNNNNNNNNNNNNNNNNNNNNNNNNNNNNNNNNNNNNNNNNNNNNNNNNNNNNNNNNNNNNNNNNNNNNNNNNNNNNNNNNNNNNNNNNNNNNNNNNNNNNNNNNNNNNNNNNNNNNNNNNNNNNNNNNNNNNNNNNNNNNNNNNNNNNNNNNNNNNNNNNNNNNNNNNNNNNNNNNNNNNNNNNNNNNNNNNNNNNNNNNNNNNNNNNNNNNNNNNNNNNNNNNNNNNNNNNNNNNNNNNNNNNNNNNNNNNNNNNNNNNNNNNNNNNNNNNNNNNNNNNNNNNNNNNNNNNNNNNNNNNNNNNNNNNNNNNNNNNNNNNNNNNNNNNNNNNNNNNNNNNNNNNNNNNNNNNNNNNNNNNNNNNNNNNNNNNNNNNNNNNNNNNNNNNNNNNNNNNNNNNNNNNNNNNNNNNNNNNNNNNNNNNNNNNNNNNNNNNNNNNNNNNNNNNNNNNNNNNNNNNNNNNNNNNNNNNNNNNNNNNNNNNNNNNNNNNNNNNNNNNNNNNNNNNNNNNNNNNNNNNNNNNNNNNNNNNNNNNNNNNNNNNNNNNNNNNNNNNNNNNNNNNNNNNNNNNNNNNNNNNNNNNNNNNNNNNNNNNNNNNNNNNNNNNNNNNNNNNNNNNNNNNNNNNNNNNNNNNNNNNNNNNNNNNNNNNNNNNNNNNNNNNNNNNNNNNNNNNNNNNNNNNNNNNNNNNNNNNNNNNNNNNNNNNNNNNNNNNNNNNNNNNNNNNNNNNNNNNNNNNNNNNNNNNNNNNNNNNNNNNNNNNNNNNNNNNNNNNNNNNNNNNNNNNNNNNNNNNNNNNNNNNNNNNNNNNNNNNNNNNNNNNNNNNNNNNNNNNNNNNNNNNNNNNNNNNNNNNNNNNNNNNNNNNNNNNNNNNNNNNNNNNNNNNNNNNNNNNNNNNNNNNNNNNNNNNNNNNNNNNNNNNNNNNNNNNNNNNNNNNNNNNNNNNNNNNNNNNNNNNNNNNNNNNNNNNNNNNNNNNNNNNNNNNNNNNNNNNNNNNNNNNNNNNNNNNNNNNNNNNNNNNNNNNNNNNNNNNNNNNNNNNNNNNNNNNNNNNNNNNNNNNNNNNNNNNNNNNNNNNNNNNNNNNNNNNNNNNNNNNNNNNNNNNNNNNNNNNNNNNNNNNNNNNNNNNNNNNNNNNNNNNNNNNNNNNNNNNNNNNNNNNNNNNNNNNNNNNNNNNNNNNNNNNNNNNNNNNNNNNNNNNNNNNNNNNNNNNNNNNNNNNNNNNNNNNNNNNNNNNNNNNNNNNNNNNNNNNNNNNNNNNNNNNNNNNNNNNNNNNNNNNNNNNNNNNNNNNNNNNNNNNNNNNNNNNNNNNNNNNNNNNNNNNNNNNNNNNNNNNNNNNNNNNNNNNNNNNNNNNNNNNNNNNNNNNNNNNNNNNNNNNNNNNNNNNNNNNNNNNNNNNNNNNNNNNNNNNNNNNNNNNNNNNNNNNNNNNNNNNNNNNNNNNNNNNNNNNNNNNNNNNNNNNNNNNNNNNNNNNNNNNNNNNNNNNNNNNNNNNNNNNNNNNNNNNNNNNNNNNNNNNNNNNNNNNNNNNNNNNNNNNNNNNNNNNNNNNNNNNNNNNNNNNNNNNNNNNNNNNNNNNNNNNNNNNNNNNNNNNNNNNNNNNNNNNNNNNNNNNNNNNNNNNNNNNNNNNNNNNNNNNNNNNNNNNNNNNNNNNNNNNNNNNNNNNNNNNNNNNNNNNNNNNNNNNNNNNNNNNNNNNNNNNNNNNNNNNNNNNNNNNNNNNNNNNNNNNNNNNNNNNNNNNNNNNNNNNNNNNNNNNNNNNNNNNNNNNNNNNNNNNNNNNNNNNNNNNNNNNNNNNNNNNNNNNNNNNNNNNNNNNNNNNNNNNNNNNNNNNNNNNNNNNNNNNNNNNNNNNNNNNNNNNNNNNNNNNNNNNNNNNNNNNNNNNNNNNNNNNNNNNNNNNNNNNNNNNNNNNNNNNNNNNNNNNNNNNNNNNNNNNNNNNNNNNNNNNNNNNNNNNNNNNNNNNNNNNNNNNNNNNNNNNNNNNNNNNNNNNNNNNNNNNNNNNNNNNNNNNNNNNNNNNNNNNNNNNNNNNNNNNNNNNNNNNNNNNNNNNNNNNNNNNNNNNNNNNNNNNNNNNNNNNNNNNNNNNNNNNNNNNNNNNNNNNNNNNNNNNNNNNNNNNNNNNNNNNNNNNNNNNNNNNNNNNNNNNNNNNNNNNNNNNNNNNNNNNNNNNNNNNNNNNNNNNNNNNNNNNNNNNNNNNNNNNNNNNNNNNNNNNNNNNNNNNNNNNNNNNNNNNNNNNNNNNNNNNNNNNNNNNNNNNNNNNNNNNNNNNNNNNNNNNNNNNNNNNNNNNNNNNNNNNNNNNNNNNNNNNNNNNNNNNNNNNNNNNNNNNNNNNNNNNNNNNNNNNNNNNNNNNNNNNNNNNNNNNNNNNNNNNNNNNNNNNNNNNNNNNNNNNNNNNNNNNNNNNNNNNNNNNNNNNNNNNNNNNNNNNNNNNNNNNNNNNNNNNNNNNNNNNNNNNNNNNNNNNNNNNNNNNNNNNNNNNNNNNNNNNNNNNNNNNNNNNNNNNNNNNNNNNNNNNNNNNNNNNNNNNNNNNNNNNNNNNNNNNNNNNNNNNNNNNNNNNNNNNNNNNNNNNNNNNNNNNNNNNNNNNNNNNNNNNNNNNNNNNNNNNNNNNNNNNNNNNNNNNNNNNNNNNNNNNNNNNNNNNNNNNNNNNNNNNNNNNNNNNNNNNNNNNNNNNNNNNNNNNNNNNNNNNNNNNNNNNNNNNNNNNNNNNNNNNNNNNNNNNNNNNNNNNNNNNNNNNNNNNNNNNNNNNNNNNNNNNNNNNNNNNNNNNNNNNNNNNNNNNNNNNNNNNNNNNNNNNNNNNNNNNNNNNNNNNNNNNNNNNNNNNNNNNNNNNNNNNNNNNNNNNNNNNNNNNNNNNNNNNNNNNNNNNNNNNNNNNNNNNNNNNNNNNNNNNNNNNNNNNNNNNNNNNNNNNNNNNNNNNNNNNNNNNNNNNNNNNNNNNNNNNNNNNNNNNNNNNNNNNNNNNNNNNNNNNNNNNNNNNNNNNNNNNNNNNNNNNNNNNNNNNNNNNNNNNNNNNNNNNNNNNNNNNNNNNNNNNNNNNNNNNNNNNNNNNNNNNNNNNNNNNNNNNNNNNNNNNNNNNNNNNNNNNNNNNNNNNNNNNNNNNNNNNNNNNNNNNNNNNNNNNNNNNNNNNNNNNNNNNNNNNNNNNNNNNNNNNNNNNNNNNNNNNNNNNNNNNNNNNNNNNNNNNNNNNNNNNNNNNNNNNNNNNNNNNNNNNNNNNNNNNNNNNNNNNNNNNNNNNNNNNNNNNNNNNNNNNNNNNNNNNNNNNNNNNNNNNNNNNNNNNNNNNNNNNNNNNNNNNNNNNNNNNNNNNNNNNNNNNNNNNNNNNNNNNNNNNNNNNNNNNNNNNNNNNNNNNNNNNNNNNNNNNNNNNNNNNNNNNNNNNNNNNNNNNNNNNNNNNNNNNNNNNNNNNNNNNNNNNNNNNNNNNNNNNNNNNNNNNNNNNNNNNNNNNNNNNNNNNNNNNNNNNNNNNNNNNNNNNNNNNNNNNNNNNNNNNNNNNNNNNNNNNNNNNNNNNNNNNNNNNNNNNNNNNNNNNNNNNNNNNNNNNNNNNNNNNNNNNNNNNNNNNNNNNNNNNNNNNNNNNNNNNNNNNNNNNNNNNNNNNNNNNNNNNNNNNNNNNNNNNNNNNNNNNNNNNNNNNNNNNNNNNNNNNNNNNNNNNNNNNNNNNNNNNNNNNNNNNNNNNNNNNNNNNNNNNNNNNNNNNNNNNNNNNNNNNNNNNNNNNNNNNNNNNNNNNNNNNNNNNNNNNNNNNNNNNNNNNNNNNNNNNNNNNNNNNNNNNNNNNNNNNNNNNNNNNNNNNNNNNNNNNNNNNNNNNNNNNNNNNNNNNNNNNNNNNNNNNNNNNNNNNNNNNNNNNNNNNNNNNNNNNNNNNNNNNNNNNNNNNNNNNNNNNNNNNNNNNNNNNNNNNNNNNNNNNNNNNNNNNNNNNNNNNNNNNNNNNNNNNNNNNNNNNNNNNNNNNNNNNNNNNNNNNNNNNNNNNNNNNNNNNNNNNNNNNNNNNNNNNNNNNNNNNNNNNNNNNNNNNNNNNNNNNNNNNNNNNNNNNNNNNNNNNNNNNNNNNNNNNNNNNNNNNNNNNNNNNNNNNNNNNNNNNNNNNNNNNNNNNNNNNNNNNNNNNNNNNNNNNNNNNNNNNNNNNNNNNNNNNNNNNNNNNNNNNNNNNNNNNNNNNNNNNNNNNNNNNNNNNNNNNNNNNNNNNNNNNNNNNNNNNNNNNNNNNNNNNNNNNNNNNNNNNNNNNNNNNNNNNNNNNNNNNNNNNNNNNNNNNNNNNNNNNNNNNNNNNNNNNNNNNNNNNNNNNNNNNNNNNNNNNNNNNNNNNNNNNNNNNNNNNNNNNNNNNNNNNNNNNNNNNNNNNNNNNNNNNNNNNNNNNNNNNNNNNNNNNNNNNNNNNNNNNNNNNNNNNNNNNNNNNNNNNNNNNNNNNNNNNNNNNNNNNNNNNNNNNNNNNNNNNNNNNNNNNNNNNNNNNNNNNNNNNNNNNNNNNNNNNNNNNNNNNNNNNNNNNNNNNNNNNNNNNNNNNNNNNNNNNNNNNNNNNNNNNNNNNNNNNNNNNNNNNNNNNNNNNNNNNNNNNNNNNNNNNNNNNNNNNNNNNNNNNNNNNNNNNNNNNNNNNNNNNNNNNNNNNNNNNNNNNNNNNNNNNNNNNNNNNNNNNNNNNNNNNNNNNNNNNNNNNNNNNNNNNNNNNNNNNNNNNNNNNNNNNNNNNNNNNNNNNNNNNNNNNNNNNNNNNNNNNNNNNNNNNNNNNNNNNNNNNNNNNNNNNNNNNNNNNNNNNNNNNNNNNNNNNNNNNNNNNNNNNNNNNNNNNNNNNNNNNNNNNNNNNNNNNNNNNNNNNNNNNNNNNNNNNNNNNNNNNNNNNNNNNNNNNNNNNNNNNNNNNNNNNNNNNNNNNNNNNNNNNNNNNNNNNNNNNNNNNNNNNNNNNNNNNNNNNNNNNNNNNNNNNNNNNNNNNNNNNNNNNNNNNNNNNNNNNNNNNNNNNNNNNNNNNNNNNNNNNNNNNNNNNNNNNNNNNNNNNNNNNNNNNNNNNNNNNNNNNNNNNNNNNNNNNNNNNNNNNNNNNNNNNNNNNNNNNNNNNNNNNNNNNNNNNNNNNNNNNNNNNNNNNNNNNNNNNNNNNGAGGAUUCUAAUGUUGCAUCCAUGGAAGUUUCUGUACGCCGUUCAACAGCCUAAUAAUUAACGGUAUUGGUUUUUAAUGUUGUUAAUUACACGCUAUAUAAUGUUAUUUUUUUUUAAAACAUGUAAAUGAUGCCAUUCAUAUAUAUAUAUAUAAUAUAUGAUUUUAUUUUAGAGGGAAAGAACGGGUUACAAAAAGGAAACAGGUAAUUCAAAAAAAAAAAAAAACUAUUUCUCAUCAAAAACAAGACGAUAUAAAAAAUUUGGAAAAUUAUAUUGAAUUUUAAAUUUCAAAUAUCAAAUGACGGGUAUGAUACAUGAAUAUGAAAUUUAAAUAGCAAAAGUAAAUUUUAAAUUACUUAAAUAUUUCAAAUAUCGGGACAAAAAAAAUGGAUACAGAAAGAUAACGGGUAAUUUAAUUAGUUAAUUAUGUACAAGCUUUAUAAUGUUGUUUUUAAAAAACACAUGUAACUGAUUUCAUUUAUAUAUAAAAAUUACGAUCAUAUCUUAGAGGGAAAUAACGGGUAUAAAAAGGGAACAGGUAAUUAAAAAAAAAAGUGUCUAAACUAUUUCUCAUCAAAAACAAGAUGAUAUAAAAAAAUUGGAAAUUUAAAUUCAAUUUUAUCAUUCAAAUAUCAAAUGACAGGUAUGAUACAAGAAUAUGAAAUUUAAAUAGCAAAAGUAAGUUUCAAAUUACUUAAAACUUUCAAAUAUCGGGACAAGAAAUAGCGGAUAUGAAAAGAGAACGGACGAGUAAUUUAAUUAGUUAAUUACAGGCUAUAUAAUGUUAUUUUUAAAACNNNNNNNNNNNNNNNNNNNNNNNNNNNNNNNNNNNNNNNNNNNNNNNNNNNNNNNNNNNNNNNNNNNNNNNNNNNNNNNNNNNNNNNNNNNNNNNNNNNNNNNNNNNNNNNNNNNNNNNNNNNNNNNNNNNNNNNNNNNNNNNNNNNNNNNNNNNNNNNNNNNNNNNNNNNNNNNNNNNNNNNNNNNNNNNNNNNNNNNNNNNNNNNNNNNNNNNNNNNNGUUUCAAAUUACUUAAAUAUUUCAAAUAUCGGGACAAGAAUAACGGAUACGGAAAGAUAACGGUAAUUUAGAAAAUAAAAAUUAUUAUCUUAACUAAGUCUAAUAUUAUACAGAGAGAAUUAUGGGUAACAUUCAAGAAGACAUAUUACUUAUUCAUAUGGGUGGGCCAAAAUAUUUUACUUUGUUGCACGACAUGUAUAGUGAACGGGUUUGACUCUCUUGACAUCUAUAUUUAUGUUAUUUUAUUCAAAAGUUUUAAUGUUUUCUAUUGUUUUUAUGUGAUGUAAUAGUUCGCAAAUUUAAUUGAUUUCUAACUUAUCAUUAAUUUGAUUCACACUCGAUCCGGAUUUCUUAUCAUGUCGGUCCGAAUAUUGCAAACUUUAUGAUAAAUUUAAAUUUUGCAAUCAUCCCCGCACGUACGUGCGGGUCCAUCCCUAGUUCAUAUUAAUAACUAACGCAGAUUUUUGAAAAAAAAAAAAACUAUAACCCAUAUUCUAUUUUAGUCAGCUAAACUAUCUAUAUUAACAUUUUUGAAAUACUUUUUGGAAAGUAACAUUUUAUUUUAUAAUAUUUAUAUAAUUAAUAAAAUGUUUCUAUAAUUAAACCCUUAUCAUUUGAAUAAAUAACAAAAUUUUAAGGUAAAUUUUGUAAUUAAAUCAUAAUAAAAUUGCAUUUCAUAAAUCAACACGAUUAUAGAAACAUAAUUAUGUUUAUGAAAUGAUGUCCAUGAUUUUGAAUUACGUUAUCAUAUUCAAUACAAAUUUCAAAGUGUGAAAUUCUCAUAUUUCAGGUUCGGUUAUCCUUUUUUGUUGUUAACAACAUUUUGUCGGAAUAUCUGUUAAUUGGAUCAUGCCCAAUUGAUUUAUCUGUUAGUCAGAAUUGCAGAUAGUUUUCUUAUCUUCGAGCUUGGAUAGUAUUCAAAAUUUGGGAUUAGGCAGUAUAAUAAUCCAACUAGCUAGAUAUUGACAACAAUUACAUAUCAUAGCACUUCGUUGCGUUUCCCUUUGGUCUGAGCUCCACCAUAGUUAACACGUUUAAGGCACUAUAUAUAUUACUGAUGUAUAUCAGUAUAUGGGAACUGUUUCUGAUAAGUAAGCACAACAUUUGUUUUGAAGCUAUUCAUAUUUUGUAAUUAAAAACUACUUUUCACAUUAGUGUUAUCUCGUCUGCAUGGACAGUUUCAUAAAUGGACUUGUUGGUCUUCAGUCCUAUCCUUAUUAAAAAGAAGACCCCAUAUUUGACAUAAUUGUCCCAAAUAAAUUCACUUUCCAAACCACCACAAGUUUGGUAACAUUAUUAACUUACGAUUAUUGUUUAAGACUAAUUUAGAAAUAUGGUCACUUCAAAUUCAUGGUCAUGUUGUUUGAGCUCACAAAUGCUUGAACCUCGUUCGUGAUGUUUAUAUAUAUGGAGUUUGAAUUAUGUGUUUCAGAAAAUGUAAAGACGAUCAUAUGGUAUGAUAGAUGUUCAUUACCGAUCGAUCGAUGAUAUCGAGAUGUUCAAUGGUAUGACUUUGAAUACAUUUGUGUCACCAGUCACGUGUAACAAGGACCGUUCCAUAAAUGGACUUGAUUGUCGUCUCGUCAGUUUCUGCACUUGAUUACUUAACCCACAUGACUAGAUUGUUGUCAAAUCUUUAUUGGUCCGAUUGUACAAUUCAAGUUUGAAAUAUUUUCCGACUAAUAUUAGUUUUAUAACCUAAAGGCCAAAUGUUAUAGUGGUUUCGUUAAAGGAUUUGCAGCAUAUUAGACUAUCAAACACCAAUAUCUUUCAUUCACAUUACUGAAAACAAAUUAAAAAUCAGACAAUUGAAAUCAAACAAUACCUAAAUUUGUUAAAGGUAAUGACAAUGCUGUAAGUACUCAAUUGUUAUUACAUACUAUUACAACAAAAUUAGUCAUUAAUUUUUUCAAAAUUUAUGUUAUAAUAACGUCAACAUAAAUAUUUCAUCUUUAGAAAAUAUAUAAACCGGAUACAAGAUACUAAAAAAUGUGCUACCUCUUACAUUUUCACUCCAAUGUUCUCUAGCGAUAUAUUGAGUAAAACAAAAUCUAUGUCACUAUGUGACUAUCUCAAAAAAUGGGAAAUAAAGAAUCCUUCAAGCUAAUCCACUAUCAAACGAAGAAGUCCUUACAACUAUCCUCUUUCUUGCUUUGGCAGCCUGCAAUGUCAAAACGACGGCAGCAAGUAACUUCAGGACAGGAGACAAAAAAAGAUUCAUCAAGUGUCAAAAAAGAAGAAGUAAAGAGGUAGCAACUGAGUACUGACCUGCUCAUUCCAGCUCAUGCAAGCAGUGACUAUAGCUAGUAUGAUUCCUUGCGCCGUAGAGCCAACAACCACACCAAUCCAUAGUCCUUUACCGUUCAUGUGACACCAAAAUCCUAAUAAAAUUCCAACCGGACCUCCUAAGAGAUAGUAAGCCACCACAUUUGCCCAAGCUCCUAUAUGUUGCCACCCACUUCCCCUAGCAACCCCUAAAAACCAAAGCAUGUAAAACAUAUUUUGAGUCUAAUAUGAUAGAUGAAGUUUUUGAAUUUUUUAUUACCACCAAGUACUGCCGAGAAUCCAUCGACCAUAAAUGAGAGACAAAGCAAAGGAGAUAGCUCAGUGACAUAGUCCACAACUUCUUUACUGUUGCUGAAGGCGUAACCAAAGAUGUUCCUACAAGUGAAGAGGAGUGUACUACAAAUGGUAGCCUCUAGGAACCAAAGGAAAAUACCGGCAAAUACUGCCAGUCUAGCAACCUCAGGAUUCCCCGCUCCUAACUCGUUUGAAAUCCGUGUGCUGCCAAAGUAAACAUUGUGACUAAUCUAUCUAAACAUUCCGAAACAAAACAUCGAAUCGGUUUUAUCGAUAUCAUCAUACCUUCCAGCAGCCCCAAUACCCAUUGGAAUGACAUAGUGGAGAGAUCCUGUUGUGAGACUGUUAUUGACACAACAACAACCAAGAAGAUUACACUAAAAUAUAUAAUGAAAUGAAGAGUAAAUAUUGGUUUAUAUGAAUUCGACAAAAUGAAAUUUAAACUUAACCAAUAUAUACUCAUUAGACCUAUGUAUUUAGGACACAAGUCUUCCUCAUACUAGAUCUGUAAAAAAGGGGAAACAGAGUUUUCUAGAGAGAAUCAUAGAUUACCAAAUCGAAAGAACCGAGGUCUCGAGUUUCGGGUUAGGGAGGAGUCCUGAGGACAAUACAAGGAACUCAAACAAGGACCAUUCUAUGCUGUACAUAGAAAAAAAAAAGAUCAAACAAUCAAAAAUCAAAAUCAAGAGAGAAGAAAGAAGAGAAUCCACCAAUGAUGAAGAAGAUAAAAUGUUAUUUACCAAGCCAUUGCUGCUGAUGGUAUCCCAUAUUGAAAAAACUGCUUGGCGCUGGACACAAAAUCAUCAGACACAAAGCCACGAGUCUCCACACAAGAGCUUGAAAAUCUCACAUACAAAGCAAGAAUCAACACAUUGAACCAGUAAGACAAACUAAUAGCCAAGGCAGCUCCAUUGCUUCCAAGACCAAACUUGUAGACCAGAACCAAACAAACAGGUAUAUGGAACAAAAGCGUGGUUACGGCACAGUAGAGAAGAGGAAGAACCAAACCCUGAGUCUGAAGAAACCUAGUCAAAGGUUGUUGCACCGCUUGAGAGAACAAAGCAGGUAUAAGACAAACCGCAUAAGAACCAGCUACCCUAGAGAUGUCAGGAUCUUGUCCGAUCGAAACCAAAAGCUUGUCCAUGUAAAACCAGAGAAUCGAUAUGAGUAGACAAAAGGGUACGUUCGAGACUAUUGCAGAGUAAGUAUAAGUCCCGAGUUUAGUGUAUUGCUUAGCUCCAUAAGCUUGACCACAUAGAGUUUCAAGUGCACCCACUAAACCAUACUGCAAAAAAAAGAAGUUUCAAGACUUUGAGAUUAGAUCGGAUCUUGAAACUGGUCAAAACAGAGUAAGCUAGAUAAAUAGUUACCAUGAUGCUAAAGCCGGAGACGUUUGUGAAAGCAGUAGCAAGAGCGACACCAGAGAGCUGGAGUUCGCCACGGUGGCCGGCGACCAUGACUGAGAUAACAGGCAAAAGAUACUGAGCAACGGUCACGGUGGACAUAGGCGCCGCCAUGAGGCUGACGUUCUUUAACUCCGCCGUGAAACUCUUUCUCCAUGUCGGCGUCGACGGCUUAAGACUUCCGGUGUUGGUUACUUGAUCGUCUCCUAGUAAAAGUGGAUCUUCCAUGAUCUUCUUGAAGAAUCUUUAGUUCUUGUCGUCGACCGUGUCUUUACCUAGGAACUUGUGAGAUGAGAGUGCACGAGUUCAGAGAACACAGACAUCUUUAUAUGAAUUAAAAACAGAACACAAUAAACGAGUGGAGUUAAGUAUUUUGUUGGAAGAAAAAGUCAACGCUAUGUGAAUACAUGAUUAAGGGGAGGUGUUCUUGGCUUUAAUAGUUUAAUUAAUUUGGUGGGGAUUUUAGUAGGUGAAUGAAUUAUAAAGAUCUAUAAAUGAAAAAAAAUAUUAUAAAACAAUAACAUUCGGCAGACUGUUUUGCUCGUUCUUCUACGUCACUUGAUUUGUAAGUUUUUUUUUUAAACGAUUGGAACAAUAUUUUAAUAAAUGUUUGGUUGAAAAAAAUAAAAAAAAAAUAACAUUCUACUAUUGGUGAUUUGGUUUAAUUUUAAGAGGAUUUUGGAGUAAUUAGUUGUGAUAAAGUAGUAUCCUAGUAAGAUUUAAAAAAUAUGAAAUGGUCUAUAGGUAACAUUUUGACUAAAUAAUUAAUUCAAGAGUAUAUGUUUGACUUUGAUUCAUGAUUUUUAUUUUUGGUAGUCAUUUAUCCAACAUUUCCACAAAUAAAGAUCAUGACAACUAGCAGAAGAGAGCAAGAGAGACUAAUGCCACACUCACACAUAUACAUAUGAUAUUAUGAUUCAUCAUAGAUUUGUGCCAAGAAUAUGUAUAUCAUAGCUAAUAAAUCAAUCCAUCUUCUUUGGUUUAAAAUAGUGUGGUAAACUAAUGUAACAUGUACCAAUAAACCUUCUUGAUGCUUUUCAUUAUGAUGAUAUUGAUUAGUACUUGUCUUCUUUUCUUGUCUUUUGGCUUUUGCUUUUCAUUCCUAAUUUAAGUUUAACUAAUAGAUUGAUAAACUAAUGAAUACUCCAAAUAUUCUAAUUAAAAACAAGGAAAAUUAUUGAAAUAAAAAUUAAGAAUAUUUGAACUACUUGAAAACAAAAUUUUCGAUCAAAACAUAAUUACCACUGUUAGGAAAAAAAAUUAAUUUCUAAUAAACCAAAGAAAAAUGGUAAAAUUUGAAAUUAAUUAUUAGAUUUUGUAGUAAAUUUAUAGGCAAGUAAAUGAGAAAACUUGAUAAAUACCCCUUUUGGUGUACCCCUUUUCAAAAAUGUUCAUUUCAUCUUUCCCUUUUUAAAAAUACCCUUUUUAAAUCUGAAAAUAUAAAGUUUUAUAUGGUUUAUAAGGUACUUUUAGAUAAUAACUACUAUUGUAAAACUCGAUCCAAAUAUUUAUAAAAUUUUAAAAGGUUUUAAAAUGUUUUUAUAAGGUUUUUAAAAGGCUUACAAGAUCUUUAGAAGUUUUUAAAUGACUGUUAAAAGGUUUUUUUUUUGUAAGUAUUUAUAAAAUAUGUAUAUAAUUUUACGUUACAUAUAAAUGUAAUUUACGUAUAUUUUAUAAACUUACGGACGUAUUUAGAUAAAUUUCAAAAGGUUAGCGGUUUUUUAAAUAAAAUUUAGAAGAUGGAGUAUUUUUAAAAAGUGAUAUUGAAAAGAAUUCUCCCAAGUAAAUUCGUCUCUAACCUUAGAUUUUCAUGAUCCAAUUUGUUAGAACAUUUGGUUUAUGAACAUUUGGGGUCGAGCUAUAAUGUAGAAACGUUCAUUUAUUUGGUUUCAUCUUAUUGGUCAACCAUACUUUUCGACAAUGAACUUUCUUCUGACCAAAAGCUUAACUGGUUCACGUUCAUGUUUAAAUUUAGCUAAAUCCAUAAAUAGAUUAUUUACUAAUCAAAAAUUUAACAUAUAAAUAUCCCACAUUCAUGGCUUUAUUACUCAAAAAAAUUAACUUAGAUUUAAAAAAAAAAGAAAAAAAUGAAUCAACUCAUAGUUUUUGCUUUAGUUAUUGCGUUACAUGUUUCGUUAAAUGAAGCAUGCAACAAAGUAAACAUCGUAGAGAUUCAUAACAACCUCGCUCCCGGUAGAGUUCUCAUGCAUCAUUGUACUGGUAGUAUCAACGAGCAAGACAAAGGUGUUCAAUAUUUAAAGUUCAACGAAGUUUUUCGCAUUGAGUUUUCGGAUGUUUCCAACAGACGUGAAAGGACAGAGUGGAAUUGCUUAUUGAGGCAUGGAGAUAAAUUGGAGUAUCAAUUUAAAGUUCAAGUAUACAGAGCUGCUGCUCUUGAACGAUGUGAUCAGUACCGUUCAUGGACAGCCAAAAACGAUGGGAUUUGGUUUAGAAGAGAUCGUACUAAACCAUCAGGGCAUGUAUUAAACUGGAAAAAGACUUGAUAAGUUUUGUGUUUUUUAUAUAUAUAUAUUUAUUUCGCAUCUUAUAAAUCUAUGCGUAAAAUAAGAGUCACAACAUUUGAUGUUUGGAUAUAUAUAGCAAAGUAUUGUAAUAAAACAUGUGUUUAGUGAUAUAUUGUAUUUGUAUCAAUGUUUUAAAUAAUAACACAUUAUCUUAAUUGAUUGUUCGAGUAAUUAAUUACUCGAUAGACUUAAUUGAAAGGUAGUAUAUGCGAGGUCGAUCCACCUGGAAUAAAAAACAUAUGCUCUAUCACAUUUAUAUUUGAUUCAAUUAAAUUUAAGAACAUAGAUUAGGAGUGAAGUGACCUUAAUCUAGUGGCAAAUGAUAAUUUCACUGAUGGACAGACACCAUCACACCAGAGAUCGAGUCCUGCUCCCUAUAUAUUUGUAGGGAUUAGGCAAAUGUACCAGCCAGUUGUGGCUCAAUAAUGACAGAAAAAAAAAACCUAGAUUAAGAUAGUUUCAUGUAUCCAAAAUUCUAAAGAUGGAUAAGGUCUUGUAAAAAAAAUGUUAUUAUAUAAUUUAAUCCAAGAAAUUAACAUAUGGUUGAUCUGUGCCAUUAUUAAAUCUUAUGAUCAGCACAACAUUACACAAUUGAAGAAUGAUAAACCAAACCACUACGCCAUUCCUUUGUAAGCCUUAAAUUCAAACACAAGCAACUAGGUUUCUUAAAACACAUAUAUAUCAUCAUUGGCACUACUACAUAUCUAGUUAGUCCCUUUUAUGGAUAUAGAUACUUGGAUUUUAGAAAAAUUCAGAGCUUUACUACAAUGGGACUUCUCACACGGUGCUUCUUGUCUGACCAAACCAAUUCUCCAAACACAUAGUCCUUAGCCACAUUCCCUUUAACCUUCACAAGUGUCACUUUAAACGUCUUUUGCUCUCCAACUUUGGUAAAGUUCAAGCUCGUGGGCUUCACCGCGACAUAAACACCUUGUGGGUUAGUCACCCGGACGGUAUAAGUAGAAGGUCGUCCAACGUUUUUUACUGUCCUUGAGAUGGUGAUUUUGCUUGAUGUUAAGUUUGGAACUGUGAUGGAAGGAUAGUUAAGGUUGACAAGACUGGUUUUGGGGCUUGAACAAGUAAAGUUGUUUCCCGAGAAGACCGCGAUUUGUGAUGCAUUGUAUCCUAGGGAGCAUAAGAAGUUGAGGUAAUCUUUGACGCCUGAAUCAUAUACCAAACCGGGGUUCACGGCUAGAUUUGGUUGGACGUGUCCUGCUCCAAAACUGAAAGGUGUUGCCUUCAUGUUGGUUGCAUUUUGGAUAGGUCCAGGGAUGUCAUCCAUUGUUGUUGCUGCAAGGGAAAUAACAAAACACAAGGUAUGAUAAAAUCCAUUUCCAACAAAACCAAGAAAACAGAACAUGGCCUUGGAAGAAACAAGAUUUGGUUACAAGUCAAUGGUGUUAUAUAUAUUCCACAAUAGUAGAAGUUAAUGUGUUUUAAGUGUUAAAGUAUUAGACUUUAAUCUUUUUCAGCAAUGUGUUAGCUCAAGAAUCGAAUACAUUCUUACCGGUAGUCAUGAUGGCAGAGCGGAUAGCUGCGGGGCUCCAAGACGGAUAACGGGUUUUGAGAAGUCCAGCAAUGCCAGAGACAUGAGGACAAGACAUGGAGGUUCCUGAAACAGCAUUGUACAAAAGUCUUCGCGGAUCAAACUGUUCGUUUGUUGGAGAGACCGCACCAGUGUAAGCAGCGAUCACACUCACACCAGGAGCAGUUAUGUCAGGCUUUAGAAUCUCAGGAGCCACAGUGCUUGGACCUUUAGAAGAAAAAGAAGCCAUCACAGGUGCUGGUUUUAAUCCUAAAUCUGUCCUCGAAGGAGUAAUGUGCGCUAUCGGGUUCCUACAUCGACAAAUAAAGCUUUCUUUUAGAACUUGAAACAAGUUAAGUUUUAGUUAAAAGUGACUAUAGAAUCCUACUUGGUUUGGCUAAUGUAUCUUGACACAGCAAGACUGUCCGUAGAAGUGAGCUGUGUGGCUGGAAGGACAUGCGGAUCAGCGAUUAGAUCAUUCCCGGUAACAUUAGUGUUUUCAAGAACCAUCCCUACACCACCGGCUAAAGCCACAGCUCGACCCUUUUCUACCCUCCCGUUCUGUCCUCUAAGACACACCAAUAUCUUCCCCUUGGCCUUUUUAGGGUCAAGCGAUCCAAUUUUGCAUAAUUGUCUACACCAACAGAGAUAUACAAAGUUAAAACUCUUAUCACUUAAAAAAAAAGAACAUAAACCAAAUAAGUAACAAGAUUAGCCAAACUCACGCAUCCAAGGCUGAAGCAUUCUUAGCUUUUGCUCUUAUAGAUGACAUUAUUGGAUAGAACUUAGCAUGUGGCAACACUGUGGAUGACAAACUUUGUCCCUAUGAAUACAUAAGAUUCAAACCUCAAUAUCAAGAUUUGAGAAUUUUGAUAUGAUUCGAUAUUUUUUUUGGACUUUUAAUCAUAAGUCUAACCUUAUAAUGCUUUCCAUUACCAAGCACAAGGUUGCUAGCAAAAACACGGUCCAUGGUACUAGCACCAACGGUGAUCUGCCACGGCGCGACGUUCGAAACCGAACCAUCGACCGGACCAGAGUUUCCGGCCGAGCAAACAACAACAAUCCGCUUCUUAGCUGCAUGAAACGAACCAAUAGCUACACUGUCGUUAAAAAACGAUGUAGCCUCGCCGCCUAAGGAAACAGAGAUGACGUCAGCUCCGUCGUGUAUGGCGGCGUCGAAAGCUGCGAGGACGUCAGCGUCGUAGCACUCGUUGCCUUUGACCGGUGGCCAACAGACUUUGUAAGCGGCGACUCUAGCACGUGGUGAGCCACCUUUGGCUGUGCCGUUGCCUUGGCUGAAAACGCUGACUCCGGGGACGAAAGCUCCGGCGGCGGUGGAGAGAGUGUGGGAGCCGUGACCGUCGAGAUCACGUGGAGACUCGAAGGUUGAGUUGAGAGGUCCAACGGCAGCUGCGUAGCCUUUGUGGAAGUAUCUUGCUCCUAUCAGUUUCCUUCAUUCACAUUUGUUAUGUAUUAGCUUAAUUAACAUUUAAGUGUUAUAUUACUUUACAAUUAUACAAGUUUUACUUUAAAAAUGUUUUAAUGCUUUUUUUACUAUAGCAAAGUAUAUUUUAAUUUUUUACAGGUUUUUAUAAAAUAAAUAAUAAAAAAUAAAAGUAAUAUAUUACAGAGUAUCAAUUUAGUUUUUUUUUUCCAUGUAAUUUAAAGGGAAUCAUAUAUGAAUAUUUUUGUUUCUUUUUUCUUUUUGGGAUUCCAUUUCUAUCUUUCACCAAGAAAAACAGAUAAAAAAGAAAAGUUCAGAAUCAAAUGUCUAAGAUAAGUAAAGAUUCUACAAAAGUGUUCGAUACUUUUAACAACAACAAAAAAUAAAAUAAUAUAUAUGGUCGAUAACUAUAUCCUAAGUGUUAAGUAAGAAAUUGAUGGGAAAAAAUAGUGUUAUUUAUUUAAUUUACAUGUUAUUUUAUUUUAAUUAUAUUUCUUAAAAAAAAUGUUCUUCAAUAUUAAAAAUUGGUAUCUAGAAAUAUAUAUAUUUUUUUCUUAUUUAAAGGUAAUAAUAUAUAGUCUUAUCACUCAAGGUUGCCCAUCAAGAGAUGAUUUAUCGAAAGUUCCAAAAAAUGAGUUCUAUUUUUGAUGACUUCUUUAUAACUACAAGUCUACAACACGUGUCUUCUUAUUGUUUAAUGAGAAUUGUGAAUUCUUCGAUUUGUCCCAUUACUUAAUUCAACCACUAGGUGUAGUCAAACUCCUAAAAGUUGUGAACAGAUAAUUCCAGAAUUUGUUUAGUAUCUUAUGAUAAUGAUAAUUCUACUUAACGUGAAAAUGAUUGAACAACCAAUUUGAAAGAACAAAAAGAGAAAAAGAGAGAAAGGAACCUAUUGCAAUGGAAAGUGGCAUCUUUUUGGUUUUGACAUAUUCCUUUCCAUCUUGAAGGUAUUGGUCCCAAGCCUUCAUCUCUAAAGCUCUUUGAUUCUGGCCACACACCUUUUAUACACACAACACAAUUGAUUCUUAUUAAUACAUAGACAAUUAGUGUGGGAUUAAGUUAUCAAAAAUGUAUUAUGGUGUCUCAUACUAAUCACACAACCAAUCAUUUGGUUAUGUGGCAACUUUGAUUGCUUUUAUGAAUCAAUAUGAAAAUGUUCUAGUUCUCAUGCAUAUCCCAACUUUUGAAGUCCAAAGCAUUUUGUAUUCUUUAAACACUUUUGAAAGUACAGAUUCGGUAAGAGAAAAUACGUUUCUCGAACUAGAAACUCCAAUUAUUAACCUAAUAAUAGAAAGUGUUUCUUUACUAAACACACUUGAAAAAUCAUCUAGCUAAAAGCCUAAAACCGAAUUAAUGAUUAUGAAAAGCUAAAUUACAAAAUCUUUAAUUAGAUCACAUGCGCUAGCUAAGUUGAAUAGUUGGUUCAUCAUCUACAAAAAUGGUAAUUUAGAUUAUUGUAACUUUUUUACUUCUUUGAUCGAUUAGGAAAUUAUGGAAACACUUAGGUCCAUAGUCUUUUUCGUCCAGGACCAUGUGAUUUAUACAUUUCUUUCAAACAAGGUUCAAAUUAGAGUAGAUAGAUAGAGCAAUCUCCUUCAUUAAUUGAUGCUAAGACCACUAGACUACCCACUUGUUACAUAACUUUUUUUGAUAUUUUGAAAAAACUCAAGUCAUUAGUCAUAACUACUAUAUUUAGAUUGCGUUAACUUUAUGUUAAAAGACAAUUGCCUCGUGCCAAAACACAUUACUUGUACGAUGAGUUCUUCACUAACUUUUCUACUCCCUAAAUUUGUAUAGAUGGAAAGGUUUCUAUUUAUAUAUCUGAUAUUUUGUUAAUUCAUUUGCAUAGCUUAUUGUGAAUAAUAAUAAGUCAAACUAUACGAUACAUUCAACAUAUAUAAUAUUAAAGAUGAUAGAGAUGCAUAAGCCUAGUUGAAGAGAAGAGAAUAUGAAUAUUAAUGAAUAUGCAUAUGCGCACAUGCGUGCAUAUAUAUAUAUGGCUGAUUUGAUUCUUGCUGACAUCUAGAGAUCAUUAACUACUACUAAUACUAGCUUAAUCAAAUUCACAAACGAAUAUAUAUUUCUUGUAAUGCAAGUUUGAAAAUAUAUAUAUUUUUUAAAGUAAGGUACGUAUCUUCCCAAAAACCCAUCUAAAGUCUCCCGAAGUUGCAAAGGUUGACUAAGAAAAAAAAAUAGAAAUAUUAAAAAAGAAACAAACCCGUAUCGAGAUUUGCGAUGAUGGUAUCUUCUCCGAAUCUAGCUUUUUUCCAAAUGGAAGAGGAAGGGACGUAAGAGUUGUGUUCUAAACCUAAGAAGUCCCAUGAUCUUGUCGUGUGGAGCUUCAAGGCUUUGUUUGGGAAGACAGACACAACUUCGGGGUGUUCUUGAUGUAUAAUCAAGAAAAGAGAAAACAGAGUUAACUCUUUAAGCACAAACAGAGAAAAAGACAAAAGAAUGUAAUGUUUUUGUAUACUUACUUGAGAUUGCAUAUGCGAGGUCGUGGUCUAGAUGAGCAGCAAACCCGUUGAUGUGUUUUGUGUACGAGUAGAAAAUGUCGUUCGUAGCUUUCUCAAGGCUGUUUCAACAGAACCAAGAGUUAGUUAAGUCAGUGAAAAUGGGUAAUAGAUUAAUAAUGUGUUGUUUGGUUUUAAAAGGAACCUUCCGGUGAAGGAACCAAGAAAGUCAUAGUGUGUUUCUUUGACACGAUCCAUGGCAUCUUCUGUUAUCUCUCCGACAUGAGAGUGAGCUCCAAAGUACACCACAUAUGAAGAUGAGGACUGAAAUCAAACAAAACACUAGUUAAGAGAUGAAUGUGGAAUAAAAGAGUGUGUUAUAUAGUGUAAAUGGGUAAUGAAAUGUACAUCUUUAGAAGCAAGGAUGGGGUUUGAAGCUAGAUGGAGAAGAACAAGAAGAGAGGGAAGAAAAAAUAGCUUCAUUCUUCUUCUUCUUCUGAUACUCUCACAAUGUAUUUUUUUGUUGGACUUUUUAAGUUUGGGUUGUGCAUUGUGUGUUGCUUGCUUCUUUAUAAAGAGAGUUAGUUUUUUAUUUUCCAUUUUUAUUGUUUUUGUAAACUAUUUUGGUUGUGCCGUGUUAUGUAAAACUAAAAGUAAAGAAACAAUGAAACCCUUUUUAGAACUUAAAAAAAAAACAAUACGUUAUAUAAUACUCAGUUCCUAAAAGAUAAUUUUUCUAAUUUUUUAUACAUAUUAAAAAAACAUCUAAAGUUGAUAAAAAAUUGUAUCAUUUUUUGUGAUUCACGGAUUUUUUAGAACUCUAAACCAAUAAUAUUUUGUUAUUUAUCUUCAAAUUGAUAAGUUCUAAUCAAUAACGCAUUGAAAACUUAAAACAAUAAUCUUUUUGAAACAAUUUUUUUUAAUAUCUUUUAGGAAUAAAAGGAAUAUCUUUUUAAAUAAGUGAUAUUAUGAUAUCGUUUUCUAUUCGAAAUAAUCAAAUACUAUAGUUUUAUAUGAAUAUGAAUUUGUUGCUGAAAAAAGGGGAAGCUUAGGGGUAAUAAGGUGGUUUUGGAAUAAAAAUGAUAAGGUGCUCAAGUGGUCACAUUGCGUCACAAAUAAUGGAGUUUCCAUUGAUGCUAUAUUUGGCAGCUAAAAACUGAUAACUUGUGACUUGUUGGUUGGUUCUAAUCUAAUCAUUUGUCUUCUCUAUACUUAAAAGAAGAAAACCUUAUGGCUAAAAGAAAUUGUACUCUAUUGAUAGUAAAAAUAGGGAAUAGCUAGCACAACACAACAAUAGAUGGGCUAAAACAAAGGGUUAUGAAGUGACAAGGAAAAAUUGGAAAACUAGAUGAGUAAAAAAGAUGAACUGUGCUAGCAAAAAAAUCACUUAAUUAAAUAUUUGAAAAUUGUAUCAUUAGAGUUGAAUAUUGCUAUAUAAAGUUUUUAAAACAUAUAUAUCUGUCUAAAACAUGUGGAUAAUCUGAACUACGUACAUAUUGUUUAUAAUUAUUUUUAAAUAUGUAAUGGUUAAUUUAAUUAGAGUAUAUUAAGGUAGUAAAUCAUUUUUCUGCUAUUAGACUUUACUUCCUAUGUUCCUUUUAUAGAUUGAUGGUUUGACAUUUUCACACAUAUUAAGAAAAAAAAAAAACCAUUAGAUAACAUGUCAUGUGGAGAAAACAUAAAAAGUGAAAACAUAGUUUCAGGAUUUAUAAAUAUUCAAAUUCAAUAUUUUUAGGAACAAGAAGAAAUCCCAAAAACAUCCAUCUACUAUGAACACAAGGAGUAUGAAUCUUCUCUUACUGUGAUUUUUGGCACUUUAAGCCAGAUUUAGGAUAUUUUGGAUUGAUUUUGUGUUUUGUCUAAAUGAUCCAUAGAUGAGUAAGACCACUUGUUGCUAGGCCCAUACUCAAGUAUGACACACUUGAUACAUGUGGUCAAACAUGUAGUAGUCAAACAGGGAGAAAUCUCGACCAUGAUGUUCAAGUCAUGGAUUUUUUAAAAAUUUGUAUGUUUUUAAGUGUUAAAUGUUUGAAGGUUGUGGUCGUGAAUAUAGUUUUAUAAGGGUAUAUAUACGAUCAUGGACAUGAGACUGAUUAGGAGUGAUAGCUGCAUGAAGUCUACGAACCACAUGGAUCGAAGAGUCGAUCGCACAUGACGAAGAGGGAGUUUGUGAUUGAUGAUUCAGAAUUUCAUCGUUGACGGCUCAGUCUUGAACCUCCGGCGAAUGCAUUCUAAAACUAUAUUUGGUCGUAAAUAGGUGUUUUAUAUUCUGCAUUUGUCUUUCUUCUUUUACAACUUAUCUGGCAAGGACAAUAAAAAACGUCAUCGUUUCAUGUUAUUCCCGCAGAUUCAUUGCUUGGUUAAAUGGAUGGACCAAAAAAUUGGUUUAACUACCUUUUAUGCUUCCAUGAUUUUAUCUUUUUACCAUAUAACCAUAUUUAUAGGUUUCUAAUCUUUGAUUGUAACCUAAACUAUUUUCAUUAUCUAUGAAAUAUUUACGAUUUUACAAAAAAAAAAAACAAAAAAUCUGCAAACCACAUGAUUCUCUAAAAAAAACGUUUUAAACUCAUAACAAUUUCUUACAUUUGUAGCAUAUUAACUCGCAUUAGUCGUUGAUCUAUUCCAUGACCACGAUUGUUUAUUUUGCAUGUUUAUCGACUCCCCUAGUCAAACCUGACUAUUAAGUUUCGGCUACACUAAAUACAAUAAGUUAAAGGACCACCAUACCAGUUUUAAUAAUCAUAGUGUACUUACAUGUGACUUAAUCAUGCUUUAUUUUCAUUUGAUAAUAAACCAUAUUUUAUAAAAUGAAAAUUAUGCUAAUUAUAUAAAAAUCAAAAUUUACUAAAUCACUUCGUUUACUCAACUGAAAUUGUUUCAUGCUCAUCUAAAAAAACAUGCAAAAAUGCGAAAACUUCUUUUUUACAACUAUUUUGCCAUAUUGAUAAUUUUUGAAAACCCCUACUAUUAAUAUAGCACUUAUAAUAAUUAUACCAAAUAUCAUAGGAAAAAUAUGAUUUGAUGACCGAAAGCAAUAUUAUUCCAUUAAUAUUCUUUUAAAAAUGAAAAGAUAGAAGAAUCUAUGAUCCGGUAAGGUCGAAAUUGCACACGCGAACAUGAAGAUAACGUAAUGGACCAAUGAUUAUUAUUAUUACUUUUAUUUUCAUUUCUUUUUUUGUCAUCACAAAGACCAAAUGAUAACAUGACAAGUUAGCUAACUAGACAACAUCCUUAGUGUUGUUGUUAUAUGAUUCCUCAAAUGGACCACCCGUAUAUACUUUUCUGUAUGUUUGGAAUGUGUCUUUUGCUACCAACACUUUGCAUACGCGUGCGUGCGUGGAAGGUACUUUGCUUGUUUUGGAUGCUAACUUAAAGGUAAAUUUUUUGAGAAUUUGAUAUCCCGAACCAAUGUCUUAACGGUAUGAGUAAGAAUAAGUCAUUCAAAAUGUUAUCUUUAUUGAAGUUAAUUAGCCAGUUCUAUAUAUCUCCACACAAAGUUUUGAUUAAGUUCACAAUCUUAUCAAACUUGAUCCUUGGAUGCUAGCUACUUGAUCCUCGGAUUCUAGUCGGAAACAUCGAUAAAUACACACACACAAAAUCUAAACUCUUUUUUUUGCUUUCAUAUCGCAUGUGUGCCAAGAUUGAACCAAAAAUAUAUAUUACAUAUGCGCGCGGUAGUAUAGAUGGGAUCGAAUCCACAAAGAGCAUGGGAUUAUGUGACAACUAUAUAAAGUUGAAUCCAUAUGAAAUUGUAAUAUGUUUAGGGGUUUUUCAAAAUGUAACAAAAACAAGUGCAAUUUUUUUGUGUGACAACAAAAGGUAUUAUGUACUACGUCAAGACAAUAAAGAAAUCAAGAACCCUUUAGUCCUAACUGUGUUUUGUCGGGUAAAUUCUUUGUAAUACUCAUUAAUCAAUAACUCUUAUAAAUUCUUUAAGAAUAUGAACCCAACUAACUAUUGUGUUGCUAUUUUAAGUAUAUUAAAAAACAUCUGUCAUUUAGGCAAAACCAAUUGGAUUUAUUUUGGUUAUAAUGUUAGAAUAGGUUAUUACCAAAACAAAAAAUAGAAAGAACAAACGGAUAUGGCAAAACAAAUACAGUUUAUGUUUGUUGAGAUGAAACAUCCUUCAACGUCCUUACGCGUUAUCUUCAUCCUUACAUGGAGGUUUCUCUUCUUGAUCUCCCAAUCAUUCUUCCUUAAUCUAUUUUCCCCUUUAGAUUUAUCUCUAUCCAAAAUCUCCUGACAAUUCUCCUCCAAACCUAUCUUCUCUAGUUUGAUCUCUAUUGCUCGUUUUGUUACCUCUCUCACGUUCUUGAAUCUAAAGAAGUCACUAGGAGAUUUGUUCACGAGCCUUUGAGAGAAGUUUGGCACCAUUGGUUGAUAUGUAAAACCCGUUUAUGUUAGAAUUUGUUAUCUUUUGUGUGUAAAACGUUGAGAAGCGAUCGAUCAUGUCGUUUAGAUCACAAUCAACGGGAAGUAGUCAAUUCGCAGAGAAGAUAACAGAGGAUCCUGUAACGUAUAAGACGGCGCAAAGCACCGUGACUUGCAUCUACCAAGCGCAUAUAUCCGGAUUUUGGAGGAAUGUGACGGUAUUGUGGUCCAAGAAUCUUAUGAAUCAUUCGCUUAUGGUCAUGGUGACUAGCGUGGAAGGCGAUAUGAAUUAUUGUUGCAAGGUUGAUCUCAAGCCUUGGCAUUUUUGGAACAAGAAAGGCUACAAGUCGUUUGAGGUGGAAGGUAACCCGGUAGAGGUUUAUUGGGAUUUUAGGUCUGCGAAAUUCAUGAGUAGCCCCGAGCCAAGCUCGGAUUUCUACGUGGCUUUAGUCUCGGAGGAAGAGGUUGUUUUGUUGGUGGGUGAUUACAAGAAGAAAGCUUUCAAGAGAACAAAGUCAAGACCAGCUUUGGUCGAGGCUGCCUUGUUCUGCAAGAAAGAAAACGUGUUUGGCAAGAAAUGUUUUACCACCAGGGCUAAGUUUUACGACAAGAAAAAAGAGCACGAGAUCAACGUGGAAAGCUCGACCUCGGGGUCUAAAGAGCCAGAGAUGUGGAUAAGCAUAGAUGGAAUUGUGUUGGUACAAGUCAAAAAUCUACAAUGGAAGUUUAGAGGGAACGAGACCGUACUUGUAGAUAAACAACCUGUUCAAGUGUUUUGGGAUGUGUAUGAUUGGUUGUUCAGUACGCCAGGGACAGGCCAUGGUAUGUUUAUAUUCAAACCCGGGAACGCUGAAGAUAUCGACAUGGAAGGAAGUGGUCACGGUGGUGGUGGUGGUGAGAGCGAUACAAGUACAGCGAACAAGAACUAUUCGACCAAGAGUAGUAACCCUUGGCCGCCUGAGUUUUGCCUUUUUCUUCAUGCUUGGAAACUGGAGUAGUAGUACUAUUGCGAACACAAGAAGCUCUUGUGCCUAUUCACUUAUUGUUGUGUCCUGUGUGGGUGUAAAUUAUAUCUAUCUUUUCCUCAUAUGUUAUUAUAAGAUGGAAACAACACAAUCACGACAAUGUUAUGUGGUAGAAAUAUUUGUAAUGCUCCGAUCCAAAUGCCCUCUAACGACACACUUUUUCUACAACAAGGUUUUUCUCUUAUAUGUCUUUCUUCUAUUAUUAAAGAGUUUUCUACAAUAUAGUGUUCGGUAAGAAACUUAAAUGUAGUAUUGUUAAGUCAUAUUAUAGCGUUUACAUGUGUAUUUAAUACACAUGUAUGAUGCUAUUAAAACCCAAUAUUUUGUAGUGAAUUAUAUAUAUAGUUUUAAAAUGUAUUAAUCUAUCUUAUUAUAUAAACCUUGGUUUUCAAAGUCAGCCAUUAACAAGAUCGUGACACGUGUCAAUUAUAAACGAUAAGAUGUUGACACGUGUCGUAACUAAUUUUGUUAAUAUUUGGAUAAAAUAGAAAUAUUAUUAACUGUAUCGAAAAAGGAAAUAUAUAAAAUAAAUACUAUAAAAAUUAUAUAUUAAAAAUUAUUAGUAAAAUUAAAUAAAUAACCUAAUUUUAGUUAUGUCAAUUUGGUUUAUUAAUAAGAUAGUGAUUUAAAAUUUAUAAUUAACAAGAAUAUAUGGCGAUUUUUGUUUACAGAAGAGAAUUAAGGUUUAAACUUUAAUUUUACAAUUAAAUCAUGUUAUUUGUUGGUUUGGGUAUAUAAAUAAUAAAAACAUAUAAAAACUUUUUAAACCUUAUAAAAACCGUAUAAAAGUCUUAUAAAUGCCGUUUACAACCUUUUUAAAACUUUAUAAAUAUUUGUAUUGAGUCUCCCAAAAGUAAUGCUGAUCUAGAUGUACCUUAUAAACUAUAUACAAGUUUAAAAAUUUUCAUAUCUGAAAAGGAAUAUUUUUAAAAUGGAUAGAAAAUUGGUGUAUUUUUAAAAAGGGGUACACCAAAACGGGUAUUUCUCAAAAAUUAUCUUUCAACUAUUAACCUAAUUUUUGGUUUUGCCAGUUGUAGGUUUUACAAUUAUAAUGGUUAGAUGUUGAGUUUAUAAAUCUGCAUUAUAAUUUAGAUUUUAUAAUUAAACGAGAUCAUUUAUCGGUUUGGGUUUAUUAAAGAGGAGUGAGAUUUAGGUUUUACAAUUAAACAAGCUUAUUUAUCAGUUUGGGUUCAUAAAGGAGAAUUAGGAUUUAUAGUUUACAAAUAAAUUAGAUUUCAUUGUCUAAAACAUAAGGGUGAAUAAAAGAUUUUCAAAAAUAAUAUUUUUAGCUUAAAUUAAAGAUAAUAAAGUUCAAUAUCAAUCGUAAUAUAGUAAUUUUAAAAUAUUUUUAAAGAAAAUAUGUAGUUUUUUUAUAAUUCUUAUUUGAAAGAUUUUUUAAUGUUUUCCUCAACGAUGCUAUAUUUAUUUUAGAAUCUUUAUGUUUAUUUGCGUUGUUUAUAUGAAUUUAUUUACAAAUGACUGUAUUUGUAUUUAACAUCAUAUUUUAGAUUGAUGUUAAUUUGAAAGAACUUUACCAUCAUAUUAAAUAAUAAUUAAUUAAUUUUCAUAGUCUGAGAAUGAUUUUUUGAAAAAUUGAAAGUUAAGAAAUAAUUUUUUUUACAAANNNNNNNNNNNNNNNNNNNNNNNNNNNNNNNNNNNNNNNNNNNNNNNNNNNNNNNNNNNNNNNNNNNNNNNNNNNNNNNNNNNNNNNNNNNNNNNNNNNNGAGGAUAAUUGCUAAAUUAAGAUUUUUAAAAAUAUUUUAUCAAUAUUAUGAGUAAUGGUGAAUAGCUCCCAAAUAGCUCCCAAAUGUUUUGGUGAUUGUCAAUUUGACAUUACUAGAUUUUUAUAAUUAAUGUUUAGUAACGAAUUUUAAGAGAUAUAGUUAUAUAUACACGUUUAUUUGAUACUUCAAACCAAAUAAAAUCUCUUUUCAAAAUUUUUUUUUGAAAAUUGUUUUCUUUAUAAGUUAUAAUAAAUUUUCAUUUUAAUUUAAUUUUAAAUAAAGAUAACCCGUCCAUCGGACGGGUACUAAACUAGUUCUCUAUAAUUCAACGUACGGUGGUGAUUGUAUGAUGAAUUGAUAAUGAUGGUAUGAUAGUAUAUAAUGAUGAUAUAUGAUGAUCAUAAUUAUUUAUUUAUUAAUAAAAAUAUUUAAUUAAUUAACUAUUAACAUUAAUGAGUCAACUCAUUUAACGAUUUCACUCAUGAGAUUAAAUGAGUUUAUGGGUUGACUCAAAUUAUUUAAACAAAUGAGUUGAAUCAACACAUUACCCAUUUAACUCUAAACUCAUUAGGUAAUGGAGUUGAGUUGGGUUAUCCAUUUUGACACUCCUAAUCGUACAUAUUGCUUUAACUCUUGUGAAUUAAGAAUUCGUGCUAUUUUACGAAUUAGGAUUAAAAUUUGAUAAGAUAAAAUUUUACCAGUUGACAAAAAAAAAUGUCAUUACAAAUUUUAAUAGUAAAAAAAGGAAAUGUAUAGUCAACAUUUAAUUUCCUAAAAAGUAUGUCAAAAGAUUUAAUAUGAUGCACAAUAGUGAAAGGAGUAAAAGGAAUGUGAUCAAUAUAUUUUUUUUUUGGUCAACAAAAUGGUCAAUAUAUUUAUAGCAUUAAUUAUUAAUAGAAUUAUUGGGUAAAUCAUUAUUUUGGUAUAUUGACUACUACCACAAAUUUGUAUUAUUCUUCUAUAUAUUUGGAAGUAAAUUCAAUUUUUAUGUGCAAAGAGUUAAAGUCCAUAGAACACCACAACCAUAUAGAGAUUGUGGCUCAAUCCAGUUUUUAGUAUUGGUCUAUAUUAGUUUGACCAGCACUAAUGUUGAAGAUCUUAUCUCUUUACCUAAGCUCUAUUUAAAUAAAUCUGUUCAUUAUAUUUUCUCCACAAACACAGCAAAAAAAAAAAGAGAGAAAUCAAAAUCAAAGAGUGACCAUGACAAGAAAAGCGAUAAAACUUGCAUGGAUAGAAAAUGCCAACGCAAGAACAAUAUGUUUGAAGAGAAGGAAGGAAGGGUUAGUGAAAAAACUAAAAGAGCUAACAAUAUUGUGUAGUAUAAAUGUAUGCAUGAUCAUGUUCAGCCCUAACGAGGCUGAGCCAAUGGUGUGGCCAUCUGCUGAGAAGGCUCGUGGCCUCCUAGCCGAUUUCAAUGCCUUGUCGGAGGUCGAGAAGACGAAGAAACAAACAAGUCUCGAGUCAUUCAUGAAGGAGAAGAUAAAGAAGGUCCAUGAACAAAUCAUGAAGACUCGUAAGAAGAACAUUAGUUAUGCCAUUGAUCACUUGAUGGUGAAACUACAUCGUGGAGGUGGUAUUCAUGAUCUUAACUUAAGUGAGAUCUAUGAUUUGAUAUCUUUCUUAAGGGAUAAUAUCAUACUUUAUAGGAAAAUGCUAGGUUUCGCGCAAUAUCCUCUGCUUCAAGAUCCACCGGUGCAACCACAAUUUGAGGAGUUUACGACCACCACCACCACAAAUGAUGUUUUUGUAAGAAGCGGUCAAGAAGAUGAGAGAGCUUGGAAGACUGAUGAAGCUGAGAAUAUGAUUAGCAUUGGUAAUGCAAUAAAGGAGAAUCAAAGUCAUUACUUGAUAGAUCAAUGGUUUUUCCCAUCUCCUCAACAGCCAAAUCCAAGAAUCCACCAACAAAUCCAGAUGGGUGCAGUAUGUUACAACAAUAGUAUCAGUGAAACCGCUAAUAUGGAGAUGGAGCCUGUUGGAACCUCGAUGAUAACUUUCCAUGGUUUGUUUGGGUCAGUCUCUCAACCUUUACAAAACCAUAACGUAGAUGAUAAUGCAGCUGUGGCUAUAAGUCAACCAAUCCAAAACCCUUUUAAUUUCAUGAGUCAUGAAGAGCUGCCACCACCUAAUGAGGAAGAUAAUGAUGAUGUGACGCUGUUUGAUAUGAAUAAGGUUUGGCCACACAUCAACAAUAAUCAUAUGUAGACUUCUUGGUGUUACUACAUGUUUAAGUUUUAGUAUUAAGUUUUUGAGGUUAUGUUUGUUUGUCUGGUUAAGAAAUUAUGGACCUUGUUAUUUUUUUUUAAGUUUGUGUUUCUUUGUUUUUGAAUUUAUGUUAAAUCAUUUUAUCUAAUCAUUUUGGUUUACAUUGAUGUUUAGUUUUGUAAUUUCAGUUGAGGUGUCUUUGAUAAAACUCAAAUUAUCAUAUCGGUAGAUUUAUGAGAAUUUUUGAGAAAUAUCACUUUCGGUGUAUCCCUUUUGGUGAAUCCCUUUUCAAAAAUACUCAUUUUAUGUAUCCAUUUUUAAAAAUACUCUUGUUUAAAUAUGAAAAAUUAUAAAGUUUUAUAUGGUUUAUAAGGUACUUCUAUAUAAGAACUACUACUAAGAGUUUCGGUACAAAUAUUUUAUAAUGUUUUAAAAGGUUUUAAAUCGUUUUUACAAGUUUUACAAGGUUUUAAUUUUUUUUAAAGGGUUUAUAAGGUUUUAAAAAUUUAUUUUUUGCUAUAUAUGAAAGAUAUAUAAAAAUUUUGACACAUACAAAAGUAAUUGUAUAUCUAUAAGCUUACAAACAUAUUUGGAUAAAUUUCAACAGUUUUAGUGGUUUUUUUGAUAAAGUUUGAAAAUGAGGUAUUUUUAAAAAGUGGUAUUUGAAAAGGGAUAUUUUUUUGAAAAUUUCCCUAGAUUUAUUCAUUUUUAAUUUAAAUAAAUUAUAAUAAUUUUGAAGUAGUUAAAAAUAAAAAUGAAUUGCUCGGAUUCGCUAGUGUGAGUAGCCACCUCUGCAUGUUCCUUAAACAUAAGAUAAAGCAAAAAUUAUGAUAAAGAGACACAAAUAAUAAAAGCUAACUAGAUUUUAACCCGCGAUAAGAUAUUUUCAAAUAUUUUUUUUGUUAUUAAUUUGGUUGGUUAUAUAAGAUUGUACUAUAGGCAAGCUGACAAAAAAACAUUGUAUUACUGUAUUUUGAUUGUUAAUUAUAUGAUUUAACCCGUGUAACAUUUCAUGACAAUUUGUUUUUUUCCUUUUUCUUUUCUAAUAAUAGUCAUUUGAUCAACCUAACUAAAUAAGUCCAAUAUUCAAAAUAAUGAAAUAAUGUUGGCAUAACAUGACAUGACCCGCUACAUCACAUGACCCGCUACAUCACAUGACCCGUGCUACACAAUUAUCAAUAAUAUUUUAGUACAUACAUUUUUGUAUCGUUUAAGUAAUAUACGUCCGUUUUCAAAAAUUCAAAUUGCAAUAUAUUCAAAAAUGUUAAUAUAGAUGACAUAUUACAAAAAAACAAAAAACAUUCAUAAGAUGAAAUUGUUAUAUAUAUACUGUAUGUGAAUAAAAUUUGGAUAACAUCUUGAUUUUUUUUUUUGGUCAGAAACGGUUAAUGCCGGAGUCAACACUGGUCAACUGAUUCACCGGUCAACGCAAAAAUCAGUUGACCGGUGUACCAGAAUUUAAUGUCUAUGGUUGACUACAUGUCGUUAUAAAGUUGAUGCAUGUGGUCAUGCAAUACAUCUAAUUCGUGUAGCUGAAUGUACAAUAGGAUAUUUGGCAUGUGUGACCAUGCAUUCUUCUAUAGCCAUCUUUUUUCCAAAUAAAAACCCAAUUGGCAGUACACAUUAUGGAAAUAGAAGUCCAAAUCCUCCAACAUUUACAACUUUAUUAAAAACAAAGCCCACUUAUCCUACCUAAUUUAAGAUAAGGACAAGAGAUUAAAGUGCCACAUGAGUAUACGUGUCCACACGUGAUAAGGAGGAGAGAUAACACGAACAACACCGACCAAAUCCACAAUCAAGCGCAGCUCCGCCGCCGGACUUCAGAUCCACCACCACACAGAUAACACGAACAACACCGACCAAAUCCACAAUCAAGCGCAGCUCCGCCGCCGGACUUCAGAUCCACCACCACACUUCUUCUACAACUUCAACCGUUGCUACUCUGAGAGAAAGUCAAUGAUUCCGUCUUGAAUAUCUUUAAGAAGAUUUUGCAAAUCUUCUAUAUCUCAAACAGAUUUUAUAGAAGUAAGGUUCGCCUCGGACCUAAAUCAUAGGCCUUUCGUGUCUUUUAUUCAUGACAAUCGGUGGAUAUAUUAAUCCUACUUACAAGAAGAGUUGAGCUAAUGGAUAAACAAAGAAAAUAUGUCAAAUAGCCCCGAGAUUGAAAUUUAAACAUGUAGAAGAAGAGAGAAACAUAUCUGAACAAGUCGGAAACUUAUUAUCCGAACAAAUACAAAAGAUAAUCAACAUUAAGUCCUUGAAACCCAAGCCAAAAAUCUUAGAUUUGAUUCGGAAAGACAAAAAAACAAAACACUAUAAUACAAUCUGAUCAAAAUCGGAAGAGAAGCUCUCUCUGUCUAAAAGAUACGAGAGAGUUAAGCGAGAGAGAGCUUUCCCCUAGUAUAAAUUUGGCGUUUAUAUACAUGACGCAAAUUGGUACCAUUAUUUCUUCUAACAAGUGAGAUAAUUUUUGUAAUAGUAUAACAUUUUAAAAUGGUCACAUUUACAUCACCAAACACAUAGGAAUUUAUAGUACAUUAAAAUACUCGAUAUUUAUUUUAAUAUUAAAAUAAAUUAAAAUAUUAGAUAUAUUUUAGCUUUUAGUCAAGUAAAAUGUUCAUAUAACUUUUUAAGAAAAAUUAAACUUAAAAAUAUUCACAAUAAUGAAAUUUUAAAAUAUUCAAAAUAAUGAAAUUUUUAAAUAUUUUAUAUUUAAGUAUUACUUUCUCCGUUUUUAAAUAAGUGUUAUUUUAGAACCAAAUUUUUUUUUUUGAAAUAAAUGUCAGUCUACAUCAACUAAGAUGAUAAAGAUCCCAUAUAUUUGAAUCUUAGAGAAAAAAAAAACAUAUUUACCAAAAAUUAAUAUUAUGCUAUAUUAAAUACAAAUUUUUUUUUUGUUUCAAUUUGAUUCACAAACAAUUUUAAAAAAAACAAAAAUAUCUGCAAUUUCCCGCACAAUAAUAUUUCAGAAAAUAAUUUCAAUUUUCAAAAACCCUAAAAUUCGAAACUUUCCCCAAAUCCUUUCUACCCAAUGGCGUCGGGAAAGCCUGAAGAUCCGAUGAACAACACGGCCGGAAUGGGAACGGACGAGGAGUCUAUAGCACAGCGCCGGAAGCGACUACGGCGAGUUAGCUUCGCCGACCGGGAAAUUACUUCCGUCCACAUUUUCAACCGGGACGAAGAUUACGAGACGCCGCCAAACGCCGCCGCCGCGGAACAGCAGAACGGUGAACGAGCUGAUACGUCAGAGUCUGAGGAUAAAGUAAUUAGGUUUUUCGGCGAAUUAUCUGACCGCGAAGACACUGAAGGAGAUGGUGAUGGUGAAGAUGAGCCUAUUUUGCAGAAAUCGUUCUUGAGGCCGAAGUUCUCGCCAUCUUCGGGAGGUAGCACUGUUGGGUCUGCUACUAGUGAUGAUGGUACGCUUCAAUUUCAUUCUCCAUUACUUUGAUUUUGAAUGUUGCAAUUGAAGAGAAGAUAAAGUUUUGUACUUUGUGAAUUUAGGGAUUCGUUGUUGUUACUCAUGUAGCUGAAUCGAUUUGGUAUUUUUUUUAUAUAUAUCAGAGGAUAGUUUCUUUGGCCCUGUGUCUUCCCAAUUUAUCAAUCCUGGAAGAUUGUCAAAUACUCCUAUCUCUGAAGACCACCAUGAUAUUACGAUGGACUCUACAGCAUUUUCAAUGCAUUUUCGGAGUCUUGCGAGGUCAGACUUUGGAGAUGCAAGGACACCAACAAGCAGUCAUCUUCCAGUAGAAGAAAAAACACCAACUGAGGUUACCUCCAGGUCUGAUACAGGAAGUGCAAUGGUGUUGUUGACAAAAUCUAAGAAGCUAUUCCUGAAGUCUCCUCUACCUGCUGAGAAAGAAAGUGGUGGUAGAGACUCGAAUGAUAUGAGUAUCGUGGGUGAAAAUUCUCGAAAAUAUGAUUUUGGGUAUAUAUCUCCUACAUUAGAAGCUCUAUUGGCAAAAAGCAAGGAAUUGCUUCCUGAAGACUGUACUGUGGAAGCAAGAUCGCCCAUCCAUGAUUUUUCCUUGUCCCCUCAAAAUGGACAUAUUCCCGUAGUUCAAGCUAAUAAAGACUCACAUGGUAUAGAUAGCAGUGGUGCUUGUCAAAUCCUGUCACCUUCUGGUUCUGGCUGUCGCCCUCAAAUAGUGCUGCAGGAACCAGAAAGCCAACAUUACACAAAAGAUGGUUCUCUUUCCUCGUCAACUGUUAGAAGGCAAAGUGCGUUUUCAGUUGGUAUAUUGCCCCAGUCCGUAUCUUGUGUUACUCCUUCCCCUAAACAGGGUGGAAGCUUUAUGAGCAAAGAAACUCGGGCACUAGUUGAGAGCUUGUCAACUAUUCAGAAAAGCAAAUCGAGACUUGGAUUAAUUCCACCCUCCCCUGGUUCUGCUCUUUCUCAAAGAAUUGAGAAAUCAAAGCUUCAAUUAUCCGGACACCGUUCUAUGACUACACCAUCAACUUUUGGCAGGGAAGUAGGUGUUCACACGAAAAUUAAUGCAGAUAUACCCAUUACCAAUUUGGAGGGUUUGUUAUCUAAACAUGAUAAUAGAACACCAAUUUCUGAGAAGAAAGGCAUGCCAAAUAAAUGCGGUAGUGGUGCACUGAGCCCUGUUGUCGACACUGGCGAUAAUAAUAGAACACCAGUUUCAGAAAAGAAAGGCAUGCCAGAUCAAUGCAGUAGUGGUGCAUUGAGCCCUGUUAUCGACACUGUCGAUGACAAUAGAACACGAGUUUCAGAAAAGAAAGGCAUGCCAGAUAAAUGCAGUAGUGGUGCGUUGAGCCCUGUCGUCGAUACUGGUGAUGAUAAUAGAACACCACUUUCAGAAAAGAAGGGCAUGUCAGAUCAAUGCCGUAGUGGUGCAUCGAGCCCUGUUGUCGACACUGGCGAUGAUAAUAGAACAUCAGUUUCAGAAAAGAAAGGCAUGCCAGAUAAAUGCAGUAGUGGUGCAUUGAGCCCUGUUGUCGACACUGGUGAUGAUAAUAGAACACCACUUUCAGAAAAGAAGGGCAUGCCAGAUCAAUGCAGUAAUGGUGCACUGAGCCCUGUUGUCGACCCUGGCGAUGACAAUAGAACACCAGUUUUAGAAGAGAAGGGCACGCCAGAUCAGUGCAGUAGCGAUGCACUGAGACCUGCUGUUGACACUAGGGGUGAUAAUAGAAUACCAGUUUCAGAAAAGAAAGUCAUGCUAGAUCAAUGCAGUAGUGGUGCAUUAAGCCCUGCUGCUGACACUAGCGAUGAUAGAACACCAAUUUCUGAAAGGAAAGGCGUACCAGAUCAAUAUGGUUGUGGUGCAUUGAAGUCUGCUGCCGACAUAAGUAAUGUGUUUGCAAGCAGAAGUCCAAAAGGAAAUACUAAUUCUGAGGUAGAAGGUUCAUUCUUCAAACAACAGAAAAGAAAUCAGACAGCCAGCACCCCUGGGAAGUUUGUGUCAUCUCUAACAAAUUCAUCAAAUGUAAUGACGUCAGCAUCAAAGAAUUUUGUCACUCUUCAAGAUCAAGAGCAGCACAGUAAAGCCACCGAAAAAUCUGAGAUUGGGGAUGGAAAUGUGACCAAGGAAUAUGCUAGUAAUAAUUCUUUGAAUACCUUAUCCGGCAAAGUUGAUUCACUGCUUGUAGAAUCUGGCGUAUUACUUAGUGAGACAGGCUUCUUGAAUGGCUCUGCUAAACAAAAUGAGAAGGACAGUAUGCUGAAUAAAAAUCAAAACAGAACCAACAUAAGUGCUGCCCAGUUCCUUCUGAAGGAUGAUAAUCACUUUACAGUCCAUUGUGAAACAGAAGUGAUCUCAGCUGAGGAUGUUCCUUCUGUAGUUACAGAAACCCCUCCUAAUAUCCCUGGCUCUUCAUCUACGGACAAUAGCAAGAAUGAGGCUUUGCAUGUUAAGGUAUAAUUCUAGACCCAUGUACAUGUUUUGAAGAACUAUCUAUCCACGGUUUAAAUGCAUUACUCCAUUUUUCAAUGUGAAAAGAUAUUCUUGAUCCUUGAAAUGGUUGUAAAUUUCUAAAUUGGCUUUUUACUCUAACAGCUGAACCAGGUCAUUCAGAUUAAAUGUUUUAACUCAGAUACAUCAUAGAUCUUGAGAAAUUAAAUGCUGGAGAAAAACUAUCAUAUUUCGAAGCUAUCCAAAGGGUAUGAUGAUAUAAUUUGAUGUUUAGCCAGAUUUCUGAACUAUAUUAAUUUACAGGGAUCAUCCAGAUUGAAAAGGAAAACAGAAGAUGUUGAUUGUGCAGCUAGAAAUUGUAGCCCCAAAGUCAGGAGAAGUACACACUAUAUUUCAAAUACAGUGAUGGACCACCCAGAUGGAAACAUCAAUGCUAAUAAUUGCGGCAGAAUUCGUAGACAAGUGAUGAACCGGGUAGAAGUAAGUAUUUGUGAUAACCUAUUAUGCUAUUAGAUGUAGUUAGUUCCACUUUUCUUCAUACAAAUAAGUUAGUGUUCCACUACCUUGCAGAUUCCAGGAAAAGUAUCAGAAGAAAUCAAUCAAAUGCUUGAUCCAUUGGCUGUUAAGCUGAACCCAAGAAUGGUAUAUUAUUUCUCUCUUUAUGGAAACCCAAGCUGGUUACUGAGGCUGUUUCCUUCUAACUUUUAUAGUUUCAGUACUAAUGUUCCAAAAUUGCAGAUAUGUAAGCUGGAAGAUAUAUUAACACACAUGAAGAAGGUUCAUUUGUGUGAGAUGCUUUGUCUUCAAAUUCAAUCUCAGGUUAGCCUAUAAGAAAACUUCUGCGAUCAUUCUUUCGACAUAAUUGUACACUGAUUAUCUUGUUCUAAUUGUAGAAAGUAUCUGACGACUUGAGUGGUGCCAAGAUAAAGAGGUUCUCCCUGUACUGCCUUUAUAUAUUUUUCAGAGUAAAUUAGUGCCAAGUGUAUAACAUUCAUUGUGAUUAUUAUUGCAGGCAUGCUGAGAGUAGAUCAUUACUCUGCAAGUUAGCAUACGAAAAAGCCAAACUUGAGUUGCUGCACCUCAAGAAAGAGAUAAUGAUGGUAGUUAAUUACUUAAUGUGUUCCUCUAUUUCAAACUUUCUAUUGAUUCUGCUUGCUUGAUCAAAUUUCACUUAUAUGGUAUGCAGAAAAAGUUUCAAGCAGUGAGCAAUGGUGUACAGACAUCCGAAACACUGAGGUUGAAUUGUGCCAACUUUCUACGUCAACAUGGUUUCCGUUCUACUGGCUUGUUAAAUCCUAACCACGCUGAUGAGGUAACUAGACCAGUUUGAAAUACCCAUUACAGAAAUGUGUUGGUGUGUCUAGUCUUCCCAAUUUCAAUAAUUAGGACAUGUUAACUCUUUCACAGGCUCAAAUUGUUUUUUUAGUACGCAUGGAACAUUUUUCAGGGUGAUGACCCUUUCACUCUAAUGGCAGAAAAAAAUAUUUUGUUAGUUCGCAGAUAUAAUGUUCUGUCCACAGGGUCUCAUGAUAUUUUGUAGAUAAGAGAUGUAUCCUAUGCUUUAUCUUAUUAGUAACGCUAUUUUCGUGUAUUUGAAACUCGUUUUAAUCCAAGUAAAUAAUAGACUCGUUAUCUGUCGACAUUUUUCUAGGCUAUGAUUACUAGUAAACGGGGAGAGAUAACACAGGAGAUCAAAGAAUUGGACUCAAAAAUAAAGAAUUUGGUUCAAUGUUUUACGACGUUCGACACAAUGACAGAAGAACCGGCAUAUGCAGACAUUAUUAUGAUUGCUGAAGAUACUUUAAAAAAGAGAACGAGUUGCAGAUCCAUACGUCAGGAUAUUCUGGUAUAUACUGUCUUAUAUUUAUAGACAUGGGGAUCUAAAACGAAAUGUGUUUCUUAACUUAAAUUACCCUUCUGCUCUCGGCAGGUCUGGAAAGUUGACAGUUUGGGUGAAUGGAAUGAUUGUCAAAGCAUUGUUCUAAACUAUAGUGGCCUUUUCAACCAAAGGUUGGUCCUAUUGGUUUUAUCUUUCCAUAAGUUUUUUGAUUAAUCUGUUUCCACACUUUGCUACAUACAUGAGUGCUAUUGGAUUUUAUUGAAAAAUUUCUUGGAUACGCAGGCUCACAUUAAAGCCUGGCCAUCCUUCAUGUGUACUAGUUUCAAACAGUUUGAGUGAUACACUUGUUAAGGUAAGGGUAACCAAGCUGUUUUCCUUCCAUUUAUACAUCAUCUUUCUUUUGUUUCUAAUCAAGGCAUUCUUCUUCAGCAUUUCCCAGAGACGAAUGUUUCAAUUGCAUUAAACUCUUUGUUUAAAGCUGAAGACUCCCAAAAGUGCAUUGGUUGCUCCAAUAUAUUGUUGGAGAUUACACAGGUGUGUUUCUGUCUCAACCAUCUCCUUUUGUUGCUAUGGUUCUCUUAAUACUAUCAUAGCAUCUUAGGUAUUUUUCUAUCUUAUUGAGAAUUUUGUUGCAAGUCAUGUUUGCUUUCUCCUUAGUGUUGUAAGUUCCUUUAUAAGAAUCACUUUCUCUGGAUUUAUUUUGUGCUAGACUAGACCUCUGAAAUUUGUCUCAUUUUGCUCUGAGAAUGCAGAAAACCAGUUUGCUCCUACACAAUCUGCUAGAUGUGGCUGAGGAAUUUCAUUUAGCUCAAAUGAAUAUACCAAAUUUGGUCCAAGGACACUUUAAUUCUCCAUCAGGUAACUUAUUUCCUCCUCUCAAUUCCCUGUUGGUCAUACUAGUUUAACAACUAGUGGCCAACACAUGCACAAUCAUCUAAUGAUUAGGUCUAUCUGAGAUACGAACACUAGUGUCUUAUUGAUUGCAGCGGAGCAGCUUCAGUUGCAGAUUAGCUUUCUUGACUGCACAAACGUGAGAAAACUAAUUGUGGUUCUCGAUUUGGCAUGUUUGAUCCAGUAAGUAAAUAAGCAGCGCAGUAAACUAUCAAGUUUUAAAGGCUUUUCGGUUAUGAAAUUGUGUGUGUUCUCUAUGUAACAGUGGGAAGUAUCCUAGUGACGUAGUUCCUUGCGAGUUACGUGAAGGAGAUGUCGUUGCGUCGAAAGAACUGAAGAACGAGAUAGAAUCUGCAAUGGACGAUGUUGGAUUGGGAUAUCCUCGGAUAUUGAGACUCUGCCGUUGCAUUUCCAAAGUGUUGCAAUCACAAAGGAGAUGAUGUCUAUCUAAUUUCAUAACACUUCACAUUUUGCUGGUUUUGUUUUUUUUUUUUGUAAAUAUGGCACAAGGGCUACUACUUCUAGUACUAGUAGUAGUCUAGUAACCUUUUGCCCUUUUAAAUCUUUUAACCAAAGUCUUGAGUUUUGUAUACACUGUCGUCCAAGGUAGCAGUUGAUUUCUGUGCCUUAAUCCUUUUGGGUGCCAUGUGACUCCCUCUUUGGAGGCUAUGAAGAACAUCAAAUCCGAGGAUGAAGUCUAUGUAACGUCAAGCAGUCUUCCUCGUCUUGAGUCUUAACGUACAGGUUACCUAACAUUAGUUUGGUCUCACACAUUAGUUGAUUAGUUGAUGUGUGAUUGUCAUAUAAACUAUGAUUGUUUGAUUUGUUUCUCUGUUUGUGUGUUAAUGUAUCAAAAGUAUUGGCUAUUUAUCAAUCGACAAAUCAUUUACUAAAGGACACUUAUGAGUCCCAAAAAUUGAGUUGGUAAAUUGUGCGACACCUGUGACACAAUGUAAACAGGUGAAAGUGGUGUAGGCCACUCUUAUCCCAUCUUUUAUAAAUAUCUUACAUUGAACCUACCUAUUCUAGAUCUUGGUCAUGGGACCUUAUUGACUAUGUAGACUAAUGUAGUAAUGUUCUUAUCUUAUCUUUCCCAAUUUGCAAGACAAGUCCUUAGGAAAAAUUAUUGUCUUUGUCAAAUAUGAUUUCAGUUACACAACACCUUCAAAUCUCACGAGUAUACAUGGUUCAAACCUUUUCGAACUUACGUCAACUUAGGAUAUCUCUACAAAUUUACGUCCAACAUUCUCGAACAUGGAAACCCUUACAAAUUUACGCCAUGAAACUGGGAAACCUUUACAAAUUUACACAUAAAAUCUGAAAAUUCUUACAAAUUUACGUCACAAAAUCUGGAAAUUUGGAAAUCCUUACAAAUUUUCUUACAAAUUUACGUCACAUAAUCUGGAAUUUGGAAAUCCUUACAAAUUUACGCCUUGAAACAGAGAAAUCUCAACAAAUUUACACCCUGAAAACUGUAAACCCUUUGAAAUUAUAUUUUACAAAUCGACUUCAAUUUCUCUAUCAAGAAAAAAUCAAACGAUGGAAUGAACCAAUGUUCAUUAAAGAAGGAUUUACUUCUCAAAUUACUAGAUUAUAGAAUAAGAAAUAGUUUAAACUACAAUGAGGAAAUAACCAAAAGAAUUCACAGAGAAAUCUCAAAACUAACAGAGAACAAAUGAAGAAUCAUAAGAUAACAUAUUUAACACAAAUCACAUGAAUGAUCCAUACAUGUUUGCUUUCAUUUCACAAGAUUCUUCACGACCUUUGAGCUCCAUAUGAUUUCCACUACUGAUCGCAACUUCUAUUUCCCACCCUCCACGCAUUCAUCACUUCUUAACCCUUCUUUUACUAUAUCAAAUUUACGCCAUGAAAUAGGGAGAUCCAUAUAUAUUUUUCUUUCUUGUGAAAAGAUUCUUCACUGCCUUUAAACUCCAGAUGAUCUCCACUGUUGAUCGUAACUUCUAUUCUCCACCCUCCACGUGUCCAUCACUUCUUAACCCUUCUUUUUCUAUAUCAAUUUACGGCAUGAAAUAAUGAGAUCCAUAUAUUUUUUUCUUUCUUUCACAAGAUUCUUCACUGCCUUUGAGCUCCAGAUGAUCUCCACUGUUGAUCGUAACUUCUAUUCUCCACCCUCCACGUGUCCAUCACCUCUUAACCCUUAUUUUUCUAUAUCAAUUUACGCCAUGAAAUAGGGAGAUCUAUAUGUUUUUUUUUCUUUCAUUCACAAGAUUCUUCACUGCCUUUGAGCUCCAUAUGAUCUCCACUGUUGAUCGUAACUUCUAUUCUCCACCCUCCACGUGUCCAUCACUUCUUAACCCUUAUUUUUCUAUAUCAAUUUACGCCAUGAAAUACGGAGAUCCAUAUACUUUUUUUUCUUUCACAAGAUUUUUCACUGCUUUUGAGCUACAGAUGAUCUCCACUGUUGAUCGUAACUUCUAUUCUCCACCCUCCACGUGUCCAUUACUUCUUAACCCUUAUUUUUCUAUAUCAAUUUACGCCAUGAAAUAGGGAGAUCCAUAUAUUUUUUCUUUCUUUCACAAGAUUCUUCACUGCCUUUGAGCUCCAUAUGAUCUCGACUAUUGAUCGUAACUUCUAUUCUCCACCCUCCACCCUCCACGUGUCCUUUACUUCUUAACCCUUAUUUUUCUAUAUCAAUUUACGCCAUGAAAUAGGGAGAUCCAUAUAUUUUUUUCUUUCUUUCACAAGAUUCUUCACUAUCUGUGAGCUCCAGAUGAUCUCCACUAUUAAUCGUAACUUCUAUUUUCCACCCUCCACGUGUCCAUCACUUCUUAACCCUUCUUUUUCUAUAUCAAUUUAUGCCAUGAAAUAAGGAGAUCCAUAUAUAUUUUUUCUUUUUUUCACAAAAUUCUUCACUGCAUUUGAGCUUUAGAUGAUCUCCACUGUUGAUCGUAACUUCUAUUCUCCACCCUCCACGUGUCCAUCACCUCUUAACCCUUAUUUUUCUAUUUCAAUUUACGCCAUGAAAUAAAGAGAUCCAUAUGUUUUUUUCUUUCUUUCACAAGAUUCUUUACUGCCUUUGAGCUUCAGAUGAUCUCCACUGUUGAUCGUAACUUCUAUUCUCCACCCUCCACGUGUCCAUCACUUCUUAACCCUUAUUUUUCUAUAUCAAUUUACGCCAUGAAAUAUGGAGAUCCAUAUACUUUUUUUCUUUCUUUCACAAGAUUCUUCACUGCUUUUGAGCUCCAGAUGAUCUCCACUGUUGAUCGUAACUUCUAUUCUCCACCCUCCACGUGUCCAUCACCUCUUAACCCUUAUUUUCAAUAUAAAUUUACGCCAUGAAAUAGGGAGAUCCAUAUAUAUAUUUUUUUCUUUCACAAGAUUUUUCACUGCCUUUGAGCUCCAUAUGAUCUCCACUAUUGAUCGUAACUUCUAUUCUCCACCCUCCACGUGACCAUUACUUCUUAACCCUUAUUUUUCUAUAUCAAUUUACGCCAUGAAAUAGGGAGAUCCAUAUAUUUUUUCUUUCUUUCACAAGAUUCUUCACUGCCUUUGAGCUCUAGAUGAUCUCCACUUUUGAUCGUAACUUCUAUUCUCCACCCUCCAUGUGUCCAUCACUUCUUAACACUUAUUUUUCUAUAUCAAUUUACACCAUGAAAUAGGGAGAUCCAUAUAUUUUUUUCUUUUUUUCACAAGAUUCUUCACUGCCUUUGAGCUCCAGAUUAUCUUCACUGUUGAUUGUAACUUCUAUUCUCCACCCUCCACGUGUCCAUCAUUUCUUAACCUUUUUUUUACUAUAUCAAUUUACGUCAUGAAAUAGGAAGAUCCAAAUAUUUUUUUCUUUCUUUCACAAGAUUCUUCACUGCCUUUGAGCUUCAGAUGAUCUCCACUGUUGAUCGUAACUUCUAUUCUCCACCCCCACGUGUCCAUCACUUCUUAACCCUCCUUUUACUAUAUUAAUUUAGACCAUGAAAUAGGGAGAUCUAUAUAUAUAUAUUUAUGUUUUCCUUUUUCACCAUUCUCCAUUAUCUUUGAGCUCUACAUGAUAUCCACGACUAAUCGCAACUUCUAUUUCUCAUCUUCCACGCUUUCAUCACUUCUUAACCCUCCUUAUACUAUAUCAACACCAUGAAUUAGGUAGAUCCAUAUAUGUAUUGCUUUCUUUUCACACGAUUCUUCACUACCUUUGAGAUCCAUUGUUGAUCGCAACUUCUAUUCUCUAUCAUCCAAGUGUCCAUCAUUUCUUAACCCUUCUCUUACAAUAUAAAUUUAGGCCAUGAAAUAGAAGGAUCCAUAUACGUUAUGCUUUCUUUUUACACGAUUCUUCAUUGCCUUUGAGCUCCAAAUGAUCUUCACUGUUAAUUGCAACUUCUAUUAUCCACCCUACACACGUCCAUCACUUUUUAACCCUCUUUUUACUAUAUCAAUUUAAGCCAUGAAAUAGGGAAAAAUUCACUUUUUAACCCUUCUUUUACUAUAUCAAUUUAGGCCAUGAAACAAGGAAAACUCUACAAAUUUACGCCCCGAAACCCGGGUCAUCCUCCACCCCACCACCACAUGCAUAUUCAAAAUAACUCUCUUUCUUGCACUUUUGUACCUUUUUUGGUUUGAAGAAUGUAACUUAUAAAAGAGACUAUAAUCCAAUCUUACUAUUUGAAUAGCUUAAUUGCUCAUAUGAGUUUGUAAACAUGAGUUCUCAAUCCACACAUACACAUAGAUUCAUGAAAAUUAUGUUCAAACAAGAGCUCCAUUACACAUGGGUAUAUAUAUAACUCACAGGAUAUGUACAUAAGAUUACCCAUCCCCGGUCGAGAAUCAACCGUGACGCAAGCCUAAUUCAUAGUAAAAUAGCUGUACACAUCAAACACACCCAAACAAACAAAAACCCUCUAUACAGUGAAAAGCAGUCACCAAACAGUAGAAGGAGAAAGCUGGUGGUCUUCUGCUACAACAACAAGAGGAGUCCUACACAAUGGGCAAGUGAUGUUCCAAUAGUCUAUCCAUUUCUCCAAGCAUGUUUUGUGAAACAAGUGGCCACACUUUAGCUUGUUGAUCUCUGAAUCCCCUUCGAAUUUCGAAAGGCACACCGAGCACUCGUUGUCCGCCUGUUUCUUGCACCUGCACAAGCUCUCAAACCUCAGUGUAGGAGUCUUGUUCCUGAAUUCCUCAAGGAAACUCUCUGGCUGGCAGACCCGGAAAUCAAAAGGCUCUGAAGUUGGAUUCUCUAAAGACGUCGUCACAGAGGAAGGCGAGGACGAAGGAGGCGAGAGACGGAUUCCUACUAUGCCAAGGACUGAUCGGACAAUGCCUUUGACAAUGGAGAUUGAUAAUGCUGUGUUAACUAAUAUCACACAGAGCAUUCCUUCUGAUGGACCAGGAAGACUUGAUAGACCCAUCUUUCGAUUCUUGAACUGCUAACAACAGGUUUGCUCUGGAUUCGAUGUAAAUCUUGAUCCAAUCUUUGUCGGUCCAAGGUAUAUGAUCUGUAAAAACACCAUUAUGGACAAAUCAGCACACACCAGAAGAAGACUCAUGAUAUAAACUGAAAAUCUAAGGCAUUCCAACUAAAGCACAUAGAUUUCAAUGUCAAUCAAUGCUUAGUAUCAGCAAGCAAGACAGUUAAAGGUCUCAUAUAAUGAUCUUGAUCCAGAAACAGACUUAACUCUAAAUCUUAAACCAAAAACCAAAACCAAAGCACAAAGCUUUAUCAAGUUGAUUGACUAAAAUCUUUCGAGGUGGCCUCAAACCCAGAAAACACAAAUCAGUCUCAAAAGGGUUCAAGAAUCUUCGUUCAAUUAGUUCCACAGACGAGUCUACCUCAUACCACACACAAUAUCUUGACCUUAAAUCAAGAAACAAAGAUCAAAAACCUCUUAAAGAUUCAAACUUUAUGAAAGAAACAAGAACAAUUUGAAAUCUUUACAACUCUAAAACAUCAAUCAAAACCAUAAACAACCAAUCAAAGGUUGGGUAAAAAUCGAAACUUUAGUGAAAAGAGAUGAAACUACGAACCUCAAGAGUCAAGUAAGAGAAGGCGAUGAUCAAGAAUUCAGAGUAAAGAUGGAGUCUUUUGUGAGUUUUCUCUGGUGUGAAAAAGUAGUGAUGGAAUCUGAGAGAAAGUGUUGUGUGUUUUUGAUACAAGAGGAGGUUCCAAUUGUUGUUUAAUAUAUAGCAAAGCAAAUAUCAAAAGACUUUUAACCAGAGAAGCAUUUAACUAUGGUUAGUCAAUCUAGUUUAAGUCUAUCUCAGCCUUUUCAGGUUCUUGAGUUAACCAUGGUUACUUUAUAUCAACAAUUGUACUUGCUUCCAAUAUUUUUUUUUUUAUAUUCCAUUUUGUUUAAUCAUACACACUGCCAAAAUAAUAAUAAUAAUCCAAUGUUUAUAAGCAAAGAUAUUAGUAAGUGUAAGGUGUUUUCAUUUGUUAUAUGUAAUGCUUGGCACUAACUUUUGUUUUUGGGUGUGUAUACUUGAAUACUUCUUUACACUCAAGAAUUUUAUAUGAAUAAACAUUGUUACAAUAUUAAUCUUAUUUUUGACUUAUAUUAAUACUUCAUCUCCAAAAAUUUACAUUGUAUUUUGCGUUUUAUUUACAUUACAAUAUUAUAUUCACUAUAUUUUUUUGUAAAGAUAGAAGAUCAAUAAUAUACUAAUUAUCAUGUUUUAAAAUCUAAAAUACCAUUUAUUACUAUUUAAAAUAUUAAAUAAAUUUUCACAUUUUGGAAAAGUGUUUCCGCUUUUACCAAUAUCGUAUUAAUUAUAAUCUAAUUGGAAAAUACAAAACAUCAUUAAUCUACUAAAAUUAGUUUUUUAGCGUUUUAUAUUUUUUUGAAAUUUUUCUUCAAUUUUUUUUUUCGCUAACAAUUAUUCACACGACAUAUAUCCAUAUCGACUAAUAGAACAUACAAUUACAAAUAAUAAAUAGAAACCAAAGAUUCGAAAAAAAUAUAUAAAUUAUAUACCAAAAAUUUUCAUAAAAUAAGGCGAUAGAUAAUAUGGAUAUUAGGUUAAACACAAGCAAUUAAAAUUUAAUUACCUGAUACUUUCACUAUAAAUUAAAAAGUUUUAUUGAGAAUAUAAUUUUUUUUUAACCUAAAAUAUACACGUUUAAAUUGUUCUCAUCAGUCCAAUUUUAAACCACAUCAAGCCUCUUAUGUAUGUAUGCAUUCGAAACGUUUAGAAUUACAAGUUUUAUGAGUUAGGUGGUCACUACUUUUUGUUAGGUUGUUUAUAUAAUUGGAGGAUAUAAUAGUAGUAGUAGGUAUCAUGGAGAGCUAUUGCUAUAGCUUUCUAUAUAAAUACGAUGAGACAAUUCACACAAAGAUACGAACCAUAAAUUUAAUACUACUACUAGCCUAGUAUUAUUAUACUACUACACAACCUUUAAACUAAUUUAACACUUGAUUUACAAAAAAAAUUUGUCGUUCAAAAACCCGACAUAAGGAUUAUAAUCGAAUUGAUUCCAAAGAAAAGAAAAUAAAAAAUUUGAUUUGUCGUUAUCGCAAUCUGAAAUAUAAAACAUGUCACGACACAUUUUUGUUACGUUGUAAUGUAUUGAGUAAACUUCACGUUGGCCAUGUGUCCUCUCUCACGGACCCUCACAGGACCUUGCGGCCUUCAUGUUCCAAACACUUUUGUCUUUAUUUUUACUUGUGUCCUCUUCUGAUCUCUUUUGAAUUAUUUGGAUGUGUGUACAAGCGAAUUGUUAGAAUACUCCAAAGGCUCUCACAUGGUCCGACCCUUAUCGAUAGGACAAAGAUUUAGAAAAAAAAAAAGAAAAAUCGAAUGAGAGCUAAUGAAAAUGUUUGAACAAACUAUAAUGUAACUUAGGUAUAGGUGGCACUAAAACGUAUAGGGAAGCAACCAAUAAACAACUUAGUGUUGAAAUCUAGAUUUACUUAAGUGUGUCAUUGGUAUUUUAAAUUGAGUAGAAUAGGUAAGCUCUUGAUAAUUUGAACUGCAAUAAUUGGUUUCAAAAAAUUGCAAUGGAUAUAAUUAGUAUAUAACGUGUAAAACUUCAACACGGAAUGAUAAUUUUUUUUCUUUCUCUUUUUGGAAGUUUUUAGUUUUAUCGAAAUGAAAUUUUUGCAGUUUUUAGGUUUAUCAAGUGAAAUUACUUUUACAGUUUCUAGUGUAAAAUUUCAACACAGAAUGAUAAUUUUUUUAAUAUGUAGAGAUUUAUGUUAUCUAACUUACAUCGUGAAAGUGCAUUUAGUAAGGAAAUGUGUUCAAACAUCUCGUGACGAUGCUUGAGGAUAUGCGGACACGAAAAUCUCGUGAAAGUGUAUUCAGUGCGGAUAUGUCCAAAUAAACUUUUAGUGCGAGAAUACGGAGGAAAGAGAUAAACAGACUGACAGAAAACCGUUUUAGUUGAAACGUUACAACUUUCUUUAAUCGCAUAACAUGCCAAGAAAAACAAAUUAUUCUAGACUUUCAUAAUAUGAUAUCGAAGAUCACCUCUAAUAAUUAAGAGUAUUUAACUUAAUAUAAAAGUAUAUUUUUUAAUUUAUUUCGUUAUUUAAUUAAAUUAUAAAUGAUAAAUAAAAACUAAAAUUUUUUAACAAGACAUAUGGUAUUUUAGGUUCUAAAUAUAAAAAUUAUGGAUUCACAAUGUAAAUACUAUAGAACCCAUCUCUAUUUUCUCUCUUUCAUUUUAGUUUUUUUUUGCUUGAAAAACUCAUUUAGAAUCCUCUAUUGGAGGUGCUCUAAGUAAAGCAACUUGCAUGGCGGGUCGAUCUAACCAUUUGUUCAACUCAUGUAUCCCUCAGUUAUAGUGUUAAAACAUAUUUAUAUCACCUGCAUUUUUAGUGAUAAAAGUUUAGACAUAGAGAUUUAUAUCACCUACAUUUUUAGUGAUAAAAUUUUAAGCGUAGAGAUUUAUAUCACCUACAUUGUGAAAGUGCAUUUAGUGCAGAAAUAUGUUCAAACAUCUCGUGACGAUGCUUUGAAUGAGGAUAUGCGGACACGAAUAUCUUGUGAAGGUGUAUUCAAUGCGGAUAUGUCCAAAUAACCUUUUAGUGUGAGAAUACGGAGGAAAGAGAUAGACAGACUUACAGAUAUCCGUGUUUUAGUGGAAACGUUUCAACUAUCUUUAAUAGCAUAUCAUGCAAAAACAAAACAAAUUAUACCUUGAAUAGAGUUUCAUAAUAUUAUAUCCAAGAUUACCUCCAAUAAUUAGGAGUAUUUAACUCAUUAUAAAAAUAUAUAUUUUUAAUUUAUUUUGUUAUUUAAUUAAAUUGUAAAUGAUAAAUAAAAAACUAACAAAUUAUAACAAGACAUAUGGUAUUUUUAGGUUCUAAAUAUAAAAACUAUAGAUGCUAAAUGUAAAUACUAUAGAACCCAUCUCUAUUUUCUCUCUUUCAUUUUAGUUUUUUUGUUAAAAGCUCAUUUAGAAUCUUCUAUUAGUGGUGUUCUAAGUAAAGCAACUUGCAUGGCAAGUCGAUCUAACUGUUUGUUCAACUCAUGGAUCCCUUAGUUAUAGUGUUGAAACAUAUUUAUAUCACCUCCAUUUUUUGUGAUAAAAGCUUAGACAUACAGAUUUAUAUCACCUACAUUUUUAGUGAUUAAAUUUUAGACGUAAAGAUUUAUAUCACCUAUAUUGUGAAAGUGCAUUUAGUGCAGAAAUAAGUUCAAACAUCUCGUGACGAUGCUUUUAAUAAGGUUAUGCCGACACAAAAAACUUGUGAAGGUGUAUUCAGUGCGAAUAUGUCCAAAUAACCUUUUAGUGCGAGAAUACAGAUGAAACAGAUAGACAUAUUGAUAGAAAAUGUGUUUUAGCGGAAAUGUUUCAACUAUCUUCAAUAGCAUAUCAAGCCAAGAAAAACAAAUUAUACCUUGAAUAGAGUUUCACAAUGUACGAUAUUCAAGAUCACCUCAAAUAAUUAGGAGUAUAUAACUCAAUAUAAAAGUAUAUUUUUUUAAUUUAUUUUGUUAUUUAAUUAAUUUUUAAUGAUAAAAAAAAAUAACAAAUUAUAACAAGAAAUAUGGUAUUUUAGGUUCUAAAUAUAAAAACUAUUGAUUCUAAAUGUAAAUACUAUAGAACCCAUCUCUAUUUUCUCUUUUUCAUUUUAGUUUUUUUUUUUGCUUUAAAAACUCAUUUAGAGUCCUCUAUUGGAUGUGCUCUAAGUAAAGCAACUUGCAUGGCAGAUUGAUCUAACCGUUUGUUCAACUCAUGUAUCCCUUAGUUAUAGUGUUGAAACAUAUUUAUAUCACCUGCAUUUGUAGUAAUAAAAGUUUAGACGUAGAGACUUAUAUCACCUACAUUUUUAGUGAUAAAAGUUUAGACGUAGAGAUUUAUAUCACCUACAUCAAAGUGCAUUUAGUGCAGAAAUAUGUUAAAACAUCUCGUGACGAUGCUUUUAAUGAGGAUAUGCGUACACGAGAAUUUUGUGAAUAUUCAGUGCGGAUAUGUCCAAAUAACCUUUUAGUGCGAGAAUACGGAGGAAAGAGAUAGACAGACUGACAGAAAACCGUGUUUUAGUAGACACGUUUCAAGUAUCAUUAAUAGCAUAUCAUGCCAAGAAAAACAAAUUAUACUUUGAAUAGAGUUUCAUAAUACGAUAUCCAAGAUCACCUCCAAUAAUUAGGAGUAUUCAACUCAAUAUAAAAGUAUAUUUUUAAUUUAUUUUGUUAUUUAAUUAAAUUAUAAAUGAUAAAUAAAAACUAACAAAUUUUAACAAGACAUAUGGUAUUUUAGGUUCUAAAUUUAAAAAUUAUGGAUGCUAAAUGUAAAUACUAUAGAACCCAUAUCUAUUUUCUCUCUUUCAUUUUAGUUUUUUUUGUUUAAAAAACUCAUUUAGAACCCUCUAUUUGGGGGUGCUCUAAGUAAAGCAAGUGGCAUGGCAGAUCGAUCUAACCGUUUGUUUAACUCAUGGAUCCCUUAGUUAUAGUGUUGAAACAUAUUUAUAUCACUUACAUUUUUAGUGAUAAAAGUUUAGACGUAGAGAUUUAUAUCCCCUGCAUUGUGAAAGUGCAUUUAGUGCAGAAAUAUGUUCAAACAUCUCGUGAUGAUGCUUUUAAUGAGAAAAGAGGCAGACACGAAAAUCUCGUGAAGGUGCAUUCAGUGCGGAUCUGUCAAACUAUCUUUUUAGUGCGAGAAUACGAAGAAACAGAUGGACAGGCUCACAGAACACCGUGUUUUCGUGAAAACGUUCCAACUAUCUUUAAUAGCAUGUCAUGCCAAAAUGAAUAUUUUUACCCUGUUAGAGUGUCACAAUAUGAUACCUAAGUAAAGCAAGUGGCAUGGUAAGUCUAUCUAACCAUUUUUUCAACUCGUGGAUCCCUUAGUUAUAAUGUUAAAACCUUUUUUUUUUUUCUUUUAACGAAACCUAGUUGUUUUGACUACCUUAUGUGAAUAUACAACUCAUGAAUUUUGUGUUAAUAUACAUUUUUUGUUGUAGAUCUUCUAUGUGUGCCCACUCAUUUCUAGAGUCAUAUAUAUGAAAGUAUUUGCAAGGAAGAGUAUAGUUAGUUUCACUCAAAAUGAUGUUAAGAUAACCAAAGAUUGACAUUGUGAAUGGAGCACUCGAUAGAGGAAGCAAUAUAUCUCCAAUAGUUCAAAGUUGCGAAUGAGAGUUGCUAUUGUAGAUCUGGAAAGACUGUCUUUCACACGCCAAUGCUACGACAAAUCCUCAUGUUUAUACAAAAAAAUUUAUGUUAGCUACUUCAAGAAUCUACAAAUUGUUAUGUUCUUGAUCACAUAGUUUUUUCAAAGCAGAUAACACAUUCAGAUCGAGAAGACUCCACACAUGAAUAUGAUUCUACUAAGACCAAAACAAAGCUUUACACAGUUCAAAUUACUAGCCACUUUGCUGCAGGAAUAGUCAAUAGGGCACUUUGUGAUUACUUGGCUGCUUAAGACCAUCAUUUGUAGAGUAACCCUUGUGGGAUACUUAAAAUAAAAUAAAUAAUAUAAUUAACAUUAAAUUAAUCAAAUCAAUCCAUUAAUAACUUUAAACAAAUCAAACGAUUUGAAUUCGAAAGAAUGAUGUUGAAUAUUGUUUAACUUCGCGGGAUUAACUUCGCGGGAUCUACAUGAAUAUUGUUUCUGCCUUUCGCCGGUUGAAGGAGAGAAAAAAGUGACAGAGUCGUGUUGGGGAGAAAGAAAGAAAAUGGGGGAAACUAAUUUUUUUCCCCUUUUCUAUUUUCUUCAUCUUCCAAUCACACUGAGCCACGUGGCGGUUCUUAUGCGAUUCUUCCAACGCAUGAAGAAGCAAGGAUUCUCUUUUUUUAUAGGCCAUUCUUCUUUGUUUUUCAAUCAAUCUUGGCCCACUUUAAAAUUAAGCAACCCAUUGGAUCUCCACAGUAAUGCUGGUGUAACAAAUUAUACACUAGUAGUAUAUAUAUAUCUUCUGUGAAUCGUCAUAAACUCAUAGUGAUAUGUUACAUAUGAAAAUGUUUAAGUUUAAGUAACAAUAGUUCUCAUCAGUACAAAGAAAGAGACAAAUUACAUAUAACCAAACCAGCUUAAACGUGCCCUUCACGGCAUCUUUACCAAAUCCUAACUUAGGACACAAGUCAAACUCUUUUCUUCGAUAUCUUUCGAUGAGAAGCUGUUGGCAAUUCGAAAGACGAAAAUUCCUAUACCAUUUAGUAGCCGAGUUCACCACGACACUCGGUUUGUAGAUACAAACUAAUCCGUCACAGCUACCGUAACAGAACAUGCUUCCGGUAACAGGAAACGUGGCUGUGGUAAUGAAUCCACAAUAGAGCAGGGACGAUGCCUUAUCAAUAUAUUGUAGGUAUUGUCUUGUCAUUGUCUUUUCAACCACAUUGCCUUGUCUCUCUAAUCGAUAUCAAGAGACUACAGAGGAGAAGAGGCUUUACCAAAUAUAUAUAUACACACACACGGAAAGAAAAAAGGAAAACAGUCUCAGCCCAAUUAAGUAAGAUAUGGAAAAUAUAAGAAUCAGGGAAUUAGGUUACGUGUUGGAGAAAUUGGAAAAAAAAGAGAUCAGAUUAAAAAUUUAAAAUAAAACAUUCAUAUAUUGUGUCUAAUUAGUUUAGAAUUCUUAAACCUCAUCUGAACUGAGAAAUAUAGAUGUUAUAAAUCUGAGAAAUUAAAUAAUAUAUUUUGAGCUAUCAACAGUUCAUUUGAUAUGUAAUAGAUAUUGAAAAACAAAAACAAACUAUUCAAUACCGCUUUGAUAUCUUUUGAGAUUUGGUGAGAAGGUAAAAAUUUCAAACUCUAUAAAUAAGAAGAUUAACAAAAAAUUAUUUUACCUUUUUUCCAGGAAAAACACUUAUACUCCUUUAUUUAUCUUCUAUAAAGGAUUUGUAAAUGAGGCAUUACAAAGAAGGUGAAGUUUGUAGUAAUUGAUGCCCCUCUGAUCUACAACGCUAUCUUGGGAUCUCCAUGGAUAUAUUCCAUGCGAGCCGUUCCGUCGACCUACCACCUCUCUGUGUCAAGUUCCCAACCGCUUCCGGGAUCUAUACCCUAUAUGGUGACUAGAAAAAUGUCAAGAACCUGCUGCGACAUUGAAAAGAAGCAACAGCAGGAGGAGUCAGCAUAGCAAUUACAGGACGAAAAAUGCAAACCUGUUUGCUAAAGCAUUCUUUUACUACACUCUCCUAAAAUCUCUCUAAACUCUACUAAAUCCAAAAACUUUCAACAUUUACAAUCCUAAAAAUCUGCUACCUUCCGAUCCCAUAAACAGUUUCCUUCUCAUUUGCUAUUUGAUGUAUUAAUCAAUAAUCACCAGAUUCGCCUCAAAAACUAUUUAACCCCAAAAAAUCGAAACCAUAAAUAAUAUUACCGAAUAUAUAUAAUAAACUUUAAAAGAUUAUAAUUAAAAUAGUUAAUCUUAAUAAAAAGUCUGAAUUAUGAAUUCAUAGUCUAAAUUGUGAAUCUUAAUAAAUAUUUAAAUAUUAAACUAUUUAAACAUAUUAAAAAUUUUAAGUAAUAUGGGAAAAUAGUAUGAUGACACAAGUUUGAAUCGAUAUUACUAAAACUUAAAUUAUCCCUAAUUUGAUACUUAAACAUGGGUUAAAUAUUUUUUCAAAACAAUACAGUUAUAUAAAAUCUUGAUAAUUAUUAAAUAAACUCCAAUAAAAUCAGUAAGUUUUAAAAAUAAAUAAAUAAAACCUUGCCCCAUGGUGUACCGCAGGUUAAAAUCUAAUAAUUGAUGUAUAUUAACAAAGAAGUUUCAUUUCCAAUAAAUUAGGUUACAAAUUUAAUACCUUUAAAAUAUUUUAUUUUACUAUACAAAAAAAAAUAUUUUUAAUUUACUUGAUUUUAUGUUAUUAUGAUAUGCUAAUAAUUAUUUCAUUUAAAAAUAUUUUAGUAAAUUUAGAAUUAACAUGUGUCAACAUUUAAUCGGGAUAAUUGACACGUGGCACAAUCUUGUUAAUGACUAACUUUGAAAAGUAAAUUUUGUGUUAAAAAACUCUUAUUUUAUUUUAGAUAUUUUUGUGCAUAUGCUAAUAAUUAUUUCAUUUAAAUAUAUUUUAGUAAAUUUAGAAUUAACAUGUGUCUAAAUUUAAUCGGGAUAAUUGACACGUGACACAAUCUUGUUAAUGACUAACUUUGAAAACCAAAUUUUGUAUUAAAAAAUUCUUUUUUUAUUUUAGAUAUUUUUUGUGGAUUAUACUAUUUUUUGUAGAAGCCAAUAAAUAUCAUUAAGGUUUAGCUUAGUUUGAGUUUUUUUUUUAAUAAAUUUAUUUCUUUCUUCUUUAUUGUAUGUGACACUUUUCCAAUGAGAGGAACUCUCAAAUUAUAUUAUGAAUAUCUUAAUAGUUAAUAAAUUCAAUUGUUUGUGAUUUUUAUUUUCUUUCUUCAUAAAGCAAAUAAAUAUUAAAAGUUGGCUAGGUUUCUCUUUAUGUUCACCAAUCCAAACUCUUUAUAACCCCAUAUAAACACAUACUCUUCUAAACCAAAGCAUUUCAUCAUCUUCCUUGUUGCUUAAGCUAUGGCUUCUCUCUUUAACCAAGUCCCUUCUAUAUCCACAGUUUUCGCCCUCUACACAUCUUUAUCUGCAACCACUUUGAUCCUCCGUAAAAUCCUCAACGAUAUUGUGCCUAAACCAUUACGAGAUUACAUCACUAAGAAAUUUGCAGAAUUGUUCUCUUCUCACUUCCAGUCGAAUUUCACGUUUGUGAUUGACAAAACAUGGGACUUUUGUGAAAAUCAGACUUUCCGUGCGGCCGAAGUUUACUUAAAAUCGCGCGUCGCGGGACUCUCCACUAGAGAACUCCCUGUGGGUUCGAGUGAUCUCAAGAAUCCGGACGCUGAGAUAAAUUUUGGAGUCCCUGUCAACACAAAGAUCUUUGAUGAGUUUGAAGGGAUUCAUCUUGAGUGGAUUAUGCACAAUGUUGAGUCGAACAAUCAUAAGUAUGUGAAACAGUACUCGUUAUCUUGAUCUUUGUCUUCUCCUUGAUCUUUAAUCUUAAAUCUUCUUUUGUUCUUACAAUGUUGGUCUUUUGUGUUGUUUCAUGUUUUCAGGUACUUUCGUCUGACUUGUAAGAAGGAGUUUCGUGAGAAGAUAAUGAAAGAUUACUUCCCUCACUUUGCGAAAUCAGCAGCGAAGAUCAUGAGACAACGCGAAAAUCUCUACAUCUACACUUACAACCAAAUGCGGUCAGCAUGGGAACCAGCUAUUUUCAAGCACCACACGACCUUCGAAACCUUAGCUAUGGAGCCGAAACUUAAGACGACCAUAAUCGAAGAUCUUGAUGCUUUUGCUAAAGGAAAAGACUUCUUCAAGGGCGUUGGACGCGCUUGGAAACGUGGAUAUCUUCUUUACGGUCCACCGGGAACAGGGAAAUCCUCUAUGGUGGCUGCAAUAGCUAAUCACAUGAACUACAAUAUCUAUGAUCUACAGAUUCAGAGUGUUAGAGAUGAUGGUGAGCUGCGGAAGAUUCUUACUGCUACCAAGAACAAGUCAAUUCUUCUCAUUGAAGACAUUGAUUGUGGAACUGAUGUGUCUCAUAGACGCCAGACUACAAAGGAAGAAGAUGUUAAGCUCCAAAAAGAUAAAAAGAAGGAUGACUUUGGGGUAUAAGUUAGAAAAAUUUCCUCUGUUUUUGUUAACCUCUCUGUUUUUUCGAACCUAAAUCUUCUUUCUUGUGGACAGAUAUCUUUGUCUGGUCUAUUAAACUUUGUAGAUGGGCUUUGGUCGAGCUGCGGAGAAGAAAGGAUUAUAAUUUUCACUACCAAUCACAAGGAGAUGAUCGACCCGGCAUUGAUAAGGCCGGGAAGAAUGGAUGUUCACAUUCUUAUGGACUAUUGCACCCCAUAUGUCUUGAAGAAGCUUGUGGCUAUGUACCUCAAGAUUGAUGACCAUGUUCUAUUUGAUCCCAUUGAGAAGCUUGUCCUUGAGGUGAGUGUAACUCCUGCUGAAGUCGCACAGCAGAUCAUGGCGACUAAGAACGCUGAUAUCGCGGUCAAUGGUCUCCUCGAGUUCCUCGGAAACAAGAAGAUGGAGAAAGGAGAUGGCAAAGUAGAGAAAGAGGGAGAGCUUGAAUAUGCUGACACUAAAGAAGCUUAAACAUAAGUAGACCUCUGCUGCUAUUGAGAAAGUUAUCAUUCUAGUGGAUAUGCAUACUGUAUAUUGAAAAUAAUUAAAAUAUCUAAACAUUUUGUGGUCAUGUUGAAGAACAUUACCUUUUUUCAUAUAUUAUUGUGGCGAAAAUAAAUGGUUUCUAAGUGGAAUUAAUUAGAUUAUAUAUGUGUGUUUAAUAUUUUUUUUUUUUUACCAUUUCUAUAUUAUUAAAUUUUAACCAUUUUUGUUUUUUGUUCAUCUAAUCAUUAUUCUUUUUUUUUUGAACACCAGUCUAGACAUUAUUCAAUUUUUGUUUCUUGCAUAUUUCUUUAUGUUGUAAUUUAUUGUUUCAUUAGUAUUACUACAUUUUAGCUAGUUUGCAUUAUAAUCUAUAUAUGUAUGUAUAUAUUUUAAUAUAAUUAAAUCAUUAAAAUAAAAUUUAAUCAGAUUUUUUUUCAGUUAACAGUAUUAACUAUUAAGUGAUACUUUCCUGUGAGAAAAUUAUUCUUUAAUUAAUUUUAAGAGUAAAUAAAAAGUUUUAUACUAAGAAUAAUUUCACCAUUUAAAAACUCUUGUAAAUUUCUUUAAAAACUCUUGUAAAACCUUUAAAAUACCUUUUAAAAAUCCUUGUAAAAAAUUAUGCCGGAAAAUUUUGUAAAAAUAUUUUUUUUUGCCGGAAAUUGUUUUGGCGGAAAAAGUUUUGGCGAGAAAUUUUUGGGGAGAAAAUUUUUGGAAAGAAUAUUCCUUCCUAUGGGAAAUAAUAUUCUUUCAAAUAGGGUAAAAUGGCCCUUAAAAUUUAGCAGAGGACAAACAUGAAAAUGGCAAAAUAAGAGGGUAGUUUUGCAAAAAGGUAUCAUAAAAAGAUUAUUAGUAAUUAUUUCUCUAAAAUCUAAUGAUUUGAUCUAUAUUAGCAAAGAAGUUUCAUUUCCAAUAAAUUAGGUUACAAAUUUAAUACUUGUAAAAUAUUUUAUUUUACUAUACAAAAGGAAUAUUUUUAUUUUUACUUGAUUUUCUUUUUUUAUGAUAUGCUAAUAAUUAUUUCAUUUUAAAAUACUUUAGUAAAUUUAGAAUUAACAUGUGUCAACAUUUAACAGGGACAAUUGACAUGAGGCACAAUCUUCUUAAUAACUAACUUUGAAAACAAAAAUUAAUAUAAAAAAAUUCAUAUUUUAUUUUAGAUAUUUUUUUGUGCUUUAUACUCUUUUUGUAGAAGACAAUAAAUAUCAUUAAGGUUUAGCUUAGUUUAUUUUUUUUUAAAAAUUAUUGCUUUCUUCUUAAUAGUAUGUGACACUUUUCCAAUGAGAGGAACUCUCAAAUUAUAUUAUGAAUAUCUUGAUAGUUAAUAAAUUCUAUUGUUUGUAAUUUUUAUUUUCUUUCUUUAUUAAGCAUUUAAAUAUUAAAAGUUGGCUAGGUUUCUCUUUAUAACCCCAAAUAAACACAUACUCUUCUAAACAAAAGCUCUUCACCAUCUUCCUUGUUGCUUAAGCUAUGGCUUCUCUCUUUAACCAAGUCCCUUCUAUAUCCACAGUUUUCGGCCUCUACACAUCUUUAUCUGCAACCACUUUGAUCCUCCGUAAAAUCCUCAACGACGUUGUGCCUAAACCAUUACGAGAUUACAUCACUAAGAAAUUUGCAGAACUGUUCUCUUCUCACUUCCAGUCGAAUUUCACGUUUGUGAUUGACAAAACAUGUGAGUUUUGUGAAAAUCAGACUUUCCGUGGGGCCGAAGUUUACUUAAAAUCGCGUCUCGCGGGACUUUACCCCCUACUGUACUGCACAUCCUUUUUGCCCUCACAAUCAUUGAUUUUGUCUCCAUACCUCAUUCCUAUUCAAGAAUCCAUCUUAUAAAAUCAGAUCCUCUUACGUAAGUUUGGCGGAAAAACUUGACUACGAAGAUUUGAUAGAUGAAUUUGCAAGUAGAAAUGCAAGAAGAAUCAUAUUCAGAAAAAGAAAAUUUUUAUUGAUAUGUGAUGUUUUAGAACUUUUAAUGCUUUUGUUAACCAUAUCAGUUUUAUGUUUACUUUGAUCAAUUUUUUUUUAAUUAUGAAUAUGAAGAAAGUGGUCUUUUUUUUUGUCCGGCUUGUAGUCGUAUUAAGUGUAGGGACGGCUCUGUAUGUACCUCAAGAUUGAUGACCAUGUCCUAUUUGAUCCCAUUGAGAAGCUUGUCCUUGAGGUGAGUUUAACUCCUGCUGAAGUCGCACAGCAGCUCAUGGCGAGUAAGAAUGCUGAUAUCGCGGUCAAUGGUCUCCUCGAGUUCCUCGAAAACAAGAAGAUGGAGAAAGGAGAUGGCAAAGUAGAGAAAGAGGGAGAGCUUGAAUAUGCUGACACUAAAGAAGCUUAAAUAUAAGUAGACCUCUGCUGCUAUUGAGAAAGUUAUCAUUUUUAUGUGAAUAAACCAUUCUAGUGGAUAUGCAUAUAUUGAAAAUAAUUAAAAUAUCUAAACAUUUUCUGGUCGAAUUAUGAGUAUUCGUUAAAAUUAUAAAAUUUAACUAAUCUAUGUUGAAGAACAUUACCUUUUUCAUAUAUUAUUGUGGCGCAAAUAAAUGGUUUCUAAGUGGAAUUAAUUGAAUUAUAUAUGUGUGUUUAAAUUUUUUUUUUUUUUUACCAUUUCUAUAUUUUUAAAUUUUAACCAUUUUUGUUUUUGUUUAUCUAAUCAUUAUUAUUUUCCUUUUUUUCUUGCAUAUUUCCUUUUGUUGUAAUUUAUUAUUUCAUUAGUAUUACUACAUUUUAGCUUGUUUGCAUUAUAAUCUGUGAAAGACAGUAAAUAUAUAUAUUUUAAUAUAAUUAAGUCAUUAAAAUAAAAUUUAAUCAGAUUGCUUUUUUUUUUCAGUUAACAGUAUUAACUAUUAAGUGAUACUUUCCUAUGAGAAAAUUAUUCUUUAAUUAAUUUUAUGAAUAAAUAAAAAGUUUUAUACUAAGAAUAAAUUCACUGAUACAUUAGGACUUUUCAAUUUGUCCAUAUUUUUUGUGUAAGUUUCCUACACUUACCCUAAAUAUGCAAACUUUCUUGUUCACUACGCUUUAGUACAACACAACCUCUUUAUAAACCCUAAAGUACAAACUUCUUCACCAAAGCUCUUCUUCGCUUUAAAGCUAUGGCUUCUCUCUUUAACCAAGUCCCUUCUGUAUCCGCAGUUUUCGCUCUCUACACAUCUUUAUCUGCACUUACUUUGGUUCUACGUAACAUCUUCAACGAGAUUGUACCUAAGAAACUCCGUGAUUACGUAACUGCGAAAUUUUUAGACUUGUUCUCUUCUUACUUCCAAUCAAAUUUCACGUUUGUGAUUGAACAAAAAUGGGAUUAUUGCGGUAAUACUACUUUCACUGCGGCCAAUGUUUACUUAACGACACGUUUGCCCGGAUCCUCGACCGGAAAAAUCCUCGUUGGUUCGAAUGAUCUCAAGAAUCCAGCAGCUGAGCCAAAUCUUGGAGUCCCUGUCAAUACAAAGAUCGUUGAUGAGUUUGAAGGGAUUCAUCUUGAGUGGACUCUACACUACGUUGAGUCCAAGAAUAAUUCAUAUGAGAAAAAGUACUAAGCUUCUCUCUUCGAUCUUGUCUUGAUAAGAAGUUUUCAUAUCUUUUUGUUGUUCUUACAGUUAUUGUUUUAUGUUUUCAGGUACUUUCAUCUGACUUGUAAGAAGGAGUUUCGUGAGAAGAUAAUGAAAGAUUACUUCCCUCACUUUGCGAAAUCAGCAGCGAAGAUUAUGAGACAUCGCCAAGAUCUCUACAUCUACACUUACGAUCGCGAGGAGCUAUCAUGGGAAUCUGCUAUUUUCGACCACCACACGACCUUCGAGACCUUAGCUAUCGAGCCGGAACUUAAGACCACUAUGAUCGAGGAUCUUGAUUCUUUUGCUAAAGGAAAAGACUUUUUCAAAAGAGUAGGACGCGCUUGGAAACGUGGAUAUCUUCUUUACGGUCCACCGGGAACAGGGAAAUCCUCUAUGGUUGCUGCAAUAGCUAAUCAUAUGAAGUACAAUAUCUAUGAUCUACAGAUUCAAAGUGUUAGAGAUGAUGGUGAGUUGCGGAAGAUUCUUACCGCUACCAAGAACAGGUCGAUUCUUCUCAUUGAAGACAUUGAUUGUGGAGCUGAUUCGUCUCAUAGACGUGAGACUUCAAAGGAAGAAGAUGUUAAGCUCCAAAAGAAUAAAAAGAAGCGUGACCUUGGGGUAAGUUAGAAAAAAUCCUCUGUUUUUGUUAACUCCUCUGUUUUUUACUAAUUGCUCUGUUUUUGAAACUUAUUAUGUAUCUUCUUCCUUGUGGACAGAUAUCUUUGUCUGGUCUACUGAACUUUGUAGAUGGGCUUUGGUCGAGCUGCGGAGAAGAACGAAUCAUAAUUUUCACUACCAAUCACAAGGAGAAGCUCGACCCGGCAUUGCUGAGGCCAGGAAGAAUGGAUCUUCAUAUUCUUAUGGACUACUGCACCCCCUUUGCGUUGAAGAAGCUUGUGGUUAUGUACCUCGAAAUUGAUGACCAUGUCCUGUUUGAUCCCAUUGAAAAGCUUGUCCUUGAGGUGAGUGUAACUCCUGCUGAAGUCGCACAGCAGCUCAUGGCGAGUAAGAACAUUGAUAUCGCGGUUAACGGCCUCCUCGAAUUCAUGGAAAACAAGAAGGUAAAGAAGGAAGAAAAUACCAAAGUUGAGGAAAAGGGUGAGAUUAAAGAUGCUGAGACUAAAGAAUAAAAGAUGCUCUCAAACAUAAGUCCACCUCUGGUGCUAUUAGUUAUCUUCAAGACUUAUUAGAAGUAAUUGUCUAUUUCAGUUCUACUUCUUUACACUACAUGUUCGUUGUAUAUGAAGAAUCAGAGGGAGACAGGAGACUGAGUCUUAAAAUUAUAUAUACUAUAGUUUAUAUAAUCCGGAACAUGGAACAUGGAAAGCAAAGACAAGAACUGAGAGAAAAAUGGAUUUUCAAAACUAACCACAAGUGUAAAAGCAUAUGUUUUGAGAUCAUGCAAGCUAACCAUAGUCAAUUGCUAGCAAACCAAUUAUGUGUGAAUUUUAUUCUACUAGUUAUAAAAAUCGUUAGAUCUACUAUCUUAUAAAUAUUAAAAAGAAAAAUUGUGAUUUUUUAUUUAUUUUUACGUGUUAUUUUUAGGUAAACUAAUUAGUUUUUUUUUUAGUUUAGUUUUGAAAUUAUCGAAACUAACUAAUUAUAAAAAUUAAUGCAUUGAAUAUAUAUACAAAAUAUUUUAUAUUGAAUAUUGUAUAUAUAUUUUUAAUUACACAAUAUUAUAAAUGAUUCAAUAACAUAAUUUUCUAAAUAUUAAAAAACUAAAAAUAUUCUUUUUUUUUGAAUAUUUAUGUUGGUCAACGCCGGUCAAACUGGUCAAUGCCAGAUUCCGGCGAAAAGUGUACCGGGAAAAAAAUGUUCGUGAUGUUGACGACAUGACUACAUAUAAUUCGUAUAUGUGAGCAUGCGAUGCAUAUAGUUUGUGUAGUUAGGGAUACAUUUUUAAAUUUCGUUUGUGUUGCCAUGUAUUAUAGCAUAAUUCGUGUAGCUAGGUAUUUUUUUUGUUUUUUCUUUUUUAAUUACCGUAACAUCUCCAUGCAUGACUUACCGUAUCAAGCUGAACGAACACUUGCCGAUAAACCAUAUUCAAGUACAUGACAACUUAAGACAGCUAAACGAACAUGACGUUUCUGUCUAUUUGCUUAGAAACUACGAUAUUUGGAAUCUUAUAUAUGUCUUAUCAUAAUUCAGUGAACAACAACCAGAAAAUUUCAAUAUCCAUCUUUUAUACAAAAAGUCUUCUAGGAAAGGAAGCCCAUUUCUCUCUCUUUUCUCAUAUACUAUAUGUAAACUUCUAGUUGUGUAGUGCUGAUUUACUUAUCCUAAAACUCUUGGUGAUCUCUUCUCUCUAGCUACUUUCUCCCAUGGAGGCUUGUUCUUUUGGCAGCUAUAGAUACGACGUUUUCCCAAGCUUCAGUGGGGUAGAUGUUCGCAAGACGUUCCUUAGCCAUCUUCUCAAGGCUCUCGACGCCAAAUCGAUCAAUACAUUCAUGGAUAAUGGUAUUGAGAGCAGCAACCAAAUCGGCCUUUCGCUUUUAACUGCGAUAAAAGAAGCGAGGAUCUCAAUCGUCAUCUUCUCUAAGAACUAUGCGACUUCCACGUGGUGCUUAAAUGAAUUGGUUGAGAUUCACAAGUGCUAUAAGGAAUUGGGUCAAAUGGUGAUUCCCGUUUUCUACAACGUUGAUCCUUCGGAAGUUGGAAAACAGACGGGUGAUUUUGGUAAGUUAUUUGAAGAGACAUGCGUGGUCAGCAAGGAAAAACAACCAGAGGGUCAGAAACAAAGAUGGAUGGAAGCUCUCACAGAUAUAGCAAAAAUAGCCGGAGAGGAUCUUCUGAACGGGUAUGUUGUUUUGAUUCCAUUAUUUCUAUUAAAAUAUUAUUUUUCUCUACAUAGACUUCGAAUGUGCAUUUCUGGGUGCCUCUUUUUUUGUUGACAAAAGUACUCAAUAUUGUUAUUAGGUCUAGUGAAGCAGCCAUGGUUGAAAAGAUAGCUAAUGAUGUUUCGAAUAAACUUACCUCAUCCACGAAUUGUUUUGAUGGAUUCGUCGGGAUCGAAGCUCGUUUAAAGGAAAUGGAACCAUUAUUGUCCUUGAAAUCCAAGGAAGCUAGAAUGAUCGGGAUUUGGGGGCCUUCCGGGAUUGGUAAGAGUACCAUUGGAAAAGCUCUAUAUAAUCAACUCAUUAGCGAAUUCUACUUUCACGCUUUCAUACCUCAUGUCUAUAGCAUCAAGUCUGAAUGGGAGAAAAAAUUUCUGUCAGAAAUUUUAGGUAAAGAUAUAAAGAUAAGAGAGAAAUUCGGUGUAGUGGAGCGAAUGUUAAAUAAGAAGAAAGUUCUUGCGGUUCUUGAUGAUGUGGAUGAUCCAGAGUUUCUUAAGACCUUGGUGGGGAAAACUAAAUGGUUUGGACCCGGAAGCAGAAUUAUUGUGAUUUCUGAAGAUAAGCGAAUUUUUGAUCAGGUUCAUGAUGUUGACCAUUUAUACGAGGUGAAGUUCCCAUCUCAAGAUAUUGCUCUUAAGAUGUUAUGUCAGACUGCUUUUGGGAAGAACUCUCCACCUCAUGAUUUUAAGGAAGUAGCCGUUAGAGCUGCAAAGCUUGCCUAUAAUCUUCCUUUGGGUCUCAGUAUCUUGGGUUCGUCUUUAAGGAAAAGGGGGGAAAAAGAGUGGAUGAAAAUCAUGCCUCAACUCCAAAAUGAUUUGGAUGAAAAAAUUGAGAAAAAAUUAAGAAUCAGGUUCGACAGGUUAAGUGAAAAAGAUCGAGAGUUAUUUCUGUACGUUGCAUGUUUUUUCAAUGGUUGUAGAGUCCGUUACUUCGAAGAUUUCCUUCGCAAUAAUUUUGGGCUACAAUCGUUGAUUGAUAAGUCCCUCGUACGUAUUACACCAGAAGGAUAUAUAGAGAUGCACAAUUUUGUAGAGAAGUUGGGUAUUAAAAUUGAUCGCGCAGAGUGUAAAGGUAAUCCUGGAAAAUCUCGAUUUCUGAAGAAUGCUGAGGAAAUUCUAGAAGUAUUUACUCAUAAAACCGUAAGUUUAAUAAUUUACUUCCGGUAUAAACUAUAAUCGUUUAAACUUUUGACACACAUAUUAAAAGGAAAAAAAAGCUGUUUUACAUUUUUAUUAUUAUACUGUACAUUAGAUUAGUAAAAAUAAAUUGUUGCUAUGGCUAAACUAAUAGUUGUUCUCUUGCGAUAAUUUUUUUGCAGGGAACGGAAACUGUAGUUGGAAUAUUCUUCAAAGCAUCAGAACUUAGUAAUGAAUUUAUUUCAAUUGAUGGAGACUCCUUCAAAGGCAUGGCUAAUCUCCAAUUUCUAAAAAUUCAUAACUAUUCCUUGUGGUCAUCGACUGAAACCUGUAUAGUGCAUCUACCUAAAGGCCUCGAUUACUGGCCACGUAAACUCAAAUGGCUAGAGUGGAAUAGUUUUCCAUUGAAGUAUUUGCAUCGUAGUUUUAAUACUGAGCAUCUAGUUGAACUCAGCAUGGAGGACAGUAAGCUUACGAGGCUAUGGGAUGGAACUCAGGUAACAAUCAUGCAUUGUAUUAGUUGUCAGUAUAUUACUAUAUUUAGUAACAUGCAUGUUUUAAAAGUUAAAUGAAAUCUUUUUCAAAAAUGUUUUAUGAACGUGUGUGUUUUUUCUCUUUUCCCCUAUUUUGUUUUCAGCCACUUGGAAGCCUCAAGACGAUGGAUUUAAGUCGCUCCAAAUAUUUGAAAGAAGUUCCAAAUCUUUCUAAGGCAAAAAACCUUGAGGAAUUACAUCUUCAGGGAUGCAUAUCUUUGGUAGAGCUUACUCGCUCCAUUCAGGUUGCCGUUAAACUGAGAAAGUUAAAUAUGUGUGGUUGCAUAGAGCUAAAGAGAUUUCCAACGCAUCUCAACUUGAAAUCUCUCCACGACCUCGAUCUCACUUGUUGUCAUAAUUUGACAAAUUUUCCUCUAAUUAAAAUGGAGAAUUCAAUCAAUAUGCCAUAUCAAGUUGAGAUCCGUGUAGAUGAUUGUUUAUGGAACAGGAAUCUUUAUGACACAAUGUGGAACAGAGAUCUCUAUGGACUCGACUAUCUCGGCUGCCUUAGAACAUGUAUACCAUGUCAAUUUCGCCCGGAAUAUCUCGUUCGUCUCAUAGUGAUAGGCAACAAAAACCUUAAGAAGCUAUGGGAAGGCGUCCAGGUAACAUUAUUUUUGUUAUAGCAUUCACUGAUUCUCGUUUAACCUCUGUGUACGUUAUAACUAAUAAGUAAAUAUAACCGAAAUUUUCAAUAGCUUGUGAGCCACGGUUUAAUUUUACAUACAUACAUACUAGUCUUUAACAUGAAAUUAGGUAUAGAAUUAAUUAUGAUUACAUAACUCAUGAAAAUCGAAGAAUAACAAUGUUUUUUUUUAAUAUAUAUAAAUUUCAGCCCCUUGGAAGUCUCACAGAGAUCGAUCUGUCAGAAUGCACAAAGUUGACAGAAAUUCCAGAUCUUUCAAAGGCCAUCAAUCUGUGGAGUUUGAAACUCAACAAAUGUGAAAGUUUGGUGACUUUACCUUCUAAAAUUGGGAAUCUCCAAAAUUUAGUGAGGUUGGAAAUGAGAUGGUGCAUACUGCUGGAGGUUCUUCCAAUCGAUGUCACCUUGUUAGAUCCCGAAAUCCUCGAUCUUACUGGUUGCAAAAGUUUAAGAAAUCCCUCGGAUUUCAUGGCGUAUCAAAAAGCUCUAUAAGGAAAACACCGCCAUUGACGAAGUUCCUUGUUGCAUUGACAAAUUCUCGAGGCUCAUUUGUUGAAAAGCGGAACCAGUUGAAGAUGGUCCGUAAGAGAAAAGCAAGCUCGACAUCUGUGAGAUUGUCGUGAGCACUGCACCAUUUUCCGAGGAGAGAGCUUAUGAAUACACGCCACAAACUGCUGUUGUUUUUUCCUUACUAUAAUUUAUUAAGAAAAAAGAUACCUAACUACACGAAAUAUACUACGUUACAUAGCCACAUAUCCGAAGUUUAAAAAUGUAUCUUUAAUUACACAAACUAUAUGCAUCGCAUGCCCAUACAUACGAACUAUAUGUAGUCAUAUCGCCAACAUCACGAACAUUUUUUUCCGGUACACUUUUCGCCGGAAUCCGACAUUGACCAAUUGGACCGGCGUUGACCAACAUAAAUAUUCAAAAUUUUUGUUUUUUUGUUUUUUAAUAUUUAGAAAAUUAUGUUAUUGAAUCAUUUAUAAAUUGUAUAAAUAAAAAUAUAUAUACAAUAUUCAAUAUAAAAAUAUUUUGUAUAUAUAUUCAGUGCAUUGAUUUUUAUAAUUAGUUUGUUUCGAUAAUUUCAAAACUAAACUUAAAAAAAAACCAAUUAGGUAAAAUAAUUGUAAAUAAAAAUAACACGUAAAAAUAAAAAAAAAUUACAAUGUUUCUUUUUAAUAUUUAUAAGAUAGAAUAUCUAACGAGUUUUAUAACUAGUAGAAUAAAAUUCACACAUAAAUGGUUUGAUUCUAAUGCUUUAAUAUUUAAAAUUCACAUAUUAUAUAUUAAAUAUAAACCAAAUGGUACUUGUGUCCGAAUAUUUUUAAAAAUAGGAAAAUUUUCUGUUUACAAUUAUUUUUCCUAAUUGUUUUUUUUAGUUUAGUUUUGAAAUUAUCGAAACUAACUAAUUAUAAAAAUCAAUGCAUUGAAUAUAUAUAUACAAAAUGUUUUUAUAUUAAAAAUUGUAUAUAUAUUUUUAAUUAUAAAAUAUUAUAAAUGAUUCAAUAACAUAAUUUUUAAAAUAUUAAAAAACUAAAAAAAUUUUUUUUUUUUGAAUAUUUAUGUUGGUCAACGUCGGAUUCCGCCAAAAAGUGUAUCGGAAAAAAUGUUCGUGAUGUUGGUGACAUAAUUACAUAUAGUUCGUAUAUGUAGGCAUGCGAUACAUAUAGUUUUGUAGUUAGAGAUACAUUUUAAACUUCGUAUGUGUUGUCAUGUAUUGUAGCAUAUUUCGUGUAACUAGGUUUAUUUUUUCCUUUUUUUUAACAUGGAGAACUCGUCCGUUAGGGCUGGAACUGAAUUAAUGGGCUUAAAGUAGACUAAAAGCCUAAUUAAUAACUGUUAUUGGGCUUUAGAGAAUCGCACACGUGUGAUACUGCACGUGCCACAGCAAGGCGCCAAAGCCAAAGAAGGACACACACCAUAUCCUUCCGUUAUCGUCAUCUUCUUCAUGUCCUCGGAAUCCCAAAUUCUUAAGCUUUCCUCAAAAAAGCAGAGCUUUUUACACUUCUUUUGGCUUCGGCUCUCUCCCUCUUCAGCACCUUAGAAACUGGCGCUUCUAAUUCCGCUCGUAUCGUCCACCCGGGUCAGUGUGUUGGUGAGCUCAUCAUAGCAACUCAGUAGUACAAUGGAUGUUGCUGAAGUCCCAUGGCGUCGUCUUCCUCAAUUUUCAGUUUCUUCACGAGCCUCGUGGAGUUUUACUUCUGGGUUUCCUGUUUCUUCGUAAGUUGUUUCAUUGGGGCAUUUUAUCAUACACUUUGUCUGUGGCUUGUUCUAAUUGAAAUAAAAAUUGAAGCUUUAUGAUUUAAUGAAUACAUUGUGGAGAUGGGUUUCUUAUAUGGUGUUGUUAGAGCUUAAAGUGAGAGUUUAAUUUUGGGAAAGAUGAUGAAUUGUCCCUGAACUUAGCUUUUGAUGACUUAAGACAUAACAAGAUUGGAGGGGAAAAAUUUGUACAUGGAUGAACCUGAAAGAGAAUUGUAAUAGCAAAUUUGUGAAUAGGAAAUUUCACUUUGUACUAACUUGGAAUCUCUGUUAUACAACAGAUAUAUGUUCUCUCAUGUUGAGCGUGGGAAGACGUUUAGGCUCACUUUGUGCUUUGGGGUCGCUCGAGUUCGUGCAAGGUCUGCUAUUGUAAGUGGAAAGCAAGGUCAGUUUAUCUUUUAACUUUCAUGCCUCAAAUUUCAAGAUUUCUGUAUUUGCAUUUUAACUGCUGGAAUUUUGGUUUUCUGCAUUCUCAGAACAGUCAGCUAGUCUGCGGAAAGGAUUAUGCGAGGUUGUUUGGAUUGUAGAAGCUGAUUUGGCACCAAAUGAAGAUCUCUACGUUACUGGAGAUCCUUCUGCUUUAGGUAGCUGGGAGCCAGACUGUGCGAUCUCAAUGUCGCCUACUGAAAAUGAAAAUGAAUGGGAAGUUAAAGUCAAGGUAAUACAUUCACUUGUUUCACUUAAGCCUUAGCUAACAUAAGUAGAGAUUUAUCAGCAUAAGGAACCAAACUCUUUUCUUGAAAGCUAGUUCAUAUGUCUUGUUUGCUUAUAACUUAAUAUGCUUGGCAGAUUGCUUCUGGUGUAAAUUUCAGGUAUAAUUAUUUGUUAAAAGCUGGAUACGGAUCUUCAUCUGAUGUCAUCUGGAGACCAGGGCCACAAUUUUCGUUGUCAGUUCCUUCUUCUGUCAGUCGAGAGAGAAAAAUAAUUGUAAGGGAUUCAUGGAUGAGUGCUUCCUCAAAAUCAGAAGAAUCCUACGACUGGGGGUCUUGGGUUGAUGAUGCCUACCUUUUUUCAAAUUCUGUUACCGCAGCUCAAAGAAAAGGUAACAUUUCUGUGGUUCCUCCUCUUUCCGUCUCUUUCCAUCCUUUGCAAAAUGUUUGAAAACUCAAAUGCUUCCAGUGGUUUGGCAGAUGAAUGUAAUUCCGCUGAUAGUGCUAUAGAAGUCCCGAGACUACUUUUGAAUGAUAAGCAAGUGACAGAUGAAUCUUUCUUCUGUGACGAGCUUGCAGCUUCUUCAUCAGGAAACUCAAGCUUCAAUGCGUUCAGUUCCGACAAUUAUCAGCCUAUAGAGGAACCAUGGUUUCUUCAAGAAUCUAUUACCUUGCAACAUGAAAGGAAUAUGCAGACUGAUAGCGAACAAGAAGUUGAAAACUGUGAUGAAAUUGAAAACGCCUUAGAUACUGAUGAACAACAUCACGAGCUGACUGAUACUCUCUUACCUGAUGAUGGAUUUUUUAAACCAGAAUCCAUUUCAACUACGAUACUGAUCAAUUCUUCUAUAUGUACUGUGCAAAGGAUUGCUGUAUUGGAAGGUGAAAAGCUGGUCGAGUUAUUGUUGGAACCAGUUAAGACCAAUGUGCAGUGUGAUAGUGUUUACCUGGGCGUAGUCACUAAGUUUGUGCCCCACAUGGGUGGUGCAUUUGUGAAUAUCGGAAGUGCUAGACAUUCUUUCAUGGACAUUAAGUCAAAUAGGGAACCAUUCAUAUUCGCUCCAUUCUGUGAUGGAUCAAAGAAGCAAGCAGCUGAUAGUUCUCCAAUCCUCUCUAUAAAUGAUAUUCCAGCUCCCCAUGAAAUCGAACAUGCUUCCUAUGACUUUGAAGCCAGUAGUUUAUUAGACAUUGAUUCCAAUGACCCUGGGGAAUCGUUUCAUGAUGAUGACGAUGAGCAUGAUAAUGAUGAAUAUCAUGUCUCAGAUGCUCUAGCUGGACUAGUUAAUGGAAAUGUAGUGAACCAUGGCGCUGUGGAAGUUGGAUCUGAGAAUGGCUUUAUUCCUCUGGCUAGAGAACACUCUGCAGAUUCUCUCGUUCCAAAUUCAGCAGUUGCAAAAACUUCUAAGGAUAUGUCGGCUAAGGAUGAUAAGUGGAUUCAAGUUCGGAAAGGCACCAAGAUAAUUGUGCAAGUUGUUAAAGAGGGCCUCGGUACGAAAGGUCCAACUCUUACUGCUUACCCGAAACUGAGAAGUAGAUUCUGGGUAUGACAUGUCUUUUUUACCUUGACUCUUUUCCUUUCGUUUCUGAUAUGAUUCUAUUGUCUGAAAUAAAUUUUGUCCUUAUAGGUAUUACUGACUCGUUGCAAACGAAUUGGAGUCUCAAAAAAAAUAUCAGGAGUUGAGAGAACCCGGUUAAAAGUUAUAGCAAAAACAUUGCAGCCUCAGGGUUUUGGUCUGACGGUAAGGACUGUAGCUGCUGGCCAUUCUCUCGAAGAACUGCAGAAAGACUUAGAAGGUCUGCUUUUAACCUGGAAGAACAUUACAGAUGAAGCAAAAUCAUCAGCCCUUGCUGCAGAUGAAGGUGUGGAAGGAGCCAUUCCAGCGCUGCUACAUAGAGCAAUGGGUCAAACCCUCUCAGUUGUUCAGGACUAUUUCAAUGACAAGGUAGUUAGGCCAAUUUCCAUAUUUUUCUCCUCCAUUGGCCCCUCUAGAUUCUAUGUGUUGACAUGUCAAGUGACAGUAAUAUCUUGAUUUUUGCCAGGUUGAGAAGAUGGUGGUUGACUCUCCAAGGACAUACCAUGAGGUAAAUUUCCCUUAGUUUGCUCAAUUUCAUCCUUCAUAAUAGUAAUGAAUAGUGUUUUGAAAGAGACUUAUCCUGUCAUGAACGAUGAUCUUUUACCUAUAUACAAUUAUUGAUUUACAUCAUAUUUUGAGUGUUAUGUUCAAAUGCUUAAAGUAUAAGCUCCAGUUACAUAUGCCAUUUCUUCUCUUUUUAAACCUACUCUUGCACUUGCAGAUAACUAAACUGUACCGUAAUCUCGAUCACCCAAUAGAGUAGAUACUGUAUCCAAAUUAUUUCACUAACUGGUAUUAGCUUACAGGUCACACACUACCUGCAGGAUAUGGCACCUGAUCUUUGUAAUCGAGUGGAAUUGCAUGACAAGGGUAUCCCUCUUUUUGAUUUAUACGACAUUGAGGAGGAAAUCGAAGGUAUUCUCAGUAAAAGGUAAGAAGUGGCUAACACUACACCGUCAGGAGUUUUGAUCCACCUUUUCCUUCCCAUAUAUAUAUAUAUGUAAUUUAUCUUUUGCCUCUGGCAGAGUUCCACUUUCCAAUGGAGGUUCUUUAGUGAUAGAACAAACUGAGGCGUUGGUCUCUAUUGAUGUGAACGGAGGACAUGGAAUGUUUGGUCAGGGUAAUUCACAGGAGAAAGCUAUUCUAGAAGUUAAUCUUACUGCUGCCAGACAAGUAUGUGAUACGUUUUGGCUGCUAGAUUACAUAUUGAUCCGUCAACCUUUUGCGCCAGAAAUUCUACCUCUGUAUAGUACCUUAGUAGUUAUUCUAAUAGAGUGUCAUGAGGUCAGAUACUAACAUAUUUAUGGGUAUAUGAUUAGUGAAUGCCUUAGGAAAAUUUAAUAGGUAGAAAGAGUAACUGUGUGAGGCCUGCUUGACUUGUGCAAUUCUCCUUGAAGUCUACUCGAGUUUUACAAUAUGCUGAUCUUGAAAAUUAUUUACUAAGUAAUACUCGAUGCAUCAUGAUUCAGAUUGCAAGGGAGAUUCGGCUGAGAGAUAUUGGCGGUAUCAUUGUGGUAGAUUUUAUUGACAUGGCAGAUGAAUGUGAGUUAGAUUGUCAUUGUUAUUCAUACAGUCACAUAAAAUUCUAGAUGUGCAAACCUCUUUCUUGAAUGAUGGAUAUCUUGUAUAUUCUUGUUUAAUUUUUUCUUUUUUUGGGUUUCAGCAAAUAAGAGACUCGUUUAUGAAGAGGUCAAGAAAGCAGUGGAGAGAGAUAGGUCACUGGUAAAAGUAUCAGAGCUGUCUAGACACGGACUUAUGGAAAUAACAAGGAAAAGGGUAUAGUCUCAACGUGUGGAUGUUUUACUCUUUCUAUAGAACUUCUAAUCAAAUUAUUUGGCAUAGCACGUCAACUAUAUACUGUCACAGGUUAGGACGUUCCCCUGAAAGAACUGAACCCUUGAGUUAUACUUAUUGCAGUGAAUCAUUUUUUUAACAGGUUCGACCAAGUGUAACAUUCAUGAUCAGUGAACCGUGUUCUUGCUGUCACGCAACUGGUAGAGUGGAGGCACUGGAGACUUCCUUUUCAAAAAUUGAGCAAGAGAUUUGUCGGCAGCUCGUGAGUGUUACAAUCUAAGACUCUUUUAUGUUACUUCUCUUUCCAACAACCAAAUGAAGAACAGCUAAAAUAAGUCAUAAGAACAUCUAGAAUAAGUGAUUGUUGUUGUUCUUCUUCUCCAUUUAUUCAAACGUGUAGAUCAUCCUUCAAUUAUGUUUUUGUUCAUGUCAUGAUGAUCUAAAUUUUUCAGGCAAAGAUGGAUAAAAGAGGAGACCUGGAGAACCCCAAGUCAUGGCCAAGAUUCAUAUUGCGGGUGGACAGUCAUAUGUCAAGCUUCUUGACUACGGGGAAGAGGACGCGGCUUGCAGUCCUCAGUAGUUCCUUGAAAGUAUGGAUUCUCUUAAAGGUACCCACACUCUUCCUCCUUUCAUGCGAUUAGCGAUAGCCAGAAGUUUCCAUGAUGAAGGUUGUGUCUUAUUAAUUUUUCUGACACAACUGAGGAAUAAACUGUCUUUUGUAGGUUGCUAGACAUUUCACCAGAGGAACCUUUGAGGUUAAACCGUACAUGGACGAGAAGACGGUAAAUGAAAGACAGCAUCAAGUUGCCAUUUCACUGCUCAGGAAAGCUGACGCCAUAACAGACUCAUCAAGCAAGAAGAAGCUCACCCUUAUUCCAAUUAAGAAGGAGAAGUCCAGUGGUAAACGAAGACGAUGAAACAAUUGUUCUCUUUUUUUGAUUAAGUUCACAUCAUUUUGUUAGUUGUCUCAAGUAAUAAUACCCUAUGUAAAAACAUAAAAACUGUUAUUAGAAGAUCAGACUUAUUCACAACAAAAAAAAUUACUAUUCCACACUAGAUUUAAAAUUCAACAAUAGAAAAUAUAAACUACAGAUUAUAUAAAACAAUAGAAAAAUAUAUAUUGUUCUCUUAUCUAUGUCAUAAUCUAUUGGACUAAAAUAUACAAUUUCAAAUGUGUAAAUUAUUAUUAAAAUCACGGUUAUGAGAUACUAAUAUGCCCAUUGAAAGGUUAGUUUUUGCUUGAUGCUUUUUUUGGAGUUGGGCUAAUGGUUUAGACUGAGAGAGAGAGAGAGAAGAUCCUGUUUCUGGUUAUGAUGUUGGGUUUAGUUGAUUAAUCAAGUCGUUUUCGUUUUUUUUUGGUUGAUUUAAUUAGGUCUAGCCAGCUUUGAUGUAAGGCCAUCUUUGGUCGAUAUAUGUAUCAAAAUCCUAAUUAAAAAACAUUGAUCAUGUUACAAUUAUCAAACGGAGUUGAAUUGCAUCUCCUGAAUAGAGUCCUACCGCACUGUUCUAUUGACCAAAUCAAAAGGAUUGUAGACAGUGAUGAUUAACUUAGUUACAUAUGCUCACAUACUGUUGUGGUUUUUGGUGUUUCUUCUAACAUAUGCUAAAAAUAUUGGUUAGUAAUAUUCAUUGUCUUCAAAAUUUUAAUUUUAUUUAAUAAAAGUAUUGGUUAGUAGUCUUCACAAAUGAAAUAUUACUAACCAAUUUUUUUCUAUUCAAAUAAAAUUAAAAUUAAUUUCAUGUCAUUUAUGCAUUAAUAAUUAAUAGAAAUGAAUAAGGGUAAAAUUGAAAUAUUUUUUUUUGUUAAGUGAUCGCAAGUAUGAAAAUGUCAAAAUUUAUUUUUUCAAGUAUUAAAUUAUACGUUUUUAAUAAUAUAAGUAUUAUUCUUCCAACAAAAAAAAGACCAGAUAUUAAAUAUCCAAAUGAAAAUUAGAUAAGAUAUUUUUUAGCUUUUUCCCAAAAAAUGUAAAAUAGUCAACAUAAACAUUUAAAAGAAAUUCUAAAAAUUAUUUUAAAUAUUAGAGUUGUUUUAAUUAAUGGUAUAUUUGGAAAUUUGUGUAAUGUGUGCUAUAAUUGUGCAUAAAACAUAAUUUAAUGCUAUUUGAGGCUAUUUCUCUUAAAAAAAAAAAACUAAAGAAGUCCUACAUGAAUGAAGGAACACGUAAAGUCUUUCUUAUAUCUCUUUCUUUUAUGAGAAUAAUGAGAUCUAGAGGCUAAUUUUUUUUUUUUUUGUUUUUUUGUUAGGGAGACUAAGUCAUCAACCGCAAGCUAGUGAGCAAUAUUUUAGAGUCCUUAUGAGAGUUUCCGAACCUGCCAGCUAUAGAUUCUUCCUGGCAAAUUAGACGACUCUCAUUUUCUCAGCUUUUGACCAAACCAACGGACAUAGUUGCACAACAUUCUUCGUUACGAAUCAAGCCAAACAAGAUAUAUGUGUAGUCAAGAUUGUCUCGAUCAGUCGCAAAAGAUGCUUCAAGCUUUUCCUAGUUUGCCGGAAAAAUAAAUUUGAUUUGUUUGGUAAAAACAAGAUAACAAAAGUCAUGAAAGACUUGUCAUGCUGAAAUUACAAUUCUACCAGACUUUGAUUCAGAAGAUCGAAUCUUACUUGUCUAGGUAGCAAAUAAUCCCUGACAUUUUCUAUAAUUAGUAUAAAACCUAUAAAACGUAUUUAGUCUUUUGCUGUGUUUGACAAGUCCUUGGGCCUGUCUCGCCAAGUACAUAAGCCGAAGUGUCUCUCCUUCCCCUUUGCAUGGAUUUUUUUGAUGGGUCCUGUAAGGUUCAGAUUCUUAUGAAGAAAUCAAUGAUUUUUCUUGAUAAAGAUUUUCGAUUUGGUCGAUGGUGAGUACCUUAUGAAUGUGAUAAUAAAGAACUAUGAGAUCAGUUAUUUGUUUUACCUUUGGUUUUAUUAGGUACUUACAUGUUCUUAUAUCCUUACAGAUAUACCAUACAUGCAUUGAACAGUGCCUUCAGACAAUUUGUUUCUCGGUUGAGAAAGAACUGCUACAAAUAAGUAGAUUGUCAGGUUUUGUGACUUUCAGAGAACACAUGUCCUCAUUUUCAAAGUGAUUGGGUUGGCAGUAUAAUCAAAAAUCUUAUGAACAUGAUAGUUUGACAAAUGGUCUGAUUAAACUACCUAUACGAUGCAUUGGAAACGGAUUGGAUUUAUAAUAAUAGAACCAAACUAGAAGGGCCAAAAGGGCAAAUAUUAGUCUAAAAGUCACGAGAGACGAAACAACAGUAAUAGAAAGUACAAAACUAUAUUCUACAAGACAAAACUGGAAACAAGAUGAUGAUUCAUACAACAAAAACAAAUGAGGAAUUUGAAAGAGAGAUCAGGAAGUUGCAGCAUUGCAGGUCCCAACUCCAUCUUUGCAGUCGUUUGUAAGAUCGUUGAAUGUUUCAAUCUGCUUCUUGCCUCUCAAGAAUACUUCUGUGUCAACAGAUGCUCUCAUGUAACCAUCAAACUCCACCGGGUUACCUCCAUUAAGCUUUGUAGUCUCUGAAUACCACUCGCUGCUCUCGUCCCACAGAUCUUUAUAGUCAUAAAGAAAAUGAGUGGCGUACCUGUCUUUCAAAGGGUUGAACAAGGAUAAUCCUUCUUCAUUUGUUGCAAUGUAGAGAUUCCUUCCUUCUUCUACUUUGUCCUGCAAGGUCGACAAGAGAGCGCUUGGGGAAGUAUCUGCUUCUAGAUUAGGCCAAAGCUCCUUGUUUCUUGCUUUCUCUCCUCUCUCGAUGUGUACUGCAUCGUAGUCCCAGUUUAACCUCGAUGCAAUCGCAGAGACAAUUUCCAUCAACCUUCUUGAUUUCCAUAACAGAUGCCAAGGUCUUUUAACAGCAGAUUCUGCAUCUCCUUCACAAACUCUGUACCAGUAAUUGUCAGGUUCUACUGAUCCAAACUUCCUCAUUAUCAAUGUAUCUUUUACAUCAGCAAGCCUCAUCGGCGUGACCCUAAAAUCCUCCACGAGAUGAAGGUUCAAUCUAUUCUUCUUCUUAUGCAAUUUCUUCCACUCCGCCCAAAACUGAACUUCAUCCAACACAGAAGCCGCUUCUUUCAAAUGCUCGAAAUCAAAGUAAAACCGGAAGUCCUUCCCUUCCUCGUUCUGGCCAGACGACGUGUAGAUAGAAGACAGACACAAUGUCAAAUCCAUCACCAAAGUCCGGUUCAAAUACUGAGCUUCCCCAAGUGCACACAAGAAACUCCACAGAAAAUGAUUCAUACUCUUACACCUAUCUCCUCCACCUACGUAAACCAAGUACUUCCCGCUUUUAAACGCAUUAUCAGACUCAACCAUAGGAAGAGAAUCAUUCACUACCUCACCAACCACAGGCAAAGAGAAAUCAUCUUUCUUCCCACCAGUCUUCUCAAACCCAGCUUUCUGAUUCUUCUUCCGCUUCCUCGCAUUCAAACCCGAAUGAUACUCCCCAAUCCCAACCACACUCAAACUACAAUUCUCAGACUUUCCAAUCACAAACCUCCUAUAAUCCUUAUAGAAAGCAGCACUCUUUCCAUCUCUAGGCCUAUACCUCCACGCCAUGUCACAAGAAUUCACACCUUCCCCAACCGCAGGCUUACCAAACUUAUAAAAGUGAAUAUCUUUAAACUUCUCAAUGGUAGCUUUCAUCAUAAGAUGAAACACUUCUUGAUCUUUACAAUCAAUGGGAGCAUUCACAUCACAUUCCAACUGAUUAGCCUCUUCCUCAUUUUUCUCAAUGGUAUCACUAGUGGCUUCAACAUCAGUUAUGUUGAUGAAAGCUGCAAACGCGGUUUGAUUCGCCACCAUGAAAUCUUCGCCGGUUCUAACAACAGAGUCAUCGGAUCUCAAUGUAGCGUUUGAUGUGGAAGUGAGGAAAGUUGUGAUUUUGUCAGAUGGGUGGAAGAGAGGAUCUUCUGGUUCGUAAGUUGCGGCGAUGAUGGUGAAGAUUAGUACUCCGAAGACGAAGAGUGAGAAGCCUAUGUUCCCGAUUAAGUUUAGUGCGUUUUGCCCUAAGUUCUCAGGACGGAACCCUCCGGUUCUUGGAAUCGCAGAUCGACCAAACAUUUCUUCUUCUUCCGAUCCAGAUCCGAGAAUGAAGAAUGGAGAAGAAGACCCUCCUCAGUGGUAUAGUACUGUGUUUCCUUGGGAAGUCGAUGAAGCUCGAGUGAAGUGAAAGAUCCACCGACAAUGGCAGAAGUGUAAUUUUAGUGUAUUUAUUUCCCUAUGUAUUCUUUAUUGCAUUGGAUAAGUAAAGGAUCAAACUUUGGUUGACCACCAAUGCUCAGUAUUGAGUAAAUGAAUAAUUGAAAGAAUAAGAGCUGUACAUUGUAGUCUUCUUACUGAAGAUCUAAACAUCAGAACAAGGAUGUAUAUGACUUAGUGUUUGUUCACAUGAAGAAGCGUGAAAAGAAAGUAAAAAGAAGAAACUCAAGAGAGUGAAGUUGGUUGUUUGGUUUAGACUUUAGAGCCUAAGGUAGCCUCUUCUUUCUUGGACUAUGUUUGGUCUCUUCUGGAACGAUCUUCUGUUAAAAGACCAGCUUCUUUUCAUAUCUCUCAUACUCCACCAAGAAGCUAUACGACUAUAUAAAGCAGGGAAACCGAAGCAGGAGAGCACUAGAACCAGCAUUAUAAGACAGAUGUACAUUACAUUUCUGAAUCCGUCUCCUAGCUCUGGUUUGUCUUGUCCAGUCCAAGGAACUCCUCCGACGUUCAUCCCAAAAACUGGUAAGAAAAGAGGUUAGAUAGUGAUAUGAAUGGGAAGAGAAGGUUGGCUUUUUGGUGCUUUUCUUUUACCUCCGGUUAUAAUCGAUAGAGGAAGGAAUAUGAUGGAAAGAAAGGAGAGGUAGUAGAGCUUUCGGUUGAUUUGCUCGGCUUGCCAGCUAUCCAAACCAGCUUGGAUUGCAGUCACACGGUUCGCAAUGAAGCCUACAUUCUCUUUUAAACGUCUUAACCGCCCAAUCAACUCUUCCAAGGAGUUGAUGUCUUCUGCCAGAAACCAAGGCUUCGUGGAACAUUUUUCUUUCACUCUUGGAAAUACUUGUUCUCCAUGUGCAAUCACCUGAGAUGCAUGCCAAUGUUUAACUCAGAUUGGAUACAAAAAUCAUGUUCUUAGAACAAAAAUGUGCUGCAAAGACAUGAAAUCACAUAAAACAAUGUUGUGAAGUAAACGUAAGGUCUGGUGAUAUAUAGCUCUACCUGCAAAAGACGCUGCAAGUUGAGAUGCAAUUUGGGAAACCUUCUAUCAUUUAACAUCUGCUUCUUCAUAGCAAAUCCACCUAUCAUCAAAAUCGAUUAUUACAUAUGAUUCCAACAAACAACAACACAAAAGCCCUCUGAAAAGAAGUUGCAAAAGUGCAUGGACUUGAAAAGAAGUAAUCAAAUGGUGCGCAAAACAAAUGGCAAAUGCCUUUUUAAUUUGAGUCAUUUAAGGUUUAAGUAGCUAACCUCUAUCCAUUUCGAGUUCCACGGCAUCCAAAUCGAUCUCAAGUUUGGUAACAACAUCUUGCAGUUGAUCAACAUGUGUAUCAAUGAUAUGCACAACAAGAUUCGAAACAGAAGUUGGCACAGGGUUAUCAGCUUCCUCAGAGUGGUUCAUAGUCAGCAAGAAUUCAAGAACAUGCUCCUCAAUCACAAUCCCGCUUCUUUCCUUCCUCUCACCACGAUAAUACAAAGGAGAAUCCACACUAGGGACUUCCGAAAGAAGCGACUGACCCAUAGGCGAGAAUCCUAAUCUAGGAACUCGUCCUAAAGACACAGUGAUCACAGAAUGCUCAGUAAUCCUAGCAGCAAUCUUAAACGUAAAGUUACUUGAAGCAGGACCAGGUGAAUUAACUCUAAAAACAAGUGCUCCAUCAACAUGCCCACAAAAGGGUCCAUUACUAACAAGAGAAAGAAUGUCUUGAAGCUUCAAUGGUGGACAUAAAGAAUCAAUAAGUUGCUGAGCUGAUUGAGAAAGUUUCUGAUUCCCUUUAGGUAACUCUACAUGAUACCAACAAAACUCUUUCCCUGUUCCUUCAGCAAGAUCCCACUCUUUGUUAUAGUAUUUACCAUCACCAUCAAAUAUAUAUCCUCUCUGUCUCACCAUUCCUGAGUACUGAUGAGACCUAAACCUAUUAUGAGCGUCACUACGAGGAGCACUACUUGUAAAAGACUCAAGAUCUGUCUCAUCUACUUCAUCACCAAUUCGAUCCUGCUGCUGCAUCAUUGACAAAUCUUGAACCUUUCUCACACAAUUUGAAAUCAACCCACAAAGAAAAAUAGAAUCUUUAUCAUCAAACUCUCGAAUUCACUUCCUGAAACGAAUUGGGUAGAUGCAAAAUCACAUGAUCAGCAAACAACAACAUUGUAAAAUCCGAUUAAGGCACAAAUUGGGAUCAAAAGGGGUAAAACUUACAUGCAGGUUUGGGUGAGAUCUAAGUGAAGCUAGAUCACCGGAGCUAAUCAGAGGAAGAAGAAGAAGCUGAGAAUUUAGUUUUCUCAAUGAGGAGACUCGACGCGUAAAGAAGGAUGAAACAGUGAAAUUGAAUCUGGGCGUUGACAAGAGAAACAAGUAGGAAUCUGUCAGAGCAAAUUUUUAAUGGCACAGAUUGGAUCAUACGAAUCUUUAUUUACUAUUUUCCAACUCUUAUAAAUGAAAAACAUAUUUAAAUUAAGAAUAAUUUUGUUAGUCAAUUUAUAUAUAUAUAUAUAUAUCUUAUUAUAUAAACCUUGGUUUUCAAAGUUAGCCAUUAACAAGAUCGUGACACGUGUCAAUUAUAAACGAUAAGAUGUUGACACGUGGCAUAACUAAUUUUGUUAAUAUUUGGAUAAAAUAGAAAUAUUAUUGACCCUAUCGAAAAAAGGAAAUAUAUAAAUAAAUAUUAUAAAGAAUUAUAUAUUAAAAAUUAUUAAUAAAAUUAAACAAAUAACCUAAUUUCAGUUAUGUCAAUUUGGUUUAUUAAUAAGAUAGGGAUUUAAAAUUUAUAAUUAACAGAAUAUAUGACGGUUUUUGUUUACUGAAGAGGAUUAAGGUUUAAACUUUAAUUUUACAAUUAAAUCAUGUUAUUUGUUGGUUUGGGUAUAUAAAUGAUAAAUAAGAAUUAUGGUUUAUUUUUAUAAAUUAAAAUUAUGGUUUAAGCUUAACAAUUAAAUGAGCUUAUAUGUCGAAACUUGGUUUUUAAAUUUAAUAACUCACGUGAUCAUGAUAAGUGUUAAGUAAAAACAUAAGAUGUCUCAUGUCGCAACAUGUUAUAUCUAAUUUUAUUAAUAUUAAGAUAAAAAUAGAAUUUUUAAACAACAUUAAAAAAAUAAUCAUAAAAAAUUAAAGAGAAUUUUUGAGAAAUACCCCUUUUGGUGUACCCCUUUUCAAAAAUACCUCCUUUAUCUAUCCAUUUUCAAAAAUAUCCAUGUUUAAAUAUGAAAAAUUAUAAAGUUUUAUAUGGUUUAUAAGGUACUUCUAUAUAAUAACUACUACUUGGAAAUUUGAUACAAAUAUUUUAUAAUAUUUUAAAAGGUUUUAAAUCGUUUUCACAAGUUUUAUAAGGUUUUUAAGUGGUUUUUAAAAGGAUUUAUAAGGUUUUUAAAAGGUAUUUAUAAGUUAUUUUACACUAUUUAUGAAAGAUAUAUAAAAAUUAAACAUAUUUAAAGGUAUUUUGUGUGUAUAUUUAUAAGUUUUCACACAUAUUUGGAUAAAUUUCAACAUUUAAAGUGGUUUUUUAUAAAGCUUGAAAUAGGGGUAUUUUAAAAAAGUGGUAUGGAAAAGGGUAUUUUUGAUAUUUAAAAGUAAAAAAAUUGAUAUUUAUAAAAAAUAAAUGUGUAAGCUUAUAUAUUUAGACACACAUUAUCUUUCUAUGUGUGUAAAUUUAAAUACCAUAUAUAUACCUUUUAAAAACGUUCUAAAAAUUAUUUAAAAAACAUAUAAAAACUUUUUAAACCUUAUAAAAACCUUAUAAAAUUCUUAUAAAUGCCGUUUAGAACCUUUUUAAAACUUUAUAAAUAUUUGUAUUGAGUCUCCCAAUAGUAAUGAUGAUCUAGAUGUACCUUAUAAACUAUAUAUAAGUUUACAAUUUUUCAUAUUUGAAAAGGGAUAUUUUUAAAAUGGAUAGAAAAUUGGUGUAAAUUUAAAAAGGGGUAUACCAAAAGGGGUAUUUCUCAAAAAAUCUCUUUCAACUAUAACCUAAUUUUUGGUUUUGCCAAUUAGAAGGGUUAUAUGUUGAGUUUAUAAAUCUGCAUUAUAGUUUAGAUUUUAUAAUUAAACAAGAUUAUUUAUCAGUUUGGGUUUAGUAAAGAGGAGUGAGAUUUAGGUUUUGCAAUUAAACAAGGUUAUUUAUCAGUUUGGGUUCAUAAACGAGAAUUAGGAUUUACAAUUUACAAAUAAAUUAGAUUUUGAGUUUAACUAAAUUCAUGAUUUUAAUUUUAUAAUAUGUUAUAUUUGUUUAAUUUUCAAUUUAUGUAUGAAUAUAUUAUGCCAUUGAGCAAUUUCAUUGUCUAAAACAUAAGGGUGAAUAAAAUAUUUUCGAAAAUAAUAUUUUUAGCUUAAAUUAAAGAUAACAAAGUUCAAUAUAAAUCGUAAUAUAGUAAUUUUAAAAUAUUUUUACAGAAAAUAUGUAAUUUUUAAUAAUUCGUAUUUGAAAGAUUUUUAAUGUUUUCCUCAACGAUGCUAUAAUUUAUUCUAGAAUCUUUAUGUUUAUUCGCGUUGUUUAUAUGAAUUUAUUUACAAAUGACUAUAUUUGUAUUUAACAUCAUAUUUUAGAUUGAUGUUAAUUUGAAAAAACUUUACCAUCAUAUUAAAUAAUAAUUAAUUAAUUUUCAUAGUCUGAGAAUGAUUUUUUGAAAUUUUAANNNNNNNNNNNNNNNNNNNNNNNNNNNNNNNNNNNNNNNNNNNNNNNNNNNNNNNNNNNNNNNNNNNNNNNNNNNNNNNNNNNNNNNNNNNNNNNNNNNNUUUUUUUACAAAAUGGUAUAAACAUGUUUUAGAGGAUAAUUGUUAAAUUAAGAUUUCUAAAAAUAUUUUAGCAAUAUUAUGAGUAAUGGUGAAUAGCUCCCAAAUAUAACCUCUAUAAAUUAAUACUCGAUAAAUUAAUAUUCUCUAUAAAUUAAUAAAUUUCUCUGGUCCCAACUCGGACCAGUAUAAUUUUAAUCACAUUUUGAUAAAAUNNNNNNNNNNNNNNNNNNNNNNNNNNNNNNNNNNNNNNNNNNNNNNNNNNNNNNNNNNNNNNNNNNNNNNNNNNNNNNNNNNNNNNNNNNNNNNNNNNNNUUAUAAAUUAAUAAUUAGGUAAAAAUUUCAAAAUAUAUGUAUAUAUAGACACUUUAGUUUUUGUUAGAUUUUAUUUUAAAUUUUUUUUGAAAAAACUUUCCAAAUUAGGAAAAUCUCUAUAUAAAUUAAUAAUAAUUAAUUUAUCGAUAAAUUAAAACCUCUAUAAAUUAAUAGAUUUUCAUGGUCCCAAUAUUAUUAAUUUAUAGAGGUUUGACUGUAGCUCCCAAAUGUUUUGGUGAUUGUCAAUUUGACAUUACUAGAUUUUUAUAAUUAAAAUUAAUAACGAAUUUUAAGAGAUAUAUAUAUAUAUAUAUAUAUAUUAUAUGAAAUUUCUAAAUGAAAUUUCUAGAUACUUCAAACCAAAAAAAAUCUCUUUCUAAAUGAAUUAAUUUCUCUUUUUUCAAAAAAAAAAAUUGGAAAUUAUUUUUUUAUAAGUUAUAAUAAAUUUUAAUUUUAAUUUAAUUUUAAAUAAAUGUAACCCGUCCAUCGGACGGGUACUAAACUAGUAUAUAUAUAUAUAAUUUCCUAAAAUUUUGUGUGUCAAAUGAAGAGAUAAAUACUUUCCGACUAGGCAUGUCAAUUAGGGCUAAAGCCUGCGGGCUAGUCCGGCCCGGCCCUAAAAAACAUCGGGCUCGAACUUAAAUAUAUAUGAAAAUUGGGCUUGUUCGGCUAAGCCCAUUCGGGCUAAAGGGUUUUCUGGGCUUAACCCGGUCGGGUUCGGACUGGCCCGAAAAGCCUUUAAAUAAAUAUAUUUUUAUUUUUGUAAAUAUUGUAGUUUGAAUAGAAGAUUUGAUUAAUGAAUUAAUUUUUCAUAUUUACUUACUAGCCUUACUUAAUACUUUUAAAAUCAUUAUCUAUCAUAUUUUCUAUUAUUUAUAUCUGUCAAAACUGAACAAAGCUAAAAUUAUAUAUAGAUAUUGACUCUAUCAUCUACUUUAAAGUAUUUUAGUUCAAUGUUUUAUUGGGCUGAAGUGUAAAUAAUUUAUUUAGUUUUCAUUUUUUUCUCUUAAAUUAAGUUAGUUUUAAUGAAUAUUGAUAUGUUAUUUAAAUUUUGAUACAUUAUUUUUAUAGUAUACUUUUAAAUAUAUUUUUUAAAGUUGAUUUUUUAUCGUUAACUAAAGCCCAAAAAAGACCGAAAAGCCCUGUAGCCCUGUUAGGACUGGACCGGACUUUGAAAUAUAGACCCGAAUAUUUUUCGGGCCGAGCUCAAAUAUAUGAAGGCUUUACGGGUUUUGGGCCGGGCCGGGCCGGGAUAGCCCGAUUGACAUGCCUAAUUAUGACUAGGAAAAUUAAUUUCUGUAAGGAAAAAAAAUCAAUGCAUUUUUAAACUCAACAAACUUCAAAUACUAUAAUUAAGCAUAAAACAAAUGAUAAUAGCAUCAUUUUUUUUUUGGUAGAAAUGAUAAUUGCAUCAUUAACAACAAAAUAAGAUACUUAUCCAAGAAUUGGCAAAAAUGGGUUGCAUGAGUAUGUGAUCUUUGUCCAACUACUUUUUUAUAGCCAUCUUUUGAGGGUAAAAAUAGGCCACAAGAGUCACUUUCAAAGGCAUAAGAUUGUCCACACAAAACUUGGCUUAGAGUUAUUGCAAUUGUGUGCAAACACUUCUGUUUCUUGACAAAGUCACAAAACUAUAGGUAAGAGACUAAGAAGAGUAUAGGUUGGUUCAAAACCAUGACAAUACCUAACUCAUCUUCAUUCUUCCAAAUUACAUAUUUUGUGUCUUCUUUAAAAUAAUAAGUCAAGCCAAGAAAAAAAGUUUCAUCUCAUCAUCACCAAGCAUCAACAAGAAUUUGACAAAAUUGGUGAAUAUAAAUUCAGUGAGGAACACCCUUUUUUUUUUGGAAGUCCAAGAGUAAGUCAUAUGAAUAUUUUUAUAAAUCAACCUUUUUUUUCAAUAGAGUGUCUUCUAAUAAAUCUUAUUUUUUUGUUUAAAUUAAAAUAUAAUUUUCUAAUCAGUAAUUCUUUAGAAGUAUAUAUUAAUUAAUAACAAAAAUCGUAAAUAUAUAUACAUUUUUAUAUAUAAUUGUAUAAAUACAUAUAAACAUAAUAAAAUUAUGAUAAAAUUUCACACAAUCACAAAGAACUGAUUUAAAAUAUGUAUGAUAACACUCUUAUACAACAAUUGAUGUCGCAAAAUAGACUGUAAAUUGUUUUUUUCAAUUGUAAAUAAUUUGAAAAAAAAUUAGACUGUAAAUUGUUAUAGUAAUAUUUUUGAUUUUUUCUUUUUAACUAUAGAUUAGUAGUAGAUUAUAUUUUUAUUAAAUUAUUCGCGCAAAGGCUUUAGUCCGUCUUUGUGCUAUGUCAUCAGAAGAAACGAUUUGUUCUUAUUUCUGAACAUUAGAGAUUUAGGACCUUUGAUUGAUUAAAGGAAGAAGAAGAAGAAGACGACUUGGGCGAUCAAAACAGUCUCUCUCUUGAUCUGGUACGUUUACAUCUGCAAUCUCCUCAUCUUCUAAACUUUCUCCACUUAAGAGUUUUAAGCAUCGAGCAAAUUUAUUCUGAAUGAGGUUUCAUUGAUCUGUUUGGAGAAUGAUCUUUCUGGGUUUGUAGCAAAUUGUUUCCAGGAACCUAUCUCGAUUUCCUUUUAUUCCUUGUUGCAAAAAUGUCGAGUCUUUUGUAUUUCUAAUGUUGAGGAAAAAGCUGCACACAAAGUGUUCGUUAAAAUGCCACAACGAAACUUUAUUAACGUUCUAGAUUUGAUUAUAAUUUUUUUACAUCUAGUAUUGCGUAUGGAUUUACCGAUCAGUGUUAUCUUGUUACCUAAGUUGGAUUAGUUCUUGAAAAUUUGUGGUUCUUUAGUUUGAACAUGCCACUCAAUUCUUGUAGCAUAGUUCAGCUUCAGUGGUGAUAUCUGAAGUUUUUUUUGCUGAGGUCAUUAUAAGAGAGAGGUGUGUUCUUGUGAGAACGCGUCUGUUAAAAUAAAAAGAGAGACUUUAAGUUUUUCGCCCAAAUGAGCAUAUAUCUGUUGCAACUUUCUUUUUCUGAUUAAACAAAAGAUGCAAAUAUGCCCAUUGAAAAGUUAGUUUCUGCUUGAUACUUGUGUUGGAGUUGGGCUAAUGGUUCCAUUGUUUUCAUUGAUUCCAAUUUGGCUAAACUGUGUUUUACUAUCCUUUGACAGAGAGAGAGAAGAUCCCUGUUUCUGGUUGUGAUGUCUCGGCAGAGUCAGUUAUUUACAUUGCUUAAGAGAAGGUUUCAUACACCGUCUCAUGAUGCCCCAACAGAAACCUUAAGAAAGAAGUUAGCUGAUUUGCAAAAAAGUAAGAAGCGAAGGAAUCCAACAAAGAACCAGUUUCUAGUUGAAGUUCCUGAGUCAAGAUCGUAUUUGGACACAGCAACGAUGCCUAUGUUCCUCGCCGUUGUUGGAAUUGCAUUGUUUGCAAAGGUGUUAAUGAUGGUAAGCUUUCUUAUAUCUAUUGAGUGCGUCUUCCUUGUUCAUGACUUAGCAGCUGUUAAGUAGAUGUGGCUUCAUAUUUGAGCUGCUACACUGCUUUAUAAUUUCUUUGUGCAAUUGAGCGAUUAGAUAAGGAUAAAUCCAGAGGAAAUUGCUGUUUCUCAUUAUUGGUUUAUUGUUAGAUCGAUGAUUCGAAAUCGCAAGAAAUGAUUGAACGCAAGAUAAAGAAUGCACCACCGGGGCAAGGCACAGUACGAAUGAUCGAACGUGAGGAGUGGGAUGAGUUUAGAGAAGUAAGACCAAGAACACCUUUUGAGUCCAAGCUUGCUCGCCCAAAUGCACAAAUAAGAACUGGAGAACCAGUGCGCAAGGUAAAACAAAAGCCUCUAUCCACUCUAUCAAACCUUACUGUACUUUGCCAUAUCAUUCAAUGAUCAUACUUCUUGCUUGUUUCCUUUAUUCAUUAGGAUGACUUAAAGAACUGGACCAUAGACGUGCUAACAGAUGCACUUGCACGAACCGAAGAAAGUGUUCGUCGUGGUUCCAGUUAGAUUUUCUUGAGUUCUCUUCUAUUCAAUGGGAGUUUCCUGGUUAAUACAUAGAUAUCUUGAUGAUGUUAGUAGUCAAUGAGAGUUUCCUUAGUUAAUAAUCACAAAACUGGAAACAACUCUUCUUUUGUAACGCUAUUUUACAACGAUCGGAAAAAUUAAACUACAGAGUAAAUCACGAUCGCGUUUUGGUAAAGAGACGUUUCUAGUUGCUUCUGAUUUGAAAAAUCUGCGUUUUCACACAUUAUUCAAUUGGAGAAUCUUUAGAACUCAGACGAAGCAGCUUCUCCGGAAUUUUAGGUGAACGUGGCAAGAAAAGGCCAAAAGAGAAAGCAUCCACGUGUCCUUCCAUUUACCGAAUGCCACGUGUCCAUCACAGUACCGACGAAUCAUUCCUUAACCAUGGCUGCCUGAAAAAAGACAGAGUCCACAAGCUUCGGAUUGUUCAGAAGUUUUCAAACAGCGUAAAGGUUUGAACUUUUGCUUUUUUUUUUUGAGAAUACGAUUCGAAGAACUCAUCAAGAAGCUUCCUUUCACUGAUCUCUCGAUCCAUUCUUAGGUAACCCACAAUUCCAAAAAACGUUUUUUUUCUUUCGAUUCCUUAGCUUUGGAUUAUGCUCUGAUCCGCUGAUUUUGCUUUUGCUUAAUCGAUCAUCGGAUCUGUUGUUGUAGUUUUCGCUAGUAUGGAAGAUUCUGGGGUGAAUCCAAUAGGUUCACCGUCUAAAAGCAGUGGAUUUGGAGUUUAUGGGAUCAUUGGAGGUGGAAUUGUGGCUUUACUUGUACCUGUAUUGCUCUCAGUGGUGUUGAAUGGAAGCAAAAAGGGGAAAAAGAGAGGUGUUCCGAUCAAAGUAGGUGGCGAGGAAGGUUACACGAUGCGUCAUGCUCGUGCUUCUGAUUUGGUUGAUGUUCCUUGGGAAGGAGCUACAACUAUGCCUGCUUUGUUUGAGCAGGCUUGUAAGAAGCAUUCGAGUAAUCGGUUACUUGGGACUAGAGAGUUUAUUGAUAAGGAGUUUGUUACGGCUAGUGAUGGGAGGAAGUUUGAGAAGUUUCAUUUAGGAGAGUAUAAGUGGCAAAGUUAUAAGGAGGUCUUUGAUCGUGUUUGUAACUUUGCAUCGGGUUUAGUUAAUGUUGGACAUAAUGUUGAUACUCGUGUUGCUAUCUUUUCUGAUACUCGAGCAGAGUGGUUUAUCGCGUUUCAGGUUCGUUCACCAGCUAAUGGUUGCAGUUUGUUGUGUGGGUUUUGCUUGAAUUUGUUUGAUGAAAUUGGUUUUGGUGUUGCUAUAUUUUUCAGGGAUGUUUCAGGCAGAGUGUAACCGUUGUUACUAUUUAUGCUUCUUUAGGAGAAGAAGCUUUGAUUUACUCACUCAAUGAGGUUGGUAGGGGAUGUUUUGGAUGUGUAUGUUUUUUUAUUACUAAACUUUGUUGUUGGAUCUCUAAAUCUUGGUAUCUGUAUUGUUGACAGACUCAAGUAUCCACCUUAAUAUGUGACUCAAAACAACUUAAAAAGUUGUCUUCGAUACAAUCAAGCUUGAAAACUGUGAAGAAUAUUAUUUACAUUGAAGAAGAUGGAGUAGAUGUUGCUUCUAGUGACUUCGAUAGUAUGGGUGGCAUAACUGUUUCGUCGAUCUCUGAAGUUGAGAAACUGGGGCAGAAGAACCCUGUUCAACCGAUCUUACCUUCGAAGAAUGGAGUCGCUGUUAUAAUGUUUACCAGUGGUAGUACUGGUCUACCAAAGGUGUGUGUUGUACUGUUACUUCUCUCUUAGUUAUGUGGUUUGUUUCAAGUGCCAUCUAGUUUUGUUUACCUGAAUUCUUGAAUGGCAUACUAAUGAUUUGGGAAACCAUAUUUAUUUUCUUCUAGCAAAUAUAUCUCUGCAAUUUGUUCUAACCUUAUACUGUGCCCAUCCACUCAGGGAGUUAUGAUUACCCAUGGCAAUCUUGUCGCAACUGCUGCAGGUGUUAUGAAGGUGAUUCCAAAGCUGGAUAAGAAUGACACAUAUAUUGCAUACUUACCUUUGGCUCAUGUGUUUGAACUGGAAGCUGAGGUAUGUUACUGUGUUCUUUCUCUCUCUCUUUUGACAUACACUACCUUAUUGUCUUACACUUUCUUACCAAAUCAUGGUUUCUUUUUCAGAUUGUGGUCUUUACCUCAGGUUGUGCCAUCGGUUAUGGCUCAGCAAUGACUUUAACUGACACUUCUAAUAAAAUUAAGAAAGGAACCAAAGGAGAUGUUACAGUUCUAAAGCCAACUAUUAUGACUGCUGUUCCUGCUAUUCUUGAUCGUGUUCGAGAAGGAGUUCUGAAAAAGGUACCAUCUUAGUGACAAUAAUGUUGUGUGUACUUUUUGGAGUUACUUACUAGAUCAGUUAUAUUUGUGUACUUAAUAAUCUAGGUUGAGGAAAAGGGAGGGAUGGCGAAGACCCUUUUUGACUUUUCAUACAAGCGUCGGUUAGCAGCUGUGGAUGGAAGCUGGUUUGGUGCCUGGGGUUUGGAGAAAAUGAUUUGGGAAACUCUAGUCUUUAAGAAAAUACGCGCUGUACUUGGAGGACACAUCCGGUUUAUGCUCUGUGGAGGGGCUCCUCUAUCACCUGAUUCACAACGCUUCAUCAAUAUCUGCAUGGGGUAAGAAAAUCCCCUGUGGUCUCACUUUUUACAUUUUCAUACGAGUCUUGUCCCAUGUUAGGUUAGGAAAAUGCCAUUGAAAUCGUUUGGAUUGUGUUCACAUCAAUACUGACGUUGGUAUGCUUGAACUUGAAUCCGCUGAUUCUUGUAUGCUGACACUCAUGUAGUUUGUGCUUGUCUGUAUUCUUCAUGCAACUUCACAAUGCUGGGGCUUAGAUUUUUUCCUGUUAUUAAUGCAUUUUUUCUGUUAGAGCGCCCAUCGGUCAAGGAUAUGGAUUGACUGAAACGUGUGCUGGAGCUACGUUUUCUGAGUGGGACGACCCUGCAGUUGGCCGUGUAGGGCCUCCACUUCCAUGCGGCUAUGUUAAGGUUUGCAAACAAUCUUUAAUCAAUACAAUACGUUGACAAUGUGUAGAUCUUUGUAAUCAUGAGUAACAAAAUUUCAUCUUACAGCUCGUUUCUUGGGAAGAAGGUGGCUACAGAAUUUCAGACAAACCAAUGCCUCGAGGGGAGAUUGUGGUAGGUGGUAACAGUGUAACAGCAGGUUACUUCAACAAUCAAGAAAAAACUGAUGAGGUUUACAAGGUAAAGCACAGUGUUGCAUAUUCCGGGAGUUUAGUUAUUGGCUUGUUAUAUAGAUUUCUGAUGGUCAUCAUGACAAAUUCAGGUUGAUGAGAAGGGCACAAGAUGGUUUUACACCGGAGAUAUUGGGAGAUUCCACCCUGAUGGAUGUCUUGAAGUUAUUGACAGAAAGAAAGAUAUUGUUAAGCUUCAACAUGGGGAAUACGUAUCUCUCGGAAAGGUUUACCCAUAAAACUUAAAUUAUUCGAAUGAGGAUGGUAUGAUAUUAUCCCCUAAUGCUUUUUCAUUUCAUUGUCUGAAUCAAAAUUCACAGGUGGAGGCAGCUUUAGGUUCGAGCAAUUACGUUGAUAACAUCAUGGUACACGCAGACCCAAUGAACAGCUACUGUGUAGCUCUUGUCGUUACAUCACAAGGAGCAUUAGAGAAAUGGGCAGAAGAAGCCGGAGUUAAGCACAGUGACUUCGCUGAGCUAUGCGAGAACAGUGAAGCAGUCAAGGAGGUUCAACAAUCUCUUACCAAGGUUUGUAUUUCACUAGCUGUAUCAAGUUUCUCAUACUUACACCAGAGUAACAAAUGUAUUUACAAACUGUUAUCAUUUCAGGCCGGAAAAGCCGCAAAACUCGAAAAGUUUGAACUUCCAGCAAAGAUCAAGUUGCUGUCAGAGCCGUGGACACCAGAGUCAGGAUUAGUCACAGCUGCUCUCAAGAUAAAAAGGGAGCAAAUAAAGGCCAAAUUCAAAGAUGAACUCAGCAAGUUGUAUGCCUAAAAACUUUUCUUUGACUUUGUGAUAAACUCCAUAUAUUUUCAGUUUGGCUUUCCACUUUUCCUUAUAUCUACAUUAAUAAAUAUGGAGUUUUUCUCUUCUUGUCAAUGAAAUAUUAGUAUGAAUACAUUUUCCAUCAGUAAUGGUGGAUUAGAAGAGAGUAAAUCACUGUGGUACUGAAUCCAAAGAUAUGCAAGGAGCUGAAGUAAAUUUUUUCUGAUAGAAUAGAAUCAUAUCAUUAAAACAAUGAAUAAACUUCUCUAUAUAGUACAACAGAAAUCCUCCGUAUGAUCUAGAAUUAGUUUCCCUCUGUGAGCUAUCAUGUUCACUAACCGUAUCAUCAGCAUUCAUGCAUCAGAAAUUUGACUGUCUCUGAGAAACCUUCCUCGGCUUUUGGACAAUCCGUGACAAGCGUCUUGUCAUCGAGUGAAACCGUGCAUGUUGUUAUUGAUUUGGUUCAGAUGAUGUAGAAUCUUUGGGAGCUGUUGUCUCUGACAAUGCUGGUCGUAGGAGAAUAUACAAAGAAGGUCCCAAGAAUGGCACCACUGAUACCGGUAAAAGCCAACUGCCUUUAUCAAACCUGAAAAAGAAGCACUGUGUUCAUACAUAUGGAAAGGGUUCUAAGUAAACGCUGUAUAUAGCUUUAUUUAGAACUCACCAUUUUCGGCUGGUCAUGUCAUUGUAAACCCAAAACGGAGCAAAUGCAGAAAGUAAACAGAAAUCAAGACUCGUAACAUGAAUCUGCAGUUUAGAAGGCAAGUUCUUUUACGUCAAAUCUCAACAAAAAGAUUGAUUUGCAUAUCCGGAAAAAACAAGCUUAUCGAACUUACGAAUUUGCUCUCUCGAAAAUACUGAUAGAACUCUGUCCAAUCACCGGCAUUACCAACUACUGAAUAAAGGAUUAUACCUAAUCCUGCAACAAGAGUUACCUGAUGCAUAACCAUGUCAACUCCAAGUACUGAUAACCAAAAAGGCCAGACAUGAAUCAAGAUUACCAAAGAAGGAGAGAUCUUUUUACCCCAGCAGUUAUUUUUGAUUCAAGAACAUUCAAAGGCCAUUGUCUUAGUUCAGUCUCUGAAACAGGAGGAGAAGGAGGAUUCCACAGGGCAAAAUAAGGUAACAAAGCGUAUACACCACCGAAAAACGAAAGCGCAACAAAAGGCCACGCCGGGGUUUUACUGUCCAACAAAGGCAUCUAUCAGUUAGCUACACAAUAUGAAAUGGAUUCACUUGAACAAACUCUAAUAUGGUAUUCAUAGAAUCACAAAAACUCAUAACUGUCUUUCAAUUUUGGUCAGAAGAAGCCAUAAAAAUGAUACCUUCGACCAGUGGGAAGCAAGAGCAUGCCAUAUACCAAAGGCCACAAACCCAUUAUAUACCAUAACCCAACAAGUAUCUGAUUCAUCCUAAAACCAUCAUCACUCUUCAAAUUCAAUAGCUUUUUCAAAAAGUACAAGUCUUGCGUCUGCAAAACACAAAAAAAAACCCAAAAUUUGAACAAUCUGAGAGCUCAAUGUGAAGUUUUCACCAUAAAGGCCUUAGCUUGGUUUGCGUACCGGUGUCUGAUCAGGAGCGAGAUUGAAGCAAUAGUACAAAAGCGCACCCCAAAGCGCAAAAAGCAAAAUUGAGCUAGACCAGUCUCGUCCUUCAUCUUGAACUUGAGAUUUCUCUGGUUCUGGGUUGUUUAAAGAGCUUUUGCAGAGAUGGAAGAAUGUGUCUUUCCUCUCGUAUUUGGGGAGAAGGGAGAUUCUAUAGGAUUUUGGAAAUGGUGAAGAAGAUUUUGAUUGUAGAAGAAGAAGGUUAAGGUUUGGGGAUUGGGUUAAGGUGUGAGGCCGUGUGGAAGAGGGUUUCAGAGGAGGAAGACGAGUGAAGUUGCAGGAGAUGAGGCUAAUGCUUUCCAACAUUUUUUUAGACAAAAAUGAUGGAUUUAUGAUGAUCACUCAUAGAGUCAUCAUAGUCAUAGGUGUGUGUAUUUAUAUAAAUUUUUGUGUAAAAUUUUUAUAUAUUGAUUAAAAAUAUAUUGUUAAAAAAUUACAUUACAUGAUUUACAUCUAUCUAAAUUAGGGGUUUUAUUGAACAUCAGAAUUUAAUUGAAUACAGUAUGAAAAAAAAAAAAAUCAAAUGCUGAUGUUAUUUUAAUUGAUUGAUUUUUUUUUUGUUUUAAUAAAAUUAAUUUUAUUCAAUAUGGUUUUGAUAAUAAUAUCAUUUGGGGGAAAAAGUUAAAAUCAUUAGGAACCAAUACCUAGAUUUUAUGCCCUAAUUUGGGUAGAAUUAGUUGUAAAUUACUGUUUCAUUUAAUUCUUCUAAUUUACCUUAAAGAUUUAUUUAAAUUUAAUGUAGUUGAAUUUAAUAUUUAUAUAUAAGCAUUCGGUUUACUAGUCGUAAAGUAUGUAGACCUCGAACGGUAAUUCUUUUUGGGUGCAAUUGCGAUUUGAGUGUAGAAACGAAAUGAUUAGGGAACAAUUCAAUAUAUAUAUGUGUGUGUGUGUUUAGAUAGCAUAAUUGGAAUUUCAUAGGAUAAACAAAUCGAUGUAUGCAAAACAUCUUAUACUCCUUCCGUUUCAAAUUAAGUGUCAUUCUAAACUUCAUGUUUUGUUUUAAAAUAUGUGUCGGUUUGCAUGUUCAAUGCAAAUGUUUUUGAUAAUAUUUCCAGAUUUAUCUUUAUUAUUUAAUGUAUUGUCCAAUGAAAAAUUUUGUAUGAUAAAUUAAUAUGGGAUAAAAUAUAAUAUUUAAUGGCUUUCUUAAGAAAUGUGAAAAAAACAUAGAGUGACACUUAAAUUGAAAAGGAGUAUUAAACUUAGUCAUGUCGGUCCCGGACACGAGCCCAUUAAUUUGGGUUUGGGACACUGUAUUUAAUUGUUAUAUGGCACUAUUUUUAUACUCUCUAAGUGUUUUUUUUUUUUUUUUUUUUUUUUUUUUUUGCUUAUAAUUCAGUAGAGAUCAAACUUAUCUCCAUUAAUCUGCAGAAAUAUUAACAAAUCAUGCUUUCUGGAGUUCGAGCCCCAUACCUAUUGGUAUAUUAUUAAACCCUUGAUCAACAUCAUUGGACCAAGGGAGCUUCUAUACUAUCUAUGUUCUUUAAUAGAUGAUUUUUUUUUACUAUUGCAUACUAAUUAAGACAUUGUUUACUUUUCUUAUAUUUUAAACAAAAAAUUAUUUAAUAUCUACCUAAACAAUAUUCAACCAAUAAAAAUAACGUGUAUAAUAUAAAUUGUUUAAACAAACAAAAAGCUGAUUAAAUUUACAUAGAUUUUUUAGAAAGCAAUAUAUUUUAUAGAAAAAAACAAGCCUAUAAAAUCAACUAUUAAAGACCAGAGGGAGUAUACAAAUAAUUUUGUCAAGUUUCACGAAGACUUGAAUAUCAUAAUUCUCAGUUUAUAACUUUUGAAAAUAAUUUUAUCAAAAUUAAAUCUAACAAAUUAUCUAUGUUUCGAACACAACAUUUUAGCAAAAUAAAGAUCCUUCAAUGAUAUUGCAACUUUCUAACAUUGUCGAAUCUGAAUAUGGACGAACACUUGACUUGACCAUAUUCAAGUGUUCCGCUUUCAUACAAGCAACCUAUCAAUGAUCUCCAAAGGGGAAUCAAAAUUAUUGACUGCACAAGUUUUCUGCAAUUCAAAUGUUUUGAAAUACUAAACUAUCAUCGAUAAAAACAGUCCGCUCUCGAGUUUAUAACUUGUGAAUAUUAGUUUAUUGAGAAGGAUUGUAUACUUCCCUGGAGCCACUAAAUGAUCAAAGUUUUCAUAUUAUCAGUUAAAAUGAAUUAAACUGUUCGAGUAGUAUUUCUCGUUGUUUUUUUCUAAAAGAUCUCGUCAAAAGUAUAAUCAAUUAUCUUGUCAUAUAACAUGAUUGAUAUUUUGUUCCACGCCAAAAUAUCAAGUUUUGAUUAUGCCGAUUCAUUUUUUCCUCAUACUCUACCUUAGAGAGAGUUACUUGAAAUUAUUUAUAUCACAAUCCUUAAUAAUUCGAAAAAUAUCUGAGAAUCUCAGAGAAAGACUUUUGACAUCCCAUUCCUUAGCGGCUAGUUCGACAAAUUCGGUACACAUGUUUCCAAUCACAUCCAGAAACAUAUGAUGUCCCUCAAAAGUUUAAUGAAAGCACUAAAAAUAUUUAGUUUCAAUUAAAAUGAGCAAAAAUAAAAUCAAAAUGUUGACAUAAAUAUAUAUAUAUAUAUAUAUACAUAUAAUACACCGUAAGUUUAAAUCAUUAUCUUAAUAUUGAAAUUUUGAGGAAAAAAAAUUAUAAUAUUGAAAUUGUUUUAGUUAUGCUGAUAAAUAAUUAUAAUAAUGAGAAUAAUCUUCUUAGUUAUUUGGCGAUCUUUGGUUAUAAAUUUUGUUUAUUCUUCUUGAUUUUUUUCUCCUUGAACUUGUUGUUUUAAAAAUUGAUCUAUCUGAUACCAAGUUCGAAAUACUUAUGGGGAACUUUAUUAUAUAUUUGGCAUUAAAUAUCUAACAUUGUCCAGAAAAAUAAUGUUAAAUAAACUGAAAAGUGUACCAUAAUUGUAUUAAAAAGUGCAUCAUGUUCCUAACCGUCUGUUUUAAUAGUUUGUAGCAAAUAUGUGAUCAUUGUACAAAUUGGUUGUAUUUCAAUAACUGGCUCGAGAAUUAGAGGUUUCAAAACUAACCUUAUGGUAGAGCCUCGAUACUGUUUUUGACCUUUGCGAGUUUCUCUAGUCUAGUGUGUUCUUUACAUGAUAUGGAGACAUCUCUCCUUCAUUAGGGCAUUUUUUUAUUGCUUUACCACAUGAGCAUUCUCUUCCUCGUUGGCAUGGUAGUUUCUAAAUGGUUAGUCCAAAGACAAACAUGUUCCUUACUCAAAUUAUCCUUCAUUCCUCAACCAAGAACUUAAUAUCGCAAGAAUCCUUAGGAUCCCUAUACAUAUACAAAAUUUGGCUAGGACUCUUGCCAAUACAUAUACAAAAUUUGGUUAAGACUUCACCUGCCAAGAUUCUGACCAGAGAAGAGAAGUCUUACCAACCUAAAUAGUGUAGUAGAAUAGUAAAACAACAAAGCCUACGACUAGACCAGUCUCUGCUUAUACUUUGUUUUCACCAACCACUUGCAAGAAAAAAAAACUCAGCCGUCUUAAUUACGUUGGUGAUCUUAUUAGCCACACGUGCUAAUCACACCAACAACCAAAAAAUAGUCAAUAAUCCAAAUUCUUGACUUGCUUCUAUAAAAACUUUAACUUUGACCAUAAAUUACAAAACCCAUUUGAAUUUUUCCUUCUUGUGUCUGUUCUUGAUUUUUUUGGUUUCAAAGUUCGAAACUUUUUUUUGUUUCUCGGCAAUGGAGGGAUUAGUACCGGUACAGAGACUUCCGGUUAGAGUGGCUUCACCUUCUCUGUAUCGGUGUGGUAACGUUUCUGUCUCAAUCAAACGUUCACUUUCAGGUUUCGCCAUGGACAGAAGGAUCAGGUUCACGGCUCCGUCGCAGUUCUCGAUCCGGGCUCAACAGGUGCGUCCAAAUUUGUUCCCUUUCUCGAUUUCUAUGAACACCCUUAAAUAAAGUUUGAGUCUUUCGUUUGAUUCUGUGUGAUUUGUGGCAUUUGAUGUUGUCUACUGUCUAGAUUGAACCCUAGCUGGAAUACAAAUUGGGUUUUUUCUGAUUCUAUCAAUCUGUUGCUGAAAGGUUUUGCCUUUUUUUGUUGUAGUCGGAUUUGAAGGAAAGCUUAGUUGUGUCUUCUUCUUCUUCAGUAGAGGACAAAGGAAAUGCUCUUAGGAUCAAGGAAUGGGAAGUAGAGAUGUAUCAGGAUGAAGUAGCAAUUAGCCAAGGUAUUAGGAUAAGGAGAAAACCACCAACCAAGGCUCCUUUGGGGUAUACUGGACCAUUUGAGUUGAGAUUGCAUAACAAUGAUGCUGAUUCUCCUCGUAAUAUCUUGGAGGAGAUUACAUGGUACAAAGAUGUAGAAGUUUCUCGGGUAUAGAUUUUUCUCCUUACAAGACUUUUCUUUUCAGAGAGGAGAUUACAUGGUUCUUAAUGUGAUUGUUGUCUUUUCGCUUUUCAGAUGAAGGAGCUAAACCCACUUGAUGCGUUGAAGAAAGCUGUUGAGAAUGCUCCUCCAACCAGGGAUUUUGUUGGGGCUCUUAGGAUGGCUCAGGAAAGAACUGGGUUGCCUGGCUUGAUAGCUGAGGUUAAGAAGGCUUCACCAAGUAGAGGGGUCUUAAAAGAAAAUUUUGACCCGGUAUGUGAUGGUGGUUUCUGUUUCUUUCUGUAAUGUCAUUAGAUCUUGAUCUCGAAUUGAGUUUUUGAACUUUGAUUAAGCGAGUAAGGUUGAGUCUUUUCAAUAAAUAAAAGGAUUGCAGCAUUAUUAAAAUUUGCAGUUUGGCCUUGGGAAGUAGAUCAACAUUUUUUCUUUUGAAUGUUUCCAAUAUGAUUUGCUAUUAUAUUUCUAAUCUAGACCUGUCAGGUCUUCAUGAUUCCUCCGGCUGUGUUGCUAAUGCUUAUGGUUUUACAGGUUGAGAUUGCUCAAGCUUAUGAAAAAGGUGGAGCAGCAUGCCUCAGCGUUUUAACAGACCAGAAGUAUUUCCAGGUUUACUUGUGUAUUCAGUUGUAGAUAUCUUAUCCACAUUUGCAAAAAGUUUUUAACAUUUGUAGUUCUUAUCUCGAUGUUGUUCAAUAGGGAGGCUUUGAAAACCUGGAAGCAAUAAGGAACGCUGGUGUGAAGGUAUUUUCUUAGCAACUUCUGAUGUGUUUAGUACUUGAUAAUCAACACAUUGUGUAACCAAUGCUUUUCAAUUAUUGCAGUGUCCACUAUUAUGCAAAGAGUUUGUCGUAGAUCCAUGGCAGAUCUACUAUGCUCGGACUAAAGGUGCGGAUGCAGUAUUGCUUAUUGCUGCUGUAUUGACUGACCUAGAAAUAACCUACUUGCUUAAGAUUUGCAAGAAUCUUGGUUUGGCUGCCCUUGUUGAGGUAUCUUUCCCUGCUUUGGUUAAAUGUUGAUUGCUUGACAUAAUUAUGCGUCUUUAAAGUUCGUAUUAUUUUUGUUUUUCUCCUAAUAUGGUUGUCCAUAAAACAGGUACAUGAUGAGAGAGAGAUGGGCCGUGUGCUUGGAAUAGAAGGGAUCGAGCUCGUUGGCAUCAAUAACCGAAGUCUUGGUAAUGCAGCUUUUGUACAUAUUGCUAGUUCUGAUAUCUUUUCUCAUAGACCGAGUUCACGUAGAUUUGAUUCAUAUUGUCAAAAGUUUUGUUCAGUUGAGGAGUCUCACAAAUAAAAGUUUUUUGUGUUUCAGAAACAUUUAAAGUAGACAUCAGUAAUACAAAGAAUCUUCUUGAAGGAGAACAUGGUAGACAAAUUCGUGAGAAAGACAUGAUUGUAAGUACUUCCACUUUCCAUUCCUGAAUUGGUGUCUGUCAAUUGCUCAAACAUAAUCCUGACUCCUGUUCUGUACGUUAAGGUGGUUGGCGAGUCCGGUUUGUUUACACCUGAUGACAUUGCUUAUGUACAAGCUGCCGGAGUUAAAGCGGUAAGCUUUGACAAUUAUAUAUUAAAACAUUUGGCUGCUUGGAAAACCUCCCCAAGCAUUAAUCAGAUGAACAAUUCGCUUAAAUACUGAAUUACGAGCUUUCAGGUUUUGGUUGGCGAGUCCAUUGUGAAGCAGAGCGAUCCUGAGAAAGGAAUAGCUGGACUUUUUGGCAGGAACAUCUCUCAUUCUUAGAAACCACAUCUCCAAAUAUGUUUACUAGUACAUUUGUUUGUAUCUUGUUCUGUGGGGAUUGAGAGUAAAGACUAGAAAGGCUUUGUAUCUUGUUCUAAUGUUUCAGACAUUUUCAAUAACCAUCAAUCAAAUAAGUUGAAUAAAGAUUGAUCUAAGCCAUGGAACCCCAAGCCAACAGAGAAAUAGCAAUAUUAUGUUGUCAUAACUCACAAGUGAAGAAUACAACCCAUCACACCAAUACAUAGAAACGAUAUUGUUGUUAUCUAAAUACAUUCAUCCUUGCAAAACAACCGGAGUCACUAAAUACACCACUCCAAACAUUUCCGACCAGAAUCCAAAAGUGACUGUCAUGGCUUCUCAGACAAGCUCCAGUCUUCUUGAUGCAGUAUGAUUUUUAGAUAUAGAUAAACGACCUUCCAAAGGCAAACACUUGUCCACUUAUUCUGCGCCAGUGGAUUUUAUACAGCAAAACCAUUUCUUCUGCAAAUUAUGCAAUAAACAGCAUCAAUCAUAUAUCCAUACAAUAAGAUGAUUAAGAGAAGAAAAAAGAUGACCAGAGAGGCUGCGGCUUACGGCGGGUUUCUCAAGAACCUCCCCGUUUUUAUUAUAUCCAGGUUCAUCUCUCCCUGGUGAGUCGGAUUUACCACCUCCCUUUUUCUCGUUUCUAGCUUUGUUGAAGAUAACAGUGAAUCCCUCAGCUGAUGAAGGGUCAUUUACAUCCCAUUCGCCAAACUUUGGCAACGGGCGGCCCUUGUCCUACACACAAUCCAAACGUCAAAACAUUUUCAGUCAUCCGAAUGUUCAAGACAAUGAGUUCUAAACGCCAACACUCGCACCAAAAUCCAUUGAAAAAAGUCUUCAUUACUACUUAUAUGUUGUCUAGAUGGUUAACUCAUAUGAUAUAAGUUUUCGAUCGAAAAGUAAACAGUACACAAGCCUCUAUGCCCAACACGACAACUCGUAAACACACAAAAAAGAGGCAAAAGCUUCAGUAAAGUAAUCUAUAAGCAAAGUAUAUUGAAAUCAAGAAAAUGAUAUGCACAUACAACAAAGUCAUUCAUCUGAUCAUCUCAUUAACCCUAUGCACUGUUCAAGAUAUGGUUGCAAAGAUCAUACAAAGACUUUCUCUUUCUCUAUUCACUAAUCUAGAAUAGUAAAUUAUAAGACCAGAGAUAUUAUGACACAUAAAAAAAACCAAUACUUUCUCACCACCAAAAUCUGCAGAAGACACAACAAAGUAUUGAUUUUUUUCGAACAGUAACUUCAAAUCCAUACAAAAGUUUUAAACUUUUGUAAGAUCAAGACAAGAAAGGUCCAUCUCCAACAAGCAAAAACCAUUGUUAUAGAAUCAAAGAGUCCAAAGGUAAAUCUCAAAAAACAAAUCCAUGAGAACAAUCAGAAUAAAAAAGUAUCAAACUUUUUUAACAAUUCCAUCAAAAAGCAAAAAAAAAAAAACAAGAAAUCACAAGAACAUCAAAACCAAAAGAUGUGAGGCCUCAGAAACAAGAAAUCUCAUAGAUUAAGAAUAUCGAAAAAGAAAAGAGAUGGAGAAAGAUCGUACUGCCAUGGAUUAAAAGAAGAGCUGAGCUGAGAUGCGUUGUGGUGGUGGUCGUCUCCUUCCUUCCUCUGGUUCUCCCUUUCAACUUUUGUUUUAUCUUUUCUGGUGAAAGCUUUGAGGAUGAGGCGAAAAAGAAGGAGCCAUAGAAUCUUGGGCCUUCGUAGGCCCAUUAUGUCGUCUCAUCUCAACACUCAACAGACACAUUUUUUAAUUGCACUGAAUCAAUUUUUAAGCUUAACCAAUUACAUAGAAGUCCAAAUUGGUAAGAAGAAGUGGGAGAAUUUAUUUAUUUUUAUUUUUUUCUAGUCUCUUAUUUCAUUGAUGCGUAGUAGGAAACUUAUGUUAUUUAUGGAUUUUGUGGUUAUUAUAGAAAGACUGAAAUAUAAAAAAAUGUUCAAAGGAAUUUAAUUAAAGCCAUUAGAUAUCAUCAAUCAAUCAAUUUUUUUUUUUUUGACAUUGUCAAUCAAUUUCUUAAUGAAUAAGUAUUAUGGGAAGAAUCUCAAUUUGAUGCCUCGUUACCUUUGAAACCUUAUCUUCCUUUUUUCCUAACUAUUCAUUGUCGAAUUGAUGGUUCGUGAAAAGCUUCAAAUCUAUUUACAGGUUUAGGUUGGUAGUAAUGUCAUAAACGAAGUCCAUCCCCCUUCACUUGGAGAUGAAAACUUUAUUAUACAUUAUUUCGUUAAUAAUUUUCUUUACUUAAUACAAUAUUUUGUUAUACAAAUCUUUAUUAUACAAUCAUUUGCAAUCACUUUCUUUAUUGUACAAUAUUUUGUUAAUACAAACUUUUAUUAUAUAAUAAUUAAAAUAUGGGUAGUAGAAAAAUUCUUGAAUAGGACAUUUAAAUGAGUUUUAUUUAUGUGUUAAAUUAACACGAUGAUAUUUUUGAUGUGAGACGUAUUAAUUAACUUUUUUAUCGUUCAUAUUCGAUUUAUGUUUUUUUGUGUAUACCAACAACAAAUAAGUAAUUUGAUUAGUGUAAGACUAGAAAUAUAUUGUGGAUCAUCAUAAUUAAAUAUAUUUUAUUUCAUACUUUAAAAAGUAAAAUUUGACAUCAAAAAUUAUUAUUAUCUAGAAAAUAGGAGAAACCAUAUUUUUAUGCUAAACAACAACAUUCAACACCACCAACUAAAUAUCUUUCUAAACAUUUUCCCUCUAAGAAAUGUUGUUCUAUGCAAUAUGCAUUGCACUUCUCUGUUGUUGUACAAUCCAUCCCAGUACAAUGUUUGAUUAGUCUUUCCCUAUUGGUUUCUCCUAUUUGAUUCAUAAACAAAAUUAAACAUGUUAUAAAUAAAUAUAUAACAAUGGCUCAAGUGAUAAUUUUAUAGUAAUUCAAAAAUAAUCGAAUGUAUUAUUAAUUACCUGCAUUUACGGGAUUAGAGAUGAGCAAAAACAUCAUCAUCAACGAUAGUAAUAGAAGAGAUGAACACUUGGUGAUGGCCAUUAGAUCAAAGACUAGGAAAACAAAAAAAAAAAACAAGAUUCAUAAUCAAUAAUAUAAGAUGAACAUAUAUUCGACAUUUCUUAUAAAAUUGGAUAUAUUUAGGAUUUACCUUCGUGUUUAUGAUACUCUAAUGUUUAUUGUGAAUGUUUUGUAUUGGUCUUGUGUGUGCAUUUAUAUAGAUAUAGAUAUAUACUUACACACAUACAUAUAUAGUUUAAUAGGUCUUCCAUAUAUAAUAUGUAUUGAAAUCAUCUUUUUAUUAAUAGAAUUUUCCAUAUCAAAAAGAGUUGAAUUAAUAAUUUAUUUUACUAAAAUUAUAUAUGUUCCCACAAAAUAUUGGAGUCAUAAAUUUUAAAAAUUGGUAUCUUGACACUAUUACAAUAUUGUAUGAUUUUGUAUUCAAUGUUUUUAACAAUUCUUAUAAAACUGAAUGAUUUACCUUUAAUAUUCAGAAUGAUUUAGAUUUCUCUUAUGUGUACAUUUAUAUAGAUAUAAUAUAUACUUACACACCUAUACACACAUACAUAUUAUUUAAUAGGUGUCCAUAUUAUGUAUAUAUUGACUAAUAUUUCUUAUAGAAUUUUCCAUAUCAAAAAUUUGAGUUGAUAGUUUUCUUUUUCAUUAGUGAAAUGAUUUGUUCCCAAAAAAUGGUUAAAAUUAAUGACUUGAUUUUAAUUUGCUUGACUUCUUUGUUGAUAAAACCGUAUCCUCUAUCAAGUCUAAACGUUGCUUGAUUGAUGCUUUGGGGAUCCACGUUUAUUGAGAAAACAUCAUAUCAUGCGAUCUUGAGAAUCUUGAUACACUUUAUUGUCGAACUUUAUUGGAAUUGAAUCAUCAAGAAAACAUAUAUCACACGAAUCCAACAAUCAAACCCUAGAAAAUUCCAUGAUUCAUUGACAACCCCAUGCAAAGAGUCUGGAUCAAGAAAGAUAUAAAUUAAAUAGAGUGAACUUCACUCAUUCUUGGCCAAGAUUCUCAAGCUACCAAAACUACUAACAAGAGUCUCGCAUGCAAGAAUAUUUUCAUGAAAGACUUUAACUGUAACACCAUCACUGCAACACUCUAAUCAAAACUGAUAUAUUGAAACAUAUAAAUAUCUAGCUACAUUCAAGAUGUGUGGAUGUGUGUUGAUGUCUUCUCCUACAUGCCUAGCAUGCUAAUUAAUGCUUCCAUUGAGAUCAGUUCUUUGUGUUAAAGAAGAACUGAGAGGUAACAAGUUAAUAACUUCUUCUUAUCUUGGUUCACCUUAUCUUGGAGCAGUUAGGGAAGUACAAUAAGAGUCUGAUGUGAGUAUUAAGGCCAAAAAAAAAAAUAUCUAGCUUCAUGUUUAUAUAACGAAAACUGUGAUAUAUUUACUAUGUGAGUUGCAAUCAACUUUUGAAAUCAAGAAACAAGACUCAAAGAUCUUGAAUGCUAAGGUUAUGCUCUCUUCUUGUGGGUUUUUUCUAAGUGGAUGUCAAUUGAGGAUUUGUAACAACCCAUCCCUUGCCUAAUACCAUCGCCGAGAUGAUAUAAAGAUUAACGCCUAACUAACACCUGUUAAUUGCUUGUUAUCGGACUUACGACAUGUUGUUUUUGGCUUGGUCAACUUUGUUUCAUGUUUUAAACAGUAAGUUAAUGUCUAUGUAUUAUUUAAAUAGUCUGCCUGGAAGUUGCUGGUUUAAUUGGCCGAAAUGACUCGGUUCAUGUAUUUAAUGACAUUUUUCCCAUAGAGAAUCUAGAAUUUUUUAAUAUUAACCCAUAGCAUAGUAUUUUUUUUGCUAAAAUAUUUUGCAAAGCACGCACUUAUGACAUGUCAAGCUCAUAUAAUGCAUACAAAUUUCUUUUUGUUUGAUGUAAGAGUCGAUCUAAAUUUUAGAUAGUUUGCUUACUUUUUUUAAUUUCAUUUUACUCGAUGGGAUCUAAUAUUUCUAUUUUUUCGUUUACUUUGAAUAAACCUUGUUUAAUCAGACGAUGCCACCAUAAUCAACGGAUUAACUUGGACGGGAUAUUCAAGCAUGAAGAGAGCUCAAUCCAGCAAAGGAGGAUACCUACACCAUUUUCGAUUUGUUUUAUCCUUUGUCGUAGGUAUUAUGCUUUAUUUCGUCUUCACCAAAUUUCGAUAUGGCGGUCUUCCAAGAUAGAUUUUAAAAUUUGAUUUUAUCUUUUAAUAUGAAAAAAUUGAGAUUUUAAUGUAUUUCAACUUUUUAUUUCCUCGUUUUUGGUAAAUCACAUUUUUUAGAAUGUUGGAUUUCGUACGUGAGAAGAGAAAACGAUAAUAAAAGGGAGAUUAUAAGUAGUAUUUAUGGAGCAUGUUUUUUGGUGGUAAUAAAAACUAAUAUAAAACAUAUACAGUGUGUCAAAAAUAUUAGCCUUUUAGUAUGGAGAGCUUAUUGUUUUAGAACUCAUAAGAUUAAUAUACCAAUUGAUUAUUUUACGUUUAUAGAAGAUGGUAUAUUAUCUAUAUAUAUAAUAUGAGAAUUCACUCUCCAUCUAGGCUAUCCACAUCAGCAUCCACCUCAUUAAUAUUUUUUUUAAAUUAAAUAUAUUUAAAAUAUUUAUUUAAUGCAUAUUAAUGUACUCAUAAUUAAUAGAAAAAUUAAUUAAACAUAAAAGAAUUAAACUAAGAAAAGAGAAUUAAACUAAAUAAAUAAAAUUUUAAAAUCCUAAAUAUUGUUAAAAUGUUAUUAGUAAUGUUCAUAUUUUCAAUGAUUUAAUGUGUUAAUGAGUUAAUGAGAAUUAUAAUGGAAGAAAAAUAUUAAAUGCAUAGUAGAGUAAAAAUAAUGACUAUAUAUAUAAACCUUAUAAACAAGAAAAAUUUAAAGUGAAAUAUUAGUUGGAAAUAGAAACUCACCGAACAUUACGAGCCGAUAAGCGUUGUCGUUAAUAUCUCAACGUAAAAAUAUUAUUAGUUUACUUGAGCAAUUUGCAUUAUAUUACAUUUAGUUAUUUUUUAUAUGUAGCUAAUUUUGGGAUAACAAACGACCAACUUUUGUCCAAAUUUGAAUUUGGUCAUUCUUUGUUCCAAAAUUAAUGAAUGAUGUCCAUUAUUGGGUGUACUAAUCAUUAUUUUGAAUUUCAACACAUCCGAGUUUGAAUUUAGUCAUUCUUUGACAUCCAAAAUGAUGUUUAAUUUAGAUAUGAUUUAUUGGUGUAUGAAAUUUCAAUGAUAUUCUUGAAUAUAUAAAAAAGUUUUUGCACUUUUUCUGGUGCAAAAAAACUUGAAAAUUAUAGAACAUUAUAUUUCAUCUUCUAUAAACGUAAAAUAAUCAAUUGGUAUAUUAAUCUUAUGAGUGAGUUCUUUUUUUAUGAGUGAGUUCUAAAACAAUAUAUAAGCUCCUGCUCAAUAUAUGUUAAUAAUCAGGUUGUUUUUGCCACCGAUUGUGUAUUCAACAUCUUUUCAAAAGCUAUUGAUGCUAGCCUUGGUUGUGAUUACAAGUUCGAACAGGUAAAACUUCAAUUUUUUUAAUAUUAAUGGAAUCUAAAAGUCUUUCUAAAUAUCUUAUAAUAUUUGAUUGCUUUUUGUUGUAGGGUCGUGUUCGUGGAGCGAUAGGUGACUACAUCUGUUAUGUUCGAACAACGCUUUGAGGGCUUUAAAUGCCUCAUUGUGGGCAGGCUGGAACCAAAGAGUGUUGUCAACAAGUUUAGUGUAGGUGCCGUAGUAGGAUGUGAGUAAAUGUGUUGGUGCUGUUAGGAUAUAAGUAAUUGUGAAGAUAAUAUGAAAAAUCGGAAUUGUUUUCAGAAUGUUUACAAGAAUAAGAAAAAAGUGACCAAGCGAUGCUACUCAUUGGAAAGGUUUGUUUAUAAUGACUAAUGAGUACUACUUUUUUGACAGAGAUUUGUUUACACCAAUAUGAGUAGUACUUUUAUCAUAAGCAAAGUCUACCAUGAAAGACUUUGUUUAAUGAUUAAUUGGAAUAUAAGCAGAACGAUGACUUACACAUGAUGACAUGAAUGGUUAUUACAGUAGCAUGCAAUGAACACUUUGAUAAUUAGGAGGACAAAAAAUAAAAAGAUUAGAUGAGUCGUUGGUGAUAUAUGAACCAACAUACAACAUUCUUUUUGAAUAUUCUACAAGUGAAUCGUAUAUGAAGAUGAAGCUUAAUUAAUUCUCAUUUUAGUAUCAGUAUCACAAUCAUAAUAACUUGUACAAAAUUUUAACUGAUCAAGUAGGAUAUAUUAUAUGAUUUCUAUAUAAAAAAGCCAAAUUUUCCAAGCCAAAAUCAAAAUCUUUUAAUAUUAAAAUAGAUUAAUUUUAUGCUUAUUUGUCAGUCAAGUUCUCAAUUAUUCCCCAACUUUUUUUCUUUUCUCAGUUAUUUAAUUAGAAUACCUUUCUUACUAAACAAUAUUAUUUCAAUAUAUUAUAUAUUCUGAUUAUUUUAAUAGUAAUUUUCUCAAUUUUGAAACACAUAAAAAUCUUUUUUUUUGCCUACCACACAUUAACUAAAAUAUUACUCUAUGAUUGAUAGCCCAAAUAUGAGAAAAAAAGUUUACAAAAGUAACUUUCGAAACAAAGAAUCUAGAUGAACGAAUUAUAGAUUGUUCUCUUUAAAAUUACAAGAACAAAAAAUCUUAGAUAAGAAAAUUACAUAAGAAUUUGACAUACCGAACUAAUUACUUUAAUAAUUCGAAUUUUAGAUCUUACCACUUAUUAUGAACAAUUUUUAUUUAUUUAUAAGCAUCAUUAAUACAUUUAGAAAGAAAAAACACACUAAAAUUAUUUUUUCUUAGAAAAUUUUAUAAUUAAGAAAUCCAUAAAUAGAUAUUUAAUAAUCCCCCUACUAAUUAAACAUAGGAUGAAACAAAAUUGUUAAUUUUGAAUAAAAAUAAGAGAUAAUUGCACUUACAAUCACUUUUGACAAACAUAUUGUUCAGUUAGUAACUUUGGAGAUGUAGCCUAAUAAAGUUGUCAUAUUAACUAAUUGAAUUAAUGAUAAAUUUUUUAGAUAUCUUUUGUACUAUAAUUGCUAGAUUGCUUUUUGAAUAUGAAUAUUUCUUAUGUGAAAAUAAGAAAUUUAUGUGGUGUAGAAUGUUUAUUCGCAUGAUUUUAGCAAACAAAUAUUUAAUUAUUGAUUUAUUUAAAUUUGAUGAUAUGAUCAGUUAUGUAUAUAUACUAUGUAGAAUUUGAUUAGUUGAUUAUUUCAUAUGCUAACAUAUUUUUUAUCAUUUUAUUUUUUCUAAAAAAAUGUUAUCUUUGUUUUUUUAAUAUAUGAUGAUUUUGUUCUAUUAGAUUUCAUUCUAUAUAAAUUAUUAAUUUCGAAAUUAUAUUAAAAUAUUAAAUUAAUAUUAAAUAUGUUUAUGUAUAUUCAAAAUGGGGGAAUUUCAAAAAUACCCCUUUUCCAAUACCACUUUUUAAAAAUACCCCUCUUUCUAAUUUUCUCAAAAAGUCAUUAUAAAAUUUGAAAUUUUUCAAAAACAUACGUGUAAGCUUAUAUUUGUAGACAAAAAUUAUCUUUAUAUGUGUGUAAAUUUAUAUAUAUAUAUAUAUAUAUAUAUAUAUUUUAAAUACCGUUUACAUACCUUUUAAAAAUCAUUUAAAAACCUUAUAAAAACUGUGUAAACAUUUUAAAAACCUUAUAAAAACCUUAUAAAUGACGUUUAGAACCCCUUAAAACCUUAUAAAUAUUUGGAUUUAAUCUCCCAGUAGUAAUGAUGAUCUUGAUUUACCUUAUCAACCAUAUAAAAGUUUAUAAUUUUUCAUAUUUGAAAAGGGGUAUUUUUGAAAAUGGAUAAAAAAGAGGGGUAUUUUUAAAAAGAGGUACACCAAAAAAGGUAUUUCUCAAAAAUUCUCAUUCAAAAUAGAUAUGUUUACAUAUAUUUAAUUUUAAAUUUAAUUGUCCACUUUUUAUGGUAAAAUAUUAUUAUGAUUUUCAUAAAUAUAGAUAGUUUUUGUUUUUGUUUUUUUUUUUUUGCUAUCAUUAAUUCUGUUUGGCAACUGGAAUAUAUUUCAUGAAAUUUUUUUCUAAAAUUGGGGGUGUUUGGAUUCAAGUUGUCAUUCCCAAUUAAUAGUAUAGAUAAAAUAAUUACCUAUUAUAAAAUUAUCACCUAGUUUUUAAUUAUUUAAUACUUCAAAUUUGUAAAUUAUAUUAUUAAUCCCGUCUAAUACAUAACCAAAACCGAACCAGUGUCUUCAAUCUCGCCCCAUUCGAAGUUAUUACCAUGUGUUUUGGUCUGAGAGAGACUCCGUUGACGGAGCAAGAUGGUCCAACCACCGAAUCGUCUCUCAAUAGAAAAAAAACCCAUUGUUUUUGGAUUUACUCGUUCCACGAAAGUUCUAAGGGAAAGGAACUUUCAAAUCACUAUCAAAGUCUUCUUCUUUGGAUAUGUAUAUUAAAAACCCUAAUAUGUCUCCCUCCGUUCUUUCCUUACAGAUAACUCAAGUCUCUUCCAAGGUUUUUCUUAUCUCUUACUUGCAUUUCACUUUUGGUGUCUGAAUUUUGGAAUCUCGAUUUGAAUGGUCGACAUGGGUUUGACAAAAACAUUUCUUUUCUUUGUGUUUUGUUGUCAAAGAUACAACCUUUUACUUGGAUACUGCAUCAUGGACGGUGAAGCUCAGCAAAUCUCAUUACUUGAUGGGAAAGAAGACAAGUUUGAUGGUGUUGUUGUGAAUUUGAUGGAAGUGGUGUCCAUGACUGUUGACGAUUUUGAUGCAAAGCUUGAUUUUUCACUUCGUACAUGGAAGGGUCAGGUAUAAAGAAAGGUUCUUUCUUUACAAUGCUACUGAGGAUGCUGCUUAGAUCGUUUCUAAAGAUAUGGACCUCUGGAUUUAGACAGAACAUCUCUCAAGUUUGGUGUCUGUUGUGAGAGUGUCUUUAUGUUUCUGUUUAAAGUUUAUUGUUUUUUCUGUUUCUAUUGCCAAUGACUUGACGUUUGGGAGAUGGAUUUUUAGGGGAAGAAGGGGAUUUGGAUAAAGCUGCCUCGUGAGCUUUCUAGUCUUGUUGAUACGGCAAUUAAGGUUAGAAGAUGUUAGUGUUGUGUUAUGUUUUGUUUUUGUUUAGCUUUAGUGAUUGAGAUCUGUUUGGUGAUAUGUUUAGAAAGGGUUUACAUACCACCAUGCCGAGAAGGAAUACGUGAUGCUUACAUCUUGGCUCAGGGAGCCACCUAGUACUCUUCCUGCCUAUGCUUCUCAUCGUAUUGGGAUUGCUGCUUUUGUCCUAAACAAGAACGGAGAGGUAACAAGAUACUUUGUUUUAAAUUUCUCCUGGCCUAUCACUUUGAAUCUAAAUGGACUGAACCUUGAUAUACAACUUUCCAUUUCCAGAUGCUCGUGGUUCAAGAGAAUAGUGGAUAUCUCAAAGAUAAAGAUGCGUGGAAGGUGCCUACCGGUACUAUUAAAGAGGUGAGUUUAUGGGAUCUUAUCAUAUCUUUGUGUGUGUGUAAGCUUAUGUUUGUUGCCCUACAUGAAUAUUAACAAUUUCAUAAGAAGAUUUCAAAGCUUAGUAAUAGCUAAUAAUCUCUACCCUCACUAUGCUAAUGAUAACUAGAUAACUAGUUAAGAAUAAAGGGUAUACCAGAUAAUCAAAGGAACCACUGUGUUAUGUCUGUAUUCAUCGAUUACGUUAUAAAGAAUGCCUAAAUUUAAGCAUGUCAGCUUGGUACAGACUAUAAAGAUUUAGUAACACGUUGAUUCCAUUAACGAGGCUACAAGAUCUCUUGAUUUGGAUAUGUUUUUGCACUUUUCUUGGAUAUCUAGGCUAACUGAAAAUUUCAAAUCACCAGGGUGAGAGUAUAUGGGCUGGGGCAAUCAGGGAAGUGAAAGAAGAAACUCAUGUACGUAUUCGUCUCCAAAACCCGGCAAAUAGUUCAAGUUUUUGAGUUUUGUAUCGAAAGAGUAAAUCCAAUUCUGUGUUUUUUUUUUGGUCUUUUGCUUCAGAUUGAUACAAAAUUUGUAGAAGUCCUGGCUUUCAAGUAACAAAAGAUCUCUUCAAUGCUUAUUUCAUUAGGUAAACCACUGAUUAUUUGCAUCUGACAUCAUACUGGUUGUGUUCUCACAGGGAAAGCCACCAAGCAGUCUGGCAAAGAAAAACGGAUAUAUUUUUCGUGUGCGAGUUGGAAGCAAGCACGUUUGAAAUCAAGAAACAGGACUCUGAGAUCUUUGCUGCUAAGGUAAAUGUUUUAUAUAUACUUCUUGAUAAAUCUGAACCAAGCAAUGGUAUUUCUUGACCGCUCGGCUCUCUUCUUGUGUGUUUUCUUAGUGGAUGCUGGUUGAGGAAUACGUAAACCAGCCCGUUCACGCCGAGGAAGGGAAUGAGAUGUUUAUGUUAAUAGCUAACAUCCUUUUAAAGAGGUUUCAGAAGGAACACAUGGGUUUCCAAAAUGUCCACACUACAAAAUCAUUGAAGGAGAGCCUUUACAGCAGCGUCGAUCAUUCAGCCAAACAUCUGAGCGAGACGUGUGAUGAAACCUCCACUUCCACAUGUCUGAGCAAACUCUCGUCAUAGCAUGUUUUCUAUUUGGUUUGCUUGACUUCUUUGUUUAUUGAAGAGGACAAUAAAAGUUAUGAAAUCGUUUCCUCUAUCAAGUCUAAACCUUACUGCUCUUGAGAAUCUUGAUACACUUUGUCGAACAAAGAGUCUCGUAAGAAUAUUUUUCAUGAGAUAGUAUAUGUAAUGGAUUAACCAAAAAUACUGCAAUUGUAACACCAUCAUUGCAUCACAAAACUGAUAUUGAAACAUAUAAUAGCCCAAUAAGUAUUUUGCAAAUCAAGUCAAUAUUUCAAUAAAAAGAAUCAUAAAAGUUUGGAUAUACUUCUCUUCCAAUUCGAUCUAAUAAGGUUGAUGGAAAAACUUGUCAAAUAUGAAGUAAACUUCUCAUUUUUUAAUUUGAUUUCUUUGCUUUUAGGUUUCCGACGAUUAUCCGAUGACGUUUUCUGACCAAUUUCCGAUUAAAUUCCGACAAAUUUUUCCGACAACUUCCCGACUACAUCCUCCGACUAUUUUUCGACUAUAUUUUUUGACUAAUAUCCGACAACAUAUUUCCAACGGAAUUCUCGCAAAACCUUUCUGUCGGAAUGUUCCGACCAUUUUCUGACGAAAUUUUGUUUCCGACCAGGAAUUAUCGAGGAUUAUUUUUCGUUGGAAUUUUGUCGGAGUAUCCCUUUUCCGACGAUUUUGCGACUAUAUGCGUGGUCGGAAAUAGCUAUGUUUUCUUGUAGAUCCAUACGAUUGUGACACUCGUCAGAUCGCUCCGAGUACAAGAAGGGUGUUUCAUAGUUUAGGUUACUAGCCGAGUUUUAAUAUCUCAUGACAUAUCUGAUUUUUGAUUUACUGAUGACUUUGUUUGAUGCUACAACAUUUGUAGACAAAGUUGCAAGAAGUAGAGGAAGCCAACAAUACAAAAGAGGAGUAGUAAUAUAUAUAUUUCUUCUUCCUCAUCUACACGAUAAUAACGAACAAUCAAACUAAUCAAAAGUUCAAAACUAAUUAGUGUUUUCAUAUAGUUUAAACCUAACUAUUUCUAUCUUUUAUUUCGAAUUUUCAUAAUUUAACCCUAAUGUUUUCUUAGACUAAUUCAACCUACCCAAUAUUGUUUUCAGUUUCCAAUUUUUUCUCAAUAUCUUUUUAUGUAUGAUCAUGAGUCAUGACUAAACUAAAUCAUUAUUUUAUACUAUAUCAAAUUCUAGUUAUGCUACUGUAUGUAACAUAUAUAUCAAAAAUAUAUCAUGUAAAAGAAAAACUACUUUGCUUUUGAUGAAUCUGAGAGAGAUUCAAUUGCUUCGAAUAAUAAUAGUUCAGUGAUUAUAAACUCUGUAGUUCAAUUCCCUAUCUUAUAACUAUAAGGUAUCCUAAACACAUACAUGCACAAGCCUUUGCUGUAAAGUGUUUUUUUUUUUUGUCCUUAGGAUAAGAAGAAUAUGAUCUCAAGCUACCAAAAUCACUAAGCAGAAUGUGAUUACUAUUGUAUCUUAAUGAAUUUAUUUCAUAGACACUAACGAUCAAUGACAUCGUAAUGUAUAUUUAUAACUUUUAGUGAUAUAAACAAAAAUCUUUUAGUGAUAUAGGAUUAUAUAAUAUUUUAUAUAUGACCAAUGCAUGUGUUUAAAAUUGAUCUUUUAGUAUCAUAUAGUCAACCAUCAUAUCUUACUAUUUAAAGACUAAUAAAUUAAAAGUUCACAAAAUCUUCAGUAUGAAUAAGAAUAAUUCUAAAUAUAUUAGGAUAUUACAUUUAUGGAUAACAUCUCUUUAUAUAUAAAUAGAAGUGUAUGAUUUAUUUCAUUCACACACAAAAAAAAUGGUUCCAUGGUGCAAAUGUUUCUUUUAUGUGUUCUUGUGUUUGGUUGUUCUCUUGAUCGUAGGUAAGCAACAAAAGAAAUCUAUGUUUUCAAUUUAAACCUACAUGAUACACUCUGCUUUUAUAUAUUGUAUACUUAAGAUUUUGGAAUUAAUUUGUUAAAAAUAUUACAGAUGUUCCGGAAGUCGAAGGACAUUUUGUGAUAGGUUCUUGCUCGAAAAUUCCAGACUGCCACACAAAAUGUAAUGAAAUGGGAUUCCGUCACGGAAGAUGUUUUGAAGAGGAACGCGGUGCCCCGGAAAAAGCAUGUGGUUGCUAUAGAAAUAUGUAGUCACAUUUUCUAAGAUAUUGCAUUGUAGGAACAUGUAGUCUUUAUAAUAAUAGUAAUAAUAAUGAUAUUAUCUUAGGGUAACUUUAUUGUAUUUGAUGCAACCAACAAGUUUGUAGCCAAUAAUUAUUUUGCAAAUCAAGUUACUAUUUCAUAGAAAGAGUCAUACACUUCUCUUCGAAUUUGAUUUGAUUGAACAAGACAAUAAUUUGGGGAAAAUAAAGUAAGAAUUACAGAAAAUUUAAUUUUCCAAUAAACUAAUUUUCUUUUCUUUAACAUAUAUAAAAAAUAGUUCUAAAAAUAUAUGCUUAUGAAUAUGUGGUUUCAGGUUGUAAAUUUUAAUUUUGAACCGACUUAGAAUACAUAUUUACGAAAUUAAUCUUAAUGAUUUAAAAUUAAUAGUGUUUAAAACAUUGGCUUUUUGGGAAAUAAUUGGCAUAAAACGAUUUUAUUACAAAAUGUGCUUAAAAACUGUUUAUAUAGAUUUCUUUGUUCUAAUAUUAUUAUUAUAUCGGAAAAUAACGUUUUGGUAGAAAACCAAAUUAACCAACUGGAAACUAAACCAGAUUACAUAGCCAAACCGGACCAGUGUCUUCAAUCAAACGAAUUGGUACAUUGGAUAUAAUCAUAUAACACAGUAGUCAGUACCAUACAAAAAUAAAUAUGAUCAUAUAUUAUUCUAUAAAUACGUCUCCCAAUAUGUUAGAAAUUAUUUAUGGGGUGUUAUUGGAUUCUAACUUAUAAGGAAUUUAGAUGACUCUAAUAAAAUCAUAGAUUGUAUGAUUGUUUGAGAGUUUAAGUGGGUGUUAUUGGAUAAUGGAUUUUAAUAGAGUCUAACUCUAACCCAAGUCUAAUGUUAUUUAAUCAAUGAUUUUAAAUACUUUACUCAAAUCAAGUGUUAUUGGUUUUUAUAUUUGCAAAAUCUUCAUUAAAAGAGUUUAAAAUCUAGUGUUAUUGGUUCUUAUAUUUGCAAAAUCUUCAUUAAAAGAGUUUAAAAUCUAGUGUUAUUGGUUCUUAUACUUACAAUUAUUAACUAAAGUCUUAUGUUAUUCAAGUUUGGUGGAUUUUCACAAAUGAUUUCAUUUGAAAAGCUUUGAGUGAAUCUGAAACUGAUUUCAUGUGUAAAUUAUGUCAGUCCCAAAACCAACCUUCUAACAUGAGAUUUGACAAUCUAAUAAAUUAAUAAAAGUUUCAUUUAACGUAAUACACGUACGUUAUCAAUAUUUGCAAACUCAUUCACCCAUGACCCAACACAUAUGUAUCUCUCUUUAUCAUUUUUUUCCCAGUCUUUUUUUUUUAUCCCUAGUUAAUGUGUAUAUUGUUUAAACAGCUGUUGUAUGAUUCAUUUGAUCACUUUAACAAAACAAAAAAACAAUUUUCAUCUUUAAAAGAUAUGUUAAGACUUCAAUACAGAAAUUUGAAAUGGGAAAAAAAUACGUGAUGGUAAAAGUUUGGUAUAAUUUCAUUGAAAAUUGUAAAAUCAUUUGUUAUAGAAUUCAAUUCUAUUGUUCAAAACCAAAAGAUAUCAUGUGUCAGUGUAAAUACACUUCCACUGAUUUAAAGAAUGAAUAAUAAAUCAGUCUCAAUGAACCCAGAUUUUGAAAGUCUUAUGAAUUUUAAAAAUCUAAUGGAGUUGAAUUUAACUUAAACAACUAAUAACACCCCCUAAAAGAUUGUUUGAGAAUUUUCUGUAAUUUUGUUGAUUAAUUUUUCAUAUAGUCUUGAAAGUCUUUCGAACAAUCCCUCUAUUUAUAAGAUACUUUUCAUGACUUUAUUUUGUAAAGAAAAGAGUUUAAAAUCAUAAACUAAUAACACAAAUUUUUAAUUCACUAACAAAAGGAGAUUCUUUUGUUUAAAUUGAAUAACACAGAACUUUUAAUAAUUUUGUAAAACUCUGAAUCCAAUAACCCCAUAUUUAUUAAGAUUUUGAAUGACUUUUUACAAAUUAAUAACUAAUAACAUAAAACUUUAAAAGAGUUUAGUAAAAUCUUGGUUGAAUAACAACAGAUUCUACCUAACAUCUAAAAUCAUUAAAACACCAUAUAACUCCUCCUUAGUCAAGUCAACUAACAUAUCCUAGGAUACAUAGAAAUUAAAAUCUGACCAAAUUCAAAUUUUCAAUAUAAUAAUUCCAAAUAUAUCAAGAUAUGGAGGAAUCACAUCUCUGUAUUUAUAACUCUUAAGUGUUUCGAUUAUGUUUCAUUCACAAAUCAAAUAACUAAAAAAAUGUCUUUAAUAUCAUCCAAAUCUUUGUUUGUUGUGUUCUUGUGUUUGGUUGUUCUCUUGAUCCCAAGUAUUCAACAAAAGAUAUCCACUUUUUGUUAAUUUAAACCUAUAUGAUAUGCUUAUUUUCUAUAAUAGUGUAUAUAUUUUUAUGUUUUGUAGUAAUUGGUUUUAUUAUAUAUUACAGAAAUUACGGAAGCUGGCACUGAUUUACAAGGAGAGGGAUAUUUUAUCAUAGGUUCUUGCUCGACAACUCCAGAGUGCACCCAAAAAUGCAUUGAUAUGCAAAUGACAAUGCAUCACGGAAUAUGUUUUGAAGUAGUGCCUCAUGCCCGUGAAAAAGCAUGCGGUUGCUAUUAAAUAAUAACUCUAUUAAGAUACCGUGUAUGUUAUAAAAAAAAAAUACUAAUAAUAUAUACAUUUCUUUUUGUUUUAUAAAUAUUUAUAUUUUCUCAAAUCAAUAAAUUCUUAUGGAUUUUUAAAAAAAUUUCUAUGUAUUAGUCAAUUUAUUUAUUUAUUUAUUUUUUUCGAACACCUGUCAAUUUAUUUAAGAGUGAAUUACAUAUACACAUACUUUUGAUAAGAAAAUUGACAUAUAGACCUACUUUAGAGGGAUGGUAUACUUUUGUGAAGGUUUUGUUUGGUUAUUGAAUUAUCUUAGACGAUUUUGCCCUUUUUGCGUGGUUUGGUUUUAAAAAAAAACUGAUUUUUUUUAUAAGUUCUGAGCCUUUGGGUUGUAACUACGGAUCGAGAUGAGUGGCUAAUAUUUAUUCAGAUGAAUAAAGUGAAAGAAAGACAUUUUUGAUUUUUUUAAAAAAAUCGAUUUUCUCUCUCUAUUUCUCUCUUUUUCUCCUUUUUAUUUGUUGUUGUGAUUAUAAGUUCUCAUUUUAAAUAGUAACUAUAAAAAAUUAUCACUUUAUUUAUAUACAAUAGAUUAUAAUGAUAUAUUUUUUCUACAUUUUAAGAUGCAUAUUGCUAUACUUUAGAUGAAUUAUUGUAUUAUACACUAUCCAUUUGUAGUUGAACAUUUGUUCACUGAUAAAUGGAUAGUCAAUUAUAGUAUCAUUCAUGGAUACAUAGUUGUUUUGGAAAUUAAUAUAUGAGCAACUAACUCUAUCCACAUGGAUUACAAGAAGAGUCUAAACAAUAAACCCUAAACCCUAAAUAUAAAACUAUAAAUCCUAAACCUAACCACUAAAUACUAAAUCCUAAACACUAAAACCUAAACUAAGCCAUAGAAGUUUAAACCUAUAUCCAAUAACAAUAACACUAAACUCUAAACUUAAAACCCUUAAAUUUUAAACCCUAAACAUGAAACCCUAAACAGUGAAGACUUUUAAAAUCUAAAUAAUAACAUUAUCAUUAAGAAAUGCCAAUGGAUAGUAUUUAUGUGAACAAAUAUAUUAUACAUUCUUCAUUGAGUAUAUUAUAUGAUAUCCACAAAAUUUAAUCUAUCCAUACUUGAUAAUUGAAUCUAUCUAUAACGUUACUAUCAGUCUAAUUAUGUAUUUUAUAUCUUCAGCCUACAAAUUAAAAUGAUAAUUGGCAGUGCAUAUGUGAACAACUAACUAUAUCCACAUUGAUUGAAAAAAACUAUAAACAAUAAAUCAUAAACCCCAAACCCUAAACCCAACCACUAAAUUACAAACUCUAAACAUUAACGCCUAAAUACUAAACCAUUAAACGCCUAAUUACUAAACCAUCUAAAUUUAACUCUAAAACCAAAACCAAUCAUACACUAUAUCCUAACCCCUAAACCUUAAACCUUGAACCCUAAAACCAAAACUCUAGCUAACGUUAAACACUAAUCUCUAAACAUAAAUCAUGAAUCUCAAACUUUAACCAUUAUCCAAUUAAAUUUAACUCUAAAACCAAAAAACCAUAAAUCAUAAGCUACAUGCUAACCUCCAAACAUUAUAAUGAACAUCUCAUCAUAUCCACACUAUUGUAACCACAUGGAUAUAUAUGGUCAAGGUGUAAAGAAAAAGUAUUAUAAUAUGAAAAUUAAACUAACGAAAAACAUUGGAAGAUGCAAACGAAGGUAGAGUGAAAGUUAAACCAUUUGAAAAUAGUUUUAAGGACAUAUAUUGUCAAAGUAUGAACUUGCUUUACAAUUGCUAAAAAGUAUCCACACCAUGUCCAUCGAAUUGAGUCCAUAUGUUUAUAGUAACUGUGCAUUAUGUUCGAGAAAUCAAAUUGUCCAUGAUAAUUUAUGAAUCCAUUUAAACUCUUCCAUAUGGAGAUAUUUUGAAAUUUGUUCAAAAGUGUGUAAGUCGUUGUCUUUAGAGUGAGGAAAGUUUGAAAAUGAUGAUAAUAACAAAUUAUGUGUCUAACAAUUGAUGAUUAUCCAAGCGGUGUAGUCUAUUUGGUCAUGUGAAUCACGUAAUCGUUACAUAUCAAUACACAAGUUUAUAAGCAUCUAAUGGUUAUCUAUAUAGAAUAUGUGUACUGCAAAUGAGACCAUAGACAAUUACUGUGCAAGAUGUUCAAGAUAAAAAAAGUCUAAGUCCUAAGUCCUAAACCCUAAAAUCCUAGCCCUAAACAUAAAUUAUGAACUAUAAACCAUCCAAGUAAUUUUCAAUAUAUAAAUUAUUUUCUAAAUUUCUUAUAUCAAAAAUUACCGUUCAUGUGAUCGUUACCGAAAGGGGGAGAGAAAUAGAGAGAAAGAGAGAAUCUCUUGUAAAAUAUGAAAAGGGCAGAGAAAGAUAGAGAAAAUAUAACAUUAAAAAAAUGGAGCAAAAAGAAACGAGAAAACAAAGAGAGAAAGAAAACUGAGGAUUAUAUAUAUAUAUAUAUAUUUUUUUAUUGUAAUGUUAAAAGAAAAUAAAAGAAUGUGAGUAGUUAUAAGUUAGAAGAAAGAGAGUAGAAGUUGUAAGGAAUUGUUUGUCAUUUCAAGUGUAAAAAGUAUAGAGGUAGCAUAAAGUGGGUGUAUUGGUGAAUAUUUUAUGAGAAAGUGGGUGUAAAUGCUAUUUACUCUUUAUUUAAACUUAUAAUGUUAAGUUUGGCUGUGAGUGUGACACUCUACUUGUUAUAACCAAAUCCUACCAAAACCGGACCAAAGUCUUCAAUCAAAUUCAAACGUUUGGUACACUGUAUAUAAAUCCGAUUAGACCAAAAUGUUACCGGUUCAGGUUAUAACAAAACCAAACCAAACCGGUCCAGUGUUUCCUCCUCUUUGGUUCCUAAAAGUCUCCCUUUUGCGACUGCAACAUGCUCAAGAGAGCGACUGUUCCGUUGAACCCCAAAUCUAUCGAAACCCCCAAAAGCCUUAAUUUUGGAAUCUCCUCUGCAUUGAUGAGUCGGCUUCCAUGGAAGAGAGUGUGUGAAACCAAUGAGCAAUGGCACAAGCAGUGACUUCCCUUUUGUUUAGUGUUUUUGUAUUUACAUGGCAAUUCAACAAAGUUUGAAACUUUAAGUCUCUUACGACUCGAUUACAUGGCAAUUUCUUCAAAAGUCUACUCUUUUGAGUCGUCUUCUUGGCUGAUACUUUCAGAUUCUGGGUUAUAAAUCAAACCCUUGAGUUCGAAUCAGUUCAUUACCACAGAUAACUCUGUCUUCUUCAAGGUAUGCAUGUCUCUUCUUACUCGCUUUUGUGGAACAUUGAUUGGAUUCUCGACUUUGGUAACAUUUUGUUCUUUAUGUAGCAUGGCUAGUGAAGCUCAAGAGACCCCUUUACUUCAAGGGAAACCAGACGAUUAUGGAGGUGUUAAGGUGAACUUGACAGAACCAAUGACUACUGAGGAAUUUGUAGCAAAGUUGAGAGCUUCACUUGUGGUAUGGAGGAGUCAGGUAUUUUCAUUAACAGACCACUUCAGAUUUGAGCCUUAGAUUGUUUCUUCUCUAUCUAAGGGGACUCUUUAGGAAAAAGUUAUAGUCUUGUGGCAAUGAGUUUGAGACAUGGAUUUGCAGGGGAAGAAGGGAAUUUGGAUUAAGCUUGCUGAUGGCCUUGAGAAUCUUAUUGCACCUGCGAAAGCGGUAAUUAAGAUGUUAUGUUGUAAAACUAUGGUGUUUUGGAUUGAUUCUUGUGUAGUUUUGGUGAUUUGGAUCUUUUGUUUGGUGAUUUUUCAGCAAGGGUUUGUAUGUCACCAUGCUGAGAAGGAGUACACGAUGCUUACAUCUUGGCUCGACGAAGAGUCACCUAACACUCUUCCUGCCAAUGCUUCUCAUCGUAUUGGGGUUGGUGCUUUUAUCCUAAACAAGAACAGAGAGGUAACUACUUAUCCUGGCUAAUCACUUUGAACAUGAUCUAAGAAAGACUCAAUUCACUAAAAUAGGGAUUCAAGAGAAAACAUUGUUGGCAUAUUAGAUAUAAGAGCUCAUAUCAGUUAGCCUAAUCUUGCUUUGUUCUCUGGCGCUCAGUUACAUUUAUCUUUGCCAUCUUCAGGUGCUUGUGGUUCAAGAGACUAGUGGAUAUUUCAAAGAUAAAGAUGUGUGGAAGCUCCCUACAGGUGUUAUUAAAGAGGUUAGUUUUUAGGAUUGUGACACAUUUGUAUAUGUGUGUGGUAUGUAAAUCUGAUCUUUUAUUGUCCUAAAAGAAGUAAAUUAAGACCAAAAUGCUGACCAAACAAAAUAACCAAUGUUAAUGCAUGUCCAAACCAACUUUGCCUGUUUCCAUUGUUAUGUAUCUACUAGAAAAUUUCUAGAGACAUAUAGCCAUCUAAGCAUAUCAUUGAUAUUCACUUAGUAUAGAGUACUUAGUUAUCGUCGUCACAUGUUGUUGAUCCCAUUAACUAUGCUUGACAAGAUCAUUUGUGAUCUAUUAGCAAUUAAAUAGGAUCGAGUCAAUGAUUUGCUUUGUUUCUAAACAUAUCAUCAUACCUAAGCUACUUGAAAUUUCCAAAUCCAUAGGGUGAGGGUAUCGCCGAGGGAGCAAUUAGGGAAGUGGAAGAAGAAACUGGUGUAAGUAACCCUGAAUAAUAUUUUUAAGAUUUUGAGUUAUAUGUUGAUAAUGUAACCUAAGUUUGUAAUUUACUUCUGCUUCAGAUUAAGACAGAGUUUGUAGAAGUCCUAGCUUUCAGGUAACAAAAGAUCUAUUCAACCAUUAGGUAACCCACUGAACUAUAUAACCUUGACAUCAUAUAUUGUUAAUGUCUCUCUCAGGGAAGCCCACAAAGCAUUCUCUGAGUAUAGAAAGACGGAUAUAAUGUUCUUAUGUGAGUUGAAAACAAACAGUUUCGAAAUCAAGAAACAAGACUCUGAGAUCUUGGCUGCCAAGGUAAACUCUUAAUCAUAUAAUUUUGCGAUGCACCUUGAACCAACCAUGGUUUUGAGUUACGAGUCAGGUCUCUUGUUGUUGGUUUCUCUAGUGGAUGCCGAUUGAGGAAUACGUACACCAACCUUUCCACACCAAGAAAGGGAAAGAAACAUUCAUGUUAAUGGCUAAAAUCUGCUUAGAGAGGUCUGAAGUGAAGACAUUAUACGAAGGGUUCUCUUCUGUCAACUCAGUAGUUUCAGAGAAGAGGAGCCUUUACUGCAGCACCGUUCACGCCAACAGCCUCAAUAUGAGCCCUGACGACCAAGCCUUCACUUCCACCUCUACCUAAGAACAAGAUGUUGAUGUUUCUCUUUGUUUCUGCUUUUUUCCAUUUGACGUUUUAAAAUCCAUGUUUGAAUAACAUAAGAUAUAUAAUUUUUCAAUACAAAUAUUUUAAAAUUUCACUUUUAAUACACCCCUUAAGAAAAGACUCGUUCUUGAUCUUGUUCUUGUUUUGAUGUUUUGAUGAUUAGAUUGAAGAAUGGGGAAGGGAGAAUAGAAAUAAAAAUCCCAACCAAAAUUAGACAUAAUAUAUAAAAAUACUACCAAAAAAGAAAGUGGAACUUGUCGGCCACAUGCAUACGUAUUGAUUACAAAGAAACACAUUGUAUAAACUAUGAAUAACUAUUUUGAUUAACUAUGUACCUAGACCAAAGUCUUGUCUUUGAGUCGUCAUAUUGAGUUCGAAUCUAUUUAUUGGGAUAUGGAGAACCCCCAAUACUAUUCAUUACCACUAUAUAACUCAGUUUUCUUAAUCCAAGGUAUAUACAUAUGUCUCUUCUUAUUCACUUUUAACUAUAGGGACUUGAGCUUUUGUGGAACAUUGAUUUGAAUAUUGAGAGGAAGAAUAAAACAAAGGUCUCUUCUCUUGUGACCGAAGACAAGAACAGAAACUGAAAUUUUUAUUGAACUGAAACUUGUUAUUUUUACAUGAUGAUACAAUGAGUUUAAAUAGAAAACUAAUAAACACAACAACACAAAGUGUUGUGUGUUGUGUCUCUUCAUACUUGAGUCUCUUGGAUGAAACAACACAACCGUCACGACUGAAACAUUGCGACUCUUAACCAAACUCAAUUAUCAAUAAACAUUCUCGACAUUGUAACAUAUUCUUUUUUUGUCCUGCAGCAUGGAUGAUAAAGCUAAGGGAUUGAAGACAACUAUGGAGGUGUUUAUGUGAACUUGACCGAACCAAUGACUAUUGAAGAUUUUGUCCCGAAGCUAAGGGCUUCACUUGUGGAAUGGAAGAUUCAGGUACUUCACUAAACAAAUUUGAGCCUUAAGAUUGUUUCUUCUCUUUAGGAAAAAAAGUUAUUGUCUAGUGGGCAAUGAGUUGUUGAGACAUGGAUAUGUAGGAAAAGAAGGGUAUAUGGAUUAAGCUUGCUGAUGGGCUUGACAAUCUUAUUGCACCUGCCAAGACAGUAAUUAAUUAAGAUGUUAUGCCUUUUUUUUUUUGGAUUAGUUCUUGUUCACUUUUGGUGAUUUGUUGUCAGCGCAAGGUUUUGUAUGCCACCAUGCCGAGAAGGAAUACACUAUGCUUACAUCUUGGAUCUCUGAGCUACCUAAUACUCUUCCUGCCAAUGCAUCUCAUCGUAUUGUAGUUGGUGGUUAUGUCCUAAACAAGAAGACCAAAGAGGUAAAAACUAAGAACUUAUAGAGUCUCCUUUUCUUAGUCCCUUCUCUAUGAAUCAUAAUGGCUCAACAAAAGAGUCAAGUCUCAAUUAGAGCCAGUGAUUGGACUAGAGAGGUCUUUAUAUUAAGUUCUAUGUAAUGUAUAGUUCUUGUUUUUAUCUUUUAGUACCAAUGUACCAUGAUGUUUGAUUAUUUUCUGAUUAUUUUGACCUCUUGCGCGAUUAGAACAUAAUUGAACGAGAUAUUUCCCUGUGAAGGUGCUCGUGGUCCAUGAGAUUGAUGGUCCUUUCAAAGAUACUGGAGUGUGGAAACUACAUACCGGUGUUAUUGAAGAGGUGCGGUUAUGGGGAUUUUGGCACCUUGUUUUAGUGUAAUUUGAUCCUAAUUCCUCAAAGGACAUUUACAAUUACAAGAAGAGUUUAAAACAAUCUAGCUAUUAUUUGUUUGCUUAUGAUUUUACACUUACCUAUAAUAUCACAGGGUGAGAAUGUUUGGGAAGGUUCACUUAGGGAAGUGGAAGAAGUAACUGGUGUGCGUAUCUGGCUUAAAACUCCUACUAACAUGUGUCAUUUUUUCGGUUUUAUAUCGAUGUACUAGAAUCUUGAUUCGUGUUUUCUUGAGGUCUUUUGCUUCAAAUUAAGACAAAAUUUGUAGAAGUCAUAGCUUUCAGGUAACAAGAUUUCUUCAUGCCAUCUUUAUUAGCUAAUCAUGAUCGAGUUCUUGAUCGGUUUAAUCUUGACUACAUUUCUGUGAGUUAGAACCAAUCACUUUUGAAAUCAAGAAACAAGACUCUGAGAUCUUGGAUGCUAAGGUAAAAAAACCUCUUAUAUACAUAUCUUAUGAUGAAGCUGAACCAAGGAUGGUUUUAGUUGUUGAAGACCUUUUAACUCCUUUGAUCUCUUGUUUUUGGAGUUGAUCUCAGUGGAUGCCAAUUGAGGAAUAUGUAAACCAACCAUGGAACCAAAACAAAGAGUUUUUCAAGUUCUUGGCUAACAUUUGUUUAAAGAGAUCGCAAGAGAUGGAAUAUAUGGGCUUCUCUACUGUCCGCACAACGACUUCAACUGGUAGGGAAAGCUAUAUUUAUUGCAACACUGAUCAACCCAACCUUCUCAACGCAACGCGUGACCUUGCCUCCACCUCCACUCCCACCUCUCAUUGAAAAAACCUCCUCUUCAGAAUAUGUUUAUGUUUCUUUGAUUCAUGUCUCUAUUAAAAUUGUUCAAUAAAAGCAUCAUUUUAGUGUAUACAAAGACUGGAGAUUUCUCUCUUCUUACUCACAUUUUGUUUAUUUUGGAAUUGGAACCUCAACUCAUAGUUCUGAAGAUCUUGACAUGGGUUGUUCAGUUUCUUGGUAGAGUUAUCACAACCAGAUCCAUUUACUUGGACAAUGCAACAUGGACCAGUGAAACUAAACAGACCCUUUUUUACUUAGUGGGAACUAAAGACAAAACAUAUUCCUUGAAAUCAUAAUGGAAACUUCAGGUGAUGAAUAAUUGUGACAAAGGCAUAAUUCAUAAACCAAAUUAAAUUAAGAACAUACAUAUAACACAAAAACAGAGAGCACAAUGAAGUGCAAAAAAAAAAAAAAUUAUAUGAAUUUACACUCACAAGUCACUCAUGGUAAUUAUAAGAAAUCCCGCAUGGGAUAAAAAAAAGGGUGUGUAGAAAGUAUUGAAGGUAAAUGUAAUAAAUACAUCAAGCUUUGAUCUCAAACCUUGAAUACUUAAUGGAUCCGAUGGAGAUAUCGAUUUCAAUGAGGUUAUCUUCUUCGAUGAAAUCAUUGAUGAAUAGAUCAAAAAGCUUGAAAUCUUGAACUUUGUUGUUGUGGAGAUAGAUAUGGUUCUUGCUACUAGUGUAGUGGUGACCAAUGUAAUGACCACUCGGUAAAGACAGCUCUAUGAGGCUCUCAUCAUCGGGGAUUGCGUUGUCUUCAACCUCACCGUUGGUCGUUUCGAUAUUGUCCUCGGAUUUUGGUGUGAUGAUAUCUUCAUGAAUAGCAACAUAGUCUCGAUCUUGUUCUUGUUCUUGUUCUUGUUCUUGAUCUUGUUCUUGUUCUUGUUCUUGAUCUUGUUCUUGUUCUUGUUCUUGUUCUUGAACUUGUUUUGAUGCUUGGAUUGAAGGAGGAGGGAGUGAGAUUGGGAAGAAGAAUGAAGAGAAGAACAAAGCAACACAAGUAAGGAGGAGAUGUAAGAAACGAAGUCCAAGGAUGUGAAGAAGUGGAGGGGCUAGGAGAGAGAGCCAUGAGAAAGGUCUCUUCAACAAAAUUGAAGCUAAACUCAUUAAGUAGUACUCUUCUACUCUUUUCUUCUCAAGAUUCAUUUCCAAACUCUCAAAAUGAUAUUAGCUAGAUAGAUAAAACCCUAGAGUAAAAAGAAAGCAAAAACCCUAAGUGGUUUGGAUUCUUAAUCUGAAAAAGGGCUCUGUAUCUCUAUUUAGGAAUACCAUCAAAAUGGAAAGGCUAUUAAUAGUAAUACCACUUUGGGUAAUUGCAAGAUUUGAUUAUAUUAAUGUAAACUCAAAACCAGAAACCAGUCCAUUGUUUGUUUUUGGCUUCGAGAUUUGAGGAGCAACAACAGCUCCAACCUGCACUGAUCACUACUCCCAAUUUUUCCAAAAUUUCGGAGUUAUCGACUAAUUAUAUAAUUUAGUACUAUGCAUUGUAGUUGUUAUAUACCUAAAUAAAAUGCAUAUAUCUCUCCCGUUUGAUCGGUAAACUACUUAAAUCCAGAUUUAGAAAGACAUGGAUGAAAAUGAUCAAUUCAGAGAGAGAGAUAUAGGUAGAGAAGUAUGUUCAUAUUUAACAACAACCAAAAGAAAACCAUUACAUACCAACCAUGAACUGUUUUUAUUUACAAAUAAAGCAGCAGUUUAUUGUCGCCUUAAAAAUAAACCGUUGAUGAAUUUGUCUUCUUCAACCGCGGUAACUAUUUGCACAUAUAAAUUAAACUAUACUUUAGUACGAUAUCAUAGUUUUUGUAGGGAAUAGUUUUUUCCGAGUAUUUUGUUCUAUAAAAAUAAAAUAUAAGCAUGAAUAACUUUUAAUUUAAAUGUAUCUUUCAUUUCACUCUCAUAGAAAAACUGAUUUUUUUUUUUUCGUCAAAAUAUAAAUUAUAUUAAUGAAUGAAUGAAAUCAUAAUACAACUGGUCAGUUAGCCAUUGAGGCGAAUGAAACUGAUUUAUGUCCAAAAAUAUUAUAGAAAUAUUUAUGUGGACGUGUAAUUUAUCAAAUAUAAUUUUUAGAUAGGUUUAACUUUUGUAUGAAUCAUGUGAUUUUUUUGUAUAUCAUGCUAUUUAUCUAUGUCGACUUAUAAUAUCCGAAAUAUCAGAUAUAAAGUAUAAUGUUAUAUCUUUAAACUAUUCCUUAGUACAUCAAAUAUAUUUUGAUAUACAUCAAAUUAUAAGCUUACACAAAUUCUUGGAUAAAUUUCAACUUUUUAGUGGUUAUUUUGAUAAAGUUUGAAAAUGAGGUAAUUUUAAAAAGUGGCUUUCGAAAAGGGGUAUUUUUGAAAUUCCCCCAUAUAUGUAUAUAUAUAUAUAUAUAUCCCAUAAAGAUUUAAAUGAAUUUUUGAGAACCCCUUUUCAAUAAUACUCUUUUUAUCUAUCCAUUUUCAAAAAUGCAUCUGUUUAAAUAUGAAAAUUAUAAAGUUUUAUAUGGUUUAUAAGGUACUUCUAGAUAAUAACUAUUACUAGAAGAUUUGAUCCAAAUAAUAUAUAUUAUUUUAAAAGGUUUUAAAUCCUUUUUACAAGACUUAUAACGUUUUUAAAAAGGUUUAUAAGGGGUUUUAUAAGGUAUUUGUACGGUAUUUAUGAAAUUUAUAUAAAAUUUUAUACACAUGUAAAGAUAAUUUGUGUGUAUAUUUAUAAGUUUACACAUAUAUUUAGAUAAAUUUUAAUAUUUUUAGUGGCUUUGUUGAUAAAGUUUGAAAAUGAUUAUUUUUUAAAAAGUAGUAUGUGAAAAGAGGUAUUUUUAAAAUUUCCCCAAAAUUUAAACUAUAUAAAUUAAACACUUUUCUUAUAGUAGCAUGUUAAAUUUCACAUAAGACAUUUUAUAUAGCUUACAUUAUGGCUGUUUAAGUUGUUGUAUCAACUUCAAUUAAAAUUACUCUCCCUCUCUACUUAAUUAACCCAUCCAUCUAAUUAAAACAAGUACUAGAUGUGUUUAAAAUAUAUCAACCAAAUUAAAUAAAGAACCAGAAUAAUUUGAGCAUCUGAAAUUGAUUCUCUUGGAGACUUCAAAGGCCAAAACCCUUGAGCUUUGAACUUGUGUACACUGUCCAAGGCAUAGAGAGUUGGUAUGCCAUGUGCCACCAUCUGGCGUCAUCUGAUCACUUACUUUUAAACUAUAGUAUCAAAUAGAAACUUAGAUAGUAAAAUCAAAGAUAAUGUUUGUUUUUGUUUUAAACACUCCUAAACUCAUAAAAUACAAAGUGGGCUCAAGAUCGUAAUUAACCUAAUCAUCGGCUUAAGACAGUUAAGCUCUUAAGUCACCUAAUUAAUUUUCAUGGAAAGAUUAUUAUAUAGAGUAAAAGUAAAUAAUUUUACAAAGAAAAAAAAAUCACAACAUUAUGGUUUGAUGAUAUCUACUUCGAUGGUGACCAAAAAAAAAAAAAGAUAUCUACUUCGAUAAAAUUUUAUAUAAAGUCGUAUAAAAAAAGUUGUAAAAAAGUCGUAUAAACAAUAUUGUGGAACAAUUUGAAAAUUUUUUGUUUUAAAUUAGUUGUCGUUUAAAGUUUUAUGUAUAUUACUUACAAAUUUAAAUUUUCUGUUAUCUUUUGAUAAAAAGAGAAGAACAAAAAGACCUCCAUAUAUAGAAUUAUUUUUCAACUUUUCUAUAGUAACAUCAUCUAUAUGUAGUAAUAUGCACUUAUAAAAUCGAUUAUGCAUAGACAUUAAAAUAAAUCUACGGAUCAACUUACUUAAGUUGUCUAGAUUUAAAUAAAUUAAAGACUAUUGACAGCAAUUUUAUUUUAAAUAUAAAGUAGAAAAAAUCGUUUUAAAAAGUAAUAAAUUUUAUUCAAAUAGAAUAUGUAAAACACAUAACUAAAAAUAGAAAAUCGAAAGUAAAAUAAAUAAAAUAAAUAAUCCUACAAAAAAAAAGGUGCCACUUGUCGGGUAGAUGCAGACAUAUAGGAUAAGCUACAUAUUGUUUGCAAUAUAGGCUACAAAAAACCUAGAAACUAUGAAUUAAUAUUUUGAUUAACUAUACUUAUCAAACUAAUCUUUUGAUUAAUCAAAUUAACCUUUAGUUAAUUGUCUCGAAAGGAAUGUUGUUCAUCUACACGAGUAUGGCCUAAUCUUUAAUUAGAAAAUGGGGGACCAUCUCAAACCCACGAGGGCUCUCUAAUUGAUUUGAUUACACUCUAAUUUUUUUUAAUGUUAUUAUAACAUCUUUUAAAUGUGAAUAUGCACUGGCAUUCUUGGUAUAUAAUUACAUUUUAAAGUGUUUAAAAUCACCUCCAUCAAACUAAAAAAAAAACUUAAAAUAUUAUUAUUAAAUUUAACCGACCAUAGAGAUGAAGUAAGGAAAAAUUAAAAGUACACUAUCAAACUUUAAUUUAACAAAAAAAUGUUAUUAUAUAUAGUUCAAAUUUUGUUUGUCGGUUUUGUGUACAAUUCUUUUUUUUUUUUGUUGCUAAGAAUGUAAAUAUUUCAUUAAAAUGAAAAUAGUUUAGGUUUACAAUCAAAGAUUUUAAACCUACACAAAAGUUUUGUGUACAAUUACAUAUUUUUUACUUUACUAAUUACAUACCAUAGAAAAACAAAAAGAUAUAUGUAAGUUGUUUCUAUGUGUCUAGCAUUAGAAAGAUCUCCAAGGACUCUGCUAAAUUUAGAUAUUGUUUGUUACAUUAACAAUGUAAAUUCUAAGUUGUUUCUCUCAAGUGAUAAACACUACAUGAAGCCAUAUGGAUAAAAAAUUAACUAAAUCAAUUGCACCAACUUGAAUUAUCAAAUCCAUAAAAAGCAUCAAUAGAAUCUUAGAAGUUUAUUGUUUAAUUUAGGGGCAUGUCUUGCUUACGUACUUAUGUUUACAAGCUUGACUUCGCAAGUCUCUGUAUUUUUUAUCAUUUCAAGUAGAAGACAGUAUAUAAAAGCUGUAGAUAUUUAUAUAUCACAAAUAGAGUGUGUCCAAAUAAAUUAUAAAUUUCGUGAAAAAUGGGUUUGAAAAUUAUCUGUUUAUCAUCAAAAACAUUUUUAAUAAAAUAACGAAAUGGAAUUUUUAAAUGUGUAAGACAAAAAAAAAAAAAAUCAAAGACAUGUUACCAUUUUAAUUUGGUUGGUUUUUCUAUUUAAAGAUUAUGUUGCUCUAAUCAAAUUACAUACAUUUCAUGGUCCAGUUUAUAACUCUUUUAUGUAUUUAGGGUUUCCCUCCGGAUCAUUGACAUAUCCAAUAUACAACUUUGUUAGAUCAUUUCCACAAAAAGAUUUUGCUAAUUACCUUCAAAUGUCAUCGGUGUUAAGUAAUUAAUUUGGAUAUUCGGAUAUUUCGAUUCUUCAAAGCCAUUUGAUACUUUUGAAAGAACAAUUUUUGCGGACCUAUCUAGUCCUAGUUCCAUUGGUCUAAUUCAUUUGUGGGUAAUUAUGGAUUAUGUCGUCCCAAGAGAGAUUAAUGAACCCAUACAUACGUCAAUACGUCACAUACGUCAAUACGUCACAUACCCAUGAAAUCUUUUUUUUUUCAUAAUUAGAUAAGCAAAUUCUUAAUUGGGUAGCAACCUCAAUAACCUGGUUAGUUUUGUAGAUUUAGUGAUCGGACAUAUAUAUAUCUUCACUUAAUCACUUCAUUCAAACACAAGUGCCUUAAUUAGGGCAAUACUUUGUCGAAACAACCCCAAAACCAUCUAUGAUCUAUCCCAUCACUUACAUUGUCUUGUUUUGUAAUUUCAUUUUCAACUAGUCUUUGUAAUUUUCUACUUGGUGGUAUUAAUUAUUCCAAUAAACGUUGUCGAUAUCAUGUGAUUGUCUAUGUUUCUCACGUUAUUGAUCUUUAGAAAAGCCAAAGAUUUGUAGAAAAAUCUUGACGAGUGAUGACUUUGUAAAGCCAUUCAAUCACAAAAUCUUGACAAUCGAGAGCUAGUGGCUUUGCUUUGCUCUGUCUUUACGUUAGGAUCUAUUAUUUGUAAACCCAUACCUGACGGCCACGGCAUUACUAGGACACACACAAGGCCACACCCUUGUUUGAUAAUUGACAUGCAGACGUAUAAUAUCUUCUUAAAACCCUAUCAUCACUCCACGUUUUGUCGAUAAACUAUUAGAUUAUGGGUUUCCAAUCUAAUAUAUAUCAUAAGAUAUAUUAGAUUGUGAGCUUCCAACGUAAAACCAUUUUCUAUACUGGUAGGAUCCUUGUCCAGCUUCCGAUGUGUGCUAUUGUAUCUCUAAUUACGCCCCUUCGAAAUGAUAGCUCUUUUAUACAUAAAUCUCGGUAGUUUCGGGGCAAAGAUCGGUGGACCAAAAUUUUGGGUCAUAUCAAUAGUAGAUCUGGCUGAACAUACAUGGAUCGGGCUCUGAUACUAUAUUAGAUUGUGGGGUUAUAACUUAAAACCAAUUGGCAAUUAGUGGAACAAUUUAUAUAUUGUUAUGAUCCUUAUCCAGCUUUCGAUAUGGGAUAUUGUAUCCCAAAUAUAAACCAUCUUUUUCUAAAUUAGAGUUUUCUUAUGUCUUUUAAAUUGGAAACCUUAAUUAACACAUAUCUUGAUUCUUGACACACCAUUCACAUCGUUUCAUAGCCCAUUAUUAAUGAUGGCCCAAUCUAUAUCUUUCACUAAUCUUUUUUUCUUUAGAAACACGACAAUGAUUGACAUGAAACCAUAGAACAAUGACUUUUAGGAGAAAUCUGUCGAGUCAAUGGCCUUUUGUGACGUAGAAAAAAGACAUAUCCAAGUCAAUGGUCUUGUAGUUUUGGCGUUUUUAAACAUUUUUCAAAACAAAACAAAAGAGGAACCAUCCGACCAAAAAAAAUGAAAUUCAACGACUCAAGAAUUUACUUCGAAGGUAGUAUUAGCUCGAUUUGUGACCAUGUCAACUUCAAGUCGCGUUUAAAAAAAAAAACCUUUUGGCAUAAUAUGAAAAAAAAAAAAUGCUAUUUUUGAUAUCAUUUAAAAAAUAUAUAUAUAUUUCACUCUUGAAUAUAAUUUUAGAAUAUUUAAGUAGAAUUAGAAAGCUAUAAGGCGUUAAAAAAUAAAUUAGAAAGCUAUAUACCACCAUUGACCUUUUAAAUAGAUAUAUAUAUAUAUAUAUAUAUAUAUAUAUAUAUAUAUAUAUUAAUUUUCUAGUUAUUUUUUCUGCCAAUACUAAAGAAAAGUGAUCUCUCAUAUUAUUAUUCACUACAUUUUCUAAAAUAUAUAUAUUUUCUUCAUAAACGAAGCUAAGUAAUGGUUAACUUCUAGAAUUGAUAAGAAAUAAAUCAAAUAAUUUGUGUUUAUAAAAGUAAAUUGGUUUGAAUGGUUCAAAAGAGAACAUGAAUUGUUGUUAUAACAAAAAAGCAAAAAAAAAAAAAAUGGUGAAAUCAAACACAACCCCACCCACUAAUCUAUAAAAGCUUCCCCCAAACUUGUUUCUCAUUCACCAUUCUUUUUCUCAAUUCAAAGGUGAGAGACACAAAGAGAGCAAGAGAGAUCAUAUCAAAAAGAAAAAAAAAAGAUGGAAUCUCAAAAACAAGAGAGAAGCGUGAAGGAGAUGAAAAGAGUCACAAAGAUCAUAGCAUUGGCAUCAAUUUUCUCAUUUAUACUAUCUUACUGUUCUUUAAUAUCUUCUCUUCAACAAAAACUUCAGUUGCUGUCCAUGUAUACCAACCUUGUUGACAAGAAGUACAUGUUCUUGCUAUGCAAUGGGAUUGUUGGCUUUAUCCUUGGGAGUUUCCGCGGGAAUUCUGAAACAAGUCUACAUGAUAAAGCCAUUAACACCAUUGAACGAACAAGAGAAGUAAGGACCAAAGAAACAAAAGUCAAGAAAGAAACAAAAGUCGUCAAGAAAGUAGUAGUGGCACUACUUGAAGAAAAGAGUGUUGCUAAAGAAGAAGGCAGAGUUGUUUUGUUCAAAGGAGGAGAAGAAGAAGAAGAACAAGAAGUGCAAGACCUCGCUAUCGUUAGAAUAGAUGAUCAUGAUGAUGACAAUGGGAUGAGUGAUAGUUUGUUAAGUUCGGAAGAAUUGAACAAGAGAUGUGAGGAGUUCAUCAGGAAGAUGAAGGCUGAGAUUCGAGGCAAGAGAUGAAUAUAAAUCUCUUUAAGUCUUGGAUAGAUGACUUUUAAUUUCUAGAGUUUAGUUUAACUAUCUUUAGUAUUCUGUAUAAGGCAUGAGAAGUUUUUGAUUUUUUCGCUCUUUCGACGAUUCGACUCUGUAUUUUUGCUGCCCACUUCAAUUAUGUAUGUGGUCACUUUGUUUUUCUUGUAUCAUGUCUCGUGUGGAUAUGAAGCCAUGAUAUAACCAAUUCUAAUGUUAUGUAUCGGCUUCCACUAUCUAAUAGUCAUUCGAAGCUCAUGGCACAUUUGAUCUCUACAUGUUAACUCAAGAUGAAUCAACUCUGUUCUUGCUAUUGAUGAUUCAAGAUGCAAAUAAGGCUUAUCACCCCCUCAGCUUCAUUGGCAGAACCAUUUUAGAUUCAGCUUCUUACCAGCUUCCUUGAAGAGCUCUGAAGCAACAGUGACACAACUUUUUGAAUAAGUGUGAAGAAAAAUGAAAUGAUGCAACAAGAACAAGUGAACCAGCAAUAGAGAGGAUAUUGGAGAACAAAAUACAAAACAGUAAGUAUCUUGCAACAACAGUAAUGUUUUAUCACCAUACUCAGAAGUGUCAUAUGUCUCAAAUUGAAAAUACAAGCCGGAAAAACACAAGCAAAGCCUUAGAUCCUAUCGAUAUCCUCGUCCUCAAACUCAACAUAGUCAUCACCGGCAUUAUCAUCAUCUUCAUCAAGAUCACCAACAAUUCCUUCGUUGAGACGGGUGUUGUCUGGAAGCUCACCAUAAGCCUUGAGAAGCCUAGCCUCAUCAGACAUGUACUUGAGGAUAACAUCGGCUUUGUCAUCUUGGUAAUCCCUCAGACCAACAAGAACAAUAUCACCUGCCGCAAUCCAAACCUUCUUGUGCAUCUUACCACGGAUAUGGCAAAGACGUUUGGUUCCAUCGAUACACAUAGCUUCACAUCUCCCAUUACCAAGCAUACGAAGGACUUGCGCGUAUUCUUGUCCAUCUUCCUUGAAUAUAAGCUCUCUCUUCUCGUCAUCCGCUUCGUUCUUUCCUCUCUUCCUGUUCUUUCCUCCCUUUCCCUUGUUCUUCGGCAUGGUAUCUGCAUACACAGUACAGACAUAUCCUCAGUUCUAAAUUCAGUCUUUCAACAUGCAAAACAAAACUCCUAUCUCUUAUAAACCACACAAGACUCUAAAACUAAAGCCAAAGCAUAUACCAAAACAAGAACCUAAGAUUGAAUCAAACUGUUUAAAAUUGCUCAAGUUAUUGAUUCAUUACAUAUGUAUAACCAAAACUAAACCGAAACCUAAAGCUAAUUGAAGAUACCAAUCUAGGGUUUCCAAUAAAAAUCGUAACUUUGAAUCCGGAUUGAAGAAAAAUCAAAACUUUUUCAAGAAUCAUACAAUUUCUGAUAGAAACCCUAAAUAGACGGCGAUAAAGAACUUCGCCGCCGACUCAAUUAGUGAAAACCCUAAAUUUCUAAAGCUCCAGAAUCGAAAAUUACAAGUAAGAGACGAAUUGAAAUAAAAACUGAAACAGAAACGAGAAGGCUCACCACUAAGGAACGAUUCAAAAUCUGUGAUUGAGCUAGAGAAGUCUUUGUAGCGAUAGAUUCACAAAUCUGUUGAAAUUUGGGGAUCAAAAGUUUUGUAGCUUGCGGCUGCGAAAAGUUUUGUCGAAUUUUCCAGAAAUUUGGUUAUAAUAAAGGACACGUGUUUUGAUUGCCCUUGGUUUUUAGGUUUUAUUACCGAACCAUACCACUCAGUUCAAUCUGAUAUGCGGUUUGGUUUAUAUUCUUCGGUUUAAUUUUCAUUUUUUCUCAAUCGAAUAAAAAAGAAUCAUACCUAUUAUAUCCCCUAGUACAUUUUUUAUUAUAUAAAGUUUAGUUGUUAAUGUUCCUAAUUUAUAAAAUCGUGAUAUGUGUCGAAUUUAUCAAUAUGAUUUUGAUUUGUAAAAAAAAUUAUAUAAUAAUUUCUAUAUUAGUAAAAGAGAAAUACAAAAUUAAAUACGGGUAUGAUCAAAAUUAAAAAAUUAAUCCGAUUUUAACAACUUGAUACUUCAUAAUUGAAUAUAUAAUUGGGUUUUAGAUACAUAAUUUGAAUAUUUUCCAUAUCUAAUUUUAGAAUUAUAUUAUUUUCAUAACUAAUUUUAGAAUUUUCUGGUAUUUCUCUAACUAAUUUAAUAUAAUAUAUUGAAACAAUUAUUAUUCUUGUUUCACAUUUAUUUGAUCUUAUUUUUACUUUAAGAUAUUAUACUAUAUGAUUAAAAUGUUUUAUAAAAAUUUAUUUAUUUUGCAUAUGUUGUAAUUUGAAGUUUUCAAGAUGGACAUAUAAUACCCAACUACACUGGAUUAAUAUUUUGGACAAUUGUUUUAAAUAAUUAUAAUUAUGAUCAGUAUUAUAACCAAUUUUAUUUGAGCAUAUUUAAAAAUUCUUAAAAAGUUUCAAAAUAUUACAAUCAAAAGGUUCAAAUAUUAUAAUAUUGAAAUUUUUAAAGGUUCAAAUAUAUAUAAAAAUUCCAAAUUUAAAAUAUUAGAAAUAUAUUUAUGGAGAAAUAGAUGUAAUUUUGGAGACAUUAUUUUUUAUUGAUCAAAUAUAUUAUAUAUCAAACAAUGUAAAUUUUAUGUUUAGUUCACGGGUUAGUUUGUUAAACUCACAAUUAUAAUGAUAGAGCGAGUUAUGAAUAAUAUUUUUACUAAAUGAAAUCUUGUUUAUGGGUUGGUCCUUCAAAAUAUAUAUUGUAAAUAUGUAAUUUUUACGUAUAUUCCUACUUCUACUAAAAAAUGGUCAAACUAAAUAAUUUAUUGAUACAUAUUCUUUUGUGCUGUUAAAUUGUAACUGUUUUUAUUUUUCUUUAUUGUAUCAAAACACAAUAUAUUAUCAUUUACUCACUUUUUCUUUUAUUAUUUUAUUUAAAUUUAUUACACAAAUAUAUGAUUCACCGUAAUUGAUUGCAAUACAAUAAAAUUAAAAUGUAACAUAUUCUAAUCCGUUAAAAGUUAUAUAUAUACAUAUAUAUAUAUAUAUGUAAAUAUUCUUAGCGUUGUAGCGUGAGUCCGAACCUAGUAUUAUUUUAUUUUAUUUGUUCUUUUAUUUUAAUGAUUAUUAAUUUAUAGUAAAAUUACUUAUCCUUAAAAGAAAAAUUGUAAUUUACUAUCUUUUUAUUAAAGAAAAGGAAGUUAGAUGUUAAAAAGUAAUCGAUAUACAUAAAAAAGUUAUUAAAAGUAUAUAAUUAUACAAACUUUGAUGUUAUAAAAUUAGUAAUUAACGGUAUCGGGACACAUGUCAAUCGCUUGAUACACAUGUAAACCUUAUAAAUAGUCUUAAAAUUGACAUGUGUAAAAUUAACAAUUCCCAAACAUAUCACAAAAUAAUUUGGAAACCAAAUUAAAUAUUGUAUAAGAAAACUAAGAGAAUAAUAUAAGUAAAUAUUGAAUCUUCUAUUAGUGAAUGAUUUUGGUAGCGUAUUAAAUAUUAUAGUAUAUACUUACAUUGCUGAUUUAACUUUAUAUUAAACCUAAUAGUUUUUUAGAUAUCUUAUUAUAAUCAACAUAUAUUUGGAUGUAGAGACUUUGACUUUAAAAUUUUAGCUGCAGAGAAUUUGGUUGUUGAUGCUUUAGUUGUAGAAAAUUUUACAGUUAAAAUCUGACUGGUAAUGCGCCACUUUUAAAGAUGUGGCUGUUAAUUUUAUUAUUAUUAUUAAUUUAUAUUAAUAAUAAAUAUAAAUUAUGUUAGAAAUGAAUUUAUAUAUCAAUUUAAUGACUAAUCUUUUUAUUAAUGAUAAAAAUAUUUUUGAAAAUUAAAUAAAUCAUACUAUAAGGUUUAGAAAUAACUGAAGUUGUAGACAUCAGUUUAUUUAGUUAUUAUGAUUUAAAAUAAUGGAAAAAUAUAAAAACUAUCGACGACUAGCCUUAUAGCGUUAGCAAUCUCAUCACAGACACCUUCUUUGUAUUUCUCGAACUAACAUCUUCUUCUGUUACAUUUGGAAGUUCCUCCUCAUUUGGAGAACCUUCUUCUUCUAAGUCAUCAAAAUUGGGAUCUUCAAUAUGUGAGUUACGAAUAAAAUUAUGGAGGGCCAUUGUCACCACAACAAUUUUUCUCAUCGUUGCGAGAUUAUAUUUCGCGUCAUCUCUCAUGACUCGCCAUUUUCCUUUCCAUACUCCAAAUGGUGUUUUAAACCUUUUUGAAUGUAAGCAGUCAAAAAUCUAUUAAAAUUGGGAUCUUCAAUAUGUGAAUUACGAAGGGCCAUUGUCGCCACAAAAAUUUUUCUCAUCGUUGCGAGAUUAUAUUUCGCGUCAUCUUUAAUGACUCGCCAUUUUCCUUUCGAUACUCCAAAUGGUAUUUUAAACUUUUUUGAAUGUUUUUUUAUAAGCAGUCACAAAUCUAUUAAAAUUAAUUAAUGCAUUGUUUUGAAUGUUACUCCCUAUAUAAACAUAUAAACAUAAAUUUCAUAACUCUUUUACAUCAUCAUUAUUAGUGAUGAUGAAAAUAAAACUGAUUAUUAUUGAAAUGGAUCUUAAAAGAACAAGAAAAAAAUGAGAAUAAUUAAUUUAUAAAAAUAACAUAAAUUUCAUAACUCUUUUACGUUAUCAUUAUUAGUGAUGAUGAAAAUAAAAAUGAUUAUUAUCGAAAUGGAUCUUAAAAGAAGAAGAAAAAAUGAGAAUAAUUAAUUUAUAAAAAUAAAAUAUAUUUAUAAACUUAUGGAAAUAUUUUAAAUGUAAAUGGGAUGUGAAAAAAUAAAUAUUUUUUAAUUGUUUAGAAGGGAAAAAAAUAAGUGACUUUCAAUGCUUUUAAAAAAAUAAAAGCAAAAAAGUUUGAUAGUAAUUGUUGUAAAGGCUUUAAAUAUUUUUUUUAAACAGGUCUCCAGAAGAGCACCGAUUACGGAGAAGAUCACCCCAAUGCCCCGUAGACUUCAAUGUUCAUUUGAGAGAUAACAAGGAGAAAAAGAAGAAUUGGAGAAAGGCAACCACUAGCCACCAGUCUGCACUCGUCGAUAGCUGUCUCCAAUAAGUUAUAGUUGUUUUUUUGGUGGAUAUGUCGAGAAGUUGUUCAAAACUACUUAUCAAAAUUUAUCUCUAGUAGUUCCUCAUAUUAACAUAAAUGAAUAUAGAAAAUAUAAAUGCUUUACUGACAUGGCAUAUUUGACGUAAAAAAUUUCGUGAGUAUAGGCCAAAAUCAUCAUAUUAUAUUUGUAGUACAAUAUAUAAAUAUUUUUGAAUAAAAUAUGUAAACCGAGAGCAAAUCUGGUUAUCAUGAUAUAAAAAUGAGGCAAUUGGAUCUUUCAUAUACAAAUUUUGUACAUUCUACUUUUUGAUUUGGAAUAGAUCAAAUUUGGAAAAUUUUAUCCAUCGAUAAUAAGAGAAAUGGUUGUGUGAUAACCAAACAUUGUCUCUUUUUAAUAAUCAUCUACUAAUAUAUUUUAUUGAUAUUUGUUUUCUUGUCUAUAAUUCAAUAUACUUCUUUUUGUGAUCAAAUUUUACUGAACUUGUUUUUAAUUCGAAAGAUUUACAUCCCCGGUCUUUUUGAUGAAUGAAUAGAUGAUACACAUUUGCCAUCUAACUUUUUUAAGAAAUAUUUAAUUACUUUCUCUUAUAACAAUAAAAUCUUAGUUUCGUAGGAGGCUUUGUAUGGAUGAUAAAACUAAGACUUUAGUCCAAUAUUGGGAGGAAGAACUUCAAGAAGAAGGUAGGCAAGUUUGGGAAAGCAAAGAAGAAGAGCAAAAUGAUGAAACAGAAGGUUGGUUGGCUUGAAACAGAAGGUGGAUGAAGAGUCAGUAUGAGUCAUUAAGAGUCAGUAUAAGUCAGUAUGUGAUAUGAGUAUGGCCGAACAAGACCCGGAGCACGUAGUGGAGGAAGCCGUUGACGAGGAGCAGCACGAAGAUGACGAGGAGACACACGAAGACGAGGAGCAUCACGUGGACGAGGAGCAGCUCGAACGGAGGAAGCAUUAAUCAUUCCGGCGGGUCCUCUAACACGAUCAAGGCUCAAGAAAUCAGUGACCUUCUUUGGGAGUUAAACAAAAAGGAAGAAAUCCUGGCUAAAAUCUCUCUCAUAAUGGUUUUGGCUCAAGAGGUUCGGUAAAAGGUUAAGUGUUGCUUAUGCACUCUUUUUCCCUUGUCAAGUUUUGUCCCAAGGGUUUUUCUUGACAAGGUUUUUAAUGAGGCCUAAGUAACCCUUUCAAAGCCUUUUAUCAAACCAAUUUCGUUGGUCCAAGGUCCAACACUUUGCCUUAGUCCAUUUUCUAUCUUUUCUCUACAUUCUUGCAUCUAAAGUUUUUGUAAUUUCCAAGACAUUGUGCAUGAUUUUGCAUGAGUGUGGGCUUGUGCAUAUUCUUCUUCUCUUCCUCUUCUCCUUCAUUCUCCUCUCCUAUAUAAUCCCGUUGUAGUUUUUAUUUCUAACUCAUCUAUCUUUUUAUCAAAAACUCUUUUAAGUUAAAUCACUCUCUUGUCCUUUUUCUUUGGUUUGUAAUAUUCAUAUAUAGUCCAUAAUUUUAAAACACAUAAGAAAUCUAAUAUACCCGAGAGUAUACAACACAUUAGAGAAUGAAACUCGUUAUAAAAUCUAAUUUGCUUUUUUUAAAACAACAUAGUGCAAUUUUGUUACAACAUACCAAUUGAGAUUUCUUUCGAUUCAUGAGUAUCAUUCAAGAUAUUCCAAAAAGAAACCCACUUGAGUAAACACAUGUCAUGUAUGGUGAAGGAUGGCACCAUGCAUGGUGGUUUUGUGACUGAAUUUGAUAAACAAAGGACUGGAAGUAUUCCUUACUGAUUCCGGAUUGAGCCAACUAUCAUCAACCACAUCGUCAAUAAAAAUCUCUUAAAUAGAAAGGAUGUGGAAUUGGAGCUUCCAUUCUUGUUCCCUUAAACAUGUAACCAAAAAAGAUUAUUGGGCGUUUUUCUAAAAAGAAACAACAUGUAAGUUCAAUUUUGAGUAAACAAAGAUUCUUUGAUAUGAGAAGGAGCAAGUGGGCUAGUGGUUCUCAUCUCUGUUUGCCUUCUCACCAGAUCCGGGUUCGAGCCCGGUCCCUCUCAAAGAGAGAUUUAUUAUUUGUAAUGAUGUCAAAAAAAAAAAGAUUAUUUGAUCUUGAAUUUUUAAUUGUUGAAUAUAAACUUUUUUGAACAUAUAUCAAAUUAUAUUAAUUUACUAUACUUUUUUACAACCCCAAUAUAAGAUAUAUCAAAUCAAAUUGAUUUGAAUAGUUUGAAAAGUAAAUAACAGCAUAAUAGAAAAAAAUGAAUGUAAAAAUAAUAAAAAAAAAAAAGUUACAGAAAAUCUAGUUUUUGGUAUAUAUCCAAUCCAAUGCACUUUUGACAAUAAAACUUUGGUAUGGUAAUCAAUUAUUGAGUUAUGUUACAAACCGGACCGGUUCAAUUUCCAGCUCACUCAAUUUCAGUAACACCCAAAAAAAAACAAAAAAGGUCCGUUCUUUACAUUUCCUAUCUUUUCAUGUCUCAACUCUCACACUCGCGUGGCUAAGUGAAGAAGACGAAGACACGAAACCCCAAAAACCUCUGUAAAACCCUUAACCCAAAAAUGCAGCUUUCUUCAUUACCAAUCUCACCAUCCAAAAUCUUCCCUUUCAUCACCAAACACCACGGCCCUCCUCCAUUGAUUACACACCAGCUCGCCGCUCAGAUACAGAGCCACCGUGGAAGUUUCGUGAGUCCGGUCAAAGUCUCUGGCUAUUUCUCAUCUAUUAGCAGAGCAAUCGAGGAGGAAGAAGAGUAUCGGAAAGCACGCGCCGCAGUGAACCGUAAAGGUGUUGAAUUGGAGAGUUAUGCGAUUGAGGGCAUAUCUGUAGGUGGGCAUGAGACUUGUGUCAUCGUCCCUGAGCUUAAGUGUGUGUUUGAUAUUGGGAGGUGCCCUUCUCGUGCUAUUCAGCAGAAGUUUCUUUUCAUCACUCAUGCUCAUCUUGAUCAUAUUGUGAGUUUGUUUCAAGAUUGAGUCUUUAAGUUCUGUGAUUGUUGAAUGGAUUAGGAUUAGCUUUUCUUGAACCCUUUCUUUAGAUAUCGUUUAAAGUUUCGGCCUUUUGUUUGAAUUAUGUGUUUUUGGAUGAAUUUAUGAUACAGUUUGGUUCAAAAUUGAGUCUUUGUUCAGUGAUUUGAAUGGAUAAGGCUUAGCUUUUCUUGAACCCUUUCUUUAGAUUUCGUUUAAAGUUUCGGUUUUUUGAUUGAAUUAUGUGUGUUUUGGAUGAAUGGAUGAUACAGUUUGGUUCAAAAUUGAGUCUUUGUUCAGUGAUUUGAAUGGAUAAGGCUUAGCUUUUCUUAAACCCUUUCUUUAGAUUUCGUUUAAAGUUUCGGUUUUUUUAUUGAAUUAUGUGUGUUUUGGAUGAAGACGAUACAAGUUUGUUCAAAAUUGAGUCUUUGUUCAGUGAUUUGAAUGGAUAAUGAUUAGUUCUUUUGGUUUUGAUGUUUCUGCUUUGUGAUUGAAUUAUGUAUGAAUCUUGAAGCUAAUGUUAGUGUUUCCUUCAGGGAGGGCUUCCGAUGUAUGUAGCGAGCCGUGGUUUAUACAAUCUUGAGCCACCGAAAAUAUUCGUGCCACCAUCUAUAAAAGAAGAUGUUGAGAAACUUCUUGAGAUUCACAGGACUAUGGGUCAAGUAGAGUUAAAUGUAGAUAUUAUUCCACUUGAUGUAGGUAUGAAUAUAGCGAAAACUCUUGGCUAGUUUUAUCUGUUAUAGUUAAAAGACCAAUCUUGUUUAGGUAGCAAAUCUUGAGCUCUAUGUUGGUGGCAGGUGAAACUUAUGAGUUGCGCAAUGACAUUGUUGUUAGACCAUUUGCAACUCACCACGUCAUACCGAGCCAGGUAUUAUAUGUCGUGAAUUGGGGUCAUGAGAGUGUCUUGUUUUUUCACUGAUCUUUGAGUUCUGGAUUAUGGCAUCUCUCAGGGUUAUGUGAUCUACUCAGUCAGGAAGAAAUUGCAGAAGCAAUAUUCUCAUCUUAAAGGCAAACAGAUAGAAAAGAUUAAAAAAUCUGGUGUAGAGGUAUGUUUGCUUAUAUAAGCCAUAUUGCCAAGUUAUGUGAAAGGGAAAUGUUAUAUGUUGAGGUUUGAUAAAACAUAAUAUUGAACUUAAUUACAGAUUACAGACACUAUAUUAUCUCCCGAGAUAGCCUUCACUGGAGAUACAACCGCAGAGUAUAUGCUUGACCCUCGUAACGCUGAUGCGUUGAGGGCAAAAGUUCUUAUAACCGAGGUACUUAUUUGAAUCCUAUUGGCGGUACUGUAUAUCAUUCUAAAACUUGACUGGAUUAUAUUAUAGUUUCUGACCUUAAACUAUCUGGCAGGCAACUUUCUUGGAUGAAAGUUUUAGCAAUGAGCAUGCUCAGGAACUUGGUCAUACUCAUAUAUCUCAGGUAUGAUCCUAUUUAUGUUCAACCACUCGUAGAACUAACUACACUGUAAAUGAAAAUUUCUGUAAACAAAUUGCAGAUUAUUGAGAACGCAAAAUGGAUUCGGAGCAAAACUGUAUUACUGACGCAUUUUUCAUCACGUUACAAUGUAGAGGUGAAAGUCUUAAUUUGACUUUAUGUUCUUAGUAAAACUUUUAGUCCCUUAUCAUCAUCUUAUUCUUGUGGUUGCAAUGGCAGGAAAUUCGCGAAGCUGUGCUUAAGUUGCAAUCAAAAGUAUCCGCAAAAGUCAUUCCUCUUACAGAAGGUUUCAGGUCAAGAUAUUCUUAAUAGAGCUUGAAGGUUAUUGCAAGCAAAAGUAGGGAUUUGAAACUUCUUUGUCUGUAAUUUCAUAGGGAACUCGCUAAAGUAAGUUAACAUGAAGUGAAAUGAAAAAAAAAAAAAAAAGAAGUUAUUUUGCCUGAGGGAAUAAAUCUUAUAUGUAGCCAAAGUUGUUUGCACAACUUUUCGAUAGAGGCAAAGACCAAAGAUGCAAUAACAGUAUAACAUAAAAGUCUAAGGAAGUCAUCAAAUACAUACAUGAAAACAAGUUUAAAGAAACCCAAGAACAAGACACAGAAUGGAGAUAUCAGUCAUCAAGGUUGCCUUGCGCAUACUUGUAUUCGGGAAAGUACACAGCCGUCAGUUGGAUACCUCCAUAUUCUUUCAUCCAGAAUGGAUAUAUCAGUCAUCAAGGCCGGUGUUAGACGACCAGGAUGAUUUGGAUUGGGUCGCAGGGUCAAAACCUUCAGCAAGUUACCAAAUUUUAGACAUGUCUGUGUUAGAUUCUCCAUUACUACUUUGUAAUCUUCAUCGUGUUCGAGAUCAUCUUCUACAUCAAUCGCAUCACUCAAGCAGAUGAUCCUGGUGCGGUUAUCGCAUGGUUUGAGCAUAUGCAUCUGUUUUUCCGGACCCUCAAGCCCAACACUAGUAGACCCUGGAGACAAAUUGAGACUAUGGUUAGACUGGCUUGCUUCUUCUACAAGAACUCCUUGUGACAUUACCUUCCCAGUAGCCUUCUUCUGCCCCUCGUCGAUUAGGUAAGUUUUCCAAUUGCGGCGGUGCUCAUGUCGGAGAUCGUGGGGUGAAAAUCCAAGGAAGGUGAAGAAGCUCUGGACAAGAAUAAUAGUUUUGCUCAAGGAGACUCUCUCUAUAUAAAAUGCCAAAACCAAUCCUUAUUCGUUUGGUUAUACCAACACAUAGGAUUUGAUACAUAUCUGUAAUUUCAUAGGGAAUUUGCUAAUGUAAGUACAGGGUGAAAUGAAAAAGAAAGUUAUCUAUGCAACCAAAGAAAGAUCAGUUCAAAAAUCUUGAUAUCACAACUUUAGAUAGAGGAAAAGAGCAAAGAUGCAUUAGUUCCUCCAAAGCCAAACGAAUUCGAGACUGCUGUCCUAACGAGCAUCUCUCUCGAAGUAUUUAAAGGCGUGAAAUUAUGGUCGAAGAUGGGAUCUGGAUUCUUGACAUUCAGAGUCAGAGGAGCAACCCCCUACAAAGUUUUUGCAGGUUCUAUUUAGGUUACAAGAAAUUCAAUCAUCAGACAAGAACGAAACUAAGAAAUGAGAACGCUUACGUGAUGUAUAGCAAGGAUAGUGAAAAUAGCUUCCACUGCUCCAGCUGCUCCAAGAAGAUGACCAGUAGCCCCCUUCGAUCAAAAGAAGUAGAAUUCGUUUAUUGACAAGAGUUUGAGGCAAGUUUAAGCAAGUCCUGUCUCUUAAUUAUUUGCAGCACAUAGUUACUACUUACGACUCUCUGGUAACAUCAACUGACUAAGAAAAAGCACGCAUUUUUACCUUGGUGGAGGAGAAUGCCAAGGUGCCUGAAGUAGCAUGUUCCGAGAAUACAGUCUUGAUAGCUCUUGCUUCCACGGCAUCGCCUAGAAAUUGUAUAUGAUAACAGAAUCAUGAAUUCAGUUUUUGUAAAACCAAAGCCAACCAAAAAUUUCAAUCUUUUUACCUAUUGGGGUUGAUGUUGCAUGUGCGUUUAUGUAAUCAACUUGGUUUGGACACAGAACAGACUGCAAAGUCAUGGGCAUUCAACCAAAUCAUUAGAAUCCAAACUGCUAAAAAGCAAAAACAUAAAAUCAUCAACAGAAACCAUUCUAGGAGUACCAUAGCAACAACUAUGCAGUUAAUCACAGCUUACUUGUCUUAACGCACGUGUCAUUGCCAAAACAGCCCCCUUUCCAUCUUCAGGAGGUUGAGUAAUAUGGUGUGCAUCGCCUAAAUAUCAAGAAACUCACUCUUAGGUAAUUCAAAAUGACUUUUACUGGAGUAUUAUUUAUCUAUGAGUGCACAAUUUGUUUUAUUGUUAUCUAUGAGUAUAACCUGACAUCCCAUAUCCACGAAGCUCAGCAUAAAUUUUUGCUCCACGUCUUUUUGCAUGCUCAUAUUCCUUUGUUAUAACAAAAAACAAAAAACAUUCUUAGAUUAAGACCAAAAAACAGUAGGAGAUGACUUUCCAAGACUCCAGCGUUAAGGUAAAGGACAUAAAUCUCACCUCCAAUACUAUAACCCCUGAACCUUCCCCUAUCCUGCAACCAAAUCAAUAGGGAUGGAAUCAACAUCACCAAAAGAGAUUUUUUUAUAUUAACAAUGAAGAAUGUGACUCACACAAAACCAUCCCGGUCACAAUCAAAAGGUCGUGAAGCUUCUUGCGGCGAAGAAUUGAACUUAGUUGACAAAGCUCUUGAUCUAGACCAAAAAAAAAAAAUCUCUAUGCUUGUUAUAUCUGUCUAGAAUUAUAUAUAUGAAUUCUAUUGCUACAGAAUCAUUUUAGGUAUGAAAGCAUUAACAAGGGUAUUACUAAUGAGCUGAACUGGGAGCCUGUUUACACAUGAGAAAUUAAUGAUAUAGGACUUCUGUCUCCCAAAAGAAACACUUUUAUAUGAAAGCACAUGAAGCGUGUGAGAACAAGCAUCAGUUACCUAGAGAAUCCAGCAACAGACAGAGCAUCAAUGCUGGACUCAGUUCCACCUGCCACCAUAACAUCUGCAUCUCCAAAUUGAAUCAUCCUAGUGGCAUCACCUAUAGAGUGUGCACCAGUUGCGCAAGCUGUCACAGCAGCAUGGUUGGGCCCCUAUAUUCCAAAGCAUGACAGUGCUAAGCAAACAGUUUUCUACUUAAGAAUGUCAGAGGACUACUCUAGACAUGUUAUAGACUAGAAAAGUAUGUGUAAAUCCAUAUCACCCCAAUAUCACAAAUGAUACGUAAAGGAAGAGUUCCGAAAUUAAAACUCCUUUUACCAAACUGUAAGCCAACCACCAUUGAAUAGUUCAAGAUGUUGAUACAAUUUUGCAUAAAAGAAAAUUGAAAAUUUCAACAUACCUGGAAUCCAUACUUCAUGCUCACAUGACCAGAUGCCAUGUUUACUAAUAUUUUUGGGAUGAAAAAUGGACUAAGCCGCCGCAGUCUCUGCAUCACUAUAAUUUGUCAAGUCUUACAAGCAACUAAGAUGCACAAAUAGUCAAGGAAACAAUAACACACCAUCCUUAAAAUAUGUUAUUCCUAAGAAAAUGAUGUAGAGACAACAACAAUGUCAAACCUUUUCACAAAUCAGCUGCGCUGCCUCCACAAUGUCACUUAUACUUCCAAUUCCACCACCAAUUGAGACUCCCUGGUAUUCCCAAAAUUUCCAAAAUUAGAGAAAACAAACUAUAAAGCAGAAUCCCUCAUCAUUUAUAAAACAUAAGAAAAAUACUUAACAGUUCUUUCUUUAUCUUCCUCUUCAGUUGGUAACCACUCUGCAUCCCUCAAGGCUUCAUCAGCAGCACAUAACGCAUAUCCGAUAAAAUUCGCAACUGCCUCCAAGAUUCAAAAAGAACAAUAACAGAACCUUAACUUAAUCCAUAUCUAAAACAAACAAUAUCAAGCUUCCACUAGAAUGAAUGAUGCUUCUAACCAAAUUCACAACAGCAUAAUAUUUGACUGUGUUCCUAGUAACUGUGUCCUAGCCAAAAGGGAUUGAGCUUUGUAAGAUACCUUGGAGUUUAGCCAAAGGGCUUGAUCAAAUUCACCUGGGUUUGAUCCAUAAGGCACAAAGGCAGCAACUUUAGAAGGGAGCUGAUCAAAAGUAUAUAACUUUGUCUCUUCAUCAAAAGUCUUCAUCUUGAGAUCAUCAAGAGUCAAUCCUCUAAUCCCACAUUCUCCACCAAUUAAACGCUUCCAUGUUGUUUCAACGCCUCGGCCAAGUGGAGUCACCAUGCCUAGACCUACAGUCACAGUGUCUCACAUCAGAGAAAUUACAGAGAUAAGCAUAUGUAAAGACAUGGAAAUGGAGAAGGAACAAGACCAGUGACAACAACACGGCGAUGUGAAGAAGAAGAAGAUGAAGAAGUAGAGAUGAAGCGUUUCAAGCGGAUGCGACUUGAGCUUGAGCUUGAGCUCAAGUGUCUACGGAGAUAAGAGGUCGCCAUUUCACAGCGACCGCGACGGAGACGACGGCGAAAGAGAGAGGAAGAGUUUUCUGAAUCAUCAUCGGUCAGGGAUAAAAUGGUUUUGUUUGUUUUGUUAACCGAUGGUUUAGUAAAUCCAUCGGUUAAACCGGAAAUCAAUUGGAAAUUCGUUCAAAAGACUCGUUAACCAGACUGAUUAAAUCAUCAAACCGAGUACUGUACUAAAGUAGUGAAGCUCCUCCUCAAGUCAAACGAGCUGACAGCUUUAAAUAAUUUUCCAAUUUCUUCAUUGGUAUGGCCUAAGGUUUAAUCAUAAUUUUUUUUUUCAUUUAAAAUUUAUUAUAAUUAGAAAAUUUAGUUUUGUAAACGCAACGUUUUCGACCGCUGAAUCAAAUUGACGUUUAAAAUUGCUAACUGCAGAAUAUAAUGAUCGAUAUAGCGUUAAUCUAUAAUAACGAAAUGAACAACAACACAUGUGACAGUGACAGAUCCAUAAACAUACAAAAACGGUUUUUGUUUUUUUGUCUAUCAAUAUAAGUAAAUUAACUAGUUUAACUAACUAAAUUAAUAAAGAUUUGCCAUAAAAGUUCUUGUCAAUCAACUAGAUAAAUUUAUGUGGUAACAAAUUUUACAAUGUAACUAAACAAUUACUAUGUAAUUUCUUCGCAAUAUUUUCAGAUGAGUAACGUGAUAAAUCAUACUAUAUUUAACUCUAUAACUUUUUUUUGACUGAUUAAAGCCAAUGAGAAGGUCUCAAGCAGAUUUGUGUAAAAACGUACGGAUAGAAACGAACUUUGCGCGCCAAAUUUAACUCUAUAACUAUAAAUUACAAAUAAUAAUAUUUUCAAGAAACUAUUUUAUUAAAAAAUAUAAUUAACUUUAUUAGUUUUAACUUUUUCCCCUAUUUGUUGUCAAAAUUACCUUUUAACAAACCUAAUCAAAGAGUAAUGAAAUAGGCGUUAAAAACACAAAAUAUUUUGCAAUUUAACAAAAAGAUAAAAUUCAUAAAAGGAAAAAAGUCAUUGAAUAAAAAGAAAAAGAUAAAAUUUCUUUUUUCUUUUUUUUGGUAAAAUCAAGAAAAAGUGAGUAAAACGGGCAAUAAAUGUUAAGAUAACAAAUUUUGACUGAGUUAAUUUUUUACAGAACUAAAGAAACACAAGACACAAAAGUGUUUUGGAAAGAGAUUUACACCAAUCUCACUCCACGUGGCACUUAUCUAUCCCAAUCUUAUUAUUAUAAAUUUAAUAUUAAUCCCGUCGAAAUUUUUUAUUUUUUUUAUUAUUCUCUCUUCUUCUCUCUCUCUCAAAAACACAAAACUCUCAAAGUCCUCCUCCUUCUCGAUUCUUCAAUUCAAAAAAAUUUCCAAUCUUUCUCCAAACCCUAAUUCUCUGUAUCUUUCUCUGAUCAGAAAUCGGAUCUAGGUCUUUUCUUAUUUUUUAAGAGAAUUUUUAAGAGAUUAUGAGGAAGAGAGAGAGAGAGAACCCUUGUUCGAUUUGUGGGCAUUACCAUAAGUACGAGGAAGGUGAAGUUUGUGGUAUAUGUGGUCACUGUAUGCCUGUUUCUUCCGACACAGCUUCGGUUCCUCAACAAGCUGUCCACAUCAGUGCUUUUGCCUCUGAGAUCCUCCCCGAGUUUCUUUACCUCGGUAGCUACGACAACGCUUCUCGCUCUGAGCUUCUCAAGACUCAAGGGAUCUCUCGUGUUCUUAAUGUGAGUUUUUACCAAGAAUUGGUUUUGGUUUGGAUUCUUGAAUUGGUUUUUGUUUGACCCUUAAGCAAAAGAUACGAUCUUUCGAUAGUUCUUGAAGUUAUUGAAUUGGAUUAGGAUUUGCUUAUACUUUUGUUCACUUAUGGUUUCUGUUAAAGUUCCUGAUAUAGUAAUUGAGAGGGAUGUGUUUAUUUUUGGUAUUGACUCUGUUUUUUGUUUCUCUGUUUCAGACGGUACCUACGUGCCAGAAUCUAUACAGGAACUCAUUCACUUAUCAGGGUCUUGAUAAUGAAAAAGUUUUACAGUUUGAUGAUGCUAUCAAUUUCUUAGGUUUGAUGAAUCUAAUCUCAAAUCUCAAAAAAAAAAAAAAAUCCUAGUUUUAUUAACAGUUGAUUUGAUCUCUUUUUGUUUGUCUCUUACCCUUCUGUUUGAUUUGUACUGUGUAGAUCAAUGUGAGAAGGACAAGGCACGUGUUCUUGUGCACUGUAUGUCUGGGAAAAGUAGGUGAGUACAUUUAUCAUUCCUCUUACUGUUAUCUAAAAUUGCGGCUGCUUUCUUAAGAUUUGCCAUGAAUGACUUCAAGACUGAUCAGGACAUUUUCUUGCUUUCUUGUUUUAGAGAUUUAUAAUCUUUGUUGAGCAUGUCUUAGUGUUAAUCACUCUUGUGUUUUGACAGAUCACCAGCGUUUGUUAUAGCGUACUUGAUGAAACGUAAAGGGUGGAGACUUGCUGAGAGUCAUCAGUGGGUUAAACAAAGGAGACCCACCACUGACAUAAGUCCAGGCAAGUACUUACUCUGUAGGAUUAGAAACUUAUAUCCUUCUUGAAAGGAAACUGUUGCUCAUUGCUUUUUUCUUUCUGUACAGAGUUCUACCAACAACUGCAGGAGUUUGAGCAGUCGAUUUUCGGAUCAGGGAUGAUGUCGGCAAUGAAUAUUAACGAUGCUCCAACAUUCGGGUUUGGUUUCCCUAAGAUUGAUAAUCAAGCACAAGCACCUGUGUUCAAUAGCGCUCCUGCUUCUUCGAUAUUUUCAUCACCUGCAUCAAGUAUCCCUCCUCAGGAUUUCACUUUUGGAGCAACUCCACCAAAGCCAACAACAGGCGGUGAUAUUACCAUGGAUGGCUCUUAGAACCAAAUCAUCAAUACUCUGCAAAAAUAUUCACCAACAAACAUAAUGUUGUCAGAAUGUUUCUUUUUCUUUUUUCUUUUUCUUUUUUGUACAUGGAGAUUGGUGCAUUGCUUGAGAGAGUUUGGAGUUUGAGAGAUACAUGAGAUGAAUCUUUGAUCUUUGUUGCUUUGGUGUUUUGCAUCUUAUCUCUCUAUGUUUCAGGAAACAUCCUUGUCUCCUUUAACAUCUUAGCUUAGUAAAAGAAACAUUCCUUACUUGAUGAGUUGCUGUCAUGGUUAUACUCACGUUAAUUCUGAAACACAUUCCAACCUUAGACUAAAGCAAUAAUAGUGAUAACAGAGCUGGCAGGACUAAGCGUACUCUAGUAUUAAACAAGGGAGGGCCUUGUGAGUUAUGACAAUGUAUGACCCAAAAAGUUAUGCAAGCAAUAAAUAUGCUUCAUGAGAGAUUUCAACGCUUGGUAUCAUAACUAAGAAUAGUGGAAGCUGCUAGCAAGCUUGGUGUAUAUCGAUGAGAUUCCAAAUCAUCGCAAUGAAUUAUGUUACUCAAUUUGCUUUCUGGCGGAUGCAAGAGCCGUAUCAACUUUUCGGAAGCAACAACUUGUUUUUCUCUCAUCUUUUCAUCCAAGAGCAGUUUCCUACAAAUUUCAGACAACAUCUCACAUCAUCAUCAUGCUCAGUUCUUGAUAGCUGGAUAACAUAAUAUGAGUUAAUGUGGACGAAAAGAAAUAAAUAUACUCUAGUGUGACGGCGAGAUUUGAAGGGUUGCAGGCUUUAAACAAAGCUUCAGGAAUGAUUGGUGAGUCUAGGAGAAUGUUUGGGAGAGAAAUAUAAGGUAUGUUGGCUUUGUAACGGAUUAUUAACUCUGUCAAAAAAUGUGCCCGGUAAGCGACAAGGGAAGGCAGACGAGCGAGCUGCAACUCAACAGCAACUGUCCCUGAAGUGCAUAACGCAGCCUGACUUGCCUGUUAUUAUAGAACACUGUUCAAUGAGAGAAGGAAAUAGAAAAUACACCAAGAGAGUAAGAGAAAGAGUGUUUGGAGACUUACACCAAAGGCAUCAUAUUUCAGCUGAGUGGAUCCACUCGGGACUACUAUUGCUGGAACUGGCCACUCAUGAAGGGAUUCUCCAAUGUAAUGAUCAACUUGACUAUUGGGAGCGACGUGGAUGAGCGUCACUAGUUUUGGAAACGGGUCUUUGAGUAGCUUCAUUGCUUUGGAAAAUAUUGGUAGCAUUCUUUCAACUUCUUGUAAUCUGCUCCCAGGUAGCACCGAAAUGACUGUGGAGUCUUUUUCAUGAAACGUUAUGCAAUGCAGCAAGAGAACAAUGACAAGUCAACAAAAGUAUAUAUACAACCUGUAAAAAAGGUCAAUCAUUUAGAUAAACAUCACAUUACCAAAAGGAAGUGAGUAUUUGCUUAAACUCAAGCCUUCAAGCUUCAAUUCUUCUGGCUUGAACGUCCUCGCCUGCAACAGCAUAAAGAACCAUGGCAUUAAGAAAUCUGAGAGAGCACCAUAGAAACUGAAGUAAUCUAAUCCAAAAAGAAGAAGAAAAUGCAUACAAGAUAAAACUCAGAAGCAUCCUCAAGAACAGGAUGUCCAACAAAGGUUGCUUCGACCCCAUGUUCCCUACAAACGCUCUCCUCAUUUGGAAGAAUGCAGAAGAGAUGAUCAACAAAUUCAGAGAGACCUCCAAGUCUUGACUCUCCUCCUUUCCAAGCCCAAAACGACGGUGCAACAUAGUGAAAAUGUACCGGACAAUUUUCCAAGCGCUGCUGAUUGUAUCUAGCUGCAAAGCCAAAAACCAUUCCUCCAUUGUCCUACAUGAUAUAUGUGAAUCUAUUCAGGAAACUAUUUGCUCUGUAAACCCAUUUAUUAGGUUCCCAUUUCUUUUCUACACCACAGGAAAUAGUGAAAGACAUAAUCCUCCUAGAGAUUAAAGUCAGAUUAAGUAUAAAAAAGUUCCUACUAUGGAAGAAGUAGCCAUAAAUACUUGUACAAUUCAACAAAUCUUGCUUUAGAUGAUGAGUGACACAUUUAAUAGUCUAUAGUUACUAAAUCUCAACUAUUCCUAGGCAAUGCUCAAAAAUUUAGUGUUGUUUACCUCGUAACUCCUUAAGAAGACGAAAAGAGAAGCCUUUUGAAUCAACAGUCACAACAACAUGUGGCUUAAACUUAACCGCAGCAUCAAUGGUCUCUUUCAACUUCACCUGGAAUCUCAAAAACUAAAGUAGUCAAUCAAAAUGAUCUAGAGUAGCUUCAUAUCAAACCAUUUGGGUUUAAAUUAGAUUACUCACACGGAAUUUAUACAGAUGUGGCAAAAGCUCCCACAUACCCAUCACAGCCAAAUCCUCCAUAGGAAACAAACAACUCAAACCUUGCUUGCACAUCAAGGAUCUUAAACACCGUACAAAAACAUCAAUUUGUUAGAAAUUAAAGUUCCAAUUUUUAUUAAAUUUUCAACUGAGAUAUCAAAUCUUUAAAAAAUUGAGACAAAACCCAAGUGCAUACCCUCCAACUCCAUGGAAUCUAAGUGGUAAAGGAGAGAGCUUUUUGAGCGAGGACAUAAGACGAGAGCCGAUGUUAUCGCCGGAAACUUCGCCGGAGACGAUGAAAACUCUCAGCUCCCCAUCGGUUGCAGCCUUGUCGAUCACUGAUUUAGUAGAUUGAAAUGAGGAGUAUCUUUUGGUGAAUGCUGAGAGAGGGAAACAGGGUUUAUUCUUUGAAAUCGGAAACAUCAUCUUUCCGACAAGAUACAGAACACAAAAACCCUGACGUUGUUGUCGAUGAAAUGAAUGAUGAGCGGACUACGACGAUGUAUCAGUUUUUUUUUUUUUUUCUGGUGGACUCUUAUGGGCCUUUUAAGGUCACUUAUUAAAUUGUCAUCAAGGCCCAUUUAUGAUAUUGAUAUUGUCGAAGAUGAUAAAGGUCACUUUUAUGAAAGAUAAAUUUUGUUUGUUUGACCAAAAAAAAAAAAAAAAAAAGUUUGUUUUGGUGGUUUUUAAAAAGCUAAAAGUUCGUGGACAAAAUUUAUGAAAAAAAAAAAACAAGUAUAGGUGAAAAAAAUGCGGCAAACCCUUGAAAAAAAUCUCAAUUUUUGUUUUGACAAGAUAAAUCCCAAUUCUUACUGUUUUUAAUUAAAUUUAUUUAUUUUCUUGAAUUUGCCCAUGCAUAUCAUGAAAUUGACUAACAUAUAUAACAAGUUAAUGUGUUUGUUUUUAUGUUUAAAGUGUCUUUCUUAGGACAUUUGAUGAGUUUGUUUUUGUGUUAAGGACGUACACUUAAAUUAAUUGUCCAAUGGAGAUGGUCUAACGAUGUUAUUUUUGUUAAGUGAUGUUCCCUUAGUUAAUAUUGAUUGAUUAUAUAAAGAAUUAAAGAUCAUUAGGAUCUAAAGACACACCUAAAUUAUAUGUGUGAUGUAAAGAAAGCUAGUGAUGAUGACAAAGUAUUAUAGAUUUUGUUCUCUUUUCUAAAAGUAGUAUUUUAAGAUGCAUGAGUACAACAGAGACGUCCAAGUUUGGUUCGUACUUAGCUUGCUUCCAUUUUUGGGAUAUUCCAAAAAAGAACUGAAAAUAAUGUCUUUAUUGAACUUUUGAGUAAACAAAAACUGAAGAUCAUCAUCACAUCACAUGCACGCACGCAUGGUUUUGGGAUAUUCAAGAUUUAGGAAAUUAUUUAGGGUUUCUAUUUUGUUAUUUACUUUUCUCAUAAGUUUAACAUUUACGUCGUACGUGUUUAUUAUACAAGUAAGGUAAAGAUGAGAGAACAUCCAAGCUAGAGAGCUAGAGAAUUUGGAGGUUUAGAUAGGGUUUUAGGCAUCGAGAGCUUGAGGAUUUUGGGGUUCGACAAUGUGUGUUCUCUUGUGUAAGGUAGUUGUCAUAUUGGUGCAGUGGAGCUGAUCCUUGUGUAAAAUCUCUGGUUCAAAUGUUUUCAUGAUUUGCAAAUCUGAGUUGCUUCUUCUUGAGAAGAAUUAUAUUAGAUAUUUCGAUAGUGGAUUUUUUUUAUGAUAUAUUGAAAUAUAUCGUACUAAGGCCAUCAUUAAUGGAAGUAUCUUAGAGUUAAAAUUUGCAUAGGAAAAUAUUUUGUAUAAGGUACACCUUCUUCAGUUCUGUUUUUUUUUUUUCUUUUUUCUCAAUCGUAUCUAAUAUUUCUUUGUUUAAUUUGGAUGCACCUUCUUCAGGUAGGCUAUGCAGAAUCUAUGAAUUUUCCAUUGUUCAGAAGAAGAAGAUCUUCUUCAUGGUAACUAAGAUAUAUGCAUGCAUGCAUGAUCCUUGAUUCCUUAUUUGCAUGAUCAAAAGAAACUAAGAGAGUGUUUUUUUAUAUGCAGGGCUCUCUUCUUGUGUUUACUUACACUCACUCUCUGCGUUACCAAAGGAGACUCGACGACCAUCAAUGUAAAUAAACCGAAUCCACAUUCACAACACAAAAUUUUAUAUUUAUAUAUUACUAUAUAAUUAACUUUUCUUUUUCUCUUUAUUUGUAAAACCUAACAGAGUCCUGAUGGAGAUAUCAUAGAUUGCGCGGAAAUAUUAGCUCAGAAGUCGUUUAGUCAUCCUCUCCUCAUGUAUCACAAGCUCCAGGUCUUUGUUUAUUUAUAUUUUUACAUACUCAUUUACAUAUUAGUUUCAAAUAUUGUAUGUGUUUAGUUCUUAUUUCCGAAACAAAAAUAUAAUACAGGAAAUACCAAGAGAUCUUCCUAACACAGCCCAAAAUGAAGAUGAAGUUAGCGGCUGGCAGAUUUGGAACAGUCACAACGGGUUGAAAUGUCCUGAAGGGACGAUUCCUAUACGUAGAGUGGUUUCUCCAAAGAAUGAGGUUACUAAAUCUAUGGCUGAAGCUGGACUCAACCUCAAACAUGAGGUAAAUAUAAUAUGAACUAGUCCAAAGUUCAUCAUUAUUUAUGCUCAUUGUUAUAUUCUACAUUAACGUUAAUUUUUCACUCUAUAUUUGUUUUUGUAUACAUAGUAUGCUAUCGCACAAUUGAAUGACACACAUAAGAUUUAUGGAACAAAAGUCACAAUGAGUGUGGAGCACCCCAAAGUUACUCAAGUCAACGAGUUCAGCUUAAGCCAAACUUGGCUCGCCUCAGGUUCAUUUGAAAGAGGUGAUUUGAACACUAUCGAGGUUGGAUGGCAGGUAGAGAUUUUAGUUAAUAAUUUUUAUAUAUAUAUAUUUUUAAUUAAUUUAAAAAUUUAUGUAUGAAAUAUGACUAAUAUUAUAAUCGUUUUUAAAAUUUAUGUUCUAUAUAGGUUUUUCCCGGGCUAUAUUUGGACUACCAACCUAGACUUUUCAUUUUUUGGACUGUAAGUGUGUGAUAUGUUUCUUUUCUGAUCACUUCAACUUUAUUACAAUAUGUUCUCUAUAAAACGAAUAAUACAUUUUUUCCCUUUGCAGAAUAAUGCAUACAAGGGUGAUACUAGAUACAAUCUUCGAUGCCCUGGUUUUAUACAAACUAGUGGUAAUGUCCUCAUCGAAGGGGCUAUCGAACCUCACACCAAAGCUAUUACAAUCCAGAUUUGGAAGGUUAGAGAGAUAAUUUUAUCUUGUUUUAGUAUAUCAUAUGGCCGUUUUUCUAAUAUAUAAUUUACAAAAUGUAGGAUCCAAAUCUUGGACACUGGUGGUUGUCUGUUGGUCCGAACAGUGACAUUGGACUUAUGCCAGUUGGUUAUUGGCCGAACGAGAUCUUUACUUGUCUCUCUGACUAUGCAGAGGGUGUCCAGUGGGGUGGUGAAAUAGUAGACUCAUUCGUCUCCGGUCUGCACACGACAACCCAAAUGGGGUCUGGGUAUCUUCCUAGCUCCGCUAGAGCGGCCUACAUGCGUGAUCUCGAAAUUGUUGUUGACACCCAAAAGUUCCAACCGAUCUACGAUCUCACAGUAAUAAAGAUGAACUCCAACUACUACAACAUCAAGAAGACUAGCGACACGAGUUUUACUUAUGGAGGACCUAUACAUGCGGGAACGGUUCAUCAUCUUAGAGUCAAUUUAGUUGUUCUUUAUUUAUCUUUCAGCCUUCUUUUUCUCUUUUAGUUUAUGUUUUCUCUCUAUUCAUUUUGAUGAUGUCGUACAUUGAUAUAACUCGACGAUGCUUUGGUUUGUUACUUGGCAGUGAUUGCUUUUAUUUACUUGUCUCCUCAAUUCUUUUUUUUUUUAACCCUAUCGGCUGAUCCGGUUAGCCCCGGUAGAAACGCACCGAAAUACUUCAGAGUGGACUUCUCCCCAAAGGGCCACCAUACUGUCUAUCCCGAGUUUGGAAUGCUUUCCGACUAAUGUCAGGGGGUAGUCAGGCCGCCUACAUUUCUGACUAACAGGUAAACCAGUUGGGCCACAGACUUCCCAAACAACAAUGAUUUUUGUUUCCAGGGUGGAUCGAAUCUGGGUUAGUUCGUUCCAACCUUUCCCUAAUUCUCCCUUACCACUGGACCACUGCUGUGCGGGCUUUAUUUAAUUGUCUCGUCAAUUCUUUUUUUUUUUUGAUAAACCCUAAAACUCUCCUCAAUUCUCCCAAAACAGAGAGUUCAAAGUCAUGAAAAAGCUCCUCAAGGGACACAUGAACGUCUAUAUAUUUUAGUCUUUCGUUGUCAAAUAAUAUUUAUAUACAUAUACACGCACAUAAGUUGCAUACAAUACGAUUAGAUUACAUAAUUCUUGAUAUACACUAAGAUUAAUGGACUUCUUCUCAUCAUUGUCAUCAUCAUAUUCCAAGAAUCUAUAUAUCUAAGUAAGUAACAGUAGUACAAGACACAAGUUCAUAUCAAUCUACGACUUUCUCUUGAUCAUCACAAGCCACGACUUCUCUUGAUCUCAAAUAAAAGGUUCGUCAUCAGAAGAUACAAGGAGUACACAAGUGACAAGUUCAUGAAAGAUAGAUUAAAAGUAAAUUUUCUUUAUUAUUAUUUUCAUAUGGUAAGAUAUAUUUCUUUUUCAAUUUCCUUUAGUAAAUUAUUAACUUACUUAAUUUUAUAUAAAACUCAUUUAGUACCCGUUUGUUCAAAAAAAAAUUAAAAUUAAAACUUUAUUAUUACUAUCCAAAACUUUAUUUAAGAAGAUUAUCCUAGUACUAAACAUUGUUUCUAAGAAGUCAUGGUCACUCGCAAGAUUUUGGCCAUCACACCAGUAAAAUACAUUCAAAAAUUUUUUUGUGACUAUUAACAUAAAUAAACAUUGUUCAAACAAUGUUUAUUUGCUCACACGCGCGAUUCAAAAUCAUUAUGAAAUUAGGAUGGGCAAAGACUAGUUUCAAACUUAGAUUUUGAAUUUAGAAUCUGAAUGGAGAAAGCGUAUCGGGCAAAGCAGAUCGAACAUAUCAACCGUAUCAAUAAGAACGAAAACAAAUUAAGCCGAUCUAGUGAUACAACUGCGGAUUAAGUGGUUCAAACACUUUAAGAUCUAUGUUGAAUAGUAAAAAUGGAUCAGGUGGUGCAGAUAAAAUAUUUCUAGUGUAAGAGCAUUAAUUAAAAUAAAUUAUUUCAAUAAACUAUACAUACUACAACAAAACUAUAUUAAAAUAAAUUUGCAAUAUUGGUUUCAUCUAAAUAAAAUUAUUAGUUAAAUUUUGUAGAACAUAUAAAGUGUGUAGUAUACAUUAUCCAGAUUUUGUAAGAAAACAAGUACAAUGUAUAGAAUAAAUUCAGAAUAUCUGGUACACAAAAAAAAUAAAAAAAAUUCAGAAUAUGUAUUAUAAAAUUUGUCGAUUAUAUUUUAUCUAUCCAAAGCGGCAAUAAAACAACAGAUUUUCGAUGUUAUAAGGACCCUCAUGUCUUCUUUAUCAUUUUCCUAAGAAUUUAUCUUUAUUUUUUUAGAAAAAGUUGGUUGAAUCAAUUGUGUUUAGGAAAAGUUGCUAUUUGUUCAAAGAAUACAUAGAUGGACAAAUUUUAAAAUAUUUAUCCUUAAAUUCCAAUUUUCCCAAUAAAAAUGCAUUGAUUCAUUUUUUUUUGGUUAAAAUAGGGAAUUUUGUAAAAUAUAAUCAAGGGUAACAACGCUAAACUUAUAUAGACAAAGAUACAUCACCAAUACUUUCAAAUAUUAUAGACAUAUAUAUAUAUGUGACUAUUUAAAUCAAAUAUAUAUUUCAAAAGUAAAUUUGAUAAUGUGUUUUCACUCUACCAUUUUGUUAAUUAGCUUCUAAAUGAAAUUCAAGCAUUUGUUAAUUCAUAAGCUGUUGUUCCAACUUGAUUAAGACAUUUGAUUGAGAUAGAUCAAAUCUAGUGUCCUUUACGGAGUCAAGAAUCCUAAUUUCAUAAGUUAUAUCUAUUUUUUAGACAACAUAACACAAAACAUCAUUUCGAAACACUUUUCAACGCUUGAACCAACUUGAUUUAAUGUUUAUGUAGACCCUUAUCAAUUUUAAAAGAAUGAUUUUAGCUCGACAUAGUCAUGCCUUUCAAACUGAAACCUAACUAAAGAAUUAAAAUACCAAUAUUAUUUCCAAUUUGGUCGUAUCCACUAAACAUAUAGAGAGAGCCAAAGUCAAUCCAACGGUAAAAGAGAGCAGUAUUGAUUGAGCGGCAAGCGACCAAACAACGAGUCAUGCUGAAAACAAUAAUGUCUCACCAGAAUUUUUCAGCAUUAAUUGAAACACACAACAAACCUCUCCUUAUUCAAUGAAACCACAUUUUUCAAAACCUCUCUUUAUAAAGAGAGUGUGAGCCUUAUUCAUUUUCACAGCUCAUGGAAUCACACCAUCACAAAUCAAAGACCACACAUUAACACUAUGGAACAACAACACCUCAAAAGCCUCUUCACAAUUCUCUUCUUGAUAACUAUGUUUUCGUCGACAACCGCGGGUAAAGUACCGGCGAUUCUCGUGUUUGGCGACUCAUCGGUUGAUGCCGGGAACAACAACUAUAUCCCAACGGUUGCGAGAAGCAACUUCGAGCCGUAUGGACGGGAUUUCGUUGGUGGGAAGCCGACCGGACGGUUUUGUAACGGAAAAAUCGCGACCGACUUUAUGUCCGAAGCCUUAGGGCUUAAACCGAUUAUUCCGGCAUACUUGGAUCCUUCUUACAACAUUUCGGAUUUUGCAACUGGUGUCACCUUUGCUUCCGCGGCCACUGGCUAUGACAACGCCACUUCUGAUGUUCUGGUACGGUCUUUUUUCUUACCCUUGUAUUUAUUACAUGUACUAUUUGGUAUGAUACAUUAAAUAAACACUUUUAUGUACAUUAAUGUAUCACACGUCUUUAUAUAAAACAAUUCUAGACAUAAAUAGCGAUAAAUAUUGAUUAGAAAGGUUAUUUAGGGAUAUGUUUCUACAUUUAUUGAUGAUAUAUUUCGUUGAUGGUGAUUGUAGUCAGUACUACCUCUAUGGAAACAACUCGAAUACUACAAAGAAUAUCAAACAAAACUAAAAGCAUACCAAGGGAAAGACAAAGCUGCCGAUACCAUAAACGACUCUCUAUACCUCAUAAGCAUAGGGACCAACGAUUUCCUCGAAAAUUACUUCGCUUUUCCGGGCCGUCCUUCGCAGUACUCCGUAGGUCUUUACCAAGAUUUUCUAGCUGGAAUAGCCAAAGACUUUGUGAAGAAGUUACACGGACUUGGUGCUAGGAAGAUCUCACUAGGUGGAUUGCCUCCAAUGGGAUGUAUGCCUUUAGAAAGAGCCACAAACCUUGGCACGGGAGGCGAGUGCGUUGGACGCUACAACGACAUAGCGGUUCAGUUCAACGACAAGCUUGAAAAGCUGGUUGAGAAGCUUAACAAAGAGCUUCCUAGUUCCAACAUCGUUUUCUCAAAUCCUUAUGAACCAUUUAUGCGAAUCAUCAAGAACCCUUCCUCUUUUGGUAAGUGAACCGUCUUAAAUAACUUCAUUAUCUUCUUUAUUUGAUUAUGUAUUGAUUUGUUUGAAUGGUGAAAUAAAAAAUGAAAGGGUUCGAGGUGGUCGGAGCGGCAUGUUGUGCCACAGGGAUGUUCGAGAUGGGAUAUGGUUGCCAAAGGAAUAACCCAUUCACAUGUACCAACGCAGACAAGUAUGUGUUUUGGGAUUCAUUUCACCCAACACAGAAGACUAAUCAAAUCAUGGCCAAUGCUCUUAUGAAUAGCACAUUCCCUCACCUCCGCUAGAUGAUUUUUUUUUUAUAAUGUUUGUGUGUGGGAACUGGAUAUGAAUGUAAUAUCAUUAUUAGCUAGGAUAUGAUGUUUAUAUAUCCAAUAUUUUUUGGUCCUAUAAACUAUGUACUAUAUAUGUAUGUAUUUCAGUAUUUAUAUUUAACUAGAAUUUGGUUUUGUGUUAGCUAAACCUAUAUAUGUUUCUUUUUUAGUUUAUGGUGUGUGUGUGUGUGUGUGUGCCUAUGUAGCUUAUUUUAUUCUCUUUAGUUAUUCUUUUAAUAUAUCUGUUUUUUCAUUGUGAAAUUUAUGGGAGCACUUAUUAAACAUUUAUAACUUUUGCACUGGAUAUUUUUUCUAUACUAAAACCAGCACAAUUAUGCAUUUAUCAAAGUUGUAUUUUUUUGGUAUUUAAGAGAAUUCCCAAAAUUUGUUUUGGUAUUUUAGCAAAAUUAAUCUUAAAAAAACCUAUAUUUCACUUAUUAGUAACUAUUCUAACCACCAAAAGUUAAUAAUGUAGUAUACUAUGUAAAAACUAUGAUAUAUCCCAAUUUAACCUUACCAUCACCACCCCCUACUUCCUUAAUACCACCACCCCCACCUCCUUACCACCACAACCAUCUCCGGUCACCGACCACCGGUACCGCUAGUGGCCGGCCGCCAUCAACUCUGGUCACCACUCCUACCAUCACCUCCUCCUGUGACCGCCACCAUCUCCAACCAUAAUUUCUGGCCACUGGCCACCGCCACCACCAGUCACCGUCAUCACCACCAUCGGCCACCGCCACCUCCGAUCAUCGGACACCACCUUUAGUCACCGGUCACCACUUCCAGAUGCCUACCACCACUGCCGGUAACCGCUACUUCCAGCUGCUGGCCACUACAUACCACUAUUACCAAACAACAACAACACUAAAAUUGUAAUUAUUACCUCUUAUCCUAUUUUUUUCUAAUUUUUUCAAAUUAUGUGCUACAAUUUUUUAUUUUAAUAUUCCAAAUGAAUAUUCACCUCAUUCACUCAUUUAGUUUUUUUUUUAACUGUUUGAAAAAGAAAAAAAAAAUAAAAAAAGACAACAAAACCCUACGGAGAAGAGAAACAGAAACAGAGUCUCAAUCUCGCCGACGUGUUUUGUAAGAAGAAUAGAACAUAAAUCUGAUUCUUUAGCUUCGAUCAAUUUCUUACUUUAUUUCGAUGAAUUCGGAUUUGGGUUUUAGUUAAAAAUCGAUUUCUAUUAAGAAUCUGAAACUCCUCUCCAGUUUUGAGGAGUCUUAGUGUUAGUGUUAAUCAUUGUGAUGACGUUGGUUGCAAAUUCUAUGGUGAACAAGAGGUUGAUGAUGAUCGUGUAUGUGUUGUAACAGAGAAAGCUUGAACCUUUAUAUUUGGGAUUGAAUCGAACCUUAAAAAAGCUUUGAUCUUUUAUGCUUCUAUACACUCUCUUGAACUCUGUAUUUGUCCUUUUUCAUGUUUCAGGUACAACUAGUGAAGAUGGGUUCUGUCUCUAUGGGUUCAAUGGAUUGUCUUCCAGAUGAGCUUCUUAUCAAAAUCUUAUCUUCUCGUCCUACAAAAGAAGCUACUUCAACCUCAGUUCUCUCCAAGAGAUGGAGGUAGUCCUGGGCAAUCGGGUUUCGGUUCUACCCAUUCGGGUUUCGGGUAAAUCGGUAUAAGACCUAUAGAUCACAUUCGGUAAUUUACAAAAAUUGGUUUGGUACGGUUAGUAACUGGCCGGGUUCAGAGCGGUUUUCUACUCCAAUACAAAAUCCAAACUAACUCGAAAUUUUUCCGGGUUAUAAUCGGUUCGGUUUCUUUGAGUAAAAAAGUACUCAAAUAACCGAUUAAAACCCAAAAUACCCGAUUAAAAUCAGAAAUAUCCAAGUAAAUAACUAGAAAUAACCGAAUAAACCAUAACCAAUACGGUAAAGAGUUUUGGGGAUUUCGUUGAUAGUACAUUGGCUUUACAUGGUAACCGUAUCAAGUCCUUCUCAAUAAAGUUUUAAGAAACACAUGGAGAUGUUAAGAGCAUGGACGAUGUUAACCGCUGGAUAUGUAAUGCACUUGAACACAGUUUCCCUGAGCUUCAUUUACGUAUCAACUCUAAUUAUUUACCAACCGAGAUCAUCACCAGCACCAUACUGGUUAAGCUGUCAUUGGUAACACAAUGUUACAUCCCUUUUUUUCCUAAGGACAUAUCUCUCCCAGUACUAAAGGUUCUCUUUCUUUGAUUCAAUUUGGUUAGAGCCUAAUCAAUUCCAUAAUGUGUUUAUCCCUGCUUGCCGUGUACUUGAGGACUUAACCAUAUAUCAAAGACCUUAUUCAAUAGAAUUAACCAUGGUUAAGGGUUUCUGAGGUAUACCUAUUGCUCCAUUAAGCUAUGGCUUCUUGAAUAACUGUGGUGAGAGUAUACUUUUCAGUAUUCUCCAGCAAAAUUGGGAUAAUAACUCUAGUGUUUUCGGUUUCUUUGGUUUUACGAUUUAUUAGUUUUAUAAAAACAAAAUCAUACGUACGUACGUGACAAGUGAACUUAGCCAUUGUUUUUGCAUGCGACUUUGUGAAAUAAACUACACAUAUAUAUAUUAAACAAACACUACAACUUUAGGACAAAAUUAUAGAAACAAAAAAGGUCGUAGAUUGAUAAAAAGAUUGGAAAAUAGUUUUAUUAUAAGAUUAAAACAGCUAAAUAUAAUAAUGUUACGUAUCAGAACUUGGUGCGGGUGCAACCUUUGUUCUGACACAUUCACAAAAACAAAGUAAAAAUAAUAUGAACGAGACAAGUCCCCAUCCUAGAAAUAUACAGAUUAUACCCAAAUACUCCAUAUUGUCUUUUCUUCUUCUUACGAAAGUUCCUACACAAACACGAAAGAAGGUUAGGUUAUUAUACAGUGAUCUUUAUAAUAGGUGUGUAUAUAUAUAAGUCAUAUAAUUGCCUUAUCUCUACAACUUGGGAAUCUAGGUUAACAUAUGUAAUAUAUAUGCAUAAGAAAAAGAAAUGAAAGGUUAACAUAAUACAAUAAGAUGCAAAAUAUAAGCGUCAGAGAAGAAAAGGUUUUUUUCCAUUUUUUAUAGAAAUUUUUGUACAUACAAACGAGACUAUUUUUUUUAGGGUAUUUGAAGUAAUCUAAAUAAUCAACUGGUAUUUCUUAUAAUUAUUUAAAAUUUAUUAAAAUUUGAAGCUGAACGAAUAAUUAAUUUAUUAAAUAAAUAAUUAGAAAAGAAUGUGAAAUGGAGCAAUUGAAAAAAAAAAUUAAAAUGUUUAAGGAAAUAUAAAAGAAACAAAAAAAAAAUCAGCUAAUGAUAUGAGGCUUAGAUUUUGGUUUAACCAAACGGAAUCAUUUGGUUAGUUAGGUUUAACCCAAAUAACCGAAUAAUAGAACAGUUUAGGUGAACCGAACAAAAUUUAAAAUGUCGUUGAUCGGUUUAAUUAAGAGAACCGAUUCUGAACCAAAAAUAAUAAAAAAAUCUCAGUUUUGAGUUUUGAUUCAGUUUUGUUCACUCAGUAUGGUUAAAUGUCCCAGGCCUAAAUGAUAUAUAAUAUAUAUGAUUGAUUUAGUAAUUAAGAAACUCCUAAAACAGAGAAGAAGAGAAACAAAAGAUAUGUCAAAAUCUUCUUUAGACAACAAAAAGAAAAAAAACUCAAAGGUCUAAAUAAAAAUGAUUCCCAAUUAACUCCUCAAAGUCUUAUGUGAUCAAGAUGAAAUUCUAAGAAAAUUAAUUUAUUUGCAUUUAAUAAAAAAGGAAAAUGAAAAUGAAUGAAGAGUGAAGUCAACAAAGAAGAGCCCCUCGGGCGCAAUGCAUGCCGUCUUGUUUUGAUAAUUGCCGGCAAUUUCAAUCUCUACCAUUCCUUCUCUUAUUGUCUCCUCUCCUCCCAAUAAUUCAUGCAUCUGCCUAAAUUAUCUAAUCAAUUUUUUUCUUUUCUUUCUCAUUGGUAUUGUAAUAACAAAACUACAAUGGGAUGAUUCACAUUCAGAUAAAUUAAACCACUCUUUGUAUGUUUUAGUAUAAUCCUAUUUGUAUUAGAAAAAAAAAAAAUCAUUUCGAAGUUUAUGAUAUACUCUCUCGAUUUCAAAUUAGUUGUCAUUUUUUACCGAUUUUUUCAAAUUAGUUAUCGUUGUCGGUAAGUCCGAUAACAGAGCAAUUAGCAACUGUUAGUAUGUUAACAACAUGUUUUAUGAAUGGUUUGCAUUUUUAAUCUCUUUAUGAAGUAUGUACAGCUUUAUUUCAUGUUUUAAUCUGCAAGUCAAUGUGUAUGUAUGGUUUAAAUGGUUUUCGUGAAAGUUUAUGGUUUAAUUGACGUAAAUGAUUGUGUUCAUGAAUUUAAUGACAUUUUCCCUAUUAAAUUUUGAUGUUAACUUUCUAUUAAAUAUUUCCAUUUUUUUUUGUUAAAUUCUCAAGAAAUUUCUAGUAUGUUGCAUACUUUCCAUUUUAUCUACAUAUUUGUUAUAUCACGUUUCAACACCUGAAUAUUUGUCAAUAUUGGGGUUUUUUAAAUAAACUUACAAGAUGCAUUCAUUAUUUGUAUAUAUAUGUAGCGUGAACGCUCGAAACAAGGGAAGCUACGUAAUUGCUACGACACUAUAACUUUUUAUACUAGUUUUAAAUGAACUAGGAUGACAUAUGUUAUAAAUUUGCCAAUUUGAUUUGACGUUGAACCAACCAAUCUCAUAAGAAAAAAACAACUAUACAUUAAAUACAAAUAUAUAAUGUAUAGUCUUCUUAUUCACAUUACAAAACUAACUCAAAUAUGUAUAUAUUAUAAUUUAGAUUACCAAAAAACAAAAAAGUAGGAUUAAGAAGAAACAAAAGUUGUAAGUGUGAACAACAAUUAUAAUGGGUGUGUUUACAAUAUAAUCUGAACAACAAUUAUUAAAACUCGAUCAAACUAUGACUUUUUCCCUUUGACAAAUUUACAUAUUGACCUUUAGAUGAAAUAAAAACUUGAUUUUAUGAGAUUAAUAUAGAUUUCGGUUCGUGGUUAGAAGGAAAAAAGUUAUUUUAAGAGAUUAAUAUAGAUUUCGAUAUGAAAUAAAAAAUAUAUUUUAAGAGAUUAGUAUAGAUAUUCAUAUAUGACUUUUUUUGUAAAACCUAAAAAAAAAAACUUGAUUUUAGAAGAUUAGUAUAAAUUUUGGUGUGUAAUUUUGCCGGUUAGCUAGCUAGAGAACACAAAUCCAAACUAGAUUAUAAAAUGUAUGAAAAUUUUAUUUUUAUUUUUUAACAAAAUAAAAGUUACAUAUUGAAGGUAGUAGUAAUUAAAAGAGAGAAAUAAAUAAUUAAAAAAAUGCCUGGCCUUCCCAUGUACGCCGACGACGACAACGACUCAUCAAGACAACUCUUUAUUUUUCCCGGCGAAACAACGAAGUAACCUCUAAUGCAUCUCCUCGUAUAUAUGUACUAGUGGUCUCUUUGUGAUUGUGUAAGUACAUGUAAGUGAUCUUUCAUGUCUUUUGAUCUUCAUCUUCAUCAUCUUCUUGAAUCUUGAGAUCUUCUUGAAUCUUUGAGAUUUGUAUCUUUGUGAGUCUUCUUUGAGAGAAAGAGAGAGAGGAAGAGGAUGAUGAAGAACUUUGAAACUCAAACUCUUGUCUUCAUUUGGAGUUUUUGUUUUAUAGAGUACAAUAUUGUCACACGUAUGAUCUCACUAAAUAGAGGUUUAGUCAAUUAGGUGUGUGUGUGUGUGUGUGUAUUUAUAUGUUUAUUUAAUGAAACAUUGACAGAAAACAAGAAAAUUUUGACUUACGUGUUUGAGCAUCAGUGUGAACUUCUAGACAAAAACUUGUUGUCUUGUAAGAAAAAAUUCAACUUUUCUUUCUUAAAUUACGUGUCAAAUUAUUUUGGUAAAUAAAUUGGUGUUACUAAUUAAAUUGACAUUAAAAAUCUAUUUGAGCAAGAGCAUAUCCAUAUGCAUGUUAUUCUAUAACACAAGUGAAUCGUUUUGUUUAUAUCAGUUUCUAAUAGUAUUUGAUCAAGAAGGCCUAUAAGCACAAAAAAGCACCAACAACAACAAUUAACUUGCGUCUACAGUGUCAAUUGCUAUGAGUUAACAGAUUCAACCUGCAAAGUCAAAUCUUUUACUCCUGCAUCUUCUAGUAAACGUGAGACUUGCAACUUAGUAUCCAUCUUGUUUGAAUCUGCAGAUACGAGGAGAUGGAGAGUAGCUACAACGUCUGAGUUAGUGAAACUCCAUACAUGCAGCCUCUGGAUACUGCAAACACCUUUAGUCUUUAGUAUGUUCUUCAUAGCUUCUUGCAGGUCGUGUCUGUGAGCUCUAGGGACUCUUUGCAAUAGAACCUCUGCGGAGUUUCUGAGCAACGGAAUGACUGAUGCGAUGAUAAGGAUGGAGAUGAAGAUUGAGCUGGCUGGAUCAGCAACUAACCAGCCCUUGUAUUUGAUCAAGAGUGUCGAUAUCACAACUCCAACACUCCCCAUUGUGUCUGCUAAAACAUGAAGAAAGAUUCCUUCCAUGUUGUGGUCAAUGUGAUGAUCGCUUUUUUCAGGUUUGUGAUCAGAAUGAUUCUCAUGGUUGUGGCUGGGGUUAUGGGAAUGAUGAUCAUGGUUGCAGCUAUGAUGAUCCUCAUGUUUAUGGUUGUGGGAAUGCUCAUGAUGAUCCUCAUGUUUAUGGCUAUGGGAAUGUUGAUGAUGAUGGUCAUGCUCAUCAUGUUUAUGGCUAUGAGAUUCGUGUGAGUGAGAAUGCGUGCAACCAGAUCCACCAUGAGCAUGAUGAUGUUCCUCGUGGAAAAAGAUUAACCCGACAACAUUCACAAGAAGCCCUCCAACUGAAACAACCAAAAGACUAUUUGUAGAAAUCUCCUGAGGAUCCAAAAUUCUCUCAAUCGACUCAAGCACAAUCAAAGCCCCAACAAGAACAAGGAAAACCGCGUUAACAUAACCAGAAAGCACUUCAAAUCUACCUCGACCAUAGUUGUACUGAUGGUUUGCAGGAAGACGGGAGAUAUAAGACGCAUACAGCCCAAUUGCCAAAGCAGCACAAUCAAACAACAUAUGACAAGCGUCUGAGAUCAAUCCAAGACUAUUACUCAUAAACCCAGCCACAAACUCAACAACCAUAUACGCUGUAUUGAUCAAAAGAAACAGUGCAAUCUUCCUCGACUUCUUCUCGCUCAAAAUGUGACGGAUAGGCUUCAUAAACAUAGUGGAAAACGACUCAGGCGAUUCCAUCCCAAUCUCUUGGUAAUCUGAAUUCACAGAGUCCAACUCCCUAACAGCAACAUAAAGCAACAAACCACAAAGCAACAAUCCCCAAAGAGAUAGCUCAGGAAAAUAGAAGAGCUCCAAAACAAUAGUACAUAGAAACGUAACCAGAAACUCCUUCUCUGAGUCCUUCUUCUUCGAGCUCGAAAACUUAUCAUCAUUAUAAUUCUCACUCAACAAUACUCCAAAUACAACAGUGUUAGCUAAAGGCCAACCUAAAUUCCCAAUAGAGACACCAUCAUCACCACUACCAGAGAACAAGAAACUCCAAAUAGCAAGUGGGAACAACAACACAGUGGUCAUAAACAAAGAUAGUAACCGGACUCGUUUCUGAUCUAGCUGCUUGAUCUCAACCCAAUUCAUUGAAACUUUCUCAUAACAACCCAAAAACCCAGACAGAAACGGAAGCAACAAAGGCCAAAUCCUCAAGCAAUUCUCUUUAGGGUAAAUCCAAAAACCCCAACUUUGAACAGAUGAUGAAAACGGGAAACAAUCAACACGAUCCCAGCUGAUUGAUAACAACAACAACCCAGCAAACAAAACGCAAAACCCACGAACCUUAGAUGAUCUAACUCCUCCAAUUCCACUAUUAUCACCAAACAAGGCUCUAGCUGAGACGUUACCUGAGAGUUCAGCUAAGAUCAUAGCAGCAGCACUACAGUAACGAAGAGCUUGGAAACGAAGAAGGAAGACGAAAGCAAGAAGAAACGAUUUCGCGAGCAAGAGUUUGAAUUGAGACGAAGAAAGAGACGAAAAGGAACGAUUUUGAUGGCGGAGAAGAAAAGGGUCUUUCUUGGAAGGUGAAAAGGAAGAGAUGAUGGAGAAAGAGAGUGAGAAGAGGAAAGAGAGAAGAGAGACGAGGAAGGAGAAAGGGAAAAGAGAGAAAGAAGGUGAAGAACGAAGGAAAGGUAAGAGAGAGUAGAGAGAUCUAAGAGAGAAGAGGAUGAGAAAUAGAAACGAAAGUGAUGAUUUUGUGUUGUUGCUUCCAUGGAUCGAUCUACGGGUUUUGGAAGGGGUUGGAGUUGGAGUGUAAGGGAAAGAUGGGUAUGUUCUUCCGAUCGUUGGUGAUGGUAGUGAAAGACGAUUCGGUCGCUGAUGGUGGUGAUGAUGAUGAUCCGCCAUUGUUGAAGCUAUUGAGUUUUUUUUCUCCGAUAAGUCGCCGGAGGAAGUUUUCGUCAAGACAUGAUUUUUGGGAUUUGGUGGGUUUAAAAUCGGUUUUGUUUAACCGGACUAAACCGGAACCGAGUAAGAUAAAACUAUUCCCGGAAUUGACUUUUUUUUUGGCUAAGUCUAUGUAUGUGUAUCAAAAUCCCAAUGUAAUCAAUUUUAUGUGGUCACCAAAACAACAAUAACCAAAAAAAAACUUUUGUAAUUGUUUGAAUUUAAAUACUUCAUGUGUUUGCACAACAAAAAUUGCAACAAAAAAAAACUUUAUAAAUUGUAUGAAUUUUUCGGUAAUUUAUUUUCUUUUAUAGUUUAAAAGAUUUAGAGAAAAAAGUCUAUUCCACGAUCUAGUUAGAUUUUGAAUGAAAACUAAAUUGCUUUGUAUGGUGCAGUUUUCAUUGUAACGAAACAUAGAUAUUUUUGUUAAUAUUAGAACUGCACCAUAUUUUCUUUCAGUUGUUUCGCAUAUUACCAUUUAACUCUAAUUUACACCGGACGGAAAAAUAUCAUUUUUGAUAAGAUGAUAAGAUUGAUUGUUAGAAAUUUGUGUGAGUUUCUCAAACGUCAAAGUACACAAAAUAUGUCAAAUAAUUCAUUUUAUUAAUAAAAAUAAAUCUUAUUUAUUCGAUUAAACGAGAGGAUAAUACAAAAUUAUUAGCAAAUACAACGACAUAAAGGAACAAUUGGACUAGGAACACAUAUCAGUUCACACCCUUUGUUGCACCCAAGAGGCUGAAGAACUUGUCGUUUCUCAACUUGUUGCAGAGCUUCAUUAUGGUGUAAUGCAUCAACUUGAGGAGUUUCUUCAGAUAACACACGUUUUGCCUCAACAUUUACAAUACUACACAUCACUACAUAACCAAAAUAACUUGUUGUAAUUAUAAACAUAAUCAAAAAUUUGCAUGUAGAGAUUCUUAGUUUUGAUAUGAGAUUAGAAAAUUUUACCGAAUGUAAUAGCUAAGAAGGCAAUGAAAGCAAUCUUCAUUGGGGUUUUCUCCAUUUUUAAUAUUUGGUGUAUGAUGUUUGUUUUAGCUAUUGUGAAACCUGUUUUAAAGAAUGGAGAAAUGUUAUUAUUUUGUUAAGACAGAUUUGCUAAAAUCACCUCAAAUAUUAGGAAAAAACUAAAAAUAUAUAAAAAUCUAAAUAUUUGAUUCAUUUCUAUAAAUAUUUUGGUAAAAAAUUGUACCAAAAUUUGCUAUAAUGCUUACUUUGGUCAAAUGAUUAUCUUGGUAAGAAAUCAACCAAUUUGCUAAUAUACAUUUUUAGGGGUGUACUGAAUCAAACAUUUUUAAUGAUUUGAUUUUCAUUAAGCUUUAGUGAUUUUGUAUAUGAUUUCUUGCUUGACAAAAAAAAUUGUGAUUUUCUUAUAAAUUUUGCCUAGAACCAUUGGAUCUAUGUAUUUUUAAUUAAUGAAAUCCUAAAGCCACUAACAAUCAAAUCCUCAAAAUGUUUUGAAAAACAGAAAAUUAUAAAUUAAAUUUUCCAAAUCAUUAAUUUUAUAACAUUGGAUGUUAUUAAAAUUUUAUAAAUUCAUGGUUGAAUACCAUAUGAUUAGCUAUUUUCACAUAAAUAAAAAAAUAUUUCAUUGAAUAUACUAACUAUAUUGGUCCCAAUAAAUAUAUAUACAUAUUUACUUAUCUUGGUGGUCAAAUAAUAAUUUAGUUCUCAAAAUAUCUUGGUUAAAUCAAGAUGUAUUUACAAUGAUGUUGCUAAGAACAUUUAUGACUGCUUGAAGAUGUGGGGUUUAGAGAAGGUUUUUUCUAUCACUCUAGAUAAUGCUAAAGCUAAUGAUAGUAUGCUGAAGAUUAUUAAGCAUCGUCUUCAAAGUGGUAACAAGUUUUUGUGUGAUGGAAACUUUUGGAACGUGAGAUGUUUUGCACAUAUUCUCAAUCUGAUAGUGAAAGCAAGGUUGAAUGUAGCUAGUAGUUUUUUAGAGAACAAUUGAGACCGUGUUAAAUUUGUAAAAGCAACUGAGUUAAGGAUAGACUCAUUGCAACAUGCGUUGAGAGUUUAGGGAUCAAAGGUGGAGCUGGUCUGUCUUUGGAUUAAUAUUAUAAAACUGUUCCGAAAAUUGACUUUUUGGCUGAGUCCAUAUAUCUAUCAAAAUCCUAAUUUAAUCAAUUUUAUGUGAUCACAACAACAAUAACAAAAUACAACCCCCCCCCCUCCCUUUGAAUUGUUUGAAUUUUCCUAUAGUUUAAUUUCUUUUAUAAUUUUAAAAAGUUGGAGAAAAUGUCAAGGUUACAAUCUAGUUAAACUCCGAAUGGAAAUGGAAACGCAUGGUAAUGUGCGAUUCUAACAAUAACCAAAAUAUCUUCAUAUAUUUUUGUUAUUAUUAAACCGUCUCGUAUUUUUUUCGCCGUUGUUUUAACACCCGUGUUCAUGUUUUGGUCUGGUGUCGAUCGACACUAGGUAAGGAUAUCGAUCGACACCGGUUAUUUGGGUGGUUAACUGAUUCAAUUCUGUAAUUGAUUGGUUUGAUUUAAUUUUGGGAGAAACAUUAGGUUAUAUUAUGAAAAUUUUGACCAGCUUCUUCUUAUUCUCUUUAGUUGUGUUUUGUCGCUUGUGAGAACUAAGCGAGAGAGAGUUUUAGAGAUGAUCCUAAGGAUUAAGGAGGCUUAAGAAGGGUUUCUGGAGGUUUUUAUGGAUGAUUUUUGUGAGUUUUAGCAAGGAGGGGAUUGAAUUCGUGGCUGGUGGUGCAAGGAGGGUCUUGUUCUUGAUGUUUCCUCUCUUUUUCGUUCCUUCAUUCAAUCCACAUCGAGGUGAGUGCGUGACCAUGGUUUAUCUGGGCAUAUAAGACCUUAUGAUUUGUGUCUGAUUGAUUUGGGUGGCUGGAAUUGUUGUGUUUUGGCUUUUUGUGUAUUGUGGAUGUUGUUUUGUAUUUAUUGAUGGUUUAGGAUUCUCGUUUUGUAUCGGUCGACACCAAUUUCUGGAUAGUGUACAACAAUUUUCUGGACAACGAGUAGUCGGUGUCUUUUAUGCAUGGUUUGGUUUAUCUGUUUGAUCUUAUACAUGUUUAUUGGUCUUAUUAUUCAUGUGUGUAUAACCCAGUAGAUGGGAUGACCGCUUCACUGAGUAUUUGUGAUAAUACUCACGCAUCUCUUUUUUUUUGUGAUGCAGGUAAAGAUAAGAUGUGAUCGUGGAAUCAAAGCAAGGAAGAGGGCGAUGAUCUAGGGUCGUUGUUUCGGUUUUAAUGUUUUGUUAUUUUAUUUAUGGAAACACGGAUUAGAAGCAUGUUUACGAAUGCUGGUUUAAUUUGGUUUAUGGAGAUUUGUUGGUUGAUUUCUGGUUUAGUAUUCUAAUUGGAUUUAUUGGAGUUGGUUUAAUUGGUUUCCGCUGUUUGAUUGCCUGUUUGGUUUAAUUUGUCGGUUAAUAUUAAUUUAUGGGGUUAAUAUUGAUGAAUUAAAAAGUUGGAAAACAGGAUGGAUCGUUUCAGUUGUCCUGUGUAUUAUCAGUUAUCUCUAUUAAAUUAUGUAUUCACUGAUUCGUUUGAACAAAAAAUAUAAUUUAUUUUAUAAAAUAAGAUUGAUUUUCAGAAAAUAUAUAACAAAGUACACAAACAUAUGUCAAAUAAUUUAUUUUAUUAAUGAAAAUAUAUCUUAUUUACUGGAUUAAACGAGAGGAUAAUACAAAAUUAUUAGCAUAUACAACGGCAUGAAGGAUUAACUGGAUCAGGAAAACAUAUCAGUUCACACCCUUUGUCGCACCCAAGACCUUCUCGUUUCUCAACUUGUUGCAAAGCUUCAUUAUGGUGUAACACAACAACUUGAGGAGUUUCUUCGGAUAAUACACGUUUUGCCUCAACAUUUCCAACAUUUACAAUACCACACAUUACUACAUAACCAAAGUAAGUUGUUAUUAUAAACAUAAAAUUUUGCAUGUAGAGAUCUUUAGUUUUGAUAUGAGAUUAGAAAAUUUUACCUAAUGUAAUAGCUAAGAAGGCAACGAAAGCAAACCUCAUUGGUUUUUUCUCCAUUUUGAGUAUUGGUGUAUGAUGUUUGCUUUAGCUAUUGUGAAACUGUUUUUGAGGAAUGGAGAAAUGAUAUUAGUUUAUGUAGACAGAUUUGCUAAAUCCACCUCAAAUAGUAGAAAAUCCACAAAAAUAUAUAAAAAUCUAAAUAUAUAAUUCAUUUUUCUAAAAAUAUCUUGGUAAGAAGUUAUACUAAAAUUUGCUAUAAUGCUUAGUUUGGUCAAAUGAUUAUCUUGGUAAGAAAUAAACCAAAGUUUGCUAAUAUACAUUUUUAGGGGUGUAUUAAAUCUAACAUUUUUAAUGAUUUGAGUUUCAUUAACUGUGAUUUUAGGGAAAUUGUUAUGAUAUAGUAACUGUGAUUUCCUUUUAAUUUUUACUUAAAACCAGAUAAUUGGAUAUAUGUAUUUUUAAUUAAUGAAAUUCUAAAAGCACUAACAAUCAAAUCCUCAAAAUGUUUUGAAAAGCAGAAAAUUAUAAAUUGAAAUAUCCAAAUCACUUAUUUUAAUAACAUUGGAUGUCAUUAAAUUUUUAAAAAGUCAUGAUUGAAUAACAUAUGAUUAUGAUGUAAAAAAAAAUAUAACAUAUGAUUAUUAGUAGCUAUUUUCACAUAAAUAACUUAAAUUUUAGAUUUAAGAUUUGUGAUUAAAUUUUCAUAUGAUUAAAUUUAGAUUCGUGGUAUUUUUAGAAAUUGUAUUCUAGUGGUAUUUUUGGAAAAUAAAUUUCAUAAUGAUAAUUUUGGAAAAAAAUACCCAUUUUAAUGGUAUCAGAAAUUUAUCAUACAUAUGAAAACUUGCAACAUACAUAGUAACUGUUAUCAUUUGCCACCAACUUGACAUAGUCUUCCAUGAUCGAUCAUUUCAGUUCAAUACGAGCGCAAGCGAAAUUAGAAUACAUAGAUUUGCCCUUCGUCAGAUUAUCAAUCACCACCAACUUGACGUUUCCACGAGUCUUCCACAAUCAGUUCAUCAACUCCCCAUUCCUCAAAACUGAUUCAGAAUCACAACCAAGUCAACAAUGAAAAGAACAAACCCGAAGCGCGAUAAAGCGAAUAAUAUAUAAGCUUAAACAUUCUGAAACUUUUGAUAUGACUAAUGAACACAGUCUCACCUCCCAUCAGGUAGAUAUCGUCUAAUAGUGAAUGGUAUCUUCCUUUGCCUAAGCUCUUUCAUAGCAAUCUUAAAAGCCAAAUCACAAAUUAGCUUCAAAUGUUCAUACAUAUCUGACGAAUAAAACAUGUCAAGAAGAAGACAGCACCUCAAGUGGAUCAGUCUCACCCUCCAACUCAACCAUGACAGGAGCAUUCAUGCUGCAUUAGCCAACAAAACAACAUAAAGUAUCAAACUUUCUCAGCCAACUACAUAGUCAACGUUGAGACAAACUUAAAAGGGGAUAGAAGCAGACCUAAUCUGCAAAGCGCGAGUGCCGAGGAUACGUGCACGUUCAUACUUAGUCAUAAACUUAGAAGUUUUACGAGGACGUUGUACAGGUUCUGUUUCAACUUUGUCUUCUGCUUCAAUAGGUUCACCAUUGACAUCAUCAUUCUCCUUCAUAUCAGCAUCUUCCUCUACUCCUUCCUACUCACACAAAUUCUCCAAUCAGAUACAGAACAGAACCGUCUCUAUAAUACCAAAUAUCAAAAGUCUCUUCUACAAAAGAAGGAAGUGAUCUUACUUCUAUCUCAGGCUCCACUGGCUCAUCCUCGUAUCUGCAAUUUGACAAAUUUGAAAUCACCAAUGAUGUCCCAAAUGAACAAAAAGAUUCAAAUGAAGUCUCAAAAAACAGAUCUUUCUCAAUUCAAUCGACAAUGAAAUUUAGGAUUUUUCUAUCUUCAAGCUAUAUCAAUCUCAUUGCUCUCAAUCGUGUAUGAUUCGCCGAGAAGAAGAUAGAAUCUUUUGAAAUCGAUCACAAAGCGAUAAACCCUAAAAUUGAUCACAAAUCGAUCAAUACAGAUAUGGGAAGACGAGAGAGAUAGAGAGGGAUACCCCAAAUCAUCGGGUUCGUUGUAAUCCUCGUCCGCCAUUAAAGCCGAUUUGAGAAAUCGCUCUUCUCCUCUUCCACUUGAUAAACCCUAACGAUGGCAAUGCAUGAAGACGACGAUCUAAUGACGUUACCAGACCACAUUGGUAUAUUCCGAGUAAGCCCAUAGUUUCAAAGCCCAAUUUAGGCCCAUUAAGAGACUUGGUGUAAUGUUGUUUAAAUCCUUUUCUGUGUAUAUAAAACCAAAGUACAUUAUAAGGUUUACAAAUCUUCCACAGCUCCAUUGUGAACUCAAUGCAAGUAAGACUCAGUUCUGUAAUGUCUUUCUUGUGUUCCAAUUAAUAAACUUGAACAUGAUCACAAGAUUAUAUCGUCUUGAACACUGACGUUAAGAGUUUUAUUCUGAAGAACAAUGCUUCCUAUGACUGCAACUUCAUCUUCCACAGUUACAGCCUCACCUGCACAAAACCAAAUGAAUCAGAAAGUGGAAUAAUUUUUUGAAUGAACAAAAAAAAGCUUUAAAGAGAUACAAUGAAGUUACCAAGAAUUGUAAUCCCAAGCCUCUCAUUGUAAUCUCCACUAGCUUGAACUCUUGACCAUCUACCUAUAGAUGAUUUCCAUCCGAUGAUUGAGUUUAUGACAACAGCAUUGUCCUGCAUUUAACCAGAUCAGAAAGAUUUAAAAACAAAUCUUGUGGAUUUGUAACCAGAGGAACACUAAAAACACCAAAUUUAAGUUACCUUGAUUUCAACAUCGUCCAAGAUUAUGCAGUUGAUAAGCCUUGCACCAGGUCCAACACGAACGUUUGCUGAGAUCGAUACAUUUGGACCGAUCUUGUUCCAAGGAAAUUUAAGUGGGUCAUUUGCAUUUUAAAUACGACGUUUAACUAAAGUUCAUGAGAUAAGAUAAAGGAUUCACCUUUGCGGUUUGAUGCAGUUUUGCGGAUGGGUGAAUAUAAACAUCACCGAUUAUCAUCGGUCUCCUAUUAGUACCAUCUCCUGAAGCCAAAAGAUGAGGCGAUGUUUGGCGGAAUUGGGAAAGAUAUAAAGCCGAGCAUUUCAAUGAUUUCCUGUUUAAAAACAGCUUGUUAGCAUAAGGAGUUUGAUCCAAGAUUGUUUCAAACAAUUAUUAGAACCAAAAACUAAAUUCACCCAGGAGUCUUAAUCUGUUCCCAGAAAUCCUUAUUCUCAUAUGUGUAUAGUUGCUUCUUUCCAGCAAGAGGUGACAAUAUAUCUUGAUCUAAUCUCACAAAAUCCGCAGGAACAGACCUUGUAGCAGAUUGAUAGUUGCUAGCUGCCAAAUUUAAAGUGAUUAUGCAAUGAAUAAUUUGUGAAGUGACCAAAAGAAUCAUGUAAAAUGAUGAAGCAGAUCUCUGAUUGAUAAUAAUGAGAGAGGGCAAUAAUGAAUACUCACAUGUGUCUCUUAUUUGGCUAUAUACUCCUUCAAUGGCAUUGAAGAUAUCUGAGGUAAACACAUAAACACCACAGUUUAUCAAGUCACUGACCUGCAUAGAAUAGAUAACAGGGAAAAUUUAUAAGAUCAACAAAUUUCAGUACCAGUGAAGGAAAUAAAAAUAUAGUACAGUUUAGCAGAUAAUUACAAAAGUCUCAGGCUUCUCUGUAUAAUGCAGGAGUUCUUUAGUAUCAGGAUCAGCUAUCAAUUCUCCAAAUUGGCUGGCUGCUUCUGCAGAAACCUGAAACGAAAAAGUGAUAUUCAUGAAUCCUUGAUCUUUACAUGUGUUUCCUUAGUGACAUCUAAAAAACCGAUCAGAGGAACGAACCUUAAUUACUAGCAUAGUUCCGAUACCACCAUAUCUUCGAUGUGCAUCUAUGAAAAGUAGCGAAGUUACAUCAAUGUAAGAAUAUGAAAACGAUGAAGCAGAUUUAAGAUCUGAAAGUGAGAUUACCGAGUAUGCCCUGAAGAGGGAAAGAACAGCAAACAUCACAGUUCAGGAGGAAAACAUGUGACUGUUCAAGAUAGGAUGAGAGAAAAAAAAAGGGAUAUGAAUCCAGGUAACAUAUAACUGAGUGAAGCAGGAACAAAAAUUGGGAAGGUCAUCAGAAUUCAAACCGGUUUUUCUUCCAUAAUUCUAUCACGAAAGUGAUAAAGAGCACCGGCUGAGCCAUGGGGCUUAUCUUCUUUUAAGUAUCUACAUAACAACAACACACAUAAGUCAAGAAGGUUUUACAUUAGACACCAAAAUCAAAAAACACAAGUGCUAUAACUUACCGCACUGGAAUUUUCAGCUCAUUAGAUAUCGAAGAGACAUACAAAGCGAAUUCUCUUUCCUCGUAAAAUCCAAUCAGAAAGAUCUGAGCCAGAUUUGAUAUCUGUCCAUGUCAAAUACGAAAAUCUGAUAUGAGGAAUCAACAGUAGAAGUUGAGAAAUUUUCCAAGUAUUCUUUCAGGCUUAACCCAUUAUCCACAACUCGAAUCUUACGAUACCACAUUGACAAUGCAGCUGUGCUGAGGUUUCCAAAAUUCUAAGAAACAAGGAGGUGCAACACAUGGACACAUUCAUGUCUCAGACUAUGAACUAAUUGCAAAUCUGAGCUUUUCAGUCUAUAUAAGAGCUAUUCACAAUUCCAAGAUUCUAACUUUAUGAACCCUUUACUAAACCAUCUAAAAUGCUGAGAACAAACGCUUGAUUCAUGGAUCAAAUAACAAAAAACAAACCUUUUUACAAGCAGAGAUAGGAUGAUGAAUCAUAGGUUGACCAGCCAAAGGAAUCAGUGGUUUCGGUGUAUUGAACGAUAAAGGACGAAACCGAGUUCCUAAAUCCAACCCACAUUAGCAAAUCCAAAAAUCAAAUUUUGAGAAAAAUAGAAUUCGAGAUCCACAAAAAGAAAAAUGUUACCUUUCGUCGGACCACCAACCAUGAUCACAGAGACGACUUUCUCCUCCGACAUGUCGAUUCAGAAACCUAGAUUCGUUUUUGUCUUCAAAGGUGGUAUCUUUGUAUUGUAGUCGUAUGCUCUCAGGUUUUAGAACUAAAGAAACAGAGAAAUGAGAUUGUGAUAGUCAAAAGAACGUCUCACGUCUUUAUUACUAUUCCCUUUUGUUUUAUUUAUUAAACCCAAAAGCCUAAAAACCCCAAAAACAGAGCAUUAAUACCGAAAAUUCCCAAAAUCUUCAUCCCUGUAAAGUUCAGUCCUUUCUUCAUAAUGGGUUCGUUGAGACGGUGAAGUCUCUGGAAGAUUUUGCUGGGGGAAGAAGUAAUUAGGGGUUUCAGAGUGAAAAGAUGGAAACUUUAGGUUCAUCUGAUUGCAAUUUAGAGAUUUUAGAAACUCUCUCAGAGGAUGCGAUUCAAGAGAUUACUGAAAGCUACGAUGGGUUUUUCACUACUGUGGAGUCUCUCAUUGCCGGCACAGGAGAUUCCUCAGUUGAAGAUGAGUUUGUGUCUCAUGUGUAUUGUCUCUGCAAGUACGGGCUUGAGUCUCUUGUUCGUGACCAUUUCCUCAGUUCACUCGAGGUAUAUUAGCUUGUACCUACUUAGGUAGCUGAGUAGAUUGGUGUAGAGUAACAGCUAUUGAUUUUUGUGGUGACAUUGGUUUUUGUUUCAGCAAGCUUUUGAGAAGGGAGGUGCAUCGAGUUUUUGGCAUCAUUUUGAUGCUUAUAGUGAGAAGAAACUUACUGUAAGAACGCUUGGGUGAUGCUUUGUUUGGUAUUGAAUAUUUUGAAAUUGACUUCUAGUUUUGACUAAAAAUGGACGCUUUUGGGCAGAAUUGUGGAGAGGAGAUUCAGGUUGUGUUAUGCAAGGCUUUGGAAGAGAUAUCUAUUGAAAAAAAGUAUCAUGAGAAGUGUCUGUCCAUGUUGGUUCAUGCUUUGCAGUCGUUUAAAGAACAGUCAUCAGAGGAUAGACAGAACUCAGAUACAGAGAGAGCUAAUCUUUUUGUGAGAUUCCAGUCAAUGUUGUCUUCAACUUUGAUGACUACUCUUCCUCAGCAUUUUCCUGGUAUGCCCAUCUUUAGUAGCUUGUUAUUUGAUUUGCAAUGUAGUUUGGAUCCAAACCAUUUAUCAGUUUUAGCAUCUGAUUUGAUUGUGUGGAAGCAGUUUUAGAUACAUUUCCGACUUGUUUUGACCAAGUUUAGUCAUUACCCUCAUAUUUUUCCUGUCUUUAUUAUAUUCUUAGAAAUACUCCACUGGUAUUUUAAGGAAAGGCUGGAAGAGUUAAGUGCAAUCAUGGAUGGAGAUGGUGAAGAGCGAGAGGAUGAUUGCAUGGAUUUGGACGAAAAGUUGAGAUAUAAAAAUGGAGAAAUGGAUGUUGAUGAAGGUUAUGCCCAAGGGAAACGUUUGGGACAUGACAAGUUGGUAAAGAACAUUGGGAAAGUGGUCCGUGAUCUUAGAAGCAUUGGCUUUACAUCUAUGGCUGAAAAUGCUUAUGCUUCUGCCAUCUUUUUGCUUCUUAAGGUAUUUUUAUGCAUCAGAGAUUUGUCUGCCUCACUGAGAGUUAUAACUUGGUAUAAGUAGUGAGUAUACAAAUAAUUUGUACUCUUUUUCGCAAUGCUAUACUGCAGGCGAAAGUCCAUGACCUGGCUGGUGAUGAUUACAGGACUUCUGUUUUGGAAUCAAUCAAAGAAUGGAUUCAGGUAGGUUUUGCUGGUGAGAUUCUCACUGCACCAUCAGAUUAGUUUGGUAAUUUUGAGAUUCCUGAUAUUCUAAUGUCUCUUUGCAGAUAGUCCCUCUACAAUUCCUUAAUGCACUUCUUUCUUAUCUUGGUGAUUCUGUAAGUUAUGGUUCUGCAUCUUCUGACCUCACGUCCCCUCUGGCUUGUUGUCCAUCUCCAAGCUUUUCCAGAGUGGUGACUCCUUCCGAAGGAAUUGUUAGAUGGAAAUUACGGCUAGAAUAUUUUGCGUAUGAGACACUGCAAGAUUUAAGGAUAGCCAAAUUAUUUGAGAUCAUUGUUGAUUAUCCUGAGAGGUAUUUUCUUUUGUGAUAGUACUUUUGUAUUUCCCCACAUAUCUCACUGAAGACUCAAUUCAAAUAUUGCAAAAAGUUGAAUUAUCUUGCAUUUCUGAUGGAAAUUUUGUUGAUGCAACAGUUCUCCUGCCAUUGAAGACUUAAAACAGUGUCUUGAAUAUACUGGGCAGCAUUCUAAGCUAGUUGAAUCUUUUAUUUCUUCGCUGAAAUAUCGUCUGCUCACUGCUGGUGCCUCAACCAAUGAUAUAUUGCAUCAGUAUGUAUCCACUAUCAAAGCCCUUAGAGCAAUAGACCCAGCUGGUGUAUUCCUGGAAGCAGUGGGUGAACCAAUUAGAGACUAUUUACGGGGGCGGAAAGACACCAUUAAAUGUAUUGUUACUAUGCUUACUGAUGGAAGUGGAGGGAAUGCAAAUGGUUCUGGAAACCCUGGGGAUAGUCUUCUUGAAGAAUUAAUGAGGGAUGAAGAAAACCAAGAGAAUGCCGGUUUUGACGAUGAUUUUCAUACUGAUGAUAAGCAAGCCUGGAUCAAUGCUUCCCGGUAUCCUUCCUGCUGUAUAUAUUCUUGAUUAUCAUCUUGCAUCGCAUUGGAUAUGUCUGACACAUUUCUAUGUGCUUUUUCCUCAGUUGGGAACCAGACCCUGUUGAGGCUGAUCCUUUAAAAGGUAGCCUUAGUCAGAGGAAGGUAGACAUACUUGGAAUGCUUGUUGAUAUAAUUGGAUCAAAAGAGCAAUUAGUAAAUGAAUAUCGUGUUAUGCUCGCGGAAAAGCUUCUUAACAAGACUGAUUAUGACAUCGACACUGAGAUACGCACUGUCGAACUUCUCAAGGCAAGCUCCAUUUUGACACUCUUAAGUUCGACUAUCUAAAUUAUUGGAUUCCUUCUAAGUGUUGAAUCUAACUUUACCUUCUCUUUUUAUGCCAAUAGAUACAUUUUGGAGAAGCCAGUAUGCAAAGAUGUGAGAUCAUGCUGAACGACUUAAUUGAUUCUAAGAGAGUCAACACCAACAUUAAAAAGGCAACUCAAGCAGGUUGUUAUAUUUCUAAAUUGUUGUAUUUUUUACUCGUGCAAGGUAGAUCCUUGUCUGAUUCUUUUACUAAGUAUAUGUGCCAUUGCUUGUGUUUAGGCGCCGAGUUAAAAGAGAAUGAGUUAUCUGUUGAUACUCUUACCUCGACAAUACUUUCAACAAACUUCUGGCCACCAAUUCAGGUAUUCAUAUGUUCUUCCCUCUGAUUUUUCAUCCAUCUGCUCAUACGUUAUAUACACACACAUGAGGCGUAUAGAUUAUUGUGAUCGCUUCCAUUUUCUGAAUCAAAAGAGGUAUUUCAGGAUGAACCUCUAGAGCUACCAGGACCUAUUGACAAACUGCUAUCAGAUUAUGCCAAUCGGUAUCAUGAAAUCAAGACCCCUCGUAAACUACUUUGGAAGAAAAAUCUUGGCACUGUCAAGGUACUUCUAGCAUAAAUACUUAAGUGAACGAUUUGUGUUUUGGAGUAUUGGGCUAAUCAGAUACUGACGUAUGUACCCUCUCUGAAAUGGCUUUAAUGGAUUCAGUUGGAGUUGCAAUUUGAAGACAGAGCUAUGCAGUUCACGGUCUCCCCCACACAUGCAGCCAUUAUAAUGCAAUUUCAAGAAAAGAAAAGGUUAGAUUUCAAGAAUCAGUCAAUACAUACAGAUAUAUCCUCUUCCAAAUGUUUACUGAAAUCACGUAAUCUUUCAGUUGGACCUCUAAAGAUCUUGCUGCAGCCAUUGGGAUACCCAUUGAUGCAUUAACCCGAAGAGUCAACUUCUGGAUAAGCAAGGUAUAUCAAUGUAAUUGUAGUCUCCUGCUUUAAACCACUUGUUUGGAGGAAAAGCUUAAUUGCAAGUUUCCUGCACUUAGGGAGUCCUGAGAGAAUCUACAGGAGCAAACUCGAAUUCCAAAGUGUUAACGCUCGUUGAAUCCAUAGCUGAUUCUGGAAAGAACGAAGGCGAGGAGCUUCUAACAGGCGAUGAGGAGAGUGAAACAUCGAUUGCUUCUGUGGAAGAUCAGCUUCGCAAAGAAAUGACGAUAUAUGAGGUAUGUAAAUAUUUAGGAAACCUUUCCAUUCUCCAGAAAAAAUAUAGAAUCUAAAAAUUUUUAACCAUGUUUCAGAAAUUCAUCAUGGGAAUGCUCACAAAUUUUGGUACCAUGGCACUAGAACGAAUCCAUAACACUCUCAAGGUACAAUCUCAUAUCAACAACCUCACUGAUUUAACAACAUUGUUGUUGUCUUGAUCAUUUGAUCAUUGCUCUGUCUUUUUUUUUUUUUGUUUCGUAGAUGUUUUGUGUUGCUGAUCCUUCUUAUGACAAGUCCCUGCAACAGCUUCAGAGUUUUCUUUCUGGUUUGGUUUCCGAAGAGAAACUAGAGUUUAGAGACGGAAUGUAUUUGCUAAAAAAGUAGAACAACUCUUUUCAUGUGUUAAGCUAGAACUAAUUCUUUUUGUCUUUAAUUUGUAUCAAGAUCCUUGUUCCUAAAAGAAUUAGUGCUAUGUAGUUGUUGUUACCUCAGGGAUAUGUAAUGAUAUAAAUAAGGGAUUUGAAGAAAUGAUGUUCAUUUUGGCUCGGUCAAUGAAAUAUGAUGUUAUAGAAACUAAGUCAAUGACAAGUUCAUAUUUGGAAUUGCCAUAUAGAAAAUUUGUGGUUUAUAUGGCCUAAAUUUGAAUGUUCGUGAAUUAAAUAAUAUUUUUUCGUAGUUAUUUCUAUAAUUUGUUUGUUAUAUAUAUAUAGUAAAAGAUAUGUAAUAUUUAUUAUUUUCAGUUUUUCCAAAAAAAAAAAAGUUUUUCAAAUCAUUAAAUAAUAGUUUACAUGAAUAAUUAAAAUUCUGUAAUCAAAUUACAAACCACAAAAUUACAUUAGUGAAUAUGAAGAAAAAAGAAAAUUGCAUAGAAAUGUUUUGAUUAAAAAAACAAAAAAGAAGAUAAGAGAGAUCCAAAGAGAUAAGAAUAAGUAUUAAAAACGUUCAAAAACCCCUCAUGUCUCUCGCCUCUCGGUGUGGCGUAUGACAUUUAAAGUUUCUUCCUUUCUUAAGUCAUCUUUUGUCAGUUUCGUUUCAAUCAUUACACACAAACAAAAAAAAGUAUGGAACUUCAUCAAGUACGUCUUCUAGCUAGGAUCUUCUUCUUCUUCAUCUUCUUGACAACUCUACAACAUUCUUGUUCUGCUCGGAUUCUUACAACAAUCUCCAAGCCUGAUAGACAUGACUACGCUGCUAGUGCUCGUUGGCUUGUCUCUCAGAACAUCUGGGGUGUUCUUAGGUAAGAUAAAUAUCGUCUCUUUAAGCUUGCCUUGUCUUGUUUCUCAAGUUCUUAGGGUGAAACAAGUAUUGGGGAAUUGAGCAGAUUGAAUCCAAUUCUUGAUAUAGAUUCUUGAUAAAGAUUGAAUCUUUUUGAAAUUGGAAUUGAUUAGGAAUGUAUUUUACACAUAAAGUUUGUAGCUUUAUAGUUGAUUGAUGAUUUAUAUAGAUGAGCGUUGUUGGGUUCUUGAGAUUUGUUAUGGGUUUGCUUCAUCAAGUUUUGAUCUUUUUGAAACUGGGAUUGAAUUUGGGGUUUUGAUAAAGUCAGUUGUGGCAAUCUUUGAUAUUAGUAUGAAGAAACGUUGUUCUGCUAUUGCUUUACUUCACUAAGUUUGAAUCUUGAUUGAUGAAUAUAUUGAUGAACCUUGUUUGGUUCUUGAGUGGAUUCACUUCAUUGAGCUUUUGAUGCUUUUGAAACUGAAAUUGAUUUGGGAUUUGACACAAAGUCAAGUACUACAGUUACCUUGUUGGAAGAGAUUGUUGGAAGAGUCUGUGUUGAUGAAUUGUUGCAAUCUUGUUAUCAUUAAGGUAUUGUGAGUGUAACAAUUCUGGAUUACUAAUUCCUUUUAGGUGAUUGUAUUCUUCUUGCAGCACACUAUCCAUUGACCAUGAAGGUGCUCCGUUCGGGUAAUCUUGUUUUCAAUGAUUUUAAUCACAAUAUUAUGAAAGUAGUCUAAGUCUUCUCCAAUAAUCGAUGUGCUUUUGUUAAAGUCAUCGGUAUAGCUUGACAUUACUGAAAUCUUGGUCUCUCGUUGCAGGAAUGUUGUAUCGUUUAGUGAUGGUUUACCGGAGAAAGGCAGCGGUAUACCUUACUUUUACUUAACAACUCUUGAUCCAACUGCAAGAAACGCACUAAAAGACCAGAGAGCUUCACUUGCAAUCAGUGAAUCUCCCAUUGGAACUUGUAAAAGUGAUCCAAUGAAUCCUACUUGCUCUAAACUAACCCUUACCGGAAAGGUACCAUACACAUGACUGCAAAAAAGUCGAAUUUUCUUACCAACAUAACAAAUCAAGCUUUAACAUAUGCUUUUGUCUUUAUUUUGUAAUCUCUCAGUUGCUGCUAUUGGAUGAAGGAUCUAAAGAAGCAGAAGUAGCCAAAAAGGCUUUAUUCACAAAGCAUCCAGAGAUGAUGGGUAAUCAAAUCUUUCUCUCAUCUCUAAGUUACAAACUGAUGAUAAUUGUAUGAUUAUCAUGUGAUGGUUAUAUCUGUUUUUUCUUUUUGCAGAUUGGCCUAAGGAUCAUGAUUUCCGCAUCUUCAAACUCGAAAUCACAAAUAUAUUCCUCAUAAACUGGUUUGGUGGAGCUAAACCUAUCACAGUAGAUGAAUACCUUCACGCUAAGUCGUAAGUAACAAUGCGUGAACCUUUUAAAAACAUCGGUAAUCUCUGAGAAACCGAAUCGAACUACGAAAUUUCGAAUUAUACUAUCUUUUUCUUUUCGCAUUUGAUCUCAUAGUUCUUCUAAACUGUUUUCAGGAUCAAAGUCAUUUCCUCCUUAUAAUAAAAACUUACCGGAAUAUAGCAAAUGGUGAAGCAAGAAAAGUUGUAUAUUAAUGUGUGUUUGUAAUUUGGUUACAAAAGAUAUAUCAAAAGCUUUGUAAAUUACCUCAUACACACCAAGUUCAAAGGUAUCCAAAUCUUCUGCUAUGGAAAAACGUUGGUAAAUGUACAUUUUGUAGUUCAUGAUUUAAGAAUUGGUGAUAAGGUUAUGACACAAAACUGAGAAAAACCGAACCAAAUCAUAAGCCAUGACAAUUGAGAGAUUUAAACCGAUGCUCGAAUUCCGGUUAUUUCUGAUUUUGAGGACAAACGCUUCAAGUAGUUUAUUCAAUUGAACCAAAUUGGAGUCCAACUGGUAAGCAAACCAGUAUAAUGCAAUUGAACCAAACUAAAUUCAUCAGCUCGAAACAAAACCAAACUCGGUUUAUCUCACUGAACCGAAAUCAAACUCGGUAUUUUUGUUUGUUAUCUGAACUUAAUUUAACCGAAACUUUAAUUGAAUCCACCAUAUAGAAAGAAAAAAAAAAACUCAAGCAUUAACCGAUUCGAUUAUCGAAUCCCGGUUAUUUCCGGUUUGAAGAUAAGCUUUGAGAGAGUCUCCUCUGUGUUGAGUGGCGAGCAUUGGUUUCUGGAAAUUGAACACAAAAAUAUCUGAAAAAAUUCGAUUUUUAAGCAGUUAAGCUGAUAUCUGAUAGAUACAAUCAUACAAAUCCACAAUUCAAGAACACUCGGCACUAAAACCUUCGUCGAUCUUCAAAUACCCAAAAACAAAAAGCUCCAUGAAUCUUCAAGCUGUUUCUUGUAGCUUCGGAUUCGUUUCGAGUCCACUUGGCGUCACUCCAAGAACUUCGUUUCGUCGCUUCGUAAUCCGAGCGAAAAGUAAGAGUCUUUCUUCAAUCCCUAGAUCUUUUGUUUCUUCGGAGUGAUUGAAUUCGAAGUUUCAAUCUUUUUUGCAGCGGAGCCGUCGGAGAAAUCUAUAGAGAUCAUGAGAAAAUUCUCCGAGCAAUAUGCUCGUCGCUCUGGGACUUACUUCUGUGUUGAUAAAGGUGUUACUUCUGUAGUCAUUAAGGUAUAACAUUUAUUGGGUUUCUUCUUGAUUUCUCAAUUCGUAGCUAAUUUUGUGUUGAAUCGAGUCUUUGUGAACGAUCUUGUGAUUGAGGUGGCUGAGUCUUUCUAUUUGUAUGUAAACAUGCUGAGAUUUAAUGCUUAAAUCUGUGAGUUUGUUUUGUGGGAGCAGGGUUUUGUUUUUCUUGAUUUCAAUUCUUAGCUAAUUUUGUGUUGAAUCGAGUGUUUGUGAAUGAUCUUGAGAUUGAGGUAGCUGAGUCGUUUUAUUUGUAGAGGAUGAGUUUAUAAAAGAGAUUGGAGUUAAUAUGUAUGUGAACAUGUUGAGAUUUAGUGUUAAGUGUGUGAAUUUGUGUUUUUGUGGGAGCAGGGGUUAGCUGAGCAUAAAGAUUCGUAUGGAGCACCGCUUUGUCCUUGCAGGUGAGCUUUUGAUUCUUAUGGGUGAUUGUUAUUUUAAGGGUAUUUGGAAUGUUUGUGAUGAUACAGUGGUGAGGAUUACGAAAGUUUGAGACUUUUGUUGUUGAUGCAGACAUUAUGAUGAUAAAGCUGCUGAGGUUGGACAGGGCUUUUGGAAUUGUCCUUGUGUUCCAAUGAGAGAGAGGUAAGGACUAAGGACUAUCUUCAUAUAUCUUCAUGUGGGCUGUAUUAGCAUUAUGUUUGUUUGUGUCUGUGUAUGUUAUGUGUUUAGAACUGAGCAUUUUAGGUUCUUUGGGAAGUAUUGAUCUGGUAUAUGCUAAAAGGUAUCGAUUUGUCUUGAACUUGGUUGUGGACCUUGUGGUUAUUAGAGGGAUAGUAUUUAUCAGCACACUUUCCAUAGAGGUUACAGAUGCUCCUUAGUUGAAUCAAGAUUGAUUUGCUAGGCAACCUGAAGUUGAUUCACUCUAGUAGUUUGCAACAAUUGCAAAACCUAUUAAGAAAAAAGACUUAUGCUCUCUUGUUAUCUCUUGGCCUAUGUGGUACACCACAAUUUAAGAUCCUUAGUGUUUUAAUUAGACUUGGCAUCGGUUAUCGAUUGAUUCUGAUAAUAAUUGUGUACCUUCUGUAUCAUUUGGUGAUCAGGAAGGAGUGCCAUUGUAUGCUUUUCUUAACUCCUGAUAACGAUUUCGCCGGAAAGGAUCAGGUUAAAUCUCAGAUCAAUAUGCUAUACCUAGAAUGCGGGUUUCAUUGAAUAUGGGAGAUCUAAUUCUUUGCUCUUCUUGGUUUUGUGCAGACGAUUACAUCAGAUGAAAUAAAAGAGACAACAGCUAACAUGUGAGAGAACUGGCUCUUGUGUUCUCGUCAUCCUCUGUUCUUUUAGGUUAAAAGAGAUAUAUCUUUCUCCAAAUGCAGUCUGUACAUUGAUACCCCGACCAUCUUCUUCCUUCUUGUGUACAACUAUUUCACUCUCAGAUAUAUACACUUCCGUAUUCGAUCUUUUUGUUUGCAAAACUAUUACAAGCAAUAUAAAAAGGAUCUAACUUUUACACGAAAGUCUUCAAAUAAGUUGUGUUGGCUUAAAAGCAUCUAAGCAAUGUGAAAAACAGCAAAAAAAGCACUUGAAACACUAAAACUCUUUAUAUCACAAUAUCACAAAAACUUGUCUUAGGUUUAAAGCAACAAUUUAAGAACCAACAAGCAUGCUUGAAAGGUAUUGGAGACGACGAAGCACCAAGAGGUUGAUACACUUGGGCCAAGGUCUUGGUUUCUAUAUGGUAGAUCUCGAAUACCCUUCUUAGCAUGGAGUGUCCUACUUGUAUCGUAUCUAUAAUCAUUAGGCUCGUCAAUUGUAUUAACAUAGAUACAAUUUUUCAGAACUCCAUCUUUGGCUGCAACAGUUAUUCCUAAACCCAAAAUCAGUGCUUCAUCCCCUAUAGAACUGGUUCUUAUCCAGUUUAAUGAUUCAAAGAUUCGAAACUUGUAAAUUCCACUGCACCACGGGAGAAAUCAAACAUUGUGACUCGAGUAUCACUAAGCAUGUAAAGCUUGCGUUCUCUAUACACCAUAUCAAUGCAUUCUUGAUACAUUAAAGGUUGAAUUAGUUUCCAGCUAGUGUUGUCAUCUCCUUUCUUGUAAUAUGCAAAAAAGCCAUCAAAGUUACAUAUGAAACUUUCCUUCGAGAAGCUUUGUCUUGGUCAUUAAGAGUCACCCAAAAUGUAGUAUCACUCAUUCUCACAAAAUCCAUAAAUGGACUCCAAAGACGGAAGAUGAAUCUUCUCUCGAGUAAACAGAUUCAAAAGGUGAAAAUCGUAUCUAUGGUCUUACAUAAGAAACCAACGACUCGUAGCCAUAUCAAACCCUAGAUCUCUUACAGUGUAAGAACUAUUGUCACGAGGAUCCAACAACUUACAUGAUGAUGAUGAAUCAUUGUUUUUGCUGUCUGGAUUUGGAAAGAGGAUGAUCCAUGGAGUUGUUACGCUAAUGCAAGAUUUAGAAGCGUAGUACCAAGAUUGAUAUUAUUAGGUCUAGGUUAAGUCUCGGACGAUGCUUUCAUGAAUCGUCGUUAUCGUUGCCUGUCUUUACUAAGGUAUCGUUCAUCUAGGGUUUGUGUUUGGCUUCUUCGAAUAAUCAGAGUUUCGUUACUGUAACUUGUUUUGUAAUAAUUGAGAUUAAUGCAGAUGAGAAAAUAACCGGAGUAAACCGGUGGUUGACUAGGUGAAAAAGAGAGGUGUUUUUUAUUUUGGGUUAGUCAAGUCUUGAGAUCUGUUUCAUGGGCUUAUAAUAUAAACCCAACUGAUAUCUUUGUGACUUAAAAGAAAUAUAAAGAUAGGUUUGAGAAGUUAACCUAACUCACAUUUGUAGAUCUAGAACAAUGACGAAUAUGAGCAAUCUUCCAAGAAAAAUAGCAGAAGAGAUCCUCUCAAGGGUUCCGGUGAAAUGUCUUAGAGCAGUUCGAUUAACUUGUAAAAAAUGGAACACUCUAUCCAAAGAUAUGAGAUUCAUAACGAAGCACGUUGAUCGAGCAAAACAAGAAGCAGCAAAGAAAAAGGAGUUUAUGCUGAUCAUGAUGAUAAAUUUUAGGGUUUAUUUGAUGCACGUCAAUGUCCACAACAACGUUGGACCAUGUAUGAGGUGUGAAGGUAAAUUUACUAGCCUAGAUGAAUUAGUUGAUAUAAAUAGAGUUUUCCUUAGUGAUGGUUUGUUGUUAAGCAUAAGCAAAGACUGCACCAAGCUCAUGGCUUGGAACCCUUAUAGCGGAAAGAGUCGUUGGAUCGAGUUUGAGUCUAGUCCUGACCUAAUGGAGAUAUAUAUGUAUGCUCUCGGAUAUGAGAAGAGCAACGAUUCAUGCAACAGUUACAAAAUCUUGAGGUUUGUUGAGAAUCGCAGUUGCUUCGAGUACAAAAUCUAUGACUUUAACUAUGAUUCUUGGAGGGUUCUUGAUAUCAGUCUAUAUGACAAGAUUUACAAGAUAGCUCAUCAUAAACGUGGCGUCUCUCUCAAGGGAAAUACAUAUUGGUUUGGUAAAUCAAGAUAUGGAUCAGAUGUUUUCCUAGUAUGUUUUGAUUUCACAAGCGAGAGCUUUGGGCCGCCUUUGUCUCUGCCAUUUGAAUAUUCUAGUGCUUCAAGUGUUUUGAGUUUAUCUAGAGUUAGAGAAGAGCAGCUUGCGGUUAUGCUUCUUCGAUUUGGCGAAUUCACGAUGGAUAUAUGGAUUACAACUAGGAUUGAGCCAAGCGCGGUUUCGUGGAACAGUGAAGUCUUCUUAGCAGUGAAUUUGAGACAAGUCCCUUUCAAUGGCAUUCGUUUUGAAGGUGCGAGUUUCUUCAUUGAUGAGGAGGAGAGCUUUGUAGUGGUUUUUGAUAACAACAGCAUAGCUUACAUUGUUGGAGUGGAUGGAACUAUCAAGAAAGAGUAUUUCAAAUUAUCUAAAAGACUUUGUUGUCCAAUUGCGUGCUCUUAUGUUCCAAGUUUAGUGCUUUAAUUAGUUGAUCCAUUUGAUAUUUUGUAAUCUUGGGAUAUGAGGAGUAUGUUAUAAGCUGAACUCAUUUUUUAAGAAUGAGAUAGAUUUCUCGUAUUUUUUAUACACUGAAAUUUGGGUUUAGGAUUUGGAAGAUCAACCAAACCAUUGGUGUGUGUACGUACGUAUACCUCGAUGCUUGUGGUCUUAAAGACGUGAUUAUACAAAAAAAAAAUAUAACAAGCCUUAUUGUUAUGCGUGACAUGGGACAAUACUGCUAGCCCCGUGGUUUAGAUCACUCGAUCGUACGUAUUUGGACCAAUCCAGGAAACACUUACCAAAGAGUCACAGAGAUUUGAUAGAUAUGCUCUCGGACACGACAACCAUUUGAACCGUAACCAAAAAAAUCUUAAGGUAUUGAUGUCACUACGACGACCUUAGUGAUAAGAACCCAAUGGUUAGAUAAACGUUAGACACGGGUAUGUUAUUGUCAAUUGUGUUAAUAUAUUUUUGGGAUAUUUAAUCUAUUUAGUAGCUAUAUAUUGAUAUAGUAUAAAACAUUAUUAUAAUGUUUUAUAUAUUUUUUUUAAAACAUAUUAUUAAUAUUUUUUUGUAUCAUUUAUGUUAUUUACAAGCAGAAAUUAAUAAGAAUACAAUCUUAUAUGAAUAAUGGUAAUUGAAAUAUUAUAUUUUACAUAUUAGACUGUUAGUGUUGGUAUUAUAUCUAACAAACCUAAAAAAAAAUCAGUUAAAUUAUUAUUAUUGCAAACAUUUUAUCUAGAGCACACUAUAUAUUUAGAAAAUAUUAUUUAAAAUAUACCUAAAUUAAUAAUAUUGAUUAUUCUACUGAUCAAUUUGGUUGAUAAAUAAAAAUAUAAUUAAUUAUCAUUUUGUUAAAGAAUAAUAUAAUUUAAAUUACUCUUUCUUUAUUUUUUAUAAUUAUCGUAAACAUGUAAACUUUAAAAAUAUAAAAUAAAUCCUUAUUUAAAAACUUUGUGAUAAGUAUUUCUCACAGUAAAAAUAUUAGAAACAAAGAUAAUCAAUAACAAAAGAGAAUUAUUACUUUUUUGGUGAAAUUGAAACCUAAAUCACAAAAACGAAGUUUAGAAUUAGCAAAAAAAAAAAACAAAAAAAACAAAAAAAACGUAAAUGGGUUUGAUAGACAUCAACUUCACUAGUCUUGCGAUCUGUUUUAUAAUUUCAUGGGCUUAUUAUACCCAAAUGAUAUUUUUUGUGCCUUAAAAGAAAAAAAGGAAGAUUGGUUCUAGAUGAUGUUAACCUAACUAAUAUGCGUUACUUGUUCGAGAUCUAGUAUCAAAUAAUAACGAGUAUGAGCAAUCUUCCAAGGGAAAUAUCAGAAGAGAUCCUCUCUAGGGUUCCAGUGAAAUCUCUUAGAGCAGUUCGAAUCACUUGCAAAACCUGGAACACUCUGUCCAAAGAUGUAACAUUCAUUACGAAGCACGUUGGUCGAGCCAAAGAAGAAGCAGCAAAGAAAAAGGAGAUCAUGGUGAUCAUGAUGAUGAAUUUUAGGGUUUAUUUGAUGCACAUCAACCUCCACAACGACGCUGAACCAUGUAUAAAGCGUGAAGGUAAAUUUAUUACCCUAGAUGAUUCAGAUCACGUCGAUCUAUAUAGAGUCUUCCACAGCGGUGGUUUAUUGUUAAGCAUCAGCAUAGACUCCACCAAACUCGUGGCUUGGAACCCUUAUAGCGGACAAAGUCGUUGGAUCAAGAUUGAGUCUAGUCCUGACCUAAUAGAGAUAUAUAAGUAUGCUCUUGGAUACGAGAAGAGCAACAACUCGUGCCACAACCACAACCACAAAAUCUUGAGGUUUGUUGAUUACCUUCUAGUUUCCGAGUACAAAAUCUAUGACUUUAACUCUGAUUCUUGGAGGGUUCUUGAUAUCACUCCAUAUAAAAAGAAUUAUAGUGUACCUAAUCUUAGAAAUGGCGUCUCUAUCAAGGGAAAUACAUAUUGGUAUGGUGAAUCAAGACCUAGAUCAGAUGUUUUCCUAGUCUGUUUUGAUUUCACAAGAGAGAGGUUUGGGUUGUCUUUGUCUCUGCCAUUUGAAUAUUUUUCCAAUGUUUCAAGUAUUGUGACUCUAUCUAGUAUUAGAGAAGAGCAGCUUGCGGUUAUGUUUAUACGAUAUGACACAUUCACGAUGGAGAUAUGGAUUACAAAUAUGAUUGAGCCAAGCGCGGUGUCUUGGAACAGUAAAGUCUUCUUAGCAGUGGAUUUGAGACUAGCCACUUUCUAUUGCUUUUGUUUUGAGGGAGCGAGUUUCUUCAUUGAUGAGGAGAAGAACUUUGCAGUGGUUCUGGAUAACAACAACGUAGCUUACAUUGUUGGAGUGGAUGGAACCUUGAGAAAAGAGCAUUUCAGAUUAUCUGAAGAACUUUGUGAUACACAUGCGUGCUCUUAUGUUCCAAGUUUAGUACAACUUUAGUUGAUUCAUUUUAUAAAACAACCUAUAAUCUUAUUUCUUGAAUAAGUUGAGAAGCUUUUAUUUGGAAUGAAUAGUUUUUAUUGUUUCUCUUCUGCUUUUCUUUUGGUGGAGCAACUAAGUAAGGGUUGUUUUGAUCUUCCAAAUCCUAUCUUUUGAUUAACGUAUAAAGAAACUACCUUUAAAAGUGUCAGCAAUGUAUGUCAUUCUUAAACAAUGAGUUCGGACUUAAAAACUAUUUAUCUAGUGGAGGUUUUGUGCUUCUGGCCAUGCUUGUAAAGAGUCAUCCUCUGAGGAUAUGUUGUUGCCUUGUUGGUAUGAUUUGUCUACUAGAAGAAUGGAAUUAAUCUUUCUUAUCACGAGGGUCUUCAUAAGAAACAUACCAAGCUUGGUCAUGCUAAAAUCAGACAACCACUUAGUACUUUGUAAUUAGAAAUCCCAUCAAAUCUACUACAAUUUACAAUCUAGAUAACACAACAUGUUUUUGAAUCAGAAGAAGUCUCCUACUUUAAAAUCACAAACUUGGUUAAAGAAAGUGGCUCAAUAAAACAUCUCCAUUUAUUUUGUUAAAAUAAUAUUGUACGAAAUAAAACAUUCUAAUUCCUUGCAUAACCACCAGUAACAGUGUCAUAUGGGUUCGAAGUCACUAUCUUCUGGACCACUAUAUUCUCCGAUGAGAAAUAAGAUCACAUACUAAAGCUCAAGCCAAGUACAUGGUAGUGUGGGAAGUUCUAGUAUCGUAUAGGAACAUACAGUGCAGUCAAUCUAUUUAGGAAAACAAUGAAAGUUUACCUUCUUCCUCCUCUUCAUAGUCCUCUCUAUUUACUACAUGUAGUCACGAGUACCAAAUCAUAGUCCUCUCUAUGUCCCAUUACAUGUUUAGUACUACAGUGCUUAAAUAUGAAUAAAGGCAUAUCAACUUAAAAAUAGGGGUCGUUAAGCACCAUUUUAAAUAGUUGUAACUUGUUUUGUAAUAAUUGAAUUCGAUGGAGAUGAGAAAAUAACCGGGAUAACCCGGUGUCAACAAUUUGAAAAGUUUGAAAAGUUUGAGAAAAUAACCGGGAUAACUUGUUUUAAAUAGAUAUUUUUCUAAUUUGAAAAGUUUUUCAAAAAUAUAUUUAAAAAUAAACGCUAACAAAAAAUAAUGUGUCUAUAUAUACAUAUAUUUUGAAAAUUUUACCUAAUUAUUAAUUUAUAAUAUCGAUGAGACUAUAUAUUUACAAAAGAUUUUCAAAAAAAAUAUUAUCUUAUUAUUUUAUAAAAAUAUGUCUAAAAUUACAUUGGUCUCAACUUGGGACCGGAGAAAUUUAUUAAUUUAUAAAGUGUAUUAAUUUAUCAAGUAUUAAUUUAUAGAGGUUACAUUGUAGGUGAAAAUUGAAAAGAGAUGUGGAUAUAAUUUUAGAGGUGAGUACUACACUGAUCUUAUAUAAUUUUUUGAGAAUUUUUGAGAAAUGCCCUUGUUGGUGUACCUUUUUUUUAAAAUACCCUAAUUUUUUUUUAAAUUAUUUUUUACCCUUUUUAUUAUUUUUUCAAAAAAACAGUUUUCCCUACAUCUUUCUUUAUUUUCUCUAACAUAUUUCUUUAGAAAUCUAAGAAAUUAUUCUUAUUCUUUAUUUUGGAUUAAAAUGUCUUUUUAUUAUGGUUAAUUUACUUUCAAGAAUUUAAGAUUGUUGUUAAUGAUAAAAAAAAAAUCUUUUAAUGUUUUCAAUGAAAUAUCCAAGAUGUGUGAAUGCACAGUUUUCUUUAAAUAUUUUGGAAAAAAUAGUAAUUUAUGAACAUAUAUAUAUAUAUAUAUAUAUAUGUAUAUAUAUGUCAAAUUAUUAGGUGACACACUGACACAUAACAAGCUAUUGUAUAAUGUUUUUUGAGGAACCCUUCUUUGUCAAGAUACCUAAUUGAUAUUUUUGUGCCCUUAAAAGAAAAAGGAAAAAAAAAGAUAUGUAGGGUUUGGAAGUUAACCUAAUUCAUGUGCGUGACUUCUUCAAGAUCUAGAGUAUAAACAAUGACGAGUAGUAUAUGCAAUCUUCCAAGAGAUUUGGCAGAAGAGAUCCUCUCUAGGGUUCCGGUGAAAUCUCUUAAAGCAGUACGAUUCACUUGCAAAAGGUGGAACACUCUAUCCAAAGAUGUGAGCUUCAUAAAGAAGUACGUUGGUCAAGCUAAAGAAGAAGCAGCAAAGAAAAAGGAGUUUAUGGUAAUCAAGCCGAUGGAUUUUAGGGUUUAUUUAUUGCACGUCACCCUCCACAACGACGAUAAGUCAUUUAUAAGGUGUGAAGCUAAAUUUACUAGCCAAGAUGAUUCAGAUCAAGUCGAUCUAUAUAGAGUCUUCCACAGUGAUGGUUUGUUGUUAAGCAUCAGCAAAGACUGCACCAAGCUUGUGGCCUGGAACCCUUAUAGCAGAAAUAGUCGUUGGAUCGAGUUUGAGUCUAGUCCCGACCUAAUGGACGUAUAUAUGUAUGCUUUCGGAUACGAGAAGAGCAACAACUCGUGCCACAACUACAAAAUCUUGCGGUUUGUUGAGGAUUAUUGUGGCUUCGAGUGUAAAAUUUAUGACUUUAACUCUGAUUCUUGGAGGGUUCUUGAUAUCACUCCAUAUGAGGAGAUUUAUAUAGAUUAUCAUAGACGUGGUGGCGUGUCUCUCAAGGGAAAUACAUAUUUGUUGUGUCAAUCAGUACUAAGCUCACAUGUUGACCUAGUCUGUUUUGAUUUCACAAGAAAGAAGUUUUGGCUGCCUUUGUCUCUGCCAUUUGAAUAUUCUAAUCUUCCAAGUGCUUUGACUCUUUCUAGUGUUAGAGAAGAGCAGCUUCCGGUUAUGCUUCUGCGAUUUGACACAUUCACGAUGGAGAUAUGGAUUACAACUAGGAUUGAGCCAAGCGCGGUGUCGUGGAACAGUAAAGUCUUCUUAGCAGUGAAUUUGAUACAACUCACUUUCUAUUACUUUUGUUUUGAGGGUACGAGUUUCUUCAUUGAUGAGGAGAAGAACUUUGCAGUGGUUUUCGAUAACAAGAAUGUAGCUUACAUUUUUGGAGUGGAUGGAACCUUGAAAAAAGAGCAUUUCGGAUUAUCUAAAAAACUUUGUUAUACACAUGCGUGCUCUUAUGUUCCAAGUUUAGUACAACUUUAGUUGAUCCAUUUUACAAUACCUAUAAUCUAGAAUAAUUCGAGAAUUAAGCUUUUUUACAAUGAUUAUUAUCCCAAACCAUUAGUGUACAAACGUCGAUGCUUGUGGUCUUCAAGGCUUGAUUAUACGAAAAACAAAUACAACAAGCCUUAUUGUUAUGCGUCACAUAGGACAACACUAGCUAGCUUCGUGGUUUAGAACUCGUACGCUUGUUUAUGUCAAAACUUAAAACUAUGUUGAUGACUUAGGUUGUAGUUAAAGUCUUGUUUUGGUAUUCCUUUUGGAUUAUAUGUCUUCUGCUCCGGAUAAGUAAUCGAAGAUGAAUGAUCUGUUAGAAAUACAAUUACUGGUAUUAGAACUCGUACGGAUUUGGACCAAUCCAGGUGGAUUUAUCCAAGAAACACUUAACAUAGAGAGACUAGAACUCGUACAAUUGCUCUCGGAUACGACAACCAUUUCAACUGUAACCACAAAAUCUUGAGACAUUUAUGUCACUACGAUCGACAACGUUUAUGAAUGAGUUUGGUCUUUAUUAUUUUAUAUAGUUAGAUAGACUAAUUAUUUUUAAUUCAUAGAAAAACAAGAUUUGUUCUUGUCUUCUUCUUUACAAGAGAAGAGACAAAAGGUCUCUUAACCUAUUUGGGAGUCUAAUAAUUACAACAGCCAUCAUCUAGCUGGGAGCUGGUACCAUAUCUUCCACCAGCAUCACCUCGAGGAGAACGCGAAUCUCCGAUCGUGAUCCCUAGUGACUGUAAAAAUCAUGAUCCAAUGAAUUUUAAAUCACAUUGGCUGGCUUAGUCUGAUAUGAACAAGAAGGAAAAAAGAAAGGAAGAAGAAGAACGACCUCGUUCGAUAAAUCAAAAUCGCCGUUCUGAAUUUUCUCGAGGAUAUUUUCAGCAGUCUUUAUGAAAGCCUGUUGGCCAUAUAUGCGAACAAGCGAUACUAAUAAGUAAUUAAGUAGGCAAAUAUGUAUAAAUAUAUCUUAGAUGUUUUGUAAAGAAGUAAUCACCUCGUCAACGUUUUGAGAUGUUCGUGCAGACGUUUCCAAAAACAAUAGACCAUGUUGUUUAGCAAACUCUUCUCCUUCCUCUUUGCUAAUAGCUCUCUUGCGAACAAGAUCGCAUUUGUUUCCAAUUAGAAUAAUACUCAUGUUUUGAGUCACUUGUUGCUGAACAUCUUCCAACCAACUUGCUACAUGUUUAAACGUCUCUCUUCUGCCAAUCAUCAAUUUUGUAAAAACAUUGAGUUUCAUUUUUCCAAAAGUACAUCGACAAUGUCAUAGCUAGCGAAGUAACUCUCAAAUGCGUUACUGUUAAGAAAACAUGUCAAAUUUCGACAAUAUCAUAGAUAGCGAAGUAAUCUCAAAUGCGUGACAGUUAAGAAAACAUGUCAAUUUUCGACGGAAUUUGCAAAAAAAUGUAUAUCUUAUUACUAAAAUUAACUCGAAUGUUACAUACGGACAUCAGCCUUAUUAUGUAAAUGUGCAAGCUACAAUAUAAUGUAUACAAGAAAAAAGAAUGUAUCUGAACCUGGUGAUGUCGUAAACAAGUAACGCGCCCACGGCUCUUCUAUAAAAUGAUCUUGUGAUGGAUCUAAAAGUCUCUUGUCCAGCCUAGCAAAACAUCAGAAACUUGUUUAAAUCAUAAACAACAACAAAUCCAACUUUUACCCUAAAAGCUACAAAGACCAAACAUAACAACAACUCUAACUAAUACUAUCUGUUUACAUAACCUUAAGAAACAGUUUGUUAAACACAAACAAAGAAUGGUUACUAGAUAUCAUCCAAAACUGAACCAAUAGUAUCGAGAUAAAGGCGAGACGCGAGAGCCGUACGUACGUACCGUGUCCCAAAUAUGAAAUUUUAUGGACCGACCAUCGACGGUGACCACUCUAUUACCAAACUCAGCACCAAUGGUAAGAUUGUGGACAGGUUUGAAUCUCUUGUCGGUAAAUUGAAGAAGCAGACACGUUUUUCCCACACCUGAACCACGAAAAUAGCUAGGUUAAACAAAGAAUAUAUACAUACUUGGAGAAGAAGGUAUAUGAUCGACCUGUGUCUCCGAUGAUUAGGUAUUUGAAUAGGUAAUCGUAUGACAUGGUUGAUCUAUUGGAAUUAGAUAUAAUAGGUGAUAAAGGUUUUGGAAGUUUUAAUCCUCAAUAUAUACUCCGUCUGUUCCAAACUAUAAGAGGUUUUAGCUAAAAGCACAAAAAUUAAGAAAAUUGUUUAAAGUAAAUAAAUAUCAUUUAAUUAUUAACUAAAAAUAAAAUUUAACCAAUUAUUAAAAUAAAAAUACUGCAGAAUUUAAAGAGUCAAAUUAGUGUCUUAUAUUAUGGAAAAUAGGGAAUAUAAAUUAGUGUCUAUAAGUAAAUAUGUGUCCAAGAUUUUUUUUUGAAUAAAAACAUUAAAUAUCUCACAAAAACAUAAUAUAUAUUUUAUCAUUAAAAAUAACAAAAAUAUAUUAAAUUUGGAAAAAUUUAGUUCUACAAAUCCUUUACUGGAAUUUUUGAGAGGUCACAUUGGUUUAAAAUAAAAUUUGGAAUUUAAAGCUAUGCGGAUAUGAUUGAAAUUUUAUCAAAGUAAGAAGAUAAAUUUGUGUGGGAUAUAUUGUAGUUUUAUUUACAAAAGUAUAAUAUAUUUGAUUUUGACUAGGUUAAUACUUGCAUAUAAAGCCUUUGAAGCUCUUACAUAUUGAUUCGAUCGAAUGGGCUGUGGAGUAUAUGGUUCUAAAAGUAAGGUGAAAACUUUCUUUGAGGAUGAUGAUGAUGCCUAGUUUUCUUUGUUUUACUGAAACGAUUUCAUCGGUCUAUUAAAUUGUUUUGUCUUUGGUGUAAACCCAAACAAGACAUGAGCGUGAUGGCAAAGAAGAUUGCGGCGAGUGACUGUGAUUGUGUUGUUACCUCUUUCGUUUGGUUGGAAAUGAAAAUUCUACAUCUAUGAAAAGGAAAAGUAUAAUUACUAAUCGACAAAGAUGCGCAAGACAGUUCCAACAUAUCAUAUUGAGUUUCAAAAGACAAGUGCCUUGAAACCAGACUUCUCAUUCUUUUGGAGGGGUCAAACACACCACUGCCCAACCAAAAACUACUCGGUAGAUCCUAGCUUUUCAAUUAAGAGUACACAUUUUAUUGAAUAAGAAUAAGAGCAUUAAGUUUCUUUUAACCUCUCUUGAGUAUCGGCUAUUUCUUGAAUCAAUGAUUUUCAAAUUUCGUUUUUUUGUUCAACUAGAUAACCUCUUUGUUCGAUCAUUCACGAAAAAUCAACAAGCACAAGCUGGUUCUAUCAUAGUUUGUAAAACAACUCCAAAAGAAAAAUUAGAUCAUUUCUCAGUUUAUACUAAUCUUCUCUGUAUUGUUCCAAUUUAUCAGAUUUUUGCAUAGGUGACAAUUUAUAAGUCUUAACGAUGUAUAAACCUUCAACUUACUUCCAAGGUUAUCAAUGUCGGACAAAAGAGAUAUUUGAACUUAAACUUAAAAGCUUAUAAGAGACAACACAAAGACAAAACAAGUUAACACAAUGACGUCAGAGUUUACGUAAGACCUUUGGACUGAUCAAGAAGCUCUCCUUUAAUCAGAAAAAAAAUCGUUAAAUCGUUAAAAAUCUCAAAUCCGCCAUGGAAACAAAACAGUAGUUCUUCUCAUCCAGACAUCCACCACCACUUCCGUUAGGGUUUAUGUUCCAAAUCCCAAAAUGUCCUCAUCAUGGACACUUGAAUCCGACCUAGAAGAUCUCGACCUCGACCUCCAAGAUUACAAACCAUCCGUACCCUUAAAGAAAACACCAAACGGCGACGUUUUCGAAGCCUCACGUGCCGGUGACGUCGAUAGACUCCGUUACCUUCUUGAAACCGGAGUUAACGUCAACGCACGUGACCGAUGGGACUCUGUUGCUCUCUACUACGCUUGUCUCGCUGGUCACAUAGAUGCUGCGAGAUUGCUUCUAGAGAACGGUGCGAUUUGCUCUGAACAUACUUUUGAUGGUGAUCGUUGUCACUAUGCGUCUCUUAAUUUGAGGAUUCGUAAGCUUCUUAAGGCUUUUGAAGCUCGUCCUCCUCCUCUUGGUCCUUUGCAAGGUUCACUUAGAGAAACGUUUUUGGGAUGUUGUCAUAAUCGAGAUUAUCUGAAACAAGCUUCUAUUGCUAAUCUUGAUGUUUCUGGUAUGGUUCUAAAAGCUCAUUAAAUUCUCUAUUUUGUGGCUAUGGACUUGAUUUGGGUGGUUUCAUGAUACUCACUGUCCAAUUGUUAUGAAAGUUGAGUUAUUUGAAUCCAGUAUUUAUGAAAGUUGAGUUCUUUGAAUCCAAUUGUUAUGAAAGUUGAGUUCUUUGAGUCCAAUUGUUAUGAAAAUUGAGUUCUUUGAAUCCAAUUGUUUUGAAAGUUGAGUUCUUUGAAUCCAAUUGUUUUGAAAGUUGAGUUCUUUGAAUCCAAUUGUUUUGAAAGUUGAGUUCUUUGAAUCCAAUUGUUUUGAAAGUUGAGUUCUUUGAAUCCAAUUGUUAUGAAAGUUGAGUUCUUUGAGUCCAAUUGUUAUGAAAAUUGAGUUCUUUGAAUCCAGUUGUUAUGAAAGUUUAGUUCUUUUGAAUUCAGUUUUUAUGGAAAAGUUGAGUUCUUUGAAUCCAAUUGUUAUGAAAGUUGAGUUCUUUGAAUCCAAUUUUUAUGAAAGUUGCGUUCUUUGAGUUCAGUUUUUUAUGGAAAAGUUGAGUUCUUGAACUAUUUUAAUAUGCAGAGAUGUUUACUGAGGUUUAGUUGAGUUUACCAUUUUAUUCAAAAUCCAAUUUUUAUAGAAGUUGAAGUCUUUGAAUCCAAAGUUUAGGAAAGUUGCGUUCUUGAAUAGUUUCAAUAUGUAAAGAUGUGAAAAUUGAGCUCUCGAUCUGUUUCAAUAUGCAGAGAUGUUUACUGAGGUUAGUUGAGUUUACCAUUUUACUCAAAAUACAAUUUUUAUAAAAGUUGAAGUUUUAAAUCGAAUGUUUAGGACAGUUGCGUUCUUGAAUCGUUUCAAUGUGUAGAGAUGUGUGCUGAGAUAGUUAGCUAGACUUGUAAUCUACUUUUUCUAGGAAAGUUGAGUUCUUGAAUCAGUCUUGUGUCUGUUGGUAUGUGGUGUAGAGACUGAAUUUUUGCAAUCUCAGUUUCAGUAGAUUCUCCGAGUGAGUUUGGUAGUUCCAAUUACUUCCCACCGGAUGUGAUGUUCUUUGUGCAAGGUAGACCUAUUGAAGCUCACAGGGUUAUCUUAAGUGCUCGGUCUCCGUUUUUCAAGCAAAAGUUUGAGAAUGAAUGGAAAGACCGGAGAGAAGUUCGAUUUUCGAAAGAGAAGCUUUCGUAUCCUGCUCUUUGUAGCCUUAUCCACUUCUUUUACUCAGAUAGGCUGGAGAUAUCGGUUGAUGAUAUGGAAGACCUUGUUAGGAUCUGCAAAGUUUGUAAAUGUGAAUCACUGCAGAAAAUUAUUGAGAAGGAACUGAUACACCAAAGAUAUGCUGAGUACAAAACGCAUAGAGAUCUUGAUAACUCCAUGAAACGGUUCAUCUUACAGGGCAUAUCACUUCCAGAGGAAGACAGGCUUCCGGCUUCUUUGCAUAGGAUUCUUCGAGUUUCCCUUGCAAAAUCGUUUGCUGGUGAUGCAAUUGAUUCAUCUGAUGGGAAUACAGGAGUCAGUGAUUCUGUGCAUAGUCUUGCUGAUGUUUGUGUUAAAGUUGAUAAAAGAACUUUCUAUUGCCAUCAAGUUAUUCUAGCUUCGAGAUCAGAGUACUUCAGAGCACGAUUAUCCCGCGUGAAUGAUUUCAAUGAGGGAAAAAAUGGCUUGCUGGGUGAUACACUUCCAUUUCUCGAAGAACAUGAUUUGAGCGCAGAGGCUUUUGAGAAGAUGAUUGAGUAUAUGUAAGCGUUUGAGAUUGUAAAAGACCUGAAAAAAUUGUUGAAAAACUUAUUGUUGGUAGGGUAAGCUAACAUGAUAAGCAUUAUCAGGUACACUGAUGGCUUGAAGGAGAUCAGUCCGAAUCAGGUAAAAACUUGUUGCCAUUUAGAAAUAUUUACGUCUUUCUCCCUUCUGAUAAUUCAAAUCACUUUGCAGGCUGAGGAGAUCUUUGAUGUUGCAUCUCGCUACUUGCUGUUUCCUCUUAAACGUGCUGUGGCUGACGCCUUGUUACCUCACUUGGAAACAGCCACACCUGCAGAACUCUGUCAGUGGCUGGUUUUGUCAGAUAUGUAUGAUUCUUUUUAACUAAAUCUUUUUUCUAUUUGAUGGCUUACGUUGCUGCAUUUGAUGGUCGAGCUGAGUAUGUGAAGGACUAUGGUACAAAAGUUACUACAUUAAAUUUUGGUAUCUAUAGGUCUAGAAUAUCUUUACUAUGGUACAGAAGCUAAAUUUGAUGACUUAGAGUGGAUUUGAGAAUGCAGUGCUAAAAUAUUUUCUGAUAUAUGAGCUGACAAGUUUAGUUUUGAACUUGAAUGGCAUAGGUACGGCGUAUUGAAGAUAAGAGAGUACUGCCUAGACUUGGUUGCUUGUAAUUUCGAGGCAUUUGUUGAAACCCGCGAGUUCAGGGCAAUGCUAUUAACAUUGCCUCCACCAUCAGGGGACUCUUCACUUCGAACCACAGUUCCAAGUGCACCAGGCGCCAUGAUGACCACAGACCAAGGGAAUCUCCUUGAUGAUCUAAGAGAGAAAUGGCUUGAAGCAGAGGCUUUAGAGCUUGACAUGAGAGACGAGAGUGCUUUGAUUUUUGACAAGCGCCUUGCAAUGCUCGUGGAAAUGGCAGAGCGAGAGAAAUCCCAGUCAGAAGCUGAGGACUACAAAGACACCAGCGCAUGAUUAUUGUUCCUUAAACCAAGUUUUGAGUCUCCUUUUUGCUCUUACUUCGUUCUCAUAAUUUUUAUAUGAAAGCUUUUUUAAAUCUUUCUCUCUAUACACAAACGAUCAAACAUGUUGUAGAUAUUCAUAAUAAAAAUUUAUUUCUAGUACAUGCACCAUCUGCUUCACUACCAAGGUGUAGUCUCUGAUUUGAUUAUUCAUUUAUAAAAAGGUCAGACUUGUUUUACAACAUCAUCAUCUGUUGACAAGUUGGAGAUCAAUUCUGUCACAGAGCUCACAUCAGUAUCAUCAGAGACAGAAGACUCAGUGUCUGAUUGUUGCUGAAGGCUCCAAUUCAUAAUGCUAGCAGCUAAUAUAAGCAUCAUUUUCUGAUUUACCUGUUUAUAUCAUUGUUCACAUACAAAAACAUUAGCCCGGAAAGCGCAAACAAAACAGUAAGAUGUGCACAGUGGAUAUGAAGUUAUAUAUCUACCUCUAAAAUAUCCUCAGGCAACAAGAAAAUUGAGCAUCCAAGCUUCCUUGCAACACUUAUGAUGUAUGUUGCAUUCAAAUUCCUUCCCUCUUCUGCUUAAAAAUGACAAUUACAAGACAAAUCUGUAAUGCUGAUAACACCAAAAACAGACAGAACAAUGUAACAUAGUAUUGUUAUUACCUGUUUCUCCUUUAGAUACUAGACUCCAGUUUACAACUCUAGGCUCUACAGCAGUCAAAAGCUCCAAAAAGAAGAGUCCAUUUGACAGAUUCUUGUCCUAACAGAGAAACCAUAAAAACUGUUAGGUUAAAUGAAGAUAGGUUAGGGUUAGUCUCCAUGGUUUUCACUCUUUUCUUUACCUUGAAGCUCACAGCUUGUGAGGUUCUACCCGAUUUCUUGACUUUCCGAUUCGCCCAGUUUAGAAUAUCUGCCUCUGUAAUAUCUUUACCUUGCCAGUGAGAUCUCAAGUUGUUCAAGAUUUGUAGCAUUGUGUGUCUCAUCAAUUGCCACAAAAACGCUGAUACAGAACACAAGACUAUCAUUAGAGUUUAAAUGAAACUACGACGUGAAACACACUUUUUCUGCAAGAGGGCUCACCUAGAAGGAGCUUUUUAUUUCCUUGCACAAUGUCAUUACCACUUAUAUUGACAAGCGAGAACUUCAACUCUUUCCCAAUCUUGAUAACUUGGUUGCAAUUCUCAACCUUUUUGAAUGGCAUUUUGAUGGGAGGCUUAUUCGCGUGUUUCCAGUUGACUGAGCCAGGUGCUACUUUUUCAAGAACUUCAAGAAGUACCCAUCUGGCAUAUGUCAUGAUGAGGAGAGUUUUAGAUUAUCAAGCCAGAUUUUAAAACCAAUGAAACAAAGAUUCCAAAUGCUCACCCAUUUCUAACAUCCUCGAAGACAUUAUCGACAUAAGUCACUGCGCCAAGACUGUUAAUCCAGAGGCGAAAGCAUCUUUCUUCUCGAGAAGUUUCUUCAUCUUCUGUGACCAUCUCAGUAACUGAGACAGGCAUCUUUGGACUCUCUUCAGACAAUCCAUUCCUGAAACAGAGGAUUUUUCAUGUUAGUUCAAGUAUAUAACACACUAAUAAACUCAUUCUUUAUUAGCAUUCCUCAUAGUGGCUGACCUGUGGUGAAACAAUUGUGCCACAAAUGCAAGAUUAAGAUUUGCAGAGCCUUCAACUAUAUCUUUAGGAGAAAGGAACUUUUUACAGUCAAGCUUUUCUGCUUGCUCAAGGACCUUCUUAGCUCUUUCUGAAGGGUCUUUGAUCUCUAAUGUCACAUGUGUGCUAUGUUCUGGGGCUAGAGCAUUUAACAGGUAUGCAUAUGCCUCUCCAUCCUGUUAAACACCAAACGAAAUCAUGAAGCGGAUACACGAAAGGAAGCAAAAGAAAAUAAAGCAUAGCAAAAACAAGUUAGUACCUUAACAUCAGAAGAGAAAUUGGUGACUUGUUUCUCAUAACCAGCUUUCUUAAGAUGAAAAUUCAUCCAUUUCAGCAAAAGCUUUUCAGGAGCUAGUCCCAUAAGCUCCUCCACAUCCUUCAAAUCCAUUCACAGAGAAGAUUAAAGUUUAUAGCUUCAGCCUCAAAGUUCUUAUAAAAUGUACAAGAUGUAUACUUUACCUGGUUUUCUUCAACCAACUCAACAAGUUGUGGAGUUUUCUUAAGAUUAAGAUCAGCUAACAAUUGUAUCUAAACAAAAAACACAAACAUUAGUAACCAUGUCUCAUCAUCUUGUGUAAAGUAAUGUAAAGUGAUUACCUUUAUAAUCUGAAAGAUCAAGCCAAGUACAAGAUGGGGCUACAAAGACAGAGGAGCAAGAAAAAAUUAGUAAACAGAAGAUGAAACUGAACACAAAAUGAUUUUAAAAAUACUUACUGUCCCUUCAGCAAUGUCCUGAGUACCAAUGUUGACGACGGUGCAGCCUAUCGCCUUUGCAGAGUUGAGACAGAGUGAAAGGUUUUCAGUUCUUUCCCAUGGAUUGAGCUCUUUCUUCGUGUUCAUCGCUCUUUCAUCUAUCGUCCCAGGCACAGCUAUGUUUAUUAGCUUACUGUACCAACCAAAAGCAACAAGGAAAUGAACCACAACCAUUUAACAAAUUCAAUGUUAUAAGAAUAGUUAGUAGAUUUCAAAUUGAGUGUAUACCACAAAAGAACACCAUCUUUAACAUGAUCAAACAAAGCAUUUGUACUAGCAUUGAUUGGAAGAUAUCUCUUCAAGAGAGGAUCUUCUCUCAAAUAGUUAUUGAUAUGUGACACAUAAGAAGCUUUCUCGGACUCAUUUAUCGCGUGGUGGAAAGUUGUAGUUCCUGUCUUGAGAAACGAGGAAGCGCCUUUUGAUCCUCGCGAUUGCACUUUUAAAAAGGCCUGUCACAAAAUCAUAUAAUAGACAACAUUGUUAUGACUUGCAAACAUAUGCAACUCUAGAGAUCAUAUCAUAUUAUCAAACUCACCCGGAGAAAGGUCUCAAACUCGACUUCCUUAGCGCGAUUCGGAUAAGACUCAUCCAAUAUAGUUUUGAUCUUUUUUUCAUCAAACUUGCCAUUGAAUUGUUUCAACUUUGCUAACACUGAUGGUAAAUGUUUCACCGUGACACGACCAAACAGAGUUUUCGUCGAAUAAAACUACGAAAUCAAGAACCCGAAAAAGAUCAAUAUAUCGAAUGCUACUACAAAGUGUAAAGUGAUAAAUCAAAGGAUGAUGUAUAGAAGAGAAGAGACCUUGGAUUUAAGAGUACGUAACUCCACUUGUGUGAAUUGGCUCUGUAGCCAUGGAUCAGAGACAAGAACACCAACGUAACUAGACAUAUCUCUUAUGAUUUCUUGAAGAGGCGGGAGAGAGUAAUCUUUACUUUGGUUUGAUCUGAAAUGGUGACUUAACUAUGGAGUUUUGUUGUUACAUUAGUGAUUUUGAUUCAAGAGGCGUUAUAUAGAAGAUUAAUUUCUAUAAGAUUGUAAAUAUCUAAAGAUUUAAUAUUUUUAUCUAAAUAAUGCAUAUUUCUAUUAAUUUCUGUAGAUUUUUUUAGUAGAACUUGACAAAUAAUCAAAAGUACCUUUUUCUUUCCUCAAAGAUUAGAGUAAAAAAAAAUCCAACAUUACCACAAAUUGGAACUUUUGUAUCAAACCCUUCCUAAUUAGGAACCCUUCUUAAACCACACACAAGAAGAAAAAAAAAACUCUUUACAGUUUUACACAAUUUUUAUAAUGUUAAAUUUUGGUGAUAAUAUUUAAAAAAACCAACCAUAAAAUUGGUAAUUAGAGCAUUUCUCAAUCUUUAAGUUUACACAUUAUCAAGAAAACAAAAUUUGGUUAUUUGGUUUAAAUAUUUUGAUACACUGUAUUUGAUAUUACAAAUGUGUUGUCUGAAAUGAACUAUAUAUUAGCCUAUUAGGUAUAUGAUAUCUCAAUCACCACACGACACAUGAGCCACAAAUAUGCAUUUUAUGAAUCUGUCCAUUUAAAAACUCUCGGAAAUAGCAUUAAGCUGAUAAGAGUGUUCAGGUCCGGUCUAAGUGGGUUAGGAUAUAGAAGAGUGCUGGCCUAAAGGCCCAUCACUUACAAUAGAUCACAAUCUAUAACGACAUGAUGAGCCAAUGAAAAAUGCAGAGUUCCAUCAAGUCUUAGUGAGGAGAUCUUGUAAAGUAUAUAUCAGAAAACACCAUUGGCUUGAAUGGUACUCGACUAUUUUUUUGUGGUUAUAAUUUUUGAAAAUGUGAUCCCGCGGAAUAGAUACCAUUCAAAUUACAGAAAAUAUAUUGAUCGAUAAAACUUAAAAAACUAACUUUCGGAAAUUUGAUAAAAGAAGAAUUAUAACUCGACUUUUCUUAGGUUUUCAAUUUUGAAAAUGUGAUCACGCGUAAAAAUUUUAAUUUAUCAUUAGCGUUUUAAAAUUAUAUCUAAAAUUAAAGAAAUUUCGUUCGUCUACUAAAAAGUUGUUUUUUAGCUUUUCUAUGAUAAAAGAAAAUCUAUUUUCAGAUUAAGGAUUUUGUGGAUUUAUUGAUUCCUCUUACUAUUUAUAGUAAUUACUCCGUUGUUCAUUGUUAAUCUGGUAUUACCAGUCAAGCUCAAUAUAUGUAUGUGAUUAUUUGGUUCUAGCUAGUGUCUAUAAGUCUUAGUUUAUAUAUAUAUGCAACAAUGUCUGUGUGUUCUCUUAUAAUUUGCUAAAACAGCUAAGGUGGUACGAUAAUCAAACAAGUUGUAGGUGUCUUGAACAAACUUAGAUGUGAGACAGAACUUUUGGUUGCUAAACCAAAUUCGUAAAAUAAGAAAUGUAUGAUCAAAAGCUUGGAAGAAGAUCAGGUUCAUAUAAAUAUGUAAAACCAAAAACUCCACAAGUAAACAAUCAUUAAUAAAAAAAUUUGUCAAUGUGCUUUUGCAUCAUGCGUAUUGUUGUAAUGCAUGCAUGUACAACUUUCUUCUGCAUGUAUGAAGAAGAUGUCAGAAAAAACAAAUUGAUGAGAAAUAGAUUAGGUCAAAAGAGAUGAAAAGCGACUAUGUCAAAAUUGGUUUUGUAAGUAUAGUACACAACAUUUUUUUCCUUUUUUCUAAGAAUAUAAAUAUUUUGCUAAAAUUCAAAACAGUUAAGGUUUAUAAUAGAUAAAAGAUUACGUAACUAUAUAUAAAUGGUUUCAUGGCAAAAAAAACGUCAAAAUAUGAAAUCAAAAUCGCGAUCCAUCCACUCAACCAAACAACAUGAUGGAAAAGGUUAGAUUAACGCGAUGACGAUUUCGUUGUUCUUACGUUAAUACGAAAAAUCUUGCAUAUUAUGUAUUUUAUAAAAUCAUUGCACGUUCGAAGUUUGGAACCUAAAUUUUUUUCGUGUAACACAUUACUCAUCUACUUAUUUUCCCAUCAGAAAAUUCAACUAUAAGAUUUCUUUUGAUCUUACAAAUUAGGACUGGCCUAAUUUGUUUUGUUUUGGUCACACCUAACUAGGACUGGCCUACAAAGUGGUGGAUGAUUAGAGGCGGCUGUAAGAAGAUACGAUACCGUUUUAAUGAUGCACGAUUAGCUGUCUUGUCCCCAGGGUGAAGUAUGGGUUAAUGAUUAAAAGUGUUUUUGUUUGUGGUUUGGAUGAUAUAUUGUAUAGUAUCAUAUUCUUACCUACGUGGUCAUGACCUUCAACAACUUCCACUGGUGAAAAAACUAGUCUUACUUAGCUUGUCCGGCCAAGAAAACAACAUUAUCUAUAACAAGAAUGCUCAAGCUGUUCAUAUAUACUUGGACGGUGAGAUAAUAUUUAUGUUUUCGUGGCAAUGCAUGAACGUUAUACGAGGUCAAUAUUUGCAUUAUCUGAAAUUCUGAAUUGAGACAUGGUCAAGGAAAAUUCAUUUCUGUCUUUGUUCAAUAUUCCAAAAAAAAAAACAAAAAAAAAUCAUUUCUGACUUUUGAAAAAAAAGUAGUACCAUUUUUUUUUUAAAGAUGGUUGCGAUUAUAUUUUUUUACGAUUAUAUUUUAGCUGUAGUACUGUAUUUUAACUGACAAGAAAAAUUGAAUCAAGAACUUAACUACAUUGAAUUUUUGGUUGAUAUAAAAUUUUUGAAAAGCUUUAACAAAGAAAACAAAAAUAAAAAGGUAAUACCAUUUUUUUUUAUAAAGAUCGUUGCGAUUAUAUUUUACGAUUAUAUUUGAGCCAAAAUACUGUAUUUUUAACUGAUUAAAAAAAAAAUCAAUAACUGACUAUCAUUAAAAUUUUGGUUGAUAUUAACAGUUUUCGAAGACUGGAAAAUCAAAGCUAAUUGAAUUUUUGUUGGAAAUUUCCCAAAUAUUAAAUGCGUUUAAAUUGAGAAAACCAACAAUACAAAAACACUCGGAAAGUAAAAUGUCAUCAAAUAGAUGGAUACUAAAAGAGUUUAUCCCAACUGCAACUUUGGGAUUGGCUUGGGUGCAUCUCCUAAUAUUUUGGAUGUUACUAAGUGAGCUAAAUAUCAAAGUUAUAAUCAUUCAUAACCUAUAAGGCUAUAACCAAAAUCGAAAGGUCAUUUUAUUAUAUGACUGAAUAGUAUUUUUUUUUAUGUGUUGGCUUAUAACUUAAUAUAAACUUCAUGAUGGGUCAGUUAUGUAAUAGUAUUAUGUCCAAACAAACUAUAUAUGUUAUCUGGAAAUUGCUUGCCAAUUUUGUCGGUGAGAACAAAAAUUUCAGACAUAUAUAAUGGGUGUUAAAUCGAUAUCAAAUGUAUCAAAAUGAGUUAUGCCUAACAAUUAACAAUUAACAAAUAAUAUUUUAAGAAAGUAGUUAAAUCAUUUUUUGACUCACGCAAACCAAAUUUUAUUUUAUUUGGAUGAAUUUACUUAAUUUAUGUUAUUUAAUUGUUAUAGGAUGAAUGAAUGUCUAAUGUAACUCAAAUAAAUUACUAAUUUUAUUUUAGUUUCCAUCACACACGCAUAUAUAUAUAGAGAGAGGUAUUUGCAUGGAUUUGAUAUAUCACCAAUAAACUAAUGAAAAAAUAGUUAGCCGUUGCCAAUUAUUAAUCUUUUGUAAUUAUGGUUUGUUAUACUGUCAGAAUAGUUUCAAAGUUGGAUAAGGUGGUGGUUCAGUACAAAGAAAAAAAAAUGGUUAGUUGAUUAAUUUUAAAAAUUUAACAUAUUUUUGGUCAUGCAAUAUCAUGAUAAAAAUAAUUUAUUAAAGAAAAACUAAUGUAUUGUCAAAACAAAAUGAUUGUGAGUAAAGUGGCCAAAUGAUUUUCGAUUGGAUCAGUUUUAGAGGAUUUUUCAGGUAAUUUUACCAACUAUUACAUUCAUUUUAAGAUUAGUUACGCAGAAUCAAUUUUUUUCACCUAAUAUUUCAUUUGCUACAUCAGCUCAGGAGGUUAAUCUUCAGCUGAGAAUGACGACUCAUGGGAUUGGUAUAUUUUUGCAAUGUUUGAAGAAGAUCAAAUCCGAUAAAACGGAUUUAGUUUUUUUGUGUCUGAUCGUGAUUCUUCAAUUGAAACCAUGCUCUCAACAAAUUAUCGAUAUGCUUAUCAUAAAAUUUUCACUUUCCAUUUGCAAAAAAGACCUGGAACGUGUUCCCCUUUUUUAACUUGUUUACAAGAUCUUAAGAGCUACCAAAACACAAGAAAUUGAUUAUUUAUUCACUCAAAGCUUCAAUGGUGACCAGAAACUUGCAAAUGAUCUUUGGGAAGCAGAUUUUAGAAAAUGGUCAUAUGCUUAUUCUCCUUCUAACAUGUACAACAUCGUAAUAUCAAACUUAGCUGAAUCUAUUAACUCUUCGUUGAAAAAGAUUCGCGAACAUUCAAUCGUUUGCAUAUUUGAGACAAUUAGAUAUAUUUUGACUAGAUAGUUUAAUGAGCGAUGCGAGGAGAGUUUUCAAUGUUACUCUAAAUGAAAGCCUUUUAUGAUGAUUCUACUCAUUGGCUUGAAAUUUGUCGAGUAAAUCAGUCUUUAUUUUGAAGUUUUUUUUUUUGGUAGGAUCUCUAUUUUGAAGUUAAAUAAGAUCUAAAGACGCAUGUGGUGAAUUUGUGCACAUGAUGUGUGUUUGAUAUUACUAAAACAUCAUAUAUAUAUAUAUAUAUAUAAAAUAUAUAUAUACAUGAAUUCAAUUAUGAACAAAUACACAAAGCAUAAAGAAGUACAUAAUAAUAAUAAUAAUAAUAAUAAUAAUAAUGAUAAUAAUAAUAAUAANNNNNNNNNNNNNNNNNNNNNNNNNNNNNNNNNNNNNNNNNNNNNNNNNNNNNNNNNNNNNNNNNNNNNNNNNNNNNNNNNNNNNNNNNNNNNNNNNNNNUUAUUAUUAUUAUUAUUAUUAUUAUUAUUAUUAUUAUUAUUAUUAUUAUUAUUAUUAUAAGAAAAAAAAGAAGUACAAAAUAUUGAGAGAUAUGAACCCAGUUAUGAAUAAAGCUUGCAAAAUUAAACACGUUAUAUAAUUUGUAUGAAAUAAAGCUUGUACCAUAAGGUUGGUGAUGAGUCAAAAUUUAGAGAAGAAGACAAAUUAAAUAUAUAUGUGCAAAAGCCAAUGGGGUGAUUAGGAAAUCUCACCAUACAUAUACUCCAAUUUGCUUUCUAAGUUUCUUCCACAUCUCUGUUUUACUUUUACUUACAAUUCACGAAUUAUAAGAAAUUAUUUGCAAUUCAGAAUUGAAAAAAAAGUGUUCAGAUCAAAGAGUUCUACUUAAUUUUAUUUAUACAAAUUUUCAACUAAACGUAACAAUUCCUUAAAAGUAUCUCCAAGUAAUUGUUUAUAUUACAAUACAAGUUAAUUAAUAGGGAUGUUCACGCGCACCUUGUGAAAAAUAUUAAUAUAGUACUACACUAUUACAUUUCUAUAUAAUAUAUGCAAAAUAAAAUAUAACCACAUUUAUUAAAUGAACAUAUAGUAAAUAAAAACAAAUCCAAAAUUUUGGAAUUACAUUAAUUAAUUGUAAACUACAAUCUUGUAAUUUAGUAAAUAUGUGCUAUUAUUAGUUGAUAUGUCACUACCCAAACUUAAAUUACGUUUAACCAUUACAAAAAAUCCGCGGUUAACUACUCGAAAACGUUUAGUAAAAAAAUAAUUAUUUUUAACCGAUAUAUUAAUCGCAAAAAACAUUUAUAAUUUCAUAAAUUGAGUUUACACCAACCAAAAAUUUUAUGUGGAAGGAAAACACCAAAAUGAAUAAUACAACCAUUAGGCUAUAAAUCAUGUCAAGAAAAAAGAAAACAAUUUAUUAUAAAUUGUUGAAAAAAUGUAUUUAUAUAUUAAACAAGUAAUAAAACAACAAUAAAUGAUAAACAUAGAAAAAAAACACAACACUUAUGAUUGAGAGAGACACUAAAAUCAUAUAAGGUAAAAAGAUUAUGAAUAAAAACAAGAUUUAUGAUAUGUUUUUGUGUAAAGAGCAAAAACCACACGACACAAUACAACCCCGAGCCAGAACGGUGCUGCAACAACACCGCAUAGUUUUUACACAGCCUGUCUUUAAAAAACCUUCCUCUUUAAUAUUUAUAUACUCUCUUCUUCCUUUCUUUAAAUACCCUUCUUCUCUUCUUCUUCUUCUUCUGCGAGCUCUCUCUUCUUAAAGAAACACAAAGACUUUCACAUUCUUACACCAUUAUUUGCUCUCUCUGCUCAGGUCAGCUUUUUCUCCCUCUCUCUCUUCUACUUUCUUGGUACUUACAACAAUGUCAUUGAACUACUACUAUGUACACUUGUUGUCUUAAGUUUUAUGUUCUUGUCUGAUCCAAUCCAGAUCUAGUUUGUGUCUUGGGUCUUGUGAACUCUUAGCUUCUUUAUUGUCUUUAUGUCAUUGUGUCGGUUUGUUAUUCUUAUUUUCUAGUUUAAGCCUCAGUUUGUUAGUAAUGUUGAAGAAACAGUUUCAAGAUCUGAAUUGACUAACACUUAAAGAACUCAAUUCGAUUUAGUAUGAUCAAGCAGAUCCGGAUCUGAGACUUUGUUCAUUCAUUUGCUGUGUUUUCAUGAGUUCUUGAUAAAGAUUCGAUCUUUUGUUCCUUCACUUGCUUUGUAUUCAUGGGUUCUUGAUAAAGAUUUGCUUUCUUGAAAAUGCAGUGGGAGAGUCAAGAAACAAUGGCAAAGAUGCAAUUCUCAAUCUUUAUAGCUGUCUUUGCGGUUAUUGUGUGCUCUGCAUCUGCUAAAACUGCAAGCCCUCCAGCUCCAAUGCUACCACCGACACCAGCUCCAGCACCAGCUCCAGAGAAUGUGAAUCUCACAGAGCUUUUAAGUGUAGCUGGACCGUUCCACACAUUCCUUGACUACCUUCUCUCAACUGGAGUCAUUGAGACUUUCCAAAACCAAGCUAACAACACCGAGGAAGGUGUUACAAUCUUUGUCCCAAAAGAUGAUGCUUUCAAGGCUCAGAAGAAUCCUCCUUUGUCCAAUCUCACAAAGGAUCAACUCAAGCAGCUUCUUCUCUUCCACGCUUUGCCUCAUUACUACUCGCUUUCCGAAUUCAAGAACUUGAGCCAGUCUGGUCCAGUGAGUACUUUUGCUGGUGGCCAAUACUCCUUGAAGUUCACAGAUGUUUCUGGCACGGUUCGAAUCGAUUCUUUAUGGACCAGGACUAAAGUUAGCAGCAGUGUUUUCUCAACAGACCCUGUUGCUGUUUACCAAGUGAACCGUGUGCUUCUACCAGAAGCAAUCUUUGGUACUGAUGUCCCUCCAAUGCCAGCUCCAGCUCCUGCUCCUAUCGUCAGUGCUCCUUCUGAUUCGCCUUCGGCUGCUGAUUCUGAUGAAGCCAAUGCUAAAUCACCAAAGUCCGCGAAAAAGAACUCUGGACAAAAGCUGGCUCUUGCUCCAGUCGCUAUGGUUGUUUCAGGUUUGGUGGCAAUGUUCUUGUGAUCAAAUAUGGUUUUUGCAGAUUGAGUAUGUUUUAAGUUACAGUGUCAAAGAUUUGUAUUACAUCAUUCCAAUUGUCUUUUGAUUCUUGAAACCCAUUUUUUAUUAUACAUUUUUAAAAAUCAUUAUUAUUGUCGUCAUUACCAUUGUUGUGAAUUGAAAUUGUUCCUACAUUUUUACUUUUCUUUAGUUGGUUUUGCUUCAUUUGCAAGUUAAGAUGAUACAAAGGGAGUUAAAGUUCAUUCUCUUUGAUAUAAGUUCAAGAUAAGUCACAAAAGCUAUAUACUUUUUUUUGUAAUCCCUUUAGUUACAAUGGGAUGCUUUUGUUGGAAUCAUUUACAUAUGUGUUCCCUUUAAACCGAGAAAAACCGAUUCGAUAGUCGUUAAUGUAUGCUGAACCGAACCAAACCGUUACCAAAAUCUUAAAUUAAUUUUGUCAAACGGUUUGCUAAACUCUUAAAUAUCGGUAUCGAGAACCAAAUUUUUUGGUUGAUCGGUUCGGUUUGGUCGAUUUGACCGUAUGCCAAAGAUUAGGUUUAUGAGAUAAAAUUAAUACUCUUUCCGUUUUUAUUACUUGUCGUUCUAGUUUAAUUCACACAUAUUAAGAAAACGAUUAAAACUACGAGUAAAUACAAAACAACAAUUAAUAUGAAACAAAAUUUUAACUCUAAAACGACAAAAUUAAAAAAAUGGAAGGAGUAGUGAUUCUUUACUCUGGUAAGUAAAAUUUUCUUAAUUUGGUUAUAUACCUAACACCAACUCUAGUAAAGUAUACUCAAAUCAUUUUCUUAACUUUGGUUGCAAUACCUAACUAACUCUUGUAUGUUAAAAUCAGGACAGGUCAACCAUUAGAUCGAGUCAUUUGUCAGAAAAUGAAACAAAAAACGUAGAUCAGAUCCCCAGAGACAAAACACAAAAAGUCAUCUGAGUAUGAUGAAUUAAAUAAAUAAAACUUUGUACCAUUUUGUUUUAACUAUUUAUUAGUUUAUUACUAUCACGAACGCAUAUGUAUAUACGAUUCUUUUUUCAGCCACAUGCAAAUUUAGUAAUUUACUAUAUAUGUUAUCUAUAAUAUUUACUAUGUUAAUAUGAUAUUUAUAUUUUAGACUAUACAAUAAUUUUUAAUCAUAGAUAAUUAUUUUAUUUUCACGAAGUUAUCAUAUAACUAACGUUUUUAAAGAAUUUUUAUCAUAAUUUUUUUUUAAAAAUAAUUAGAAAAUGAUAUUAUCAAAAAAUAAUAUUUUCCACAAUGUAAAUGAUAUAGACAAAAACAAUUUAUUAUGAUUGAGUUACAUACAUAUAUAAAAAGGGGAAUUUACAUUUCAUAGACUCAGUUGACCGAUUAAUUAAGAAUCUAACAACUAAAUUCAAUAUUUACCUCUCUCUUUUUCCAUACGUUUCUACCCCUAUCUCUCACUCUAAAAGCCUAAGUUUAUUGCUUUGGCAAAAGAAUAUUAAAGAGUCUUUAUUUUGAUUUUUUUAGAAACUAAAAAAACAAUAUACGAUGAUACAAAGCAUACGACAUUUUUUUGGCUAUGGUCAAGAGUCCCAAUGGAUUUUUUGAGUAGCAAGAUGAUAUUUACAAACAACGGAGUUAAAAUUUGUUUUGAUUUACUUGUUUAUGAUUGUGUGUGUUGUGUUGGUGUGAAAUUGAUCCAUGGAUAGAAUGGAAAAGCGGUGAGUUCUCAAUUUUAUUGUACAGAGCAAGGUUGUUUUGGUUUUGACGAAGACAAAAUAAGCCAAAGAGUGAAUUUAGUUAACAUGUAUCAACAUAAUUAUCCAUAUUUAUAAUUAUCUAUCUAUUAUAAGUUAUUUGAUAAAGUUAUAGUUAUUUUUGUUAAUCAUAUAUUACCGGUAUAAACUAUAAGUUACUUGAUAAACACAUAAUAAUGUAGUUAAAUUAUUUAUUAUAUAUUCACAUGCAUCCCUAAAAGAAAUAAAAUUAUUUACAAAUCAGGAUAAAAUUAUCAUUUUAUAUAUAUAAAAGGAAUAAAAUUAUGUAGUUUUUCUCUUUAUUUUAAAUAGAGAAAGGUGCUUUUCAAAAUUCAAACUAAUAAAACUUAAAAUAGGGUAGUUUUCAAAAAAAUUGAUUUGAGAUGCUAAAUCAAUUUUGCUUCUGAUGUGUUUUACAAACAAAUAUUUAUUAGGAGAAUCAAAUAUGAAAGUUCCUAAAAUAUAGGGUCUCAUUUUGUAAAAUCCACCCAACUCUAUAGAAACGUCAAACGUGAAUUACAAAGUGUUUUCCUCUGUUUUAUUAUUUCUCUCAAACUCUUCUCUGCUAAGGAACAAUAAAUAUAAUAUCUAAAUGUGUUGAAUAGAUCAUUUCUCUUAUAACUUCUCGUCGUUUUCAUAAAACUCUCAAAUUUUCCCGAGAUUUUUUUCCUUUCUCGAUCGAUUCAACUCCUAAAGGUUGAACCUUUUUCUUGUGGGUUGUGUAAAGUUUCCACCUUUCGUCUUCCUCAAUCGUUUCUCUCUGAUCUGUGAGAAUGGGGCAACAGCAAUCAAAAGGGGAAUUGCUGUAUCAGCAAGUGAGCUAUGGUAACGCUGAAGGGAUUCGAACUCUUCGUCGAGAUGGUGCAGACCUUGAGGUUUCAAUUUGGUUUUUCUUAAUCGAAAAAUUAGGGCUUUUGCAGGGAUACAAUCGUGUGUUCUGGUGAUUUUGAUUUUGAGAUUGUGUGUGUUUUGGGGAUUGCAGUGGAUGGAUAGAGAAGGGAAGACUCCAUUGAUUCUGGCUUGUAUGAACUCGGAGCUUUUUGAUGUUGCUAAAACUUUGAUCGAGUUGGGUUCUAAUGUUAAUGCUUAUCGCCCUGGUAUGUUAAAAAUCUUAGCUUUUUGAUUGAACUUGUUGGUUUGUAGUUGUAUAUGUAAUAGUGGAGCUUGAGUAGCUGAGUCAAACCUAAGUUAGGAUGUCGGUGGCAUUGUGAUAGUCAUUGAGAUGUAGCUUUGUCUAGUUGCAGCUAGUGAAUGCAUUUGGAGUUUGAGACCUUGCUAGAGAUUGUGGUUUGUUCGAAACGAUGCUGGAUCGUAGAUGCUUACAGUUAGAAAGAAGGUUUUAGUUUUAAAGUGUGUUUGAGCUAAUGUGCUCAUUUUGCUUUAGGUCGCCAUGCCGGGACUCCUCUGCACCAUGCUGCAAAAAGAGGUCUAGAGACCACUGUUAAGCUACUCCUUUCGCACGGUGGUAAGUGUUUAUCCUUCCUCUCCUGGAAUUUGAUUGAUGUGAGUUAUAUAUUAAGUUAUGGUGUCUUUAUCUCAUAUGGUGUAUCCCAUUUUCUUGCAGCAAAUCCGCUUGUUCUCAAUGAUGAUUGUCAGACACCACUUGAGGUUGCUAGAGUUAAAGGGUUCAGCAAUGUCGUACGUGCAAUUGAGGUAUGCUUGAAACCUGUUUGAUUAUUCUUUGGUGGCUGACAUUUGAAAUAUACGAUUACCUUUGUGGAUUAAUAGUCUUUUAAAUUUUGGAUUCUGUAGAGUCACAUCUGCUUGUUCUCUGGCUGGAUGCGUGAAUUUUACGGCCCUACCUUUCUUGACUUAUUUGCUCCGCAGCUUCUUUCAAGAAGAGUGUGAGCAUCCAUCCAUUGAACUUCACCUUUAUCUUUCUUUCCUUUUUGUCAUGGAAAACUCGUUUCUUAUCACUGAAUUAUGAGGAAAUUUCUCUUGUGCACAUGGAUAUGAAUCUUCUUUAAACCUUGAUUUGCAGAUGGGUAGUCAUCGUACCUACUGGUUCAAGAAACCCUGGAAAACCUUUCAAGUUGGAGCUGGUUGUAUAUGCUAGUCUGCAGGUAUAAUCAUCAUUACAUAAUGACGUGUUACUUUCAAUGUUUUCAAGUUGCAUAUUUGGCUAAUCUGUCUAUAAAACUGGUCUGACGUAAUCAGGAUGCACAGCCACGCACAGUGAUGCCUUUGUGGAAAGCAAACUUGGAAGAACCAAAGACAAAGCAUUCCGAUACUUCAGUGAUGAUUGUUGACAACUCUUCAAGUAAUUUUCCAGGAACUUUUAUAUGCUGUUGACAUGCAACCUCUAGUUUUGUGGAUGUUGAUUGAAUUUUAUUCUGGUGGAUAGUCCCAAGCCGCAGGAAGAAGAAACGAAGGGCCUGCGCCUCCCACGGGAGACGUGGGCCUCAAGUAGUUAGGCGUAAGUCUACACUGUUUGGUUGCUGAAAACUGUCCUUAGUUUGUAUCAGAAUAUUUUGACCUCCAUGUUUUGAUUUGCCAAGAAAGUAUCUUAAUCGAUGUCUGUUUUAUAUGUUCUUGCAUUAUAAAUUUAUUUAUUCAGUGAAGCAGAAACAUGUAAUCUUGUCUAUUUUUUCUUACAGAAACACGGCUUAAACUCGCACCUUCGACUGAAGGUGACACACAACAGCUGAAGUGGUUCUGUGAUGCAUGUAAAGGGAUUCCACAGGUAAUGUCAAAUAUAACAUCUAUUGGAUAUAUUGAGAUUUCUUGUUUCAUUUCUUCUUUAUUUGGUUCUACAUAUUGAAACUCGCUUGGAAUAUACAUAUACAGCCGAUGCAUCCUCCGGCCUUUCUCCAAACAGCACCAUCUGCUCCACCACCACCAUUAGAAGAUGAACUAGCCAUGGCAAUGAACGCUUCACUUCAUACUAGUAUGAGUGACCCAUCAAAUCUCAGUCACCAUUCCAACAGCCAAGCAAGUUCCUCAUCCGGUGCAAGCUCAUCAACCGCACCUCCUCCUCCCUCAGGAAAAGCAAGCGCCUUUGAUCACAAUACCCAUGGAAUUGCCAUUGUCCAAGAAUCUUCACCAUCAGCUCCUCCAUUGACAGAUGAUGAUAUAUCAACUGUAGCCGAAGGUCCGAUUAUUUACCCAUCGAUCGAUUCAACACCCGUCGAUGUCCCAUCUGCUUCUUCCCUUCCAGCUUCAACAGAUGGUGGAAGGAAAGAUGAUGGGAGCACUGGAACUUGUGCGAUAUGUCUGGACGCUCCAUCUGAAGCGGUUUGUGUCCCGUGUGGACAUGUUGCAGGAUGCAUGUCUUGCUUGAAUGAGAUCAAAUCCAAGAAAUGGGGAUGCCCGGUCUGUCGCGCCAAGAUUGAUCAGGUUAUUAAGUUGUACCGUGUCUAAAAUAGACAGGUACAAACUCCAUGAAAUCGUCUCUAUCCUUCAACAUCUGUGCUGUUAACGUUUUCAACCAUUGAAACUAUCUCUAUUACACAACCAAAACCAAUACCUCAUUUCUCAUAAACAAUAUGUAUACAUUUUGAAACCUCCAAAAACAGUCCCUAUGUUCUGUAUAUAUGGUUUUGGACGCAAGGAAGAAUGUAAAGAGUGUUAAUGUAUCAUGUUCCUAUCUUGUUUUCUCAGAUUUGUAUCUAUGAGCUCAGUAACUUCAUAAAGCGAUACGUGGCUCAAUUGAAAAAGGUGGCUUGUACAAUCUAAUGUUGUAUAGAAACUAAUGUUAGGAUAAUUAAGAAAAUAUAUGUGGUACAUAAAGAAGAUAACCUUUGAACCAACAAGAAACAGAGGAACACAAUAAUGGCCUCUCGUUUCUUCACACCUUCACCAACCACCACAAGUGGUGGUGGAGACGCCGUCUAUGUAGCGGCGGUGCCACUUAAAGCGGCUCCUGGCCCGCCCCAGCUUGUUAUGUCAAUGGCUUACUCACUUAAUCUCUGGAAGCUACAGCAUUUCAUGGUCCUCAUCAAGCCUUCUUCUCCAAUUCCUCGAGAGGUUUGUUUCUAUGUAACUUUAUCACUAAAAGGCUUCAAUGAGUCAUGUUACAUGAUGAACUUAUCCUGUUCUCUGGAAUCUUUAGGUGAUUGUGUUUGAUUUCCAGCCACGUAAUCCAGAGAGCAUAGAAGCAGCAAUCUCAGUUAUGUCAGGAAGUUUGAUUCCAGGUUCUGAUUCCCAGACAAUGAUAUCUGUGAUUCAGACAAGUUUUCUCCGGAUUUCAACGAAUCUUUUAUGAACAUGGAAGUGUUUAGUGUAGAUAAAACUUUUUUUUAAAAGUGAAAAAGAGUAGGGGAAUCUUGUAAAUGUAGUCAAGAUUCUUACCAAAACUCUUUUUGGUUUGUUAGGUGUAGUUCUUGAAAGAAGGUUGAAGAAUGUUCCAAGGCAAAGAUGUUGGAUGGUUGGAUCAUCAUCUAAAGGGAAUGCUAUGGAAAUGGCUAUUGAGUUUAAUAGCUCAUGGGAGACUGAUCUUAGAGUUGGCUUUCAUGACUGUCGACAUUAUACCAAUGGUACUAUGUAUUAUUACAUAGCUCAAUCUAAUAAGACUUUGGUUUUUUUAUUUGUUUCUAAGUCUUUGUCUUUGCUUAUUUGUCUUUGGAAAACAGAACUUGUCCAACAUCUUACUGGAGAGAUACAAAUCUUGGAGAGACUCUCAAGAAGCUAAUAUGUUAAUAGUAUAGUCUCAUCAAUUCCUGAUGUGAUAACUAGUAGUUGAAAAUAAAGUUACAUUUGUAGUAUGUUUAUUAGUGAGAAAGGAUGAGUACUUUUGUAUAAAAUUUAUUUUUUCAAGUAACUAUUGAAAUUUUCUUAAUCCAAACUAGAAAGUAAUGCAAAUGAGCUCAUGACUCAUAACUUAUGGAAUUCAAAACAUAGAAGUACUCAUAAAAGAGGGGAUUCUGGUUUCGGUUCGGUUUUGGUUUUCGGUUUACCGGUUUGAUUAAAAGAACCAUAAUAAUUGUAAUUUGAUUGGUUUUUGGUUUAUUGGUUUCAUAAUAACUAAAAGUAUUUAUAAAGAAAACCACAAGUGAUUUGGUAUGAUUUGGUGUCGGAUUUUGUUUUUCAUGAUGAUUUGGUAUGAUUUGGUGUCGGAUUUUGUUUUUCAUGAAGAACAUUACCCUUAAUGAAUAUCUUUUUCAAUCUGCACCGACCAAGCGAUUGAAAUAGAGCAAAUAAUCAAAGACUAUCUCAUGUAUGUUUAGCACCACACUUCACAUAUAUAAUUGAAAUUUAGAACAUAUAUACAUCAUUAAGGAAUUGUCAAGAAAUGCUAAAGAGGUAUAUAUUGAUCAUCUUUAUAAACAAAUAAAAAACUUUUGUGAUACAAUACAUUGUAUAUAUUGAUCAAUGUUACCUAAUAAUAAAAUUAUAUAUAUAUAUAUAUAUAAUGAAACCUCUACAAAUUAAUAACUUAAGACUAUUAUAUUUUUAUUAAUAUAUAGAGAUAUAAACUUAUUGAUUUAUAAUUUGAACAAAAAACUCAAUUUUAAACCAAAAAAGAAUAUUAUUUUUGUAAAUCGAGUAUUAAUUUAUAGAGGCUAUAAAAUAUAACCGAAAACUAUAUAUAAUAAUAUAUAAUUUAAAAUUCUUUUUAACCGAAAACCGUUUCUUCUCUGAGUCAAUUUCAAUUGUUUCGUUAUUUGUGUUUAGAGAAAUUUCCUAAGAUUACAUCAUUUUUUUAGUUUUUCUUCCAAAAAUACCACAAAAAUUUUAUUUUUCCAAAAAUACCAUAAACAUAAAAAGUUGAUUUUUAAAGGUAUAAAAUUAGUUUAUUUAAUGUUUGAGUUGACUAUUUAUAUUUAGGGUAUAGUUUUUAGAGGUAAGCUUUAGUGUUUAGGAUUUUUUCAUAGCAACAUAAACAUUCUUCUGCUGCGACCAACACAAAGGUCAUAUUAGAAUAUUUGAACAAAAUAAAGGAGUCUAGGAGAUAGUCAUGAGAAAGAAAGAAAAAACAAUAAAGGAGAUUAGUCCGAUAGCUCUUCUCCAAGGCAUGGAAAUGCAUUUUCGAUGUCUUGGGACAUACCAAACAUCACUUUGUGAGAAUCCAAAAGCUGAAGAUGCAACUUUUUGUGAGCCCUUAGGUUGACUGUAACAACUAAAUUAUCUUCCAUCUCUAUCCUCACAUAUUCGGUAGAUGCUACUACAGCCUCACACAAUUGAUGGAGAUUGUGCACCGUUUGUCCGUUAACGCAAUUUACCUCCAAAUCAUCCAAUAAAGUAUAUCCCUUGUUAAUACUACUUUCCAAAACCUGAGAAAUCACAACUCCUCCAUUGAUACCUUCAGUGAAAACUAGUCCAGCUAGAAUUAAGUAGCUUGGAGCAGGAUAAUCCGAUAUUGUAUACCAAUUAUGCAUUGGAACCAAUUCCACAUUGAUGUUGUUGACUUCUCUGUUUCUCAAAAAUUUGAAAGAUACUUGUUCAAAGUGUUUCUUCAAAGCUAUAUAGCCAUUCAAAUGUAUCCAAAAUUUUUCUCAAAGAAAACUUGUCCAUCAUUUUGUACUACCAGCCCAUCAAUUUCAAGAAUCACAUCGUCCUCUUCCAAAUAUUGGAGAUUUGGUGAAAGCUCAUUGUUGGUGCAUGGUUUAGCACCAACAUCAUACCGCAUUUAACCGGACUGGGAUUUCAUAAUUGAACCGGUUUAAGCUCUUACUAAAUGUGGGCCUUCGGGAAAUCCCACCAGGUCGCCGACGUAACUUAGGCAACAAGUUCCCAGUUUAAUUAGGAAAUAUUAAUUCCUAUAUUCAUGGGAUUAGCGUAUCUUGUAAUUAGUAUAAAUAGGGGGUUGUCCUAUAUUAAGAGAUCUCGAAACAUUAAUACAAAAACCAUAUUCUCUAAUUUCAAAACCCUAGUUCGUUCUUCAAGUUCUUCAAGCAACCUAAUCUUUUUCUCCAUCGAAUAUGUUCAAAUAAACCGAUCAGAUCCCUUGUGCGAAUUUUUGUUUCCACACUCACUAACCCAUGUGACUAGAACGCCAGUCAUUUUCUUUUUCAUCUUAAAAUAGGCCCGCCUCAUGGGGUUUUCCAUAGCUUGUAAAGAAAUACCAAGUGAACCAAACCCUCUAUCAUCUCCUCUCUCUACACUAGCUAAGAAAAUCUCAAUUAUGGGAGAUGGAAUUACAUAUCUGCAAAACAUAACUUAAUUAGUAAAUGCAUUGAAAGGAAGGAGGAAAUUAUUGUUUACGAUUUAUAAAUUAGUUUUGAAUGUUAAAAAUUUUAGUUUUAGUUUUGUGGUAUUUUUGCAAAAAAAUGUAUAGUUAGUAGUAUUUUUGGAAAACAAAACUUGUAAUGAUAUUUUUGGAAAAUAUACCUAUUUUCAUGGUAUUUAAAAGAAUUCUCCUUAUUUUUAACGUUUUAUCUAUUAUACUUGUACGAUUUUUUUAGCCGUAAAUUUCGAUAUUUUUGUUAAUUUUAGCUUUUCUAUAUAUAUAUCCGCAGUCCUAACUUGAAAAAUAGUACAAAAUACUUUACACAACCCUAAAAAAUGGUCGAAUUUUCGAUAUAUCUAAUUUUCGGAUCAAAUCAAAUCUUGGAUAUUUGGUAGAUCAUUCAAACCAUCACCACUCGAACAUAGGACCACCGGGACGAGCACUCUUCAACUAGUCUUUUAUUUCUAUGUGUAAAAUCACCUUUCAAAACCUAAAAAAUACAAUAUCCCACUCAGUUUUUGUUUCUUGUACAUUUCUCUUUAAGAUAAUACCCAAGUUUAAAAUAAGACCCCAUCAUCUCUGUUAAUCAUGGGGUCACUUCCUAAAGCGAACCUCCCAAGUUUCUAUCUCCCCACUAUUUGCCUUUUCAUUUCUUUCCUAAAACUUUUCUAGUCAAAAAAAAAAAAAAAACCCAUGAUAAACUUAAGCACUACGACUACUAGAUAGAUAACAAUUAACAAAUAAACAAAAAGGAAUUUUUAUUUUCUUCCCAAUUGGCCACUUGCACUUUUUUCACCCAAUAUAUACCUCUAAGUAACCUCUCUUCUCUUUCGUCAAAAAAACUCACUUCCCCUCCUCUCUAAACUACCAAAACCUAAAGAGAAAAAAAUCAAGAAGCUAUCAAGAACUUCAAAAACAUGCUCAAGAUGUUGUCAGUAUUAAGGCGAAAAAGCCCGCGUGUCGCGGACGAAAGCGCGAUGGCGCCUUCCACGGUUAACGAGGGUGAUCAUCAAGAGGGAAGUGUGAUGAUGAAGUUCCCGUUUUCUUCGAUCAUGUCAUGUUUUGCGGUUCCACGAGUUAGCAAGACAGAUGGUGUUUGGGUGUCGGGAGAUUAUGGUAAGGUCACGUCGGAGGUUAACCAUCUCAUGGUUUGUGAUGGCAUGAGAUACGCUCUCUUGAUGUAAUUAUUUAGUUUUAUAUAUCUCUCAACUUAAUAUUAGCUACUAGUGUAAUACACAUUUGUUUUUGUGUUGAUGGCUUUUUUGUUUUAAUUAGGGUAUUUAGUGAAGAUUAUACAAAAGUCUUUUCACUUUUUUUUUUUUCGUUUCUUUUGUGUCCAUGAUGAGACUUGAAGUUAGGAAUAUUUAACUUUUUCUUUUUUGUACACAUCUGUCUUUUGAUAUUGCAAUAUGCUAGUGGUUAAUUAGAAAACUACCCACAUACACAACUUGGAGAUUCUUGAAUUUGAUAAUGACUGAUGAGUUAAUUGAUUUAUUAUGUCCACAUAGUAUUAUUAUUAAUUAGGGAAUUGUCAUCCACCAAAUAAAUGAUAGUGAUUAAUAUUGUCAAAAAAAAAAAUGGAAUAUAUAAUCCAUUAAUCAAGAAAAUACAAGUUGGGAUAAGCAACUUUUACUUAUGGUUGAUAUAACUUUACGUUAAGGUUUGGUAGUGGUGGUGAGGUUACUGGUUAGUAUUAAUAUUACAUGAUUUCACAAUUACGUUUUCCUAAUUAGAGAUUAAUAUAAGAUAUGUUAUAAUAAAAACUGAUGUGAUAUGACUGACUUGGCUGACCAUAUAUAUAUUAUUAGUCUAGUAUUUUGUUUAAACACCAAACCAAUGUUGUGUCAUAACCCCAUAUAUAAAUUUUAAAACGUGCAACUACAAUUUUAUUAGAUAAAUGAUCUCUAAUACCACAUUUAACUUUUUUGUUUUCAAAAAGAACCAAUCUUUCUUUUCUUUCCAAAAAUACGACAGAAAUUUUUUAUUUUUCUAAAAAUACUAAAAAUAUAUAAAAAUGAAUUUUGAAGAUAUAUAUAUAUAUAUAUAUAUAUAUAGAUUUUAAGUUUGAGUUGACUAUUUUAUACUAACGAUAUAGACUUUUGGGGUAGAAUUUAGUUUUUACGAUUUUAAAUUAGUUGUUAAAAAUAUAGUUUUAGUUUUUUGGAAAAAAUCUCUAUGGUAUUUUUGGAAUAUAAAACAUAAUGAUAUUUUUGGAAAAAUACAUAUUUAAGUGAUAAUUUGAAACAAUUCUCCAUUUUAUUAUAACAUAAAUGACACAAUGUAUAUUAAGCUCUAGUUAUGAAGUCAUUCUCCAUUUCGAUUUAUAUAUAAUGAAUUCAAUAAGAUAUGAUUAGAGAAUUGGUCAAAAUUUUAGUUUAGGUAACGCGUAGAGUACAAUGUGGGAAAAAACUCAUGUCCACGUUUAGUGCGACACAGCAAGAACCAACCCUUUUUAUAAUAAUCAUUGGCAUGGCCACUGCCCAAAUUUAAUUUAUAAAACAAAAUAGCAUUGUUGUGUUGUGUUAUGUCGACUAAUAAAAUUUAGGAUUAGGAUGUUUUCUUAGUGCGGUUUGCUCUAUGAAUCAUCCCAUCAUUGCGAUUGACGUUUUGGUAAAAUUUUUGUCUCUUAAAAUGAUUGGUGAAUUUAUUAGAAUCUAGAUUGUGCUCGAAGAAGCCCUUGGUGUCGAAUUUUCUACUAAUGAACCAAGACUUUUUAUUUUCUUUCGUUUCAUAGAUAAUUAUUAAAGUUAAAACUACUUAUAUAUUCGUGUAGAUUAUGAUAAGACAUGCAUACCACAAAUGAUAUAAUAAGAUAUGUAAUAACCUCAUAUUUCGUAGUGGCUAAUGGGGAACCUAAUCAUGAUAUGUAGACAAUAACAACGUUAUCUUUUGUUGCUAACAAAACCAGUCCAUGUUUUAAGUUGUAAACCACUUAUUCUUCUAAUUAGUGUAUGUUCCACAAAAAAUUAUAUAGAUGAUCUAGUUAAUUAUUUUUGAAUUGGUAUCCUUUAACAUAAGUUGCCUAAGGAAUUCAACAUGACACAUAAAGAAAAUGGGCAUUUCUUAUAUAACUGAUGAAUGUGGUCAUAUAUAUAAGUUAUAAUUUUUUGCUAAAUCGUGGGUUGAACCGAAAGAUUUGUUCCUAUAUGUCAUGAUAUCUAUGUUUGGGUUGACUAUUUGAACUUUUGAGGUAAACGAAGUCUUCAUGGUAGUCUAAAUUCACUAUAAAAACUUUAAAUUUUAAGAUGCACAGCUCAUUGAUCCAAUAAACAAGACCUUGAUUGUUUAGAGUCUUCACGAGAUUGUUAGGUAAACAAAAUAGUAGACUAAUAUAAAAAUUCAACUCUCGACUAUUGCCAGGUUGGUUUAGGCUUGAUUUUUUUCUUUAUGGAUCUUUAAAAAUGUGGAUUAAGAUCAAGUGCUAAUAUCUCAACUGGUAAAGAUCUCUGGCAAAAGCUUAGAGGUCGUCGGUUCGAGUAGCGGUUGAGACAAGAUCAUAUAACAUGUUUUGGUUUCAGGGAUGAGUGAAUGUAUGAAUUUCGGCCCAGAAGUGGAUUAAACGUUCCAUUGCAAAAGACUGAAAGAGAAGUAUAUAAUCUUAAAAAUUAUAACUUUUUACUUAUUUUUCACAAAAGAAGUUUUGUUAAUUAUUUCGUAGAACUAGAACCGAAGACAAAGAGUGGUUUGAUUAAGCAUACGAAAAAUAGUCAGUGUCAACAUAUAUAUUUCAUGGGUUAUAAAAAAACAAAUCAAUUAAACAGAACCCAGUGAUAACAUAAAAGUCUUGUAAGUUGGUACGUUCCAUAAAGCCCAAACUAUAUAAAAACUAUAUUUUUUAACCUAAUUUGCUCUCUUGUAGCAUUGAGAAGAAGUAAACGAGAAAACUUGCAUAAGAAGUAAAAAAUCCAGAGGUUUGGUCAGCUACAGCUACGACUUCAUCUCGUUAAAUCAAUCAAUGUCGCCGCUACCGGAAAUUAAGAAGAAGAAGAAGCCAUCUUCGACGCCCCAAUCAACCCUGAAAACAGCGUCACUACUUCCCCAUGAUUUGCUAUUGACCAUCCUCGCAAGAGUGCCAAGAUUGUACUAUCCGAUUCUCUCACUAGUCUCCAAGAGCUUUCGAUCUCUCGUGGCUUCACCGGAGCUUUACAACGUUAGGUCACUCUUAGGUCAAACUGAGAGUUGUCUUUAUGUGUGCUUAAGGUUGGGUUCUUCCUUUUCCUGGUUCACCCUCUCUCGGGAACCUGAUCAAACAAAGAGGAUGAAUUCAAGUGGCUAUGUUUUGGCUAAAGUACCAAUACCCUCGUGGUACGGUUCUCCUUACAUAGAUUUUUCGGGUCUUGUUGCGGUUGGUUCUGACAUCUAUAACGUUGGCGCAUGGAGAGGAACCUAUCUGUCACCCACCUCUAGAGUUUUGAUUCUAGAUUGUCGGUCUCACGAAUGGCGCGAGGGUCCAAGCUUACCGAUGGAGCUAGAGUUACUUUCUGCUAGCGUACUUGAUAAAAAGAUAUAUGUAGCAGGAUGCUAUAGAGAUAAAGAUUCUUGGAAAAACUCGUUCGAGGUGUUGAACACCAAAACACAGAUUUGGGAUCUUGAUCCCAUCCCUUGCAACGAAUUGUAUCGCCCUAGAAGCAUUUGUAUCGACGGGAAAAUCCAUGUGCUUACUUGUAGUGGUGUGAAGGUUGCUUUCAAUUCCAAGGAAGGUAGAUGGGACAUGGUUGAUGAACCAAGUAUGGUGACUGGUGGUAUUUGCGUUUCGUCUUCUUUCUGCGAGAUAGAUAACGUUUUGUACAUUCUAUCUCUUGACAGAAUUCUCAGAUGGUAUGACAGCGAGAAGAGAAGAUGGAGAGACUUGAAGGGUUUGGUAGGGCUACCUAGUUUGUCUUCUUGUUUUAGUGGUAGGUUGGCGGAUUACGGUGGAAAGAUGGCGGUUUUGUGUGCUAGGGAGAUGUCCCUUUCGAAGAUGACUACGAUCAGUUGUGUAGUGAUUGCGCUUGAAAGGCGCAAAAGUUGUGAAAUUUGGGGGAAAGUUGAGUGGUUUGAUAAUGUGCUUUCAGUCCCUGGAGCAUGUAAACUCGUUAAGGUUCUUGCUCCUACCCUUUGAUGAAUGCGUGUGGAUCGAAUCUGGGUUAGUUCCUUCCAACAUUUCCCUAAUUCUCCCUUACCACUGUACCACGGCCUUGCGGAUCCUUGCUCCAAAAUUACUUUAGUUUUUGUUUCUUUUGUUCAUUUCUUUUAAUUGUAGUAACCAUACAACUGAAGUUGUGAACACUCUUCAUAACGAGUGCAUGUAAUGUGUCUUCCACCUCACAUGAAGAGCUUAUUUAGUUUCGUAGGGUUUCUUUUAAUUAGCCGUGUUGUGUUUUGGAUUGAGGUUGGCCACUUGAGUACUUGACGAUGUUUUGAGACCAUGAAGUAAGAAAUGUUUUGAGUAUGUGUCUAUAGAUCAACAAGUGAUGAUAUGUGUCUUGAGUAUUCGAAAUGAGGCCAAAUUAGCCUAAGCGAAAAAAAAUAUAAUACAUGAACGUCUUAACAUGCACAUAAGUUCUAUUUGCAAGCCCUGGACAAUAAUACAAGAAACACGUUAGUUAGAGUACACAUGAAACAUUGAAACCGAGUGAUUCAUCAUGUUCUAUUUCCAAAGAUCUUUCGAGCACUGAUCUUUCACAUCAGCUUUGUAGACAUGACGAGUAAUAUAAAUCAAAUCAUAAACAUGUUUGUUUGACGUGCAUCCUCAGCUCUUCCACUAUUCUUCAGUUAUGAUUUUGUUUAACCUUAUUUUAAAAUUUAUUGAAUCGGACCAAACUGAGAACCGAAUGUAAUUACUUCUGCCUAUCAGCUCUAUCUUACCAACCGAAACAAAACAUAAAUAACCAAUGACUCGGUUCGGUUCGAUAAUGUGGUGAAUUUUUGCUCUAGUUUGUUAUCCAAAUGCAUCUUGUAAGCUUAUGCGACAAAUAUCUUAUUAGUUAAUUCCAGUGAUUAUUUUAAAUUCUUAAGUAUUUUUCAAAUUGUAUAGAGAGAUGUUGCCAUUGGUGCUACGGUUCAUGUUCAUGUAUCAUUUGUAGGCUAGACUGUGAAUGCUAUACAAAAAAAUACUAGUAAGGGCUUUUGUAUAUUUGAUGUUUUUUGUUAUGGCCACUAUAUAUAGUAGAAAUAAACUAAUUUGAAGAAAUAAAUAGAAAUAUUUUUUAGUUAGAGAAAUAAGAGGGGUGUGCACAAUUGUAUAAUUUUGGUUUUUUUUUUUAUUAACAUACUUGUUAUGCACUUCUCAAAAAUUUUAUUAACAACAAAAGGAGCAAGUGUAUCACUCUUGUUAUCUUCCUCACUAAAUUUGGAUUCGAACUCGAUCCCUCGCGGAAAUCAAUAGAAAAAAUUUCUUUGUGGACUUCGAGAGGCUCCGACGCCCUCUUUAACGAGAAGCGUAUAAUUUAGCUAUUGGGCCGGACCAAAACGUAAAAACAGAAAACAAAAAACAAAUUAACAACAUAAAAAAAUAAAAUGAAAACCAAAAACCCUAGUGUAGCCUUGGUAUAUAAAUUGAAAACACCCUAAAAUUGCAAAAAAAAAAAAAAAAAAAAAAAAAACCUAGUGUGAUCUGUAAAGUAGACUGAAGGAAGACAUGGGAAGCGGCUUGAUGAGAAAGAAGAAGAAGAAGAAGAAGACUAACAAUAAGAAGAAGAGACCAAAGGUGUCUAGAUAUCCCGAUUGGUCGAAGCUGUCCCCUGACGUUUUGGGCAAAAUCUUCGAAACCUUAAGUAGCCCUAUUGAUUCACACAGAGCUAAAACUGUGUGUUCGAAUUGGUACUCAGUUUGGAAAACAUGCUUGCACAAGCCCUUGUAUUCAUUGCAGAUCAUACACCAAGGUGAUUCUCCUACUGAAGAAGACCAAACAAGAAAAAUCCUAGGGUUUACUCAAAGAAGCUAUUGUAUGGCUACCUUUGGAAGCUGGCUUCUUAUGGUUGAACCUGGUCUCAAGUUCUGUAUUUUCAACUCUUUGACGUGUGAAAAGAUUGUUCUUCCAUCGAUGGAGUCACCAAUACGUGGAGGUAAAGUAACAUUCAAACAUAAUCAUAUGUAUGAUGAUGGUUACUUCUUGAGGAAUGGUUCUCGUAGGGAUGAAGUUCGUUACGAAUUUGAUUCUGUUGAAUGGAAAAACUCUGUAGCUGCUUUGUGGAUUGAUGAGGUUACGGGUGAUUAUGUUGUUGCUUGGACUUAUAUACAGCAUUACUUGUUCUCAUACAAGAAAGGAGAUAGUUCUUGGUGUAACUUGAAUCACAAUAGGAAGAGUUUGGUUUUGUUUGAUAUGGCUUGUGAUAAGUAUAAGCUUUAUCUUUACACAGCUGAUCAUAACAUUAGGUUCUUUGACUUCUCUGGAAAGUAUCCUAUAGAGAAAAAAUCCGAAAACCGGUAUUGGAAGCAUCCUUUUGAUUACGUUGAGGAAGAGUGGGAAUACGUUUGGAAGAGGAAGUUAGCUGUUCGUCCAUCAGGUGAGGUGCUGAUCAUCUUGAGCCUGAAACUAGUGUUGUCUGAGGAGACACUUUUGUUUUACAUCUUUGGAAUGAAUCUUGAGAGUUUCAAGUGGGAGAGAGUUGAUUCUAUUGGAGAUGAGAUGUUGUGUUUUGGUCAUGGGGUUACUGUACCUCUUGCUUUUAAAGAUUUGGGUGGUGGAACUAGGAGUGAUACUAUCUUUUUCGUCGACAAAGAUGUUUGGCCGGAUCAUCCAGAUCAUGAUCAUCGUGUUUCGAAUUGCGGGGUUUUCGAUAUUGUAACAGGGGUAGUAGAAUGGCCUAAGAAAUUGUACCGUUCCAUGAAUGGAACUCAGUGGUUUGUUUGGGGAGUUGUUUAUUAGUGUGGUUAUUGAAUGUAAGGAUUUAGUAGAACUUGUAUGAAAUUCAAGUUUUUAUAUGAUUCUAGUGUUGUUCAGUUUCGGAUUUCGAGUAAAUGUUUUGAUGGUUAUGUCAUUUGAAAAUAAUGUAAUAGAAUGUUGAAUGAGAAAUGUGAAGAACCAAAGAUGUUGCUUCCAAUUCUUUAAAAGGGUUUGUCAUAAGAAUACUUAUUGACAAGUCUUACAUGGUUUAAGUUACAAAAGAAUACGAAGAUAAACAAAUAAAUUCUUAACACAGAUCUGUGUGGUCUUUCUACUCUUACAUGAAAGCUACAGAGCAGUUCUGGUUUCAACAGCAAUGUUGAUUUUGUUGAUGAAGUCAUCAACAGGUAUGGUUCCAAGCUCUCCUCCAAACCUCGAUCUAACGGUAACAGUUCCAGUCUCGACUUCCUUAGGGCCAACAACCGCCAUUAACGGGAUCUUCUGUGUCUCUGCGUUCCUUAUGAGUUUUGGCAAUCUCUCCCCAUGGCACAGCUCAGCCCUUACUCCACAAGCUCUCAGUUUCUUACUCACUUCCUUGCAGAACUCCAGCUGCAAUGUCCUCAUUAAGUCAGAACUUGGUUUUUCCAAUAAAGAAAUUAAGACAAGUUUUCCAUCAAGUUAACCUGAUUGUCUGUGACGGGUAAAACCCGGACUUGAACAGGAGAGAGCCAAAGCGGGAAGUCCCCUGCAUAGUGUUCUAUAAGAACCCCGAAAAAUCUUUCUAAUGAUCCCAAGACCGCUCUGUGGAUCAUUAUAGGACGUUUCUUGUCUGAGUUUGUGUCUACAUAAGUAAUGUCAAAUCGCUGAGGAAGAUUGAAAUCAACCUGCGUGCCAACAAGAAUGUGUUAAUAAAAAUGUACCCUGGAAUUUAUAAGAGUCGAUGAAACUUUCUUACCUGAAUAGUUGAGCACUGCCAUUUUCUUCCUAAUGCAUCUUCAAUCUUAAGGUCGAUCUUUGGGCCAUAAAAGGCACCACCUCCUUCAUCAACCUCAUAGCUCCAUCCCUUAUCAUCUAAAGCAUCCCUAAGGGCACAUGUCGCCUUUUUCCAUAUAUCAUCACCUCCAACUGAUUUUUCAGGUCUAGUUGAUAAGUUGACCUCAUACUUGUCGAACCCAAACCUAGAUAAUAUCUCUUCUGUGAGAUCUAGGACACCUCUGAUCUCAUCUUUGAUCUGAUCCUCUAAACAAAAUAUGUGUGCAUCGUCCUGGCAAAGCAAAGGUUAGUUAAGUAAAUCCUAGUACUUAAUAAGAUUCAGGUUAACUAUUAGAUUAAAGAUGUUUGAAGUAACCUGCGUGAACCCUCUGACACGGAAAAGGCCAUGUAAGCUACCAGACAACUCAUAUCUGUAAACUGUGCCAAGUUCUGCAACUCUUAUGGGUAAAUCUCGAUAUGAUUGACGCUUUCUUUGGUAAAGCAAGAUGUGAUAAGGGCAGUUCAUGGGUCUGAGUUGAUAAAGCUCAUCCUCAAUCUCCAUUUGGUCAUACAUAUUCUCUCUGUAGAAGUCCAAGUGACCACUGAUCUUCCACAGAUCAGCUUUGGCGACAUGAGGGGUAUAGAUCAAAUCAUAACCAUGUUCGACAUGCAUCUUCUUCCAUGAUUCUUCAAUAAUAUUUCUAACAAUCGCACCUUUUGGAUGCCAAAACACUAAUCCUCCUCCAGCUUCAUCCUGCAGUUGAAAAGCUUAAGAAACAAAUUCCUAAAAGUAGAAUAUCAUUUUGAAACUGAAUUAAAUUAAAGCUGGCUAUACCUGGAUGGAAAACAGAUCGAGGUCUUGGCCAAUACGUCUAUGAUCUCGGCGUUUAGCUUCUUCUUUAAAAUGAAGAUAUGCUUUUAGUUGUUCUUCACUCUCCCAAGCUGUUCCGUAGAUCCUCUGAAGCAUUUGCCUCUUUUCAUCUCCUCUCCAGUAUGCACCGGCAACAGAUUCUAGUUCGACAGCUUUCUUGUUUAUCUUCCCUGUGGUCUCGACAUGAGGACCAGCACAAAGAUCCCACCAUUCAUUACCUAGAUGGGCAUUCGAACUGGCAUAAGAUGGAGACAAGCUAUUACCAAACUAAAUAUGAACAAAUUAGAGAAUUAAAAAGCAAGCAAGAAGCUACAGCGUACCAAUAUGAUAAACAGUAAUGGGUUCUUCCUUAAUACCCUCCAAAAUCUCCAUCUUAUAAGGCUCGUUUAUCGCCAAGAUCCUUUUCUGCGCUUCUUCUCUAGAUACUUCUUCUCUUAAAAGUGGUAAAUUCCGACUAAUGAUACGAUCCUACCAAAUAAUAUACCAAGAAACCAUGAAUACUAUUCUUAAUCCCUCCCUCAAUCAUCAAACACAUUAACCCCCUCAGAGACUUCAACAGAAAAACUCACCAUCUCUUUCUUGAUCCUCUUGAGGUCUUUAUCUGUUAAAGGCUCCAUAUCAAAAUCAUAGUAGAAACCGUUAUCAAUCCAAGGACCUAUCGUCACUUUUGCAUCAGGGAAGAGUUUCUGAACUGCCAUAGCCAUUACAUGUGCACACUGAAUCCACAUAAAUCACUCUAUUCAGCUCAACAAGUAGAAAUUGCUCCCAUAAGCAAUAAAACCUCAACACUUAUCCCAAAACACCAAACAAAUCUCAUGUAAAUUGAAUCAAAAUUCAAACUUGCACAAAACCAUACUUCCCUAACAACAUUACAAGUCCACCUAACUCAAAAUCCCAGAACAGAAACAGAGCUCUGCAUAAAUUUUGAUUCAAUCUCAUAGCAAAUGAAACUCACACAAGUUAAACUAUUCAGCUCAACAAGUUACUAUAUAUUUGCCAUAAAGCUUCAACCUUUAUCCCAGAAACCCAAACUUUUCAGACAUUUCUCAUGAGAUUGAAUCAAAAAAUUCAAACUUUAACAAAACCCAUCUUAGCUAAGAACAUAAAGUUAACAAAUUGAUCAAAUUUACUCAUUCUCCUAAAGUCCACUUAUCAAACUCCGACUCACAAAACAGAAACAGAGCCAAAAAUAAGUGUACCGUGUGACGAAUCUUGAGCAGCUUAUCAGAUGAUUCAUUACUAGGAAGCGGGACCUUCGCUAGCUCUGUUUUCUUAGGUCCGGUACUGGAGAUAGCCGGCUCGGUGGCGACGGCGAAGACGGUGGAGAACCCAUGUCGUUGCUGCUUUGGCCAGAAUCGCCGAGUUGGAACGUAAACGAAACGUUUUAGAGACGAAGUGAAGGAGGAGGGUUUGGAGACGAAGGAAGAAGAGAAGAGAAGAGAAUGAGAAGAGGCCAUUAGUGUGAAGAGAGCCCCGCGAGAAUGAGAAUUCACGCAGGGAGUUUUGAGAUUACGGAAGAAUCUGUGGUGGAAGUUUCUCUUUAUGUGUGGAUUGAAGUGGAGGAGAGAAAUUAAAAACACGUUUGCGUUUUGUUUACAACUGUGAUAAAUUGCGUUUUGUUUCUAAUUAUAAAGCACGUUAAAAAUAAGGAUUCAUUACUUCAUGUAUUUGUAAACAAACAAACAAUUAACCUAUUCUAAAUGGGAGAAUUACUUAGAUAAACCACAAUUGUAUGUUUAUUCCCUAAACAGCCAAAUUUUUUUUUUAUUCCUUAGAUGUUUACUGAAAUGGGUGUAAUUACAAUAAACACCCUUAUUAUGUUUUCACUUAAAAAUUGCCACGUCAGAUUCGACAUGCCACGUCACACCUGAAAUUGUCACAUCAUUAUUCUGUCUUUAAUGAUAAAAGAGGAAAAAACUGAAGAUUUUCGUCACUAUUCACAAACAAAAAAAAACUGUUUUUUUCUCCCUCGAAGCCAACGAAGAACCCAAACUCUCGCCGCUUUUCUUUCUCGUUUCUUCCGGCCGCUUAUCCUAUUAUCAGUGUGUCUCUCUCUUUCUCGUCGUUAUUAUUGUCGCAUUUCUUCUCAACUUGGAUGUAGACUUUUCGUUUUCUGACAAAAAUAACAGGGAAAUACGAAACGUCGUUUACGGCUGAGUUAUGAUACAUUACGGCUGAGUUAUGACACAUUGCGGCUGAGUUAUGGUACAUUACGGCUGAGUUAUAUUAUGACUUAUUGUAAGUUACGGCUGAGUUAUGGCGAAAAUAUUUCUACCUCGGUGAUUCCGGCGAAGAACUCUAAUUCUCGCUGCUUCUCUCUCUCUCAUCUCUUUUGGGCGCUUCGAUUCUCAACGAGUCUCUCUCUUGUCGUCAUUCCUAUCGUAUUUCUUCUCAAAUUGCGUACAUCCAACGUUCUAAGAAAAGAAAAGAGUUCUUGGUCCUCACAUGUGGUUCUGUUCAUGGUGAGAGUUGCUUUGAAGAUGACAAUAAUGAAGACGAAGAGAGUGAACAGUAAACCUAUGGCACUAACUCGUAAUCUCAUUACUGUCUUGUUAUUUUGCCACUAUAUCGAAAUCUCAUAUCCCAUUCUCGAGUUUUGUUUCAUUUGUUGCAAAAAAUGUGUCUAUGUCAGAUCGGAAUAGGCCAAGGAAAAGGCAGAAGACUAAAAGGAAUAAAAAAAAAACUAGUUACUUUCUCUCUUAAAGCCGACGAAGAACCCUAACUCUCGCCGCUUAUUUUUCUCGUCUCUUCUGGCCGCUUAUCCUAUAAUCGGUGUGUCUCUCUUUCUCGUCGUCAUUGCUGUCGCAUUUCUUCUCAACUUGGGUGGAGAUUUUUCGUUUUCCGACAAAAAAACAGGGAAAUACGAAACGUCGUUUACGGUUGAGUUAUGACACAUUGCGGCUGAGUUAUGGUACAGUACGGCUGAGUUAUAUUAUGACUUAUUGUAAGUUACGGCUGAGUUGUGAUUUUUUUUUUGUAAUUGUUCACGUACAGGAAAAAAUAUCUCUACCUCGGUGAUUCCGGCGAAUAACCCUAAUUCUCGCUGCUUCUCUCUCUCAUCUCUUUCGUCCGCUUCGACUCAUACCGACGAGUCUCUCUCUCUCUCNNNNNNNNNNNNNNNNNNNNNNNNNNNNNNNNNNNNNNNNNNNNNNNNNNNNNNNNNNNNNNNNNNNNNNNNNNNNNNNNNNNNNNNNNNNNNNNNNNNNGGUACAUUACGGCUGAGUUAUGCUACAUUACGGCUGAGUUAUGAUAUACUUUCUCGAGAUUACAAAAAGUGUUUUUCGGGAAAGACCAACAAUAAUUACGUACACAUAUUCACACGCACACGCAUAAUAAAGUCAUAGAGUAUUGUGUUUUAAAAAAUUAUUCAAAAUAAUUCAAAAUUUGAAUUCAAAUUUUAUAAACAAAAUAUUCAAAAUAAUUUAAAGUUUUUUUGUCUAAAUAUAGAAUAAUACGUCACGGCUGAGUUAUGCUACAUUGCGGCUGAGUUAUGCUACAUUACGGAUGAGUUGUGAUAUACAUUCUCGAGAUUACAAAAAGUGGUUUAUAAUACAAUUAACAAAAAUCAAUAACAGCUCUUUUCCAUUCUAUAUUUGAUCAACUAUAUAGGAAUAGAACAUAAGUAUAGGGUUUGAGGUUUAUCGUUUAGUUGGAUAAGUUUUAAAAGGUACAAACCUGAGCGAAUUUCAUGAUUUUUUAUGGAAAGUUAAUAAAAGUGUUAACUACAUAUUAUUAAAGUGUUUUUAUUACAUGAGUGCAUCAAAUAUUCACAUCUAUCUUAUUUGAGGUUUGGCCGAGUUAUGCCAACGACUUGGUUGACUUAUUGUAGAAUAAUUCGAGGUUUGGCCGAGUUAUGACAACGACAUAGCUGACUUAACAUAAAUAAAUUUGUGGUUUGGCUGAGUUAUGUCAGCGUCAUGGUUGACUUACACAGACCAUUUCGAGGUUUGGCUGAAUUAUUGUAACGAUAACAUGUAGCUCAUUGUUACAUGAUGGCUCAACUCAUUUAAUCUGUAGUCAUCGAGAACCAACUUCACAAGCUUUUCGUGUGUUCUUUCAACAUCUAUACGUUAGAUAUGGCUGAUUUAUGAUUUUGAUAUUCAACUUCGGGGUAUGGCUGAGUUAUAGUUACGUUCCGUUUGAGGUAUAACAUAACGUUACGACUGAGUUAUAUAAUGAGGUUUGGUUGACUUAUCGUAAAUUAAAUUCGUGGUUUGGCCGAGUUAAUUCCAGACGACGUCGUUUACUUCUUUCUUCUCCCUUAUAGUCAUAAUCGAGCGAUCAGAUUGGGGAUUUAGGGUUCUUAUCGAUUUCUGGGAUUCCUAUCCGAUUUCUUGGUUUAUCUUCGAUUAAAGAAUUCUACUUCUCAAUUUUAAUAUGGUGCUUACCCUGCAGAUCUUCCGACGAAUUGCGGAUGUUGGUGUGGUAACGAUAUCAUCACAUACAUAUCGAAGACAAAGGAAAACCCUUACCGUAUCUUCUAUAGAUGUCGAAUGAGUCGCAUUUCUUCAAAUGGGUUGAUGAGGCAUCGGUUGAAGAAAUUAAGAUGGUCGACGCAAAGGUACAGAGAAUAGAAGAAGAUGUGACGGACUUAAGGCAUCAACAUACUCAAAAUUUAGAUAUCCAAAUAGAAAUGUUUGACAAGCUUGAGUAAGAACUGAGUAAGAAGCUUGAAGAAAAAUUGAUGAAAAAGAUUGAGGAUGAUAUGGGUAAGACAGCUUUGAAGACAAUUUGUCUACUCUCUUUAAUAGGAAUCGCAAUUGUAUGGCUAUGGGAGAGAAUAUAAUUGUUGUUUCAUGAUGUUUAGACUGAUUAUGUUGUAAUUUGUGUUGUUUAAGAUUUCUUUUCAUGUUAAAUGAGAAAUGGGGUAUGGCUGACUUAUAAUUAUGUGACGGCUAAGUUAAUGUGUUCAAGUUACGGCUGAGUUAUGAGUAUAAUUAUAAUUUAUAAUUAGCAAUUAUAUAAGUAUAUAAUGUAUAUGGCAUAUAAUAAAUAUAUAUUACCAGCAAAUAUGCAUGUUAAGAUUGUUAAUUUUGAAAAGAAAAUGGAUAAUUUACACAAUUUAAUCCAAUUCAAAUUGUGUAGUGUUGGUUAUGACUAGAAACUUGUUCUUGUGUGAUAGUUUUCGAAAUGUUACCAACAAAGUCUAAAUUAUUGAUGAAUAAUAUGGUAACAUGAUUGUAUCAUAUUUAAACCUAAUAUUUAUGUGAUUUAAGUGAUUUCAUAACUUGAUUAUAACUAAAAAUUGAGAUAACGCAUAUUUAGGGUAUGGCUGACUUAUACUACGUUAUGGCUGAGUUAUAGAUAACAUUACGGCUGAAUUAUCAAUAACAUAAUAAUUACAUGAUUCCGUUACGGCUGAGUUAUAAUAAAGUAAUUGACAUAACGCAUAUUUAGGGUAUGGCUGACUUAUACUAUGUUAUGGCUGAGUUAUGGAUAACAUUACGGCUGAGUUAUCAAUAACCUAUUAUUUACGUGAUUCCAUUACGGCUGAGUUAUUGAUAACAUUACGACUGAGUUAUAGGUCUGUUAAAAUGACCAAAAUGAAGAAAAAUUGAUAAAAACAUGAUUCAAAAGAUAAGAUAUAUGUUUGGGAUUACAAAGAAGUUCAAAAAGAAGUUCAGAAAGAACAAACAACGGAUGAGAGAGAUAAAGGAAGAAGACGGAAAGUUGCGUUGGUUAAUGUGAUGGUUGAGUUAUCACACGGGAAACGAAGACGAAAGGUCGCGUUACGGCUGAGUUAUCUGUAAUCUAUUGGGCUGAAAUAUCAAUAACCUUAUACGGCUGAGUUAUCAGUAACAUAAAAUGAAUAUAUUCCGUAUGCUGAGUUAUGUUACGGCUGAGUUAUUAUAUUAAAGAAGACGAAAGGUCGCGUUGAUGCAGUCCGUAGUCAUCAAGAACCAAUUUCACUAGCUUCUCGUGCGUUGUUUCCGCAUCUAUUUGCACAAUUCUACAACCUCUAUCGUCAGUGUUAAAUACAUAUUUUUGUUUCUUUGCCCAGUUACCAGACACAACAAUCACUGGAACCGGAUGAUCCAUCAACGAAAAUGAAGAACAGAAGUGAAAAUGCAGAAAAGAAGUGAAGAACAGAAGUGAAAAUGAAGAACAGAAGUGAAAAUGAAAAACAGAAGUGNNNNNNNNNNNNNNNNNNNNNNNNNNNNNNNNNNNNNNNNNNNNNNNNNNNNNNNNNNNNNNNNNNNNNNNNNNNNNNNNNNNNNNNNNNNNNNNNNNNNCCCGGAGAAAGUUAAGUCAGCCGUGUCGAUAACAUAACUCAGCCAAACUUCUGAUAACUCAACCAUCGGAAUAUAACUCAGCCGUAACGGCGGCUGAGUUAUUAGACGUUUUCUCAUAACUCAACCAGAUUUUUAUAAGUCAGUCGUAACUGUUGGCUGAGUUAUGAUCCUAAGUCAACCAUUGACCCGAAACUCAGCCGUUGUCCUAGAACUCAGCCAUAACGUGAUAUAACUCAGCCGUAACGUACGUUAUGGCUGAGUUAUUGGUGGCACGCGCAUUUUUGUCUGACGUGGCAGUGGCAUUUUCCGUAAUUAGUUUUUUCCGAUAACGUGUAAAAAGGGCACGCUGGUAAUUAAAAAACAUUUAAGGAUAAAAAAAGUUUUGGAUGGUUUGCGUCAAUACACCUAAAAUGUGAUACAUCUAAGUAAUUCUUUCAUUCUAAAUGUAAAUACAUAUCAAAAAGAUAAUAUAUGAUAUUUUUCCAUACAACAUUAGAUUUGAGUUCUGCUAUAUAUAAAAUUGAUAUCAUGUUUGGUAAACAAAUUUUAAUAUUGAGAAGGGUUUGGUUUAUAUUUUAAAUAAAUAUUGCAAGAUGACAAAAAAAAAGAAAAAAAAAAAAAUAUUGCAUUUAUUUACAUUAGUAUGGUCAAGUAUUCAUAGAAUAUAUUUAGAAUGAUUUACCCUAUGACACACUUUGAAGAGUACAACUUACAAAUAAUACACUUACAAGUUUAUGGUGGGGAAUUUUGUGGACAAUGCCCUUUUCAAAACUCAAAAGUAUAAAAUUGCCAUUUUUCAUCUCUUCUUUCAAAACAUGCCAUAAUAUUUAUUGUGUGACGAUUUUGCCCUCACCUAUUUGAAGCUCAAUUAGUGGGUGAUGAUGAGAUGUUUUCCUUUGACUGGCAACAUGAUACAAUGUAUGCUAAUAUCCAGAAGACAAAUGCUUUAAUGGGUGAUAAAAUAAAAACAAAAAUAAUAAGAAAUGGCAAAAGCAUAUCUAGGUAGUGUUAAUAGAGGACAAGUAGAAAGAGAUUUUGUGUAUGUUGUGGGUGGUGAAGAAAGAGUAGCGAUUUCCGAGUUUAACAGUUUAAUUACGGUGGACAAGACAAGAUAAUCAAGGAUGUGUAGGGAUGUUCACUUGCCUAUCGACGUGCGCACUAUAGUCGAUAGACAAUCUAUAAAAUAAUGUCAAAAAGGACACAAAUAAAGUUUUAUAUGAUGGACAAAAUAUUUAAAGUAGAUCUGUUCCAUCGAAAGUUUACUUUGACGGUUCCAAGGGAUUUCUCCACUACAUGUCCUCCGACUCGGGGUGAGUAGGAUAUUGUACUGAGGCAAGGAUUGCAUAAGCUUUCUUAAACUGGUCAAGGACAAAUAAAAAUAGAUAGGUAGUAAAUGCUAUAUAUGGACAACUAUGUUUAUGGACAUGAUAUGUGCAGUAGAUUUGGUCUAUCAAUUGUGGACAUGUUUUUUUGUUCAUCUAUCUAACAUAUGUAUUAUAGACAAGUUCGUUUAUGAAAAAUUUGGACUUAGUUUGCUAUAUACGUAUGAUGGACAACAAAUUAAGAAACAAAAAUGGAUAUAUUACAUACAUCGGAUCUGGUCCACCGAAUCUAGUCCACUGAAUCUAGUCUACCGGAUCUAGUCUACCAGGUCUAGUCCUUCUCUACACAAAUGUGAUAUCCAAAGUGUAAAUCUCGAUGGAUCGUAAAUGACGUCUUCAAUAGAUGCAUUACUUGUUUCAUCCUCUAGUCAAUCAGUUGUGGUUUUAUGAGAUUUGUAGGAUGGACAAGUUUGGUCUAUCAGUUCCGGUUCACCAGACCUGGUCCAUUGAAAGAAAAAAACAAAACGUGGCUGUGAAAUUGAUUUGGUCACCAACGUGAACCACAUACCUACCUACAGUGAAAGCAUCGUUGUUCAUCGUUGUGAUCGAAACAAUUUUUUUCUCCAACCUUUUGGCCUCCAUUAGAUGUUACCAUUGGUGUGAGAUAUUCAUGAGAAAAAAUUGAAACGAGAGUGAAAGAGAUAUUAAGAGAGAGAAAAUGCAGAUAAAGUAAAUGUUGGAGGUGUGGAGAAAGAAAAAGAAACAAUAUUUAUUGUUUUUUGUGAGAAAAGGAAGAAGGGUAAGAGAGUAUUUUUACUUUAGCUUUGUGACAGGCGGGAGAAGAAGUUAAGGAAAAUGGCAAUUUAUAAAACAUUUGGUACUGUACAUGACAUAGAGUAUAAUUUUCUCUUUAUGGUGGACUUUGGCCACUGUUUGUGUCAAAAAAAGACACCUUUGUCCUAAUAAAGUAAAACGCAUUUCUACUAAAAUCAUCCGUAACGGUAUAUGCGCUUGUGUCUUAGAGUAUUAAAAAAAUUAUAAAAUAGCAAAACAGUAGUAAUAAAUGUAGCAAGCGAGUCUUCAGCAAGAUGUUUUCUGUAUGUGAUGUUAAGGAAUGUGGCAAGCAGUGAUUGGUUCCCAUUAAAAUAUAUUCUUUUUAAUAUGUUUUCCAUACUAUUUAAUACUUUAAUAUUUUUUUAAUCUAUAUUUUUUUUUUCGUCAAUAAAAUUAUAUUGAAUAAUUGUAAAAAUCAUAAUACAAUUGGUUUCUUAGCCAUGAAGCCGGAUACAAAAAAUCAGAAUAAAAAAUAAGAAGAUUACAACCAUGAGAGGCCAGAAGGUGAGCGACUUUGUUACAAUCUCUUUUACAAAAAAGAAAGGAAAUAGAAGUAAAUCUUUUGGACCAAGCAAUAAUAUCAUGGAUAACAGCUUCAAUAGUAAUAUUAUGGUGUUGUCUUUGUAACAUUUUAAUCAAAAGUUCAUUGUCUCCUUUGAAGCACACAUGCUUAACACCCCUAAUCCAAACUUGUUGGAUUGCUGCCAAUAAUGCUUUUUAAUCUAUAAAUAAUAAUUAUUUUAAUACUUUUUUCUACUAAGAUAUAUCUUUCAGUUUAUCCCUUUAAAGAUGACAUAAUGUUAUUCAGCUUUUUAGUUAAGAACGAACUUAGUUUGCAUCACGUUACGGAGGUAUAGUUCAAAUUUGUUAGUACAUAAAUUCUUUUUCUCUUUCUCCUUUUCCUUGUUCCUUUUUCUUUUGUUGUCAAUUUAUAUGUUAUCAAGAAAAUAUUUUUUCUUUAUUUUUGCACAAUACAUUGUAAUUGUAUUUUUUCUAUAUAAUGAGAUUCAUUUUGCUAUAUUUAAAGUGAAAAUAUCCAAAAACUCUCUCUCUCUUAUUAUUGUCGUCCAUGAAAUCUUGUCCACCCGAUAUACUCGACAUGAGAAGAUUUCUUCAUUAUCAUGGUUAUCCAUGAACUCUAGUCCAUCGUUUCACAUUAUUCAAGAAAAUGACAUAUUAAAGAAAAUUCAAGUCUUGGACAAAAUUAACAAGCAAACGUCCAUUAGACAAUAUCCACAAAACAGUAUAUAUUGGACAAUAUUCAUAAAACUAUACUUUUUCUCUAAAUGUGGUCACAAAAUUAUCUCCUUUAAACUUUGUUUAUGAAGUAUAAGAUGCAUGUUGGUGUUGUUGUUACAAUAUCUCAUUGGAACAUAAUUCAAGAAGAAAAAGUUGAAGAACAUGUCCACAAAAGGUUAUCCACGAAACCUUGUCCAGGAAAUCAUUUCUAUCGAAAUGAGAAGAUUUAUUCGUAAUUGAAAACUUUAACAAAUCUCUCAAACCUAAUUUCAACACAUUAUCAUUGUAAUCCACAAACCUCUUUCACUCGUUUAAUUUUAUUUAAGCAAAUGCCAUGUUUAGGCAAAUUAAAAUUUUUGAAAGAAAACAACAAACUCAAUAUCCAUUGGACAACAUCCACAAAAUUACAGCUAUUCCCGAUGAUGAUUAGAAAGAGUAGAGGCGGAACAUAUAUGAAUGGACCGUGAAAUGAAAGGGUGUCCAUUUUAGGUUCAUGAAAUGAAAGUGCGUAAAAUGAAAUGGUGUCCAUUUAUUUUGUGGAGAACAAACGUAUAUUCAGCGAUAGAUGAACACAAGAACAAGCCUAGUGGACAAAGCCAAGUUAACAUACGUGUUUGUUGGCUAAAAACGUUUUUGAACAAAUAAUUGAUUUUUUCUCUUUUUAAAACAAUAUUUUAAUACUAAUAUACAAAAAAAUGAAUAGAAUAAUAAAAGGUAGAGUGUUGAUGAGAAUGAAGGAAAGAGAAAAAGGAAAAAAAAAAACUACAGCGAGAAUAAAAAACAACACACAUAUUUUUGUUUUUAAAAGAAUAUUGAUAAGAUGGAGAAUGUUGAUAAGAAGGAGAGAGAAAUCAAAAAUGAAAAAUAAAAAGAGAAUGUUGAGGAGGAGGAAAGAGAAAUCAAAACUUUUAGUUAGGAUGGCAAUUCAGUAAAUAAGUGGAAUAAGUGAGGGUGGGAGAGUAUAAACAGUCACCCAAAGUCCAUCAUGAACUCAUAAGUGUGUCAUAGAGCAAUUAAAGUUUUGAAAGUGUGUCUAGAUGGAAAUUUCCCAUAUAUUUAUAGUGAGGCAUGAUUUAAUUGCGAUAGUAAACGAGAUAAAACCAUCUGUUUAGAAAAAGAGGUAGGAGCAAUAUAUUAACUAUUAUUAGUGUAGAUUUCAUUAAAUUUUUGGUGAAAUAUCUGAAUAAAAUUUAGAUUUUUACCCAAUUAUGUACAAUUUCCUAAAUGCCCCCCACUAAUUCAUUUUUUCUUAUUUGUUGUGAUAUCAUCAAUUAUAAUUAUUUUUCUAUACUUUAAUGAUGCACUAGGAACUAUCCAACAAACUUAGACACGCAGCUCAAGCUGAUAAGGAUGCUGAACUCAGGAACAAAAGAACUAGGGGUUAUUAUGACUAAUAAAAUGAAUUUAUUUGGCAUGACAUUUUUUUAGUGAUAAAAUAUAACAUUUAAAUUUCAAUACCAAAAAUAAUAUGUAAAUCAUAUUAAAUAAAUAUAAAUAAUACCUUGGUUAGUAUUGAAAAUUUAACAAAAAAAAAUAGUUUGUACGAAAAUUCACAAAUAACAUCACAAAAAUCAAAUAACAGUUUACCAAAGCAAUUAUCAUCAAGUAAUCAAAACUCACACACACAUAUAUCUAUAUAUAUAUAUGCUCAUUUUUCCAUCCUUAUUUUUGUGUAUUCACAUAAAAUUACAUGCAAUAAAAUCUUAAAAUAUAAACAUGCAAAACUAUAAUACUACAUAUUCUCAUCAAGUAUACAAGUUUUAACGUGCACCUCUCGCACCUCUAACAGCUUGGGCAUCAAGGUCAACUAGAUUAUGUUAUGUAUGCUUAUAUGGAAUUAGAUUAUAUCAUGUAUUUUUAUGCAUAUCAAUCUUCCCGCCUUUCGACGUGCACUUAAAAGGUUACCUAAUUUUACUUGAAUUUUGGUUGCUUUCUUUUUUGUAUUGUGAUAUUAAAUUUAACCAACUUAAACUUUCGUAUUUUCUAAAAUAUUUAUUGAUCCUCUUUCGAAAAUGAAGUUAUGAAAUGUGAGAAGGAUCAGUAAAAAUUGUAGUAUUUGGGUAAAUAAUUCAGACUAGUAUUCAAUUUUUACUCGAAUACUAAUUUUUAUAUUAAUGUAAUUUUUCUAAUGUAGGUUAGUAUUUGGGUAAAUAAUUCAGACUAAUAUUCAAAAAUUAAUGUAAUUGAUCAAAAAUAAUUGAAAUGUUAGUAAUAACAUAUACACAUUUUUAGAUUUAUCUUUGAGCCUAACAUAUUUAUUUUUUCAAUACAAUUUAAGUGUAUAUACCAUCAUAAUAAAGAUAAUUUUAUUUUUAUACAUUUUGUAUUAAUGCAUGAGAGCUAAAAAAACAUUUAUAUCAAAAUUCAAACACAAUUUAAAAUUAUUAAAUUUAUGUUCUAGUUAGAACUAAAAAAAUUAAAUUUAACAAAACACAAAUAGUAAAAAAAAAAAUUCACAAAACAAAUAAUGGAAACUAGAAUCAUUUAAGAUUUCUUCGAGAUGUCGUUAUCUCAUAAGUACUAAUUUUACCUUAUGUCAAAAAAGUUAUGCAGUUAAAAUUUAUAAAAUAAAAUCUAAACAGAGACAUACAAACAUUCUCAACAAAUAAAGGAAGAUUCAUACCCAUACAAAUAUUUUUAUUUUAUGUUUUCAUGUAUGCAUUAUAAAUACUACAUGUGUUAAAAUUCUAAAAAUUAUAACAAUAAAUAAAAUUUUAGUGUUAUUUUAUAUCAAAAAUUCAUCUCCACAAACUCAUACAUAUUUCAAUUUUUUUAUUUUUCCCCUAAUAAAUAAAAGACAAUAUAUUGCAACGAUAACUAGAAUAUCUUCUUGCUAAAUUUGGUUGUCUAUAUAGUAAUUUCUUAUGUACGGGUGUUUGUACACCUCGGUGGCUGCAGUAUCAAUUGUAUCAUGACUAUAUUAAUUCUUAAUCAAUAAAGUUAUUGGUUGAAAAAAAAUACUACAAUUUUUAUCCAAUAUAAUUGAUGUUAAAUAGUUUAUAUUUUUAUUUUGAACAUCAGUGUGCAAUGUACAUUGUCAACAUCUUAUCAAUAUACAUAACUCAUAUUCGGACCACGUUAACAUUAAUUUUUGAUUUAGCUUUAUAUAAUAAGAUUUGAUAUUUUUAAAUAAUUUCUUUAUAUACACACUACAUUUAUUUUCUACUCUUAUUUCAUUUAAUUUUUAUUUAAUAUUGUUAGUAAAUCAAAUGUAAUUAGAGGGAAAACUCUAAAUGUUGACCAUAUCUUUCUUUUGACCAAAUCUUCAUUUUAAUGGGAAAGUUUCAUUUUAUUUCUCAAUAAAUAGUUUUUUGAUUUCAGAAGUUUGACUCUUUUAUAUAUAUAGAUUUAUAUAGGACCAUUUAUAUAUAUAAGACUCAUGUUGUUCUUCUCAUUUUUAAUAUCUUCACACACCCAAAAACAACAAAACUUGGAUUAUUUCAAAAGUUUAUAUCAUUCAAACGAAAUGAUUCUGUCAAAGUUUCAACUUGCAACAGUACUUCUCAUCAUAUGUUCACUCCUAGUUACUUCCGAGUCAAAGAGUAAACAUUUCAUUUUCAUUACUCUCUUUUCUUUAAGAUGUCAAUAGUCAAGUCAUUAUGCAAUAUGCACUUAUAUUUUUGGUGAAACUUAUUUGAAGUGUUGAAGAAUGAAGAAAUCUCUGGUGGAGGGUCUUGUAACUUCAGAGGUUCAUGCCACAAUGACAGCAACUGUGAGGAACGUUGUGGACCGCCCGAGUUCCCAUCGUAUACUAUAGGUUUAUGCAUACCGAAUCCCGAUGGUCCUGGCCGUGCUUGUUGUUGUGUUUUUGGUUGAUUCAGUUCCUCCAAUGAAUCCAAAGUAAUUCUAAGUUUUGGUUUGAUGUUGUAUUUGUUUUUAUCACUACAUAAGUAUCAAUAAAACCAAAGUUCAGUUACCUCUUAUAUAUGUUAUAUGAGUUUUUCUUAUGAAAAUAAACACUGAAGAAAAUGCUUUAUGCUGCAAUUGCUUCUCCUGUUAGCAAAGAGUCUGAUGGGUUUUCUGAUGAACUAGUGUGUGUGAUGACUUCAUCCAAUAACUUCAAGAGCUCUGCUCGACGGAGAUCUGUCACCGUAUACUCAAGUGUAACCUGUCAGGUUAAAGAAACUCAGUUUAGUUUAAGCCAAAAGGAACAAUUUUGUUUGAGUGUUAUAAAGUAGUAUAACUACUUUUACCUCUUUGAAGAUACUGCUGUAAGAAGACUCCUCAAAACCCUUUAACAAACAACAAAGUGUGUUAAGCCAUUUUACUCGGAAAAUUUGUGCACGGGACGGACUACGACAUAUCUUUGAGACGUGAGUAAGUUUUAUAGUACCAGUUUGCGGAAUAAGCUGAGGGAAGCUGUGUUUGAGUCCCCAAUCUUGACUGUAAACUUGUGAAUCUCCAAGUUUUUGACACCAUAAGCCAUCAUUAUCAAUACGGAUUCCUUUCCUAGUCCUUUACCACGGCUACUCUACCAAAGGUUGUAACAAAGAAAGAAGAAUCAUGUAACGAGAAGUUAAAUCAGUUUAAGUGUAUUCUCAGUAUAUAGCACUUGUCUGGGAAGAAGAAAGUUACCUUCUGGGUUCAGCUAUCAUUAUUUCAACCUCUGCAACCUUACGAUCAUCCACAUCAUUCAUGUAAAUAUUCACAUCACCUGUCAUUGCUGCACAUAAGCUUUGUGUUAGUGUUACUUAUUUACAAUGACUCAAUGCGAAAACGAUAUACACAGAAGAGCCACAAUAGAACAUCCAAGCUCAUCUAACUCUUUCAACCAAAAAAGGAAGAAGGAAGAACUCAUAAAGCCAAACUAGUCACCAAUGAUCUUAACCACUAACAAAGGAGCAGUCUUGUAGAUACAUUCUCAUUUCCAGACAUACUAUACACACUUUGUGGUAAGAACACCACUACAUUAUUAACUAAAAGGAGAGAGUGUUGUAUUGUCACAGUAGCAGAUUCCAUACUGAUGCAUACUAAAGUAAUCUCCUUUAACCAUAAGUUCCACAACGAAAUAACUCAGGACACUAACCUUCUACAUGCGGCUCGCCAUGAGCCAAGUCUCCCUUUAUAAAAUCCUUGUCCAACACAAUGAAAGUCCUCUCUGAAACCAACAACAGAGACAUUAGAAAAUCCAACAUUUGCAAAAAGAGGACAGACCUAAACCUCAUAAGACAUUGUAUAGCUAAUAUCAAAGAACUUAGAGGAUUGGAGUAAUCAACUUCACUAAACAAUACUAAAGAUCAACAAACUCAAAACAGAAGCAAUCAAAAUUGAGAUUCUAGGGUAGUCUAAAAGAAAACCCUAAACCCUAAAUUAAGUAAACCUAAAAUUGAUCAAAUCAAAGAUAAAGAUAGAAGAUUUAAGAGAUAUAUGAGAAUGGUUUAGAGUUUUUUUCAUACUAUUAGGAUCUUGAGUCCAAGAAAGCUGCAUCUCAUACUCCUGCUCAAGACUCAACGGCUCAGAUCCAGUAGCUUCAAGAAGCGCCGAGUCUUGCAUCCAGUUAUGAUACUUUGGAACAUGCUCCGCCAUGUACGGAACCAAAACCACUCUCUUCCCUUCCAAAGUCACCUUCAUCGCCAUUGUUGUCACCAUUCUUCUUCUCCUCUUCCUCUUCUUUAGAGAGGAAUCAGAAACAAAAAACGUCGUCGUUUCAAUUUAUCCGAGCUGGCAUGUUUUAUCCACGUCAGGUUUUAUGAUAAAAAAAAGAUGUCCCAAAUAUUACACAACCAACCAACUGUGUUUUGUAGUGUUGUGGUGAGUGAUGAGUUUCACUUAGCUUCAAAGCAAAGACUUCCAUGAAAAAUCAUAAUUUCUCAACUCAUAAAGAUAUAAAAUACAAAAAGGCGUCACUGAUGUUUUUGUAGCAAUCAUAUUUUCUUAACUUUCACUACACAUAUAAAAAGCCCAAUUCUAUUAACUAGAAAAAAAAAAACAGAGAUGAUCAAAAACAAUGGCGACUUUGAUUCUAACAUUCUUGCUUCUUCUUUUAGCAACAAAGCUUCCGGAAUCACUAGCAGGUCACUGCACCACCACGACGGCGACGAAAAGCUUCGAGAAAUGCAUCUCUCUCCCGACACAGCAAGCUUCAAUCGCGUGGACGUACCAUCCACACAACGCUACUCUUGACCUUUGUUUCUUUGGAACUUUCAUCUCACCUUCCGGGUGGGUUGGGUGGGGGAUUAACCCGGAUUCUCCCGCGCAGAUGACUGGUUCUCGGGUGCUCAUCGCCUUUCCGGAUCCGAAUUCCGGUCAGCUCAUUCUCCUUCCUUAUGUUCUUGACUCCUCUGUUAAGCUCCAGAAGUCUCCUCUGCUUUCUCGUCCGCUUGAUCACAUCCGUCUCUCUUCCUCCUCUGCUUCCCUCUAUGGUGGUAAAAUGGCUACCAUCCGAAAUGGCGCUUCUGUUCAGAUUUACGCCUCGGUAAAGCUCUCUUCGAACAAUACCAAGAUCCACCAUAUUUGGAAUAGAGGGCUUUAUGUCCAAGGUUACUCUCCUACUAUUCAUCCCACUACUUCCAUCGAUCUCUCCUCCUUCUCAACCUUUGAUGUCACUUCAGGUAUCCAAAUACUUUCUCAAUAUCUAACAAAUGCAAAAUAAAUCACAUCAAGUUUUGUUUUUAUACAGUUUUGUUUCUACAGGAUUUGCAACGGUUAACCGAAACAGCGGUUCUAGAGCUUUGAAAGUGACUCACGGAGUACUAAACGCGGUGGCAUGGGGCUUUCUCCUCCCGGCAGGAGCAGUAACAGCUCGAUACCUUCGCCAAAUGCAAUCAAUCGGACCAACUUGGUUCUACAUUCACGCAGCCAUACAGCUAACCGGUUUCCUCCUUGGAACCAUUGGUUUCUCCAUUGGGAUCGUGCUCGGCCGAAAUUCUCCAGGAGUGACCUACGGGUUACAUAGGAGCCUCGGGAUAGCUACGUUCACUGCAGCUGCACUACAGACGCUGGCUUUACUGUUCAGACCAAAGACGACCAACAAGUUCCGGAGAUACUGGAAGUCUUACCAUCAUUUUGUCGGGUACGCGUGUGUGGUGAUGGGUGUGGUGAACGUGUUCCAAGGGUUCGAGGUUUUGAGGGAAGGAGGAUCAUACGCGAAGCUUGGUUAUUGUAUGUGUUUGGCGACGUUGAUUGGUGUCUGCGUAGCCAUGGAAGUGAACUCAUGGGUUGUGUUUUGUCGCAAGGCUAAAGAAGAGACGAUGAAGAGAGAUGGUUUGGCUGAAGAUAGAUGCAGCAGUGGGAUUCAUAGUUAGGUCUUGAGUCCUAAUUAUAAGAAAGACAGAGAGAGAGACGGUACACCUUUUAUAUAUCCUUGCUUAGCACCUAAAAAAAUCUCAUGUACAAUGUACAUUUUUUAGGUGUUCCAUCACUGUUCAUAUAAGAUCUAGAUCUUGAUUUUGUUAUGUUUCAAUAUGCUAAAAGAUCAGAUAUGAGUGUUUUUUCACAUAAUUUAUGGACAGUAUAGGAUCGGGUUCAAAGUUGACUUACCUUAAAGUUGUGGAUCCAUUAAUUGCAUCAUAUGGAGAUAUCAGACGUAGAGAUAUAAACCAAUUAGUACACAGAACAAUCCACUUUGGUCUGGCUAUUUGAAAGAUAUUACAUGAACACCUUUUAAGAUAACUACAAAAAAACCAUAAACAUCAAGACAAAGAUGCAAAUAGAUUAUGGCAGAAAUCGACAUAUGUAUUAUUCGAAUUUAUGAAAGAUCAUUUGGAUUCAGAAUAAAUACUCAAAAACAUGUACUAAGCGGCUGGCUCAUGAAGAUUGUGCAUUAUAUAAAUGGUAUCUACUACUUUACCUUAAAGAUUGACAAAGAAAAUUCAUGACAACUCAAGAAACUCCCAGCCCAUAAGUGUCACAGGAGAGAGAGUCUGGUUUCAGAAAUAUGGCAGUCAAAAUUACACACGAAUGCAACCAUCCUCAAAGUGACCUGUGUACCUAGCCAUCAAAAUUAAGUAAGUUGAACCUAACAGUAGCAGAUAUGCAAAUACAACAUUUCAGUCUGCAUAUGCUGAGAGGGUUCUUCACCAGUUGCAACGAGGUUUUUGCAAGCUACGAAACAGAACUAGAACAUAAAAAAUCAUUCUAAUUUCUUGAAAACGUAUACUUGCUUCUUUCAAUACAUGAGAUCUUAGAAUACAUACAACUCAAGCUUCGAAAACAAGAACCGACUCUAUGAGUAGCUCUCUGGUUUCCUAUUCUUUACAUCAAGAGGACAGUAAGAAUACUCACAUUAUGCUUCAGGAAACUAACUGGAGCAUCUUGGUCACCAAUUCCAAAGAAUAGCUCUGAGAAGCCCUGCAUGUCUAUGUAUUUGCAGCUCCCGCAAGAAGUCAAUUAAAAAUCAACCACAACUACUUUCUUUUGUUGAUCUAUAAUAAAUUCUUUAAGGCUUUAUCAAUGAUUCUAAGAAACCUUUAUGACUGAAGCUUGAGUAACAAAUAUUUCUGUUCGAGCUCUACAGUUAAUUCUCCUCACCGUCGCCACGCUAUCAGGCACACAUACUGAGGCAUGAACGUCACAUAUCAGUAACAUGUUCCAUUGUCUCACAGGUUGAAAUUAUUAUAUUUGGCUAACUCCCAUAUAACCAUCGUAUCCAUUAUCUUUCAUCAUCUGCCUGACUCUAACUACGUCGUCCCACAUUGCUUCUGCUGCAUAUAAGUUUGACAUCAAUACGUAUAGCCCUCCAUUCCUGUAAUCCAACAUAAACAUUUUCUUAGCUACAUACUCCCCAACCUCUAACUCUCUGUGAACAAUGCACGCGCUAAGCAAAGCACCCCAUACUGCAGAAUCAGGCUUUAUAUUUAUCUCCCAGAUUAAAUACAAUGCCUCAGUAAACAAACAUGCUCUACCCAACAAACCAACUAUAAGAGCAUAAUGCUGUAAGCUUGGCGAUAUUCCAAACUCUUUGAUCAUUGCUCUGAAACAUGUUUUUCCUUCAUCGACAAAGCCGCCAUGGGCACAUGCAGACAGAACCCCCAAAAAGGUGAUCUUGUCAGGUUUCAACCCCUUCUCUCGCAUUUCCAAGUAACAGGAAAGAGCUCGCUUUUGUAACCCCGAUAAGCUGUAUCCUGAUAUCAUUGAGUUCCAUGUUGCUGUGCAUGGAGCUUUUAUGCUCUUGAACACACUUUCUGCUAAUUCUGCAUCCCCACAUUUAGCAUACAUGUCUAUAAGAGCAGUGCAAACAAAGUUCUCAUUUUCAAUAUUGUUCCUAAGAGUAUAACUAUGAAGUUCCUUCCCCAAAUGCAAGUUACAGAGCUGGGAACAGCCAGCAAGCAAACUCGCUAUCGUAAUGGCAUCCGGCAAAGGUUCGCCACUUAACUUCAUCUGAUGGAACACCUCAAAUGCUGUCCUUGCUCUACCAGACUGAACACACCCAGAUAUCACUGAGUUCCAGCUAAUAAGAGGAGUCUCAUGCAGUUGCUGAAAUAAAAACAUGAAAGUCUCCACAUCAUCAAACUUAGAAUACAUAGUUAUCAGUCCAUUCACAACCAGUGUUUUUGUGCACAAUCCGCUUUUGAUCGCGUAACCAUGUAACGACAUCCCUAUAUCGAUAUGGGAAGAGUUUGUACAUCCAUGGAGAAUUCCAACCAAAGCUACAGCAUCAAUUUUCAUACACAGCUGACACAUUUUAGAAAAGUAAACAACCGCUCUGUCCAUAUCUCCUUUCUCAGCAUAGCUUGAAACAAUCGAAGUUAGACCAACAAUACUAUCUUGGUUAGCAGACGCGUAAAGACACUCUGCUGAAUCCGAAUCCCAACACCUUGAAUAUGCACAAACCAAAGAAGUAAUCACAGAGUUAUCGUUCACCAUUCCACGUUUAACAACAAGACAAUGUAAUGGCUCGUGACUAACAUGAGCUGAAAGAAGACUGAUGAUAGUGACUGGACUAAUCUCCACGUUCUUCUCAACCAUGUUCUUGAAAACAGAGAUGGCCUUGUCCUGUAACCCACUCUGGCUAUAAGCACCAAUCAUUGUGUUCCAAGAAACUGUGCUUUUGUCUCUCAUAUCUCUAAACAAUACUUCUGCUGAUUCCAACUCUGAACACUUUGAAUAAAAAGAAAUUAACGCAUUUUUCACCUGAGAAUCUAGUUCAAGACCAGACUUUGCAGCAACACCAUGAACAGACCUCCCUUGUGAAACAAACCCACAUUGUCCACAAAAAGGCAGCAAAUUCCCAAGUGUAGUAGCAGAAGGAGCAAAGCCUUGCUGAAGCAUUACAAUAAAGAGCUUCCAAGCAUCAGAUUCAUAACCAUUUCGCGAGUACCCACAAAUCAACGCAUUCCAAACAACGGUAUCUCUCUCAGACAUUUCGUCGAACAACACUCGUGCGCUCGUCACAUAACCCAUUUUUAAGUGCAAGUCAAGAAGAGAUGUUUUCACGUAAACAAACCGAUCAAGACCUGAUUUUGCGAGAUGGGUUUGUACUUGUGUGACUUGUAACUUGAAAGAAUCAAGAGAGGUGUGAUGAUGAGGUGAUAAAGAGGCAGUAGAGGAUUGGAGAAAGAUAGACAUGGUGAGAUGGUUUGGUAUAAGAGAUGAACGGAGUAAGUCACGGAAGAUAGUGAUCGGAGAAGAAGAAGAGAUAUCACCAUGAAUACAAGAUUUGAGUAGAGAAUGGAAGUGAGAUAGGUCUCUAAUGAAAGGUUUGGUAAUGAGCAUACUCUCUUGUUCGAAACUUCGAAUGUCUCGGAAGUCUAACUUUGUCUGAAAAGAAUCUCAGCUUUCACUUUUUAUUAGUACCUAUUUUGAUCAAGCAAGUCUCUGAUGUGCUUUCUUCGGUCGACUUGUGUGACUAAGCGUGUUCAGUUUCGGUUCUUUUUCAGAUUUGAAUUUGGGUAACUAUAAUCAAUUUGGGAUAAUUUAAAAAUAUAUUAAAAACUGGAAAAAAAUUGUGUAUAAAAGAAGAAUAUAGAUAAUUUUUAGAUAUAUAUAUUUUUGAUGUCAAUUACACUAAUUUGGGUAUUCAAAAUAAUUAUAUGAUUUGUGUGUUGUAUAUGUUUCAGAAAUUGAGUUGUGAAUUUUUUUAAUUAUGUAUGUUCUCUUUAUGGUUACAUUCAUCCAUGUUGGGGUUGUAUCUCAGCUCCGACAACAUAAAAUUCUUAUUCGUUGUCACUGUAAUUAGAAGACACUAUUGGAGAAAAAAUUGGGAACACACAAGAAAUUAGUUUAAUUAAUACAUAAAUCUUUUUACAAAUUGUCUUCAAAUUAAAUUUAUCGAGUGGAUUUAUUAAUUAAAAUUUUUUUUUUCAAAUCACAAUUUCUCGUCUACAAAUCUUAAAAUUUGGGAAUAAAACUAAUAUCAACAUAUUUUUUGGGAAUAAAAGCAUUUCGGAUUUUAAGAUUUGUGGUCGAUAAAUUGUGAUUCGAAAAUACAAUUUUGAUUAAUAAUAUCACUCGAUAAAUUUAAAUCAAAGACAAUUUGUAAAACUUUUUACGUAUUAAUUAAACUAAUUUCUUGAUAUCGCAAUAGGCUAUCAAUAAUUUUUCAGUCAACCACACAUAUAUUAAAAUAUUAUUCAAUGAUUUGUAGUCUAAUAUGGAUGAAAAGAGUUUACAAAUGAAAUCUAUGAAAAUAACUUUAUGGAUGAACGAGCUAAACAAUCCGCUAGAAUUACUAGAAUAUCAUGACUAUAGCUUGUUUUUAAUGUUUUAUUUAAUAUAUACCUUAAAAUGUGUAUCUUUUAUUUAUGUAUAUAUAUAUAUAUAUAUUUUCAAUUUUUAUGAAAUAAGAUAAAACAUAUUUGAAGGUAAGACUAAUUUUAGUUGUUUGAUGUAACAAAAAAAAUGAUUGUUUUCAUUUGGAAUUUGAUCUAUUAAGUCAUUUGCAUUUGCAUCUUGGAUCAAAUGCGAGGUAGUCUAAUAUUUUGCAUUUGUUACAAUUUUUUUUUGUUUUCAGAGUUGAAAAAUCAUGAAUUCAUCUAUGAAAUAGUGAAAGAUUAUUGGUGCACUAAGAUCAUACAUACAUCUACUUUGUAUGACAUUUUUAGUCUAUUUAAAUGGUGCAUAUCAAUUUAAAAUUGCACUACAUAUGCAUGUGAAAUAGUUUACAUUUACAUGAUUAUAUGGUUAUUUUGAUGGAGCGCAAAUGAAGAUGGAAGAGCAUGUUAAUCUAAUAAAAGGCGUAAGACGUCUUUGGUGAAAGUUGGGAUAGUCUCGGCCUCACUAAUUUUUUUUUACAUAGAAAAUUCAGUUUUUUUUACUUAUAUGAAUGUGACAUGUAAGGAAUGUUUUCAUAUGUUAUUAACUUUCCAUAAUGUUUGAAAAACUUUCAUAGGAAAAAAAAAGAGUAUAUUAGUCACUAGUUUUGUAUUGUGUCUUGCAAGAUUACUUAUUUAUUUAUAGGGAAAUGAUAAAUUUUAGUUUUUACUAAUUAGAUAGUUUUUUUUUUUUGUCAAACAAUUAGAUAGUUUUUUUUUUUUUGUCAAACAAUUAGAUAGUUCUUUUAAACUUUUGGUUUUGUUUUAUAUUGGGUUGGAAUUUUGGAAGUACGAAGUAGAAACUAAAAAAUCAAAUUUAUUUUAAAUAAAAACUAGAAAAAAAAAAUUAAAAAAAAAUUAAAAACAAAAGAACAAGAAAAAUGUAAGAUGAGUUUUGGUCUCAUCAAAGAUUGUCCAAAAGACCAAAAACAAAGGUUAUGCAUUUCAGUUCCUGGGCCGGCUUGGCCCAUAUGUCUUUAAACUCAGAUAUUUUAUUUUUUUCCUCUCAAAAUAGUUUUUAAGGCAAAAAAAAAAAGAAAAGAAAAGAGAGAGAAGAGAAAGCAUUAUGCCAUUAUCCCUUACGACGACGAAGCCGUCGUUUUGAGGUUUUUUUUGUUUUUGUUUUUUUUUUUUUUGGCACCGUUCGUUCAAAUCCUGAGAUCUUCUUCAAACUCUUCUUUCAUUGUCUCCUUUUUCCUCACUCCGUCGUCGUUUUGGUUUCAUAUCAAAGUUCUUCUUCGUCUCUGUUCCGCGCUGUUUUCCUGGUUAGUCUCUCUCCCCUUCUCCGGCGUCGUUUCGUUGCUUAACGUCUCUGUCUCUGUCUAUCUGAUUCCGUAUCGUCUGUAACUGACCAAAUGGAAAAUAAAAAUCAAACCUUUUUGUUUUCCUCUGUUAAUGGGAUUCGUAGUGUUUGAGGAAAUCUCUGUGGUUUUGAAUGAGGCUUGAAAGAUUGGAUUUUUGUUUAGGGUUUCUUCGAUUUUGUGGAUUGUAAUCUGUAAUUUUAUUGGAAUUUGCUUCAGGGCACAUGUGUUUUCAUUAGGAUUAUGUUUUUUGGGGGUAAAGUUUGAAGCUUUGGAGCUUUUUCUGAUUAAAGUUUGAAGAUUUAUUUGGUUUUUUUGUGCAGGUGAGUGUUGAUUCUGAUGGAUGUCUUAGCGAAUCCAGGGCCACUUAAGGAUGUUGUGCUUUAUGAUCAAGAGAAACAUGUUUCCUCUGCUGUUUGGGAUGGCCAGGUUUAAACUCUUCUCUGCACUUAAAAUCGAUUUGUGGGAACUGUGACAAAGAUUGGAUGAUUGUGCUUAGUGUUGUUGUUUCAUGUAUUUGCAUAAUGCUUUCUUUUUGUUGGUUCUUAGACUGAUAAUAAUGUGGAAACAAACUGUUAGGAGCGAGGUGCGUUGAGGUGUCAUGAGCACACAUCGAAGUUGGGUGAGUGGAAGCUUAAGCCAAAGCAGGUAGAGUUGGUUGAGAGAGCCGGUUUUGGGUAUUUGAGACGGAUCCCUGCCAUUAGUCUUGACAAUCCUCUUAUCUCUGCGUUAGUCGAGCGCUGGAGGAGAGAGACCAACACUUUUCAUUUCACAAUUGGGGAAAUGACUGUGACUCUUGAGGACAUUGCCCUGUUACUUGGAUUGGGGAUUGAUGGUAAACCUGUCAUUGGAGUGACAUAUACAACUUGUGCUGCGGUAUGUGAGAGGUACUUAGGGACGGCACCAGAUUCUAAUUACGCUAGUGGUGGGAUGGUUAAGCUUAGCUGGUUGAAAGACAAGUUCUCUGAAUGUCCUGAUGAUGCUUCUUUUGAACGUGUUGAGCGCUGUACACGGGCGUACCUAUUGUACUUAGUAGGGAGUACCAUCUUCUCUACAACCACUGGAAAUAAGGUGCCUGUUAUGUAUCUUCCGCUGUUUGAGGAUUUUGAUGAUGCUGGAACAUUUGCUUGGGGUGCAGCUGCUUUGGCUUUCUUGUAUAGAGCACUUGGGAAUGCUUCUGUUAAAUCCCAAAGCACUAUAUGUGGUUGCUUGACGCUAUUACAGGUGCUAUAAUUUCCAUUUCUGUCAAAUAUUUUGCAGUUUGGAUAAUUAUGGAAUUGAAUACAUUUAUUUAAUCUUCUCUCCUUUUUUUUCUUUUUGUUGUAUAGUGUUGGAGUUACUAUCACUUAAACAUUGGCCGGCCAAAGCUGAAUCGUGAGCCCGUCCAUGAUCAUUUCCCAUUUGUGCUUAGGUGGAAGGGGAAGCAAAAUGGUCCAACAGCAAACCGUGAUGUGGUCUUUUACCGGAAAGCAUUGGAUGCCUUGAAGCCAUAUGAAGUAAGCUUGUUUAUAUAUUCAUCAGCUACUCUCUUUUUCUGUACACUUCUGUUGAUCUAAUGUUGCUGAUAUACUAGGUGGAGUGGCUUCCGUACGAAAAUAUGGAUGGUAGAUACAUACCGGAUCAUAUAAGAAACUCUCUGCAGUUGGGUAGAUCGAAAACAAUGCUGAUAUCUUUUGACAAGGCGGAGAGACAUCUGCCUGAUCGCUGUCUCAAACAAUUUGCCUUGUUUCAAGGCAUCCCAGAAGAUGUGCAAAAGUGGGUAAGAAAGUCUAGGGGAGUUGAUGGAGGGAUUGACCUGUCAGUCAAAAUGGAAUCAGAGUUAAGCGAAUGGGAAAUGCGGUGGGAAAAUAUUGUGCCUGAUGAUGUUCUAGGUGUUGAUGAAGCAGACUACAUGAGGUGGUAUCUUGGAGUUACCCGGAAAAUUGUGGGAAGGCCUAUCUCUCUCUCAAGCGAGUUUCAAAGAACGGUAAUAGCUAAGAACAAGUUUCUUGACCCUCAGUCAUUUUGACAGUACGUCUCUAGGUAUGGUCUUAAUACUUAACACUUGUUGUUGUCGCAGAUUUCAAAUGUGAGGGAUAUAUUGGAGUUGGCAGAGAAUUUUCAAACACAUGAUUUGGAUCUUGAAAGAGGCAACAUGAUUUCAAGGAUUAUAAACCUUGCGCAAGAUUGCCUGAGAGAUCAAGUUGGAGUAACGGUUACAACAGAAAGCCAGCAGCAGAUCGAACUUGGGAAAAGAAUGCGCGGUAAAGAAAGGGUGAGAAGGAAGGGGAUGGGAAAGAGAAGGAAAGGUAUUGAUCCAAUGGAAGACUAUGGGGGUAGUGAAGAUGAAUCACAGUUUGGACCUGUGGUUGAGGUUGGUCAAAUGCAUUUACCACUUAGCCAUACAAAUUCUGUGUAUGAUGGAACACAUAUGUACGAUGCUGUCACCAAAGUUGAUGACAUGGAGCUUUGCGACUCCAUCCCUCAACUGCCCGAGACUCAAGACAUCAGCAAGAUUGACGGGUCAUUGCUAGACGACGCAGACAAGUCUUUUGAGGACAGUAAGUUACAUGAAGAAAUUGGUACAACUAAUGUUCUGAGCGGCGAGGAUCCAACUGAGGACAUUGGGGAACUGCCUGAGAGCUAUGAUGUGAAGAAAGAAGAUAAAGAAUCAAAGGUUGAAGAUUAUGAUGCAGCAAAGGAAAUCAGUGAUGUUAGCGGUGAAGAAAACGCAAACAGAGAGGAAGAAGAUGGAACAGAGAUGGGAGAAAGUAUUGCAAAUUCGUCUUCUCUUGAAAGAAGAGGAGAGAACACUGUGGUUGCUUGAAAACAGUUGGUGUAAUCUAUCUCUUGAGUUGUUGAGAGUUAUGGAAGUGACAGAUAGAUUCAAUGAGAGUUAUUUUACAUCAAGAAUGAAGAAGAAUGGCUGCAGAGGAAUUUAAGUUUAGUUUUCUGUUUUGUAUUUUUGAUUUUUAACUUAUUUUUCGUUUGUUUUGGUAAAGUACUGUCUUUUGUUUUAGAAGUAUGUUUAAGCAACUUAUCUGUAGAAGAAGAGGUUACAGAAAAAGUAUGAAACAUCAUACUCUGAUUAAGUGAUUAGUGUGACUCCAAUUAUAAUAAUUUAGUCGCUCUGUUUCCUAGCAGAAGCAAGCUUAGACCAACAUUAUUGGUGGGAUCUUAAAAAGUAUCUUAAACUAAGAUUUGUUAAGAAUAAGAUCAGAUCUUAACAAAUCUUAGCUUAAGAUACUUGUUAUAACUCCACCAAUAAUGUUGCCCUUAAAUUAUCGCAAGUAGAGACUUCUUAUAUUCAGGUCAUUUCCCUGCAAAUUCAACAUUUUAAUGCAAAUAUCACAAGAUAGUUUCACAACUUUUUUGUUUUGUUUUUGUUUUAAAUCAUCUUCUCCUAGUGUGGUUGACUAGUUUUUUUAUAUAAAUUUGAACUCAGUUAAAAAUAGUGUCAACUGAGAUAAAUAUAAUUUUUAUGUGUUUAAAUAUUAUAGAAAUUUAGAUUUUAAAAAAUAAUAAUUUACCAACGAUCUUUUAAUUUUUUAUUAGUUUUGCUCUGUUUAUUUUUAAUACCAUCAAAGACACAAUUUUAUCUAUUAAGAUGAAGUGCAUAGAGUUAAAAUCUAGUUUAUUAUGAUGAAACGAAUAGUUAAUUAUAUUGUUUCCGUUUAAAUGUGAAAUUUAUCAAUAGUAAAAGUGUUAUAUACAUAGUUCAUUAUUAGAUCUAAUUUGGCCAACUUUUAAUGGCUCAUGUAGUUCAUCUAACAAUUGGUCAAGUUUAUAGAUAUGAAAUUUACAAUGAAUUGUUGCCUUAUAAUCAAUAUUCAUUUCAAAUACCCAAAAUGUUUAACAAGACUCGUUAAUAUUAGAACCCGAAUUAAGUUUCAAAAAUGGAUUUUAAUAUAAGAAAUAUUUUGAAAGAAAUCAAACAAAAAUUAACAUCAACAUAGUAACAUAAAAAUCACACAUUUCCACUCAUACUUAAACCAAUAAGGCAAACAAUCUAACAAUAAUUUUUCUUUGACCAAAAAAAAAAUCUAACAAUUAGAAAUACCUAUCUAUUUAUGUAAAACCCGGUUUCCAUAUUCGAAUCAUGCAUUCUCUCUGUAGAUACUCCCAAUUCCUUGUAUUAAAUAAUAAAAGAUCUCGAAAAAAAUUAAACUUUAAAUAAAAACCAUAAAACGAUUAUCUUUCAAAUCACUUUUUCUUAUUAUAUAAAUUACAUAGAAAGAUAAUAAAAAUUCUAUAAAUAUCCAUUUUUGUAAGAUUCUUUGAAUAUAUAUUGUAAGAUUAGAUAGUCAUGUCACUAUUGCAGUAAAAAAAAAAAACAAAUUAGUUAAUUUAACCUAACAAAUAUGCUAUUUCCUCAUUCUAUUUCUCUCCCCUAUCUCUCUCUCUUUCUAUACAUCUAAUUGUUGUAAAGAGUGUAGUGUUUACUCAUCAAAAUUCCCAUUUUGUUCUUUUCUGAAUUUUAAAAUAACAACAACAACGUUAGCAAAAUUCGAAUGUGUUUAGAGAGAUAUCAAUGGUGGUUUAAUAAAUUGACCUUUAAAAUUCUCUUUUUUUAUUUUUCUCUAAAAACAAAAGUAGUCCUUUAAUAAAUAAAAAAAACAAAACAAAAACAAGUCCACUUGUGUAAGAAUCAAUACUUUUUGUUUUUGUUCCUCAGACUAAAGUUAAAAAAAAAAAAAAACAUAAUUGCAUAUAGAUCCCUCAACUUUAAUAUACUCUCACUUUAUAACCCAAUAAAAUCGAAACAACACUUUAAUGAGACACACGAGAUUAUAAUGCACUGGGUUCUGUGGGUCCCAAUGCUUCUUCUUUUUGUCGGCUUGUGUUUUGUGGGUGGAGAAUAUAUGUCAUGACAAACGUAUCAUCUAACCGUUAGAUCAAACUAAGUCCACAUAUGUUACGGUACACUUCACCCACACAGGAUUAUAAUCUCUUCUUCCUACUUUCUUCUUUUUCUUCUUCUCCAUAGUCAUUUCCAAGUCCAACCAUCUGUUUUUGGACGUGACCUUUUGUUCUUCUCUCCUCUCUCUCUCUCUCUGUUAUAAACCCAAUUUUGAGGUUGUUCGAUUUCGAUCUACGAGAUUCUUGAUCUUUUAUUACAAGAACUUUGAGAAAGCAUCUGUUUUUGUUUUCUUGGGAUUCUCGUUGGGUGUGUGUUUGGUCGGAUGGUGAUCUUCUCGAUGUUUGUGCAAGGUAAAUUCUUUUUGUAUUUUUUGGAGUUGUGUUAUUGUUUUUAAUUUAGGGUUGUAUUAAAGUUUUGAUUUUUAUGCGAAUCUUUGAUAUUGAAUCGUCGUCUCUUGACUCUCGUAGUAAAUUGAACCAAUUUGCCGACUUUUUUUUUAUAUGUAAUUUGGUUUCAAGAUUUUAAGGAAAUGCUUUGAUUUUUGGGGUUUUUUUUUGUCAAGAGUUUGAGAGAUUUGAGUUCUUGUUUGUUUAUUCAAUGUCAUAAAAACGUUAGAUCAUUAGGGAUGAGAAGCUUGUUUGGUUUGAAGAUACAUUUUAUGAGACUUUAUGGUUGAUUCUUUUGGACCAGUUUGGUAAUGGUUUAGUCUAUUGAUUGACUCGUUGGUUGGAGCAUAGGACAAAUUUAAGGCUUUGUUGAGAUUUUUGUAACUGUCAGAUUGAACAUAUUAAAUUGGAGACUCUGUUGUUCUUUAUGGCUUCACUAUGCUCUUAAGAGAUCCUUUUGAGUGGUUGUUCUGUAAUAGUUUGUUCCCUAUUGUUGUUUAUGUAGAGUUUAGUAUUAGUUCACUGAAGUAAUUUGGUUUCUGUUUAUGAGACUUUAGGGUUGAUUUGUUUGGACUAGUUUGGCAAUAGUUUAGUCUAUUGAUUGACUCGUUGGUUGAGCAUAGGACAAGUUUAAGUCUUUGUUAAGAUUGUUUGUAACUGUCACAUUGAAAGUCUCAAAAGUGGAGACUUUGUUGUUCUUUAUGGCUUCACUACUCUGUUUUGUUUCUAAGAGAUUCUUUGAGUGGUUGUUCUGUAACAGUUUGUUCCCUAUUGUUGUUUCUGUAGAGUUUAGUAUUAAUUUGGUUUUUGGUUUUGUUUAUGAGACUUUAGGGUUGAUUUUUUCGGACUAGUUUGGUAAUAGUUUAGUCUAUUGAUUGACUCGUUGGUUGAGCAUAGGACAAAUUAAAGUUUAAGGCUUUGUUAAGAUUGUUUGUAACUGUCACAUUGAAAAUCUCGAAAGUGGAGACUUUGUUGUUCUUUAAUGGCUUUCACUACUCUGUUAUGCUCUUAAGAGAUUCUUUGAGUGGUUGUUCAGUAACAGUUCAUUUUGUGUUUAUCUGCUUCUCCAGGCUUUGGGAACUAAAUGGAUUCGGUGUUACGCUCGAUUCUUUCCGGUUGUUAGCUCGUUUGAAUUCUUCUGUUACUGGUUAGAAAUCUUGUUGGUGUUUAGUUAUGGCUGAGGUUGAUAAAGUUCCGGUUAGUGAUAUGGAACUAGACGGUUCAAGCGAGACAAAAGCAGCAGUUGAUGGUGUUGUUGUUGCUGACAAAACGGAGGCCACAUCAGUGACUGUAACUAGAACUGAUGUUGUUUUAGCUGAUAAAACGGAGGCCACACCAGUGACUGUAACUAGAACUGAAGUUGUUGUUGAAGGUUGUCAAACUGAAAGUUCAAAAUCUGUUGACUGCAAAGAGCAGCUUGUUCCCCAAAUCACAGCUUCACAGUCGGAAGUAGAUGUCGCUUCCCCGACAUCUGAGAAAGCACCAAAGGUUUCUGAGAGUAGCACUGUCUUGUCUUUGCAGUCUACUUCGGAAGGGAAUAGCCCUUUUAUACGUGAGAAGGUUAUGGAAGACGGAUACAACUGGCGGAAAUAUGGACAGAAGCUUGUUAAGGGGAAUGAGUUUGUGAGGAGCUAUUACAGAUGCACGUACCCAAACUGCAAAGCGAAAAAGCAAUUGGAGCGGUCGCCUGGUGGACAAGUCGUGGACACUGUUUACUUUGCUGAGCAUGAUCAUCCGAAGCCUCCUACUGGUGCUGUUUCUAUUAGUCAGGAUAAACGAAGUGAUGUCGUCACAGCUGUGAGUAAAGGUGAAUAAAGAACAGAUAUUAUUUCUUAUUUAUAAGAAAGUUUUUGUUAGGGCUUAUGAUGUGGUAACAUAUUAAAUGUAACACUGUUUCUUUUUGGUAUUAUAUUUUGUAGAGAAAUCAUCUGGAUCCCUUGUUCAGACACCUCGCCAAACCGAACCACCAAAGGUCCACAGAGGAUUACAUAUUUCAGUUACUCCUGCAGCCGAUGAUGUGAAAACUGAUAUUUCACAAUCAAGUAGGAUAAAGGGCGACAACACUCACAAGGAUCUUAGUAGUCCUUCCUCAAAGCGAAGGUAUUGAUGGUUUAUAUUUUCAGCUUUGUUAUUUCAGGGUUCUGAAGGAAGGCUUUACCAUUGGUGUUCUUUGUUUUUCUUAUUAUGUCGAUGUCACUAAAUCAGGAAAAAAGGAGGGAACAUCGAGCCGAGUCCAGUGGAGAGGCCAACCAGUGAUUCACGCAAUGUGGUUCACACUCAAACUCUAUUUGAUAUUGUGAAUGAUGGGUACCGAUGGCGUAAAUAUGGUCAGAAAUCAGUGAAAGGCAGCCCAUAUCCGAGGUAGUGAAUUGAUUACAUAUUAAAGUAUGAUGUCAAACUUUUGGUUUCAUUCUUCUCUGCUUAUUUUCUUUCUCUGUUUGAUGUAUUAGGAGCUACUAUAGGUGCUCAAGCUCUGGCUGUCCAGUCAAGAAACAUGUGGAGAGGUCAUCUCAGGACACAAAGUUGCUUAUAACUACUUACGAGGGAAAACACGACCAUGCUAUGCCUCCAGGAAGGGUUGUUACUCAUAAUAACAUGGUGGACUCAGAAGUUGAUGAUAAAGAACAGAAUGCUAAAGAAGGAGAUGCCAACAAGACUCCACAGAGCGCAGCUCUUCAAUCCAUUACCAAAGACCAGCAUGAAGAAGAUCACCCAAGAAAGAAAAUUAAGACCAAUGGCUUUGAGAAAAGUCUUGGUCAAGGUCCUGUCUUGGAUGAGAAAGUGAAGGAAGAAAUAAAAGACAUAUCAGAUGCAAACAAAGAUCACGCAGCCAAUCACGCCAAGCCGGAAACAAAGUCAGAAGAUAAAAUCGCUGCUUGUCAUGAGAAGGCAGUGGGAACCCUGGAGACUGAGGAACAGAAACCCAAGACAGAGCCUGCCCAAAGCUAAGCAUUCGGUGUUGUACUGAGUGGUAAUUUAUAUGGCUGUUUAACAUAGAUUAGUACAGGCGAUAUGAUUACAGACUGUACAGUUGUUGUUCAGGCAGGACCAGAUUUUUAGAUUAGUGUUAAAUGGAAUAGUAUGCUUACUACCAUUAUAUAGCCGCUUUCAUUUGGUUCAAAUAAGAGUUACAGGAAGAGAUGGUAACACAACAAGUGUCUUUCUUUAUUAUGGAGCCUGUGUAAUAGUUGUAGUAUGGGGAUGUAUAUGAUUUGAUUCAGAUUCAACCUUAUUAACCGUAUUGAGACAACAAUCUAUUACUUCCAAUCUAUCGUUUGCAUUUUUAUUCUUUCACUUCCAGGCACAAGAUGAGACCAAGAUUCUGUCCAUCCAACCAAGGUACAAAGCACCAUCACUUUCUUCAAUCACAUACCCGUUGCUGUAAUCUCUCAUCAGGGCUCUAAUGGUGGCUGAAAUUAUUGAGCUCAAGGGGUAUGGCUCAAAACCCGCCAUGGAAAACCUUGAUUUCCAUUUCCCGAGAAGCUCGUGCCUUUCGAUCCUCUCAGCUCCUUCACAAGCUAUGAUGUUGACGACAUCCCUUGCCAAGCAGUGCUGCUCGAUGUUGAUCCUUUCCUUGUGAUUUCUAGGAAGCAUCACAUCAAUAGAUUCAAACAUUGCUGUGUAAUAACUUAAUGUCUCAAGGAACCUAGGAAAGAAAGGAGAAGUGUUUGUGUUGCAUUCUUGUUCCACAAGAGUGACCACUUUAGGUGAUAGACUCUUCACCAUCCUCAGCACUCGGUCCCUGUGGUUUUCCAUGCUUACACUCUCAUCUGGCAAGUGGUGCAGCAUGUAAGCAAAGUUUACUCCAAGGGCUUCGCCUUCCCGGACAUCAAGAUUUUCCACUUCAACUUCAUAACUCGGCCUUGAAAUCGCAUUGAACUUAAAUGGGACAUCAAACUUCUUUGCAAGUUUCUCUAGUCUUCUCUUAACUGUAACCAAAACCGAUACAUCACCAAUUCCGGUAAUUCGAAUAUUUGGAGCCCCACCAGGCCUAGCUGCAAAAGCCUGAAUCAGCGAAAUCCACUGGCUCCCUUGCCCAAUUUGGAAGUCAAUAAUGUGAAUUCUUUUCUCAUCCUUCAUUGCUUCAGCGAUCGCCCCAUUCGCUGACAUGUACCCAAACUUUAAAUAUGGACAAACCUCAUGCAGAACAUACACAUAAGACAAGAAUUCAUAACUCUCAGGUUCUCUGGAUUGGAGAGAUUUGUAUAUCGAACUACCAGAGGCGGCGAGUCUUGCCACUAGACCUUCUAACAUGUAAGCUCCCAAUCUCUGGAUUGGCGCACCAGAAAUCGAAACCAUACCACGCAACUCGCCCAUACACCAUCGCGCCAUUAGAAGAUUAUUCUCAGAAACAGCUUUAGCACAAGCAACCAGUACCCAUUUCAAGUCUCCCCUUGAUAUUGCCUCCACUAUCAACAACAAAUCAUUAGCAUCUUCAGGCCACAUGGAGAGUUCAUGGCAAAUAGCAUCAUUAAUACUCUCAGCUAUCUCUGGCAAUGGCUGCAACAUUGUUGUUAUCCUCAAGAUUUGACUUUUACUUAUCUGAUCUUCAUAACACACAGUAUACAAUAUACAUACCCCUUCCUAACAACAGCCAAUCAUAUAAGGCUGCAACACCUGUAGAAGUCAUACACAAGUCUUUAAUCAGAUAUGGAAAUCAAAACUCUUUCUACAUCAACUAUGAACUACUUCAUCAAUAAACAACAUAAACUAACACUUCCAUCAUCCAAUUAUAAGAUCAAAAUUUGACAAUUUCUCCUCAGAGUUUAGAGUAAACCUCAAGAGAGUGCGUGGAAUUUGCAAAAUUGUAAACAAAAGGAGAAAAGAUUCAAGCUUUGUGUACAAGAAGAAGCAGAGCAUCAAAAUCCGAGUAUAAAGUUUAGAUUUUUAUGGCAAGAAACUAACCUUGUGAAGAUUAAGAAGUAAUCUUUUGGUGUCAAAGUAGAACAGAUUUGGUUUUGCAAGUGAGAGAGAUCCACCCCAAAGCUCGCAGUUGAAGCAAAAGGAAGAAUCUUUAAGUGGCUGUAAAGAGAAUACGACACCGUUUCAGUUUAAACCCGAAUAAGACCCGAUCACCCACUUGGUAAUUUUGAUAUGACCCAUCUCACUUAAAGUCUCUGGUCUCAAAUGGGGAAUUGUGUAAGAAGCAAUCUAAGAGACUUCAGAGCAAGACGAUCGAUGGAUCCUCGGAUAUGGCACAAAGUCGCCGCAGUUUCCGGUAAGAUUUUGGAUAAAGUAAUGAUCUUUGAAUUGAUCACUUGAUAAAGUAAUGAUCUUUGAAUUGAUGGUGUAAGGAAGAUACUGAUUUCGUUUAGUGUUGUAGGUAUGGCUGCUCUUGGUUUAGGAACUUACGGUGCUCAUGGCUUUAAACCUGAAAACCCAUCUUACAAACAGGUUCAGAUUCUGAAUUUGUUGGAAAAUUUGAUUGCUUUUUUGAGAUUUUAGCUAUUUGGGUUUUGUAUUUGUUGUUGGAUUUGUCUGAAAAAGUUGAGGUUUUUGUUAGGUGUGGCAAACGGCUUCUCUUUACCAUUUGGUUCACACUGCUGCUCUUGUUUCUGCUCCUACCACCAAAUAUCCCAACAUUGUAAAGCUUUCUCUUGUUUCCUGUGUUUCUCCAGUUUGUGUCAUUUGCUAGUUGAUGCAGCUGACUUAUGAUUUUCUUGUACAGUUUGGUGGCUUGUUGACUGCUGGGAUUGUAGCGUUUUCCGGCACGUAAGUUUCUCAAGUUCUUCAAUUUAAGCUCUUGAAUUGUUGUGUAUGUGAAGCUUGUGGGCAGUUUGUUAAAUCUCUUGUAAUUGAGCAAUUUAAAAUGAAUUGGAGUUUCGAGUAUACACUCUAAUCUUUUGGCAUUGGAAAUAUCUUGACAUGUUUUGUACUCUGAGUUAUCUAAUCAUUGCAUCACUUACUAGUUGCAUAGAUCUUUGUGGGUGAGGCUUGUGAGCUAAUGAUUUGAUUUAAGAAUCCAUGCUUUUUCAUGAAAUAGUUUGCCCCCUCCCACGAACCAUGUGUAGCAUAGUCUAUGCAAGUUAACUGUAUUUAAGAUUCUUAAUAUGUAACUCUAAUGUUUUGAAUCAGUAGUCUAUUUCCAGGUAAUGAAUAUGUGACAAGUUUCAUGUUCGUCAAAAUGUUGCAGGUGUUAUAUGGUAGCGUUGCGUGAGGACAGAAAGUUUUCUACCAUGGCACCAUUCGGAGGCUUUGCGUUCAUUGCCGCAUGGGCAACCCUGCUUUUCUAAACAAUCUCAAAACCAUCUAUAUUGUUAAGUUGUGGUCAAGCCUCAUUGUUUAUAUUGGUUAAUGCAAUUCUGUGUUGACUACCGUAAAACAUCUUCCUUUACUUCUUCACUUUGUUGCUAAAGGGAUUAUGUAAAGAGAAAUGACCAGAUUAAUGUAAUAUUAUUACCAUACAAUUUAUCAAAAUUCUACAUUACAAAACAAGCUCCAGAGGAGUUAAAAAGUGAAAUUUCGAAGUUCCAACAAAGACUGGAUUUAUUUUAUAUUGUGUACCAGUAGUAACAAUUUGAAAUAUCAGUCCACUCAUCAUCUUGCAUGUGCAGCUUGGCCCUUUCCUUUGAAUCAUUUGGUAUACUCAAAAUGGCAUGAACCGUGACCUAUCAAACCAUGAGAUAAUCAGAUGCAGAUGGUUCAAGAUCUUGAUUGAUCAAAGAGAUUAAAGAACUGUUGACAAAAGGGUCUAUAGGGGUAAAGAAGCUUACUAGGGUCGUUCUGCGUGAGUAUUCCAGCGCUGUUGAAGUAACAUUCAGCACCCCUGUGCUUAUAAAUCUGGUAAUAACUAUUGAAGACAAAAGAGGCAUGGUCCUUGAGAGUGUUGGGCUCAAAGCAAGGCUGGUUAGGCUGAAUCUGAGUGCAGUCUACUCCGCCUUGUCGACAAGCCCAGUCUAAGGCUGCUUGUAUCACAUAAUCUGGUAUCUGUGAAUCGACUACACACCAUUGUCCGAACUCUGCUUUUGCUAUAUAUAUAAACACACACAUAUAUAUUAUAGCUUUAUGAGAUUAUGUGAUUGCUAGUGGAUGUAACAAUAAUAUUGUACCUGAAAACGUUAGUGUUAUGAAAAGUAGAACAAUUGAGAUUCUUGACCAGAAACUUUUCAUCUUCACAAACAUGUAAGUUGGGAAGGUUUGAGGAUUGAGAGCUUAAAGAUGGUCAUAACUCGAGUGUUCUAUAGUAUUAGUAGAUAAUCUCUGUUUAGUAAGGUUAUGUGUAAUUCUUAUCAUCUGCCAAAAUUUUUAGGUAAGAAGUUACAUUUUGGAAGACUACUAAUUUCUUCUUCUUUGACCAAAAAUAAAACAGCUAAUUACUUCUUCUCUUUACUAGGGAUGCAAUACCAUGAGUGGCUAUAAUACUUCAUAAGCUUAUAUAUCUUACUUUUCUCAUCUUUGAUAUACUUGUUAUAAGUUUCUUAAAUUUGGAAAUUUAUAUUUGACUGAUAAAAAACACUAUGGUAACUAAAAGUUUAAACUAUUUCUAAUAAAUUACAAUAAAAAUAAUUAGAAGACUAUAAAUUGUUGACCAAAAAAAAAAUACGACGAAUUAAAGAUUACUAAACAAGAUUUUAAGUUUAUUUUUAGGUUUUUUUCUUUGUACCAUUUUAUGAGAUUUUUCUCAAGUUUUUAUGCACUUUUUAUAUUAAUUAACUAAUUUUUGACUACUUAAAUUUUGCAGGAGGAGGGAGUAGUUGAGUAUGAAUUUGAUAAAAAUUUAUAUGGUCAAAUUAUUUGAAUAUUGGAAUGUGGUUAAGCUAUACUACAUGUGAAUUCACUCCUAUCAUCUAAUCGAUUAGUAAAUUAUUUCUUCACCCGAACCGAAAAUAGAAAAUAUCCGAACAUGUUCUAUAUUGCUAAAUCCGAAUACCCAAAAAAUCAACAUAACUAGAACCAAACCCGGACGGAUAUCCGAAUGAGAAAGCUACAAUUCAAAACAAGACACAUAACAAAGCAAAACAUGUAAACAAUAAGCUGGAUACAUUAUAACAUAGAUAAGACAAAAACAGUGCUCACCCUCCUUUGCUCUAUCUUAUUGACCAGGAGUCAAUUCAAACAUAUAGAAACCAAAAACAAUCGUAUGCAUACAUGGUUAUGAGUGUCUCUUGAUAUGCUAUUUGCAAGACACUGAGCUACUAAAUAUAAAACAAGGAAUCAAAAAUUACCAACGAGUAACUUCACUGAUUAAUCAAACAUAAAAGCAAAACCGAAGAAAGAAAAAAACUUAGAAAGAGCUUCAAGAAACCAUGUUUCCUUAGAAAGAGCUUCAAGAAACCAUGUUUAUCUUCCACUUCACUGGAUUCGAACCAAACUUGUAACAUAAUUGAAUAUGCAUGGAUGCUCCGUCCAGGUUUCAGAUGAUACAAGAGAGUGUUCAGUGUAAUAUGCACCGUCCUCUCCCAUAAUAACCAUAUGACUGUUAAAAUCCUUUCUUUUAAAACACACGACCACUUUUUUCUCUUCAUCGAUCAGAAAGCUAAGGGGGCAUAUCAAAUAAAAACAAAAAUUAGUGGGAAGUUUUAAUUCCACACUAAAUGAUUUCCUCCACGACAAGGUAGCUUGAGUAUCAUCAAUGUUAUUAGACAUCCAAAUAUCAAUAUUUGAAUAGUUUUGAUGUAUCACUGAGAUUUGUUCUUCUCUAACUACUGAUAGAAUUAUCCAAUCACAAUCCUGAACUGGCGGUGGAAGACAUCGCAAAGGUUUAAAACUCUCUGUCUUAAAAUCAAAACUUAGUAACUUAUUUUUUGCUGUAAACCAAUAACUAUUUCCUUUCAAAGACACACCAGUUUUAACUACUAUGCUGUCUUGUAAAGAGAACUUAUCAAAAACCUUCCAUGAAUCAGAGCUAAACUCGUAGAUUUCAUAUGAAACAUCAUAGAAUCGUUCAUUAAUGUCAUGUCUCCAACACCUCAAGAUUUUGUAGCUACGACAAGAUUUGUUGUUUUUGUAUCCUAGAGCAAACCUAGAGUACUGUUUCUUGUAAUCAGCUUUGAGUUGAAUCCACCUGGUUUCUCUCAAACACGGGUUCCAAACCACGAGUUUAUCAUCAUCCGUAGUGCAUAACAACAAACCAUCGCAAUGAAAAACUGUUUUUAUAUGGACUUGUUCUGACUUAUAAUAUGAAUCCUUUAAGCUAAGUGCACUCUUAAACUCUAUAGAUGGAGCAGUAACGUUGAGAUUCACGUUCAUUGGAAAAACCCUAACAUCCUUCAACAUGAGAAUCAUUGACUCCUUAGGAGCUGUGCGGAAGUGCUUAUGGGUGAAUCUUUGGUUGUAGAAUAAAGCGUUCCAUUGUUUGCAAGAAGACCUUAGUCGUUUCAGAGAUGUGGCUGGGACUCUAUAGAGUAUUUCCUCUACCAAUUCCACCGGAAGUUUCUGCAUCAUCAUUGGUUGUCCAAAGGAAGAAGAAACUGACUCAUGCAAAGCAAGUAUAAUUAGGGUUUUGAGUUUUGUCCCUUUAAACCAAUCUUUGUCUUAAUUAUAAAGAGAAAAAUAUCGUAUGACGUUGGCUAAGACAAUUAUUUUAAUUUCACUUGUCAGCUUCUAAAGUAUUUUUUUUUGCCAAAAGAAAUAAUAAUAGAAAGAUGACAAAAAAAAUAAUAAUAAUAAUAGAAAACACAAGGGGAAAUUAAUUUUAGGAAAUUUGAUUAAUAUAUGGAGAAGGAACAAGUGGGCUAGUGGUUCUCAGCUCUGUUUGCCUUUUCACCAGAUUCGGGUUUGAGCCCGGUCCCUCUCAAAGAGUGACUUAUAAUUUAUAAUGAUGUAAAAAAAUAUAUAUAUUUUAUAUAUUGAAAUUUUUCCAUUUACGCCUUCUUUAAUAAAAUUAAAAAAAAAUAAAAUCUAAGAAAGUUAUUGCGAAAAAUUUAUGACAGAUAUUCUACUAUGAAGUACACAAAUAAAAAUAACCUUAUAAAUUGUAAGAAUUUACAUUGAAAUAUCAUUACAAAAAGUUUAAAAAUGAAUAAAAAACUGAGGAUAAUAAAGAUAAUUAAAAAAUUUAAAAAAAAAUUUAGCAAGAUAAUCUAUAAACUAUAAAUAAAAUCACAAAAUAAUCAUAUUUGUAUAUACAAACAUACGUGGUACAUAAAUAUUUAAUUAAAUUAAAAAAGUUUAUCACAAAUUUAUAUCAAAUAAAGAGUUCAGUACCUAGUAAUAUGUAUGAGUAAUAUCAUGUGACUAAUGAGUAAUGACAUACAUACAUUUAAAGUGUUUAUGUCUACACUUCAAAAAAUAAGGCUUCAAAAAAGUAAGGCUUUUAACGUCAGUUUUUAUAUGAGUUAACGUCUUGAAUAGCAUAUAUGUGCUAUGAGAGUCUCUUACUAGGGUCGUAGUUAGUGAUCAUUGCAGUACCGUUGAUGUAACAAGAACCUCCCAUGUGCUUAUAAUGCUGGUAAUAACUAUUGAAGACAACAGAGGCAUGGUCCUUGAUAGUGUUGGGCUCGAAGCAAGGCUGGUUAGGUUUAAUCUUACUGCAGUCUGCUCCACCAGCAUGACAAGCUCGCUCAGUCUAUGGAGUGCUUUGUAACACAUCAUCCGAUGCCUUUACAUUGUCUACACACCAUUUUUAUAAUACAUGAACUUCUUUAUAAAUUUAAUAUACGGCCAAAAUAUAUACUUUCUAACUUGUUCAACUAAGAAACGCACAUUAACAAAGUUUUAAUAUGUUAUAUUAGUCUAAGGACUCUGAAAAAGAGAUCUACAAGAAAAUCGGGUAUGUCAAAACUUCUUUGUUUGAUGUGUCCAAGAUGUGACACAUACCAAUAUUAGUAACCUAGGAAAGCUGAAUUGAUUAUAGUAUAAAAUGGAUGGUCAUAUAGCGAAACCAUCUCAUCUAGCUGCAUUGCAUCAAUAUGAAUCAAAUAAUCUGUUGGGUGUACAUUCUGAGAUGGUGAAGAGGAAGAGUUGUAUUCAUCAUCAGGGGAAGAUUCUUCGACAACGAAAAGUAACAUAUAUAGUAAUUAAGGCAUGGAUAAUCAAAGGCAAAAAAACAAAACCGAAGUAAUAAAAACUAAAAAGGAGCUUCAAGAAACCAUGUUUCCUUGCUAGCUAGUUUCAUUCUUCUCCCUUUCAUCUUCCACUUACUGGAUUCGAACCAAACUUGGAACAUAAUUGAAUAUGCAUGAACGCUCCGUCCAACUUUUAGAUGUUACAGUAGGGUGUUCAGUGUAAUAUGCGUUGUCCUCUCCUAUUAUAAUCUUAACAAUGUGGUCGUUAGAAUGCCUUACGUUACAACACACGACCACUUUUCUCUCCUCAUCGAUCAAAUAAAAAGAAGAAUUAGCGGGAAUUAUUAACUCCACACUAAAUGUUUUCUUCCACGACAAGGUAUCAUCAAUGCUAUUAGCCAUCCAAAUAUCCAUCUUUGAUGUACGAUAGUUUUGAUGUAACAUUGAGAGUUGUUCUUCUCUAGCUACUGAUAGAAUUAUCCAAUCACAAUCCUCAAAUGGCACCGGAAGACGACAUACACGACUAAAACUCUCGGUCGCAAAAUCAAAACUUAGCAAAACCUUCUUUAUUGUAACAAAGUAACUAUUUCCCUUCAAACACACACCAGUUUGAAAUGGUAUGGAGUCUUCCAAAGAAAACUUAUCAAAAACUUUCCAUGAAUCAGAGCUAAACUCAUAGACUUCAAAUGCAUUAGGGUUCCAACAACACUUCAAGAUUUUGUAGCUACGACAAGAUUUGUUGUUUUGGUAUCCUAGAGCAAACAUUGAGUAUUUCAUGUAAUCAGCUUUGUGUUGAAUCCACCUGGUUUCUCUCAAACACGGGUUCCAAACAACGAGUCUAUCAUCAUCCGUAGUGCAUAACAACAAACCAUCACAAUGAAAAACUGUGGUUAUAUAGACUUGUUCUGGAUUAUAAUCUGAAUCCUUUAAGCUAAUUGCACUCUUAAACUCUAUAGAUGGAGCAGCAACGUUGAGAUUCACGUUCAUUGGACAACCCCUAAAAUCCUUUAACAUGAGAACCAUCGACUGCUUUGGAGCUUCGUCAAAGUGCUUCUUGGUGAAUCUUUGGUUUUCGAAUAAAGCGUUCCAUUGUUUGCAAGUAGAGCCUAAUCGUUUAAGAGAUUUGGUUGGGACUCUAUAGAGUAUUUCUUCUAUUAAUUCCCACGGAAGAUUCACCUUUGUUUCUCUAAAGGCGCGACUGAUAUUGCAAGACUAUAUAAAUUAGGGCUUUGAGUUACGUCCCUCUAAUUAGACCAAUCUCUGUCUUAAAAAGAGAAUAAUAUGGUAUGACGUUGGCUAUGUUUUUUUUUUCUUUUUAAUUUCUGAAUCUUAUUUUUAUUUAAUUUGAUACAUAUAUAUAUUAUAGAAAAUUUAAGAAUUUUUUUUUUUUAAAUUAGCUUUUUAGCGUCAUUCAUAGAACAUGAUGUCAUCUACAAAAACUUUCUCAUCAUUUCAUAAGAAAAAGGGGCUUCAAAGUAACUGAGAGUUGAGUCCUCCAUUAAAGGAAAAGCUUGGGAAGAGGAUGAAGGAGGAAAGCGAAAAGAAGCAACAACGAUGAAGAGAAGAAGACGUUUGCCAAACAUGUCGUGAAGAGGGUGAACGACACAGAAUAUUAGGAAGAGAUGGCUAUGUUGUUUUGUAAUAAAAGACCAUUGGACUAUUGGGGUAAUUAGGCCCAAUGAGUAAGUGUGUUAUCUAAGUGAGUCAAAAUCUUAGUUAACUUUUUUUUUUUUGGUAACAAUGUAAAAUAUUUAUACAAUUUUCGAAAUUGUGACAAAAGUUUUUUUUUUUUUUUUGGAUAAAAGAUAAGUUUUAUACAAAUUUUCGAAAUUUUCGAAAGAAAUUACAGAGAAUAACAGGAAACAGAUAACAACACCUACAAAAAAAAAAUUAAAAUAAAACAUUACUACUCAAAAAUGCUACGGAUCGCUAAUGAGAUCUUAAGGCUAAGUUGCGAAGAGAAACCGAUUCCGAGCCCACGAAUCUCGGAAAUUUGCGUGGUUGCCACAUAACCGAAGAACUGGAAUUCUCAUCCUUAUUGCCACGAGCCGAUCUAACCGAGGCCAGCCUUCAAAACCUCAUUAUAGAAGCCUACAACUUCUCCAAAAACUAACUCAAAAAUGUAAAGGCAACCGCGGACUUCUACCCACUCAUUGUGACAGAAGUUAGAAGUUGUGUUGGAGUUGUUAGAGUGUAAGAAGAGAGUGAAUCAAGGAACUAGAGUUACAUUGAGUGAGUAGAGUGGCUACUAGUUUGGCUUGUUUAAGAGAGUAGUUAAUAGAAGUAUAGUCUAAGUGCAAGUGUGCAAAUGUGUAGUAGAAGUGGGAAAUAUAGUACAAGUAUGUAUGUGUGUGUUGUAAGAAAAGGCAUUCAAGUGAUCAAUGUUAACAAUGUAGACAUUAAAAGCUAAACGUGUGUUCUUGUUUCUCUCUAGAGUAAAGUGAAGAUGUGGUGUUGAAUGAGUUUUAUAAGCUAUCUUAACAUGUCAACAUAUUACGAUGAUAUAUGAAGUGACUGGAUAGAAUUGACAUAGAAGAUGAAGCAGUGCUUGUACUAGUUCUGACGUCAAUACAGGAAGUAGUACAAUAAGGUGAGUUGUGCGAGUACUUGAAGUAGUACAGGAGGCAGUACAAGAAGCCGAGCUGUGUGACUACUUGAAGAGUUGGAGUACAGAAGUUUGGGACCGACUUGGGCAAGCCAAGAGGCGGUUGCUGAGCUGGAUGAGCAUCUUGAAUUUACGAGAAUGUGAAAGACAAAUUUCCUUAUCUAUAAAGAGCAAAGGAAAUUUGUCAAUUCCUAUUUGAUGAAGGAAUAGGAAGAUUGUCAAUCUUUAGGGUUGAGCAAUUGUUAUAAAUAUCAAGAGGGCGCUUCAUGAAGACUUGCGCGCCUCAGAGUAUUCUCGAGAAGAUGCACACAAGGUGUGUGGCGUCGCCCCAUCAACAAGAUAGAGAGAUCUUUUGAUGGUUUUGUAGAAGAGCUACACUAGUCGGAAAAGACAAUUAGUGGUAGUCUUCUUUCAUUGUAAUUCUAGGAAAGAGUUGGUGGAUUCCAUAUAGCAAUUGUAGGUUGCGAACUUUUCUAGUUAAUGAAGUCUGGACUAGGUCCCGGGGAUGUAGGUUAUCUGAACCCCGUUAGCAAAGCUUGUGUCUUAUUUACUUUAUGCUCAUACAUACUCGAAGUAGAUCGUACACAUAGUUGAAUUAGUCACACAUAUGCACUUUCAUAAAGCACAAAAAAAACGUUACCGUUGUAGAGAAAGUUGACCGCAUGACUAAUAUUGGGCUUCUCCUUUUUGAUUGAAAUAGAGGUCUUAUCCAAGUUGUCUUGAUACAGAGUGAUAUUGCUUUUACCCUCCUUCCAACUUGAGGUAGGUGGCACACCAAUAGAAAAAAUUGAUCCAUAGUGGUAUUGCUUUUAUUCUUCAAACAAUUGAUGCAUAGUAACUAUAUUUCAGAUGCUUACUAGGUAACUCUAAUGUUUUUGGAUCAGUAGUCUAUUUUCAGGUAAUGAAAUUGUGAGGAGUUUCAUGUUCGUUGCGUGAUGAUAGAAACAUUGGCACCAUUCGGAGGCUUUGCGUUCAUUGCAGCAUAGACGACAACCCUACUUUCUUAAACAAUCUAAAAACCAUUUAUAUUUGGUCAAGCUUAUCCGACAUAUGUACUCAUUGUUUACUCCCUAUAGGAGAUUGCUUAAUGCAAUUUUGUGUUGACAUCUUCCUUUACUUGUUCACUUUGUUGCUGAAGGGAUUAGGUAAAUGACCGGAUUAAUGUAAUCUUAUUACCAUACAAUUUAUCAAAAAUCUACAUCAGAAAAUAAAAAAAAGUGAAACUUCAAGUACCAACAAAGACUGGAUUUGUUUUUUUUGUGUUUUAGAUUGGAUUUGUUCAAUUUCAUAUUGUGAACAAGUAGUAACAAUUUGAAAAAAUCACUUUAUUCAUGUGCAGCUUGGCCCUUUCCUUUGAAUCAUUUGAUAUACUUAAAAUGGCACGAACCAUAACCUAUCAAAUCAUGAGAUCAUAGACAUAUAAUAAAUCAAGAUCUUGAUUGAUCAAAGAGAUUAAAUAACUGUUAACAAAAGGGUCAUAUGAUAAAGAAACUUACUAGGGUCGCGUUGUGUGAGUAUUGCAGCGCUGCUGAAGUAACAAUCAGCACCCAUGUGCUUAAGAAUUUGGUAAUAAUUAUUGAAGACAACAGAAGCAUGGUUCUUGAUAGUGUUGGGCUCAAAGCAAGGCUGGUUAGGCUGAAUUGUACUACAGUCUACUCCGCCUUGUUGACAAGCCCAAUUUAAAGCUGAUUGUGUCACAGAAUCAGGUAUCUGUGGAUCGGCUACACACCAUUGUCCAAACUCUGCUUUUGCUAUAUAUAAUAAAAGAGACACACAUAUUAUAUCUUUGAGAUUAUGUGAUUGCUAGUGGAUGUAACAACAAAGUAGUACCUGAAAACGUUAGUGUUAUGAAAAGUAGAGCAAUUGAGAUUCUUGAGCAGAAACUUUUCAUCUUCACAAAUAGGUUAGUUGGAAGGUUUGAGAGCUUAAAGAUGGUCAUAACUCGAGUGUUUUAUAGUGUUAGUGUAUAAUCUUUGUGUUAGGUAAAAUGUUAUUUUUUGGAAGACUUCUAAUUACUCCUUCUUAAUAAGGAUGCAAAUAUCCCAUGAGUGGUUAUAUAUGCUUCAUAGGCUUAUGAAUAUAUAUAUUUAUAUAUAGUUAUAUAUCUUACGUUUCUCAUCUUUGAUAUAUUUGUUAUAAGUUUCUUGGAUUUUGAAAUUUAUAUUUGACUGAUAAAAAAAUACUAUGGUUAUUAAUUAAAAGUUAAAAGUAUUUAUCAUAAUUUACAAUAAAAUAAUAAGAAGACUAUAGCUAAAUUACCAACAAAAAAGAAACAAUAGAUUAAAGAUUAGUAAAUAAGGAUUUACAUAUAUUGUCAACUUGUCAUUGGUCUUAGGACGACCAUUUUUUUCAUUUAGGGUGAAAGUGUAAAUUAAGUUUUAAACUAAAAAAAUACUUUUAAAUAAUAAUUAUAAGUUUUCAAGGAAAUAUGUUCAUUUUCUUUCACUAAUUAAUUAAGGACAAAAUUUAAAAUUAAUUGUUAAAUAAUAUUAAAAAUUUUAAAACUAAGAUUUGAUAUCUAACUAAUAUUAUAUCACAUUAUUUGUUUCUGAUUAUCAUAUUAUUUGUUUCUGAUUAUUAUAUUUGGAAGACUCUUUGAUUUCGUUUUUAAUUUAUCUUGAUUCAUCAUAUAAUAAAUAUGAUUAAUAAUAUGUAAAUAUUUUCUACAUAUGCUGUGAUUUGAUUUUUUUUUAAAAACAUAAAUAUACAAUAUUCUAUAAAAAAAAAUGUGUGUCUAACUAGAGUUACGCGAUUUGAUAAAAUUAAAGUCUUGUUUGCUCACUAUUACAAUAUUAUACUGACGUUGUUAAUUUUACUAGGAGAUAACAAUAGAUAUUACUCGCAUGUUAUAUUGUUAUGUGAUGGAGUGGGUUAAAAUUUACACAAAUAUGAUUAUAUAAUUUAUAAUUAUAACGGGUUGGUCUACUAAAACACACAAAAUAGUUUAUUCUGAUAUAAGACGAGUUCAAUUAGAAGUAUUACACCAAUCAUAAUCCGUCGACCGUCCUAUCACACGCACACUUAUAAUUACCUGAAUUUUGUUAGAAACUUACUGAACUGUAUAACAGAGCAAUUGUUAUCCUAAUGAAAGAAUUUAUUCAUAUUUGAGAACUUAACGAUGGUGCAAAGUUCAGUAUUUUUAUAUACAUGAUUUUCUUUAUAAAUUCUAAUAUACAAUCAAAAUACUUUCUAAACUUGUUCAACUAAGUAUUUUGGCAGUAAAUAAGAAAUGCACAUUAAUAUAUAAAAGAUUUGUUACUAGUAAACUUAUGUUAUAGCCAAGACAUUUUACAUUAGUUGUUUCAUAUUCAUUGUUUAAACAAACGAAAAAACAAAACCGAAGAAAGAAAAAUUAAAGACAAGCUUAAAGAAGCCAUGUUCCAUACUAGUUUCUUUUCCCUUUAUCCUUUACUUCGCUGGAUUCUAACCAAACUUGGAACAUAACUGAAUAUGCAUGGAUACCACAACAACGGACCUUGAGAUGGUACAAGAGGAUGUUCAGUGUAAUAUGUAUUGUCCUCUCCAAUAACGUUAACCAUGUAAUGACUAGAAUCACAACACACGACCACUUUUUUAUCCUCAUCGAUCAGAAAGCUAGGGGAUUUUACCGAAAUAAAAACCGAAAUAGCGGGAACUUUCAAUUCCACGGUAAAUGAUUUCCUCCACGACAAGGUAGCUCGGGUAUCAUCAAUGCUAUUAGCAAUCCAAACAUCUAUAUUUGAUGUAUGAUAGUUUGAAUAUAACACUGAGAGUUGUUCUUCUCUAGCUAACGAUAGAACUAUCCAAUCAGAAUCCUGAAUUGGCGGAAGACAUAAACGUUUAAAUCUCUCAGUCGUAAAAUUAAAACUUAGCUAGUAGUUUCUGUCAGAGAAUGUAAUCCAGUAACUAUUUCCCUUCAAAGAUACACCAUUAUGAACUGGUUUGAUGAAUUCCAAAGAGAAUUUAUCAAAAACCUUCCAUGAAUCAGAGCUAAACUCAUAAAUUUCAAAUUCGACGAAUGGUUUGUUACUUUUCCUAACACCUCAAAAUUUUGUAGCUGUGGCAAUUAGGUUUGUUGUUUUGGUAUCCUAGAGCAAACAUAGAGCCUUUCUUGUAAUCUGUUUUGAGUUGAAUCCACCUGGUUUCCCCCAAACACGGGUUCCAAGCUACGAGUUUAUUAUCAUUGGCGAAGCAUAACAACAAACCAUCACAAUGAAAAACUCCAGUUAUAUCGACUUCUUUUGAAUUAGAAUUAGAAUUCUUUAAGCUAAGUGCACUCUUAAACUCUAUAGAUGGAGUGGAAACCUUGAGGUUAACGUUCAUUGGACAAACCUUAGAAUUCAGCAACAUGAGAAUCAUUGACUGCUUCGGAGCUUUGCAAUAGUGCUUCUUGGUGAAUCUUUCGUUUUCGAAUAAAGCGUUCCAUUGUUUGCAAGUAGAGCCUAAUCGUUUGAGAGAUUUGGCUGGGACUCUAAAGAGUACAAAGGCGACUAAUUAACGCAAGGCAAGUAUAAAUUGGGGCUUUGAGUUUCAACCCUCCAAGUAGACCAAACUUUGUCUUAUAAAGAGAAUAAUAUCGUAUGACGUUAGAUAAGAUAGUUGUGUUUUUUUUCUUCUUUUAAUUCGGAAUCUUAUUUUUAUUAAAUUUAAGAUAAUUAUAUUAAAAUUUUGAUUUUGAGCUUUUAAAUUUUCUUUUUGCCAAAAAAGUAAUAAAAAACCACACAGGGGGAAAUUAAUCUUGGGAAAUUUGAUUUUUUUUUUUGAAUUUUUCCAUUUACGUCUUCUUCUAUAAAGAAGAAGUUAAAAUCUAAGAAAAUUAUUGAGAAAAAAAUCUAUAAAAAUCUAAUAUGUAUGAGUAAAUAUAUAUAAGGAUAAUGUGACUAAUGAGUAAUGACAUUCAUAUUGUUACGUACAAAUACAAUACAAAAAAUAAGGCUUUUAACGUCAGUUUUUGUAUGGGCUAACAUAGUGAAUAAACCGACCCUAAGGAUUGUAUCGAUACAGUAACAUAUGCUUAUUGGCUAUCUACUCACCUAAAUGAUUACUAUAUACAGCCUCCCCCUGUGGGGAGAGGAUCAUGUAUUCCAGUGAAUUGCCUUAUAGAUUCAAAAACUGUUGUGGUUUAGUUAAAUGUAGUAUUUAUAGCGUUGGCUAAGAGAACUGCAAAAAAAUUACUUUCAAACUUAUUCAACUGAGUAUGUUGGCAGUAUAUAAGAAACAAAUAAAAGAUUGUGUACUAAUUAGUUACUGUAAACUUAUGUUAUUGCCUAUACAUUUUACAUUUGUCAUCUUUGAUAAAUAUAAUAUAUAAAUAGAUUUUUUUUUUAUAAUAGUAUCUUACAAAAUAUAAUUCUCUAGGGUCCCUGCCGCAUCUCUGAGAUGGUUACGAUCUCUUAGCUUGAAGGAUUCAAAUUAUAAUCCAGAACAAGUCGAUAUGAAAAAAGUUUUUCAUUGCGACGGUUUGUUGCUAUGCAUUGGGGAUGAUGAUACUCAACGUUUGCUUUAGGGUACCAAAAUAAUAAAUCUUGUCGUAGCUACAAAAUCUUGAGGUUUUGAAACUGUUACAAACCAUUUCGUGAUGUUGCAUUUGAAAUCUAUGAGUUUUUAGCUCUGCUUCAUGGAAGGUUUCUGAUAAAGUAUAAAGGUCUCUUUGGAAAACAUCAUACCAUUUCACACUGGUGUGUCUUUGAAGGGAAAUAGUUAUUGGGUUACUUAUAUGAAAGAAAUUACUUGCUAAGCAUAGAUUUUUUUUUUUUUGAUAAAAGCUAAAUUUUAAUUUUACGAUAGAGAGAUUUAGACGUCUGUAUUUCCGACAAUUCAAGAUUUGGAUUGGAUAGUUCUAUCAAUAGUCGGGGAAGAACAAAUCGCAAUGUUACAUAAAAAAAAUCAUACAUCAAGGAUGGAUAUUUUUUGAUGGAUAAUAACAUUGAUGAUACCUUGUCGUGAAGGAAAUCAUUUAGUCAUUUACUAUAGAAUUGAAAAUUCCCACUAAUCAUGUUUUUUUUUAUAGGAUACUAUACCCCUUUAGCUUUCUGAUCGAUGAAGAGAAGAAAGUGGUCGUGUAUUGUGACAUGAGUUAUUCUAACAAUCACAUAAUAACAUUGUAGAGUUGAAGAUGGAUAUUACACAUACUACCCUAUUGUUGUACCAUCUAAAAGUUGGAUGCGACGUCCAUACAUAUUCAAGUCUGUUCCAAGUUUGGUUCAAAUCCAGCCAAAUAGAUGAUAAAGGGAAAAUAAUAAAACUAGUAUGGAACAUGGUUUCUUUAACCUCCUUUCUUCUUUUUUAUUUCUUUGGUUAUGUUUUUUAGUUUGAUUAAUCAAUGGAUUCGUCGAUUAUUUUAGUUUUAGUUUUAGUUUUAGGUUUUGUUGUUGUUGUUGCUGUUACCUUAUAUGCUUCCUUGUUAUUUGGUAGCAAACAGCAUAUCAAGACAAGCAUUCGAAGUGGUUUCAUAACGACCUUAUAGCAGUGUUUACAUGCUUUGCUUUGUUAUGUUUCGGUUAAAAACGAUUAAAAAUAAUAAAAAAUUAUUAAAUGUAGAAACUUUAUUUCUAUAAGCUUAUUACAUUACAACAAUAAUAAAAUUUCAUCCAGUUAAACAUUACAUACAUUAUUGAUAUUCUGAACUUCCUACACGACAAUGUCAUAGAAAAAAAAAGAUUCAUUCAAAAAGUAGAAUACAAAUAUGUUAUGUUAUAUGUAAAUAUUUUAUAUUUCUUUUCAGAAGGUAAAAAAUCUUAAACAUUAAAACAAAAUUUUUAGUCAAAGAUUUUCCCAAGAAACAUUCCUUUCUUUGGGAAACCUCUUUUGAACAAUAUUCAAAACUUUUCUUUUGUAACCACCAAAACAAAAUUUAUUACCAGCUAAUAAAUACAUUAUUACCUGUAUCUGAUCAUCUUCUUCUUCUUCACAUUCUUCUUUCCUCCUUCUUCAUCUUCUUCUCUCCUUCUCCAUCAUCCUCUGUUACAUUCAUCUAAUAUGGCUCCUUCAGAGUUAAACCUCCUUCGACAAAUUGUAGGAAUAAUAGGUUAGUUCAAUUCUGACUCACAAAUUCUUAACAUCUUCUCUUGUAUACUGAAAUUUUUGUGUUUUUUUUUGUAUAACUUGGAAUGAUCUUGCUUGCAGGAAACAUCAUUGCUCUUGGUCUAUUCUUGUCUCCUACGUAAGUUUUAGGUUUUAUUAAAUCUAUUAACUUGUUUAUAUCUUAAAUUCUAAUUGAUUUCUUUAUUAAUAUAUCUAUAUAUUGUAUAUUCUCUUAGAGAAUUUUUAUUUCCUUCAGGCCAACAUUUGUUGGGAUAGUGAAAAAGAGAUCCGUGGAAGCAUUCUCCCCAAUGCCAUACUUAGCAGCCUUGAUGAAUUAUUUGGUUCGUUUUAUUUAUGCACUUCCUAUGGUGCACCCUAAUAGCGCAUUACUCGCUUUGCUCAGUGGUAUAGGGAUUGUCAUAAAUGUUACUUUCCUAGUUAUAUUCUUCAUGUUUUGUCGCUGCCAAAGAAAACGGCUGGUUAUAACCGCUAUUUUAGCGGCUGAACUCGCCUUUGUAGCUGUCCUUACUACAACGGCUUUGACUCUCCAACACUCAACGUCUGAAAGGACAUUGAGCGUUGGAAUAGCCUCAUGUAUCUUUAACACAUUAAUGUAUGUGUCUCCUCUAUCUGUUAUGGUAAGUUGAGUAUUAGUUUAACCUAUGACCAAAUUAUUUUUACGCGUUUUUAAUUUGAACUAAUCAGUUUUUUUGGUUUUUGAAGAAAAUGGUGAUAGAAACUAAAAGUGUGGAAUUCAUGCCAUUUUGUCUGUCUCUUGCUAAUUUACUUAAUGCUUCCGUUUGGACGGCUUACGGAUUUCUUCCGUGGGAUCCGUACAUGGCGGUGAAGUUCUUUGUUUUCCUAAUACUAUGAUCGAUAUAGUUUUAGACAACUGAUUUUGUGUAAUGAAAAUCUUUGUUUUCGCAGAUACCUAAUGGAAUAGGCUGCCCUCUUGGAUUGGUCCAGUUGAUCCUAUACGGUGUUUACUACAAGUCGACCAAACAAAUGAUGUCGGAAAGGCAGCAAGCAUUAACGAGUGCUUGAUUGUGAUGUUCUCAUCUCGUUUUUUUGUUGUGUUAAUAUUUUCCAUUGAACUUAAAGUAGUUUUUUCACAUUGUAUUCUUGGAUGUUUUUGGUAUAGAAAUUUUAUUAAGGACCCCAAAUUAAACGAUGCACCCGAUCACGGUGUAUGAUUUGAUGUUUUUGUUUUACUAUUUCUUCCUUGAACCGUAUUUAGAGAUUUUAGACAUGCUAAAAACAAUAUACCCAAUUUGUUUCUUUACUAAUUAACAAGAAUAUUCUUCUUUAGUGAGAAUUUCGUAGGGUUUAAGAAAAUAUUGUCGCUUGGGGUAAUGAUGACUAAUUUAUAUGUAUGAUACCUUUAAAUUUGGUAUAUAAUAAUAACGACUAAGAUUUGAUUAAAGAAUAUUUCUAGACCUUGAUCAAUUAAAUAUUUAGAAGUAAAAACUACGGCAGCUAAAAAAUUUGGAAAACAAUGAUGUGGGAAAAACGAAUACAUUAAAGCACGAGUUUAUAGGGCCAUGUUUGUGUUGCUUUGUUAAGGCCCAAAAGUCAUACCUAACGGAAAUUAUAACUAACGCCCAAAUAAUUGUAUGGUUUGUAAUUAAUUUAAACGGUGAGAAUUAGAAGCUUCCUCUUACAACGGACGACUGAGAUUAAAACAUAUGAUUAGACGCGUAAAAAUCAGAUGGUGAGGAUUAGAAGCUUCCACUUAUAAACGAACGGCUAAGAUUAUAACAUAAUUUUUUCGGGUUUGAUUAGCGGGUCAAAAGAUCCGCGCGUUUAUCUGUAUUUUGAGUUGUUUGGCAACAGUUUUAAGAUUUUUUAUACUAUAGUAUUGAUACAAAAAUUUAAUGUUUUUGUUUGGCAACAUGGUUAAAUCGCUUUUGAUAUUACAUAUAUAUUAUAUUUUCAUACUUUUCCCUACUUUUUUCUCGCAACAAAUUUCCUAUCUUUUGAUCUGAUUAUAGCUAAUUAGCUAUUACUAGUAGGCAUAAUUAAUGGGUUUAAAAAAAUCAUCCAAGACCUAACUGGCAAACACCAAAGUUUAAUUGCCCCUUAUGUUCUUUUUUUUCUUUUUUUGGCAGCGAAAACUUUAUAAGCUAAUAAGGUAUUUUAUUUUAUUAUAUUUUAAUUAUCAUCUCAAUUUCAUAAAAGUAGAUUUAGAUAUUUUUUUUUAAAAACAACAACCUUAAUUUGACUAUGUCAUACGAUAUAUAUUAAUAUCUUUAUAAGAUAAAGCUUGGUUUAGACUUUAAAAGGACGAAACUCAAAACCCUAAUUUAUAUUUGCCUUGCAUUAGUCGCCUUUGUAGAAACAAUGGUGAAUCUUCCGUGGGAAUUGAUAGAGGAAAUACUUUUUAGAGUCCCAGCCACAUCUCUCAAACGAUUAGGCUCUACUUGCAAACAAUGGAACGCUUUAUUCGAAAACCAAAGAUCACCAAGAAGCACUUUGGUAAAGCUCCAAAGCAAUCGAUGGUUCUCUUGUUGAAUGAUUUGAGGGUUUAUCCAAUAAACGUCAAUCUCAACGAUACCGGUCCAUCCAUCGAGUUUAAGAGUGCACUUAGCUUUAAGGAUUCAGAUUCUAACUCAGAAGAAAUCGAUAUAACCGGAGUUUUUCAUUGCGAUGGUUUGUUGUUAUGCACUACAGAUGAUAAUAGACUCGUGGUUUGGAACCCGUGUUUGAGAGAAACCAGGUGGAUCAACUUCAAAAAUGUUUACAGAAUAAUCUCUCGCUUUGCAUUAGGAUACCAAAAUAACAAAUCUUUCCGUAGCUACAAAAUCUUAAGGUUUUGGAGAUUUGAUUUGACACCAAGCCUGCUUUCUGGAUCUGAAAUCUAUGAGUUUACCUCUAAUUCAUGGAAGGUUCUUCCUGAUAACCUAGCUCCUAAGCAUUCCAUAUUAUCUGGUAUUGGUGUGUCUUCGAAGGGAAAUACUUACUGGCUUGUUUCUGAUAAAGGAACAGAAUUUAUACUCAGUUUUGAUUUUACAACGGAGAGAUUUAAACAUUUUAGUCUUCCCGCAACUCUUAAUUUUUGUAUGAUGGUCCUAUCAGUUGUUAGAGACGAAGAACUCUCAAUAGUGUCACAUCAUAAGUUUGGUAAACCGGAGAAGGAUAUUUGGAUAGCCAAGAGAAAUGAUAGUGAAGCCGCCUUGUCCUGGAAGAAAUCAUGUACUGUUGAGUUCAAACCCUAUAGUAAUUGUUUUAUCAAUCGGUAUUGCCACAGUUUUGUGAUGGAUGAGGAGAAGAAUGUUGUUGUUGGGUAUUGUUGGGUAUGCAUUAUGCGAGAGGACAAUGCGUAUAACAUAGAAGUCCCUUUUGUAGAAUCUACAAGUUGGCUAUGUCAUCCAUUUAUUUUCAAUUAUGUUCCAAGUUUGGUUCAAAUUCAGUAAUGUAGGUGCAAUAGAAAAACUAAGUGCACCUCUUUCUUCUCUUUGGUUUGAUUAAUUUAAUGAAUAAAUUUGUUUAUUUCUCUUUUCUUUGAAGUUGUAUGUUCUUGCUUCAGAUGACCUAAACGUUUGUGUCUUCCCCUACUAAUGUUGAUCUUGAUAUGGUGAAGCUGUGGAGCAAGUCCUAUUCGGUGGACAUAACUAUAAUUAGUGAUGUUCUUGGUGUUACAAUUCUUUAGUUUUCUACUUUUCUUUGACAAUUAAUAUGGUUGGAAUAAUAAAAUGAAGAAUUGAUAAAUUAUUUUAGUCAAUUUAUCAAUCCUUUAUCUAUUUGCUUUGGUUUAACCAAUCUACGAAUUCGUAUACUAUUUCAGAUAUCAGAGCACCUUUGAAAAUAUCAUUAUGUAAAUUAGGGUUACAGAUUUACAAUAUCACUAAACCUAAAAAGAAAUAAUUCUAAUUUAUUGAUAAAGAUUGUGGCAUUGCAUUAUCGAUAUACUAUUCCAUAGGAUCUUAGUCUAACGAUUAAGCCAUAAAAUAAUUCAUUAAUAUAUAUAUAUAUAUAUAGGCGAUAAAUUGAAAGACAAAUCCACACAAAAAUAUAAAAAUCUUAUGAUAAAAAAAAAGUGUGGUUUACAAAUUAAGCUCUGAGCUAGUAGUCCCUAUCAAAUUGGGUUCGAUCUUUGCUCGACGGCGACAUACAAACCAUGCAUAACACAACACCAACAUGAUGAUGAUGACUAAUGCACUGCCAUAGAUUGAAAUAACUUUGAUGAGAGUAGUGUCCAUAUUGGCUUUUCACCACACACACCAAAUUUUUAAUUCUUUUGUCUUCAACUUUCUUUUUCUAGUUCCUACUAGUAUAUUUAUACACGUAUAUAUAGUCAACACAAAAAUUUACAUUUAUGUAAACAAUGGUGAAAUUUGUAAGUUUUACAUUUCAUAAAGAAUAUUAACUAGAAAAAGUUUGGACAAUGUAUAUUUAGUCAUUAAGGAAACAUUAACUAUACGAAAAAGAGAAGUUUUACAUUUAAUGGUAUUUUGUUGAUUGUCAUACUCGUUGCACAUAGACCAAUAUUGUUGAAGAACAACCUAACCAUCUUAAUGACAUCUGCACACACUAUAUCAUCCCAUCCAAUUUUGUUAGAAACGUUCCGACUUGGACCCGAUGUUACGCACAGCUUUGUGUAUCUAUGCACCUACCUAAAGAUACUAGACUGUCGUGUCCUACUGAAUACAUGUAAGUAGCAGUAACUACACAUAAAUACAAGCAUUUUACAAUAACGAGAGCAUAGACGACCGUGGAGGAAAGGGUUUGGUAAAGUAUGUAUAUAAACUAGAUAAGUUAAUACCAUCGCCAAAGUUUCAGUAAUGUUUGGCCCAACAACAAAUGAAAAUUACCAAAUGUUUACUCUCGGAUCAAAGCCAUUCUCUCUAGUUUGUCCUAUCAAAAAAAAAAAAGAUCUUAUUUAAAAAAAAAGAAAAAUCAAACCUUAGCAAAAAGAUGAGUUUCAACAAAGAAGAUGGAUUGUGAAUGCAAAAAACACCAAAAUCUAAAGCCAACUUAGCUUUGUUAACAACGUAACAAGAAGCCAAAGAUGUAAGAAGACUAAACUAGUCAUUCUUUUAGUUCUUCUCUUUGACCGGGAGGAACAGGUACCAAACUCGGAAUAAAUGAACAGUGCAAAGGAUAUGGUUCAACCACAUGAUCGAUACGAGUUUUACUGAUCAACCUAUUUUUCCUGAAAACAUAGAUACAAGCCCGACAAGUUUGGUCGCAAGAGCAUACGACGAGUCUUUCAUCUUGGAUGAAGUAGCUUGGCUGAGACAUUAAAGUGUCUACCAAAUUGGCUAAGUUAGGACUUGAAACUUCCAUGAACUUUAUCCAUUCCACAACUUCACUAUCCAAACUAUUAUUAAUCUUGUACUUACUCACCCAAACCUCAAUCUUUUUUGUUUCAUGGCAUUGCUUUAACAAUGAAAACCGAUCUUCCUCAAAAGCUCUAAGGACAAGAGCAUCCAUAUAAUGGUUCUUCGUUCCACAUGGUAGAUCACAGAAUCUGUAGGAAUAUCCGGUGGAGAAAUCGAAUUUAUCGACGCUGUAAACGCGAAUGGCCUUAUCAACAUAAACAAUCCAAUACAAAGUUCCAUUCAAUGAUACACAGCCAUUAUUUUUGUGUAACUUGUUCAUUUUGUCUACGUCUCUAUUACCACUUAUCCCACACUCUUUCCACGCAUUGGAGGAAAGCUCAUGGACUUUCCACAAGGACAAGGUUUUAUCUUCCUUCCCAGGACAAGCAGCAACAAUCUUGUAACUCCCACUACAGUUGUAUCCUACGCCAAGGGGUACAAGUCGAGUUUGGUCCGAAUCCGGCUCGAUCCAUCUACUUUGUCUCAAGCAUGGGUUCCAAACUAGAGCUCCUCUCUCCAUGCCGCAAACCAAUAACUUAUCGCAACCAACCAAGAUUUUAGGUAUCUUGGAUUCUAAAGAUGGAACAUCUAAGGUUAACUCACACACAUCUAUCUUUGGAUCGAUGCUUACCGAGUAAAUCUUGGAUUUGGUUGUUAAGAUGAAUUGAAACGUGGUCUUGUGGUUCUUGAUGAACGUUUUGUCGUGUAAGAGAGCGUUCCAUUGUUUCGAUACGGCUGUGAAGCGAACAAGAGAUGAGUGUGGUACACGAGAUAGUAUCUCUUCAGUCAACUCCGAUGGAAGCUUCUCCUCAUGCGCCGCUAAACGUAUCCUCAUUAGGGUUUCAAGCCGCGAUUGUUUCCUUAAGUUAAUAUGUGUAUAUAUACACUAGGUUUUAACCUGAACAAUUUAUUUCUAAAUAAAAAUGUUUAUAUUUUAAACCUGUAUAGAUUUGAAAUGUAGACCCAUAAGAAAAAUAUAAUCAUAUUUAUGUAAACUUAUCAUAUUUAUGUACAAUAUUGUAAUUGUUUUAGAGUUAAAUUUUGUAAUAAAACUUUAAUUUUUUGUAGAGUUUAAAUAUCUAAAUAUUUUAAAUAUUUUAUAAAGCGUAAAUUAGAUGUUAUAAUAUUUGAAGCUUUUAAAAUAUUUAAUAUUUAAAAUAUUUAAAAAAAUUUUAAAAGUUUAAAUUUAUAAUAUUUUGAGACUUCUUAAAAGUUUUAGUUUUCUUAAAUAAAGAAACGGAUUAAAUCGAAUAAAAAAUUAAUUUAGAUACCUGAGAAAUUAAAAUUCCUGCUCAGUUGUAGUUGGGAGAAUCCUAUUUAUAAUUGUUUUAAACUAUUAUCUAAAUUUUAAACCUUAAGUAAAUAUUGUACAUACAUUUUUUUAGCGAUUGAGUAAUAUAUGUCCGUUAUUAAAAAAAAAUUUGAAAAUAUGCGGAAAAUUUAUUAUACAUAUUUUUUAUGUAAUAAUAUAAAUUAAAAAGGUAAGAUUAUAUAAAUAUAUUGGAGAGAUUCAAUUUAUUAGGGAGAGAUUUUAAGAAAUUGUUUUAAUGUAACAAAUAUUUGUUUCCAAUUUUGGGAUUUGCUUUUGAUUUAAUUACAAAUUUUACUUUUAAGUUCUGUUAUUUAUUCAAAUGUCAUGAUUUAAUUAUGCAAACAUUACAAAAUAAAAAAUUAUAACUCAAAAUAGAUUUUAGUACAAAAUGUAUUUCAAAAAUGUAUAUAUAGAUAAAAACUCAAGAUCUCCAAAUAUCUGAGUUUUACGUUAAUUUGUUACCUUUGGAUAUUCACAUUGAGAAUCACAACUAAGAUAUUGUUUUACUUACAUCUGUGUUUCUAAUUUUAUAUUUUAAGUUUUAUAAAUUGUAAUGCUAUGAUAGUCAUCUCUCUUAGUGGAUCCGAGGUCUAAAUCCUGGCCUAUGGAUCCACCUCUCUUAGUGCCAUAUGGUUAUAUUUUUGAAUAAGUCAAAUUAACUUGAGAAAUUAGUAAAGGUAAAAAUCAGGAAGAAGUCUUUGGUAGCUCAUAUAAGUCUACUAGUUAUCAUAUACAUUAAUCAGAUGGGUAGACUUUGAAGUUGUCAAUCUAAACCUUUGCUUUAUUCUUCAAACCACGCGUUUCAAAAUAUGAUUUCUAGGAUGUGUUCGGUUCUUUUCUCUCAAAAUAAUAUCAUAAAACUACUACAAGAACUUGCUUUCGUAUUCGUAAAACAGUUUUGCGUGUUUUUGUAUAUUAAUAUUCAAUAAUAUAAAUGAAACAAUUAAAAAAAUAUAUAUCGGACCAUGAAAGAGGAAACUUUUUGAUUUAAACUUUGAUGUUGACAACGUAAAUUCCAUGUUUUGUUUCAAUAUAUUUGUAUAGUUUUCUAACUUAUUUGUCGAUACAUUGAUCUGAACCUUUCUAUGAUACAAAUACAAUGUGUAGUAUAGAUGAGGCCCUCAGAGAAGUGGAUAAAUCAGAAAGCGCAUUAUUAUUGGUGGUAUCUUAGCUAAAUAUAUAAGAUCUUUUUCUUCAUAUAUUUUAGUCUAAGAUUUGGCUAAAAUACUACCAAUAAUUGUGGUCUCGGACAUUCGACGAAGUAAUGCACGUAAACUCUUAAUGAAGCCAUGCACGUGAACUCUUAAUGAAGUUAUUCGUGCACGUAACAAGAAAUCAGUACUAAUUACUCUGGAGAUCAAAAUACGAAUUACACUUUCUUUUGAUCACAAAAAUAUAAAAGGGUUCAUAUUAUAGAUACGGUUAUAGUUGUGAAAAUCUAAAACGACAACUAUUAUCAAACAAAAUUUUAACUCUAGAACGACAACUACAAAGGGAGUAGAGAAAUAACGACGAAGUCAUUGAAUGUAAGUUAAAUUUACUUUAAUUUAGAGAAAAACCAGGGCAAGAGGUAGAUAAUCAAAAUUAUAAAUCACCAUAACAUCAAUAUUUAAAAUCACAAGUUGUAUUUAAUCACCAGAACUGACUAAUGUUAACCAUUUCAGUGAAAGAGAAGUCGGAAAGAAACUUCUCUAGUGAUUUUAAAUUGACAACUUCAACGUCUGCCUAGCUAUUAAAAUAUGAAAUAUGGUAAAGUGUAGUUAUCAAAGACAGAUUCAUCUCUAAUUUUUCCUUUAGACAAAAUGUGAAGCUCAUUUGAUUUAUUAAACAAUAUAACACUAAUUGCUCUAAGAAACGUUCAUAAACUUCAAUAAAUAAAUAUUCUAGUUGUCGUACUGAAUCCUAUAUAAACUGCUUCAUUUCUAUUACAAUCUAUUCAAAAAUAAUUCAACAUAAGAACAUAAACCAAACUAACAAAAGCUGAGAUAAAGGCAAGAGCACACAAGUUCAAUAGAUAUGGCCAAUUCUAAUCAUUGGUCAUCUUUACUUGUGUUGGUCUUGGCCUUGCAUGUAGCUGCUGCUCAUACAAGUGCCCAGUACACAUACACUCCACCAUCAUCACCACCGUAUGUUUACAAAUCUCCUCCAAUACCUCCAUAUGUCUAUAGCUCUCCACCACCACCUCCUUAUGUCUAUAGCUCUCCACCACCUCCGCCAUAUGUUUACAAGUCUCCACCACCACCACCCUAUGUCUACAGGUCUCCACCCCCACCUCCAUAUGUUUACAAGUCUCCCCCUCCUCCUCCAUACGUCUACAGCUCUCCACCACCUCCUCCUUAUGUUUACAAGUCUCCCCCUCCUCCUCCAUACGUCUACAGCUCUCCACCGCCUCCUCCAUAUGUUUACAAGUCUCCCCCUCCUCCUCCAUACGUCUACAGCUCUCCACUACCUCCUCCUUAUGUUUACAAGUCUCCCCCUCCUCCUCCCUAUCCAUACGUCUACAGCUCUCCACCACCUCCUCCAUAUGUUUACAAGUCUCCCCCUCCUCCUCCAUACGUCUACAGCUCUCCACCACCUCCUCCAUAUGUUUACAAGUCUCCCCCUCCUCCUCCAUACGUCUACAGCUCUCCACUACCUCCUCCUUAUGUUUACAAGUCUCCCCCUCCUCCUCCAUACGUCUACAGCUCUCCACCACCUCCUCCAUAUGUUUACAAGUCUCCCCCUCCUCCUCCAUACGUCUACAGCUCUCCACUACCUCCUCCUUAUGNNNNNNNNNNNNNNNNNNNNNNNNNNNNNNNNNNNNNNNNNNNNNNNNNNNNNNNNNNNNNNNNNNNNNNNNNNNNNNNNNNNNNNNNNNNNNNNNNNNNAUAUGUUUACAAGUCUCCCCCUCCUCCUCCAUACGUCUACAGCUCUCCACCGCCUCCUCCAUAUGUUUACAAGUCUCCCCCUCCUCCUCCAUACGUCUACAGCUCUCCACCACCUCCUCCAUAUGUUUACAAGUCUCCCCCUCCUCCUCCAUACGUCUACAGCUCUCCACUACCUCCUCCUUAUGUUUACAAGUCUCCCCCUCCUCCUCCAUACGUCUACAGCUCUCCACCGCCUCCUCCAUAUGUUUACAAGUCUCCCCCUCCUCCUCCAUACGUCUACAGCUCUCCACCGCCUCCUCCAUAUGUUUACAAGUCUCCCCCUCCUCCUCNNNNNNNNNNNNNNNNNNNNNNNNNNNNNNNNNNNNNNNNNNNNNNNNNNNNNNNNNNNNNNNNNNNNNNNNNNNNNNNNNNNNNNNNNNNNNNNNNNNNGUCUACAGCUCUCCACCACCUCCUCCAUAUGUUUACAAGUCUCCCCCUCCUCCUCCAUACGUCUACAGCUCUCCACCACCUCCUCCAUAUGUUUACAAGUCUCCCCNNNNNNNNNNNNNNNNNNNNNNNNNNNNNNNNNNNNNNNNNNNNNNNNNNNNNNNNNNNNNNNNNNNNNNNNNNNNNNNNNNNNNNNNNNNNNNNNNNNNUCCAUACGUCUACAGCUCUCCACCACCUCCUCCUUAUGUUUACAAGUCUCCCCCUCCUCCUCCAUACGUCUACAGCUCUCCACCGCCUCCUCCAUAUGUUUACAAGUCUCCCCCUCCUCCUCCAUACGUCUACAGCUCUCCACCACCUCCUCCAUAUGUUUACAAGUCUCCCCCUCCUCCUCCAUACGUCUACAGCUCUCCACCACCUCCUCCUUAUGUUUACAAGUCUCCCCCUCCUCCUCCAUACGUCUACAGCUCUCCACCGCCUCCUCCUUAUGUUUACAAGUCUCCCCCUCCUCCUCCAUACGUCUACAGCUCUCCACCGCCUCCUCCAUAUGUUUACAAGUCUCCCCCUCCUCCUCCAUACGUCUACAGCUCUCCACCACCUCCUCCUUAUGUUUACAAGUCUCCCCCUCCUCCACCAUACGUCUACAAGUCUCCCCCUCCUCUUCCAUAUGUCUACAGCUCUCCACCACCAUCCCCGUAUGUUUACAAAUCGCCACCAUCUCCUCCUUAUGUCUACAGCUCUCCACCAGCACCUCCAUAUGUAUACAAGUCGCCACCGCCUCCCCCAUAUGUUUACAAUUCUCCACCUACAAGCUAUAGCUAUAGCUCUCCCCCUCCUCCAAUAUACUAACCAAACAUUUACAAAACUUAAAAAGAUUGAUAUUUUUGUUUAGCGAUUAUGAAACAAAAUAUUUCCUUUCUACAUUAUCAUAAAUAAAAUAUGUAUUAUUUGGUUUAGAUCCAAGUGCAUUAUUGUUGUAUGAUUUCUUGUUUGAAUUUUGUUGUCUUCCUCUUUAAAAGAUCAAUGUUCUUCUAGUCUAUUUGUAUUUAUUUAAAAGUCUUAAUAAAUUUUUUAUUGAAUCAGUUUAAAUUUAUGUUCAUUAAUCUUGCGUCCCUUGAAGAUUAUCAGCUGUGCUAACUUAAGUAAAAUAUUUUCAUAGUUCUACUGUAAAACUUCGACAGUAUGAUUAUGUAAAUUGAAAGUUUAAAUACAGUAUCUCAGUGUUUUUUGUUUGACAAUGUCAGUUUCUAUACAAAAGAUAACUAUAAAUUUUGUGUAUAUAUAUAGCUAGAAGUCUUUAUAAAUUAUAAGGAUCGAUUCUUUCUCAUUAACAAGAAUAUGUACUGAUGGAGAAGAGACUAUAAUAGAAAGUGUAAUUUAUAAAUAUAUCACUGUUGAAUUAAGAAUUCACACAUUAAAAUGGGGACCCAAUUUUUUUAGGAUAAAGUUAGGUUUUCGCUCAAUAGAUCAAAAAUCUAGGGUUUUUUGUAUUGAUUAUUCGAUGCUCUAAAAAAGAGGCAUCUUCUCUAUUUAUACAAGAGAUUUAGGGUUACAAUAAAUGCUCGUUAUUCCCUAGAUUUAUAAAGAAUAUACUCAUAAAUAUUUGAUUAGGGUUUCAUAAACCCUAACGAGACAAAGUCGCCCAUUUCCAUUUUAGGAAUAAACAUAAAUCUUCUUUAAAUGCGAAACCAGGAUUCCCCGAUUCCGUUGGUUCGAUUCGAUUCGAUUCAUUAUUGGUUUAUGCCGUUAUGUCGUUGGUGCUAAUUCCUACACCAACAAUCACUUGGAAACAGUAACUAGACUGUGGAUAUUUGUAAGCAAGUUGUGAGUUAAUCAACUAAUUCUACCUUUGAAAAAAGUGAAUGGUUUAUACUUUUUAUAUUUUUAUUAAACAAAGAGCGAUAAUGUAGUAUUGGUUUUGUAACAUACAAUAUUUUAUUUUUUAUUUUUAUAGUACUUAUGAAAAAAAAUAUUCGUUAUAUCUCUUGAAAUAUAAUGUACUCUACAGUUGAACGAGGCUAACUGCUUUGAAAUUGAAGACUUUAUCACACAAUUGUUUCAGUCUAAAACAUGCCCAAGAAAAGAAGAUACUAAAAAUUAUAUUUUACCAUAACAUCCAUAUUUUAACUACACAAGUUGUAAUUUAGAACUACUAGAUAAGAAAAGGUCGUAAUGAAACUUAUUUCAAAUAUGAAAUAUGGUAAGGGCUAGACGCUAGUCACACCAAAGUCGCAUUUUCUAAUUUUUCAUUUAUUAGACAAAAUCCUGACACUAAUUUUGACUUAUGUUAAUAUUAUGACACUAUUUUCUCGACGCAUUCAUAGACUUCAAUAAAUAAAUAUUCUAGUUGUUGUAUAUAUUUACUACUUGUUUCCUAUCUAUUACGACCAGUCUGCCUAGUUACGGUGUGGUAAGUCGGCAAAACCAUUGAGAAAGAACCAAGAUCUUGAAGAUCGUUCAACGGAAAACCAUCUCUCAAAUCUCUAUCAGGGGCUGGACUGAUGUCGACAUUCCCGACCAUUCCUGAGUCCUCGACGCUGAAGAGUUUUAGAAAUUUGGCCACACUUAGAGCAAAUCCAGCCUAUCUGUCAGAGUCGUUCUAGAGCUAAAGCUGGUGAAGCACUUGCUUAAUACAUCAAGUAUUUACAUACUUGAGGCACCAUUUAUAUAGUGUUUUGGUGGUGUAGUUGUUAAAUUCCCAUUUGUUGAGCUUCAACGUUUUGCGUUCAAACCCAACAUGUUAAGGGCUUUUUUUGGUUAAUUUUGUGUCAAACAAUUUUUGCUGAUGGGCCUAAAUGUUUUUUUUGCUUUAGGCAAUUAAAAGGUUUGGGCCAGCCAAAUUUCUCUAAGUGUCAAUGAGAUUUUCUUGGCCAAGCGAUCCAUAAGAUCUCCUGUGACUUUUAUUUGCCAUACAUCUUCCCUAAUUGUUGAACACAUAUUAAUCAGAUUAGACAACAAAAAUACAAAUUCUCUUUCCAUUGAACUUCCAAAAUUACAAAUUCUUAAAUUCGGGGAGACUUACAUACAAAUCACGUUCUAUUCUUCUUGUGACAAAUUCGUAUAUUUUCUUACAAAUUCCAAAGUAAAAAACAAAGAAAAAAGAAUGAAUGAUACGACCAUUGUUUAUAUACAGAUAUUGCACUUAACUAUAUCUUACACAUUUUUAAAAUUACUACAUAAGUGGUUAGUCGAGAAUUUUUAUUUUUUUAACUCUUGCUUUAUUAUUUAUUGGAAAUUAUGAGAAUUGUUACAAUGACGAUUAUACUACCGACAAUUCUAUCCGACCCUUUUAGAUUCACCACAGAUUACACUAUUUCCUGACAACACCUCCUUAUCCAUGUAUAGCAAAAUCUCAUAAUUUACAAUAAAAUCUUAUAUCAAAAUAUUAAUAACAAAAUAGUGAUUAUGUAUAACAAAAUCUUAUAUCAAAAUAUAUAACGUUCCAAGUUCCAACUAAACCUUUAAAAUUUUUACAUAUGCAAACCAAACCUUUGAUUAUUCAAAAUAAUUUACCGAUUAUAAUAUCAUAUAUGCCCUUCUCUUGUACUAUCAUGCCACUCAUCCCAAGAGAGUAGUGGAGGACAAUAUGGUAUAUUGCACAUCCCGGAGCGACUCAACGUCUUUGACUUGGACGCUCUUACAUUGGAAAUAGGCAACUGUGUAAGCCACAAGCUGAAACAUCCUCAGCGCAGAGACCAAACACACAAAGACUAAACCAGUGGUUAAGGUAGCCAAAAACGAUAUUCUCCAAUUAAUCAGCUGCAACAUUUCAGCUAAUCCGAAUGACAAUAAACGGAAGGAAAGAUUAAGGAGAAACAAUUUUGGCUUCAUCCCUUUAACAACCUUUGCAGCUUUACGCAAAGCUUUGGUCCCAUAAGUUCCCUCUAGUAUCGAUAUGACCAUAGAAAAGUUCCAAACAAUAGCUAAAUAGGACUCAUAUACUUCGAAUAGAAACAAUAAAGGGAUAGACUUGGCUACCAAGGAAUAAAGUUUUAAAGAGAACAAACAUAGAGGACCAAGAAUUAUAUAGAAGAGCAACCCAUAUCCAAGAUGAUAAAGAAAAAUGUAGAAAGAUGUCACAAGAGGUCCCUUCCAAGAUUUAAAGGCCAAAGCCGGAAAAUGCAUGAUCUUGAUGUUUUCAUUUUUAAGAGAAAGAGCUGAUGCGUGGACGAUGACUAUAUCAGCAUAGAGGUUGAUAAUAGAGGAGAAGCUAAUGGCCAUGAAGAUGUAUAAAGAACCCACAAGCUUUUGGUUGAACAAGAAAACUAAACAUUUGAGUAAGAGGGGACAUAUCAAGACAGAGAACAUCAACAUUUUGUUCUUGAGAAACAGUUUGUGGGAUUUGCUUAAAACAUUGAAGAACAGAAAUCGAUCCAUGGGUUUCAAAAUGACUAAAAAGCUCUUGGCUAUUGGGGUUUGGUAAUGGUAGUGAGGGUUUAUAAGAUCAAAAUCCAUCUUCUUAGUGCUUAUAUAUUACUAAACAUAAGUUUGAUUGCUUGACUUAAUACAAGUCUUUGGCGUGUUCCUUGGACUUGAGUCAACGUCCACAAAUACCCAACACUUUAACAUAAAUGAGAAAAGUCCAAAAGAUGACUUACUGACCACGACAUAAAUGAUUAAAGAGAGAAAACAAUGCAGUUGGAUUUCUUCAUAAAGUGUGUGUACGUGAUCAACACUCACGUCGUGUUAGUUUAGUCAAGAAACACUGUAGCAUUGUGUAAGAAAAAAACAAGAAACGUUUAAAUCAGUAGAAUAGAAAUGAGGUAGACAAAACAAUAUAUUUUAGAUGUUUGCAAUAUAAAACCAUACAAGGUAAUUGUGGAAGAGUUUACACAAGGUAAACUAUGUACACAAGCUAGGUAAGUUAAGACUAUAGCCAAAGUUCAGUAAUAUUUGACCCAACAACAGUUGAAAACUACCAAACUUUUAUUCUCGGAUCAAAGCCAUUCUCUCUAGUUUGUUCUAUAUUAGAAAAAAAAAAGAAUCUUAAUUUUUUUAAAAAAUCAAGCUAAGUAAAAAGACUUAGUCGCAACAAACAAGAUAUAGUUUGUGAAUUAAAAUAAAACCAAAAUCUAAACCAAACUUAGCUUCGUCAAAAACGUAACAAGAAGCCAAAAAUGUUACAAACAAAAUUAAACUAGUAACUCUUUGCUAGUCUUUGAGCUCGAGGAACAGGAACCAAACUCGGACUAAAUGUAUAGUGCGAAGGCCAAGACUCAACCACAUAAUCUAUACGAGUUUUACUAAUCAAACUAUUUCCCCCGAAGACAUAGAUCCAAGCCCGACCAGUUUUGUCGCAAGAGCAUACGACGAGUCUUUUAUCUUUGAUGAAGUAGCUUGGCUGAGAGCGUACAAUGUCUACUAAAUAUGGCAAGUUAGGACUUGAAACUUCCAUGAACAUUAUCCAUUUCACACCUUCAUUAUUAAUCUUGUACUUGCUCACCCAAACCUCAAUCCUCUUUGUUGCAUAGCUUUGCUUUAACAAUGAAAACCGAUCUCCUUCAAACUCUCUAAGGACAAGAGCAUCCAUACUAUGUUCCAUCCUAUAUGGUAGAUCACAGAACCUAAAGAAAUGUUCCUUCGAAUAAUCGAAUUUAUAUACGUAGUACACGCGAUUUGCCUCGCUAGCGUAAACAAGCCAAUACAAAUCUCCAUUCAACGAUACACAACUUUUGGUGUGUAAUAUUGGCCUUUUACCAUUAGAUUCUAACUCACCAUCUUUCCACUUAUUGGAGGUUAGGUCAUGGAUCUUCCACAAGUAGUUGGUGUAAUAUUCUUCCUUCCGAGGACCACCAGAAACAAUCUUGUAACUUCCACUACUGUUGUAUCCUAUGCCAAGGGACUUUAGUUGCUUUUGGUUCGAGUCUUGUUCGAUCCAUCUACUUUGUCUCAAGCAUGGGUUCCAAACUAUAAAUCCUCUCUCCAUGGCGCAAACAAUUAACUUAUUGCAAUCAACCAAGAUUUUAGGUAUCUUGGAUUCUAAACUAGGAACAUCUAAGGUUAGCUCACAUACAUCUAUCUUUGGAUCGAUGCUUACCGAGUAAAUCUUGGAUUUGGUUGUUAAGAUGAAUUGAAACGUGGUCUUGUGGUUCUUGAUGAACGUUUUGUCGUGUAAGAGAGCGUUCCAUUGUUUGGAUACGGCUGUGAAGCGAACAAGAGAUGAUGGUGGUACACGAGAUAGUAUCUCUUCAGUCAACUCCGAUGGAAGCUUCUCCUCAUGCGCCAUUAAACGUAUCCUCAUUAGGGUUUCAAGCCGCGAUUGUUUCGUUAAGUUAGUACUUACUACUUAAAAUGUAUAUCUCGUUUGUAUAUAAAUAUAAACUCAAGAUCUCCAAAUAUCUUAAUUUUACGUUUUGAUAUUCACAUUGAGAAUCAUAAUUUAGAUAUUUACUUACGCAUUUUGUUUUAAUUUUUUACAUUUUAAAAUUUUACUUUUUUUUAUAUAUGAUCAUUACAGUUUUAGUAGUAGAGUAUUUCUUAGAAACAUUUUUAUUUUAAUAUAAAAUUUGUUUUCACAUGUUCACAAAAAGCUAAAGAAAAACAUGGAUCAAAUUGCAGUUGCAUCUCUCAUAGAGACAAAUAGGAGUAGGUAAAAUACCCGGACCCAAAAACUUGACCCGGAAUUGAUCCAAAAAAAUCGGGUUGGGUAGAGAAUUGGAUAUGACCAAUUACCCUAUUGGGUCAUAUGUAGUUCUAUAUGCGGGAAUCGGGUAAUACUGGAACCGGCUGGAUACCCGAACGGGUUCCCAAAUGCCUGAACAUAUAAUUAAAAAUAUAUAUUAUAAAUUAUAUUUUAAUGUUAACAUAAUCUAAAUUGAUGUAAUGUUUAAACACAAUUCAGGUUCUCCAAAUUGAUGCUAAUCCACUAAACCUCCACCAAAGCUUGAGAAGAGUAUAUGACAAAGAUAUGUUGUAGCACAUUGACUAAAGCAAUUUCUCGAUGAACUGGACAAUUCACCUAGAUUUGAGUUUCGGGUUCGCCCGCAGUGGAAUAUAUUUUUCGUACCUUUCAACUUUUUAAUGCUUUAUUGAAAAUGGACCACAAAUUAAGAUUCACCCAAAAGCCCUUUCUUGAAGCUGCAAGGUUCCCAUCUUGAAGGAAUAUAGGUUUUUUCCACUGAGCAUUAACCUUGACAUUACUGCUAGAUCCAUAGACUUUAAGUGUGCACUAAUUAGCCUAAAGGCUCCCCAUCCUAACUCAGAAGAAGGCUAUUUAUUUAUUUUUAGAAUAAUCAUAUCAUUAUAUUCAGUUUGUGAUUUGUGAUUCAACACAUAAUAAUUAUCAUUAUUAUUUUUUGAAAGUGCAUAUGUGUGACUAAUUCAACUAUGUGUAUGAUUGACUUCGAGUAUGUAUGAGCAUAAAGUAAAUAAAGCACAAGAUUUGUUAACAGGGUUCGGAUAACCUACAUCCCCGGGACCUAGUCCAGACUUCAUUAACAAGAAAAGUUUGCAACCUACAACUGCUAUAUGGAAUCCACCAACUCUUUCUUAGAAUUACAAUGAAAGAAAAACUACCACUAAUUGUCUUUUCCGACUAGUGUAGAUCUUCUACAAAACCAUCAAAAGAUUUCUCUAUCUUGUUGAUGGGGCGACGCCACGCACCUUAUGUGCAUCUCUCGUGAAUACCCUGAAGCGCCCAAGUCUUCAUGAAGCGCCCUCUUGGUAUUUAUAACAAUUAUCCAACCCUAGAGUUGAGAAUCUUCCUAUUCUUCACCAAUAGGAAGUUUCCUAUUUCUUCACCAAAUAGGAAUUGACAAAUUUCCUUUAUUCUCUAUAGAUAAGGAAAUUUGUCUUUCACGUUCUCAUCUUGAAUGUACUAUUCAAAAUGUUUAUCCAGCUCAGCAACCGCCUCUUGCCUUGUCCAAGUCGGUCCCAAACUUCGGUACUCCAACUCUUCAAGUAGUCACACAGCUCGGCUUUCUGUACUGCGUCCGGUACUACUUCACGUACUCACACAACUCAGCUUCUUGUACUACUUUCUGUAUUAACGGCAGGACUAGUACAAGAACUGCUUCAUCUUCUAUGUCAAUUCUAUCCACUCACUUCAUGUAUCAUCGUAAUCUCUUGACAAGUUAAGAUAUGCUUUAAGUUACAUAUCAAUCUCCAAAGAUCUAACAUGGCGUCAUUCUCCCCCUUUUUAACUUAGUUUGAUACUCAAGCACUCUAUUCGUUUAAAUCAAGCUUCAUUCAAAUCCUCACAACCGGACCAGAUAACUCCCUCAUUUGUUAAGAUCCAACUACUCUCUUUAUCUCCCCCUGCUUGAGUGCAUAACUAAGUUAAAAACUCUAUGAAAAUACUUCAAAGCAUACCUGAAGCUUAAUAUCAUAAUAGCCGUGGUUAUUACUUCCAGAAAAUCCUCUAACCAAAACCAAGAUAUGCUUGAGACUCUUCUUCACUACACAACACUUCGUAGCCUUAGUAGUACUUAUGUGCAUGAAUCAUCCGAUAACUUAUUCAAAAGAAGUUGAGUAUUUUUGCUAUACUCCCAUUUCAUGCACAGCCUUGAAUACUCUUCGAACUUAUGAUAUAAACAUCUCCACUUCAUAAUCGAUUGCUGAAUCCAUAUGAAGAAAUCACAAACAUAAAACUCCAUCAGAAAUAAUUAUAGCCACCAUCACCCGAGCACUUCUUCUGAUCAACCCUUUACAAUAAGCAAAUUCCCACUUUUCAUCAAACUUUUUAUGAGACCUGUUGUGUACUUUGCUUCAGCUUUUCUCAUAAUAAAUGUACCAGCUCAACUUGUCGUCUAUUCUAGUUGAAAUUCAACCUGCAAAAGCUUUAGAUUGAUCCUUAUCAGCUUCUCAAAUAUAGUGAAUCAUUACGCAGAAUUGACCACUCGAAAUGAUUUUCUUGACAACCAAAAACAACAUCCACAAUGGAUGUUUUGCUAAAUUAUAAAUCUAUUAGAUAUUUUUUUUUUUAUGUUUUGUGCAAAUUUAAAAUUUUUUAACUAAACCAAAAUUUUUAUAAAUAUAUUUUAGCAAAAACCUUAAACUAAUAGUUAAAAAGGUAUUCUCCGCUGCCGGGCUUCGAACCCGGAAAUCUUUUUGUUGAGUAAAACAUUUUUGAAAGGCUUUAGCCAAUGUGCUACAGCGGAUGAUUUGCUUAAUUACCAAUUUAUGUGGUAUAUAACUUUAUACUUAUGUUUCAAUGCAAAAUUUAUAAUUUUUAUAUAAAUAAAAACCUGAAAAUAUAUUUUAAGUAAUUAAAAAUGUUAUCUGAUGCAAGGCUUGCAUUAAUGUUUGUGGGUGAUAUAGUAGAUAAUAAAGCAUUAUCCAUUGUGCUACAAUGGAUGUUUUGCCAAAUUAUUAAUCUCUUAGAUAUUAAAUUUUUUAUAUUUAUUUUUUAUGGAAAAUUAAAAUAUUUUAACUAAACCAAAUCUUUAUAAAUAUAUUUUAGCGAAACCCAUUAAACUAAUAGUUAAAAAUGUAUAUUCCGCUGCCGGGCUUCAAACCCAGAAAUCUUUUUGUUGAGUUAAAUGUUUUUGAAAGGCUUUAACCAAUGUGCUACAGCGGAUCCUUUGCUUACUUACCAAUAUAUGUGGUAUAUAUAAGUUUAUAUUUAUGUUUCAAUGGAAAAUUUAUAAUUUUUAUAUAAAUAAAAACCUGAAAAUAUAUUUUAAGAAAAACCUUACAAUAAUAGUUAAAAAUGCUAUCUGAUGCUAGGCUUGCAUUAAUGUUUGUGGGUGAUCUAGUAGAUAAUAAAGCAUUAGCCAUUGUGCUACAAUAGAUGUUUUGCUAAAUUAUAAAUCUAUUAGAUAUUUAAUUAUUUUGAAUAUUUUUUAUGCAAAAUUAAAUUUUUUAACUAAACCAAAUCUUUAUAAAUAUUUUAGCAAAAACCUUAAACUAAUAGUUAAAAAAGAAUUCUCCGAUGCCGGGCUUCGAACCCGGAAAUCUUUUGGUCGAGUUAAACAUUUUUGAAAGGCUUUAGCCAAUGUGCUACAGCGGAUGAUUUGCUUAAUUACCAAUUUAUGUGGUAUAUAUAAAUUUAUGUUUAUGUUUCAAUGAAAAAUUUAUAAUUUUUAUAUAAAUAAAAACCUGAAAAUAUAUUUUAAGAAAAACUUUACAAUAAUAGUUAAAAAUGUUAUCUGAUGCUAGGCUUGCAUUAAUAUUUGUGGGUGAUCUAGUAGAUAAUAAAGCAUUAGCCAUUGUGCUACAAUGGAUGUUUUGCCAAAUUAUAAAUCUAUUAGAUAUAUUUUUUUUUAUGUUUUUAUGUAAAAUUAAAAUUUUUGAACUAAACCAAAAUUUUUAUAAAUAUAUUUUAGCAAAAAUCUUAAACUAAUAGUUUAAAAUGUAAACUCCGCUGCCGGGCUUCAAACCCGGAAAUCUUUUUGUUGAGUUAAUCCUUUUUGAAAGGCUUUAGCCAAUGUGCUACACUGGAUGCUUUGCUUAAUUACCAAUUUAGGUGGUAUAUAUAGGUUUAUAUUUAUGUUUCAAUGUAAAAUUUAUAAUUUUUCUAUAAAAAAAACCUGAAAAUAUAUUUUAAGAAAAACUAUACAAUAAUAGUUAAAAAUGUUAUCUGCUGCUAGGCUUGCAUUAGUGUUUGUGGGUGAUCUAGUAGAUAAUAAAGCACUAGCCACUGUGCUACAACGGAUGUUUUGCUAAAUUAUAAAUCUAUUAGAUAUUUAUUUUUAUGGUAUUCUCCGCUGCCAGGCUUCGAACCAGGAAAUCUUUUUGUUGAGUUAAACGUUUUUGAAAGGCUUUAGCCAAUGUGCAACAGUGGAUGCUUUGCUCUAUUACCAAUGUUUGUGGUAUAUAUAAAUUUAUAUUUAUGUUUCAAUGCAAAAUUUAUAAUAAAAAUAAAAAUCUGAAAAUAUAUAUUAAGAAAAACUUUAUAAUAAUAGUUAAAAUUUUAUCUGCUGCUAGGCUUAGUGUUUGUGGGUGAUCUAGUAGAUAAUAAAGCACUAGCCAUUUUGCUACAAGGGAUGUUUUGCUAAAUUAUAAAUCUAUUAGAUGUAGAUAGAUUAUAUUUAUGUUUUUAUGCAAAAUUUAAAAAUAUUAUCUAAACAAAAAAAAUUUGUAAAUAUAUUUUUAUUUUAGCAAAAAUUAUAACUUAAUUGUAGAAAAGGUAUAAUCCGCUGCAAGGCUUCGAACAGGGAAAUCUUUUUGUUGAGAAAUCAAGUAGGUUUUUGAAAGGCUUUAGCCAGUAUGCUAAACCGGAUGUUUUAUUAAAUUUAGCAGUUUAUAUGGUAUCUAGAGUUUUAUAUUUAUGUUUCAAUGCAAAAUUUAUAAUAUCUACUUGCAAAGAAUGGAACGCUUUACUGAAAAAGAACCAAAAAUUAAGAUUCACCCAAAAGCACUUUCACGAAGCUGCAAAGUCUACGAUUCUCAUCUUAAAAGGAUUAUAGGUUUUAUCCAGUGAGCAUCAACCUCGACGGUGCUGCUACAUCCAUAGAGUUUAAGAGUGCACUUAGCCUAAAGGAUCCUAGUUCUAACUAUAGCCAAAAAGUUUCAUUGCGAUGGUUUGUUGUUUUGGUUGCACCACCAAGGAUAAAAGACUUGUGGUAUGGAAUCCGUAUUUGGGGGAAACAAGGUGGAUCCAACAAGUACCAUUCAAAAGUAUUGAACUUAUAACUGGAGAGGACGGUCAAUAUUACAACGAACCUUAUGUUGUAUCAAAAACUCUGGCGUGGUUAGUUAUAUUUGAAUGUGUUGCAAGUAGCCCUGGGCAUAAAAACCAGAACCAAAAAACCGAACCGGAACCGACCCAAAAAUAACCCGUUUAGUUCAGAUUCAGUUAUUGCCUAAAUAAACGAUGGAUAUUGUUCUUCUCUAUCCGUGGAUAUCUGGUCGGAUCCGGAUAUUACCCGAGAACCGAAUGGGUACCCGUUUACCCGGAUCUAGAGUAAACCUAAUCUACUUUUUCCUUCUAUUUGUUUUUAUUUUUGGGUAUUUUGCCACAUUUCGUUUACAAACGGACCCAUUUUACCCGAACCAAAUGAAUAUCCAAGUAUUUUGGAUAUAAUACGGUUCCAAAAAUGUAGAACCGAACCGAUCCAGAAUCGAGAGUCUAUAUUUUUUGUUGUAGGAGUGACUAGUUGACAUCAAUUUACUCCAAAUCCUCUUCCUUGACCAUGUACCAGCGACCUGACAUCCAUUGACUCCAGCUCCUCUUCCUUGACCAUGAAGAAUCUACUGUGAACAUCUUUGAGCAAUUUCAAAACAUUGGCCAAACCACCGUCGUUUGCAUCCUCGUAUGUCUUCUUCUCAGACUAAGAAUUUGACUCUUGAAAAAAAAAAAAAAAAAAAAAAGACGCUGAAGUAAUUAUACUUACGAAUCUCUAUUAGGUUAUCCUUAUGACGACCGGACCAAACAUCACAAGUUAUCAUCAACAAUCACCACCACACGCUCCUCAGCACAAACAAGAUCUACUGUCUUUUCAUCAGGACUCUCGUCUUCUGUAAUCACUAUCACCAAAAUAAAGUUUAUUAGGAUCAAUCAGCUCCAACAUGGCAUUAGCGUAGUUGUGUGUAGCGAUUGUGUAAACAGACAUUGGCUUCUUUCAAGAAUUCGCGGAGAAAAGGUCGUAGCUUUACUAAGCGACGAUGAUCCAUGCCAUGGGAGAGAUGUGAAACCUUUUUAGUGUCGAGAAGCGUGUGGUCCAAGUCAAGAACAAGGUGAAGCUUCUUCUCGUUGAGACAAUAUUUUGUUUCAAAGGACUUGGUACUUAACGCCACAGGCUCAGCUUGAAACCGUAGUGAAUAUAUAAUUGGCUUCUUUUUCCAACUUAACUACGAACAUGAUUAUUAUCAAAUAUAGAAACUAUGAAGAUGAAUUUUUCUGAUCGAUAGAGAUGUCCUAGUUUUAUUAAGGAACUCUUGUAUUUAUAGAGAAAGACCUCUGAAUAUGAAGAUGAACUAGAUUAUGGAAAUAUAGGAACUCUGAAUCUGACUUGACUUUUUUAUUCUACCAAUCGACCAUUAUUGCCUACUUGCUGCUACGUUUCCUUCUUCUCUGGGAGCUUAAUGGAAAAUAUUACCAGGAACAUUUGUGCCAAAUGAGACUGCGACAAAAUUAGUGGCAGCUUUGUGGCAAUGUUUGCACUGAUCUUGUUCUUGCAACGACAAUGGUCGAUUCCAUCACUUCAGAGACUGACAGAUCUAGUUCUUUCCCAGGACACAUAAGUAUCAUAUACUGUAUACUCUUUCGACACAUUGGUCAUCAUCCAAAAAUAAUCAUCCUUAUAUGAGUUUAUGUCAAAUUAUAAGUUACAUCUACUCUGCAUAUUCGUAAGAAUUGAAACAAGGAGAAAUACAGCACAAGCUCAAGUUUUCGGAUAGCCAUAUGAAUCAUUACCUGAAACAGAGAUUGUGAAAAACCCUACUUACUACUCACCCACCGCCAUGAAUGGGAUUCCCCUGCCAACGACAACCAGGACCAUGAUUUCAGAUAAAGUCCAUUGUCUCAGUGUUGUAGUUAUUAAGAGAGUAAAUAAAAGCCUAAAUUUUCAUACAAGAGAGAUCGUUAUAAGGAAAACUUACCAGCCACCAUGUCUGGAAAAAUAAUCAUUGUCGAGUGAAAUAGCAAGUGUCAGGACAACAGCUCGUUCUGACAAAGUCAAUGGCCGUUUCACUUCUAGCUCUUCUAUCUGUCAUGAGUUGCAUAAGAAAAGCUCGAUCAAAUGUCUACGGUUAAAGUAAACAACCAAAUGAAAAAUACAAGAGUCCACAACACAGGAGUAAACCCACCGUUGUCGCAGGCCCGGUUUUGGCUGCAACAUCAGCUUUUCCAAAUCGGAUCACGUACUGUCCAGCAUCUGUGAAUAUCUGUAUCAUAUAUAUAAGGAGUCAUUUAGAUUUGUAUAUCCACAAUAUAUCUUUAAGUCUUACAUAUAGUUAAAGUACACAAACCUCAAAGCCAAAACCCCUCCAAUCACGGUCUAUUUGGGCUAACACUUCUCCAUCAGCAUCCUUCACUGUAAAUGUCCAAUUCCAGAACCCAGGAUUUUCUACCACUGCAAAUUGGUUGUUCCUGCAGAUUGCAAACAUCAAAUGUCAAUAAUUUGGUUUGUCCAAAGAUGUUGGUCAGAUAACAAAGAGCAGAACACGUGUUGAUUCUUGAAUCAAAGUUAUGUUCUACUGCUCUGUAAGUCUGUACCAUUCUUAUUAGCUAUACGUGACAAACAAGAUGCAGGUAUUUUUCCCCCAAAUUUUAAAGAAGAGGUAUUUGAUAGGUCAAUCAAGCAUUUAAGAAUACCAAUUAUAAAAAUUAAAGUUUACCCCAGGUAUAAAUCAUAAAUUCUUCUCCAUAGAUGCCAUCUUCGGUGAACAACACCAAUUUCCUACACCAGUACCAGACAUGAGAAUGAGACCAAAUCGAACAGUUAACAACUUAACAUUAAAUUACUGUAUGGCUUGAAAUCCUACACAAGUGUACCUCUCCGUCAAUCUCAGCAUAUAUUGAACUUGUGAUCCACCAGAAAGGUCUGCGAACCUAAAUGAUGUAGAGAAAUCAUCUCGGUUAAAAGAAAUUUAAGAAUUCUCUCGCCACAAACUUUCAAACAGCAGAAUCCAUGAAACCCUCACCCGGCAAAGCUCAUUACCCAAAGCAUCAGUUAUGGAAGCAACAAAUGGGCGCCGGGUACGAAGAAGCUGCAAAUAUUUUUUAUAUCAUUGGGGAAUGGUUUUUACUAUUUUGGUAGACAGUCAACACAUAUGAAAUUUACUGCCAACAGGAUAUGUAAUUGACAGGAUGCAACAUCUCUGAGCUAGCAAGAGAAUAGAAACAGAUCUAGUCUAAGCGUCUGGGGAUAACUGAUAGAGGUGACACAAGCUUUUAGUGACUAAUGUUACACUUUCUAUUAUGAAGACUUAAGCACAUGUUUUUUAAGCAAACUUUUCAUUCCUUGAUAAGUUGCAAUUUCAGCGCACUUUUUCCAAACAUAAAAAGAAGAGAAAUAAAAAAGGCUAGAUAAGAAAAACGAAAUAGCAGAUGCAAUUGAUAGCUAGCAAAAAGAUUUUGAACGAGGAAAGAAUCACUGUAUGCACUUUCCUGAGAGAAAGAUGUUCAAACAACAAAUAACCUGGAGAAUCUAAUGCAUGAGAAAAAUGUGAAGCCUCAACAAUCAAAAUUAAGCCUAGACAAUCAAUUAUUUAAAGAAAGUUUAAUCCUUAACCAUUCCUAUGCCCAUAUAAGGAAAUAUUGUGUUGUAACAUGUCAAAACUUUAAACACUGCUCAUUGAUGAUAACCAAUUUCUAGGUAUUAACAAAUAAUGAUAUUGGCUGAAGUAUGAAGAAAGGAAAUUUCAGAGUGAGAAUGUAACCUGCCGUGCAAUUAAAUUGCUUUGUUCCCGGAUAGACCCCACAGGCUGUCAAGAAAGUGAGAAAAGAGAGGUUUGAAAUUCGGCAAAUUUGUUAUGAACUCAAGGUCUUAUGUAAUAGUAGUGCCCUCCACACAUAAAACUUCCGUAAAUGAAAUCCCAAAAUAUAUGCGUUGAGAUAUCACUUACUGCCUGAGGAUAGCAAACAUCUACUACAAUAUAUCGAUUUUCCUGCAGAAAGAAAAGUAGAUUACACAAGUGAUAUAUCAGCUACACGGGAAGAGAAAUUAGAUGAAAGGGUAUGAAAUGAAGGGAUAUUUGAUAUGUAAGAGUUACAAACAUGGUAAAGUAAAUUCAUCAGAAACAAGCAACGGAAUUACAUAGUUAAAUUGAAGAACAUGAGCACUGGCACAAAAAUUACCUGUUCAAAACCAAGAACCAGAUUUGCCCAUUCAAUGUCCCUUGUAACCAGCAAAUUAGAUCGUGCAAGCAGAGUUGCAAUUUUGGCCUUCAAAGAAAAAUUGAAUAAGAUUAUGAUUUCCAACUUCUAUAUUUCAAGAAAUUCAGUGAUAACAAGAGUGCAAUGAAUCUCUUGCGGUACUUUUCCAUACUUGGUUCCAUCUAUACAAGUUGACAGAACAACAGUUCAUUUGCUCAGUUUUAUACUACACUGAUGUCACAAAGUUUAAAUGACACCUAACAAAAGAUACUUGAAAAUGCUUUUACACGCUCUUUAAACUAAUAACUAACCAAAGCAAGUUACAGGCACUCAUACAUAGAUUAAGAUUACUACAAGCCAAACCUAUUAAAGAAAGCAACUUUUUAAUCAUAUCAUGGUUUAGUAGCAAAAGGAAAGAUAAUGAGUCACCUCACCUCCUCAGAAGUUUUAGGCUCCAGAAGACCAGACAUAGACUGACUAACCGGUGGUUGCUGCAGCAUAGGCUCAACAUUCUCAAAAUGGUCACUCAAUCCAUCAUUCUCAGGAUAACUUCUCAUAUACUUAGAACCUUUCCGAUAUCGCUUUUCCAAAGCUUUAAACUUUUUCUUAUCUGAAACCCAUAGCUGAACGAAAAAACUCCGAUCCAAGCGAGGAUCUUUAUCAUUACCACCGCUGAAGCAUCUAAAUAGUGAGAAUGAGACUCGUUCUCGUUCAAAUUGAGAACAACAUAGCUGACUAUUUCUCCAUAAGAUUGAUUCCCCAGCUCGAGAAUGCAAGUUCUUGAUCCCACCGUACUGUGGAAACACCAACACCGUCACAUAAUGGUGAUCAAAGUUCAACAGUAAGAACAUAUUAUUAAUCUAUCAACAGUUCUGAUUCAAGCAACAAUUAAAAAAAAACCCAACCCUAAUCAAUCUCUAUGUUAUCAAUUGCAUUACAAGCGAAUCAAUUGGGGUGAGAAAUUUGAGAUUUUUGAGUGUGAUUGAAUAAGUACCGAGUCGGAGAAGGGAGAGGAACAGGAGACAGCUGCUGCCGCCGCAGUGUCACCGCGGAGAUGGAAACUUGAUCGGAGAAGAGAAGAGAGAGAGCGUCUAGAGGAGGAGAGCAUGACGACUCUGAAGUUUCUCGAAACGUCGGAGAAUAAUAUUUUACCGAUCAAUUUUGCCGGCGGCUAUAAGGAUGAGAAUAUGAGAUCAAAACGGUCGCAUUUGCUCCCCUGUGGGAGCCGAAGUUUUACUUAAUUUUUUUUUCCAGUCCUUUUGCUAAAUUCGUCAUCUAAUUAAUUUAUUUUUGUUUGGUCACCCAUUUUUUCUUUUUUUACUCUUGAUUUAUUAUUUAUCGCAAAUUAUUAAAAUUGUUACAAUAACGAUUCUAUUAUCGACAAUUUUGUCCGAUCCUUUUAGAUUCACCUAUUUAAAAUUGGGUGAUUUACCACCUAACACACUUUAAGGGGGAGAGGUUACAAAAGACACACUUUGCAAUUGUUGUGUACUUUUGGCACUGUUUGUCCCAAAAAAAAACACAAACUGCCCUAAUAAAGUGAAAUUGUGUCUCGUAUGUUUCCAACUCCCUCCGUCGUCGUCCGUAUUGAUGAGUAACUUCGUUCGUAACUUGGUUACUAUUAAUUAUAUAAUUGAAUUAAACAAGAAUAUAAUAAAUCAAUAAAACUAAGUGGUUUAUAGCUUUUUUCUUCUCCAACAAAUAGAGAAGGUAGCCCUGUUUCGUCUUCUCCAACAAAUCGAAAAGUCACACACACACACACCAUCUCUAUACCAUUGCAGCAUCUAGGUAAGUGCUUAUGAGUUUUCUCGUUUAUGUUAAACUUGUAUAUACUAAUUUCUCAAUCACUUUGGAUGACAGAUCUAGGUAAGUGCUUCUGAGUUUUUUUAGUUUUUGUUUUUCGUUUUUACAGAUCUAAAUCGGUAGUGACGAUACUCUUUAUGAUCAUGUGGAUGAGGGUUUGUGGAUACCGAUGACCUAUUCUGUCCAAAAAAUGCUUCCAAUCAUUCUUAAUACUCUCAUCUUCAACGUUUGAUAGACGAUUAUUGUCCAUAUGUUCACAUGUACAGAGACACACUCAUUUACACUCAUUUUUAUAGGAAUGUUCUCAUGUACAUAUGCACUCAUUUAUACUAAAACAUGUAAAAAGUAACCACAUGUUGUUAAAAUGUCCAAACACAAGUAUGAAUAUCCAGAAACGAUAUUACAGUUGACCAUCCAAUUAUCAGUGAAUAAAUGGUCAACUACAAAUGGAUAAUAUACAUAAUAUAAUUCAUCAGAUGCUCUUUGUGAUCAUGUGGAUGAGGUUUUUUGGAUAUCGAUGACCUAUUCUGUCCAAAAAAUGCUUUCAAUCAUUCUUAAUACUCUCAUCUUCGACGUUGGAUAGACGAUUAUUGCCCAUAUGUUCACAUGUACAGAGACACUCAUUUACACUCAUUUUUAUUGGAAUGUUCUCAUGUAUAUAUGCACUUAUUAUAUACUAAAACAUGUAAAAGUAACCACAUGUUGCUAAAAUGUCCAAACACAAGUAUGUAUAUCCAGAAAUGAUAUUACAAUUGACCAUACAAUUAUCAGCGAAUAAAUGGUCAACUACAAAUGGAUAAUAUAUAUAAUAUAAUUCAUCCAGAAAUAUAGUAAAAUGUAUCUUCAAAUAUAGGAAAAAUGGAAAUAUUGAGUAUUGUACAAAAAUAAAUAUAAAAUAUUGUUAUAAUAACAAGAUAAAGUGAUUAUAAAAAAGAAACAAAAAAAUGAGAAAGAGAAAGAGAAAAAAAAGGGAAAGAAUUGAAAAAGAGGAAGAAGAAAAUGAAGAGGAAGAGAACGUAAGUGUUUAGUUGUGUGGAAUUUUAGUUGGGAUGACAAAUGAGUUAAUAUGUUGUCAAAGUGAGGGUGAGAGAGUAAACAAACUUUUCCAAAGUGCACCAUGAGUUUAUAAGUGUGUCAUAGUGCAAUUAAAAUUUUGAAAGUGUGUGUGCACACGCAAUUAACCCUUUAAAAUUUAAAUUUAGAGAAAUUCUCUUAGAUAACACAUAAUUUUUUUCCCCAAAAAUAUCACAAUAUGAUUUUUUUAAUGUUACAAAAAAUUAUUUUUUACAUGAGUACCAUGAGUUUAAGAUUUCGGAUUUCGGUUUGUCUAAAAGAGAGGGUCACUGUAGCUGAUGGAAUCAUCAGUACUGUAUGUUUGCGGGAACACCGAUAUAUAUGUCCCCCGAAUCGGUUUUGCACGGUGAGAGAAGGAGAGGUUUGGAUUUAUGGUCUUUGGGAUGUGUGGUUUUGGAAAUGUACACUGGGAAGAAACCUUGGUGGGAUAAAAACUAUGACUUAGAAGAUCUCAAGAAGGGUUACAUGCCAUUGAUUCCUAAAGACCUUCCUUGUGAUGCAAAACUCUUUGUGAUGACUUCCUUCGCGGCCGAGACUGACAAGAGGAAAAAUGCUUUUACACUGCUGAGGCAUUGCUACUUGUGUGGAGAUGUCAAUAAGAUCAUAGAGCCUCUAGUGCAGAGUAAUAAUAAUACUAAUGAUAUAGCACUAGAAUUGGAGAAAAUUGAGCUCAGGCUUUCACAACUUAGGUAAAUUGGUAGUGUAUGAGUCUAGCAAGAUUCUUUAAUUUAACUUUGAAGGUCUUCGGUAUAUGUAAUUUGAUGUUUGCUUUGAGAACUUAUGUUUUUGGUUAUGUUAUAUGUAUGGUCCAAAUUUUGUCAACCACUCAUUCUAACAUUGGUUUUGUAUGGUCCAAACAAUUCUACUUAGAUUUGGCUUAUAUGGACCAGUCAUGUAGUCUUGAUACUAGCCAAAUGUGCAGAUCAAUUAUAUAUAAAAAAAAAAAUGGCCAUACAAAAGAAAGAUCAUGAAGUUGACAAGUUCACAUUAAACAUCGAUAACACAUUCACGAGGUUACAAAGGUAGAGAGAUUACGAAACAAAUACAUAUGAUAAUUACUGUCCGGGGGCAAAGUUAGUGGCGUAAGACCAGGCGUUGUUAGCCACAGGAUCAGCCAAGUGAUCAAACAAGUUCUCAAUGGGACCUUUACCAGUAACAAUGGCUUGGACAAAGAAUCCAAACAUGGAGAACAUAGCAAGACGACCGUUCUUGAGCUCCUUCACCUUCAACUCAGAGAAGGCUUCUGGAUCCUCUGCCAAGUUCAAUGGGUCGAACGCACCUCCGGGGUAAAGUGGGUCAAGACCUUCUCCGAGUGGUCCACCUCCGAUUCUGUAUCCUUCGAUGAAACCCAUGAGCACAACUUGACAAGCCCAGAUGGCUAAGAUGCUUUGCGCGUGGAUCAAGUUAGGGUUUCCUAGGUAAUCAAGACCUCCUUCUGAGAAGAUCUGAGAACCUGCCUUGAACCAAACGGCUUCUCCGAAUUUAACACCGUUCUUGGAGAGAAUCUCAGGGAAUGUGCAUCCGAGAGCUCCCAACAUAGCCCAUCUGCUGUGGAUCACUUCAAGCUCACGGUUCUUAGCGAAUGUCUCAGGGUCAGCCGAGAGUCCAGCGGUGUCCCAGCCGUAGUCUCCUGGGUACUCUCCGGUUAGGUAUGAAGGUGUGUUCUCCGAGAAUGGUCCCAAGUACUUGGGACGGUCUGGUCCAUACCUGUUACAACAUCAGAUCGUUGGUAUUUAGACAGAUCUGAAGAUUUAAGGAUGAAACAAAUUAGAGGAAGAGAGAUCAGAUUUAGUACCAGAUGCUCUGAGGAGUAGAUUUGACGGUACGACGCAUGGUCACACGGCCACCACCGGAGACACCAACCUUGCGGAGGAGGUCGUUGGAGGGCUUGAGAGCCGCUUGGCCGGCGAAGGAGGAUUGCUGGAUAGCUGAUGUGGCCAUUAUCGUAAUCUUUGUUUUUUAACAACAAUGAAAGAAAGAGAUCAAAGAGAGAGUUAUGAGUUGAGUUUGAGAUGAGAUUGUGAAAACCAAUCGAGUUUUAUAACAGAGGUGGUGUUCUGUUCCAUGUUAGAGGAUUAUCAUAUGUACACGUAAGCGAGUUCUGAUUGGUUGAGAGAGUUUAAUUUAGAUUUCUUUGGUCUGAAGAAGAGAUUGGUAAUGGUUGUGGUGGUGCCAUCUGGCAGUAGAAGAUCUUUGUGGUUUAGUGAGAGGAUAGACUGAUUUUUUAUUGGAUUGGUCUGGUCCGAAUCCGAUUUUUUGUUUUAGUUGAGAUUUUUUCCUUGGUCCUAAGAGGAGAUUGGUAGUGGCUGUGGUGAUGCCACCUGGCAGUGGGAGAUUUUGAUUGGCUAUUCUUUGUGAUGAUGAUAUUUCAUAUCUUGGUUUUGUGUUUCUUUUAAUCUUAAACCGGGAUUAAUACUGUUUUAAACAUAAUUUAUGUUUUGUUUGGUACAUCAAGUUUUCAAUUUGGUAGAUUCGACAUAUCAUAAAGAGGGAAACUCAAAAUCUUACAAUCAUCUCAGUCAAAUAAGUAACUCAUAAAACAAAUCUUAAAAUCAUUUACAUUGUCACGUUUACUCGAAAGAAAAAUUUAACUAUCCAUUGGAGAUGAGAACUCUUCUGCUACAAUGCUCUCUUCUUCUACACAACCAAGCAUGAUUGCAGUUAGCAUAAGUUUCCCGGCUUCGGCGAAAUCUUUGUGGCUCAUCAACACUUCCUCUACGGAAGAAGUCGAAUCUUCAGGGUUCUCUCUUCUCAGGGAUAGGACUUGAGCGAAAUCUCCAUCGAAAGUGUUGACUCGGGUUGGUCCGUAACACGUUUUGGAAGCCUGGAAAAGGGCAGUGUUCCUUAGAUUCUGUAAUGUUUCUUUGUCGCUCCAACCUUCAUUAGUAGAGUCUUGGUGGAGUCUGUCCCAGUCGUCUUGAUCCGCGGCAUUUCUCCAGCAUUCUUCUAAAAGACUCCUAUGAUUCUCACGGAAUGAAGCGCUAGUCCAUGCAAACACCUCAAAAGCUUUUAUAGCUGUCCAUCGCCCCUGGAUACUGAGACAAAUUUCAAUGAGCUCCUCUGCUCGGAACAGCCGGUUUUUGGCUUCUCCAUUUGGCAAAGAUUUUGUAAUUUCUUCCUGCCAGAUAUUACGAUAGAGAGUAUUUACAUAGCUGACUUUUACCAUCAUUUUAUACAGGAGAAAUAUUAACACAGCUGAGUAUCUCUACCUGCAGCUUCAGUAACUGGAGAUCAGCUUCAAUGCGCUUCACUUUCGAUUCGGAAUCAGAAUCCUUAUCUGCAAUGUGACAGUUACCAAGAAAGUGAGAAAGAAAGAUAAUCACAAACAAUAACAUGUGGAAUGGAUAUACCACCAAAAGAGAAUUUACUAUUAUACCUGCCACAUAGGCUAUCUUUGAAAGGUUCAGAAACCGCUUGCGGUCUGCGAAUGUUGGUUGUAAAUCUUCAGGUUCUGACGCCGUUCUUUCUUCAAUAGUUGUCAUAGACUCUUCAUCUUGUGCUAGGGCCAAUGUAUGAAGAGUGUCAGAAGCAGAUGAGAAUUGAUGGAGAAACGCCUGAUGAAGCCACAGCAGAUCAGAAUGGCGCUUUAGAAAUAUCAGUAGCUCGUCCUGGAAUUCUUCUCCAAGCCGUAGAAGCUUAGAGUACUGUUUCAUAUCAUAGAGUUGCUGGAACACAAAGUAACUGAACCCUCCUUGUGGCCCUAAACCCUCGUGCUGCACAGGAAUUUUGAAGGGUAUUAACUAAGUUGGAACAUAGAAACGGAGCAAGCUAACUAUGGUAAAGGAAGAGAUAAUUAAUUAUUAUCACUUAACAAGAGUAAAAGAUGUUCCAAACUGCCACAGACAAAAAUCAUACAAAAAUCAUACAACAAAUUGUCUGCCGUGCAAUCUCAAAAGUAUAUUUGAUAAGCAAAAUAACCACAAGAAAUCUAACGCUUUUGAGUUUACUAAGGAAAGUAGAAGCAUGAGUUCAUACCAUUAAGUUUUUGAGCAGCUCUGUAUCAUUGAGAUCAUAACAUAUCCUCCACAUAAUUUUGUAGCCUGCAUGUCGCUUUGCAAUGGAUAGCAAAUUUGAACAACGGUUUCUGAAGAUAUCUUCAUCCGUCCUUUCAGUUCUUUCUCUGAUGCCCUACAGAUACAAAACGAAUUCAUGGUGUAAUUUAACACAAAAAUGAUAUGCAGUGCACCACAUGCAAAUAGGUGCUAACCUGGAUUUCUGCUUCCAUAAACUCUUUAGCUUGUUGAUAAAGGGAGUCAAAAAUGGUAUCCCGCCUAGUCCAGUACUCAUUAAGCAAACCUUUGUUUUCGUCUUCCAUCUCCAAUUUUGCAAAGGUAGAACCAGCACAAGCCUCAAGUAAAACUUCAGUAAGUACUUCGAGAUGUGUGUAUAUAUCUGAUUUAGCAGAGAUAUCAAUCCUAGAUGCCUCAGUUAACAGAUGAAGCAUAAAGGACGCAAUGCACCACAGUCCAUUACAUACAACAGGCUGAGAGUGCCAAGGUAUUAAACCUUCAAGUGGUGGAUACCUCAUUUGAUGCUCAUUUUUGUAAUCUAAGGCAGUCUGAAGAAUGGUAACACAUGCAUUUGAGAGUUCGCAGGCUCUCUGCACUUGAGUUCCCAGUGGUUGGUCAGCUCUGAUUAUGUAUUCUAGUUGCCUGUUCAGACAAUAAAAUACUUCCUCAAGUUCGGAUACCUUGCUGUAGAAAACUUCAGCAUUAUCUCUGUCCAUCAAGAGAACAGUAUUUCGCCGAGCUCUUUCCCCUACAAAUUGAAUAAGAUCCCAAAGGGCACAAGAAACUUGAUCCUCUGAGCCAGCAUGCGGAGAGCCAAAUCUAGCUGAGCGAUUCUGGUUAAUCAAAUUUUGCAGUUCCCGGAGUUGAAUCAUGGCAGCAAGUUUUUCACCAUUUUCCAGAAUUAUUUGCAAAGACUUUCCUGCCAUAAAAGAUAUAUAUUAGCUCAGGUCAAUCUUUUUGCCAACUAGAAUAAUUUAACAGUUCACAAGGUUUUAUAAAUGAAGGACCAUCUAUGCUUGGGAGACAUAUUACUAUUAUUUAGAGUCUCAUCUACAAGCAUUAAAAUUUUGUGUUUGAUCGUGUAUGCAAUAAUGAAGUAGAAUCAUGCUACAGUACGAAGAAAAAGCAAGUGAGGGAUAAAAGUAAAUACUCUGUUUAGAGCACAGCUCCUCAUGGCAUUUAGAUAGAGCAAGAAAGUGUAGAAAAUUCUCAUGCUUCUGUUGUUUCUCAACCAAUUGCGAGGAUAUAACAGUCAUAGCCACUAUCUCAGCCCCUCUAGUUGUUGUCCAAUGCUUAGCUAAUGUGUCGACUAUAGAUUUGCUUUUGCGAGCAAAAACAUUGGUCUCUCCAUCUCUAUCAAAUGCACCAGAUUGACUAAGCUUCUCCAAUGAUCCAUCAACUUUCCCAGAUAACAGAAAAUCCUCAAAGAGCUGGCCAAGCAAAGCUUCUGAUUCUUCCUCACGGGCUGUUUGACGAGUAAGUCCCAUUUUAGGGUUUCCUUUGUCUCCAUUAUUUCGUAUGUCAGAUUUCUCCUUUCCAGCAGUUUUAUCAACGCCAUAUGGUGUUAUCCUUGUCUCAUCCCGUGUAGACCUCUCAUUGGAACUAUUUUUGCGUGACAAACUUCUCUCUGGAGGUUCAACUCCACCAAGCACAACUGCUUUCUCUGGAAUUGCCCAUACUCCUGCUUUCUCAGUAAGCACAGUCCAUGCACCAUAUUCAUGUUCAUCACUUGAGGAGAGAACUGAAGCAUCCAAGACCUUGCCAGCAUCAUAAGGUAAAUCAAACUUAUAGAGCCGGGUAGAAUUUCCAUGACAGUAGCAAACUGUGGCUGUUCCAUCACCUGAAAGAAUUAUAGCUGACCCUGCGGGUCUACCACCAACUCUGAGUUUCAUAGAGAAUAAAAAGUCUUUAUCCUCCACUCUUGCUUUUGGGAUUAUGACUUGGAUUGGGCCUUGUUUCUCCAGAAAUCUUUCCUCUGUCCCAUCUGAAAAUCUCAUCUCAGAUUUAUGUUGCAAGGUUAAAAGCGAAUAUUGUGUAUAGCUAGAACUGCUGGCACGGUCCAUGCAGAUAGUGGCAACAAGAACAGUAAUCACUUUACCCUGAUCAUCCACCUGCAGAUCAAGAGGCCAAAUCUGCUUUUGGCUAGCUAUAUCUUUCUUGAUACCUGAAUCACCAUCAGCGCCAAUAAUCUCAUGUUGCCAGACUUUUAAAACAGUAAGACCAGGAUAGGGUUCAAUAUUAAAACAAUGUAUGUCACAAUCUGUCAGCAUAAAAAAUUGCCAACAGGACUCUCUUGCUAAUCCUUGUGAAAAUCGCCAGAUCAAGGACCUUGGAUACCCCUCACUUAUGGGGGAAGAGCUGACGUUGAACUGUACUUGACUACUUUUAACACCUGUAGGACUACAAGUAUAUUGCCAUAGCUCACCAUUAGAACUGCAAGCAAUAGCAAUACAAAGGCGCUCAGCUGCAGAUACUGCAGUAGUAAUCAAUGAAUUGAGAUCACUAUAUUCUGCUCUCCCGCUUCUAAUCCCAUUGCUUUGUCUCUUUCUGAAUGAUGAGCUUUUUCUACCUAUAGGUGAACUAUAAACAACAUUUUCAUCAGAAGAUCCAAUAUCAGUUACAGGGGCAGCUUCCUGACCAGAAAAGAUAUCUGACCAAUACACAACAGCUCGAGUUUUCCUGUUACACAUAACAAUACCAACAGGACUACGAGAUCGAGCAGCCCUACUUGCAGCACCCGCAGAGGUAUCCCAAGGGACAACACUAAUCAACCAGCCUUUACCAUCUUGUAAACCACUACCAGACUCUUCAUUAGCCAAAACACAAGAAGGAAGUUCAAGAACAACACAUUUCCUCGACGGUAAGGUUGUCAAGUGACUCCACACAAAAAGUUUACUUCCACUUAUAAACCAAGAGAGACAAGUUUCUGUAUCCAUACCACCGGAUACACAAGCAUCACCUAGUGAAUAAGAACAAGCAAAAAACUAAGUACAUUUCAUUUCACAAAGUAACUGUUCUACUUCUAUCUUUAAAGCAAAGAAUACUAACCAAGAUAACUUUGUUCAUCUCGCAACAAUUGAGGAAACUCUCCAACGAAUACAGGAUUCAAUUGAUCUGUAUCAUCUCCUCUUUCACCGAUAUUUACAGGAGAAACUCUAACGACCAUGAACAGAUACAUAAAUCAAUUUCACCAAAUCAAAGUAGAAAUGUAAGCAAAAUUCGUCACAGGGAGAAUACAAUACCUAGCGAGAACCGAUAAACGAGGAGCCCAAGGAGCAGGAGUUCCAGUGGCAGGACGAUCUGAGAUUAAACUGUUCCGAUUUUGAGUCGCCGGAGUUACAGGAGAAUCCGGCGGAGCCACUCGAUUGCGUGGAGUUUUUUCAUUACGAGAGCUCUGCUUAGCUCUCUUCGUCAACGGAGAGAACAUUUCCCCAGAUUUUGAACCCAGGAAGAGAGCGAGAAAAGGGGUUUAGGGUUUAUGUGAAGCAGGUAACGAAGAUGAAGAUGAAGAAGAAGAGUGCGAGAAAAAAAUUUGAAUCGGGAAAGGUGAAAGAAAGAUUCGGCGAUGAUGUCAAAUUGGUUCGGUCAAAAUCGGGUUCGAAAAUUUCACUCCCGGUUCGGUUUACGGUUUUCGGUAAUAGAAAUUUUUCAAUUUGGGCCUGUUCUCGGCCCACCUGAAUCAUAGUGUAAGUAUUUUCCCCAGAUACAUUAAUAUGAUCAGCCCGGUAUGGUGCAGCUGAGAGUAACGUUGUCAAGAGCUCUACACGAGACCACGGUAAGACCAUCUCCCUGGAGAGUCUAAACAAAUUUUUUUUUAGAGAUUCUGAGAUUAAAGUGAUAAAAAAUAAAUCAGAAUGUGUAUAAAUGUUUUAGGAGCACCUAAAACGAAGGAGUUUUGGUACCGCUCUUUAAGGCCACGUGUUUAUUUUUUAGUGGAUUGAAACUGUAGAGUAGGGAAAAAGAAUUAACAAAAGGUCUCUGUCUCUCUCUUUCUUCUCUCGUCAAAACUUUUUCUUCUUCUGUUGAGUUGCCAAAGGCGAUAGAGAUGCGAUUUUGAUUUUUCUUUGAUUUUGUUGAGCUUUGGAGUUAUGAUCGGAGAAUUUUCAAGCGUAGGGUGUCGUUGGGUAGAUUUACAAAGAGUUCAGUAUCAGAAAAUAAAGACAACAGUGGCAGUGUAUUGUGGAGGAAUUCAGACACUGGUAUGACAAAACAACAUGUGUGGUGAACGACUGAACGUGAAUCAAUGAACGGGAUCGUGUAGCUUUUUGUUUAUGUGACGAUUCUCAAGUACAUAGGUUUAUUGUUGCUGUAACUACAGAGAUUUUUUUUUGUGAGAGAUUUCAACUAAACAUUUUGAAUAUAUGUUUUAUUUCAAUUUUUAUAUUUUAUAUGUUUGUAUUCAUGUAAUAUAAUAUAAUUUUGGUUUUAAUAUUUUUUUAAAUAAAUUAUAUUAAAAAUAAUUUUUUUAGAACCCUUAUAGAGUUCACCAUUGGAAGAAGAAAAAUUAAUCAUCCUUUAGAAGUUUCACAAAUUCAAAUUAAUCAUUAAAAUUAAUAAAAAUUUGUUUAACACUUCAAAAUAAGCAUCUUCCUUUGGAGUCUGGAGAUGCUCUAAACUCAUAAUGCAAAGAAGAAAUGAAUCAUAAUGUAACAAGAAAAAUAGAAACUAAAAUAAUCGAUAAUCGAACGAAAAUACAAAACCAAAGAAAGAGGAGCUUCAACAAAUACUCCUUACUAGUUUCAUUAUUUUCUGUUACUUGGCUAGAUUUGAACCAAACUUGGAACAUAACUGAAUAUGCAUGGAGUCCAUCUCAAUAUUUUAGAUGACUCAACAAGGUAUUUAGUGUGAUAUGCAUCGUCUUCUCCAACAGUCUCAACCAUGUACUUGUCAAAUUUACUUAUGUUACAACACACGACCACUUUCUUCUCCUCAUCGAUCAGAAAGCUUAAAGGGGAUCAUGGAUAAAAAAGAGAAUUAAUCGUAAAUGAUUUCAUCCACGACAAUGUAUCACCAAUGUUAUUAGCUAUCCAAAUAUCUAUGAUUGAUGUAUCAUUGUCUAGAUGUAACACUAAGAGUUGUUCUUCCCUAACUAUUGAUAGACGUAUAACGUCCUCCCAAUCCAAUUCUUGAACUAGAGGAAGACACAAAUGUUUAAAUCUCUCUGUUGUGAAAUCAAAACUUACCAAGUAAUCACUUUCAUAGAAACUAACCCAAUAACUAUUUCCCUUCAAAGACACACCAGUAUGAGCUGGUGUGAAGCCGUUCAUAGAGACUUCAUCAAAAACGUUCCAUGAAUCAGAGCUAAACUCAUAGAUUUCAAAUACAACAUCACCGGAUCGUGGUCCGUCAGAGUCCCAACACUUCAAGAUUUUGUAGCUAUGGUUGUUUUGGUACCCUAAAGCAUACGUAGAGCAAGGACGACAGGGCCGACCCUAUGGUAAAGCAAAUGAAGCAAUAGCUUUAGGCCACAUUAUUUAAUAAUUAACAAGGCCACAUAUGUAUUGUUUUGAUGGUUCAAAAUAGUGUUAUUUACCUUUUUAAUGCUUCAUCCAACAUCCCUACUAUAGUAAAAGAGAAGUACAAAAGGGAUUCGGGUCGGGUUUUUCAAAAAAUUCCGGGUUAAAUUUUCAAUCGGAUACUUGCCAAAUUUUUUGUUAAAUAUUUUUCAAAUAUUUCAAUAAUAUACACCAGAUUCCUAUCAUUUAGGAAACUAUAUUAAUGCUAAAUAAAAAAUAUGUCUUAUAAGGAAAAUUUGUUUAUGAAUAUAAAUAUCUCAAUCUUUUAAAAAUAUUCUAAUUAUUAUAUUAAUUUCUUAUAUGAAAAAACAAAAAAAAAUUAUAAAUUUUUAUAAGUUUAAAUAUUUGAUAUAUAGAAAAAUAUAAUUUAAAAAUAUUUGGUAUAACAAAUAUAAAAAUGCAUCUAAAAUACAUAAAAAUGGUAAUAUAAUUAAUAAAAAUGUUAAUUAGUUUGCAUUAAUUUCAGUCCUUAGUACUCUAGCGGUAGGUGUGGCUAUAAAAAAAGAAAGAUUUUAUUAAAGAUUUUAUAAAAAACGAAAGAUUUUAUAUAUAUUAAAUCUUUAUUAUUAUUUUUUAUAUUUCCUAAUAUGUUAAAUGAAAGAUUUAAUCAGAAUAAAAAAAUAGUAUAUGAAAAGAGGUUUCAAAAUUAUUCCAAUCUUUAUCAAUUUGAAUUACCUAUAAAAAAAAGAAUAAUAUUUUAUCAAUAGCAUAACUAAUGCAAAAUUAUAGAGAUCCAUAUAUAUCUAGAAAUGGUUAUAUUUGAAUUUUGAAAAAAAAAGAAAUUUGACAAUCAUUAAUAUAUUUCAAUGAGUAAUACGAAAUAUUUUGGAUACAAAAAAAAUAAUUAAAAUUUUAGGAUAAUUAUUGUAAUUAACUAAAAAUACUUUAAUAACAAUAUUUUAUCUUUGUAAUUAUUAAUCAUCGAAUCACUACUAAUACAAAAUCAGUCAUAAAGAAUAUAUUCCAUGAGUUAGUUUAAAUAAAUUACCUUAAAUUCUGAAUUUUCCUUAAAAUGUUCUAAAUAUUUUAAUAUGUGAAUAACAAGAAUAUUAUGGUCUCUUAUUUAAUAUGAAGUAUAUUAAUAUUUUUAUUUUAUUUUUAUAGGAUACAAGUAUAUACAAAUCUUUCAAACUCAUAUGUUCUUGUGUGAUACAUGUAUAUACAUGAUUUUCAUAAUUUUUCAAUAUCAUAUAUUUUCAUGAUUUUUUUUAAAAUACACGGGUUUUUGCUGAUUGGUUCGUCACCACAAACAUUGUGAGUAUACAAUUUGUUUAAUAAACGUUCUUUUAUUUAGUUUAUAAAAAUAUUAUAUUUAAUUUCCGAAAACACACUUUUCUCAAAGAAUUGAAACCAAAUAUACACAAUCGAAAUAAUAAUUGUUGAUACUAAAAUGAGCGAAAUAAUAACACAUACGACAAAACACGUUAAAAUAAAAUAAACCUGAAAAUAUUCUUUCGCGCUAUAGCGCGGAUCUGAACCUAUCAUACGUGACAAAGUACACAUUCAUGAUAGUACAUAUUCUCAUACUUGCCACAUUCAACACCAACAAUCCAUUUUAACAGUUAAAAGUUUACGUAAUUCGGAAAAAAAUAAAAACCGACACUUUUCCCCCGCGCUGUAGCGCGGGUCCGGGCCUAGUUAUAUUUUAAAAGUACUGUUUCUUUCUUAUACUCUUGGUCCCUUAUCAUAUAACUAUUAUUUUGUUGUUCUUUAUUUUUCUUCUAUUUUGACUUUCAUUUUUCUAAAAUUUCUAAAUCUGUCAUCCUAAAUGUUUACUUUACACUUUAAAUUAUUUUCUAAAAAGCCUAUAAUAUUAUAAAAAAUUAGAGGAAUUUUCCACUAUUUAGUAUCUAAUGAAUUUGAUAGGAAAAAUUAGAAAAUGUUAAAAUAUCUAACCAACUUUUGUAAUUAUACUACCUAAUUAUUUACAAAAUAUAAUUAAGAUAAUUAGAUACAUAUAUAUAUAUAUAAUCUAUAAAAUAAAUUUUAUCAUGUGUCAAUAUAUAGGUUGGACAUAUUCUUUUUUGAAAAAUAAAUUUGAAACAUAUUUUUUUCCCGAAAAUUUCAAUGUAACUAAUUAUUUUUCGUAUAAUAAAUAUUAAGGCUAUUUAUAAAAAUGCUUUAGGCCACAAAAAGUCUAGGACCGGCCCUGAAGGACGAUCAUGAGUUUUAAGUUGAAUCCACCUGGUUUCCCCCAAACACGGGUUCCAAACGACGAUUCUAGCAUCAUCGAGAGUGCAUAACAACAAACCAUCGCAAUGAAAAACUGUUUUUAUAUAGACUUUUUCUGAAUUAUAAUCUAAAUAAUCCUUUAAGGUAAGUGCACUCUUAAACUCUAUAGACGGAGCAGCAACGUUGAGAUUGACUCUUAAUGAACAAACAUUAUCAUCCGUCCCUAAUAGAACCAAAGACUCCUUUGGAGCUGUACAGAAGUGCUUCUCCCUGAAUCCUCGGCUUUGAAAUAAAGCGUUCCAUAGUUUGCAAGUAGGUCGUAAUCGCGUCAUAGAUAUAGCCGGGAUCCUAGAGAGUAUUUCCUCUACCAAAUCCACUGGAAGAUAGGACAUCAUCAUAGUUUUUCUCCAAAGGAAGAAGAAGACAAAGAGACUCAUAUAUAAGUUUAUAUAAACUAGGGUUUUGAGUUUUAUUAUUUUCACGUCUGCUCCGUGAACCAAUCUUGUGUUAUAAAUAGACAAAUCUAGAAACUUGUAAAUUAUCAAUAUGUAAAAUAUACAUAUUGUAACACAUUUUAUGUCUACAUAUGAAAAUAUAUCUACCGUAUAGUCUCUGCAUAAACGGUCGUAUAUACGUCUACACGCUAAACGGUGAUGAGCCGUAUGAAUAGCGUAUAGCGUAUUAUUUUAGAACAUUAGUGAAAAUACAUGAUAAACCUAGUUGUGAACAUUACUACAAGCAUCCCUACUCUCCCUCCUUGUAACUAUCAAUGUGUUGAUUUGAAGGAGAGUGAGACACUCAGGGUGAGGCAAGUUCCACACCCUUGGUCAUGGUUUUGGUAAAGAAAAACAUCAUUGACACAUAAAAGCUUAUAAUGUAUGUUUAUAUAACUCUGUUUAGUUAGACAUAAACGAAUAAGGCUACUACUUGUGAAGUUUUUUUAUUUUGCAACCAAUGCUUGGAGGUACGUUGUGUCUGUGUUCCCUUAUUUGAGUCUUUACACCCAAGCUCCUGUGUAUUUUGAUGGCUCACUUCAUUGGUUUACUGCCUCCCCGGACCAGGGCGAAACCAAUGUCUUGUCUUUGGAUCUUUACACCGAAACAUUCCAAGCCAUCUCUAAAGCUCCUUUCUAUCAUGUCGUUCCUUUAGAUAUUUUCAUGUGCAGUUUAGAUGAUCAUUUGUACGUAUAUGAGAAAAAGUGGUCUAACCAAGUUGUUGUUAGGGAUAUAAUGUCACACAUCGGAAGAUAUAAGAAUCAUGACAGUGUGUAAGAUAUAUGAACUUUUCCAAAAUUGUCAACUGGUUUUAAAUUGAAAGUCCAUAGUCUAAUAGUCGUACUGUUGUUUCGAUAGAUCUCAAUAUAAUCUGUUGGUGUGGGAUCAAUAUAACUUUUGUUUGUUUGCCCCAAAACAUUGAGGAUUGCAUGUUACUUUUUUAAAUUUGUUUCUUAAUUGACUAACUAUUAAAUAAAAAGAUGUUGUCUUACAUUUUUUACACCAUAAAUUUAAAUAUUUCUAUUCAACCUAUCUGAGUUAAUUUAACUGGUGUGCAUGUUCUCAAAAGUGAGUUUGACUUUGAUAGAUGAUUGAUUCUGUGAAGUUUUAUGUAUAAGUCACUAAUAUGGUAUCAAGCCUCAAGUUGACUUACUUUUGUGGUAGACACAAUGUGAUACUACAGCAAGAGUUUUGAAUAGUUGUUAACUAAUGUACACUAAUCCUUCUUGCUUAAAAACUAAAGGCAUCCCCAAUGGUACAAUGAGAUUAUAUGAUAAAGAAAAAAAAGUUGAAAAAGAAACAAACACAAAUAGAAGAUUAACCAAACCCUUUCAUAAACGUCUCCAAUUAUUAUUAUUAUAAUACCCCUUUUACUUUAUGUUUCACAAACUGGUCGGCUCUUAUUGUAACUUUUGAAGCAAACCAGUAGCUCUUUGUUGUGGUGUUUCUCUAUUCCUUCUUCUUUGUAGUGUUAUUGCUAAAAAGACCUAAAUUCGCCAUGCCAUCGAUCAGUCGAAAAACCGAAAGAAGAUAAUGAAAAAUAAAACCAAAUCUCUUUUUUUUCGCCGACGGAUAAUUUGAUUAGAUCUUUGGGGAUUCCCUCUAACCUUUAUGCUCCUAUGUUCUUCUCUUCUUUUGGUUAUGUAUCAGUCUCUUUCUCUCUGACUAUGUAACCGUCGAAAUCUCCUUCCCCGAAAGGGAAGAAAACGGACUCUCGGGUAGAUUCAGGACUUGACUGUCCAACGAUUCACAAUGAGUUCUCCUAAAUAAAAAGAAAGCAUCAUAUAUGGUUAAACCAAAGAUAAAAAUAUCUCAAAAUGUGUUUGUUAAUAUCAAAACAUACCGAUCAUUGUCUCUGUAGUUAGUGGUUAUGUUCAUGACAUUAUCUUCGGUGUUCAAAUAGUCCAAUAGAUAGCUCAACCGUUCCGCUUGUUCCUCUUGCUCAGCUACAAAUUAAGAAAAGUCAAGAAAUUAAUCCUGAAACUAAGAUGAUCUAUCUUGUUUAAGUUAAAGAUAUACUUACCAUUUGAUGUUAGCUUGAAGUCAUCCGAAGAGAAGCCAAGGUAGGAGUAAUUAGUAGGUAAUGACUUAGAAACUGAUUGUUCAUGUUCAUUAGGAAAUGGCUUCCUCAUUAUUCUAGAGCUCUCACUAACCCGCGGUGGCACUUAGAACAACAUAAAAGUAAAAACACUUCAAAAUGAAACUAUACAACAAUGAAAAAACAUAAACAUAUAAUUUAACUUCGUUAAUUACUUACAUGUGUUCAUCUCUAUGUCUCUGUCAAUGAAUUGAGAGCCAUAUCGCAUGCCUUGUAGAGGCUUGUUAUUGUCAAGGUAUCUACUAGAGCGCGAUUUUUCCCGGUAAGGCUUGACGAGGACACGAGCACCGCAAAUGAAAUGAGGAUUGCCUUUGGCAAGAAUGAGUUUGACAGUUUCUGUGUAAGCAAAUGUUACAAAACCAAACAUUCUUUUCUGCUGGCAAGGUAUCCUCACAUCUUCUACAUGUCCAAAUUUGGAGAAGUAGUUUGAGACAUCAUGUUCAGUGAAACUACUCUCUGCCGGAAAUGUUAAGUAAAUCUGUCUUGAACCAGCGAGGAUCGCUCCAUGUUCGUUUCUUUCUCCCGUGUAUUCGACAAACUUUGAUUCAUCUUCAGCUAAUAUAACCGAGUGCUGACCAUGAGGCCUACAAAUUUUCAAACACCAUUGAAUAAGAAAUUUGGCAUUAAGACAAUACUUGAAUAGAAAUAGAAGUAUUAACAAAACAAACCUGUCGAUGAGGCGGAUGGUGUUCUUCAAGCGAGCAAGAAGCUUGGUAAGGCUAUAGCCAGCUUUGCCAUGUCUUUGUGACUCUGUGAGGUAUCCUUCAGCUUGAAGAGUCCUACCGUAUUUUUCGUAGUACAUCAUAGGCAAAGAAGCUAUGGAGAUUGGAGCGCCUCUUCUAGAUUUUAGUAACUCAAUGAUCUCUCCUUCUAGCUUCUCAAGUGAUCCAGGGGAAACAACAUGCUCUUCAUCACUUAGGCUAUUAUUAGGAUUAAACAUCUGAGCAAAACUCUCCCUCUCCGGUAUAAUCUGACCAUGGAAGUACCUACAGUUGUUACCGUGCUUGCAAAACCCUUUGUUAAAGUAAUGGCAGAUCUUGACCGGGAACUCGGGUAAACUCGGCGAUCUCCUGCUCGUUCUCAAAGGCAAACAUUGACGUUCUUGAGAGAAGAACCCGUUAGAGAACUCAGGACUUGUCAAAGAAUCCUCAAAAUUCAAGAACUGAACAUUGUUCUGCAAGGAAUCCAUCUCGGCCGAAUUCUCCCAGAAACCGGUUUUCAUAGGAGGAGAAACCGAAACCGAAAGAGGCGAUGAACCCGCGAAUGACCCGAAUUUAUGAGUAGAAGGAAUGUGAUCAGAAGAAGGAGGGCUGUGGUAAUGAUGAGCAUUUUUAGCUAAUUCGUAUUUAACACAAUUGAUAACAGAAUGAAUCACAGAAUCAGGACAGAAAGCUAAACGGAUCAUGUCACGGUCUCCAUUGUCUUGCAUCAAUAAGAGAUAACCAAUGAUCUUUGAUGCAUUCUCUGGCUCAAGUUCUUGGAUUCGUUUGUGCACAACGUUCAUUGAUUCUGUGAAAUUCAUCUCUAAAACAAAAAAUCUUCUUUAACUCUCUGCAAAGCAAAAUCAUUCAUACUAAUUAGAUUUAGUCAAAAAAUUCACAUAAAAACUAACAAGUUGUAACCAAAAGAGGUAGAAGAGUGAGACUCACUCAUGAAACCCACAUGUUCAUAAUCUAUACCCAAUACAAAAAAAAAAGAUUUGUAUCGUAAGUCAAACAAAAUAUACAAAUGGUAUGGAUAAGAAGAACAAUGACCAAGAUCUAAGUCACAAUUAUACAAUCAAACAAAACAAGAAUUUCAAGAACUCCUCCAUUUUUUUUUUUAAAAAACAUCAUCAUGUUUACAUCUAUACUCAUCUCUUAUACAUUUUAAGACAAAACUAAACCAAGAACAUGAACAUGAUUACUACAUUUGUCUUAAAGAAAGAAUGUUUUGUUUUAAAUGAGUAAACAAACAAAUGAUUAGAGAGAGGAUCUAUAAGAAAAAAAACUGAAAAAAUUACCUCAGUAGAUGAUGAUAAUCCGAGAAAGAUUAACCAUAACCACUAAUUAACCGAUCUUUGAAUGGGAAUUUUGAGAGAUUAUAGACGACAAUUGUAAUUAAAGCAUGCAACUCAAAUUCUUCAAACCAUUAGAUUUGUCUGAAAAAUAAGAAAGAACAAAGAAAAAAAACUGUCAUCAUAGAAAGACUAAGAAGACAAAAACAAAAACAAAUCAAGAAAACAACAACUCACAUUUGUUUGAAUGAAUCAAAAGAGACACACAAGAGCGUGAGAGCCACAAACACAAAAACACAAAGGCAAGAGUGAUGAAUGAAAAAAAGAAAAAAAAAACAAAUAUAAAACAAAAAAGAUCGUGCAAAUUAUUUUUUUAUAUAUUUAGAGAGUUUUUAGUAACUGUAAAACAGAUAAGAUCUCAAAGAUUCUUGGAUGGUUAAGAAGAGAUAAGUCCUAGGUUUUUAAUAAUUAUUAUAAUUUUAACCAAAAAACAAAAACAAAUAGGUUCUUGUUGCGAAGUUUAAUAUUGUUUUUAAUUUAAAUUUAAUUAUGAAUGUUUUUGAGUUUGACAACUCGUUCAAUUCUUAUAUUGUUACAGCAAAUAUCGGGGGACUCAGUUUUUUAAAUAUAUUUAUUUUUGGUUUAAUUAAGUUAAUACUAAUCAUGAUUAACGUGAGUUAGUUAAUAUAUUAACGGUUGGAUCAAGAAGACUUUUGACUUUUGUUAUUCUUUAAAUGGACGGUUCAGAUUUUGUAUGUUUAUAUUUGGAUAAGGAUAAUGCGAAGAAUACAACUGUGACCGUUGUUUUAUAUUAGGGAACGUAAAGGUCUCUCUCAUGGUUUGGUUUAAACGGUUAUGGUUAGGGAUGAUUAAUACGGUUUAGAUUGACCGGAUUGCAAAUUGAGGAUAACCAAAUCCAAAAUCCGAGUUAAGUUAUGAGACAAUAUGUUAUAUUCAUUUACGUAGUAACAUGAUAUUUAACAAAUAUUUUUCAACUUAAACCGAAAAUAAAUUAACUUUUGUUGACAUGGAGAUCUACACUUUUUUUUUUCUUUUUGUUUGGUGAGAGUAAACAUGGAGAUCUAUCACUUUUUUUUUGUUUGAAUUGUCAUAAUUAUUCUCUUACAAAAAAAAUUAUAACUUUGAAAACCAUAUUUUAUAAAAUAAGAUUGAUUUGUUUUAUACUUAGUGCGUAUGAUUUAUGAGUUAAAACUUUAAAAUUAUCUCGCAUAUUUCAGGUGAAUCAAUGAAAAAAAAAUGGGUGAAUAAUCCAUAAGAUACCAAAAUGUAUUAUGAUUAUCAGUAUUUCACUCACUCAAACCUUUCAGAUAUCUAUUAAUAUUACCGCCGUCGUCUUCCAAAGUAUCUAUAUUAUUAUCAGGAUGAGGUGGGAGCGAGUUUGAAUUUCAUAUGACAACGAAUUCAUUUUGAAUGCGGCGAGCCAUGAUGAAUCUGUCCAUCAUUUAACAAGUAAACACUUACGCUUAAAUGUCUAGGAUACAUUUUUUGAAUUAAUUUCAGAUUUCAUUUUCCACAAAAAUUAUAUCACACAUCACUAAAUAUAGCAAGCAAGGUUUAAGCACAUAAACAAAAAUUCGCCAUAGAAAAAACUCAAAACUAGUAGAUCUACUAACUAAGACUCAUAUUUACUGCUAAAGCUAAAAAAAUAGAUUUACUUUACUCAUGAGUUUCUAUGCACAUUUAUAUGCCAAUUAAUAUUUCAAAAGAAGCUGCGCAUUUGUAUGAGAUGUAAUAUUUUACCUUAGAUAAACUAAGUAAAACCAUAGCAGAUUUGCUUUCAAGUUAACUUCUUUCAUUAGGAAAAAAAUCAAUUCAAGUUGACUUUGUUUCACGUGAUCAUGCAUGAUAGUAAUAUCAAACACCUCAGCAUAUAUAGCAAAUGUGUUAUAAACUUUUUAUUUCCAUACUGGGUAAAAGCGUUAAAUUUUGUUUCAAAUAAACAUUAUCUGUUAUUUACAAAAUGAGUAAAUGGCUAUUACAUUAAGCUUUUAACCAAAGAUAAUGAUGUACAUUGCAUAAUAUAUGAAAUGAUAAGCUAGCAAAAUAUAUAGUAUUUUCAAGCAAAACAAAUUAUUUAUUUGUGCAAGUUAUAUACAAAUUAAGGUAACCUUCUAAUUAUUUUUAUUUCUAUGACCCAAGACAUCGGCAUUAAGUGUCUUUUUUUUUAAAAACACUGGAACUCAUUAUAUAAUGUUUGAUGAGAAAUUAUGACUAAUCUAGUUUUUUUUUUCUUAAAUAGACAUAAUAAAUAUUUGUUUCUUCCUUUGUUGUUAAUGUCUUUGAAAAUUAAAAAAAAUUAGAAUUUGAUACUUAUGACAUGUGACACCAAAAAUGAGUUGCAGUUUUAGUAACACAUAAAUUACAAGAAAAUAAUAUAUACAAUAUGUACUUUAAUAACAUAUCUAGUCAAUUCAAUUAGUUUCACCGCACAUUCUAAGAUUGGGAUUUUACAAGAACACAAAAUAAUCUAUUUCUUCAAAUUUAUUUUGUGAGGAAUUUUUUUUCCCUUUUAUAUGAUAUAGAGUUCUGAAAAUAAAAAAUUAAUAUCGUUUCUUUAAACAAAAAAAAAUUGAUGGUUUUUUUUCUGAAAAAUAUGAGGUAAGUGAUCUUUUGAUAUUUGUUGAUUGCAUUUUGUAAUCUUUGACACAGUUUUUCCUUUCAGAUAUAUUGGUUCUUAAGACAAAAAAAAAAUCCCUCUUAAUAAUAGGUUUUAGUUCAAAUAUGUAUUUAAAUCCAAAAAAGAAUACAAAAUAUGAACACUGUUUUAAUAAUGAUAUAACUAAUAAAACAUAAUACAUAUAAAUUUUUAAUUAGGUUAAAUGUAUAUGGUGUUCAAUGUUGUUGUGUACAUGUAUCAUUAUUAUAUGUAAUGUUUUGGUUAAGUAUAAGCAUAGUAUUUCCAUGCUUAAAUUAGGAAUUAAAACUGCACUUGUUUAUAACAAAAAUUGAUAUGUUAAGACCAUGAUUAACGGUAGGUUCUUAGUGGUUUUUUAAGUAGUUUUGUGAUUAAAAUUAAAUGGUUAAUAAUGAUAAUAGGUAAGAAACGUCUUUUAACUAAGAGAAAAAUCAUGGGUUAAGAGACAGUGACUUGUCAUUUACUGAUUGGUGGAAGAAGGAAAAACAAAACAGUGCUCUCUCUCUUUUGGCUGUGACGUGCUUUUAACUGUGUUCAAUAAAUAUAUUUUUUUUUACCUUGGUUUAUAUUAAAUAGAGAGGAGGAGAACAUGAAGAAGAAAAAGGUUUAAUUGGCUAAUAAUACACAGAAAUUAAAUUAAAAACUCAACAGAAGAACUCAUUAUUUUAUUUUUAUUUUUUAUAUGAGUUAAUAUUCGUAACCAAAGAAAUUAAAUGGCAACCAACUUGAAUUAAAUGUUUUAUAGUAAUAAAAUUUUAAAAUUGAAAAUAAGAAAAAAUCAUAAUUUCAAUGUAAAAAAGAAAAAUGUAUAGUCAAAGAGUAAUUUGCAGUAAUUAUUAAGUUAUUUAUGCUAUAAUUAUGUCUCAUGUAUGUUUUUUUUUUAAUUUUCAAUAAUCAUGAAGUUUUCUAAAUUUACAAAUUUUAAUUUAAUUUUCUUUUUAAAUAAAAUAUUUAUUUCCUAAGAACCACAAGUUAAGAGCCUACCAUUAAAAAUACAUACAAACUAAAAACAAAAAUACAAUUCUUAACUCUAAAUUUUUUAAUUUUAUUUCUAAAAAAUACUUAAGAGACAAGUUUAAGAGCUUCCUAUUAAUCAUGCUCUUAGAACAAUAUAAAUAAACAUGACUUGCUAGGAUUUCUCAAGACCUUGUCUAGCUUAAUAUAUAUAGAACAUAUUUUGGCGAUGUAGUAACCAAUGAAAUGAUCUCGUCUCGUAUAUAUGGAUUUACUAGUUAUGAGAGUUGGUUAUUAUCACUAAUUAGGUACCCGCGCGCUGCGCGGAAUUUUAAUUUAACAUAAUUAUAACAAUUUAAAAUUUAAAAGAUAAAUAUAUGUAAUUAAACACUAAACUUAUUUUUUAAGCGAUAUACAACAAAUAUAUUGUUGAUGAUAAUAUUUUCUAACAAAUAUAUGAUUUGAUAUAAAUCAUGUGGUAACAAAGAUCACUUGAGCGGGAAGAAAUAAACACUCUCGAUGACCAGCUCAUGAACCUUUACCACUAAAUUUAUUUUUUCUUAUUCAUAUUUCAUGAAGAUAUCCUUUAAAAAAUUUCACAUUCAUUAUCGAUUUUUCUUGACUUGAUUGUAGAUAUCAUUUAUGAUUAAAUGUUGAUGCAGACAUGACAUCAUUCCAUAUAAAAUGUGAAUAUACAGAGUCCCAUGAAAAUUAUUUAGUGUAAUAAUAUAUAUAUAUAUAUAUUACUAUGCAUUAUAAUAUGUUUAACGAGCUUGCUUUAUCUAUCGUAGAAAAUGUAGCGUGCCAUAAGAGAAUUCUCGACCAAGAAAUGAAUGCCACUAUCUUAUCUUACUUUUCAUAUCCACAUGGCCAAACAGUUAAGCCCGAAUUUGAACAUAAUAAGCUGUUUGAUAAUAAUGUAUGUCAUGAAUUUUUCUAAAAACUCAUUCAUUUCACACAAUGAAAGAAAUGUUGAAUAUUUACUUUAGUCAUAAGCAUUAUCUUUCCAAGGUUUAGUAAUUUAUUUUCAAUAACUAUUUAACUACCUAUUCUUUAUAGUCUUCUUCUACGGUGCACUCAUUGCCUCUCGACAUCUAUUUUAUUUUCACCUUCUACUUUAGUCAUACGAUAGCUAUUUUCUCGUGAAUAACUAUAUCUCAAUCCUCCAUUUUUGGGAUUAAAACCAUUGAUUAAGUUAAUGAAAUACAACUUUUAAAUUUAUUGCAUUAUGAAGUGUACUUUCACUUGAGAUAAGUGGAUUUUCUCUAAUGAGAUAUGCUAACCAAAUUACAUAUCAUUACGAUAAAUCCAAAUCUCUAUAUUAGUAAAAGAGAAGUAAAAAGUAGAAUACGGGUCGGGUCAAAAUUAAAAAAUUAAUCCGAUUUUAACAAUUGGAUACUUCAAACUUGGAUAUUAAUUUGGGUUUGGAUACAUACAUCGGAUACUUUCCAUAUCUAAUUUUAAGAUUAUAUUAUUUCUAUAACUAAUUAUAUGAUUUCCUAAUAUUUCUCUAACUAAUCAAUUAUUAUUCUUCUUUAAAUUUUAUAUGAUAGUAUUUUUAAUUUAUGAUAUUAUGCUAUAUAAUAAAAAAAUUAAUAAUUUUUUUUUUUGCAUAUGUUGCAAUUUGAAUUUUUCAAAACGGACAUAUAAUACUCAACUACACUUGGUUAAAUAUUUUAGACAAUGAUUUAAAAUCAGUAUAAGUAUGAUCAAUAUUAAAACCAUUGUCACAUGAGCAUAUUUAAAGGUUUUAAAAGUUUCAAAAUAUUAUAAUUAAAAGAUUCAAAUAUAUAAAAAAUUUAGAAUUGAAAUUAUUAAAAAUAUUUUAUUGAAGAUAUAGAUGUAAUUUUGGAGACAUAAUUUUUAUUGAUAAAAUAUAUCAUAUAUCAAACUAUGUAAUUUUUGAUAGUUUGUUACAAUCACAAUUAUAAUGGUAAAGCAAGUUAUGAAUAAUGUUUUUUACAAAAUGAAUUUUGUUACGGGUUGGUCCUUCAAAAAAUAUAUUGUAAGUAUGUAAUUUUUACAUAUAUUUCUACUUCUACUACAAAAUGGUCAAAUUGAAUAAUUUGUCGAUACAUAUUAUUUCGUGCCGUUCAUUUUUCACUGUUUUUUAGUUGUAUCAAAACUCAGUGUAUUAUUAUUUACUCGCUUUUUCGUUUUAUUAUUUUAUUUAAACUUAUUAUACAAAUAUAUGAUUCACCGUAAUCGACUGCAUUGCAAUAAAAUUAAAAUGUAAUAUAUUGUAUUCCGUUAAAAGUUAUAUAUAUGUAAUUAUUUUCCCUGCGCUGUAGCGCGGGUCCGAAUCUAGUUCAUUAAGUAAUUGUAGAAUCUCAGCAGGUUAUAUAUAAAAUUAACUUUUGUAAAUUCAAUAUAUGUUUUUAAUUCUUCAUUUGUACUUUUUGUAAGUGAAAGUUUAUUUUAAACUAAAUUUCACAUUAUACUAUAGAAAAACUUGUUUUUGUUUUUUUCAUCCAAAUGCAAAUGAGGUUAUUUAUUUAUUUAUUUAUUUGCAUUUAAACAUUAUAGUCCUUUCUUCUGUUCAUGACCAAAUUAGCUGAUCUGAUCGGAAAAAAAAUAAUCACCAGCGAAAACCCUAGAAGCUACCCCAUAUUCGAAUUCUCGAUUUCGAUUCAAUGUACCAAUGGAGAAAAUUCGACUUCUUCGAGGAGAAAUACGGUGGCAAGAUACCUGACGAUGUCACCGGAGAUAUUCAAUGUUGUUCCAGUGGCCGCGGCAAAGUCGUCAUCGGCUCUAACGACGGAUCCGUCAGCUUCCUCGAUCGCGGUAUCAAGUUCGAUUCCGGUUUCCAAGCUCACUCUUCCUCCGUCCUCUUCCUUCAACACCUCAAGGUCUCUCGCUCUCUCUGAAUUUUUCUAUUGUUUAUGUUUCUUCUGAUCGAAUCCUAAGACUUAAAGUUUUGAUCGCUGCUGAAUCAAUUCGUUCGUCGAUUUUACGAUUUCACAAUAGAUAUAUCUUCAAUUUGAUUGUGAUUUUGGCUGUUUGUUUUGGAAAUUGAGAUUGUCCUGUUGAGACUGUGUGUUGUUUAUGAUCAAAUUGAGAUUUGGCUGUGUUUUUUUGCUUAUCGUUGCUCUUUUGGGAGUGUUAAUAGCAAAGGAACUUUCUCGUUACUGUUGGAGAAGAUGAACAAAUAUCGCCUCAGCAGUCUGGGAUAUGUCUCAAGGUAUUUGACCUUGAUAAAGUGCAAGAAGAAAGUACUAGUUCUUCGACUCCUGAAUGCUUUGGUAUUCUAAGAAUAUUUACCAAUCAGUUUCCUGAAGCUAAGGUACUAAGAUACUAAUAACUAUCUCUUCGCGAUUGUAAUGCGUUGUCUCCGUUUGGUUUCUUGAUGGAAACUUAUGUGCAAUUUGCAGAUUACUUCUUUUCUUGUCCUGGAGGAAGUUCCACCUAUAUUGCUUAUAGCCAUUGGUUUAGAUAAUGGCUGCAUUUAUUGUGUCAAAGGAGAUAUUGCACGAGAGCGUAUCACCCGGUUUAAGCUUCAAGUGGAUGGACGAUCUCCUAUUACAGGCUUGGGGUUCAGGAUGGAUGGUCAAGCGCUUCUGUUAUUUGCCGUAACACCAGACUCAGUUAACUUGUUCAGUAUGCAGGCGCAGCCACCUAGAUUGCAGACUUUGGAUCAUAUUGGGGGCAGUGUGAAUACUGUUACAAUGAGUGAUCGCUCGGUACGUACUUCUUUAUAUGUGAGUUGUUGAUUUUAGAGUAUGUUCUUCGUAUCUUCUAACCAGUUGAAGUAUGUUGUGCUCUACAGGAACUAAUAGUUGGUCGACCUGAGGCUGUUUAUUUCUAUGAAGUUGAUGGACGUGGUCCUUGCUGGGCUUUUGAAGGAGAGAAAAAAUUCAUGGGCUGGUUCCGUGGCUACCUUUUAUGUGUCCUUACUGACCCGAAAACUGGGACAAAUGUUUUCAAUGUGUACGACCUUAGGAAUCGGCUUAUAGCAUAUAGUCUAGUCGUUGAUAAAGUCUCCAACAUGCUCUGCGAAUGGGGAAACGUAAUACUUAUAACGUCUGACAAAUCAUUAUUGUGCAUUACCGAGAAGGAUAUGGAAAGCAAGUUAGAUAUGCUGUUCAAGAAAAACCUGUACACAGUAGCGAUUAAUCUUGUCCAGAGUCAGCAUGCCGAUGCUGCUGCUACUGCCAAUGUGAUGAGGAAGUAUGGAGAUCAUUUAUAUGGCAAACAGGACUUUGACGAAGCUAUGUCUCAGUACAUAAACACAAUUGGUUACCUUGAACCAUCAUUUGUGAUACAAAAGUUUCUGGAUGCACAGAGGAUCUACAAUCUUACAAAUUACCUGGAAAAGUUGCAUGAGAAGGGUCUAGCAUCAAAAGACCACACUACUCUUUUGCUAAACUGUUACACUAAGUUGAAGGAUGUAGAAAAGCUGAACACAUUCAUUAGAAAAGAAGAUGGCAUCGGCGAACUGAAGUUUGAUGUUGAAACAGCCAUUAGGGUCUGUCGUGCAGCUAAUUACCAUGAGCAUGCGAUGUAUGUUGCAAAAAAGGCAGGAAAACAUGAGUGGUAUUUGAAAAUUUUGCUGGAAGAUCUUGGAAACUACGACGAAGCCCUGCAAUAUGUUUCAAGUCUUGAACCCAGUCAAGCUGGGGUAACAAUAAAAGAGUACGGUAAGAUUCUUAUAGAGCACAAGCCCAAAGAGACUAUUGAUAUACUCAUGCAACUUUGCACUGAGCAAGGGACUUCUAAUGGUGCGUACCUGUCCAUGUUGCCAUCACCUGUAGACUUCAUCAAUGUGUUUGUUCAGCAUCCACAUUCAUUAAUGCAUUUUCUCGAGAGAUAUGCUGAUAUAGUGAAGGAUUCACCUGCUCAAGCAGAAAUCAAUAACACACUCUUGGAGUUAUACUUGUCCAGGGACUUGAAUUUUCCAUCAAUCUCUCUCUCAGAAAAUGCUCUAGAUCCGGACUUAACAGAUCAUACAGUAGCCGCUACGGUGUCUAAAGCUGAUCCUAAAAAUAGGACAAAUGCUGAUUCGAAGGAUGCAGUGGAGAAGGAUUGUAAAGAAAGACAACAGAAGGGACUGGAGUUGCUUAAACUGGCAUGGCCGUCAGACCUAGAGCAACCCCUCUAUGAUGUUGACCUUGCUAUAAUUCUUUGUGAGAUGAAUUCGUUCAAGGAGGGACUUCUGUAUCUGUAUGAAAAGAUGAAACUUUACAAGGAGGUUAUUGCUUGCUACAUGCAGAACCAUGAUCAUGAAGGACUGAUUGCGUGCUGCAAAAGAUUAGGUGAUUCUGGCAAGGGAGGGGAUCCGUCUCUUUGGGCAGAUCUUCUCAAGUAUUUUGGUGAAAUUGGAGAGGACUGCACCAAAGAAGUGAAGGAGGUUCUUACUUAUAUUGAACGGGAUGAUAUUUUACCUCCUAUAAUUGUUCUUCAGACCUUGGCAAAGAAUCCAUGCCUUACCCUCUCUGUUAUCAAAGACUAUAUAGCCCGAAAACUUGAACAAGAAUCAAAGAUAAUUGAAGAGGACCGGCGUGCAGUAGAGAAGUAUCAGGUUGGUGUUUUCAUCAUCAUACGUUUUAAAUUCGUUCAUCCAGUCUGACCCUUCAAGUCAAUUAGAAAACUUGUUCUCGUAAUGCAGACCCUAUUUCUUAUCCAAAAGCCUUUUGUGCACGAAAAUCAUCUCCCGAUGUAAAUUCCUAAUCAGGUUUUUGAACGGUGCAGGAAACGACAAAAAACAUGAGAAAAGAGAUUGAAGACCUUAGGACGAAUGCCAGAAUAUUUCAACUUAGCAAGUGCACCGCUUGCACUUUCACAUUAGAUAUCCCAGCAGUCCAUUUUAUGUGUAUGCACUCAUUUCAUCAACGCUGCCUUGGUGACAAUGAAAAAGAAUGCCCUGAGUGUGCUCCCGAGUACAGAUCUGUGAUAGAAAUGAAGAGAAGUUUGGAGCAGAACUCGAAAGACCAAAAUCUGUUUUUCCAGCAAGUGAAAGGCUCAAAAGACGGGUUUUCUGUGAUUGCAGAGUACUUUGGGAAAGGAAUCAUCAGCAAAACUAGUAAUGCAACAUCUUGAUUCUCUUCAUGUCUGGGGGUAACUACUGAACUUGCAAAUGACUUAUAAGUUAUCCUUUUUUUACUUUGUUGGAAUCAAGUAAAUGAGAACAUCUAAUUACAAAAUAAGAUAAUAUGGGAGAUAUAUAAUCUCAUUUAUUGAUUUUGUCUGUUCAGGUAAGGCGUCUGAAACUCUCGAAGUGAGUCUGGCAUGAACUAUGUGGCAUCUGUGUAUCUGUGAUUGUGAGGUAUCCUUUAAAUCUACUUUAUCGGCUUAGAUAUUGUGUAAGAGUGAGUUGCUAGUGAAGUUGGACAGGCUCAAUUCUUCUUAUUUACAUUUCUGAGAAUCUGUGCCAUGAUGCUGGAGGAGAUGCAUAUAAAAUGUUUUUGUGUGUAUGUAUCAUUUUUUGUUUUGUAUUUUUACUUUUGGAACUCCAUAAUUUCAAAGGGAAUGUUUAAAGUAAAUAUGCUGUUGUGUUUGCUUUGCAGUCGUUGUGUUAAACGAUCUGCUCAUUUGAGCAGUUUUUAAAUACUUGCUCAAAUUCUGACUUCGGAUCAUUAUGUGACACUCAAAAACUUAAAUUAUCUUUCAUGCGUCCAAUUUUUCUGCUUCUGAGAAAUACUGGACAAAUCUUAAGACUUGGCUGUCGGAGUUAAUAUUUGGCGUUCGCGUUGCUCCCAUGAUUGACCACAGGAAUCCCCACUCUGAUUUCACGGUUCGUUUAUCUCCUUUGACUCUGUUCUAGCUGUGAUUAGGGUUUCCAGCGGUUUAUCUUGCCCUUGAGAUCUUUAUUGGAAGUUAAGAGUUUUAAGUGUUUAACCAUGGCUGGAACAGAUGAGUUUGUUGGGGUUUCAAAGGCAGGUAACGCCAGUUUCCGGUUUUUUUCUUGCUUCCCGUAGCUAUCCAAGAUCAGGAGUGCCUUUAAUUGAAAUAGCAGCAUGAUGUUGAGAAGCCUUGGUUUCUGGAUGUGUAUGGCUUUGUCUGAUCUCAGGUUUAGGACAGAUAAAUUAACUACGUCAUGAUUUAUAAUUGGUUCGUUUUGGAAUGCUCAAUCUUAAAUGUUCUGUUAUGGACCUUCUCCUUCUGUUCUGAAGGAUACUUCUUCUUUGUAUAUAUGGAACCGAGAGUGGAAACUCUUUGCGGAGAUUUUAGAAGUAAGGAUGAAGGAGUCUCUUCCCGUGUGGAUAGAUAAGCAGAAAAAGAGAGUUGCUGUUCUUAGUUUAGCGUUUUGCACAUGUACCUUCCACUUGGGUCAUCAGAUCAAUCUUUCGGGUUCACUUCGAUUCGGGUAACAUCCUCCGGAAAGUCGAAGAAGUAAAGUUCCAUGCUUCUCGUGAUCCGUUAAAAAGCUUAUAAGUACUAAGCAUACAUAACGGUUGUCUGAAUUUAGAACAAAGUUCUCACUCGAAGCAGAGUUCUCUAACUGAUGCAAUCAAAUCUCAAAAGUAAUCCACGAGGUCACAAACUCAGAUCUAGACGAGACAACCAUUUUACUUGUUUAUAACUGAGACGAUAACAUGUGGCUCAACAAUGACUCACAGGAGUAAAAAUAAAAUGGUCAUUUCUUAUUGUCCGAUGAUAUCAAAACCUGAUACAGAAUUACAGACAGACAACAGCAGGAAGAACUUACGAUGUUUGUCUCCAAAGUACAACGUUGUAAAGAUGACAAUGAUGGUUUUGGAGGAAGAGCAGGGCUUGACUAUAACAAAAGCUUUGUUUACGUGCAAGACUCUGGCAAUAUCCUUAAACCAGGUUUUGUCUUGACUCUUGAUACUUUACUUUGAUUUUACUUUUCGAUGUUAUCAAUGUGAAUGUGAUCAUGAGUGAUUGCUUAAAAAAAUUAUUCUAUCUGUCCUUUAUUUCAUGUUCUUAAAAAAAAAAAAAAGUAAUUAACAAAUCAUAUGAUUAACUAAUUCUUGAUAAAUUUUUUUUUUGGUUUAGUGUUAAAAUGCUAAUUCUUGAUUAUGUUGCAGCUCCCUCUUCACUUUGAGCAACAAUGGCAGCAAUUAUCACCGUUGACUUUCAGAACUGUUUCAUCUUCAUCCUCCUAUGCCUCUUCUCACUCUUUUGCUACUCUUUCUUCUUCAAGAAACCAAAGGACUCACGAGGCUUCAGUGAACUGCCUCCUAGCCCUCCUUCUCUUCCAAUCAUUGGUCAUCUUCACCUUCUCCUCUCUUCUAUAACCCACAAGUCUCUUCAGAAACUCUCUUCCAAGUAUGGACCUCUCCUCCAUCUACGGAUCUUUAAUGUCCCCAUCAUCCUCGUCUCUUCAGCCUCAGUGGCUUACGAGAUCUUCAGGUCUCAUGACGUGAACGUCUCCUCUCGUGGUGGUGCUGCGAUCGAUGAGUCCCUCGUGUUUGGAUAUUCUGGUAUCAUCAACGCUCCUUAUGGAGAUUACUGGAAGUUCAUGAAGAAGCUUAUAGCCACUAAGCUGCUCCGACCACAGUCGCUUGAGAGGUCAAAAGGUAUUCGUGGUGAAGAGCUAAUGAGAUUUUACAACAGCAUUCUCGAUAAGGCGAAGAUGAACGAGAGCGUUGAGAUCAGUAAGGAAGUAAUGAAGCUUGUGAACAACACCUUGUGUAGGAUGAGCAUGGGAAGGAUGUUUUCAGAGGAGAACGGUGAGGCAGAGAAAGUCAGAGGAUUGGUGGAUGAAUCUUAUGCCUUGACCAAGAAGAUGUUUCUGGUAGCUUUAUUGCGUAGACCGCUCAAGAAGUUUCGGAUCCCACUAUUUGUGAAGGAGAUAAUGAGUGUUUCCGACAAAUUCGAUGAGUUGCUAGAGAGAAUUCUUGUGGAACAUAAAGAGAAACUCCAAGAGGGGUAUCAAGGUACUGAUAUGAUGGAUGUGUUAUUGGCAGCUUAUGGAGAUGAAAACGCAGAGUAUAAGAUCACUAGGAAUCAUAUCAAGUCGUUUUUCGUGGUAAAUGUUCCCUCGUUAUAUCAAUUUCAUUUGAGGAUCCAAACGAAAUUUACUUAGAAAUGUUUUGUAUCUUCUCACUGCAGGAGCUUUUCGUUGGAGGCACUGAUACCUCAGUGCAAACAACACAAUGGACAAUGGCAGAGAUCAUGAACAACCCUAACAUUCUUGAGAGAGUAAGGGAAGAAAUUGAUUCCAUUGUAGGGAAAAAAAGAUUGAUUCAAGAAACUGAUCUACCGAACCUCCCUUAUUUGCAAGCAGUAGUCAAAGAAGGGCUAAGACUGCAUCCACCAGGUCCUCUCUUGGUAAGGACGUUCCAAGAAAGAUGUGAGAUCAAAGGCUUCUACAUACCAGAGAAGACAACACUCAUUAUUAAUGCUUAUGCUGUAAUGAGAGAUCCUGAUUCUUGGGAAGAUCCUGACGAGUUUAAGCCAGAGAGGUUUCUAAGUUCCUCAAGCGCGCAAGAAGGCGAGAAAGAGCAAGCUUUUAAGUACCUUCCUUUUGGCGGCGGAAGGAGAGGAUGUCCCGGAGGUAAUCUAGCUUCUAUAUUUGUAGGAACCGCAAUCGCAGUCAUGGUGCAAUGCUUUGACUGGAAAAUCAAAGGAGAUAAGGUUAACAUGGAAGAGACAAUUGAAGGAAUGAACCUAAGUAUGGUUCAACCUCUUAACUGCUCGCCAGUUCCUCGAACCCUAUCAUUUUCUUGAAUUUACUUUUGAAGAUUUGCAGUUCCUGACACUACUCAGGUCCAUUACAUUUUCAGUCUUUUAUGGUUGUUGUAUUUGAAAUUUAAAUAUUCAUAUGCAAGAAAGCUGAGGCCAGCAAUAUAUAUUAGCUUAUCAAAGUACUUUGAUUUAAAACCUUGGUAAUUUUAAGAAAUUUUAUGUCCCUUAACUUAGGCAUCACCACAUUUACGGUUUAUUAACCACCGGUUAACGGUUAUAACUUUCUUUAACCAUAACAUUAACCAUUAUAUAUAUGGGUAAGGCGGUUAUAGUUAUAUACGAUUACGAUUAGUUACUGUUACGUUUAAAUAUGGUUACAAUUAUUUGAUGAUUAUAAUGUUGUUAAUAUCAUGGAUGAAAUUUUAUGUUUUCUUACUUUUAUUAUAAAAAGUUAAAUGAUGAUAUAUUCAAAUAAUAUUUAUUUUAAAAUAUGAAAUAUAUUUAGUUAUAGAGAUCAACUAUUUUAUAGUAAAUUAGUUAAUCAAUGAGUUUUAUUUAAUCAAACAAAAUUACACAUUAUUAAAUUAAUGGUCAUAAAUCUACAAAUAAUUAACUUAUUUAUUUUUUUUGAUUAACGAGAACGAGUAAGAAAGUGAAUUUGAUUUAUUAGCUGACACAAUAAUCUAUUUAAAACACUAUUUCAAUGAAUAUUUUUAUUUUAAAAAUUUAACCGUACGAUUAUAUAUGCGGUUAAACGGUUUUGAUACGGUUAAUAAUAAUUACGGUUACAAUUUGGUGACGGUUACAGUUACGGUUAGGUUUUGGUCAUGCCUACCUCGGCUCUGUUUCUUCAUCCAUUACAUCAACUCGGGUCGGUUCGAACCAAAAGGCCAAAGCAUACUUUUAUUUCUUUACACCACUGCGUCAAUAUAUAACUAAAGCGUAAAAAGACGUUUGUAAAACAGCGGGAGAAGUACUUUGAGAGGAAGAAGAUGGCGAAGAAGAGAGACAGUUUCAAGCUUAUCAAAAUCAAAGAAGCCUUUAAUCUCAUCAACCAACACGUUACUCUUAUUGGUGUUGUUCUUGAAUCAAGAGAACCCAAACAAUGCCGCAACAAUGGUAUCUCCAAAUCCAAAUUUUCUCCCUUUUAUUGUUUUCGUUUCUUCGUCAAUCAGAUAAAUUGAGAAUUUUUCUGUGAAUUUUAUUUAUCUGGGUGAUGAUUGAAUUGGGUUUGUUUUGUGAAAACCCUAACAAUUUACCCAAAAGGUGUAAACUUUAUCGAUUCUUGAGUGUGAAUAAUUAAAAAAAACUUGGUUUUUUCAAUCGAAAUGUGAAUACUUUUUGCUGAUUUUAGUGUGAGAAGAUUUAAAACUUGAUUUUGCAAUUGAAAUGUGAAUACUUUUUGCUGAAAGUUUGAAUUUUUUGAGUGUGAUUAGAUUAAAAACUUGAUUUUGCAAUCGAAAUGUGAAUAGUUUUUGCUGAAAGUUUGGAUUUUUUUUGUGACAUUUUUAGAUUGGAUUUGUACGCUCCGGGUACUUGAUGAUACAUGCCCAAGUCCUGGACUUACUGUAAAUGUAUUUAGUAAAACAGCUGAAGAGCUUCCUCAAAUCAAGAACCAUGACGACAUGGUUCUGUUUACACGCAUCAAGGUACAUGACUCUGGUCCUGAAACACUCAUUGUCUUACCUUUCUUGUGUGUUUUGAUUUUUUGGAGGUGCAUAGGUGUAUAUGGUAAAGUUUUGAUUUUUUUUGUUUUUGUAGAUGCAAACUUUUGAUAGUGGAAGAAGAGUAAACGCUGCUUGUGAUAAACGGGUUGCUUCGUUUGCGCUGUUCGAAGGAAGUACUGGCAAGGAUCUUGUAUGUUACCAAUGCAGUUCAAAUUUUUAUGAAGAUGUAGCACUAUACAAGAGUUCCAUGGAUGAUCUACGCAAAGUGUUUCCCAAUUGUAGUGAAGCUGAUAAUGGUAACAAUGUGAGCUUGUAUUGUGCUCUCAAGUUUUCGUAUUGUUUCAAGAUUUAUACUUAGUAAUAGAGUCUGCAGCGGUAUAAAGAUGCGCAAGAAGUCUUUCGAUAGGUUAAGAUGGAAACUGGAUGAAUAACUUGGAACGAUUCUCAUGAGCUUUCGUUUUCUCUUUUUGUUCUUAGCUUUGCAGAGUUCAAUCUAUAGAAAAGCACCUCGCCCUCAAGAAAAUUUAACAUUCUUGAGAGAGAUCAAGAAAGGAAAAUGCUUUGAUUUGCUGUGCAGGGUAAUAUGACUUGACUCUUACCUUUGCUAUAUACUGACCAGCAAUAUGAGAAACCUGUGUGGUGGUUGAUUAUUGUAAAUCCUGUUGGCUCAUAUUGUAAACCAUUUAUCUUUUGAUGAUUGAUCUUACCCUGUUUUCUGUUGUUUAUUGUAAUGGAGAUCCUCCAUGCCGAUGAAGAAAUGAGCACCGUUUUUGUUUGGGAUGGAACUGAUGCACCGCCAGCAUCUAUUCUGGCAAAGUGAGUAUUUAAAUGGCAAGGAAAAUAAGUUUGAUAUCCUCAGAUUAUCGAUUUUGAGUUGUUUGGUACAAUAGUUUCCAAUAUAGAGCAGUUGAGAUUAGAUGUUAGUAUUGCACCUCUUGAAAAUUUUGAUCUAAACUUUUCCAGCUUUUAAUUAGUUGAUUUUUGCUUUCCAUAUUCUACGUUUACUUUUUUCUUAUUUACAUUGUUUGCUAUUGACAGGGGAAUUGAAGAAGACAAGGCAUUUAGCAGUCUCUCAGUUAAUACUUUUCUGUCAAGAGAUACAUUGCUCAGCUUUCCAACAGUUGGAACGAUCUUGAGAGUUUCUCUAAGCAAUCAUCUAUUUCAUCAGGUUAAACCUGGUGAUUGGGUGAAACUUUACCAUUUACUCUGUGAAGUUGAUAAGGGAUCUUGGGUAGGUAAAGUUACCAACUCUACAAAAGUUCAUCUUGCUCAAGAUGAUCGUUUAGUUGAAAAGAUCAUGAGGUUAGUACUUCUCGAUGUUUCUUUCGGUAAUCACUUCUGACCUUUUUGCUUACCACAAGAAUCUCUUCCACAUUUGGAUUUUUAUUUAUGUUCCCAAAACUAGGAUAUAUGAUAAGAGAAUAUCAUCAAAGCUGGGACACAUUCCAUUUUGGAGUUUUCCGUCGCCUCCUGGACUAACAGGUUGCAAUACUCCCAUCAUUCUUUUAAAGAAAACUUUUCAGACAGAUUUCAUUACCACUCUCGAUAUCUUGCAGUGACCGAUGACCAAUGUGCACCAUUUCUUUCACUGAUGGACAUCAUAACAUUCCCCAAGGUGAAUCUUUUUCUGUAUUCCUUGAACAUAUUAAGAAUACUUUUAUGUGAUCGCCUAUGCUGUUAUUAAAGGUUACAUGCAAGUACAGAUGCAUUGUUCGGGUUGUAGCCGUGUACCCUUGGCAAGUAGAGGAUUACUGUUCAGAUAAGGAUCGCCGGCACCGAGUUUUGUUGACACUGGAGGAUCCAACAGCGACUUUAGAUGCUUUCUUAUGCGAUAAAGAAUCAGUAAAUAUCACAUUUGGUUUAUGCAUCUAAACUGUAAACAGAUAUUGUCUCUGUUACCAUAAUCUACUGUUAUAUAUAUUGGCAGGAGUACUUUUGGGGUUUAGGAUUUCAGCACACUAGGAUAUUGAGAAAGAAGCGGAAUCGGUUGCUCGGAAUAAGCGAAAACUCCAACUUUGUUACUCCAAGAAAUCCACCAUGGAUCGAGUGUUGUAUUUUCUCUUACUAUACUAAUAAAGCUGACCCCUGGAACACCAGAUUAUAUAGAAUAUUUGGCACUCGCCUUCGUGGCUAAGCUUUGUUAAGACUAAAUAGUUUAGUAUUAGGAGUUUAGGACUUAGAUCAUGUUACGAAUGUUGGUUGUAGCUUAACAAGUAUAUGUUACAUUCUGUUUCAUUAUUUCUAUAAACCAUAACUAUAGAGACCAGAGGCUUAAAGGUGAUGAUCGCGGAGCUAUACAUAUAUAGUUGAAGUGUGUUUCACUAUAGACCAGAAGCUUAAAGGUAAGAAAUGGAAAGAUAAUUGCUACAUUUAUAACUCUACUUGUAAAAAUUCUGUCAUCACUAAGGUCAACAAAGAAACGAAUACAGAAUGGUAAAAAAAGAAAAAGAGAAGGAGCAAACAAAAGUCAAACUAUGCUUUGCUUACUCUUGAACAUUGCCUAAUACAACAGCUUCAGUGACCAAACAGAAUGGUUUUGUGUGUUUAACAUUCCUUCAUAAAACUCCACAAUCUUGUCCAUUCUUGGCUGAUACAACAACAACAACAACUCUUACACUACACUUGGUCUCAAUCUGAAACCCUCUUUCUCUUAUAGGGUCACUGAAAUUAAUUGGUUCCUGCUCCGAUGUGAAGCAGCUGCUCGGGGAUUGCAGCUGGAUCUAAGUCCCAACAGUUUCCGGGAAAGCCGUUGGUUGCAUCUUUAAUAAACCAGGAUGGCACUUGAUGUGAGAAUCGCAACAUCUCGCACCUAGGUAUCCACUUCUUACUAUCAUCUUCCCUGGUGCUCUUGUGAUAUACAGUUUUGUAGCCCUCAAGUUUAACAAGAGGGGCAAUGCACACACCAUACUGUUCAGUAUAUUCAUCUAGGAUUUCGACCAUUUCAUACUGGUGCCUCACUUCGUCCGGGGUUGAUCCGUCCCAGUUUAGUGACCAGUUCUUGUAGACAGCCCAAAUCUCCCCAGUUGUGGGGAAGAUUCGAACACAACCACCUCUCCCUGUCUUCUUGCCUUUCAAAAGAUGCGAAAAGAUGUUUAUGUGGUCAACUAUGUCAGAGUUUCGUAUCCUGAAAUGCCCACAUGACUUUGUAAACCCGUAUUGUACCCAUUUCAUUGACCCAAACUCGAUGUCGGUUUUGGAGCUUAAGUAGGCAAUGUCAAUCUUAAAGGGUUGAACGGAGAGUACUUCCCUAACGACACAAUAUAGGCGUGGCAUACCAUCAUCUUCAUCAUAAAUUGCCCAUAUUUGCCUUGGCUCAAAGGAUUCCUCCGAUCUGUUUUUAUCAAAAUCGUGGAAGUCAGAGUCUGGAACAGUUAUUGGCCCGUUAUUUUUGCGCCCCGUAACAUCUCCCAACUUACAGGAGAUAACAGCUUUUUCAUCAAGGGGUGUCGCAACCUCUGCAGCCGCUGCUGCCUCUGAAGCUAAUCUCAUGGUCUCCAAUCUUUGCUUAAUGUCUGAUUUGGCCUUUUGAAGUAAGGGCUUCCGUGUAUCCAUUACUGAUGCAGCAGACCACCGUCUGGAUGAGCCACUACUUUGGAGAUGAAGUUUGUAAUCUUGAUCCAUUUUGCCAUCCGCAUUCGUUGUCUUUGAUACUGAGACAGAUUUCAGAGGGUUCUCAACAAAUCCAUUGGCAGCAGCUUCCAGAAAAACUUUGCUCUUCUUCCCAGGUCUGCCAAUCUUAUUUGCAGUCCCGUGAGCAGACAUGCUUGGCGGAUUAGGAUAUAUCAAACCCCCUGAUGAGCUUUUCAGCGAACAUGUCCCAUUAGAACCAUCUUUGACUUUUUUUAUCCCCGUGCUGACUACUGAGCUGCUGUGCUUAUAAGGAUACCCAUUGGACACUGAGGACACACGCUUCAAAUCCAGAUUCCCUGGGGAAGUAGUUCCAGCGUAUGAGGUCCAUUCAUAUGAACCAUUGGUACCAUAAUCAUAUCCAUGUCCUUGUCCAGGAUAGUGGCCUAAGAAAUAUGUUGAGUUGGUGGGCAUGCGUGACAUAGCAUCAUAACCAUGUGUGCCAUAGCCAUUACUUGGAGGAGCAUGAGAUGAAGGGGCAUGAGAUGAAGGGGCAUGAGAAGGAGGUGCAUGAGAUGGAGGCGUGUAAUGAAAUGGCGCACUAACAGGAGCUGGACCAGUUUCUACAGCAAUAAAUGCUCCACGACAGUUCUUACAUGAAAGCCUCUUAUUCACAUACUUCCUCAGGUACUCAUACUGAACUUUGCAAGAGGUGCAUACAGUCCAGAAAGUAUCAAGCCUUUCUGAAGAUGGUGGACACCGAUCAAAUACUGUAGUCCCAGUCCCAGGCAUGUACUCUGUGCUGUGCUUCUGAACCACUGUGGAGUCGAUAUGCUUCUUUCUUUUGUAAUAAAAAGUGCUUUUAUUAAACUCAUUGGACAAGAAACUCCAGGCUUCAGAUAUGAGAUGAAACGCACCAUCAGCCCCAAUGCAUUUGUUCUUGUCAGGAUGAAGCAAUACAGCCAUCUUCUUGUACUGUUUCUUCACUUCUCUUUUCCCAGCCGACGGUUUCAGUCCAAGUACCCCAUAAUAAUCAAUUUGACCACCACUCCUACACUGAGACGCUAAAUAAACUUCAAACGUCGCAAUCAUCUGAGAUAAACCUUCCAAAUCAGGAAACAAAGACCUAGCUUUCAACGCAUAACUCCUAGCGCUUGUGAAAUCUUUCUCCACAAAUCUCUUCUCAGCGAUCUGUUUCACUCUCAGAGCUUCCUCUCUGUAAGCUUCCAUGUAGAAAAAACCAAGCCAAUAUACAAAAAACCACCAGCUCUGCAAAAGGAAACUAACACCGUUCUCGCAAGAUCAUCAUCAUUAUCUGCAAAGCAUUCACAAGAAUUAACAUUAAUUCUUUUGAGUCACUACAAUAUAAAACCAAUACCUAACCAACCCACACAUACAACAAUCUCAAACUAGCUUUUACUCAAAACCAAAAAACAAACCAAACCACACUUACUCACAUACCACAAUCAUCCUCAGAUUCAAGAUCUAGAAUCUCAAAGUUCCGUUUUUCUUAACAAAAUUGCUAACUUUAUGACACUACAACAUACACAAUUAUACAAUUACUAAAUUAGAUUUGUAUAAUUAAACUCAUUGAACUCAUAAAGUAGCUAAAUUUAACCUCCAUUUCAGACAAAUCUUACCAGAAACCAAACAAAACACAAGCGUCAGAUUCAAGCUACAAACAUCUUCAACAAAUCACACUAUAAACCCUACUCAAAAAGGAUUCACCUUUACAUACCCAACUCAGGAUUUGCUACAAACCCACAACAACAACAACAAAAACCUAAAAUUUCAAGAAAUGAAACAAACAGAGAAUAGAGCUAAGCGAUCUUACUGAUAAAUUGGGGAAAAAUUUACAAAAACAGAUCUCUCUUCAAGUUCUUGCUCCACUACUUUGAACAGAUCAAAUCCAAAAGUAACCCAAAAAAAACGAAUCUUGAGCAAGAUUUGGAAUCAAGAACAGCUUCAAUGACUACAGUAACUUAGGGUUUAUGGGUUUCAGUGAAAGUUAAUUUCAGGGUAAUCGGCGAAUUCAACCAUCGCCGGAGAAAAAAAAAGCUCGAGAUUUUCGCCGUCGAUCAGCGAUCGAGAAAAUUUUCGGAAAAAUGAAAGAUAAAAUAAAAAUUGGGUUUUUUUUUUUUUGGUAUUAAGUAAAAUAUAUUUCAGUGAAAGUAAACGGUGCUAAUUUGUUAAUAGUGUUCUCUGAUCUAUGCUAUCGUGCACCGUAAUGAGAAGUGCGCAUUUUUAUUUUAUUUUUUCUCUUUAAUAAAAAAUACAAAUUAUUAAAAAUGUUUUAAUUUGAUAAUUUAAAAUUAUUAUUUUUAAAUGUAUGAUGCAAGUUGCAUUUAUCCCUUUUGUUAUCUUUAAAUUUUCUUGAAAGUUUUAAAACAACCACAGCCAGUUAUUUUGACUUGGAUCUGAAUUUGAGUCUAAAUUUUAUGAAUAAUAUAAUUAACUUUAAUGAAAGAAUCAACUUUAAUAAGUGAUAAAACAACACAUAAAUAUAGAAAAUUAAUGUUCAAACCAUCCAGCUAUUGCAAAGUCAUGAAGAUUAAUUGUAGAAUUUUCACACCUGUUAAGAAAAAAAUUAUUAUUUUUUAUAACCUUUUUAUUUUUUAAUGAUUAUACAUUCAUCAUUAUUCUACGGUUUCCAAUAAUAUAAUUUGUUUAAUCAAGUGGUAUUAUUUAAGUCAUUGUUUGAUUGUAAUAUUUAAUGAUUUAAAAGCCAUUUUAAUUCCUUCAAUUUUUAUAUACUAAUAAUAUCCUUAAACUCCUCUUAAUACAUUAGCACAAAUAUCUAUGUUUUUCUCAUAAAAUAUAUUAAUAACGAUUUGUUUUUUUUUUUAAUUUGCUGUCAACAAAAAAAAAAACAAAAAACAUGUUAAAAUUAAUAUACAGAAAUAAGAAACUUACCAAAGAUAAGGAUUAAAACGAUGAGAACAUUACCGAAGUAAACCGGUGUCGACUAAGAUAAGGAUCAAAACGAUGAGAAUAUCAUACAUGAGAAUCCGUCAUGUCGUGAAUGACGUGAAGCUCCUUCUUGAUGUGAAUCAAGCACUCGAUUACCUGAACUUCCAACCUAUACUAGGAAGCUUGGCUGUCUUUCAACCUGACUUUCGCGAUGUUCGACUCGGCAUUUAUCGUGGGCCUCAAUCAGUUAUAUCCUCUUUCAGUGCAUGGCAUUCAGUUUCAAUACAGUCUAUUAAAAUUGUAAAUGGAGAGACAAUUGCGUUUGUAAAGAUCAGUCAUGGUCACCUAAGUGGAGAUGCCGGUUAUAUCAAAGUAUCCAUGGACGUAAUGUUGUUGGGGUUGGAGACACAAGAAGAAAACCCCCAUUUCCAGUCCCUAGGAGAUUGUUUAGGUGUUUUACUUAUGCAGAGGUUCGAAAAGAAUAUCAGAAAAAGUUGUUGAAUGGUAUGUUGAUGGUAAAAAGAAUUCUAACCAAGUCACUCUAUCGAAAAAGACAACAUCCUUAAUUCUUGAAGGGAUUUUCAAUAACACAUAUGGAAAAUGUUUAAAGUCAGUUUUCUUAUAAGCUCUUGAUUGAGACCUAUCAUUUUAAAAUCUCUAAAACUUUUGAAAUCCACAAACUCAUUUUAAAUUCAACCUCCCAAUAAUCCCUCCUUAGGAUUAGAUUACUAUUUACUUAUUUCAUCUGUCGAUUUCAGAAUGCAUGUUAAGCAGUUGUUACAAACUACAACUCUAUAUAAGAGAAAUAUUUGUUUUUACAAUGUUGAACAACUUUUUUUAAAGACACCUUUUGAUGCAACACUGCAAUUAGAAAUUUAAACAUAUGCAUUGAAAGCAUAUAAACAAAUAUGAGUCAUAAUCAAGUGAAAAUGCCCAAUUUGUAUGUGUAAAUGGGUCUCGAGAUUGAUUUAUAUAUAAGAUGAAAUCCAAUUAUUGUAAAGUAAGAAGUGAGUUUAACGAAAAUUCACGCCAUUUACAAAGUGUAUAAACUAUUCUUCUUCAUUGUGUUCUCUAAUAAGUCAAGCUAUGGCUAAAUCUACUUUCAUAAACUACAUUAUGAAUUUCUCAUUUUAACAAAAUUAAUUAUAUAUAAGUCAUAAAUAACUUUUACGCAAAUCUCAAAAGAUUUAUUUGUGUAGCAUUUUGAUAUAUAUUACAUUGUUUCGAAUGAGUAGGGACAUAUAAAAUUUGUUGAUUUGAGUCAACAUGUCUUUCUUUAAUAAAUGUUUUGUUUGUUUAUCGAAGGACUCAUUUAAGAUAUGUCGAUUUUGCACAAGAUUUGUGCUAAUUCUUUUGAAAAGUGUGUGUCAAAUAUGGUAAAUAUUUUAUAUUAAAAAACUAGGAUCUAACCUGCGCUACAGCGCGGGAGAAUGUUUUCGAGUCUAGAUUAUUUCUAAUGUAUUUUAUUAGAUUUGUCAUUAUUUUAUUAUUUAUAGUAAACAUGGUGUUAAAUUUUAUAUCUAUAAGUGGUGUAAUUUAUCGCCAAAAUUGUGUAAGAAAAAAGGAAAUACAAUAUUCUUUAACAUCAUGACUAAUAGAAAUAAUGAGUAAAAUGUGAGAGAUUAUAAUUAUUUGAAUGUAAUUGAUAGAUGUAUUUGUAUGUAAUUGUGGUACAUACAAAUUUCCAAACGGGUACUUUUAAAUUAUACUAUUACCUUUGUAUAGAUUUUUUUUUUAAUUUGGUGGAACAUAUUUCAAAAUUUUCCAGUAAUCGUGUAAUUUGAUAAUUUUAAGAAAUUGUUUAUGCUAUAAUUUGUUAAACUUUUAAUUUUGAUUUUCCAAUGGCUAUGAUAAUGUAGUGUUUUUUGGAUUGGGGCUCAAUUUGAAAUGAUUUUAAUAUAAUGUUUUUGGGCUAUAAUGUUUGCAUAUACAUAACUCUAAAUGCGUCUUCAUGUAAGAGCAACAAAAAGAAUUAUAUGUUAAUGGUGACUCAAUUUCUCUUAUAGUCCACCAAGUGUAUGUUGUACAUGUCUCUCCCCUCCAAAUUUAAAGAGGCAUAACAUAUGUUGUUACUUGUUAUCAUGGAAAAUGUUUCUCCCAAACGUAAUCAGCUUUUAUGACUCAGUAAGCUCUCCUUUAAUGAAUCAAGUAGUUUAUCUUCUGGAUGCAUUACUGUCUCUCCUUCAACCAAGCCUCUCCGUACCGUCCCUCCUUCAACCAAGCCUCUCCAGAGGCCACUCUCGGCAACGACCCUCUUCCCCAUCCUUCGUUAGGUAUGGGCCUUUUCUCACUUCGAAACUGCCCACCACGUGUUUGUUAAAAUGUGACUUCAUCUUUGGCUCUGUUAAACAGAGAGUGGUGGGGCGGCCUCUACUUCCAGAAAUGCCAAACAAACUAAACUUACUAAUCUUGCUCCACUUACUUCCAACACUGCGAAAACGCUACUCGCCUUUGCUCGAAUCUUUACCAAAACGUCUACAGUGCUCGCCACUAUCUUUACACACCCUUUCUAGAACUCUUCAACGUCUUUCCCGGUGAUUUCAAUGCCGCCAUUGACGAAUCCUGUAAUUUGGCGUUUGACGUUUUUCUUAAGCUCGACACGUUUGAAAACCCUUUCUCAUCUCCUGAAUCUUACGGCUUUCAAGAGACCCAAUUAUGCUUCUUCCAGCUGAAGCAUAAGCUAGACACCCGUCUCCGCAAGUCUAAGUCACAGUUCGCCUCCUCCACCAUACCACAGCUGGUUCUGCCUUAUGUCUUGUUGUCGUUGCUGCUUCUGCGGCUGUUGUCGGCUAUAAAUCGGUAAAAGAAGAAGAGGCAAAUAAGAUUUGGUUGUAGGUAUGUUGAAUAGAUGACGACUAAGCUUUAUAUAGCAAAACGUUAAGUGGCUUAGAUUAGGGCUGUUUGUUAGGGAAAUAUUCUAAGAGAGAUUUGCGUGAUUGAGAGGGUAAUAUCUUCAAUUAUUCUCUGCGACUAAUAUACUUAAAUGUAUUACCAAAAAGAAUAAUAAAAGAAUCAUAGGCUGUUAUUUCUAAUAUGCUUAAUAAAAGCACAAAUUUUGUUACCAUGUUUAGAUAUCACAAGAAAACCGAUUAGAAGUAUUAUCAGAUCGGAUUCAUAACCCAUUAGCUAACCGACUAUUGAAGAUCCGAUUACAUAAUCUCGGGUUAUUUUUUAAAAAUAAACCGACCCGGAAGCACUUUUGUACUCUUCUUUUACUUAUAUAGAGAUAUAAAAUACAAACCUAUUGGCUUAUUAAUGCAUAUGUCUCAAAAUUUAAUCAUUUGGCAAUGUGUCUAAUGAACUAAUUUUUUUAGCAAAAGACAAGACACAUCCCAAACAAAUACCUUAGAAAGAGAAAUUAUAUAAAAUAUUUAAAACAAAGCAUAUUAUUUUCAUUUAAUCAUUGAUGAUUUUAACAAUUAUAUUUUUUUUUGGUCAACUAAUGUUAUUGAUAUAACUAAAAAGGAUACGUGGUGAAAUACAACUUAAGCCGGCGGAAGAUAAACAUUUCCUCGGUUUCUAAAGCCCAAAAUGGGAAACAAAGCCGGCGGACAAAUAUAAAUCCCGGAAACAUAAAAACCAACAAGUUAUAAAGCAGAAAAACUGAACCCCGAAAAAGGACAAACCCUUAACUAAAGAUAGGACAAUAAGGCUUAACCUUUACAAAGUACAUUAGUCACAAGGAGCAAGAAUACCUCUUCUUCUGAAGCACAUGUGGAAUAGAUUUACCAAAGAUGCACACGGCCAAUCCGACGAUAACAUCAACUACCUCAUAUCACAUUGAGAGCCAAUCUCUCGAAACCAAAAGACUUCAUAACCCGACAAGCAAGACUCGAUUACACUUCCGAAUACGAGGACGACUGCAGCAUCCCAAAACAUCUAGGUUAGAAGCUUUCAAAACGCAAUCAGAUCUCAACCGAUCAAGCAGAGAAAAGCGAACAAUAAUUAUGUAUGAAAGGUAAUAAAUAUAAAUGUAUUCUCAAAGGAUGUUGUUAUUACCCUUGCCUCUUGGUUUUGGCGCCGGUUUAGAAGUGGCAACCGACGUCAUGGCUGCAUCUAUCUUUUCUUUCAUGAAAGCUAUUUUAUCAUCUUUCAACCAAACGCUCGUAUACCACGAUGGUUUGUCCGAAUUCAUUGAUAUCAUAGUGUUUUGUUUCUUUUUCUUCUUGGUCUUAUUUCUUUUUUUUGUGGGGUUUAUAAUUUGUUAUAAUACUAGUUUUGUUGUGUAUUAAUCUACUAGUUUCAAGACAAGAAAGAAAAACUCUAUACACAUGGAUUCCGAAUAUUUUUUUAAAAUAAACGCCUUGUUGAUCAACAUAUAAGCAAAACUCAAAAAUCGCAUGCAGUGUACACAUUCUAAAAUAUUCGAUUCUCUAAUAUUUCUAGAGAAUUUUUGAGAAAUACCCCUUUUGUUAUACCUCUUUUUAAAAAUACCCCCUUUAUCUAUCCAUUUUCAAAAAUACCCCUUUUUAAAUAUAAAAAAUUAUAAAGUUUUAUAUAGUUUAUAACGUACUUCUAUAUAAUAACUACUACUAGGAAAUUCGAUACAAAUAUUUUAAAAUGUUUUAAAUAGUUUAAAUCGUUUUUAUAAUUUUAUAAGGUUUUUAAAGGUUUUUAAAAGGGUUUAUACGGUUUUUAUAAGGUUUUUAUAAGGUUUUAUAAUUUAUUUUUACGCUAUUUAUGAAAGGUAUAUAAAGUUUUAUACACAUAUAAAGGUAAUUUGUGUAUAUAUUUAUAAGCUUACAGACAUAUUUGGAUAAAUUUCAAUAUUUUUAGUGGGUUUUUGAUAAAGUUUGAAAAUAGGGUAUUUUUAAAAAAAAAGUAUAUGAAAAUGUGUAUUUUUGAAAUUCCCCCAUAUUUCUACGCAAACCAAAAAAAUACAUGGAAAAAAUAUUUUCUUAAUAUAUAAAAGAGUGAGUUCUUUUACUUGACAGGGACACAAUAGACAGAACUGAGAAGUGGAUGCUAGACGCAUACCAAGUGUACAUUACAUUGUUUUGAAUAAGUCGACCUAUUUUAGAAAGUUUACAUUACAUCUCACAGUAGAAAGAACUGAGAAGUGGAUGCUAGACGCAUAUAAUAGACCUACUUUGAUAUAUAUUACAUUGUUUUGAAUAAGUAGGGAGAUUUGACGACAAAAAAAAAAAAAAAAAAAGAAGAAUAAGUAGGGAGAUAUUAAAAUUGUUGGUCUGACUUAACAUGUAUUUCUUCAAUAGAUAUUUGUUUUUGUUUAUCGAAAGACCAUUUAAGAUAUGUUAAUUUUGCAGGAUUUGUGCUAAUUCUUUUAAAAAGUGUGUCAAAUAUAGUAAAAAAUAUAUUUUAAAAUAAAUAUAAAAUACAAACCUAUAUGGAUUAUUAAUGUAUAUGUCUCAAAUUCAAUAAUUUAGUACUAUUUCUAAUGAACAACAUUCUUUAGUAAAAGGCAACACACAUCCCAAACAAAUCAGUAACUUUCAUAAUAUAUAAUAUACAUAUCUUAGAAACUAGAAAGAGCAAUUACAUAAUAUAUUGAAACAAAUCAGUAAUUUUCAUUAAGUCAUUAAUGAGUUUAACAAUGAUGAAUGAAAGAUUAUAAAUAUAAGUGCAUUCUCGGUUUUGGCCAGAAAAUCUCUCGUCAUUCAACUAGAUAACUAAUCUUUAACUUUGUAGUAUUUAAAACAAAUAAUUACUAACUAGAUAAAAACUACUCACUAAUAACGAAAAUAAAAUGACUUGGUCAACUUAAAUUCACUUAAAUUCGACAAUUUAUUUAUUUGUCUACUAAAACAGUUCGAUUUUAUUUUUUUCGUACAUAAAGUUGUAGUUUGGUCUUUUAUUACAACAUCCCAAACUUUUGCAUAAAACAGCUAAGCGUUUACCGACAAAACACAAAACAAUAACCGCUUUUAACAAGUUUGAUUACUUACAAAACGGCGUCGUUUUACGUAUUAACAUUAUCAUUCCCUCUCGGUUGCUUCUUCUCAAGAAGACGAUCACGAAGAAAAAUAUUUGCAGAGACAUUGUAGCCCGAGAGAACAUUUUGUUGCUUCAACUUCACUUAAGGUAUCAUCAAUCUCUAAAAUCUCAAUUUCCCUUUAGCGAUUUUUUUCGUUGAAUCGAUUCUAUCUUCAAUCGAUUGUCGGAAAACCAAAGAAGAUCUCUUUAGAUGAUACUUUGACUUUUUUGUUUUCAAAAUUAUUUGUAAGAUUUCAAUUUUUUGUUAUGAGGGUUUGAUAUAUAAAUCCUAAAAUUCAAAUUUUGAUUAAAAAAAUUGAAACUUUUUGGGUUAUUGAAGUUCUGUGGCAUUGCAGUUAGAGAAAAGAAGCUUUCUUGAAGAAGAUCAAUGGCUAAUGAUAGAGAAGAGUUUAACUUAUGUGGACCUUCUCAUCUCACAACUGUUGAUUGGUAUGUUUGUGAGACUCUUUAACUAUUUGUGUUCUUGAUUUGAUCUUAGGAUUCAAGUUUGGUUUUGUUGUCUGAUGGGACAUUGUCUGUAAUAAAUAGAUCUUGUGACCAAUUUGUAUAAUUGUAAUGAUGGUGUGACUUGUUUGUUAAUAGAAGAUUUGGUUAGAUUUAUCAAAUGGGUUCUUGAAAUUUGUGUUUUUUCUUCAGGGGAAAUGAAGAUCAUCAACGUUGUGUAGCAGCUUGUUUAGUACAAGGUAUAUAUAUAGUAGAGCGUGAUCGUCAGCUUAAACGUGAAGGCGCUGAAGCUCUUGCAUCACCUUGGUGGGAGUCCUUUAACUUCAAGUUGAUUCGUCACCUUAAAGAUGAUGCUGAUUUCUCCAUCUUUGGCGGCAUUUACGAGUACAAACCGCAGCAACCAGAUAGUGUUGACGCUGGAGUUCCGCGGUAUGUGAUAGCCUUUAGAGGGACAUUGACUAAAGCGGAUUCGAUAACUCGUGAUAUUGAGUUGGAUAUCCACAUUAUUCGGAACGGGCUUCACAGGACAUCGCGUUUUGAGAUCGCGAUGCAGGCUGUGAAAAGCAUGGCUGAGUCUGUUGGUGCUUCAAGCUUCUGGCUGACAGGACAUUCUCUAGGUGCAGCUAUGGCGCUCCUCGCGGGGAAAACAAUGGCAAAGAGUGGAGUAUAUAUCAAAUCUUUGUUGUUCAACCCUCCAUUUGUGUCUCCCCCAAUCGAGAGGAUAGCAAACGAAAAGGUUAGGCAUGGGAUUAGAUUCGCCGGGAGCCUCAUCACAGCAGGGCUAGCUCUGUCCAGAACCAUCAAACAAGCACAGCAGCCGCAGCCACAACAACAGCAACUGCAAAUACGAAACUUAUCUGAAGAUCCACUAGAGGCACUAUCUUCAUGGCUCCCUAACAUACAUGUAAAUCCAGGGGACCAUCUAUGUUCAGAGUACAUCGGGUUUUUCGAGCACCGGGGGAAAAUGGAACAGAUUGGGUAUGGAGCCGGAAUAGUGGAACGGAUGGCGAUGCAGCAUUCUUUGGGAGGUUUGCUGAUGGAUGCAAUGGGAGUGAGCAAUGCAGUUGAAGUAGAAGAGCCUGUUCAUGUAAUCCCAUCUGCAAAUCUAAUUGUAAACCAAACUAAUUCUGAAGAUUACAAGGAAGCACAUGGGAUACACCAAUGGUGGAGAGAUGACCAAGAUUUGGCUUCUCACAUUUACAUGUACAAAUAACUCUUCAUUCUUUCUUUCUCAUUAUUAAGAAUUUGUUUGUUCGUAUCUUUGUUUGUAAUGGUAAUGGAGACAAUGUAAGAAAAUUAUUCUUAACUAUGUAAUAGUUUUGUUUGUACAUAUUACUAAGACUCUUGCUUAUAUGUAGUCUUGUGGUUAUAGCAUUUGAAUUUUGUGCCAUUGCCUGGUUAAUAUGUAGUUGAAAUGAAGGUAGGACUAGUCUCUUAGCCAAACCUGUGGCAGAGAUUUAUCAAAUGGGUUCCCAUCCACAAAGCCGGUUCACCACAUCCUAUCCACAAAGCUAAUUGUAAAUCAUACAUACAAGGAUGAAGCUCAUGGGAUUCACCAAUGGUUUCCAACAUUUACUUGUACAAAUAGCUCUCUUCUUUUGCAAUCGUUUGGUUCCUACAUUUUCUUUGUUACCAAAACAUUGAUGUGCAAACAAUUGUUGAUCGAAUCCGCUUUUGUUUUGUUUUACCAGAAUGAUCUUUCGUAUCGAAAAAAUAUGUCAAUGCUGACGAAUGAAGAACAUGAUACUUUUGGUUGCAAUAAGUGUGAAAUUUUAGUUUUCCCACAGAGCAAUAGUGAUGCAAUCAGAGUACAUUCAUAGGCCAUAAUCACAAUUCACAACCUUUAAAACACGAUAAUUCUUCGCUCCUACCACCAAGAAACAGCUAAAUGUUGUAUCAGUUAUUCACCUAGUGCUAAUGUGGAUGGCUUAUUGGUAAGCAAAACAUAAAAAGAUGUAGUAGCAGAGGACCUUAUAAUGUAAUGAUAUCAUUCUAUAGUGUUGUUUCUUUUUACAGCCGAAGAAAGAAGAGGACAAAGAAACAUGUUCAAGAUUCAGCCUUAAACAAGAAGAAGAAGCAAAAAGAAAAAUGCUCAACGAAUGGGAACUUUGAUCCAGCCAUUGGCGAAAGCAAUAGCUAAGAUGACGAAUGGUGUUGACAUACCAAAGAUGAUAAUGUAAGGAAGUGGCGUCUUCAUUGGAUUCUCUCCUUCUCUUUCACCAGCACUUUGCCAAUACCUACACAUUUGCAAUACAAAUCUCAUCCUUAACCAUUUCAUCAAUCACCAAUGAUAUGUUCUUUUGACACUACACUAGCACGAGUUCUAGUCAACAACAUGCAUUAUGCGGAUUUAGACUCUAAUAGUGACAAUAUAGUGACACAAACAACAUAGACUACAUUAUUACAUAUCCUUGUCAGUUUUCACAUACCAUUUCCCUAAGUUCUUUCUGUAAUUUCAAGAUUUGUGUGUUUCUACAAUUCUGUGAUAUGAAAAUGAAAAGGUAAUGAUAAACUAACUGUUCUGGUUCUUCCUCUUUGGUUAUGAACUUCUUUUUUUCUUUAGGCUUCACUUCUCCAUCUCCCCCACCUUAAAACAAGAACCAAGGGUUUAACAAAAUUAUCAUCUAAAAACAAACAAAAAAAGUGAAAAUUUCUGAUUCAAAUGAGAUAAGAGCUAUAGUACCUAACUUGGCAUGAAGCUUGAACUGUUGAGCCCCUAAUGGAGAUGGUGGGCAUAGGAACUUAGGCAAAACAAUGAAAGAUGAAUAUGAAGAAGAUGAUGAGGUUGAUGAUGAAUCAUUAGUUUUGUGGCUAAAGGAAGAAGUGAUUUGAGAGGAGGAAAUGUGGAAUUUGGCUGCCAUUUUCCAAACAACACCAAAUCCUCCAAUACGUUUUUGUUUUGUUUUGUUUUAUGUCACACAGAUUUUGUUUUAGUUAGGAGAGAUACAUGUGGCAUUGUUAUUACCACUGGAUGGAUGGAGAAACCUUAUCCUCUUUAUAUAUCUUUUAUUUUUGUUCUGAUGUUUUUUACAUUAGCACUUAAAACAUUUGAACUAAACCAAGUCAAUUUAAUAAAUGAGAGAAUGUGUAAACCAACCCUUAGCAAUUUCUUCCAAGGAAAAAAGAACAAAACAAUUAUAACUAAUUUAAUUAAUAAUACAUUAGUUGAACUAUAAAAAAAUCAACAUUAUAUACUUUGUAAUUUCAUGCAUUGCACUCGUUGUUAAGAGCAUCUCCAAUGGAAGUUUUAAGAUAAUUAUUUAAAAGAAAAAAUAUUAAAAAUAAUAAACAGUUUAAGUUGGUGCUUAUUGACUUAUUGUAGAGCUUUAAAGACGGGUUCUUAAGUUAUUACAUACAGUUGUUACAAUCCAAUUCACUACUAUACUUUUUAAUUAUUUAAAAUUUAAAUUAAAAACUUGAUUUAUUUGUUAAAGGUAAAUUAAUAUGUUUAAGAACUUUUUGCCAGUUUUAGCAUUAGAGCUGGUCUAAAUCUUGUUAGUUCUCCUGAUCCGAUUCAAAUCCCAAAAAUGUUUGAGUUUCGUCCAGCCCAAUUUGUGUACUUAUAUAACUUGUGCUAUAUCAUUAUUUUGUAUGAAUGGCAUUAUAUAAUAUAAAAUAAAUAAUAUAACAAAUAAAUUAUAAAAUAGUUAUAAAAAAUUACAAUAAUUAAUAAUAUAUAUUAUAUAAAUAUUUUAUAUUAAGAAGUAAUUGUUAAAUAAUAUAAGUAAUUAUAUACUUAUAUUAAAUACUUGUACAAGUAUUCUUAUAAAACAAAAUAUAACCCGUGCUAUAGCAGGGGUACUGAUCUAAUUUACAAUUAAGAGUUAACAUAAGUAUUUUGGAAGUUUAAUUUCUAAUUGAAUUGUUGGUACUUUACCUUAACUAUUUAAUAUUCAUAAUCUCUAACCACUUAGGACAUCUCCAACCCACUAUAUUUCAUAGUCACAACUCUAUUUUAGAGUAACAUUUGCUCCCACCCUAUUCUAUAUUGUGCUCUAAAAUAGAGUAAAUUAUAGAGUUACUCAAAAUAUAUAGUAUCUCUAUUUUCUACACUACCUCAUUUUUAGAGUAAGAAAUAGAGUAAUACAUAUGGAUCAAAACAAUGCUCUACUGUAAAGAAAAUGAUAGAGAUAUGCAUUGGAGAUAGUCUUAUAUUGGUCAGAAAGUUGAAAAUUCUGACCAAUUUAAUGACUAUAACCAAUUUCAUUGUGAGAUUUAUUUUAAUAAUUUUUUUUUUCAAAAAAUUUGAUCAAAAUCAAUUUGCAAUAACAAUUUUUGACGGCUUGAUUUUGGUAAAAAAAAAGUAAUCAUAAUUGAUGUUUUGACCAAUUUUACGAAAGUUAUGUAACGUUAUAAUUUAAGAUAUUUAAGCAAUUAUUCUAUAUAUAGUAUGAUUAUUAUAUAUGAUUUAUCAUUAUUAUUGUAUAUAAAAUUUGUGAUAUAAUUAUUUUUAUUUGCCAUCAUGUAAUUUGUUUUAUGAUCCAUAAGUUAUUGUGUUAACAAUUUAUCGUUAUUGCCACAGAUUUAUGAAUAGUUCUUGACAAUGCACUGAAUGGACCCAUUUUUUUAAUUUCAAAACUUACCUUCCAAACUGUUGGUGCUAAAAAAUAACUUUGAAAAAAAUAUGUAUAUUUUAGGCUUUUAAAAUUUAGCCCAAAUCCGACUGGGAUUUACCUAGCAUUUAUAUAUACACACACGUUAGUUUUAUUCAAAGAUUAUAAAACUUUAUAAGAUAACAGAAAAUUAGUGAAAUAUUUCAUUUGUGCAAAGAUCCACUUUAAACCCAAAAGCGAAAAGUAUUGGGUCAAAUUAAACAAAGCUCACUUGUUCAAAUUUUCAAAAAGUCACAUUAAAAAAAAAAAGUCAAUGAGAAAGCUUUAAGGGAAAUUGCCUCAAAAGUAGAACUGUCAAAAUGGGCUGUCAACGUCCAUUUUAACAUGUCCAAUAUUGUCAUUUUUGAUUAUUGACAAAUUACUGACUGUUUCCAUUAACAACAUGACCAUUAACGACUAUUUUUUUAUGGAUCGUCCAUUGGUGUCCAUUGGACAUAAAAACUACAUAUUUUGUAAAAUGAAAAAAAAAAUACAAACACAAAUUUUUAAGCAUAAAAAUUUAAACACAAAUGUCUAACAUGAAUAUCCAAAGAUCAAUUUGGUACAAAAGUCUAACCUAUAAAACACAGCUUCUUAAUACAUCUUGUUUAUAUGUUUUAUAUUACACUCUAUUUCAUGAGGAAAGUUUGAAUUAAACUAAAUCAAUUUAAUAAAUGAUAGAAUGUGUAAACCAUGCAUUUUAAAAAAAAAUAAUGCAAACUAGAUUGAUAAUUGUGCUUUUCCUGUGUGCUAUAAUUUUUUUAUUGUAAUUUGUUUUUUAAUAAGUUAAGUAAAUUAUUACUAUUUUUGUGUUAGAAUAUAACGCAUGUGAAUGGUUAUUAGCUUAAUUAAGUUAAAUAAAGUGCAUAAAUUGAUAAAUUUUCUUUGUUUGUUAUAUUAUAUGUUAUGUUUUCUUUGUUGGCAUUCAUGGUGUCCAGAAGUAUUAUUCUAAAAUCUAAACUAUUUAUUUUUUAUUUAACCAAUCUAUUAUACUUUAAAUGUUUUUGCAUGUUAAUUAUUAUUAGAGUGAUUAGAUUAAAUAGUAUAGGUUAAUUCUUAAUUCAAUGGAAAAAAAAAAUUGUUGGUGUUGUAGGUCUCGAUUAUGCGUUUUAAACACUACAUAAAUUCUAAUAAUAAUUUAUUUUUGUUAAUGUAGCAAUUAUAUUGUACAGUUUGAAAUGGUGUUAUUUUAUAUGUAACAGAGACAUAUAUAUAUACAAACGAAUGAUGCUAUUUGUAUUCUAUUAAAGUGAUAAAAAGUAUCAUGGUAUUACACACAAUGCCCAUUAUUACCGUUAGCAGAAACCAAAGUACAACUCAUCAUAACUCAAAGUACCAAAUCGUGAUUUUAUUAUAAGAUUUGUUAAGUUUUGGAAACAUGAAGUGAUACAACAAAAACAACAUUUUGAAUUCAUCUAGCUGCAACAAGGACGGUCAAAACCACAAUUGGAACAGCUUUUACCAUUACGAUUAUGAUCGUUAAUGUAGCCACAAUUAUAACAGCUUCUACCAACAAGAGAAGCCUCUAACAUCUCCACAGUAAGAUCAGGGAAGCUAUCAGCGAACAACUUGAACUUAUCAAAGCUAGGUAUCCUAAGUUCAUUAGCUUUAAUAUAACUCAAGGCUGCAUCGUUGAGGGCUUUGUCAAAAGGGGUUUGAGCAAGCUCAAGGAAGUCAAGAGCAUUCUCCAUAGCUAGAGAAGAUAUAAGCUCGGAUCUGCAUAGCUCUCGUAGUUGUAGAAUCUUGUAUUUGUCAGCUGCAAGAUAGAGAGCUCGAACGUGUUGCUUCAUUUUGGAAGAAAGCAUGGAACCAUCACUAUAUAUGAACUUAACAAAUAUAGCUCUUUUUGUUUCAUCUCUGGGAGAGUGAUUGUUUCUAUAUUCUUACCAGAAGUCUUGAACUCAUCUGAUUUUAACAUCUUCUUAAGAACCUUUGAUCUUGAUGCCUAUACGAAUAACAAACAUACACAAACGAAAAGUAUAGGAUAGUUUUUAGAAUCUGAUUCUUGAAUUAGAUUAUGAUAUCAAGAAAUAGAUUGUGAAAGAAGUAAGAAGAAACCAGAAUAACUUUGUGGGCAGAGAUAAAUGAACCCUCACUAUCCACUGCCUUGAGCUAUACGUCAACUAGCCAUUUCUCUGCUAAGAUCUUUGCAAGUCCAUCCGAGAAUUGCUCUUUGCUGGUUUGUGAUGUUGCCAUAUCAAUAGUGUGAAGUACGUUUUGACGUUGUAAAUGAUGGUUGAUUAUAUAGAGAGGAAACCAUUACAUGCAAUGGUCAAAGUUAGAGAAGACAUCUAGUUCCAAUUUUCAAGACUUUGGAAAUAGAGAAGACAUAGCAAGUAUAGUUUUUCAAGACUUUGGAAAUAUUAUAGAGAAGACACAACAAAAAUAGUUUUUCAAGACAUUGGAAAUAUAUAGAGAAGACACAACAAAUAUAGCUUCUCGAGACCUUUGGUAAUAUAUAGGCAAAGUAUUCAUAGGCUUUUAGUUUAGAUUGUUGUUAUUGAUAUGGACCUUACUUCAGAGAAUCAUGAGCACAACUUGUGUGAAGUCCUUGAAGCAUGUUUUUAACUUACUCACCCAAUUUAAAAACAACCAUUGUUACAAAUUUAAUAUCACAAAAGUAGUUGUUGUGAUAACAGAAAAUUGCUAAUCCUUAUUCAUCAUGAAUAUUUAUGUGAGAAAGGUCAGAGUGAAUCUUGUAGAUUUGAUUGAAUAUUCUUAUUAAAUUUUCAAUUAUUUGUGAUUUAAUUAAUUUUUUCCUUAAUUAGGGAGAUAUAUGGUCAUAAAUACAUAUAUUAAUUUGCCUAAAAUCUUAGUUCAAGGAAAUAAAUAAAAAGCCAUUGAGCUAACAGAUUCAUUAAUAAAAACAAGUCAUUUAGCUUUGAUAUAUCUCAUUCUUUUUUUCUCAUUUGCUAAAUACCUAUAAUUUUUGUUUGUGUUGAUAAAAAAAAACAUAUCCAUUACAAGAUUAAAGAAAAACUCAUGCUUAUGCAAAUUUCUUCUCAAUUUGUUGAAUCAUGAGAUUUGCUAGUUUAUUUGUGGUUUCUUGUAUUUUCAUUUUCCUUGUUAUAAACCAUGUCAAAGGUAAGAAAUUACUCUCCUUUCAAAUUUAGAUUUUUACUCGCGCAAUAUAAAAUAACCAUUGUUAUAAAUUUCAUGUCGCAAAAGUGUGUUGUGAUAAAAGAAAAUUGCUAAUCUUCAUUCAAACAUUCAUAUUUAUAUCAAAAAAAUUAUUAUGAAAUAUACAAUUUUAACAAAUUUCUUUUUGGUUUAUACAAAAUUAUAGAGGUCAAAGCUGUGCAAUGUGAAAUUAUCGAGUGGUUCGAUGAUAAAUGUGGUGCUGAUGGAAGCAAGACAUGCAUAGAUCACCUUAUCAAAGGGCACAUAUAUGACUUUCCUCGUUGUGAUUGCCUUGACGUGAAGCCAUCAGGAAUUUUGUGUACAUGUUUACAUCGUCUUCCUUGUGUAGAUCUACCAUAUAUGCAUAAAAAAUAAAUUAAUUAAGUGAUAAACUUGUAAUCUACUAUGUGUAAGAAAAUAAUCAAAUAUUAUAAAACUUUAUAAAUAUUUUUAUCUUUGAAUACUCCUUAGUCCUUAUAGCUUAAUCAUCACAUUUGCAUAUGGAUUUUAUAUAAAAAAAAAUCACCUCAAAUCCUAUUGAAACCGUGUAACUAUAUAAAUUUAUCUUUAACUUAAAAAUCAUCGAAACCAUUUCAACGUUAUUAAAUCUAUUAAAAUUUCCAGUAAAAAUGGAUUUAGAAGUCUUUUAAAAAAUAUCAAUAGUUCGAUAACAAUGGAUUUUAUAAUUUGUUUAUGAAUUUUAUGUUUGAAUAACAAAAUAUUAAUUAUUUCAACAUCAAUCAUUCCAAAUGGUUGACUAAAUACACAUACAUGUUUGAAGUAAUUAAAAUUAUUAUUGCCAAAUAAAAUCAGUUUUCUGAUCCAAAUAUUAAUUUGUAAGAUAAUACAUAUUCUUUCACAAUAAAUUUUGGAUGACUUAAAAUAUCAAUUUGUAUAAGGUUGGUUAACAAAUCUAUCUAUUUAUAGAGGUCCAUCUUACUAUAUAUGAAUGCCUAAAUAUUUAUUAAUAUAUUUGUGUAAAUGAAGUAAGAUAUGAGUAAAUAUUUAAAGAGAACUAGAGAAGUCUCCUCCUAAAUCCUAAUCAUCAUGGAGAAUGCAACAUUCUAACUAACUUACUCGCAAAAAGUUUGAUUGCAAAUUUUGUAGUUGAAUUCUUUCUUUUUUUUAGAAACAAAAUUUGCAAUUGAAGCAAGUAAUUUAAUUUGAUAUUCAUUGUUUUUUCGGUUUAAGUAAAAAAAUAAAUCCAUUAGUCAACAAUUUUAAUGGCAGAAUAGUUGGUUUCUGUACCAAGAACAGCUUUGAAGUAGGCCAAUUCCAAUUAACAAAUAAAAUCAAAAAUAAAAAUAGUAUUGGUUCAAUGUUCACAUGAGUAUGACAUAUUCAUCAAAGUGUAACAGCAAGAGUAUGCGCUAAAACAUAGUUAAAUGGUUCAGUGAUUGUAUACACAACGUCACACCACUCAAGUGUCCAUGAAAUAUCCUAUUGGUGUCUUUCAAGUGCAACUACCGCACACCAUACCAAUUUCUUGUGAAGGCUGUACUCAUACUCAUACGUAUACACAUCUUCUUCCCACAAAACCGCCAACUUGCCACCAUAAUCCGUCACUUGAGCAGCACCAUAACACUCAUACCGCGACCCGAACAAGCUUUCCAAACCCUUAACACUUGUCCAAUAUUUUUCGUCUGGGUUGUAGUAACCAAUACUCCCGUCACUACAACUAUAUAACACGUUCUCUAUUACACAUAAAGAUGAUGACAAAGACCAACACAUGUCCAUAGCUAGGUCUGCCUCUCUCCAUCUACCUUUACCUUUACUCAGCUUGUACGCCCCAUAUCUCUCAAGAAACUUUAUAUAUAUAUAUAUAUAUAUAUAUAUAUAUAUAUAUAUAUAUAUAUAUAUAUAUCCAUCAUACCCUACGCUUUGAUACUUAUAAGUAUAACCAUCCGUUACAUAUCUUCUCGCUAUGACUUGACAACUCAAACUCCCAAUUUUGAGUUAUUGUAUCAAAUACCUCCAUCCAGUUAGUUGCAUCAAGAUUUUUGCAACCUCCUAUCACAUAUAUUUUUCCAUCAAGAAUGGGGCCUCACUCCAUGUAUGAGAACGACAGUCCAUGACCUUGACACUAUAGAAGAUGCAUUAUCAUUAUUAUUAUCAUCCUGUACGAAUCCGCCAAUGGUUGGCGGAGCUAGAAAAUCGGAUCAUGAGGGUAAAAACAAAUUAUAAUAUGAUUAAUUGUGUUAUUAAAAAAUUUUAUAGGGGUCAAUUGUGUUAUAUUACAAGGAUCAAUUUGAUUUUUUUCCUAAAAAUACAUCAAAUUUUGAAAAUUUACCAGGGUCAAUUGACCCUCAUACCACUACCCUACCUCCGCCCCUGGUAUAUAUAUUAUAGCCAACCUUUGCACAAUCUGAGUCGUACGUCGCGGAAUUGGGAGAUGUAAUGGGGACCAAAACAUUCUUGGAGCUAUUUGGUUUCCGACAGAGAGUGAAACAUUGUUCUUGUCGGGUUUUUAUGGAGUUUGAAGCACACGUAGAGACAACUCUCUGUCCAGCCUAAGAGGAUUCGGGUUUGGUAAAGCUCAGUUGAAGCAAGAAGAGAGCGUAAUCUUUUGGAAACUAAGGAGAGAGUGUGGUAGUACAAUCUUGGAACACGGGCUAAGCAGUUUAGUAUCAAAUCAUUAGGAAGCAUCAUCAACGUCAUUGGCUCUUCUCCAUUCAUGGUUAUGGAUUGCUUUUUCUCUAUGGUUGUUCUUUUAUAUAUAUAUAUAUAUAUAUAUAUAUAUAUAUAUAUAUAUAUAUAUCAAUUGUAAAUUUCAUUAAUACGAAGAUGAUUUGUUAUUUAUAUACAUCUCUAAAGAUUGCAUUAGCCUAGAAAAAAAUCGAUCCAUAUCUAAACCAAAUUUAAGGGUUAUUUUAAUUAUUUAUUCGAUUAGAUAACAAUGAAAAUAUUUAAUUGAAAGGAUCUUUACUCUCUUUUUUUCUAUAUACAAAAAAAUAUAAACUCCAAAACUUUUCUUCUCAUCUUUUAUUUGUAUAAUUAUGGUUUUAAUAUUUGUAAAUUAAUAGUAAAAAUUCUUUAGCAAAGACCCGACCUUGCUAGCAUAGUAGCAUGUUGUUCAUUCAUUAUUUUCAUAAGCUAAAUUGCUAAACGCUAUCACCAUCUUUAUCAUCCAUUUAGGAGGUUCAUGUAUACAUGAAAAUUAUUAUCCCUAUGGACUUAAUUAGAUGCAUACUGCAGACUCACCUGAUAGACCUUAAUUAGAUGUUCAUAUUAGCUUUUCCCAUGAACAAGAUCGAGAGAGAUGAAACAGAAUCUGGGAAAAGAUAAUUUUUUCAUUCAAGUAUAAAAGGAGAUACAAAUUAAGAUUAAAUACAAGUGAAACUAAACCACUAUGCUAACCAAACUAUACAAGAGACUAAACCAAGCUAAACCAACUAUAUACAUUCUCUAAUAUAGACCUUGCAUGCAUCUCAAAACCCUAGACCAGAUACGUUUUAAUAACCAUUUUAAGUUACUUCUAAGUUCUAACCCUAGCAUAAGACUAAAGUGUCAAGAUCAUAAACACAAGUUAUUUGGUCUAAGUUCCUUAUGGUCGUCCAAUUUUUAUAGAAAAAAUCGUAGAAUUAGGUGCUGUUUUCUUGUAGUGCAAUAAGCAUGCAUGUUUUUCUGUUCUCCGGUUAGAAUUUUUUUAAAUCGGUAAAUUUUGUUCGGACUAUAUAUGUAUAUUUUGGUAUUUUUAGUUGAAUUUUGGUUUAAUCUCGUUAUUUUUGUUUUCUUAUUUAACUAAGAGUAACUGACUGGUCGUCUCAAUAACCAACACAAAUCUCAAUUCCACCUAACUGAACCGAUUCCCAAAUCUGUAUUGAACCAAACACUAAAAAAGUAGGUUCAAGGUUGGUUCGGUACAAUCGAUCCGGAGCAAAACCGCAGACCUAGUGCGUACGUGUGUUAUUGGAUUUAUUGUGAAGUAGCAAACCCCACUAGCUCUGCCACUGAUUCUCAUAUACGUAUAUCUCAAGCUCCUUUUAGCUAUGUUGACUUAGAUGGAUAUUUUGAUCAGAACCGGCUUAAUUGACUUAAUUUUAGCCAAGCAAUUUUCCAAUUAAAAUCAAGAGGAUGAAAAUAGCCAAGCAAAACUUUGCUUCCUUUAAAAAGUUAUACACCUUAGUCCUUUAGUAGUGCACUAGUGCUUUACACAUUGCUCCUCUAUCUAUGGUCUACUGAUCACUACAUAUAGUUCUGUCUUUAUAGGACUUCUUAAUUAAAGUAUGUCGACUGAGUUUUUUCACAGCAUCUUUAGAAGUUACUACUAUAAGUAGUGGACCACAUACUCCAUAUAAUAACAUAAGAUAAAAUUAUUAUUAUUAUAUAAUUUUUUUUUAAUAAUCAAAAAGGUUUUCGACCAAAAUCUAUAUAUCUUUUCAUACACGAAACCAGAGCAUUUUAUAUGUUCUCGUUCCAAACGCUACUGCAACCGGCGACCUCUAAACUUUUGUCAGAAAUUUUUACUAUUAAUCCAGUAACAUGUAUUUAAACCCAUACAUGUAUUGCCGAAAAAAAAAAAAAAAAAAAAAACCAUACAUGUAUUUAACAUAAAUCCAGAAAUCUAAGCGCUACUACUAUAUAAUUUAAAGAAUAUGUAUUUACUCGAUCAUCCAAUAAUAGAUUUCUAUAACAUGUGUGCUGAUUCGAAUAAUUCUUAAUCACGAUCGAGUGGGGUUUGCUAUUUUUAGAGUUCCAAACUUAUUCACAAUAAAUCCAAUAAUACACACAUAAGGGACCAUUAUACACAUCAUUUGAUACUUAUCUCCUUACCACUUUGUUUUCUAACUAGUGUGAUUCAUCGUUUUCUUGACUCUUCUUUUGUUUCAUGAUUCAUUGGUAUGUUUUUUUAUAAAUAGAGAGCAUGCAUGGUGGCAUAUUCUUGUAUUCAUCACCUGUUCUUCCAUUGAUGGCUUCCAAGACUUUGUUUCUUUUGGGUCUACUCGCAUUUCUUCUCGUCUUCUCAGAAAUGGCCUCAGCUGGUAAGUUUUAUAGCUUCUCAUUCAUAUCACAUAUGAAAGGUUAACUAAGAAUUAUUUUUCAUUGUAAUGCACAGUUGCUCGUCCUAAACUAUAUAUUUUAAAUAAUAUGGUGUCUUGGACAGACACGGCCGUGAAGACAAAGAGUGAGGAAACUGUACAACCUAAUAGUGGCCCUGGAGGAGGAGUAGGAGGAAAUCACUGCCGCCACGGCUGCUGCGCCAAAGGAGGUAUCCGUAGCUGCCCAAGGUGUUGUGCAUAUGUCGGAGAAGCUGUGGUCGUCACUUGAUCUACAUAAUAUAUAUCAACCACUAUGUUACGAUUGCAUCUAUAUAAACACUUACGUGUGUGUAUUAUAAGUUAACCAUGCAUGGUGUGUUUUGUAAUGAAGUGCCUCAAGUAUAACUAAGAAGGGAAACUAUUGGAAUAAAGUUUUGGUAAUGUAAUGUCUCCAUGUUUGCGUUUCGAUGUAAUUAAUAUGCGCUGUGUUUCAUAAUAAAACAUCGUUACUAAUAUUGUCGAGGAUAAAACAAAGAGCCACGACUAAACACAUCUAAUACUUAUAGGUUUCAUAAAUCAAUAAUGUAUGUAGCCAUCAUGUGGCGUAAGAAAAAUUAAUAUUGACAUGUAUAUUUCGUUAGACAUGGUAAUAUUUAUUUGUGUCUGUUGAUAAGACAUGGUGACGAUAAAAAUUAAACAUCCAACAGUUGAGAUUUAUGUUUUCAUGAAACUAAUUAUUAGAGAAUGUAUAUAGUUGGUUUAGCUUGGUUUAAUCUCUUGUAUAGUUUUUUAAUUUUUUUUUAUUUAGUAAUUUUUUUUUAACUCAAAGUAACUCCCCAUACCUAUAGAAGAGUCCGAAACUAAUCCAUGAAGAAAGGGUAUCUGACUGUUCAUUUAGGAAGAAUCGAUCCAUAAUCUAUACCAAUAAGGCGACUUUUCCACCAUAUUAGAACUAUUAGCCCACCACCUCGUGGUUUCAUAUCUUGUAUAGUUCACUUGUAUUUGAAUCUAAAAUUUGUACCUCACUUUACACUUAAAUGAAGAAUAAUAUAUUUUCUCCGAUUAUGUUAUCUCUCGAGCUCUCUCUAAUGGAGAAAAGUUAAUACCAAUGCGUAUGAUUUCUUAUUAUUAAGUUUCCGUAAUAAACCAAUAUCCUUUUUCCAACUGAAUCCUAACAUCAAGUAUAUGCUUGUUUAGUGUAUUGUGCAUUUUCUUCAUUUUGCUGUUUACAUAUUAUUUGGUUACAUUUCGAUAUUCCUCAUCGUUUUCGUUACAUUUAUCAAAAUUGUGUAUUCGUUUUUUUUUCUUCCAAAAGUAUGGUUUCAGUUUUGCUGUUUAUAUAUUACCAGUCAUUAUAUAUUACACAAAGCAUAGAAAAUUAGUAAAAAGAACAGAAAAGCCAAAUUUUAAAAUACUAAUUUAUAUAUUAAUUAUAUUACACACACAAUGAUGAAUUAAAAUGACAUAUAUAACAAAUCUUAUAUUUUAAAAUCUUCGUGUUUGUCUGUGCGGGUCGAUUUCCUAGUUUAAAUUAACAGUAAAACCUUUAGCACGGAGCAAAUAUUUUCACGACCAAACAUCCUUAUGGACUUACAUGCAUACCGAGACUCACCUAAUUUACCUUGUAUGCAAAACCGUUGACGAGAUACGUUUCUAUAACCAUCUUUAAGAUUCAGUUACUUCUAAUCCUAACAUAAGACUAAGUGUCGAGAUAAACACAAGUUAUUCAGUCUAAGUUCCUUAUGGUCCAAUAAGAAUUCAUCUAAGUACAUAAAGUCAUUGGCAGAGGUUUAUCAAUGGAAGCUUGAGAUAAGUAUCCACUACAAGAAAACAGUAUAUUUCUGAGGGAUAGAAUCAUCGCAAUCCCUCGGAAACAGCUCUUUCUGACGGGUUUCCGAGGAAAAAAAGUUUUUGGAAAUUGCUCGUCGGAAAUAAAAUGUCUUUGGAAACUCGUCGGAAAUUUCCAAAGGAUUUCCAAGGGACAUUUAUUUCCGAGAGAUUUCCAAGAGAUAAUAUUUCUGAGGGAUUUCCGAGAAAGGUAUUACCAAGGGGUUUCCAAUAGACUUUUUCCGAGGAAUUUUCGAGGGUCUUAUAUUUCCGAGGGAUUUUCAAGUGACCAUUUUCUGAGAGAUUUCCGAAAGAUUAUUUCCAAGGACCUGAAUUUCCAAGGGCAUUCCGACGACGACGGAGUUUUUAGCAAAACUGUAAUUUUGAUUAUAAUUACGAAUUUUUUUUUUGAAACAAUAAAUAAAAAUGCCAAAAUGCUAAAAUUAAAAUAUCCAAAUACAAAUUGUCCAAAUAAACAACAAUAAUACCAAAAUUAAAAUAGUUUUGAAAAACAAAAAAAAAAACAAAAUAGUUUUAGGGAGGCGGGAAUUGUCACGGAAAUUUAGACGAAAUAAAACUUUGAAGUUGGGAAAGUGUCGUUUGAAUCUCGGUGAAUUGCUUCGUAAUCUUGAUAUUUUGUUGCUUCAACUCUUUGACCGCCUCAUCUUUUUCUUUCACGAUUCGGUUAAGAUCUUGAAUUUGUUGAAUAAGUUCAUUGUCUCGGAGAAAUGCCGAAGAGAUACUUCUGUCUUGUGACACAAGACUUCCUAAUCCGGAUCUCCGACCUUUGGUUAAAGGAAUUUCCUAAACAAACAAAAAACAUAUAAAUAAUUGUUUAAAGUAAAUAAUAAAGUAAAACUAAAAAAUAUUCAAAUAUACCUCAACACACAAACGGUGGAUUUCUUCAUGAGGUAGAUCGAUUGAAGAUGAUGAGCCAUUUUGAGAGAAUUGCGUUAGCUGUUCCAUCUUCUGGAGCUUAAUCCUUUCUAUGCGUUCUCCGACAAUCGGAUCUUGAAUUUGUCCGGUUUUCUUGCUUGUGUGGGUUGUUUUCAUAACAUCUAUCCAAUCCGGCGCAACGCCUCCGUUUGCGAUCAUCUAAAUUUAAAGAAAAAUAAACAACAUAUCAGAUCUAAACGUAUAACUUUUUAAAAAAUUGAAUUAAUUAAUUGAAAACUUACCUUUUUUAUCUCAUGCUUUUUUAUAGAUAUCGAACCUCCAUUGUAGGUCGCUAUACCCUUUCCACCAUGUUCGCUCCUACGAUUAGUUGAUGCUUGUGACGAAAUAAAUAUCGUUUCAUCCAUACUCCAAUAGCGGAUAAACCCUUGCCAAACUUCGGGGUUUAGACACUUGGGCAUUUUUUUGCCUUCCUUCCACUUUUGCUUCCACGCAUAUAUGUGAUUUUGGUAGGAUGUGUUGGCUUGAAUGUCAAAAGCUCUUCUCACUUUCGGAGAAUGACCGCUUUCCCAAUUAAAAUCUUGCUACAAAUGGAAAAAAAUAUAACUAAAACAAAUUUAUGACAAAAAUAAUAAUUAAUGACAAAUAUAAUAAUUAAUAGUUUAACUUACCGCAAAAGUCUUGAACCACAUCUUUUUGAUAUCUUCGUCGACAUCCCCGUAAGUCGGCCAAGGGUGAUUCAAUUGCGUCUUAAGAAUAUUAAGAAUGGAUUUUGUUAUCUCUCCCUCUAAUCCAAACAUAGAGACAUGUAAACUAAUAAUUAGUUAAGAAUCAAAUUCAUCAAUUUUAUAUAAGUAGAUAAAAUGCAAUUAAUUACCAUGUAGAUCCGUUUUCUUCAUCCAGGUGGAGCCUUGGGAUAUGUUGACGGCCCGGUUGACUAACAAACUCUUCAAUCGUCAUAAUCGGUGGUGGAGUGGAAUUCCUUGUCUCGGGGUCACUGGAAGGAGAUUGUGAUGCUGAGUCACUUUGUGAUCGUCGGGUUUGGAAACGGUUACAUGACGUCCCUUGAAACUCCUCAUAAGACCUAAAAAAUAAAUUUAGUAAUAAGUAAUCAACAAAUAACAAUAGGAAAAGUUGAUAAUUUAUAAAUAUAUUAUUUUGUAAUACAAAUUUAGCAAAGUAUGAUUUAAGAAAAUAAUUGUUGUAUCACAUUUAUUAAAAAGUUUUUUUUUUUUUUUUGUUAUCAUUACAAAUUAUAUGUCUCUCUUUGAGAGGGACCGGACUCGAACCCGGAUCUGGUGAGAAGGCAAUAGAGGUGAGAACCACUAGCCCAUUUGUCCUUCUCUAUUAAAAAGUUUGUUUAACUAAAAUCUAACUUUUAAUUUUCUAUAAAUUUAAAAAACCAACAAAUUUUUAUUAAAAAAAAAUAAUUGUUGUAUCAAAUUUAUUAAAAAAAUCUGUUUAGCUAAAAUCUAAGGGGAGGGGGGGGGGGGUUAUUGGGAGGUUGAAUCUAAAAGAGGUUGUGGAUUUUAAAAGUUUUAUAUAUUUUAAAAUUCUCAAAGAUUUUUGUAGAUUCCAAUAAAUGUUUACUUAAGACUUUUAGAGUUUUAGUAGAUUUUUAAUAUGAUAGAUUUUACAAAUACUUAUGAUAAGUGUAAUAUUUUAAAAGUUGUUGUUAAUAACCAAAUAUGUAGGAAAUCAUAUUCCCAAUAACACUAGAGUUUAAUAGAAUUGUAAAAUCAAUAAAUACUCAAAUUUCUGAAUAACAAAGGAUUUUAAAUGAAAUUACAAAAUCAACACACCAAUAACAAAAGACUUUAUUAAGAAUUUAAGAAUCUAUAAACCAAUAACAAUAGAAUCUUAGACUCUAACAAUCUUUAAAAAUCAUUCUCCCAAUAACUCAACUUUUUAUUUUCUAUAGUUGUUAAAAACCAACCUAACACUAACAAGUUUAAAACCAAAAUCCAAUCAAAAUGGGAGGUUGAAUCUAAAAGAGGUUGUGGAUUUUAAAAGUUUUAUAUAUUUUAAAAUUCUCAAAGAUUUUUGUAGAUUACAAUAAAUGUUUACUUAAGACUUUUUGAGUUUAGUAGAUUCUUAAUAUGAUAGAUUUUACAAAUACUUAUGCUAAGUGCAAUAUUUUAAAAGUUGUUGUUAAUAACCAAAUAUGUAGGAAAUCAUAUUCCCAAUAACACUAGAGUUUAAUAGAAUUGUAAAAUCAAUAAAUACUUAAAUUUCUGAAUAACAAAGGAUUUUAAAUGAAAUUACAAAAUCAACACACCAAUAACAAAAGACUUUAUUAAGAAUUUAAGAAUCCAUAAACCAAUAACAAUAGAAUCUUAGACUCUAACAAUCUUUAAAAAUCAUUCUCCCAAUAACUCAACUUUUUAUUUUCUAUAGUUGUUAAAAACCAACCUAACACUAACAAGUUUAAAACCAAAAUCCAAUCAAAAUGUUUAAAUUUAAUAUCAAUUUUAUUACAAAAUAUAAAUAAAACUAUAAUCUAAUUUAUAUAAUUCACUAAUUCCAAUCAAAAUCAAAAAAUAUUUCAAUCAAAAUCAUAGAACUAAUUCUAAUCAAAAUUAUAACACUAAUUCCAUAUCAAAACCUUAAUCCAAUUCCAUAUCUAACCAAAUCAAAUCAAGAUCUAAUUCUAUGGAUUCCAAAAUCUAAUUCAAACAAGAUAUUAACAAUUAAAAACUAGAAUCACAAAUCAAAAUCAUUGAAUAAUAUUAAACUUACAUGAUUUUGAGCUUAUGAAAAGAUGGGAGGAAGAAGAUGAUGAUUGAAGAUGUUAUCGCCGACGAGAUGGCGAAGCAGUCUCUCGGAGGCGACGGAGAGUCCAACGGUGACGAAGAGUUGUGGGAUGAUUGAAGCGGCUGAGGAAAAAAAUCUUGUGUCCAUGUAUAUAUAUAUAAAAAUUUCCGAGGGAAUAACCCGUCGCAAAUCCCUUGGAAACGUUUAGGGUUUUGCCGCAAGAAUGAAAUAUAGGCGGCUAAUAAUUAUUUUCGCACUGAAAUCCGUCGGAAAAUCAGAAUUCCUCGAAAAACCGUUGGAAUAUCACUGCAUGUAUAUUUAUUGGCCGGUCAAGCGUUUAUAAUUAAACCAAAAUCGGAAGAAAGCCGGUAAUUGCUCAGAAAUUUCCAACGGUUUUCCAAGGGAAUGGAAAAUUUCUGAGAACUUUCCGACGACUUUUUUUUAAUAAACAAAUUUUAUUAAUUUGAUUCAUCUAAAGAGUUUUUUUAAUGCUAUACAAAUACAGAUUUGUGUUAAAACAUUACAUUUAUAUUAAAUUAGAUCAAAAAUUGCAUAAUUUCUAUAAAUAUAAUUUGUUUUACUAAGUAUCAACUAUAUUAUCAAAUAUCAUAUCAUCAACACUUAAGUGUCAAAUACUCAGAUAUGUGAUUUUUCAAGUUUUGCAUUUUUUCUUUUUGCCUUAUAAUACUUUGUUAUGUAAUUAUAUUGACAGGUAUGUCUUCUUAUAGUAUUAAACAUUACAUAAGAUGCAUCAAAACUCCAAAAUUUUAUAAAAUAUCUAACAUCCCUCAGAAAAUCCUCAGAAAUUUCCGAGGGAUUUCAGAGGAUAAACCAAUGUCCUCGGAAAUCCGUCGGAAAUUUCCGAAGAUUUUCUGAGGACUUUCAGUUUUAUUAAAUAUCUUACCAUAUUCAUGAACCCUCGGGCAGUCCUCGGAAAAAACUGACGGAUGUCCGAGGACUUUUUAUUUCCCUUGGAAAUCCGUCAGAAAUAUCCAUAUUGUGUAUAAUAUGUUUCUUAGAUUUAUACAUCUUUAAAAAAAGUAUACAAAAAUUAUACAAUAGUUGCAAUAUUUAUUUAUAUUUAUUUAGGAUAAUAGUUUUUGAAAACUUCAUGAGAGAUAAUUUAUUUCCACGUUUUUAAUACAUAAAACUAAUUAUUAAAAAUCUAAUAAAAGACAAAAGAUAUAUAAUUUAUUCUUCGUCCUCUUCAUCCGAUGAGUAUUCUGAAUUCUCGAUGAGUAUUCUGAAUUCACCUUAGCUAAAUUCUGAGUAUUUUAAUUUGUGUCUGUUAUUGGAUUUAUUGUGAAUAAACUCCAUAAGUAGCAAACCCCACUCGUAUUUUGAUAAAACUUAGCUAAGGUGACUUAGAUAGAUAUUAUCACAGCCGGCUUGACUUAGUUAUAGCCAAACAAAACUUUGCUCCCUUUAAAACAUUAUACUCCUUAGUAAUGACUUUACAUACUGCUCCUCUAUAUGGUCUUUAAUGUAUAAGUAUGUCGGCUGAGAUUUUUCACAGCAUCCUUAGAAGUAUAAGUAAUAUAUAAUAAGAAAACAUAACUUGAUCAUCCAAUAACAUGAGUGAUGACUCUGAUGAGAUUAGAUCUAAAACACGAGUAUGGUUCCAAAAGUUACUCACUAUAAAUCCAAUAACCAAACCAUAUGGGACCAUUACACACUUGACACAUCCUUUGAUACUUAUCCCCUUACCACUUUAUCUUUUAAAACUUGUAUGAUUCAUAGUUUCCAUGACUUUUCUUUUCUUUUCUCAUUCCCACCUCUCCUUGUAUGUAUUAUCUAUAAAUAGUGAGCAUGCAAGGUGACAUAUUAUUCAUCACCUGUUCUUGCAUUACAAAGAGUGUGUUUUAACUAACUAAGCAGUACUUGUAAGAAAAUGGCUUCCAAGACUUUGCUUCUUUUGGGUCUACUCGCAUUUCUUCUCAUCGUCUCAGACAUGGCUGUUGCGGGUACGUUUUAUAUCUAUAUUUCAGUUUGCUUCAUACAUUAUCAAAGGCUAAAUAAGAAAAAAGUUGAUGAUGAGGGUAACUACACCUAAACUAACGUACAACUAUUUCGUCAAUUUUGAUAAAUUGAUGAGAGUAAAACACAUGCCAAAUCUUAUUAUGAAAUAACUAUAUUAUUUUCUUUUCUUUGUACAACAAAAAAAUGUACAUAAAUAUGAUAUACUUUACCAGUAAAAGUAAUUUUCUUAUGCUAAUAAUAUGAACAAAUAAUAUCUAUGAUAUCUCGAUCUUAUAAUCUUUGCUUGGUUGAUGUUGAUUCGUUUUAGUUUGAUAUCCCAACAGUUUUAGUAAGAAAAGAAACUUAAGUAUGAUGUUAAAUCCUUGUAGCUCGUAUAUUUUAUGUUCUGUGCAAAUUUUAUAUGGAACUUAUAAUAUAAAAAUAAAUUACGUAUUUGAAGUUUUGUGUAAAUUUAUUUUAAUAAGUUCUAAAACUAUAUAUUUGAAACAAUUUGGUAUCUUGGAUAGACACGGUGAAGCCAAAGAAUGAGAAAACUGUGCAACCUGAUGGUGGAAAUGGAGGCCACAUGAGCCAUCUAUCUGAUGGAGGAGGAUACGCUGGAAAUGGAGGUUACUGCCGCCGCGGCUGUUGCCACAGGAAUGAACGUGGCUGCUCAGGGUGUUGUAGAUAUGCCGGAGAAGCUGUGACGAUUCAGACUGGUCACUAAAUUUACAUAAUAUAUCAACCAACAUGUUAUGUGUGUAUUAUAAGCUAACCAUGCAUGGUGCGUUUGUAAUGAAGUGCUUAAGAAGAGAAACUAUAAUAAAAGUUUCUCAAAUCGUAAUGUAAUGUCUUAAUUCAUGUUUGUGUUGUAAUUUGUGUCGUUGUGUUUCAUUCAGUAAUAAAAUAUUGUUAUCUUACGGUUUUGAGUAAUAGUGAAAUUUUAUCAAUUAUUCGUAAUCUUGGAAGGAAUAUGUAUUUUUUUCAUAAAACAAAAAAUUACAUAACAUUUAGAGACUUUUAUCGAGGUUUUGCUAGUCAAAUGUGACAAAAAUAUCUUACAAGUUAACAAAUGUUUUAUCUCUUAAUCUGGCAUUGAUUCCAUAAAUCGAUAUAGGUGCCACCCAACUACAACUACGUACAAGUUUAAACCGGCCCUAUCAUAUUGUUGGAGACAAAACAUUUGUACACAUUCUAAAGAAGGAACUGCUCGAUACAUAUUGUGAUAAUGGUAACGAUGUUUACAGUUUGUGGGUGCAUAAGUCAAUUAUUGCUAACUAGAUAAGCUAGUGAAUUAAGCAAUGGAACUCCACUACUAUUACAUUCAUAUCAAAAACUUCUAAGUUCUAAUUUUAAGCCUCGUGAAUUAAGGAUGUCAGGCCAACAUGGUUAUAAGAAGUGAUUACAAAGCUCACAUGCCUACGACACCCACUCCCAAAUGCGAAUUUUCAUUCCCAAUGAGCCUUAAUUUCAACUUUGAUACUCAAACCUUUUGGUUAGGACAGAGAGUUCGAUUUUGGAAAUAAAAAAUCAAAGUCCUUGUCUCAAAAGAAAGUGUUUUGAUUAGGUUGAUAACUUGAAACUUCCAAGUUUUCGAUUUCAUUCAACUCAUUCAAGUCCGGCCGCUCAAUAUUUUGGUUUUGUUCAAUCUUGAUUUUAAAAUGUAUCUUUCCCCGAACACAGACCUUCGAAAUAGAAAACCUCAUGUUUGUUAGAUCAAAAAGAAAUAUUUGUGUUGUUUAUAUUAGAUGCGUACUAAAUUAUGUGUAUAGUAGUAUGAAAUUUCCGGUAGACUCCUAGAUUGAUCACCUUAUUUUUAUUGUCUUAGUGAUAAUUAUGUAUCUAAAAAUUUUUGAACAAAAUAUAUAGAUUAAUGUGCCAAUAUUUAAAUGCUACAUAAAAAUAUCUGAACUUUUUAGAUUAAAUUUCUCAUGCUAAUUAGUCAAAUAAACUGUGUUAAUGAAAUGGUGUUUUCUUUUUCUUUUUUUUUUUUUUUUUUUGGUAGAACGAAAUUGUGUUUUCUUGUUAUUGAGGAGGUCGUCCGUAUUUAAAGUAAAAAAAAAUAUAUGGAAAUUAAAUGUUCGUUUUACAAUUUAAAUAAAAAUGAUUAAAGUAUUGGCCGCCCCUAUCAUUAACUAGCCGUAUUCACCAACCUAUGAGCUUAUAAGGAGCCGAAGCUAUUCGUAUUCCACUAGUGCGAGUACGUAAUAUUUAAUUAGUGCCUUCACUGUUAGGGUAAACACUUAACACUUUACACUCGAGUCUGUACGUUUUCUCCUAUUUGGUUACUUGACCAUUUUGUGUUUUGUUGUUCAAAAUUCGAACUCUUGAAAUCUUGGAGUUCAUAAUCUUAAAAUAAAUAUGUAUUCUGGUUUUGCUACUUGAAAGCUAUCGUUGUUUGGUUAUGUGCCACGCAAAUUCUAGGGUUUAAUAACCUCUCUUCAUUUUCAGGUAGUUUAAAGGAGCCUUUUGUAAAGAUUCAAUGGGAAAGACAUAUGAGAAGAAGAUCACUUGGACAAUUAAAAACUUCUCCUUUUUGCAAUCUGAUGAAAUUAAGUCAGACUAUUUUGUUGUUGGUGGCUGCAAAUGGUAAGAGCUAUGUUUUGUUAGUUUAACAGUAAUAAAACAAGAUUUCUAUAUAAUGUUAAUGUAAUAUUGUCUAUUGCUUUCUUUGGUUUUGGGGUUUUUGCUUUCAGGUGUCUUCGGGUCUAUCCUAAGGGAGAACAAGGAUGUAUGAACUUUUUGUCUCUAUACCUGGGAGUUGCUGGUUCUGAAUCUUUGCCUUAUGGAUGGAGAAGACAUGCCAAAUUUCGCCUAGUUGUUGUCAAUCAACUUUCUCAAGAAGCCUCCAAAGGGAAUGGUGAUUAUAAUUUCUCUAGGCCUCUAGCUCACGGUUAAACUUGUCAUUGGACUUCAGACUUGUGCUGCUAUAAGAUUCUCUUCAUGUGUCUUGACUUGAGUUUUAUGUUUUAUUAUGAUUUUACAGAAGCACAUAUCUGGUUUGAUCAGAAAAGUCCCAGCUUGGGCUACCCAGAAAUGCUUCCACUCUCCAAGCUUCUUGACAAGAGUGGUGGGUUUCUUGUGAACGGAGAAAUCAAGAUUGUUGCCGAGGUCUAUGUUCUUGAAGUUAUUGGCAAAACAAAUGUGUUAGAGGAAACUUCAUUUGUUAAAGAAACCAUGGACGUCAAUGGGUUUCAUGUACCUCCUCCUUUGGUAAGACUUAUAUUAAGAGUCUCUAAUUAGAGUUUAGUUUCUUGAUAUAUAUAUACCAAGCUGCAUAAAUGUUUUUACCUUAUGUCUAUCUUUUACAUGUAGGUAGAAUCUGUGAGUAGUUUGUUUAAAAGCCAUCCAGACAUUGCAUCAGAAUUCCGACCCAAGAACCCACAUCUAAGAACAACAUACAUGAAUGUCCUACUUAGUCUCACUGAGGUUUUGGGUCAGUCCCCUGAGAAACUCUCCAUAUCUGAUCUUUCCGAUGCGUAUUCUGGGCUACAGUUUGUGAAACAAGCGGGGUUUAAACUGGAAUGGUUGGAGAAGAAACUGAAAGAGGCUUGUCAGACUCGGCUGCAAGAAGUGAAGGAAGAAUUGAAAGAUAAGUGUGCAGAGAUGGAAGCUCUGGAGGAGUUAUUACGAUGAUGUUGUUUCAUGAGAGAGACAAAGAGACUUGUUUUGUUGUGGUUUUGCUAUGUUACAUUUUUACUGCUGAAGUAGACAAGAUUGUUCAACUUUAAAACACAUGCCAACACUUCUUUCUUGGGUAUGAAGAAACGAAUAAACGUUGUGUUUCAUUAUUAGGUCAAAUAAACGUUCUUAAUUACUCACUAGGGGUCUUUUUUGUUAUUUUACGACUGUCACAUGUUCAAUAUAUAAUUUAGUGAAACUCAAAUCCAUUUCUUGCAAAUUUUCUUAUUAACCCUAGAUAUGAUCGGAAGACCUAAACUCUAGUCUCUCUAGCUAUCCCUAAUCUUCAUUUCUAAGUACAUCGUCCCUGUCUCUUUCUUUGACCACACCCUAAGAGGUAAAUUAUGUAUUAUAGAAUGAUGCUCAAGAGUAGAAUCUUAAUAUUUUAUUUUGGUUUCGUUUUGGUUUGUUUAUUGUGUAGCUAGGAGUCACCAAAGAGAUCAAUGGAGACAAAAGUCGAAACGACGAUUACUUGGGUGAUAAAAAACUUCUCUUCGUUGCAAACAACAACGGUUUAUUCUGAUAAUUUCGUCGCUGGUGGCUGCAACUGGUCAGAAGAUAUAAUAAACUUUUCUUGUAAUGGUUUUGCUAAGAGUAGAGUUUAGGUUUUGUUAAUAUUGUUUUUGUUUGGUUUUGGUUUUGGUUUGUAGGCGUUUUCUGGCCUAUCCAAAGGGAAAUAAUCAAGCAAAUCAUUUUUCUCUGUAUAUAGCCCUGCCUGAUAAGGAACCUUUACCUAUUGGAUGGAGAAGACAUGUGAAAUUUUCUCUAAGUGUAGUAAAUAAAUAUUCAGAAACACUCUCUACACGAAAAGGUAAUUUUGUUUUAUGAUUUUUUGUUAAGUUUUGAACAUUAAUACUAACAAACUAUGUGUUUUACAGAGACAGAACACUGGUUUGAAGAUAAAGCUCCUAGUUGGGGAUUUCCGACCUUGAUUUGCCUCACUGAACUUAAUGACAAAGAGGGGUUUCUGGUGAAUGGAGAGCUCACAGUUGUUGCUAAGGUCGAAGUUCUUGAAGUUGUAGGAAAAUUAGAGGAAUCUUCUUCACCAGUAACGGUAACCGUAGAGGUCAAUGGGUUUCAAGUUCUUCCUUCACAGGUACGUACAAAUCAUGAUAAAACACACGACACUGUUAAGUGUUCGGUUGAAAUCUCAGCUAUAAGAAAAGCCAUUAUGGGUUUUUACAAGAUGUGGUGUAAUGUUUUAAAAUAGGUAAAAAGAUGGCUGCCUACACUAACUACACUAAUUAUAGUUUUUAGUUUUUUUAACAGUAUAAAUAAAGUUAUAUAAAAAAAAUUUGGAAUUUUUUUUGGGUCAAAAACGGUCAACGCCGGAGUCAACACCGGUCAACGCUAGAAUCAGUUGACCGCUGUACCAGAAUUUUAUGUCUAUGGUGUUGACUACAUGACAUUGUAUAGUUGAUGCAUGUGGCCAUACAAUACAUCUAGUUCUUGUAGCAGAGUGUACAAUAUGAUACUUGUCAUGUGUGACCAUGCAUUCGUCUAUAGUUAGUGUAGCUAGCCAUCUUUUUUCCUUUAAAAUAAGUAUCGGGAAGUUUUACUUUAAAACAUAUAUAUAUAUAUAUAUAUAUAUAUAUAUAUAUAUAUAAAGUUAGCUUUUCGCUCUUCUCAUGAUGCCACCUAAGCAUCCAUUUAAGUUACAUUUUUAUUUUUACAUUAAAAUAAAUUUAAAAUAUUUAUUUAGUGCAUAUUUAUGUUACUUAUAAAUUAAUAGAAAGCUUAUAUAAAUAAAAACAUGAAUUAUGUGAAAUAAAUGAAAUGUUAAAAUAAGAAAAACAAUAUUAUAAUUUUUUAUCAGUGGUAAUAAUAUAAUUCAACUUUUAUUUUAAUUGGAUCAUAGUUUAAAAUUUUAAAUGUGUUACUCAGUUUUAGAAUGGAAGUAAAUUUUUUAUUCAUGGUAGAAUAAAACAACAUUUAAGUAAUUGUAUACAUACAAUUUUGAAACAUGAAAUAUAAAUUGAAAAUGAAAUAUUAGUUUAUAACAUGAUCUGAAAAAAAAAAAACAAUUGAUGUUUCACAAAUUGAAUCAAAUGCUUUUAAUCUAAAUUUGAGUACUGCAAAAUAGUAAUUAAAGAAAAAAUAGUUAUAAUAUGUUUUGGAUAUUAAUACUAAGCUAAUAUAAACUUUAAAAAAACAUUUCAUGUGAAAAAUAGGAAAAAAAAAUAACAGCAAUAAAAAACCAGCAAAACAAACAUUACAACCACAAAAAAAACAAAGAAAAUUAAAAUUUUAAAAAAAUAUAUUUACCUCCUGCGUACAGCGCGGGUCAACAAGUAAUAUAAUAUAUAUUUUAGUUUCUUGAUGUAUAUACAAGCUUCAGAUAUGCUGUAGUUUUAAAUAUCCUUUGCACUGGCAGGUAAAAUCUGUGAAGUCUUUGUUUGAAAGACACCAAGAUACUGCAUCAAAAUUUCGGCUAAAGAAUCCAUACCUGAAGACGGCGUACAUGAAUUUUCUCUUGAGCUUAACACAAACGCUGUGUCGAUCUACUCAAGAAAUCUCCAAGGAUGAUCUCUCUCAUGCAGGCGCUGCACUAAUAUAUUUGAAAAAAGCAGGGUUUAAGUUGGAUUGGUUGGAGAAGAAACUUGGUGAAGUAAAGAACAAGAAGAAGAAAGAAGAAGCUUGUUUGGCCCGGAUGCGAGAAAUGGACGAAGAGCUUCAGCCCUUUAAGAAGAAGUGCUUAGACCUUAGAGCUCAGAUGGAUAAGGUGAAGGAAGAGCUGUCAGAAGCUAGAGCCCCUCUCCCCUUGUUCGAUGACAAUGUUGCCUGAUCACUUCAGAGUUCUUAAGCACUUGGAUUUAGGUUUUGCUAGGUGUUCUGAUUUCUUUGCUUGCGUUUUGAUGUUUUGAUUUCGAAAAUAAAAGCUCUCUUAAUGUGGAAACUUCUUAUAAAUAUUGGAUGAUGCUAUUUUUUUAUAUAUGUUUUUUUGGUAGUUGAGGACUCUCUAGAUAUGGUACUUGUACAACUAGUGAAAAAAUCCCUAUAGCCUAGCCACUUGAAUUUUCAUAGCUAUAGCAAAAAAAUCCCUAUAACCAUGAAAAUUCAAGUGGAAAUAGUAUAAAAAUCCCUAUAGCCACGAAUAUUAAGACUCAGCCACAAAAAUUUAAGUGGCUUUAAAGAUUUUUUGUACUAGUACAUACUUUUUGUUACAAAAUGUAAUAAACAUAGGAGUUUUGCAAUUAAUUACAAAUCAAACGCAUAAGUCCAAGUAAACGCCUAAUUAAUAAUUUACUAUACUAGAAACAUACUUUUGAUCAGUAAAUUCACAAAAUUGUUACAAAUGCCUUUCCUAUAGUAUAUAACUCCCCGGAAUUUAGAAAGAAGAAGCAACCGAACCAUUCACAAUACAAUACAUUAUGGCCAUCAACACAAUUACUAUUACCAAAUCCAUGGCUGGAGCCUUCUUCACAAUCAUCGCGAUGGCUACACUGGCAUCAGCAGCCACCGGUUUGGUUCAGCCUCCAAUAUCAGACGAGUACUUGGUUAACCAAUGUAUGGCUAAAGUAUCUUCAAGGUGUGCGAUGUACGUCACGGCCGAAAUGUAUAACCAUGGUCCGUCGUUGAAACAAAACGGAUGUUGUCUAGAGGUUUAUCACAUGGGGCGUAUUUGUCUUCACAUCGUGACAAAGCAUGUAAUGGAAACACUUGUGCCCGAUCUUGAAGGUGUUAAGAAACAAGACUCUCUCGAGAAAAGUACACAACUAUGGUAUUUUUGUGUUCCGGUUUAAUUUUGCAUUCUUGAAUAUCAUUAUCAAUAUGGGGCAAAAAAAAAGUAAGGGGAUUUGAAAAUAAAUCCACAUUACUAAUGGUUAUAUUAGUAAGAUUACAGCUAUACCAUGAUUUUUGUUUUUUGAGUAUAAUUUUAUUUUAUGUAUUUUAGUCUUAUAUUCAAUUGAAAUAAAGUUUUUAUUGGUAUUAAUUUAUUUGAAUAUCUAUAACAUUUUUGAAAUUUGGUUAAAAUUUACAAAGCUCUUGUUUACUCCAGUGAUAUGUAAAGCCAAGCAGAGUUUGAAUUCAUGUAUGACAGAUAGAGAUAACACUGAUGUGAACUUAGGCACUUCUUUGUAUCAUGAUCUUCCCAUUGUCACACUUCUUGACUUGGCUCGAUCGCUGUUAACACUUAAGUCACUUGACAAGCAGCGAAUGAUAGAGAACAUAUAUGUACAGUAAAACCUCUAUAAAUUGAGUAUAACAUAUUAUUAAUUUAUAAUGAUAUUAAUUUAUAGUGGUAUUUUUAGUUGUUCAAUAUUUUUGAAAAAUAUGUAUUGGCGCAAUUAAAAAUAAUAAUUAAGAGUAGUCUUUUAGAUAUAAAAAAUUUCAUAGUUUGAAAUUGAAUUUUAUAUUUAGAAAAAAGAAAAUUUGAAUAUAAACUAGAAAUAUUAUAGAUAAAUUCACUUCUACAAAUGAUAUACAUAAAUUCAGAUGUACGAUUAGUAACCUCAAUUGUUGUUAUAUCUUAACAUCUUAUAAAAAAUUGAAUAUGAUGCAUAUUUAUAAACUGAAAACAUAAAAAAAAAAUGGUUAUUUUUAUGACUUGUGAUGAAGUAUAUUACAAUAUUAUAGUUUAACAUAAAUUUAUUGUGUUGAGAGGAGCUCUAGGAGAAAAAUUAUUUUUACAAAAAAACUAAAAACAUACAUUAAUAUAUUUAUUGAUUAUUAAUUUAUGAUAUCAUUGGAACUAUAUAGCUCAAAUAAGUCGAACACAAAUCCACAAAAUUAUGGGCGUGUUUUACAUAAAGAUUUCAAAAAAAUUAUUACUUUAUUUUUAUAUCGAAUAUGGUUAAUAUUUAACGCUAGUCCGAGUAGGAGCCAACAAAAAUUAUUAAAUUAUAGAGGUUCUACUGUAAAAGGAAUGCUGAAACAUGUUAGAAACAUGUUAGUUUCAUGACCAUAGCCGUCUUUGGUAUUACAAUGGCACCAUGUGUUUUGUUUUUCGUUUACCUGAAAAGAAAAAAAACGACAUCUGAUUUGAGUCUUUGAGAGUGAUUUCUUGCGUAGGAGGUUUGCUCGCACGAGGAACAAAAAUUAGUGAAGAUAGGUUACUUUCUUGUGUAGACAUUUUACCAUUUAAAUUCCCUAACAUUUCAUUAAUCUUUUUUGUAUUUUCUCAGUUUAUUGGUAAUUAACUACAAAUAUGUGGAAACAGUGACUAAGCCAGAAAAGUAUAUUAUGCGGGUCAUAUAUUGAUAAUAUGAAAAAAUAUAUGAGUUAUUAUCAAAAACUUAGAAGAGUAAAGAAACAUACACAAAAAAAAUAGUGUAAGAAAAUAAAAUAAAGGGGUCAAAAAGACUAGUAGAACUGGAGACAUGGGGGUCAAUCUACUAAAAACAAACCAAAUUUGCAAUUAUGUAAUACAUAUACUUAGUUUAUGGGGGUUAGUUGACAGCCCUACUCUUUCACUAGCUCCGCCCAUAGGUGGAAAUAGAUAAUCGAUUUAUCAUAAUUAGGGCAUCACCAACCCUUGUACUAUGACAAUGUUGUCCGAUGACUUGAGUGUUCUUGAGCACUUGGAUUUCGGUUUUGCUAGGUGUUUUGCUUUUUGAUGUUUUAAUUCAAAAAUAAGAGCUCUCUUAAUGUGGGAACAUUUUGAUGUUUUGAUUUGAUGCUAUAUUUUAUUAAUAUGUUUUUUUUUUGUAGUUGAGAGGGCUCUCUAGAGAUGGUACUUGUGGUCACUUCUUGCUACAAAAUGGAAUAAAAAUAGGCGUUUUGAAAUAAAUUGCAAAUCAAACGCAUAAGUUUAAGGAAACGCCUAUUUAAUAUAGAGGAAACAAACUUUUGAUCAAUAAAUUCUUAAAAUUGUUACAACUAUACAUUUCCUAUAGUAUAUAACACCCCGACAAUUUAGAAAGAAGAAGCAACCGAACCAUUCAAAAUACAACACAUUAUAGCCAUCAACACAACUACUAUCACCAAAUCCAUGGCUGGAGUCAAGUAAUCUCAAAGGUCGAUAUUCUGGGAAGAGAUUUACGAGAAAGAUCAGACAACCGACUAGUAAAAAAGAGAUUCCGGCUUGAGUCUGCGACCAACUCGUUACAUGUGCCUGGUGAGCCGGCUGUAAAUGAUGGUCCCUUGACAACGAAACUAAAUGAUCAAGAACAACCACAAAUUUUCCACCGUUACGUAAAAAUAAAUUUGAUUAGAAUCUUUCCCACUAGACACAAGUAAAACUAUUUGAUUAGAACUAAAAAAAUAUUUUUUAAGUAACGGUGGGAAAUCUGUGGCUGUUCUUAAUCAUUUACUUCCAUUGUCAAAGGACCAUCAUCUACAGCCAGCUCACCAGGCAUAGGUAAUGGGUUGGGUCGCAGAUUCAGGCCGGGAUCUCUUUUUUACUAGUCGAUUUGCCUGAUCUUUCUCGUAAAGAUCUUCCCAGAAUAUCGAAGUGGAUGUUGUCUAGAGGUUUAUCACAUGGGACGUAUUUGCCUUCACAUUCGUGACAAAGCAAGUAAUGGAAACACUUGUAAUCAAUCUUGAAGGUGUUAAAACACAAGACUCUCUCGAGAAAAGUACACAAAUAUGGUAUCUUUGUGUUCCGGUUUAAAAUUUUGUGAUCUUGAAUAUCGUUAUCCGCAUUACUAUGGGUUAUUAUAUUAGUCGAUUAAUGAUAUACCAAUGAUUUUGUUUUUUUAUUAUAAUUCUUUUAAUAUAUUUUUGAUAUGACUAUCGCCGAACAAAACCUGGAGCUAGUAGCCGAGGAACAAUUUGUAGAAGAGGAGAAGCUCGUACCCAGGGAGCAGCUCGUACCCAAGGAGAAUCUCGUACCCGAGGAUGAGCUUGUUUGUAGCUGAGGAAGUGCUUAUAAAGAAUCUAACUAAACCGCCAUGGUUUUAGUUCAAAUCUCCUUAAUGAUCAUCACGGCUCAAGAAGUUCGGUAAAGGAUAAGUGUUGCUUAUGCACUCUUUUUCCCUUAUCAAGUUUUGUCCCAUUUGCUUUUCUUGACAAGGUUUUUAAUGAGGCCUAAUUAACACUUUCAGGGCCUUUUACCAAGCCCAAUUUGUGGGUUCAAGGCCCAUCAUUUUUCCUUAGCCCAUUUUCUAUCUUUUCUUUUCACUCUUGCAUAAGUUUUUGUAAUUUCCAAGACAUUUUGAAUGAACAUGCAUGGGUGUAAUUUCCAAGAUACUUGUGCAUGCUAUUGCAUGUUCUUCUUCUCUUUCAUCCCCCUUUACUAUAUAAUUCCCCUCUACCUCUCAUUUGUAUCUCAUCUAUCUUUUUAUCAAAAACUCUUUCAAGUUAGAUCACUCUCUCUUGUUCUUUUUUUGGUGUGUAAUAUCCUUAGUGAAGUCCAAGUUUGGUAAAUCAAAGGCUCUUCCGCAACCUUUGUGCGACCAUUUGCUCCACAUCCUUUGGUCUAAGUGAUCCCCCGAUCUCUUAGGUGCAAAACCUAUGUUUCCCUCAACUAUCCGAGGGUCGAUUAUAGGAGGAUCGUAAUAUGUGGUAUCAGAGCACACUCUGAAAAGUUGAGUAAUGUACCAUCUUUAUCAUCUUUCAUUAUUUCAUUUCAUCUUCUUUCAUCUUUCCAUUCUUUUUCUGUAUUUAUUGUCGUCUGUUUUUUCUGGAUUUUCUGUCAUUUUGUCAGAAUUUCCAUAAAUAAUUGGCUCAUUAGAUCUAAACUCUUUCAAGUUAGAUCAUCCAAAAAUUAUAAACUCAAUUGUGUCUAAAACUAGGACUAGUUUUUUGGAUGAGUCAAUGAUUUAUGAAAUUGAGUUUUAGAAACAAUGAUUGACUCAUCCAAAAAAACUCGUCCUAGUUUUAGAAACAAUUGAGUUUAUAAUUUUUGAAUGAGCCAAUUAUUUAUGGAAACUCCGCCAAAAUGAUAAAAAAAUUCAGAAAAAAACAAACGAAACUAAAUACAAAAAAGAAGUGGAAAGAUGAAAGAAGAUGAAAUGAACUGAUGAAAGACGAUAAAGAUGAUAGAAUGCUCAACUUUUCAGAGUGUGCUCUGAUACCACAUAACACGAUCCUCCUAGAAUCGACACUCGGAAAGUUGAGGGAAGGCUAGGCUUUGCACCUAAGGGAUCGGGGGAUCACCUAGACCAAAGGAUGUGGAGCGAAUGGUCGCACAAAGGUUGCGGAAGAGCCUUUGAUUUACUAAACUUCGACUUCACUAAAAAUAUUACACACCAAAGAAAAAACAAGAGAAAGUGAUCUAACUUGAAAGAGUUUUUGAUAAAAAGAUAGAUGAGUUACAAAUGAGAAGUAGAGGGGGAUUAUAUAGUAAAUGGGGAUGAAAGAGAAGAAAAACAUGCAAGAGCAUGCAUAAGUGUCUUAGAAAUUACACUCAUGCAUGUUCAUGCAAAAUGUCUCGGAAAUUACAAAAACAUUAAAUGCAAGAAUGAAAAGAAAAUAUAUAAAAUGGGCUCAGGAAAAGUGAUGGGCCUUUUACCCACGAAUUGGGCUUGGUAAAAGGCCUUGAAAGUGUUACUUAUGCCACAUUAAAAACAUUGUAAAGAAAACCCAAUGGGACAAAACUUGAUAAGGGAAAAGAGUGCAUAAGCAACUCUUAUCCCUUUACCGAACCCCUUGAGCCGUGAUGAUCAUUGAGGAGAUUUGAACUGAAACUAUGGCGGUUUGAUUAGCUUCUUUAUAAGCACUUCUUCAGCUACAAGCUCAUCCUCGGGGACGAGAUUCUCCUUGGGUAUGAGCUGCUCCCUAGCUAUGAGCUGCUCCUCUUCUACGGAUUUUUCCUCGGCUGCGAGCUGCUCCUCUUCUACGGAUUGUUCCUCGACUACAAGCUCCAGGUUUUGUUCGGCGAUAGUCAUAUCAAUUUUAGACUUAUAUUCAAUCGAAAUAAAGUUUUUAUUGAUAUUAAUUUAUGUGAAAUAUCUAUACCACUUUCAAAAUUUUUUAAAAGUUACAAAGCUCUUGUUUAUUUCAGUAAUAUGUAAAGAUAAAUAGUGAUUGAGACGAGACCAUAUAAUCUGUUCUGGUUUCGGAUCUAAAAGUAUAUGUAUGAAUUUCGGUCAAAACAUUUUAGUUAUUAAAAAGGAAAUAAAACAAAUGGAGUUUGAAUUUAUAUUUGACAGAUAUAACACUGAUGUGAACAAACAUAUAGACGCAUUGCUUGACUAGGCUCGAUCGCUGUUGAGACUCAUGUCACUUGACAAGCAAUGAAUGAAAGAGAUCAUAUAAAAGGAAGACCUCAAACGGCACGAUGUGUUUUGUUUUUCGUUUAACCGGAAGUAUUUUAGCAAUACAGUAUAACCUCUAUAAAUUAAUAUUCGAUAAAUUAAUAAUCUCUAUAAAUUAAUAAAUUUUUCCGGUCCCAACUUGGGACCAGUGUAAUUUUAGACACAUUUCGAUAAAAUAAUAAGAUAAUAAUUUUUUUGAAAAUACUUUGUAAAUAUAUGGUCCCAUCAUUAUUAUAAAUUAAUAAUUAGGUAAAAUUUUCAAAAUAUAUGUAUAUAUUGACACAUUAGUUUUUGUUAGAUUUUAUUUCUAAUAUUUUACUAUAUGAAAAAUAGUUAACAUUCUCUUUUAAUACAUAAUAAUUAUUGUUUUAUUUGUAAUUGAUUAUAUAAAAUGCUAAAUCUUAUUUUUAAAUAUUGUUUUGAAAAUAUUUUCCAAAUUAGGAAUAUCUUUUUAUAAAUUAAUAAUUAUUAAUUUAUCGAUAAAUUAAUACCUUUAUAAAUUAAUAGAUUUUUAUGGUGCCAACGUUAUUAAUUUAUAGAGGUUUUACUGUAAAUUCAUACAAAUAAGGAAAUCAGAAAGAAGAAGCUAACAAGUAAUUUUGAAGUGGACGGUCUUAGCUUGCUCGCCUCAUAGAUUUUCCAUUUUCUUAUACUAAAAUCAAUGCCAAAAAGGGAUUUCUUGCGUAGGAGGUUUGCUCGCACGAGGAACAAAAAAUAUUGAAGAUAUGUUACUUUCUUGUGUAGAGUUUUUACCAUUUAUAUUGCCAAACAUUUCAUUAAUCUUUGUUCUAUUGUUUCAGUUUAUUGGUAAUUAACUUCAAAUAGGUGGAAAUAGAUCAUCGAUUUUUCAUGAUUACAGCAUCUCCAAUCCUAAUCUAUUUUUUUUCUAAAGUUUGUUAUAUAGUAAUGUUUUCUCCAACUCAAUUAAUACACUUAAAAAAGUAACACUUAAAAUUACUUAAUAUUUAGCGUAAACUCUAUUUUGUACCUUUUUAUAUGAAUAUAUUUUUUUAGAUUACAAAAUAGAGUUAUACAUUGAAGAGAAACUAUACUCAAAUUGAGAGUUACAUUAUUUUAGAGUAAAACUAUAGAGUGCUAAAAAGAGUAAUACAUUGGAGAUGAUUUUAGUAAAUUGUUUUUUUUUUUUCGAGAAAUACCCAAUUUGGUAUACCAUUUUUCAAAAAAUACAUUUUUCUCUAAGGAUUUUUUUUAAAUAACUCUUUUUAUAAUGUUUUAAAAGGGUAUGGUUUAUAAGUUAAUUCUAGAUAAUGACUACUACUGGAGGAUUCAAUCAAAAUAUUAUAAGGUUUUAAAAAGUUUCUUACAAGGUUUUUAAAAUGUUUAGAAAGGGUUUAAAAAGUUUUUAAAUAAUUUUAAAAGGUAUUAAUACUAUAUUUAUAUAAAAUUUUACAGUAAUUUAUAUGUAAUUUUAUAAGUUUACACAUAUGUUUAGAUAAAUUUUAAAAUUUUGGUGAUUUUAUGAUAUUUUGAAAAAAUUGUAGUAUUAAAAACAGUAUUUUUGAAAUUCUCCAAACAAAAAAAAUAAAAUAAAGACAAGAUAUUCAUAACACACAUCGAAACAACAAGCCGACAUAGAUAUUCAUAACAUACAUCGAACAACAACAAGCCGACAUAGAUAUUCAUAACAACACUUGCUUUUGGGAAUGAAAAACAAUUAAACGGUUCCUUUCAUUAUUACGUCAAUUAAUCGUUCUUAAAUGACUAGGGUCUUGUUUUUUUUUUUUAUAAUUAUAAAUCACUGUUCUAAAAAUAACAUAGGGAAAGUAAAAGGAUGAAAAGUUUCUUUCUAGACUUUAAAUCAUAUAGGAGUAGUAAUGAGGAAGAAGCCGAAACGUUACACAUUCCUCUUUCUAAGAAGCCUUUAAAUUCUUGGAUUAAACUGUUUCAGUUCUAUAUAGUUCAUGUCUCUUUCCUUCGACUGAGCCACCUGAGAUUCUCAAACGUGGUAACGUUGUCAAGAACAAAAGCUGUUCAGAAUUAUUUUCAUAGUGGAAUCUUUAUUUUGGUUUUGUCUUUUGGGAUUGUUCUUUGACCUUCGAUUUACAUUUUUUUUUUUGUUUUGUAGCUAGGGCCUAGGAGUCAUCACAGAGAUCAAUGGAGACAAACGUUGAAACAACGAUUACUUGGGUGAUAAGAAAUUUCUCUUCGUUAAAAUCAGUAUUUUAUUCUGAUAAUUUCGUUGUUGGUGGCUGCAAAUGGUAAGAAGAUAACAAACUUUUCUUGUAGUGUUUUUGUUUAGGUUUAGUUUUUGAUAUAUGUUGUUUUUGUUUGGUUUUCGUUUGCAGGCGUCUUCAGGCCUAUUCAAAUGGAAAUUUAACGGCUAAUCAUUUGUCUUUGGUCCUAAACGUUUCUGAUAAUGAAACUUUGCCUAUUGGAUGGAGAAGACAUGCUAAAUUUUCUCUUACUAUAGUAAAUCAAUAUUCAGAAACACUCUCCCUACUACAAGGUUGUACUGUGUUGUGUGUUUAAUUCUAUGCUUGUUAUUUUUAUGCCUCUGUGUUGAGUUGUGAGCAUUGAGUCAGAAAAUGUAACUAAUGAGAUGAAAUAUGGCUUUUGAUUUUGUAGAGACUCAGCACUGGUAUGAAGCUAAAUCUCCUUUACCGGGGUUUUUAAAAAUGAUACUUAGUAAACUUAAUGCCAACAAUGGAUUUGUAGUAAAUGGAGAACUCAGAGUUGUUGCUAAGUUACAAGUUCUUGAAGUUGUAGGAAAAUUAGAUGUAUCAGAUGAAUAUUUACCACUAGCUGUAACCAUAGAUGUCAAUGGGUUUCAAAUUCUUCCUUUACAGGUAUGCAAAACACCUUUUGUUGUUUUGUAAAAAUGUCAACUACAAAAAUAUUACUUUUAGACACAAAAGAAGAAACUGUAAGAUAUUCUAUGGUUUUACUUUAUAUAUCCUUUCCAUUCACAGGGAGACUCGGUGAAGCGUUUGUUUGAAAGACACCAAGAUAUUGCAUCAAAUUUUCGUCCAAAGAAUCCAUACCUGAAGACAGCGUACAUGAAUUUUCUCCUGAGCUUAACACAAACGGUGUGUCAAUCUACUCUAAAACUCUCCAAUGAUGAUCUCUCUGACGCAGACGCUGUGCUGGCAUAUUUGAGAGAAGCAGGGUUUAAGUUGGAUUGGUUGGAGAAGAAACUUGAUGAAGUAAAGGAGAAGAAGAAGAAAGAGGAGGCUUGUUUGGCCCGGCUGAAAGAAAUUGAUGAAGAGCUUCUGCCAUAUAAGAAAAAGUGUUUAGACCUUAACGCUAAGAUGGAUAAGGUGAAGGAAGAGCUAUCGGCAGCUAGAACUCCUCUCUCCUUGGACGAUGACAAUGUAGUCUGAUGACUUGAGAGUUCUUGGACACUUGGAUUAAGGGUUUUCUAGGUGUUCUGAUAUCUUUGUUUGCGUUUUGAUUUCGAAAAUAAAACAUCUCUUAUGUCAUAACUUCUUGAUAUUGGAUGAUGCUAUAUUUUUUUUAUAUAAGUUCUUUGUAGUUGAGGGUUCUCUACAUAUGCUUCUGCUACAAAAUGGAAUAAACAUAGUUGUUAUGCAAUUAAAUUGCAAAUCAAACUCAUAAGUCCAAGUUGUUAUUAAUAACUUUCCUUUAGUAUAUAGAAAGAAGAAGCAACCAAACCAUUCACAAUACAAUACAUUAUGGCCAUCAACACAACUACUAUCACCAAAUCCAUGGCUGGUGCCAAUACAUUACUAAGGGUUAUUAUAUUAGUAAAUUAAUGUUAUACCAAUGAUUUUGUUUUUUAAGUAUAAUUUUCUUUUAUGUAAUUUAGGCUUACAUUCAAUUGAAAUAAAGUUUCUACUGAUAUUAAUGUAUUUGAAAUAUAUAUACCAAUUUCAAAAAGAAAUUAAAAGUAACAAAGCUCUUGUUGUUUUUUUUUUUUGAAUAACUAAGAGAUUAUGGGCUGACAUCCCUUCAGGUCCGAAACCAGAGCAUGUUAUAUGAUCUCGUCUCAAACGCCAUUCGAACCAGCAACGUCUAAACUUUAGCCGUGCUUGGUACAUUACAACGGCACAGUGUGUUUGUUUUUCGUUUAACCAGAAGAAAAAAACGACACGUUGUUAUGUUUUGAGAGUGACUAAAAGUUAGAACGAGCAAGUUAUGUAUUUAACUAGCUUUCAACAAGAACUUACAGAGAUCAGUUACGAGCAAAAGCAACAUAUGUUAACCAUACAUUACUUGCUCGGCAAGGAAAAUAGAGAUUUUACCAUUUAGAUCGCCUAAUACAAUCGCUAAACAUUUCAUCCAUCUCACCAAAAAAAAAAAAACAUUUCAUUAAUUAAUCCGUGUUGCACUUUUUCCCCCAAUUUGUUGGUAUACACUUCAAACAAGUGAUCUAAGAAAUACUAGUUCAUUAGCUAUUAUAUACUAAAGUAUUCUCUAACUCCACUCUAUAUUCACUCUAGUAUAGGGUAAAACUUAAGAUUAGAGUAACUCUAUUUUUGGACUCGAAAGAUAGAGUGAAAAAAAGAAUAAUACACGAAGAAUGUAUCACAUAUCUAACGAAACAUGUCUUGGGAAUGAAAAACAAUUAAACGAGCUCACGUAAACCAUUCUUAAUACUAAGGUUUUUUUUGGGAAAGUCUAGUGAUAAUUUUCUUUAGACUUUAAGUAAAAUGGUAUAAAUCCUAUGCGAUAGUGAAAAGCCGAAACCUUUCGCAUUCCUCUAGUCUUUCUAAUGUAAACGUGGAAGCCUAUAAAGUUAUGGCUUAACUGUUUCAGUACUACAUCGUCCCUGUCUCUUUGACUUUUCGAUUUACAAAAUUUAUGUGUAGCUUUGGAGUAAUCAUAGAGAUCAAUGGAGACAAAAGUUGAAACGAAGAUUACUUGGGUGAUUAAAAAUUUAUUUUCUUUGCAAUCAGAAUGGAUAUAUUCUGAUAAUUUUGUUGUUGGUGGCUGCGAAUGGUAAGAAGAUAACAAACUUUUCUGGUAAUGUUUUUGGAUUUAGGUUUACCUUAUAUAUAUUGUUUUUGUUUGGUUUUCGUAUGCAGGCGUCUUCAGGCCUAUCCCAGGGGAAAUAAUUAUUAGGGAUAUAUAUCCCACAUUGGAAAUUAAGUAGGAUACUGACUAGUAUAUAAGAUAUAUGGGCCUCUCCACUCAUUUCCAAUUGGUUUUAGGUUGGAACCCCACAAUCUAAUAUGGUAUCAGAGCCCGAUCCGCACAUACUCAACCCAAUCCACAAUCGGUCUGGCCCAUAAUUGGCUCACCGAUUCAUGCCCGAAUAUAUCGAGAUUUAUGGCGAAAAGAGCCAUCAUCUUGAGGGGACGUAUUAGGGAUAUAUAUCCCACAUUGGAAGUUGAGUAGGAUCCUGACUAGUAUAUAAGAUAUAUGGGCCUCUUCACUCAUUGCCAAUUGGUUUUAGGUUGGAAGCCCACAAUCUAAUAAUAAUAAGGCUAAUCAUAUGUCUUUAUAUCUAUAGACGUUCCUAAUAAACAAUCUUUGCCUAUUGGAUGGAGAAGACAUGCUAAAUUCUCUUUUGCAAUAGAAAAAUCCUCCAAACUAAGAGGUUGUUGUGUUUCUAUGCUUGUUAGUUGUUUGUUUGAGUCAAAAAUGUAACUAAUGAGAUGAAAUAUGGCUUUUGAUUUUGUAGAGACUCAACACUGGUUUGAACACAAAUCUCCUCGCUGGGGGUAUCCAGGAAUGAUUACCCACACUCAAAUUAAUACCAUAACUUUACUGGUGAAUGAAGAAAUCAUAGUUGUUGCUAAGGUCGAAGUUCUUGAAGUUGUCAAUGGAAAACUAGGUAUAUCAGAAGAAUCUUCACAAGAAAUGGAAACCAUAGAUAUCAAUGGUUUUCAAAUUCUUCCUUCACAAGUACGUACAAUACUUUUUUGUUGCUUUGUAGACAGUAAACACAUGGAAUAUGAAAAUACGAAACAGUAAGAGUCACACUAUAUCCUUUCCUCUCGCAGGUAGGAUUGGUGAAGUCUUUGUUUGAAAGACACCAAGAUAUUGCAUCCAAAUUUCGUCUAAAGAAUCCAUGUUUGAAGAUGGCGUACAUGAAUUUUCUCUUGAGCUUAACCCAAACGCUGGCUAAAUCUACUCAAGAACUCUCCAAUGAUGAUCUCUCUGGUGCAGGCACUGCUUUGGCAUAUUUGAGAGAAGUAGGGUUUAAGUUAGAUUGGUUGGAGAAGAAGCUUGAUGAAGUUAAGGAGAAGAAGAAGAAAGAGGUGGCUUGUUUGGCCCGGCUGAAAGAAAUGGACGAAGAGCUUCAGCCCUUUAAGAAGAAGUGCUUAGACAUUGAAGCUCAAAUGGAUAAAGAGAAGGAAGAGCUGUUAGCAGCUAGAGCUCCUCUUCCCUUGUACGAUGACAAUGUUGUCUGAUGACUUGAGAGUAAUGUUUUUUCCGGUUUUAAGUUUACGAUCUUGUUUAAUAUCUAUAUUUAUGGAUAAAAAUGAAUUGGCAUUUGAAAAUAAAUCCAAAUUACUAAGGUUUUUUUUUUUUUUUUGACAUCAUUACAAAUAAUAAAUCUCUUUUGAGAGGGACCGGGCUCGAACCCGUAUCUGCUGAGAAGGCAAACAGAGGUGAGAACCACUAGUUCACUCGCUCCUUCUCCAAAUUACUAAGGUUUAUAUUACAAGAUUAACGCUAUAUAUUUAUAGCUCUAAAUUUGGAAAAAAAAUCUAUGGCUCUAAAUUUACAGACAAAAAUCUAAAUGUAUACCAAGCAAUCAAAGACUAAAUUAUUUAUUAUGUGAAAGAAGAUAUAUAAAACAAAACAAGGGUGAAAAUGUAUAAACACCACUCUCUAUCUUGUUUAUCUAAUUUUAAAAAAAUACAUAGCUAGAUAUUUAAUUAUAUAGUCUUAUAUGUCUAUACAAUGAUAUUUCCCUUCAUAACACACAUGACACAUCUUACAAAACUUGUCUUGGGAAAGAAAAACAGUUAAACGAUGUGGUUCAUGAUUAUGUCUUUUUUGUUUUUCGUUUUUUUUUUUUUUUAAAGUAUCACUGUUUUAAACUUAACUUAGGUAUAAACCAUAUGCAAGAAGAGGAGCCGAAACCUUUCGCAUUCCUCUAGUCUUUCUAAUUUAAACGUGGAAGCCUUUAAAGUUAUGGCUUAACUGUUUCAGUACAUUGUCCCUGUCUCUUUUUUUCGACUGAGGUUAUAAUCGUUCGUUUUUUAUUUUUUCCAUUUUCCUUCCUAUAUCUAUGUCAAGAAAACAAGAAAAGCUAUUUAGAUUUAUUUUCAUAGAGGAAUUAUUUUUUUUGUUUGGUUAAGUUUCACUUAGAAUCUGAGAUUGUUCUUUGACUUUUAGAUUUACAAAAUUGUUGUGUAGCUAGGAGUCAUUAUAGAGAUCAAUGGAGACAAAGCUUGAAACGGUCUCGAAGAUUACUUGGGCGAUAAGAAACUUCGCUUCGUUGCAAUCAGCAUCGAUUUAUUCUGAUAAUUUCAUUGCUGGUGGCUUUAAAUGGUAUGAAGAUAACAAACUUUUCUUGUAAUGUUUUUGCUGACAGACCAGUUUAGGUUUAGCUGAUAUUGUUUGGUUUUGGUUUGUAGGCGUCUUAAAGCUUAUCCCAAGGGAAAUAUAAAGGACAAACAUUUGUCUCUCUAUCUACAAGUUUCGGAUAAAGAUUCUUUGCCUAUUGGAUGGAGAACACACGCUAAAUUUUCCUUAACUGUAGUUAAUAAAUUUUCAAAACAUCUCUCCACACUAAAAGGUUAUAUUGUUCUUUAUGCUUGCUUUCGUGUUGAGUUGUAAAGCAUGGAUUCAGAAAUGUAACUUGUUACGAGUUUUGGAAUAUUUUUCAGAGACUCAGCAUUGGUUUGAUCACAAGUCUACAAGCUGGGGGUAUGAAGAAAUGACUCCCCUCAAGGAUAUUUAUGCCAACAAUGGAUUUCUUGUGAUUGAAGAACUCACAAUUGUUGCCGAGAUAAAUGUUCUUGAAGUUGUAGGACAAGUAGAUGUACCGGAGGAAACAAUAGAUGUCAAUGGGUUUCAAAUUCUUCCUUCACAGGUACGCGCAACACCGUAAGAGUCUAACUGUAUAGUUCCUGUUUCUUGAUAUAUAAAGAACCUGUGGUUUCACUUUAUAUGUCCUUUCCUCUCGCAGGUAGAACCUGUGAAGCGUUUGUUUGAAAGACACCAAGAUCUUGUCUCAAAAUUUCGUCAAAAGAAUCCAUAUUUCAAGACGGCCUACAUGAAUAUCCUCCUACGCUUGAACCAAACGCUGUGUCAAUCGCCUCUAAGACUCUCCAAUGAUGGUCUCUCUCAUGCUGCAGCUGCACUUGCAUAUUUGAGAAAAGCAGGACUUGAGGUGGAUUGGUUGGAGAAGAUGCUUUAUGAAGUAAAGGAAAAGAAGAAGAAAGAGGAGGCUUGCUUGGCCCGGCUACAAGAAAUUGACAAACAGCUUACGCCAUUGAAGCGGAAGUUGUCUGAUCUUGAAGCUCAGAUGGAUAAGGAGAAGGAAGAGUUGUUAGCUGCAAGAGCUCCUCUCUUCUCCAACGAUGACAAUGUUGUCUGAUGCUGGACUCGAUAGUUCUUGGCCACUUGGAUUUUGGUUUUGCUUGAGUUUUGAUUUUCGAAAUGAGAAUUCUCUUAAUGUGAAAACAUCUAUAUGAUAUAGGAGAGUUCUACAAUACUUAUCUUUUUUAAUUAGGGAAUCUCAUUCUUUUUUUUUUUUUUGGACAAAAGGGAAUCUCAUUCUUAAAAAUCUUGAAUGCUGAAAAAAUAGAUUUUCAAAGAAACAAAAUCUAAUAACCAGUUAAAAACAACUACUAGUAAACUUGAUUAGAGAUGUCAAACGGGCCUCUAGCCCGCGGGCAUGCCCAAUACGAAGCUUAACGGGGCGGGUAUGAGCUUUGAUUUCGAAGCCCAAAAAAAUGCGGGUCUCGCGGACUCGAUCCGUUUGGUCUGCGGAUUAUAGCGGUCCUGCCCGUUUGGGAACUGCGGGUUUGCGGGCAAUCCAAGUCAUGGAGCUUCUAAACCACAGAAAUUGCAUAUUCAGUACCCACCAUCAUUUUUACACUCUUCAAUGUUUUAUUUGAUUACUUUGAUUCCUCUGCAACUAAGAGUGACAUAAAAGGGAAGGACACUAUUUUCCUCAUGAUAAAUUAGUUUUUAAGUUUAUCUUACUCUAUUGUAUUGUACGUCAGCGACACUAUGAAGGUUUCAAGUACGUAUGUAACAUUGUUGAGAUAAAUGUACAACAUAGUUCAGUUAAGUAACCAUUUGCAGUGCUUGUAAUGAGAUCGCAUUGUCUGUGUGAGUUGCAUUGAUGGGGACUUCACUGUACCACUUUACCUAACAAGAUAACACACAUCCACAUCUCAGUGUUUUUGCAUCUUGACCACGUUGUUUUACAGGUUUUGCCAAAACACAUCAUGCACCAUAUAUAUAUAUAUCUCAAAGAGCAGACAGACCUUUAGGAUCCUUUUCAAAAUGAAUCACAUUAACUAAAGCUAAAGCACUCUGUGAUAGAUCCGGUCCUUCUGAACUUUAUGGAAGAAGAAGGAUUUGCUAUUUCAAAAUAAACAUAUUUUCUCAUGAAUUAGUAAAUUAGUAAAUAUCAUUUUAAAAAAUAUUAAAUUUCAUUUAAAUAUCGAUAAUACUAUGUCUAUUAUCUAUAAAUGUAUAAAAAUGUAUAAAAAUAAUUUAGGACCCGGAUACCCGAGUUAUCUAUUCAAAUAUCCGAAUUUAUACCCGAAAUUCUGAAUUUUACCCGAAAAUCCGGAUAUUUACCCAAAAAGUUAUGUAUUUUUAUCCAAAAAUCCGGGUAAUUACCCAAAAAUUCGGGUAUUCGGGUAAAUUUUCGGGUAUUUGUGUACCCGAAAAUUCUCGGAUUUUUAAUGAUUCCGAAAAUUUAUACCAAACCAACCCAAACCCGAAUGGACCCGAACCGAAACUGAGCCCAAUUUUUAUGUUUAUUCUAUUGGGUCCUAAACUUUUCUACUCGAGAAAUCCGUACCCGAAUGGUUUUUACCCGAAUCCGACUCGAGUACCCAAAUCCCAAGGGCUACUCAAACCGCUGUAACCCUAUGCGAUAAUUCACACUCUAAGCGUUCUUAAAUGACUACGGUCUUUUUUUCCUUUUUUUUUUUUUUUUGUUUCAUCGAGAAAGUCAUCGUUAUAAACCCUAUGCGAUAAUUCGGUUACACUUAAAGAUUGUUCUUUGACUUUUCGAUUUACAGAAUUAUUGUGUAGCUAGGAGUAAUUCAUCAUAUAGAUCGAUGCAGACAAAAGUUGAAACGACGAUUACUUGGGUGAUUAAAAAUUUCUCAUCUUUGCAAUCAGAACCAAUUUACUCGGAUAAUUUCGUCGCAGGUGGCUGCAAAUGGUAAGAAGAUAAUAAACAAACUCCUCUUGUAAUGUUUUCUGCCAGUAGAAUUUACGUUUAACCAAUUGUUUUUGUUUUGGUUUUGGUUUGCAGGCGUCUUAAAGCCUAUCCAAAGGGAAAUAAGAGUGCUAAUCAUUUGUCUUUGUAUCUAGAUGUUUCUGAUAAUGAAUCUUUGCCUAUUGGAUGGAGAAGACAUGCUAAAUUUUCUCUGACUAUAGUUAAUAAAUUCCCGGAAAAUUUCUCUCAACGAAAAGGUUAGUUUAUGGUUUAUGUUACUUUUAUGCUUCCGUGUUGAGUUGUUAGGCAUUGAUUCAGAAAUUUAAGUAAUAAUGAUAUGAAAUAUGGUUUUUGAUUUUGUAGAGUGUCAGCACUGGUUUGAACAUAAGGCUCCUGACUGGGGGUUUAUAGAAAUAAUUAGCCUCACUAAACUUAAUGACGAAGAAGGGUUUCUGGUGAAUGGAGAACUCACAGUUGUUGCCAAGAUAGAAGUUCUUGAAGUUGUAGGAAAAUUAUAUGUACCGGAAUCUUCUUCACCAGUAACGGUAACCACAUAUGUCAAUGGGUUCCAAAUUCUUCCUUCUCAGGUAACACCUUCUGUUGAACCGUAAGACUAUACACUAUAUAAUAUAAUUCAUGUUUCUUUAUAUAUAAUGGCUUUGGAUAUGCUCUAGUUUUAUUUUAUGUACCCUGUCCACACGCAGGUAGAAUCUGUGAAGUCAUUAUUUGCAAGAAACCAAGAUCUUGUAUCAAAAUUUCGUCAAAAGAAUCCAUAUUUGAAGACGGCGUACAUGAACGUCCUCCUAAGCAUAAACCAAACGUUGUGUCAAUCUCCUCUAAAACUCUCCAAUGAUGGUAUCUCUAAUGCAAGCGCUGCACUUGCAUAUUUGAAAGAAGCAGGACUUGAGGUGGAUUGGUUGGAGAAGAAACUUGUUGAAGUAAAGGACAUAAAGAAGAAAGAAGAGGCUUGUUUGAUCCGGCUGAAAGAAAUGGACGACCAGGUUACGCCAUUGAAGAGGAAGUUAUUAGAUCUAGAAGCUCAGAUAGAUAAGGAGAAGGUAGAGUUGUUAGCUGCAAGAACUCAUCUCUCCUCUAACGUUGACAAUGUUGGCUGAUAUAUAAUACUUGAUUGUUCUUGGCCACUUGGUUUAGGUUCUGUUAGGUUUUCUGAUUUUUUUUCUUGCGUUUAGAUUUUUUUAUUUCGAAAAUGAGAACCCUCUUUAUGUGGAAACGUCUUAAUAUAUGAUAGUUCUUCAAUACUUUUUUUUUUAUAUGUAAGUAUUUUGCAAUUGAGUUUGAUGCCAUUCUUUAGGUCUUCUCACUGGCCAAGUAAUGACCGGCCUUGACCCGUCCAAGUAACUGACUUGUGUACUCGAUACUUGAUUUGUCCGAAGGAACUUUUGGUCGGAAAUCUGAGUACUUGCAAGUAAUUUGACCGGCCUCGUUAAUUGCCAAAUAAUUUGACUCUUGUUUUUUUAAAAAUACUUACUAGUUGAACUAAGUACAUGAGUAUAUAACUAAGUAGGAAUUACCAAGAGUCGUUACCUAGAAAUUAUACAAAAUUAAGUAAGAUAUAUAUAACACAAAAUUAACUACGAGAUAUUUCGAAAAUGCAACACAACUUCAAUAUGUUUCUUAACGAAUAUAUAAUGUCUUUGUGUCUGAACAAGUAGUAGAACACCAAGAGUCAUCACGGUCAAAAGAACAUAUAGCUUACAAUUUUUAUUUUCGCUCACGUUAUUCCUCAUCAUAGUCAGUAAUAAUGAGGAGUAUCAAAUUACGAUGAACCAAAGCAGUUCACUUUCGCUCACGUUAUUCGAGAUCCAUGCAUCGUCUUGAGAAUAUCUCUUUUAUUGGAAGCAAACACCUUUUACUACAUUUGUUUUUUUUUUUCUUCUAACAGUGGAGGUUAGAUCUCAAGAAAGCAUUUGCCUAAUUUCAUUUUCGUUUUUAAGCUCUUGUAGUUCGAACCCUAGAAGCUGUGGUCGUACCAAUGGCCAAGAUAGUAGAGAGUAAAUCAACACAUUAUUAUCCUAGUACUGCAUAUGAUGAGGACUCCGACAACGAUGAAACCGUGGACAUAAACGGUUUCUGUAUUUUACAAUCCCAGGUAAGCAAUAUUUUACAACUCCAAUUUUUUUUUACAAAUUCUUCAGGUUCAUUAGAAAAUAUGUAAAUCGAAUCAUCUUGUUUUCAUUAAUAUGUUUUACAGUUAGGUCAAGCGAAGCUAAUCUUUAAAGAACAUCCAGAGACAUCCUCAAAUUUUCAUCUAAAGAGUGUAUUUGCCAAGAGAACGUACUUGACUGCCCUACUCAACCUCGUCGACAAGAUGAACUAAAAGAAGCAGACAACACAAUUUGGGAUCUUGAAGCUGCUGGUUUCAAACUGGAUUGGUUGAAACAGAAACUUGAGGAGAUUCGUGUUAUUGUAAAAGAAGCACAAGACCGUGCCGCUCGGAUGAGAGAACUAGACCGGAAGAUCUUGGGGAAGAUGAAGGAGUUGGUGGUCCUUGAAGACAAAUUGAAGAAGGAACAGCUUAAGGCUAUGUCGGACGAACUUGGAUAUUAUUACUGCUUUUUUAUUUGAAUAAAGUCUCACAUUUUCAUUCUGUUUAACCAAAUACUCUUUAACACAAAGAUUGAAAGUUUGAUGCAUUUUGUUUUUUUCUGUCUAUUUUGAUAGAAUGAAAUGGUAAAGAAUUGCAACAAGUAGUUUUAUCUUUGGCGGUACACAAUUUCUAUGAACAUAAAAUACAUUCUACAAGUUGCAUCUCUUAUUAGUGAUUAUUUUCUUAAUUUUCUGUUAAAAGUAAUUACCAAAAUAAAAUAUUUAAAUGUAUUAUUACAACCGUUUAAUUGAAUCAUUGUAUCGUCUAGUUUGUUUUACUAACAAUUACAACUUUUGAUUAUCUUAUAAAUCGUUGCAACAUUUAGUUUGUUUGAGGAAUUAUUACAACAAUUGGUAUAUAUUUAAUAUAACUUUCUUUUGGUGCAAAACAUAAUUGUUGAUUCAUUCAAUCCCAAAGAGUACAAGCUCGUCAACCUAAAGGUGAUACAAUAGGGCUGAUCAAACACAAGAUUACAACAAACAUAGAUACAUAGAUUGGAAAUACAUAAAGCGUUGUUGAUAGAUCCAUAGGAGCUAGGAGACCGAGGCUACAACUUAAAAUGCCACAAACAUUAGUCACUAUCACAAGAAUUCGUGACGUUGGAAAAAGAUCUUUAGCUUCAGUGGUUCUCCAAUUUUUUGGGUUUCUAAUUUUCUAUAUACUCCCAAAGAUGUAUGUAAUGUGGGAUUCUAAAUAUUACUAAUUUACUAAUAUUGAUACGCACGUAACGAACGAUUCUUAGAGACCUUCACAUUUGUUUUGGAGAAAAUUGCCAAAUUACAAUAGUUAUAAACGAAUUUAGGUUUUUGAUAUUGAUAUGUCAUGUUCCUCUCUGAUCACAUAAAAAUAAAUUUAAGUUCUAUAUUCAUUUAAUUUCAUUUGUACGAAAAGGGUGAUGAUAAAUUUUUUUUCGUAACAUGUAACUUUUCUUCAAAACAAAUUUAAUGGUUAUAAUGUCUUUUAACCAAAAAAAAAAAAAAAAAUUAAUGGUUAUAUGAAUGUCUAAUACCCAACAUACCAUCGUAAAACAUUCAAACCAUAAACCUUAAAUCAUAAACUCUAAAUGUCAACAUCCAUUUAGAAAAAAAAAAUGUAUAGCUAAUAUAUUGUUGAAAAAAAAAUAUAUGUUACAGAAAAAUAUUGCACUUGGCAUAACAUUUAAAUGUUUUGCAAAUAUAUAAGUCACUAAUCGAUUUUUACUUAAUUUUUCUGAUUUUUUUUUUUUUGUUAUCCCACCUAAUUACUCAUUCUUUAGAUGGUAGUAUACAUGGCCAACCUUCUAGAUAAUCAUUCCAAUCAAACAACAUGAAAGAUAAUACCAAACAAAAACUUGACUGUGUCAAUAGGAAAACAAAAAACAAAAAAAGCAAACCUUCCUUGGCCACAUCUGAGAAUGCGGAAAAAAGCCUUUGGGCCGUGAUAGUGAAACGUAUAGAUCUUGUCGGCAACAAAAUUGGUACAGUUCACUAGUGUGAUACUUUAUCAUCACUAUUUUAGUAUUCUUUUUUGGAAUUUUAAAUUUCAUGCUCUCUUGGACUUGGUCCUGUUGCCAAAUCUUGCUUAUGCUGAUUCCAUUGUUUAUGUUUUAUGAUACUAUCAUUUCACUUAAUAAGUCUCAUUUAUUUGAUACUGAUGACUAGAACUCGAUCGAGUUCGUAUAUAUAUUAGCACGACUUGUGUUUGUGUUUGUGUACUUAGGGUUACUAUUACUUGAGUGACAAAAAUGCUAAGAAAUCAACUUUUAAGACAAAUGCAAAAACUUUUGUACCUUUUAAAAGUAGUUUCUACGUAGUACUCCUUGAUGCAAUUAUAUGUUAUACUUACUCUUGUUCAGUGGAUAUUAGAUUUGUCUUUAUCUCUAUGUCGGUAGAGAGAUUAGAAGAAGGAUCCUUAACAAGUAUCAAUAGUGGAUGACUUUUCUGUCCAAAUAAAUAAUCAUUAUAUUUUUUUUAAAAAAUAAUGUAAAAUUAUAUUAAGAAAUUAAAAAUCGUUUUUACAACAUGUGCAACGGGAGAUCAAUACAUUUGGGUUAUGAAGGAGAAACUAAGAUUUAGAGGCUAGUAUUGAGAGGUGAAUCAAAGUUGCAUUCCUUUUUCGUAUCGCCUAUCACCCAUAAGCUUAAUGGACGAGAGUCGAUCGCGCAUUUGUUUACCGAUGAAGUUUAUGAGGUGAGCUGCAGUGUUACGAGGAUCCCCAUGCUGUCGCCCAUUCCUCUCCCUCCAAAUUGUAUAAAUCGCGGUUUGAAACAAGUAUCUUGCCAUAAAGCUGUCAAGACGAGUUGGCCAUUGCCCGCCCAAAUAAAUAAUCAUUAUAACAUAUAAACAUAAUUAUGUUUGGAUUUGUAAUCAAAUACUUAUAAUUAAUAAACCCAAAAAAGAAAAAAAUACCUAACCAAAAAAAAAGAAGCAUAAAUCUAAAGAUUUAAAAGUUUCUACAUCAGAUUUAGGAUUCGAGUUUGAGAAAAUACAGUUGAAUGAAGAUUAAUGGAACUAAAGAUACCAUAGUUUAGAACAUCACAAGUAGAAUUUUUUUUUUGUAAAAGAGUCACAAGUAGAAUUAUCCAUCGUGAUUUUAUGUGUUGCAUGGCGAGUCUGUCUAUCGUAAGAAUAUCGUACAUGUUUGUGGAGAGUACUGUUCGGUGAAAUCAUUAUCCAUGAAAACUAUACAUUAUAACUGUGUUUACUACAGUUAGUUAAAUCUUAUCAUAGCAAGGAUUAGAUCAGAUAUUUUUUCUUAUAAUGUAAUUAACCACAAAACGAUAUUGAUAUAUGAUAAUAUUUAACAGUAAGAAAAAGAGAAUUCUGAAAUCUCUAGAAGUUUAUGAGUGCGCUGUGUUUAUAGAUAUUUUUGUAAACUAGUGGAGUUGUCAUUUACAUUGAUUCAAAUAUAGCUACAAACUUACUAUGAAUCCAACACGUAUAGCGGUAUAGAGAAUACUAUGGUAGUUAUCUUCUAAAUCUAAUUACUACUUCGGUUAUAAUGCGAUAACUUACUUUAACUUUACUUUUGAUAAAACAAUUGCAUUCUUUUUAUCCAACUUCGUUGUAUUUUUUUGACUUUUCUCGUUUCCUAUCCUCCUCAUUUUUUCUAUAAAUAGAGGCCAUGCAUCGUAACAUUUUAUUCAUCACUUGUGUUAACAUACUAAGAGAGUCAUAAGAAAGAAAUUGAGAGAAAAAAAAAAAUGGCUUCCAAGGCUUUGAUACUGUUGGGUCUCUUUGCAAUUCUUCUCGUCGUCUCCGAAGUGUCUGCCGCAAGAGAGUCCGGUACGUAAAAGUUUAAUAUACAUUUCAAUGAUCUAAUUCUACUAUUGGAUACUAUUCUUAAUAUAUAUAUAAAAAAUACAAGAAAUGUUUGUGAUUAGGGUAAUAUAGAACUUGGAUUAACGUACCAUUUCGUAAAUUUAUCCAACUAUUUUGUCCUAUCCAUUAUUAUGUGAUAUGGAGUACUCAUGGACGUACUAUUUAUAAGUUUUUUUUUUUUGAAAACUAUGUCUAGAAAGUAUAUUUAAUAUUGUAAAUUAUUUUGAAGAAACUAGAGAUUAUUUUGUAUAUGCAUGUGCACGUGCAUAACACUAUAUUUGAAAUGAUAUUUUUUGGGCAGGCAUGGUGAAGCCAGAGAGUGAGGAAACAGUGAAACCUGAAGGUUAUGGACACGGCGGUCACGGAGGUGGAGGACACUAUGGAGGAGGAGGUGGAGGACACUACGGUGGAGGAGGAGGAGGAGGCCACUACGGUGGAGGUGGAGGAGGAGGCCACUACGGUGGAGGAGGAGGCCACGGACAUGGAGGAGGAGGACACGGUCUUGAGGGAUACAACGGAGGACAUGGUGGUCACGGAGGAGGAUACAACGGAGGAGGAGGUCAUGGAGGUCACGGAGGAGGAUACAACGGAGGAGGACACCACGGUGGAGGAGGUCACGGGCUUAACGAACCUGUUCAGACUCAGCCCGGUGUUUAAAACUAAUAUCAUGUAUUCACCACCAUGCAUGGUUGCACUUAAUAUAUACAUGUAUGUGUACUCUUAGUUAUGCUUAUGUGUGUGUAUGACUAUAAAUAAACCAUGGUGAGUUUGUAAUGCAGUCCCUUCAGAAAUGUUUUUGCAAUAAAGUUUCAUGAAUAUCAGCAUAAUUUCACUAUGUUUCAUAAGGACUUAAUUAGUAUAAGAAUUUAAAGUCUCAUAAUAUUCAAAAUAAAUUGAUUCAUUUAGUUGCUUCAAAAAAAAUUAAUGGUUGAAAUGAUGAAUAAUCAAAACGACAAUAUAUAUAUCACUAAGAAAACAUGGUAUUGUUUACCAAUUUUCUUACAAAAAAAUUAGAGGCUUCUUUAAUUUUCGUUAGUGUUUUACUCAAAACAUAUACACAGAUUGAUGUGUUUAAGUAUCCCACCAAGAGCCACACUUUCUACAAGUGUAGUGUCUUUGUUAGUUUAUAAUUGAGUUUCAGUUUUAAUAUUAUAACUAUAUAUGUAUGUUAAGUUUUAUCGUAAUAAGGUAGUUAUUUGUCAAAAGUCACAAAUGAAGUAAAGACACAACUCUUCUCUUCAAGUUGUAACUCCUUAUGUGGUGUCUUUCAGUUGGAUUUAGAUGAACUCUCAUUGCAAUUAGUAUUUACAAAAAGCUUUUUUUUUUUUUUUUUUUUUUGUCUUGAGGGAGUGAAAAGCUGUGCAUUGUUGUAACUACGGUGUAUAGAUUGAGAGACAGGGAGAGAGAGAGGUGUAUCCUUUUAUGAAUACUACUCUUGUACUCUUCUAGUUUGUCUUAAGGUUCCUCUUUGUCUAGGUUUGUGUUAAGAACUGGUUUAUUACUUGAAGUGAGCUUUUUUUUUUUAUCGAACUUGUUCUUGUUUUUUCUAGGCAACGGUGAUAAAAUAGUGGAACAAAUGGCGAUGGUGGAAGCCGCGCUGGAAACGAUGGCAGUGGCGAAGAAGACUGAAGAGAAGUGAUAGUUGAUGUAGCAAUUUUUCUCAACUUAUUUAUCGGUUUGAGUUUAAGCUCAACACAAUAGGAAUACACAAAGAUGCUUCAACCCAAAUUAAUCUAAAUUAAUGAGAUGAGUUUUGAUUUCUAAAUGUAACUAACAACCCAAAAUAUAUAAGACAAAAGAAAGCAAUGAUCAAAAGACAAAGAAGAUUCAAAUUGAAGCAAAACGGAAAAAAACAAUUCACUAAACGAUAACUAAAAGCGAAUCCUCUGAAUUAAUGAAAUCGAUCAGAAGAAAAACGAAGUGGAUUAUGCAGCUAACAACUACAAACAAACAAAAAUCCAAAGCUAUAGACACUUAACUAGACUAGUGCAUUUUCAUUACAAUAAUCAUUUCAUUAACCAAAUAAUCAUCAAAUUCUUCCAAAGACAAUUAGAUGACUAACAAGUAUUAAUAACAAGUUUAUCUAGCCACUAAACAUCCUAAUAAACAUUUUCCAAUGGCAAAAGGCAGUUAGAUGACUAACUAGUAUUAAUAACAAGUCUAUCUAGCCACUAAACAUCCUAAUCAAUAUUUUCCAAUUGCAAGAAGUGUAAAACUCUUAAAUAUUUUGGUUCAGAAAUUUCAUGGAACACUUUUCAUUGUGUGAUAUUUAGAACUUUACAAAAGUAUUUAUCUAAAACUUUCAAUAUUUUCAAAUAUAUAUUUUAUUUUCAUUUAUCUUUUUCUUUUAACAAAAUAAAAAUACAAAAAACUAUAUAUUAUUUUAAAAGAGUUUACAUUCCUUUGAUAUAUAUUUUUAAAGUAUAUUAAUCAUAGUUAACUAUUGUAAUUUCAAAAAUGUUAAAUAAUUAGAUAUCUUAUCUCGAUUGGCUGUUUUCAAUCUUACAUGCACAAUCUCAUGAGCUACUCAUUUUCUUAACUUUUGUAAUUUUUAGCUAAUUUUGUAGUGUAUCUCUCAAUAAGAACCAAAAAAUUUAGUUUCUUAAAGUUGUGCCAUAGGUAAAAAUGGUUUAUGCAUCCGCUAAAAUAACAAAUUUAUAUGAACUCGAAUUCUGGUGAAAAAGACCAGAACUAUAUUUCACGCAUGAUCUGUUGGACUAUCACUUCACUUAUUUGGAUCUUGCUAUGAUGAUUCCAUUGUUUAUGAGAUUAUCACUUCACUUUGUGACUCAUUUAAGUUUAUGCAUUUGAUAAUUACGAAACUCAUAUCAAUUUGGACCAUAUAAUUAGUCUCUCUAUAUCAUAUAUCAGCUAUAUAAACUGUAGUGGCUAGUAGAACUCGAGUUAAAAUUAGAGUUACCAUUAAAGUCUAUAUCAUAUAGCAAUCAGCUGUUUCAUUUCUAAAUCAGUCGCCUGUCGUAAUCUCAAAUAGUAAAUAUAGAGUGAAAGAAAAUUCUAAGAAAUUCUCACAAAUGAACUAGCUACAUGACUACACUUAGUAACAUGGAAAAAAACUUAGGUACUGGCUAAAAUAUUCGUAUUCACGAUGGCCAAGCAAAACUUUCUACGUACGUAGUACUCCUUUAAGCAAUUUUGCUAAUUAAUAUUGUUCAGUGGAUAUAGAUUUGUCUUUAUCCCUCUGUCGGAAGAAGGAUCCGUAACAAGUAUCAGCCAUAGUGGACGACUAAUCUGUCCAAAAAGAUAAAUCAUUAUAACAUAUUUACAGAAUUACAAUCUAAAUAUUUUAACAGGAAAUUAUAUUUAAUUAAAUAUCAAACUUUUAAGAUUUGUUCAAAGAAUAUCUCUAAAAAAAUUGAUUAAGUUUUAGUUUCUUAAAAUGGCAUAAAGUAAAUAUUAAAUUUUCAACUUUCAAAACCUAAAUUUUAGAUUAUAAUUAAACACUAUACCCUAUUCCCUAAAAAUAUUCUAUAAUUCUAAAUAGUUUAUUCAUACUCAAAAAAAAAGUCUAAAUUUUUUUAAAAUUAGUAUUUAUGUUUGUGAUAAUACUAUAUUUUUGAUAAUAUUUUGAAAUAUUAAAUUAAUAGCAGAGUUUUGACAACAAAACUUAAAAAUAUAGUAUUAUGAGGCAUUUCUCAGAAAAAAAAAAACAUAACUAUUUGAUACGAUAAAUAGUUACAGAAAUACUAUAAUAUGGAAGUUUAUGAAUGCACUUUGUAUAUAAAAUUACUUUUUAAACUAGUGGAGUUGUCAUUUACAUUGUACAUUGUACCAUAAGGGUCUAUUACUUAUAUCUCCUAAAUCUAAUUACUACUUGUUAAUAUUGUAAAUAUACUUUAACUUUACUUUUGAUAAAACAAUUUCCUUCUUUUUAUCCAACUUCGUUGUAUUUUUUUGACUUUUCUCGUUCCCUAUCCUCCUCAUUUUUUCUAUAAAUAGAGGCCAUGCAUCGUAACAUUUUUAUUCAUCACUUGGUUUAACAUACUGAGAGAGAUAUAAGAAAGAAGUUGAGAACAAAAAAAUGGCUUCCAAGACUUUGAUACUGUUGGGUCUCUUUGCAAUUCUUCUCGUUGUCUCCGAAGUGUCUGCCGCAAGGGAGUCCGGUACGUUAAAGUUUUUAUACAUUCCAGUUCGUGAUCGAACUUGAACUAACGUACCAUUUAGUAAACUUGUCCGAUCCAUUAUGUGGACUUAGUUAAGGCAAGACAAACUUCACGUAAGUCAUAUGGAGUCAUGUACGUACUAUUUAUAAGUUUUGUGCAAAUUUUGUUAGAAAGUAUCUUAUACUUUGAAGUCUUUAAAAUGAAAAAAAAAGAAUUGAAACCGGGAAGAGGAAUGAGCAUGUGCACGUGCUUACCAAUAUGUUUGAAAUUAUGUUUUUUUGGGCAGGCAUGGUGAAGCCGGAGAGUGAGGAAACAGUGCAACCUGAAGGUUAUGGCGGCCACGGCGGCCAUGGCGGUCAUGGAGGCCAUGGUGGCCACGGAGGUCAUGGACAUGGAGGAGGAGGCCAUGGACUUGACGGAUACCACGGAGGACAUGGUGGUCACGGAGGAGGAAGUUACGGAGGAGGUGGUUACGGAGGCGGAGGUUACGGAGGAGGUGGUCACGGAGGAGGAUACAACGGAGGAGGACACCACGGAGGAGGAGGCCACGGGCUUAAUGAACCUGUUCAGACGAAGCCCGGUGUUUAAAACUAUAUAAUGUAUUCACCACCAUGCAUGGUUGCACUUAUAUGUACACUUAUGUGUGUGUAUGACUUUAAAUAAACCAUGGUGAGUUUGUAAUGCAGUCCCAUCCCUUCAGUGAUGUUUGGAAUAAAGUUUCAUAAUAUCAGUAUAAUUUCUCUCUGCUUGAGUUAUAUUUGCACUGUUUGCAUAAUAAUUUCGUUUCUAGGUCAUAUCUAUUACUCUCUAUAUAUCGGUUUAUUAUUGUUUCCUUAAUAUAUUCUUAGGGUUGAAUUACUUUAUAAAAAUAUUACCAAACACCUAGAGACUAUCAAGGUUUUGCAUAUAUACACCAACAUUUACAAAGUUUAGUAAACAUACAUAAGUUCCAUGAGGACUGAUCUUGUAGUUGACUAAAACCAAACUGCAAGUCUCACUUGUAUAAGAUUUAAUUUAAUGACUAAUAGAGAUGCUUGUAAAAUUUGAUUAUGUAAUAUAAGAGAAUGUUUUAUGACUAAGUGCUAACAGCUCAAUUGGUAAAGAUCUCUGACAAAAAGCUUAGAGGUUGUCGGUUCGAGUAGCGUUUGGGACGAAACCAUAUAACAUGCUCUGGUUUUUGGCCUGAUGGGAUGUAUGGGCUUCAGUUUAUAACUUAUUUGAUUAUUAAAAAAAAAAAGAAUGUUUUCUGAAUUACUAGUGAAAAAAUUUAAAUUUUACCUUAGUCAUAAUAUUGAAAACGAAUUGAUUCAUUUGGUUGCUUCGAAAAUGAAAAAAAAUAUAUAUAUUAUGAGAGUGAAACACACAACAUAUUUUUUCUGUAAUUUUGGAUUUUAUUCGAAAUGCGAGCUAUAGAAGGAAAAGCUAAGGAUAUAAGUAUUGAGAAAAUUUAUCCAUAGAAAAGACAAUAUGAUGAAUUUAUUGGUAAUUAAACGUUAUUAUCCAUAGAAGAAACAUUAUAAAAUUUAAUUUAUAUUCACAUGAUUACACAUUUUAAUUUAGUAUAUUCAAACAAAAAUUUCAAAUAUAUAUAUAUAUAUUGAUAUAUCAAGCUAUGAGUUUAUUUGAUAAAAGGUGUGAACUAGCACAGGGAAAAAUAGCCAAAAUCCAAAAUCCGAAUCAGAUCCGACCCAAAAAACCGAUUAAAACCGGAUUCGGUUACUACUGAAAACCCGAUCGGGUUACAAAUAACUUUUACCACGCACACAAAUUUAUUUAUUUAUUUUUUUGGUAAAAGACGCAUACACAUUUUUUAAAUACGUAUCGCUUUCGAGCAGUCCAUUCAAUUUACAGAAUUUUCACAUUGUAUCUAAAAUAUGAAAUCAUUUUUACUGAUAGGUCGAAGUGGUUAAAACAAUUACACAUUUGUAAGGUAUUGAUCUUUUAUAUAAAUUUAAUUACAUGAAAAUGCUUCUUCAAAAUACUAUUCUACUACUUGGUUCACAAAGAUGCUAUUUUACUACAAAAAGUGACCAAGUCAUAUUCUUAUAUAAUAUAUCACUAAUAAAAAGUUAAAUAUGAUAAUAUUUUUAAGUUAUGCACAACCUCGAACGACCGUAAUUAUUGUCAUUGAGCACAAAGGGUUUGGUUCGUAUAAGUUCCCAAUUUUCAUUAGCUUUCUUUUUAAUAGUGUCAGCAUCAUUCAGCCAUCGUUAUUGACUUAUUUGGUUAUUGCCUUUAAAGUUUUGGUUCGAGACUAACAAGUCAAUUCAUUGAGUGAGUGUGAGUGAGACUCUUCGUUAACACUUGCAUGGACUACAUUUCAUGAUAUCUUAAGUGACUAGGUGAUAACAUAUAGCCACGAGACACCUCACCAUUGACAUUAAUUAAAUGUUAAUGAACAUUUGCAUUUUUCUAAUUAAAUUAUCUCUAACCUUCACGUGUGUGGAUGAACACACUCGAGACUCCACGUACAUAUCUACCAUUGAAAAAAUAUGUCCUUUAUGACAAGGAAACAUAGAUAAAUUGCAAAACAAAAUCCCACAUAGUAAUAUAAUUAUAAACUAUGAUUGGAUCGCAUGUUGUCUAAAUAGAUAUCUAUAGAGCUAGAAUUUUUGAGAUAAUCACUUUUAAAAUACUAUAGUACAUAUUUUUUUUUUAUGGAUCACUCGUUCGUUUUCUUUUUUACUUUAUCGACAUAAAAUAAGAGAAAUUUUUAUAUACUUUUUUUUUUAAUUAUACAGGCCUACAGGGCCACUAGAUUUGUCUCUUUCGUCAUUAACCAAAAAACUCUCUACUCUUUUUUAAUUUAUUGUCAAUAGAAAUUCUCUAGAUGAGUUACUUUGGACGGUGGCAUAUUUAGUGAUUUUUUUUUUCUUCUUUUCUUGUUUGCAAAUACAAAAAGUUUUCGUUAUGUCAAACUUUAUUAGUUGUUUUGUUACUGAUUUACGCUAUAUAUUUGCACAUUAAAGAAUGAUAAAAGAGAAAUUGGGAAUGAAACAUUGUGCGAGACCAUAACUUCACCAGAUGUGGAUUAAUCUUGCGAACAUACACCAUUGAAACAGUUUAAUACGAAGAGCUGCCAAGAUACUUGCAAAAUCGUACAUCAACUAGCUAGUGAAAUGAUCGGAAAAAUAAAUAAUUGAGAAAUGUACGUGUAAAAGUACUAGUUGAUGUAUAUAAUUAUGGUGAGUGCCUGUCCAACAUUUAUAAAGAUCUUACUCAAAAAAAAAAAAGAAUUACCUUCCUUUAUUAUUUAAAUUCAUAAAUAAUAUCAAUUGUUUCUUUUUCCAGCUUCAAACUUAAAAAAUACCUAAUUUCAAAAAUACAAGGAACAUAAAACAUCAAAACCAAAAGAUAAUCAUAGAACCGAUGAUACAUAAGUUUCAUGAUAUAUAGACAAUACUAGAUUUGGACCCGCACGUACGUGCGAGAUUGAUUUUCAAAAACUAAGUUUGCUAUCAUGUUUGCAACAUAUUACGCACAUGUGGUGUUAUGUUUGUAAAUGUAAUUAUAUUAGCAAUAUUAUUCAAAUUCAAAAUCUGAGUUCGCACCAGUUUAAUAUUUAUUUGUUAUUAAUUCAGUUACAAAAAAAUUAGGAUUUGGUUUUGUUAUCAACUACAUUAAAAAAAAAGUAAAGAAAAGGUGGUUUGUUUAUUUUGAGACAGGAACCCGUCUCGUCUCGUUCUUUCUUAGAUGUGUCAUGUUUUUCUAUCUUAUAACCAUGGUUUUAAUAAUAAUUUAUCUAUUUGAGAUAGUGAAUUUUAGUCCAACAAAUGAAAAAUAGGUCAAUGAUUGAGACUUAUUCGUAGAUAUAUUUAUUUCGUAUAACAUUUGUAACAUAAACAUACAUUGGUAUGUUUUUAUUAAGUUUAUGAAUGCUUGAAAUAAUAAUCGCUUCACAAUAAACUUUGGAUCGAUAGGAUAGCGAAUCCAAAUUGAAUGUGAACCAGAUUAGUAAUCAUCUUAAUUUCCGUUAAACCCGUGAACUAUCAGACCGGAUGAAAAUUAGUUUCAAAAUUAAUGAAAAUUAAAUCUGCUGAGAAUUAAUGACAGCAAAAUAAAUAAUUUUAACAGAAAAUAAAGAUGAUUUCCAUAAUAUUAGUUUUGGAAAUGAUUGAGGUUUGAGAUUUUGAACUUUAUGAUUAGUAUCUAUGAUAUAAAUAAAAUUUUUUAUAUAUAAACAUAAAAUCAUGUUACCUAUUUUCAAGUGUGGUAAAUGGUAUGAAAUUUUAAUUGCUUUGUUAUAUUAGUUACGUAUAGUAGUAAUUUUGGGGAUUUAGAUUUUGUUUUCGAUUUCCUUUCCAAUUUUUUUUUUUAGUUUGAAACGACUUUUUAAAUAUUACAAAGUGUGUAAUUUAUUUAUUUUAUAUUAAUUAUGGUUAAUACUAAUUGUGAAGGAUCUAGAUCUUGUUUCUUUUAUAUAAUUUUAAUAAUUAAAUUCACUUCCUAAAUAAUUAAUAAGAAAUUGUAUGGAUUCCCAAAGUUGCGUUCUUUUUUUUGGUGGAACCCAAAGUUGCGUUCUUGUAAUAGGGUUUCCUAAAUUAUUAAACGCUAAUUGCCCCUAAAGAAUGUUUGAUUACAAAUUUAUUUUAUGUUAAAAUGACAUUAUAUUUCUUUUUGACAUUAUAUUUCUUUUUUUUUUAAAGAUCUUGAAAUGUAUUACGAUUUUCUAAAUUAUUUAAUUCUAAUUGCAUCAUAAAGAAUGUUUGGUACAAAUAUAUUUUCUGUUAAAAUGACAUAAUAUUGGUUCUUUUUUUAAGGGAUUCUUUCAUAUAUUUAUUUUCUGUUAAAAUUAUUUAUUUUGCUGUCAUUAAUUCUGUUUGGUUAUAGGUUUAGGAUUACAUAAAAUGUAAUUUUUUUUUUUAAUUCUGUUUGGUUAUACUUAUAAAAAAUCUUCCCUUUUAAUAGUAUAGAUUAAUACUACUUAAUAAAUAUGUCUAUGUUAGAUUUUUUUUUUAAUUUGAUAAACUAUAAUAUUUUGGAUCUUAAGUUUUUUUUUUUUGUUGGUUUAAUUUGGAUCUUAAGUUAUUGUUUAGGUACGGUUGCUUAUAUUACGGGUGGCUCUUCCUAUGGUUCUUCCUAUAAACUUAUAGAUCCCUGAACUAAUAAUAUCUAUGGUGGCGAGCUAAUAUCAUUAAUUUUUUUUAAUGUAUUGUUGGUUUAAAUCGGAUUAAUCAAAAUGUGUUUGAUAACUCUCCUAUAACACAUAAAGUGAUUAUGUAUAAAAGAAGAAAAUGAAUAAUCAGUUAAAAUAUAGAAAACUAAUGAAUUUAACAAUGAAAUAGUCAAAAGUGAGAUCAAUAGCUCAAUAGCCUAACUGGUCAAAAUCUCUAACAAAAAUCUAGAAAUCGUCGAUUUGAAUAGUAUUUAAGAUAAGAUUAUACUACCUAUUUUAAUUUCAGGCCUGAAAACAUGAAUAGAUUUCGUUUCAGAGAAAAUUACUCUAGUCGAAAUACUAAUAUAUAUGUUUUAUAUUCGUAAAUAAAAUCUUAUAAUAAGUUAUACAUUAAAUAUAUAAAGAAAAUUAUUGAUCAUUUUGGAGAAAAAUACAUCGUUGCUCAGGUCAAAAAACGCGGAAAGCCCUUUCGAGUCAGUGCAUUGAGAUCUUGUCGGAUAACAAAAUUGCUUGUCUUCUGUAAUAAUACUUUAUUAGCACUAGUUUUUUUUCUUGCUCCGGUUUCUAAACUCUUCCUUAUGAUUCCUAUGAUUAUAAUGAGACCAUAGUAUUAUAUCAGUCUCUAACUUUAAAUUAUGCCUCUUUGAUUACGAAGUUCUUUACGUUACCAUUGGACCCUAGCUAGAUCUCUCUAUAUUAUGCAAAAUCCACUUUGUUCUCCGGAAAUAUGUAUUAUAUUGUUUUGCACAUUAGAUGACUAAUGACUAAUUAAGCUACCAUUACUAGUUUCUUGUGCUUUAUAUAUAUAUUAAUAUAUAUGUAUAUUAAUUCCUGGGGGAUAUGCAAAAAUAUGUUUUUACAUACCUUUUUACAAAAAUAUCAUUAGAUCGUUUUUAUUGUUUAUUUUCAAUAAUACCCUUUUUAUUUUUAUAUUCUCGAAUAAUUUUAAAUGGAUACAAUUGAUAGUAACCGGUUUAUAGAGUUAUAGUGUUAUAAUAGAUAUAAAAGAAGAGUGGUAAAAUAUAUCAAGGAUAAUAAAUUAAGUAACAAUUAUAUAUACAAGGCUACAAAAUAGAGACUACGCUACCAUCCAAAUAAUAUUUCUAUGAAUAUUGAAAAUGGUUUCAGCAGAAAAUAUAAAAUAUAAAAUAUAAAUAUAAAGGGACCCUCUAAAACAUUUUCAGAAAUAUUAAAUAGUUAUGGAUGGAUAGCAUAUAAUGCAUGUGAUGAUAAAAAAAAUUUAUACUCUUUAAAGUAUUUUCUAUGACUGUUAACGUUUAUUAAUAAGCUAUUCAAAAUGUAUAGAUAAAUAAACCGCACUGUUUAAUAAGCUAGCUAUUCACAAUUCAUAAGAACGUUUAUAAGUAAGAAUAUAUUACAAAAAAUGAUAAAGAAAUGCGAUUACACUAAACAUUUUCUAGGUUUUUAACCUUUUAUAUAUUACAGUUAUAAGUAAAGAGUGUAGAUGGAACUAUGCGACCUUCCAAUAUUUUUCUUCUUUUCUUUAAACUUCAAACUUGAUCAUAUUUUAUUAGAGAGAAAAAGAAAAUCCAUGAGAAACAAAACCAGGAAAUUAAAAUUGAGAAUUAUAAAGAUUAUGAUAAAUUAUUAAAAAUGCUUACAAAAAAUAUAGAACAAAGUGUAUGAGAUACCAUAGUAACAAACAUAGUUAUCAAAUUCACGUCUAUGUAAAAUGUACCUAGCAAGGAUGGAUAACAACAAAAUGUCUACUACACUCAAUAACUUCAGACAAGACUCGUCUCCUCUACGAAUGCAUCAAGCCAACUUUACGCUUAGGUACCUUGGCUUAGUUAGAUAGAUAGUUUGAUUGCAAUCAACUAUACCCAAGCAAAUUCCCAAUAAAAUCUUCAUUAUUGAGACCUUCAAGGUAAGUCCUUAGUAAGUUACUACAUAUUACUCCUCUAUCAUCUACUUCACUCAUUUUAGCUACUCAUAUUCACUGAAUACAGCUUUAUCUGUCGGCAGAGAUUGGAAAGAAUAUACUUAUAACAAAUAUCAAUAUAGUGACAAUCAAUACUAUACGACUUUUCUACCCAAAUUCUAAAUAUCUACAUGUGUACGACUCCAAAAAGACUAGUGGACUAGCCUAGCCGUUUACGGAGUACUUCCAAAUUUAUUACAAUGAGUCCAACAACGGACCAUAAAGGGUCCCCGACGCAUGCAACACGUAUACACUAAUUUGAAUUCUUAUCUUCUUACCACUUUGGUUUUAUUGUAAUAUCUAAUUUUAUUUCAUUACUGAUUUAGUUAUAUAUUUGACUUUUCUCCUUCCCUAUUCUCCUCAUGUUUCUAUAAAUAGAGGCCAUGCAUCGUAACAUUUUAUUCAUCACUUGGUUUAACAUACUAAGAGAGUUAUAAGAAAGAAAGAAAAAAAAAAAUGGCUUCCAAGGCUUUGAUAUUGUUGGGUCUCUUUGCAAUUCUUUUCGUCGUCUCCGAAGUGGCUGCCGCAAGUACGUAAACUUGUUUGAUAUUAAGUUCAUUUCAUCAGUUUUAAUAUUAUGUUUAUGUUUAGGCUAAUUGAAUAUAUCAUAUUAAAGAAAUGAUAUUUAUAUGCAAAUUUUAUGUAGAACGUUAACGUUGUAAAGUUUUUUUUAUUAAAGAAGGAGGACUUGUGAGUUUAUAUGCAAAUGUUAAGUUAAUACACAAGUUUGAAAUUAGGUAGAGGCAUGCACAUUUACAAGUGCUAACCAUGUUUUUGUUUUGGACAGGCACAGGGAAGCCAGAGACUGAGGAAACUGUUCACCCUGAUGGUUAUGGUGGUGGAUACAACAGAGGAGGAGGCGGUGGCCACGGUGGAUACAGCGGAGGAGGACGCAAAGGAGGAGGAGGAGGACACGGGCUUAACGCAGAAGGACAAAACUAAUGUAAUGACCAUCAUGCAAGAUUUGUAUCUAUAUAAACGCUUAUGUGUGACAAUAAGUAAACCAUGGUUGAAUGUGUAUUGAAGUUAAGUACCUGAAGAAGAGAAACCAUGGAAAAAAAAAGUUUCAUAUAUAAUGUAAUGUCGUCUUUGUGUUUGAGUUGUAACCUUCUCCAUUUGCAUAAAUAAAUCAUUUCUAGUUUUAUGUUACUAUCUUUUGUUUUUUUGGUAAGAGUUUUGUUUACUUAUUCGUACUCUUAGGGUUGGAGAACAAAACGUAUAUGUAAACCAAGGCUGGCCAAUGGUUGUUAACACAAAACUUUACCAAUUCUAAUAUAAGGUUAGUUUGAUGUGUGUGAACAAAUAUGCAAAAGCAGUUUAGUGACUUUAUGCAUGAGAUGUUAUUAUGCAUUUAAUUUUAAGCAGUAUAGGGAUAGGAAAAGUUUGCAAACAGUCAUAAUUAUGAAUAUGUAUCUUUGUUUCAUGAUUAUAAUAAUAAAAUGAUAGAUGCAUAUAUCAAAUUAACGAUAGUAACAGUUCAUUAUAUUAAUUAACAACAGAAUAUUUUUGAAUUUGAAUAUGUAGAGAUAAAUCAUGUUAAUUAUAUUAAUUAUACAUUUAUAGAAAAUAUAAAUAUAUGUAUAAUAAAUAUUGUUAUUUUUAAACCACACAAUUGUGUUGUAUAGUUCAAAAUCAAGAUUAUAUAAAUUAUUUAUUAUCCAUUCAUUAUGUAUAAAUUUGACUAUAAAUAAAUUUAUAAACGUAUGGCAAUGUUAUAUUUUAACUUAUAGCACAAAAAAAAUUUUUGUUUCCAAAUUUAUCACACAAUUUAUUAAGUUUUAAUCAUCGCACCAUAUUUCAAGAUUAAAUCAUAAACUCUAAACACUGAACCAUACCUCCUAAAAUCUACAUCAUAAAUCUAAAAUAAUAUUUUCAAAUCUUAAAAAAGAAAUAGAUUCUAAAACUAAUGUCAAUUAGUGUUAUUUUUGGAAAUUUAUGUAGUAUGUGCUAUAAUUUAUCUACAAAACUUACUAUUUUAAGCUAUUUCUCGAAGUAUAUUGACUCCAAUUAAAAUUAGUUUGCAACCCCCAUGCAAAACUAAUCAAAACACAUGCAAAAGAAAUAAACCGACGCUAAUUUAUUGGGAUUUAUGUAGAAACUUAAAAACCCACUAGUAAUGAUCUACGGUUAAGUUCAAAAUCUAUAAAAAACUAGUUUUCUAGCUAUAAGAUAUAUGAUUUUUCUAGAAUUUAUAUAUAGUUCAAAUUUUGCAAUAGUUGUUUUUUUUUUGCCUCAGGUAACUAAAUUAUAUGCUUGCCUGAGUUUUAAGUUGUGAGGAGGAUAUCAUCAAGCGGACAGAUCCCAUGAAGUUGACAUGAACCAUCUCUUCACGGUUUGUAGAACUCACCUCUCUCUCAGAAAUUGAUCUUUCACACAACAUCUUACUGGCACCAUUUCUUUUGAGCUCACCAAGUUAAAUAUGACUAGUGACUCAAUGUAUCAUUUUAUAAACUUUAUGGGAAAGUGCUGUAGGAGAAUAGUUGUAGUCUUGUAUAAGCAUUAUCCGAACACCGAGACCUAAACAUUUUUAUAAUACCAAUAUUAAGAAAAGCAUUGUUAGAUAUAAAAAAAAUAUAAAUACUAAAUUACUAUUGGAAUUAUUGGGCUGCGUAUAGAGAGAAAUUUUUUAAGUAAAGGUAAUUUUUGGUAAUGUGUUAACUCAACUUGUAAAAAAUUAAUUCUGUUGUUUGCAUAAAUUUAUAAUGACGAUAUAUUAUUAUUAUUAAAAUAAUUUAAAUAAAUAAAAAAGAAAAAUCUAGAGAAAAAGUAAGUAAAACAUAAGAAAAAAAGAGCAAAACAUAAGUAAAACUUUUAUAAUAUUAACAAGAGAAAUACAUUAAGAUAGCACUAUUCUAGAUUUUUUUUCCAAAGUUAGCAUACACGCUCAAGUAUUCUAUAUCUAGCAUUUUUUAAGAAUAAGUAUAUAAUUUAAAUGAAAAUAUUAUUAUUUAAAAGAAAAAAAAUUCAAACUCAUGAUCUAUACCUAGAAAAUUACCUGAAGCGAUGCCCCAAGUGUGUCUCGUACGAACGGCGUAAACAGAGACACACUCACACAAUGACAUCUUCUAACCAAAGCCUCGUCGAAUCGAUCCGACAUCGAGGUGAAACCCCAAAGCUGACGUGCAUGCUUCCGACGGAGAUGAAGCGUUUAGAAGGAUGAAGAGAAAAAGAAGCGAUUUUCUGAAAAGUAAUAUUUGAUGGAGAUUUGCGUAUAUAAUUUUGUGCUAAUUUUAAAUUAUUUAAUAGUGUGUGCUAAUUUUGGACUAAAAACUUAAAUCUGUGCUAUUUGUGAGAAUUUCCCUAUUAACAAUCUGUAAAUGCUUUCUAUUGUUGCAUAUUUCUAUGGGAAAAAUGCCAUUAAAAUCCUGGAGAGUAAGAUUUCGUUGAUUUAAAUCAUGUACUCUCCAACUGUUAAUUUAAAUCACAAAAUUUUGGUUGACUCUCUCUUUAUUAUGAAACUUUGGUUGACUUUACCAAUUUAAGUACAUCGUUAAAUGGCCGGACAGAACAAUUAAAUGGGGUUAAUUCUCGUUAUCGAUAUCUGUCAAAUACAAAACGAAACCGUUUUAAACAUAAUCCAAAACGAAACCGUUUUAAACAUAAUCCAAAACAUUGAUAAUCUUUCGUAACCUUUCGUUAAAUAACAAUGAUAAUCCAAUAAUCUAAUUUAUCAAAAUAUCAAAAGACUUGUGGGGUUUCCAUUUAUGAAGUUUCAAAAUCAUUACAACGAUAUAAAUUAAAGGGGACCCGACACAAUUAUAAUGUGAUAAACUCUCUUAUCUUUUAUUGGCUUAUGGACUAGUUCUUUGAUUUUCUCAUCUCCUCCUACAUUAUCCUUUAAAUAGACAAGCAUGCAAGAUAACAUCUUAUCCAUCACUUGUCAGUAAGAGAGUUUUAAGCAAUUGAGCUAAUGGCUUCCAAGGCUUUGGUUCUGUUGAGUCUCUUUGCAAUUCUUCUCGUCGUAUCCGAAGUGGCCGCGGCAGCCGAAACACAGUCCGGUACUUAAAAUGAUUAUACAUAUUUCAAUCUAUUUAAUUUCGUUCUUUAAAAUGAGAAAUAUAUAACAAGAACUAACGUAACAUUUGAUGAUUCAUGCAUCCUACGAGGCUACGACUGUUUUUGGCUUGAGAAACUGUUAAUUUUAAAGCCACUAUAGUUAGAAAAAACUUAAGUACGAUUUAUAAUUUUUCUAUUUACCAGACCAGCUCGAGCUAUAUUUUGAACGUAUGUUUAGUGAAAAUCAUAUCGUGAAUACAUACUGAAUCAUAUAAAAAUCGUUUUUUUUUUUUUUGGAUUUUACUGAUGUCAAAAAAAUAAAUUUACAUAUUUGAAAUAAUGUGUUGUUACACAAUGAAGAUUGAUGAAACUGUGCAGCCUGAUCAAUAUCGAAGAGGAGGUUACUGCUAUCACGGCUGUUGCUUCAGAGGUUAUAAUGGCUUCUGCACAAGAUGUUGCUCGUACGCUGGAGAAGCUGUUCAGACUCAGCCUGAUCAGUGAAACAAUAUACUCUCUUCACCACCAUGUAUGAUUAAUGCAUUAUAUAUGUGUGAAAUCACUUUAAGUAAUCCAUGAUGUGUUUGUAAUUGUAUUGAAUGUGCCUCAAGUAUUUGAGGUAAGAUAGAUUAAGAAAAGUACUCUAGAAUAAAGUUUGAUGAUGUAAUUUUUUAUGUUUAUGUGUUUUGAGUUGUAAAAUAUAUAUUACAAAUAUAAUUGGUCUAAACUCGAUCGAUCUAACUAGAAAAAUGUUCUUUUUCAUUCAAUUUUAUAUUGGUUAAAAAAAAAUAUCGAACAACCAAAAUUAGCUACUAAUUCAUUUCUUAAAUAAAUGAACCAAAACACAUAAGAAAAAAAAUAUAAAAUUUAAUCACUUAAUAAAGGUCAAUUCUAAACAAUUUGUUUUCAUCUGAUUAUUUUGAUGUUGGAAGGCACGACGGUUGAGGUGGUGAUUGGAGCUCAAAGAUGGCUCCGUGUAAAAGAAGGUAUUGAACUGACUUGGUUUUAUUGAUUUCUCAACUUGAGUAUUUAUACAAGAGAAUGUUUUACUUUUACGGAUUGAUCCGUCAUAAUAUACAACAUGAGUGUCAAAAAAUUUAAAACAUUUUUUUUUACAAAAUUUUAUGUAUUUUAAUAUAAAUUAUAUUACAUUGAUAAAUAUUGCCCGCGCGCGGUUCCUAUCCUAGUACUAUUACUGUAAACAGUGAAUGAUGGCUUUAAGAAGUUUAUUAUCGAAAUAGCCAAAAUACUUGUGGGGUGUUGCCAUUUAUGGAGAUUCAAAAUUAUUUUACAAUGAAUCCAACAUCUAACAGUUAGGGGACCCGAUGUGAUUUACAAAUGAAUCCAUACUUAGACUUUUCUAGUGUAAUAAACUCAUUUGUUUCCUAAAAAUAGAAGCCAUGCAGGGUUACAUUUUAUAUCCAUCACUCUCUUUAAAAUACUAAGAGAGUUACAAGAAGAAGUUUGAAAACAAAAAUGGCUUCCAAGGCUUUGGUUCUGUUAGGUUUCUUUGCAGAUCAUAUAUAGAUUUCAGUCAAUUCAAUAUCUUCCUUUGGAGGUUAUUUAAGUUAAGAAAGAUGUGUUCAUAAUUUAAAUAUUCAAAUCGUUACAAGAACUAUAGUAUGAAAUUUAGAUACAUAAUUUUCAAAGUUUUCAAACGAAAAGCUAGAUUAAUCGUGUGGAGGAGGUCGAGGUUACUGCUAUCACGGAUGCUGCUACAGAGGAUACAAUGGCUGCAGAAGGUGUUGCUCGUACGCUGGAGAAGCUGUUCAGACUCAGCCUGGUCACUAAAACAAUACAACCUAUUCACCAAACGAUGCAUGAUUACAUUAUGUGUGUCUCACUUUAAGUAAAGCCAUGGUGCCUUUGUAAUGAAGUGCCUCAAGUCUUUGAGGCAUGAUGGAAUAAAAAGUAUAACCUGUGGGAAUAAAGUUUGAUAAUGUAAUGCUUAUGUGUUUUGAGUUGUAAUAUGUGCACGUUUUGUCACAAAAAGAAGAAGAUUGUGUGUACUGUAUGUUAAUCUCUUUCAGGUUUUUUUGUGUGGGUAAUAGUGUGAUAUGUACUUUGUUCCAGCAUUAUUCAUACACAUGAUACAUGCUGAAUUAAAGCAUAUAUAACCGGGUCAGAAUUAGGCAUGACCGCGUUACGAUUAUCUACGGUUUAUUAACCACCGGUUACGGUUAUAAAUUUUCUUUAACCAUAACCUUAACCUUUAUAUAUAGGGUCACAACGAUUACGGUUAUACACAAUUACCGUUAAAUCCGGUUACGGUUAAAUAUGGGUACGGUUAAUUGAUAAUUAUGAUAUAUAUAAUAUUAUAAGCAAAAUUUUAUAUUUUUUUACCAUAUCAAAUAAUUUUUAUUUACAAUAUGAAAUAUAUGUAAUUAUAUGAUUCAAAUAUUUAUAGUAUAUCAGUUAAAGAAAUUAUUUUUGUUUAAUCAAACACAACUACAAAUAUAUAAAUUAAUGGUUAUGAACCUACAACUAUUUAAAAUUAAAUUAUUUUUGAUUUGAUUAAUGGAAAUGAGAAGUGGAGUGGGUAAGAGUUACUAGUUUACACAUUUACUCAUUUAAAUUUUUUUUUUGAUGAAAUAAUUUUAUUAAAGGUUUAACCGUACGGUUAAUUAUAUGGUUAACCAAUGGUUUUCUACGGUUACGGUUGAUAACGGUUACGGUUAAUAUUUUUUUUAUAACCGUGAAUGAUUUAGUUUUUACGGUUAACGGUUAUAUUUUUUAACCGUUUUAUACGGUUACGGUUGAAAGUUAGAAAUACGGUUAAAGUUAGAUUUUGGUUAUACCUAGUAAGAAUACCUCUAAUAAAGCCUAUUAUUCAAAAUAGAAGUUUUACUCAUGUUAGUUUUAAUAGCCAAAAUUUCCGCUCAACAACCUUGUUCGUUUGCGAGUAAUGAAAUAAAACUAUUGGUGUAAGUUCCACCAUUCGUAGGAGUUUUUCCAUCUUGGAGUUAAUCAAAUAUUUGUUUCAUCCAUAUCUCUAUUAAUUUUUUCAGCCCAAAAGUUUGCUAUAAAUAAAACUACAAAAAUAAAUCAUUUCUCAAAGAAUGCUAAAACUUUUAUGGACUGCCUGUACUACUCUCCCUGAAAUAUAUCGUUUCAACUAGGUUCUUCCUAUACUUUCAGCCUCUGCCCAAUUUCACCUAUACGAUAUAUAUCUAUCAAAUUUCAUCCAAACUAUAUAAUUCUAUCCAAUUAACCAAAAUCAAUUAAAUUUUUCAAUAACGUUUUAUAAUUGAUAAUUAGAGUACACUAUACUGCGAUUUGAUUAAGUCUUACAUGAAUAUGAGAUCCCGUCUCUCUUUUUAACCGCAAAUGAACCCCCAUUUUAAGGUUUCAUCAAAAUCAAAUCAAUGGAAAAAAUAGAAAACAAAAUUAACGACUUUAAAAAGCGAAUUUUUGAUUUUAAAACGCAAUUGAGAAGCUAAAUGAUUUGGGUUAACCUUUUUUUAACCCCAAAUGAACCCCCACUUUUAGCUUUCAUGAAAAUCAAAUCAAUUUGAGAGAAAAUAGAAAACGCAAUUAUCAAUCUUAAAACACUAUUGAGAUUUUAAAAUGAUUUUGGUUGAUUGGAUAAAAUUAUAUAGUUUGGAUGUAAUUUGAUCGAAUAUAUAUCGUAUAGGUGGAAUUGGGCAGAGGCUGAAAAUAUAAAGGAAACCUAGUUGAAACGAUAUAUUACAGGAGGACUAGUACAUGCAUAUAUAAAAGUUUUGUUUUCUUUCUAAAUGCAUCUAUAUAUAUAAAAUUAACUUUUUCUCUAUUCUCCUUAUGCCACAUCAUCUUCCACAUCAGCUGCCACAUCAUCAUUUAUCUUAAUUUUUUUACAUUGAUUUAGAAUUACAACACUUUAGUUUUUAAUUUAUAGUCUACCUCAUAACUUAGCUUUUAUUUAAUUUUUAUAUUCAAUAGUGGUUUUAAGAAAAUAAAUAAUAUAGUAAAAACAUUUAUGUCCAAAAUAAAUAAAACAAGUAUCUAUUUAUAAAGUAAUGAUCAAUUUUUUAUUAAUGGGGCUAAAUACAAAACAAGGAUAUUUAUACUAUACAGAUAGAUAUACCACUAAAUUGAUGUCAUCCGAAGCCACAUCAAACGAGAACGCAAUCAAUUUUAGGCAUAAGAAGUAGAAAAAAAACUAAAAAGUAAAAUGAAAACACUUGGAUAAAUAAAUAAGUGGAUUCACCAGAAUAAUUUGGUUUACAAGAACUGAAGGCUUUUGAAAUGUAAGGUUCUAACAUCUAUUAUUUGACCUAAAUCAAAGUUAAACAAAUAACAAUAAAAAUUUCAUAUACUAAAUUAAUACAAAAACAAGAGUAAAAACAAAAAAUAAACAAAAAACAAAAAAAAAUUCAAAAUAUAAAAAAACAAUUAUAAAACUCCUGCGUGCAGCGCGGAUCAGCAACUAGUUGCAAAUAAAGCUUAAUUUUAUGAUACCUGAUUUGGUAACCUCUUUGGUUGAUUCUCUAUUAAUAUUUUCCGAUCUCUUGUACUGCAUAUUUUAAAAAGUAAUCUGAAAAUCAGUUAUUAUUCAUCCAUUACUGCUUGUGAGUCCUCCACUCCUCCGAAGAGUCAUCGGUAUAUAUAAACAUAGAAUUCUAUUUCUCACCCUUUUUCUGUAGAAGCAUGAAAACUUUUAACCAAAAAUUUCUAAUUUUUUUUUUCAGAUAUAACUCAAACAUCUUCUCUCUCUCUCUUCACAAAGAGAGUCAUUUUAGAGAAAAAAAAUUGUUUCACAAAAAAUGUCAUUCUACAUUUCCAAUGUAGAUUGUACAUUAAAUUUCCAAAUUUACCUAUAAACCAAAAGUUCAUUUUAUUAAUGUAAAAUUAUUAAUCAUUUAUUAAGUAAGGAUAAAUAUGUAUAGUUCAAAGUUUUCUAAAUUUGUGUGAAAAGCGUCAAAACAGAUGAAAUAUUAUUUUUUUCUAGAUUCUUGUGUGAUUACUCCUGCAAAACAUGAAGUCACCAUAUAAUUAGAUUCAUCCAAAGCCAACUUAAGAGAGAUGAUAUUCGUCUGGCCCUAGAGAGCAUCAUUUUUUCUUCACACAUUUUUAAUGGAAUAAUUGGAGAAAUAGACAGUUUUUGAAACAUAAUUGUAGAAAUAGUACAAUUACUAUUUACAAUUAGCAAAAUCCACAUUUUUACUAUGCUAUUUUAUUUCUUUGCCUUGUCAAUACUCAUCAAAACGUCUUAUUUACAACAAUGCCAUUAAUAUAUAAUUAAAUUAUAUUUUUCUUUCCUCUCAGAUUUUUAAUUAAUAUUUAUUUUUUUUUUCUUUUUUCUUUUUUAUUACAUUCUCCUUUCAAUCUAAAAACUAAAAUACUAGUCAAUGAAAAUUUUUAUUUUUACAAGUUUCAAAUAUAUAAAAAUCUAUGUUUUUUUCUCUAUUAUAUGAUAUGCAUUUUGUUUGAAGAUUUUAUUUGAUAAUAACAAAUAAUUUUUAUUAAUUUUAGAUAUGUACAAUUUACUAAGUGUACAGAUCUAAUCCGUACAACUUAAAACGUGUACAUAUGUACAUAUGUACAACUUAAUAAGUGUACAAAUAUUAGUAUACAAGUCGUAAACGAUUGUACACGUAUUUGUACAAUAGGAUAUAUGUACAAAUACAAUUGUACAGAUCAAACUGUAUAUUUAUUAUAUGUACAGAAAAAUGUAUGUAUAAAAACUAUAUACAAUGAUAUAUGUACAUAUAUAAUUGUAUGUAUAUUGACUAUUAUAUUGUAUUGUACACGUAUUUGUACAAUAUAAUAUAUAUGUACAAAUACAAUUGUACAGAUCAAACUGUACACAUAUUAUAUGUACAAAUGAAUUGUACAUUGUACAGAUGUCUUUUGUACAUCUACCCUUUUGUAAUUUACCACCACUACACUAUACCCCACUUUCUCAUCUAUCUCACACAUUCUGUAUCUCACAUAGUGGACCCAUUAUCUAUUUAUCCAAUUUUGAAUAGUAAAUGUACUAUAUCACAAAUUAAGUUUUGAAAAUGUACUAUAAUGCUAAUUUUCCCCAUUUUUAAUUUGCUUGUUUGAUUCAAAACUGAUUCAAUUGCCUUUUAAAGACCAUCUUUUCCGGUUAUCUCUUGUCAAAUAAGAUUAAUGUUUUCUUUUAUAUAUUUUCCUCACAUACAUUGAACAACUCUCUAAAAUCAGUCUAUAUGAUCAUGCCCAAUCUUUUGGAGGUAAAUCCAUUUUAGAAAAUGCUAACCGGCUUUUUCAUGUUUUCCUAAAAGGCAAUAAGCUCAUUGAAGUCUCCAAUCAUUAUUAUGUGAAACUUUACUACAUGAUUACUCGUUAUGUUUGGGUUUAUUCGGUUGUUUUUAGGGUUUAGUAUUUACUAUAAUGUAUGUCUUUUAGCAAAUUGUUUUUUGAAAAAUAGACAUUUUUAAAAGUUCAAAAAUAGGAAAUCUAUAAAAAUUUAACAAAUAUGGCAUAUUCGUAAAAUUUGUCAUAAAAAUGGUAUUUUCAGUAAGAACCCCCUUUAAAAAUCGCCACUAAACAAUAGCUCUUUGCGUCUGGAGCUUAUAAUAAAUAAAAAUUAAUCAAAAGAUUUCAACAUAUACGUGACUUUUAGACGAUUAACUCUUGAAUUUGAGAGGAUUUUGUUACCGUUUAAACUUUAAAGUCUGUCUCUGUCCAAACUUGCUGCAAAAAUAUUUUGUUACCCUUGUCCCUUCUAUAUGCUCCACUUAUUGAGUAUCAGUGUAUAUUUUCUGCCCAAGUAAAAAUAACAAUGCUAAUCCAAUAAUGAAGUUCUUGUGUUUAUCUCUACAUGUGUGAACACUGGCUUUAUAAGUUUAUCGAAAUAUCCAAAAGACUAGUGGGGUGUUACCAUUUAUGGUGUUUCAAAAUUAUUUUACAAUGAAUCCAACAUCCAACCAUAAGGGGUCCCGACUUAAUUAACUAAGAAGGCAUACAUACUUAGACUUUUCUACUGUGAUAAACUCCUUUGUUUUUUUUUAUUGGCUUAUGGAUUAGUUUAUUUGACUUUUCUCAUUCCCUCCUUUUCGCUUCCUAUAAAUAGAAGCCAUGCAGGGUAACAUUUUAUAUCCAUCACACGUUUUAACAUACUAAGAGAGUUACAAGAAGAACUUGAAACAAAAAUGGCUUCCAAGGCUUUGAUUCUGUUAGGUUUCUUCGCAGUUCUUUUCGUCGUCUCGGAAGUGGCUGCGGCAGCUGAGGCACAGUCCGGUACGUAAUAUGAUUAUAUAUAGAUUUCAUUCUAUUUAAUACCUUCCUUUGGAGGUUAUUCAUGAAGCUAACGUAACAUGUGAUGGUUCAUCCUAUAAUCUUGUCCUUUCGAAGUUUAUUUGGAGUCUCUCUAUAGCCAAAACACUUAAUACGAUUUUUACUCACUAAAUUUAUCAUACUAUCUCAAACUGUAUAUUAAAUUAUCUAAAUCGUAACAAAAACUUGUUAAGGAAUGCACAAUAUGCACGAGCUAAAUUGAAAUGAUAUGUUGUUUUGGACAGGCAAGGUUAAGAGCGAGGAAGCAGCUGUGAAACCUGAUCAAUAUAAUGGUGGAGGUUACAACAAUGGAGGAGGCUACAACAACGGAGGAGGCUACAACAAUGGAGGAGGAGGCUACAACAACGGAGGAGGAGGUUACAACAACGGAGGAGGAGGAUACAAUAACGGAGGAGGAGGCUACAACAGAGGAGGAGGCUACAACAGAGGAGGAGGAUACAACCGCGGAGGAGGUGGAGGUUAUUGCGGCCAUGGAUGCUGCUUCAGAGGAUACAAUGGCUGCAGAAGGUGUUGCUCGUACGCUGGAGAAGCUGUUCAGACUCAGCCUGGUCACUAAAACAAUACAACGAUGCAUGAUUAAUGCAUUAUGUGUGUAUCACGUUAAGUAAAAACCAUGGUGCCUUUGUAAUGAAGUGUCUCAAGUGUUUGAGGCAACAUAGAUAAAAAAAAAACUAUGGGAAUAAAGUUUGAUAAUGUAAAAUGCUUAUGUGUUUUGAGUUGUAUUAUGUGAUGUUUCUUAAUAAAAAUGGUUUUGUAUACUUUUAUGUUAAUCUCUUUCAGUAUUGUGUGACAGAGUUUUAUGAAACUUUCACCAAUACUAAUUUCCUACGAGAUAUUUCCUACCAAAAUUUUCUGAAAACGGUGAGAAACAGGUGUUUACUACCAUUUUUCUAUAAUAUAAUAUGUUCCGUUGGAAAUCAGACAUUUUCUUAUAGUAAUUACUAGUUAUCAAGUUGGAGGGUACUACGAUUAUGAAUCAAUAAUAAAUAGUACAUGUAAAUUUUAUUUGGCCAAACAAUUAGUUUUCAUAAAUGAUAAGACUAUACUAUGAGUAUGAGGUUUCAUGUAACUAGUCGUCCACUUGGCACUCGGCUCGCCGCAAACCCUACCAACGACGAGUAAUUACAUAUUUGUACUAUCGAUUGGAUAUUUCGAUAUGGACUUUUCAAAGAUAAAAAUAUCUAUGGAUGCACAAAACAUCUUAGUUAUUCAAAAAAUUAAAAAAAAAACAAAAAAGAUAAAAAUAUGUAUAUUUGGUAUUCUUAUUAUAAAAUAAUUUAGUAAUUUGAUUACCUAGUAAUGCUACGUAGAAAGAAUCUUGUGAUUUCAUAAGAAAAAUUAGUGAUUAACUCAAAAUAGAUUUAGCAUAGUUAUAUAAGGUUUAGCGAUAUCUAUGAGAAAAGGUGAAAACCAAUCCGACUCCAUAAUUGAGCUGCAUAAUGGUGCACUAGUAUAAUCAAAUUAGAAUUAUAUAACUAAAAUGCUUAGUCGAAUUGAUAUUAAACAUAUAUAGUUUGAUAAUAAUCAUUAGUUACAUGAUCACAUGGAUGCAAACAUGAAUGUAUGUACGUAAGAGAUCCUUAAAAAGUUAUAGCUAGAGUUAUGUCAUUUUCUAAGACCACGUUUGCGUUUACGAUCAAGAUCACGUCAAUGUCAAAUGACUACGUUCAGGCAAUCACACUUAUCAAAUUAACGUCAUAUUCAUUCCAGAAAACGUUGUUGAGCAUCUUAGAAGUGAUGAAUUAUUAUCUUUAUCAAUGGAUUUUUUAGUGUUUUUGACCUUGAAAAAGAAGAAUUGUUUUGGUUUAAAAAUCUUUAGGUGUUUAACACAUAUUUGGAUAAAUUUCAACAUUUUAGUGGUAUUUUUGAUAAAGUUUGAUGGAGUAUUUUUGAAAUUAUUCCUUCUAUUAAUUCAAGUAAUUAUUAUUUUCGAUUUGGAAAUUACAUAUAAUCGAAUAAUCAUAUCAUACAAAAAAUGCUUAGUAAAACGGUAAGUGAAAAUUUGUCUAAGUGUUUGGCUCGGAUGUGUAUAGCCGAUAGUUAAUCUUGUAAAAAACUUGGGUUAAGUAUCAAAUAUCGUUGGAUGACAAAAAAAAAAAUCAAAUAUAGUCUUGAGCCUUAUAUAUACUGCCACUAGAUAAGACUCAUCAUAACCAAAUCUGCACAAAUUAUAUUUUUCCUCUGAAAUUCUUUAUAAAAUUUGAUUAUUUCUUUUACUCUAUCCAAUUUAGUCAAAUGUGAAAAUACACUUUAAAUAUAGAAUAUUAUUAAAUAAAAUCAAAAAUUAAUUUCUUCAAACUAAUAAUAUUUUUAAAAACAUAUAUUUUAUUUUAUCGGUGAUUUUUCAGAGUUGCAUGCAGUAUAGUCCAAUAAUAGAGUUCUAGAUAUUACUAUUAUUUUUGUGCGAACGGAUCUGAUAGACAUCUAUAUGUGUGUGUGAAUACGCUUUGUUUAAGAAGUUGAUAGAGGUACAAUAUACUAAAAGAGUAAAAAGACUAGUGGUGUUGUCAUUUAUGAAGUUGCAAUUUUAUUUACUGUGAAUCCAACAACCAACCAUACUAGACGUGUACACACACUUUGAUACUUAUCUCCUUACCACUUUGUAUUUAUUUAUUGGACUACUGAUUUGUUUAUUUGACUCUCUUCCUAUAAAUAGAGAGCAUAGUGAGUAACAUUUUAUCCAUCAUCAUCACUUCAUUCACUUGUGCUUUGCAUCAUAUAUAAAAAGAGUGUUAUAAAGAGUUAACGAAGAUGGUUUCUAAGGCUUUAGUUGUGUUUGGUCUAUUCGCAGUUCUUCUUGUUGUCUCAGAAGUUGCUGCCGCUGCCUCCGGUACGUAAAGUUUAAUAUGAUGUUGUAUCCUUAAUUAUUACAUGUAACACAAACUAUGUUUUACGUUUUACAUGUUACAAAUAUUUUACUAGAAGCUUGAUCGAGAUCACAUAUUUGUAUAUUCAUUUUUUAAACUACUAAUAUCUUUGAAACAAUGUAUUAUUUUGGACAUGGUGGUGCAGUGAAGUCAGAGACUGAGGAAACCGUGCAGCCUGAUCAGUAUCAUGGUGGAGGAGGACACAACGGAGGUGGAUAUAAUGGAGGAGGAGGAUACAAUGGAGGAGGUCACAACGGAGGAGGAUACAAUGGAGGAGGUCACAAUGGAGGAGGAUACAAUGGAGGAGGUCAUGGGGGACGAGGAGGUGGUUACUGCCGUCACGGUUGCUGCUACAGAGGUUAUAAUAGCUGCAGAAGGUGUUGUUCAUAUGCCGGAGAAGCUGUUCAGACUCAGCCUGGUCACUAAAGCAAUAUAAUAAGCUGACCACCAUGCAUGAUUGCAUCUAGAUAUAUACACACUUGUGUGUGUAUGACUAUAGUGUAUAAACCAUGGUGCGUUUGUAAUGAAGUGCUUAAAGAAUAGUAAUGGGAAUAAAAGUUUCAUAAUGUAAUGUCUUUGUUUUUGAGUUGUAAUAUCUAAUCUUUGAUGUUUGCAUAAUAAAAUAUCGUUUCUAGUUUCUACUAUUAUCUUUCGGUUUUGUGUAAUAGUGUUAUUUCUUUAUUCAUACUCUUAAUUAGGAUUUAGGGUCGAAGAAAAACAUAAAGCUGAGACUAUAUCGAGGUUUUAUUUGCACACAUAAGCAUUUCGAAAAAGAUAAAAAGUUAUAUUUUAAUAUGAUUGUUUUGUAUUUUUUUUAUACAACAUAUAAAAUUGCAAAAUUUGACGAAAUUACCAUAAUUGCAAAAUUUAAAGGUUUAUUUGCUCAAAACCCAUAACUAAACAUAUCAAAUAACCAUAAAUAUUAGUUAAUGUAGUAUAUUCAAAUUAUAAGUUAGUACAUCUAUACACAUGUUUCAUUGUUAUGUGUAAAAUACCCUUAAAAACUUGGUUCAUGGCGGAAUUGUCUGUUUUUCCACUUUAUUGACGAUCAAAUAGAGAAAUAUCUUGUGGUGCGAAAUAUUCACAACUAUCGUUGGAAAUUCGUUGGAAAAUUAUGAAAAUUUUGUUUGUAGAAAUAUUGGAAUUUUAAUAUUAGUAUAGCACUUAAAAGAGUUUCAUAAAGAUAUGUGUAAGGACACCAAACAGAGAUUAUUAAUUUUAUUUUACUAAAAUGAAAUAUGUACACGAACGUUUAAAACUUUUUAACAACAUGAGAUUUCAAUAUAGUUACUCUUAUUAUGUCACAAUACAAAACUGCAUGGUAACCUGAUGAGAUCUCCAAAUUCAUUAAAACUGUCUAGCUAGUACAUGCCAUGUACUUGUAUUUGAAUUGAUUUCACGAGAGAUCCAUACCAAAACCUUUUAUCUACACAUGUUCCUGUUCCCUUCUGCUAACCUUGUCGUUUCGAUCAUCGUAUAAUUGCAAUAGCCCAUCACUAUUGGUAGGUCUCAGACAAUAUUUUUCCAAACAUUCAAUGCACAUGAAAAAAAUAUAAAAACAAAGACCAUAGUUUCACUACAUGAAAACAAAAGUCAAUAUUGUACUGAGUCACGAGAGACAUUUUUAAGUUACGAUAACAGCUGUAGCUAUAGUUUUACUAUAAAUUGUCUAUUCGAUCCCAACUGUUUUAAUGUUUUGAUCAAUAAAGAAAUUAAAAGUAUAUUAAAGAAAAGUAAAAUACAAUUUUGUUUUUUACUUUGUGUGAAAAAACUUUAAACGACAAGUAAUUUGAAACGAAGAUAGUAUAAUUUUUUAGCGAAUAAUUUNNNNNNNNNNNNNNNNNNNNNNNNNNNNNNNNNNNNNNNNNNNNNNNNNNNNNNNNNNNNNNNNNNNNNNNNNNNNNNNNNNNNNNNNNNNNNNNNNNNNNNNNNNNNNNNNNNNNNNNNNNNNNNNNNNNNNNNNNNNNNNNNNNNNNNNNNNNNNNNNNNNNNNNNNNNNNNNNNNNNNNNNNNNNNNNNNNNNNNNNNNNNNNNNNNNNNNNNNNNNNNNNNNNNNNNNNNNNNNNNNNNNNNNNNNNNNNNNNNNNNNNNNNNNNNNNNNNNNNNNNNNNNNNNNNNNNNNNNNNNNNNNNNNNNNNNNNNNNNNNNNNNNNNNNNNNNNNNNNNNNNNNNNNNNNNNNNNNNNNNNNNNNNNNNNNNNNNNNNNNNNNNNNNNNNNNNNNNNNNNNNNNNNNNNNNNNNNNNNNNNNNNNNNNNNNNNNNNNNNNNNNNNNNNNNNNNNNNNNNNNNNNNNNNNNNNNNNNNNNNNNNNNNNNNNNNNNNNNNNNNNNNNNNNNNNNNNNNNNNNNNNNNNNNNNNNNNNNNNNNNNNNNNNNNNNNNNNNNNNNNNNNNNNNNNNNNNNNNNNNNNNNNNNNNNNNNNNNNNNNNNNNNNNNNNNNNNNNNNNNNNNNNNNNNNNNNNNNNNNNNNNNNNNNNNNNNNNNNNNNNNNNNNNNNNNNNNNNNNNNNNNNNNNNNNNNNNNNNNNNNNNNNNNNNNNNNNNNNNNNNNNNNNNNNNNNNNNNNNNNNNNNNNNNNNNNNNNNNNNNNNNNNNNNNNNNNNNNNNNNNNNNNNNNNNNNNNNNNNNNNNNNNNNNNNNNNNNNNNNNNNNNNNNNNNNNNNNNNNNNNNNNNNNNNNNNNNNNNNNNNNNNNNNNNNNNNNNNNNNNNNNNNNNNNNNNNNNNNNNNNNNNNNNNNNNNNNNNNNNNNNNNNNNNNNNNNNNNNNNNNNNNNNNNNNNNNNNNNNNNNNNNNNNNNNNNNNNNNNNNNNNNNNNNNNNNNNNNNNNNNNNNNNNNNNNNNNNNNNNNNNNNNNNNNNNNNNNNNNNNNNNNNNNNNNNNNNNNNNNNNNNNNNNNNNNNNNNNNNNNNNNNNNNNNNNNNNNNNNNNNNNNNNNNNNNNNNNNNNNNNNNNNNNNNNNNNNNNNNNNNNNNNNNNNNNNNNNNNNNNNNNNNNNNNNNNNNNNNNNNNNNNNNNNNNNNNNNNNNNNNNNNNNNNNNNNNNNNNNNNNNNNNNNNNNNNNNNNNNNNNNNNNNNNNNNNNNNNNNNNNNNNNNNNNNNNNNNNNNNNNNNNNNNNNNNNNNNNNNNNNNNNNNNNNNNNNNNNNNNNNNNNNNNNNNNNNNNNNNNNNNNNNNNNNNNNNNNNNNNNNNNNNNNNNNNNNNNNNNNNNNNNNNNNNNNNNNNNNNNNNNNNNNNNNNNNNNNNNNNNNNNNNNNNNNNNNNNNNNNNNNNNNNNNNNNNNNNNNNNNNNNNNNNNNNNNNNNNNNNNNNNNNNNNNNNNNNNNNNNNNNNNNNNNNNNNNNNNNNNNNNNNNNNNNNNNNNNNNNNNNNNNNNNNNNNNNNNNNNNNNNNNNNNNNNNNNNNNNNNNNNNNNNNNNNNNNNNNNNNNNNNNNNNNNNNNNNNNNNNNNNNNNNNNNNNNNNNNNNNNNNNNNNNNNNNNNNNNNNNNNNNNNNNNNNNNNNNNNNNNNNNNNNNNNNNNNNNNNNNNNNNNNNNNNNNNNNNNNNNNNNNNNNNNNNNNNNNNNNNNNNNNNNNNNNNNNNNNNNNNNNNNNNNNNNNNNNNNNNNNNNNNNNNNNNNNNNNNNNNNNNNNNNNNNNNNNNNNNNNNNNNNNNNNNNNNNNNNNNNNNNNNNNNNNNNNNNNNNNNNNNNNNNNNNNNNNNNNNNNNNNNNNNNNNNNNNNNNNNNNNNNNNNNNNNNNNNNNNNNNNNNNNNNNNNNNNNNNNNNNNNNNNNNNNNNNNNNNNNNNNNNNNNNNNNNNNNNNNNNNNNNNNNNNNNNNNNNNNNNNNNNNNNNNNNNNNNNNNNNNNNNNNNNNNNNNNNNNNNNNNNNNNNNNNNNNNNNNNNNNNNNNNNNNNNNNNNNNNNNNNNNNNNNNNNNNNNNNNNNNNNNNNNNNNNNNNNNNNNNNNNNNNNNNNNNNNNNNNNNNNNNNNNNNNNNNNNNNNNNNNNNNNNNNNNNNNNNNNNNNNNNNNNNNNNNNNNNNNNNNNNNNNNNNNNNNNNNNNNNNNNNNNNNNNNNNNNNNNNNNNNNNNNNNNNNNNNNNNNNNNNNNNNNNNNNNNNNNNNNNNNNNNNNNNNNNNNNNNNNNNNNNNNNNNNNNNNNNNNNNNNNNNNNNNNNNNNNNNNNNNNNNNNNNNNNNNNNNNNNNNNNNNNNNNNNNNNNNNNNNNNNNNNNNNNNNNNNNNNNNNNNNNNNNNNNNNNNNNNNNNNNNNNNNNNNNNNNNNNNNNNNNNNNNNNNNNNNNNNNNNNNNNNNNNNNNNNNNNNNNNNNNNNNNNNNNNNNNNNNNNNNNNNNNNNNNNNNNNNNNNNNNNNNNNNNNNNNNNNNNNNNNNNNNNNNNNNNNNNNNNNNNNNNNNNNNNNNNNNNNNNNNNNNNNNNNNNNNNNNNNNNNNNNNNNNNNNNNNNNNNNNNNNNNNNNNNNNNNNNNNNNNNNNNNNNNNNNNNNNNNNNNNNNNNNNNNNNNNNNNNNNNNNNNNNNNNNNNNNNNNNNNNNNNNNNNNNNNNNNNNNNNNNNNNNNNNNNNNNNNNNNNNNNNNNNNNNNNNNNNNNNNNNNNNNNNNNNNNNNNNNNNNNNNNNNNNNNNNNNNNNNNNNNNNNNNNNNNNNNNNNNNNNNNNNNNNNNNNNNNNNNNNNNNNNNNNNNNNNNNNNNNNNNNNNNNNNNNNNNNNNNNNNNNNNNNNNNNNNNNNNNNNNNNNNNNNNNNNNNNNNNNNNNNNNNNNNNNNNNNNNNNNNNNNNNNNNNNNNNNNNNNNNNNNNNNNNNNNNNNNNNNNNNNNNNNNNNNNNNNNNNNNNNNNNNNNNNNNNNNNNNNNNNNNNNNNNNNNNNNNNNNNNNNNNNNNNNNNNNNNNNNNNNNNNNNNNNNNNNNNNNNNNNNNNNNNNNNNNNNNNNNNNNNNNNNNNNNNNNNNNNNNNNNNNNNNNNNNNNNNNNNNNNNNNNNNNNNNNNNNNNNNNNNNNNNNNNNNNNNNNNNNNNNNNNNNNNNNNNNNNNNNNNNNNNNNNNNNNNNNNNNNNNNNNNNNNNNNNNNNNNNNNNNNNNNNNNNNNNNNNNNNNNNNNNNNNNNNNNNNNNNNNNNNNNNNNNNNNNNNNNNNNNNNNNNNNNNNNNNNNNNNNNNNNNNNNNNNNNNNNNNNNNNNNNNNNNNNNNNNNNNNNNNNNNNNNNNNNNNNNNNNNNNNNNNNNNNNNNNNNNNNNNNNNNNNNNNNNNNNNNNNNNNNNNNNNNNNNNNNNNNNNNNNNNNNNNNNNNNNNNNNNNNNNNNNNNNNNNNNNNNNNNNNNNNNNNNNNNNNNNNNNNNNNNNNNNNNNNNNNNNNNNNNNNNNNNNNNNNNNNNNNNNNNNNNNNNNNNNNNNNNNNNNNNNNNNNNNNNNNNNNNNNNNNNNNNNNNNNNNNNNNNNNNNNNNNNNNNNNNNNNNNNNNNNNNNNNNNNNNNNNNNNNNNNNNNNNNNNNNNNNNNNNNNNNNNNNNNNNNNNNNNNNNNNNNNNNNNNNNNNNNNNNNNNNNNNNNNNNNNNNNNNNNNNNNNNNNNNNNNNNNNNNNNNNNNNNNNNNNNNNNNNNNNNNNNNNNNNNNNNNNNNNNNNNNNNNNNNNNNNNNNNNNNNNNNNNNNNNNNNNNNNNNNNNNNNNNNNNNNNNNNNNNNNNNNNNNNNNNNNNNNNNNNNNNNNNNNNNNNNNNNNNNNNNNNNNNNNNNNNNNNNNNNNNNNNNNNNNNNNNNNNNNNNNNNNNNNNNNNNNNNNNNNNNNNNNNNNNNNNNNNNNNNNNNNNNNNNNNNNNNNNNNNNNNNNNNNNNNNNNNNNNNNNNNNNNNNNNNNNNNNNNNNNNNNNNNNNNNNNNNNNNNNNNNNNNNNNNNNNNNNNNNNNNNNNNNNNNNNNNNNNNNNNNNNNNNNNNNNNNNNNNNNNNNNNNNNNNNNNNNNNNNNNNNNNNNNNNNNNNNNNNNNNNNNNNNNNNNNNNNNNNNNNNNNNNNNNNNNNNNNNNNNNNNNNNNNNNNNNNNNNNNNNNNNNNNNNNNNNNNNNNNNNNNNNNNNNNNNNNNNNNNNNNNNNNNNNNNNNNNNNNNNNNNNNNNNNNNNNNNNNNNNNNNNNNNNNNNNNNNNNNNNNNNNNNNNNNNNNNNNNNNNNNNNNNNNNNNNNNNNNNNNNNNNNNNNNNNNNNNNNNNNNNNNNNNNNNNNNNNNNNNNNNNNNNNNNNNNNNNNNNNNNNNNNNNNNNNNNNNNNNNNNNNNNNNNNNNNNNNNNNNNNNNNNNNNNNNNNNNNNNNNNNNNNNNNNNNNNNNNNNNNNNNNNNNNNNNNNNNNNNNNNNNNNNNNNNNNNNNNNNNNNNNNNNNNNNNNNNNNNNNNNNNNNNNNNNNNNNNNNNNNNNNNNNNNNNNNNNNNNNNNNNNNNNNNNNNNNNNNNNNNNNNNNNNNNNNNNNNNNNNNNNNNNNNNNNNNNNNNNNNNNNNNNNNNNNNNNNNNNNNNNNNNNNNNNNNNNNNNNNNNNNNNNNNNNNNNNNNNNNNNNNNNNNNNNNNNNNNNNNNNNNNNNNNNNNNNNNNNNNNNNNNNNNNNNNNNNNNNNNNNNNNNNNNNNNNNNNNNNNNNNNNNNNNNNNNNNNNNNNNNNNNNNNNNNNNNNNNNNNNNNNNNNNNNNNNNNNNNNNNNNNNNNNNNNNNNNNNNNNNNNNNNNNNNNNNNNNNNNNNNNNNNNNNNNNNNNNNNNNNNNNNNNNNNNNNNNNNNNNNNNNNNNNNNNNNNNNNNNNNNNNNNNNNNNNNNNNNNNNNNNNNNNNNNNNNNNNNNNNNNNNNNNNNNNNNNNNNNNNNNNNNNNNNNNNNNNNNNNNNNNNNNNNNNNNNNNNNNNNNNNNNNNNNNNNNNNNNNNNNNNNNNNNNNNNNNNNNNNNNNNNNNNNNNNNNNNNNNNNNNNNNNNNNNNNNNNNNNNNNNNNNNNNNNNNNNNNNNNNNNNNNNNNNNNNNNNNNNNNNNNNNNNNNNNNNNNNNNNNNNNNNNNNNNNNNNNNNNNNNNNNNNNNNNNNNNNNNNNNNNNNNNNNNNNNNNNNNNNNNNNNNNNNNNNNNNNNNNNNNNNNNNNNNNNNNNNNNNNNNNNNNNNNNNNNNNNNNNNNNNNNNNNNNNNNNNNNNNNNNNNNNNNNNNNNNNNNNNNNNNNNNNNNNNNNNNNNNNNNNNNNNNNNNNNNNNNNNNNNNNNNNNNNNNNNNNNNNNNNNNNNNNNNNNNNNNNNNNNNNNNNNNNNNNNNNNNNNNNNNNNNNNNNNNNNNNNNNNNNNNNNNNNNNNNNNNNNNNNNNNNNNNNNNNNNNNNNNNNNNNNNNNNNNNNNNNNNNNNNNNNNNNNNNNNNNNNNNNNNNNNNNNNNNNNNNNNNNNNNNNNNNNNNNNNNNNNNNNNNNNNNNNNNNNNNNNNNNNNNNNNNNNNNNNNNNNNNNNNNNNNNNNNNNNNNNNNNNNNNNNNNNNNNNNNNNNNNNNNNNNNNNNNNNNNNNNNNNNNNNNNNNNNNNNNNNNNNNNNNNNNNNNNNNNNNNNNNNNNNNNNNNNNNNNNNNNNNNNNNNNNNNNNNNNNNNNNNNNNNNNNNNNNNNNNNNNNNNNNNNNNNNNNNNNNNNNNNNNNNNNNNNNNNNNNNNNNNNNNNNNNNNNNNNNNNNNNNNNNNNNNNNNNNNNNNNNNNNNNNNNNNNNNNNNNNNNNNNNNNNNNNNNNNNNNNNNNNNNNNNNNNNNNNNNNNNNNNNNNNNNNNNNNNNNNNNNNNNNNNNNNNNNNNNNNNNNNNNNNNNNNNNNNNNNNNNNNNNNNNNNNNNNNNNNNNNNNNNNNNNNNNNNNNNNNNNNNNNNNNNNNNNNNNNNNNNNNNNNNNNNNNNNNNNNNNNNNNNNNNNNNNNNNNNNNNNNNNNNNNNNNNNNNNNNNNNNNNNNNNNNNNNNNNNNNNNNNNNNNNNNNNNNNNNNNNNNNNNNNNNNNNNNNNNNNNNNNNNNNNNNNNNNNNNNNNNNNNNNNNNNNNNNNNNNNNNNNNNNNNNNNNNNNNNNNNNNNNNNNNNNNNNNNNNNNNNNNNNNNNNNNNNNNNNNNNNNNNNNNNNNNNNNNNNNNNNNNNNNNNNNNNNNNNNNNNNNNNNNNNNNNNNNNNNNNNNNNNNNNNNNNNNNNNNNNNNNNNNNNNNNNNNNNNNNNNNNNNNNNNNNNNNNNNNNNNNNNNNNNNNNNNNNNNNNNNNNNNNNNNNNNNNNNNNNNNNNNNNNNNNNNNNNNNNNNNNNNNNNNNNNNNNNNNNNNNNNNNNNNNNNNNNNNNNNNNNNNNNNNNNNNNNNNNNNNNNNNNNNNNNNNNNNNNNNNNNNNNNNNNNNNNNNNNNNNNNNNNNNNNNNNNNNNNNNNNNNNNNNNNNNNNNNNNNNNNNNNNNNNNNNNNNNNNNNNNNNNNNNNNNNNNNNNNNNNNNNNNNNNNNNNNNNNNNNNNNNNNNNNNNNNNNNNNNNNNNNNNNNNNNNNNNNNNNNNNNNNNNNNNNNNNNNNNNNNNNNNNNNNNNNNNNNNNNNNNNNNNNNNNNNNNNNNNNNNNNNNNNNNNNNNNNNNNNNNNNNNNNNNNNNNNNNNNNNNNNNNNNNNNNNNNNNNNNNNNNNNNNNNNNNNNNNNNNNNNNNNNNNNNNNNNNNNNNNNNNNNNNNNNNNNNNNNNNNNNNNNNNNNNNNNNNNNNNNNNNNNNNNNNNNNNNNNNNNNNNNNNNNNNNNNNNNNNNNNNNNNNNNNNNNNNNNNNNNNNNNNNNNNNNNNNNNNNNNNNNNNNNNNNNNNNNNNNNNNNNNNNNNNNNNNNNNNNNNNNNNNNNNNNNNNNNNNNNNNNNNNNNNNNNNNNNNNNNNNNNNNNNNNNNNNNNNNNNNNNNNNNNNNNNNNNNNNNNNNNNNNNNNNNNNNNNNNNNNNNNNNNNNNNNNNNNNNNNNNNNNNNNNNNNNNNNNNNNNNNNNNNNNNNNNNNNNNNNNNNNNNNNNNNNNNNNNNNNNNNNNNNNNNNNNNNNNNNNNNNNNNNNNNNNNNNNNNNNNNNNNNNNNNNNNNNNNNNNNNNNNNNNNNNNNNNNNNNNNNNNNNNNNNNNNNNNNNNNNNNNNNNNNNNNNNNNNNNNNNNNNNNNNNNNNNNNNNNNNNNNNNNNNNNNNNNNNNNNNNNNNNNNNNNNNNNNNNNNNNNNNNNNNNNNNNNNNNNNNNNNNNNNNNNNNNNNNNNNNNNNNNNNNNNNNNNNNNNNNNNNNNNNNNNNNNNNNNNNNNNNNNNNNNNNNNNNNNNNNNNNNNNNNNNNNNNNNNNNNNNNNNNNNNNNNNNNNNNNNNNNNNNNNNNNNNNNNNNNNNNNNNNNNNNNNNNNNNNNNNNNNNNNNNNNNNNNNNNNNNNNNNNNNNNNNNNNNNNNNNNNNNNNNNNNNNNNNNNNNNNNNNNNNNNNNNNNNNNNNNNNNNNNNNNNNNNNNNNNNNNNNNNNNNNNNNNNNNNNNNNNNNNNNNNNNNNNNNNNNNNNNNNNNNNNNNNNNNNNNNNNNNNNNNNNNNNNNNNNNNNNNNNNNNNNNNNNNNNNNNNNNNNNNNNNNNNNNNNNNNNNNNNNNNNNNNNNNNNNNNNNNNNNNNNNNNNNNNNNNNNNNNNNNNNNNNNNNNNNNNNNNNNNNNNNNNNNNNNNNNNNNNNNNNNNNNNNNNNNNNNNNNNNNNNNNNNNNNNNNNNNNNNNNNNNNNNNNNNNNNNNNNNNNNNNNNNNNNNNNNNNNNNNNNNNNNNNNNNNNNNNNNNNNNNNNNNNNNNNNNNNNNNNNNNNNNNNNNNNNNNNNNNNNNNNNNNNNNNNNNNNNNNNNNNNNNNNNNNNNNNNNNNNNNNNNNNNNNNNNNNNNNNNNNNNNNNNNNNNNNNNNNNNNNNNNNNNNNNNNNNNNNNNNNNNNNNNNNNNNNNNNNNNNNNNNNNNNNNNNNNNNNNNNNNNNNNNNNNNNNNNNNNNNNNNNNNNNNNNNNNNNNNNNNNNNNNNNNNNNNNNNNNNNNNNNNNNNNNNNNNNNNNNNNNNNNNNNNNNNNNNNNNNNNNNNNNNNNNNNNNNNNNNNNNNNNNNNNNNNNNNNNNNNNNNNNNNNNNNNNNNNNNNNNNNNNNNNNNNNNNNNNNNNNNNNNNNNNNNNNNNNNNNNNNNNNNNNNNNNNNNNNNNNNNNNNNNNNNNNNNNNNNNNNNNNNNNNNNNNNNNNNNNNNNNNNNNNNNNNNNNNNNNNNNNNNNNNNNNNNNNNNNNNNNNNNNNNNNNNNNNNNNNNNNNNNNNNNNNNNNNNNNNNNNNNNNNNNNNNNNNNNNNNNNNNNNNNNNNNNNNNNNNNNNNNNNNNNNNNNNNNNNNNNNNNNNNNNNNNNNNNNNNNNNNNNNNNNNNNNNNNNNNNNNNNNNNNNNNNNNNNNNNNNNNNNNNNNNNNNNNNNNNNNNNNNNNNNNNNNNNNNNNNNNNNNNNNNNNNNNNNNNNNNNNNNNNNNNNNNNNNNNNNNNNNNNNNNNNNNNNNNNNNNNNNNNNNNNNNNNNNNNNNNNNNNNNNNNNNNNNNNNNNNNNNNNNNNNNNNNNNNNNNNNNNNNNNNNNNNNNNNNNNNNNNNNNNNNNNNNNNNNNNNNNNNNNNNNNNNNNNNNNNNNNNNNNNNNNNNNNNNNNNNNNNNNNNNNNNNNNNNNNNNNNNNNNNNNNNNNNNNNNNNNNNNNNNNNNNNNNNNNNNNNNNNNNNNNNNNNNNNNNNNNNNNNNNNNNNNNNNNNNNNNNNNNNNNNNNNNNNNNNNNNNNNNNNNNNNNNNNNNNNNNNNNNNNNNNNNNNNNNNNNNNNNNNNNNNNNNNNNNNNNNNNNNNNNNNNNNNNNNNNNNNNNNNNNNNNNNNNNNNNNNNNNNNNNNNNNNNNNNNNNNNNNNNNNNNNNNNNNNNNNNNNNNNNNNNNNNNNNNNNNNNNNNNNNNNNNNNNNNNNNNNNNNNNNNNNNNNNNNNNNNNNNNNNNNNNNNNNNNNNNNNNNNNNNNNNNNNNNNNNNNNNNNNNNNNNNNNNNNNNNNNNNNNNNNNNNNNNNNNNNNNNNNNNNNNNNNNNNNNNNNNNNNNNNNNNNNNNNNNNNNNNNNNNNNNNNNNNNNNNNNNNNNNNNNNNNNNNNNNNNNNNNNNNNNNNNNNNNNNNNNNNNNNNNNNNNNNNNNNNNNNNNNNNNNNNNNNNNNNNNNNNNNNNNNAGGUGGCGGUGGGGGUGGCCAAGGAGGACACAAAGGUGGUGGUGGUGGAGGUAGCCAAGGAGGACACAAAGGAGGUGGAGGCGGCAGAGGAGGUGGUAGCGGACGAGGAGGAGGUGGAGGUGGCGGGGGAAUGUAGAGUAUCUCCGCCGAUAUCUAGCAAGUUUUUAUUUUUAAUGCCAAGUGUUAACGUAUACUAAACUACAAUAAAGUUACAUGUAAGCGUCCGAGUCACACCACUUCACCGAAUGUUUAUAGGCUUCGGUGUCGCAAAAGUUCUAUGCUUCUCUCAACAUAUUAUCA
rnacentral:lncRNA from 1 species